rnacentral:lncRNA from 1 species
UCCAACUUGGUAACGAUAAUCCUUCAUAGUAAUUUAUGUCCAAGCACUUGAGAUUUGAGUGAGGUUGAAGCUCUUCGAGUACUUGCUCAUCAUGAAUAGUUGGGGGCUCAGUAAAUCCAUCAUUGCUUUCCCAUGACAAACAUAAUUCAUGAAUGUCUGUUUUACCCAUCAAAUUAGCCGCUUCAGCUUCAGAUAAACUGCCCACAUCUUUUAAGCCUUUGAUACUCAGCUUUCCACCAAGGUUUAGAUCACAUAACUCUGUCAAGCUAUUCCCUUUCUCUAAACUAACAAUGUACAUGCUUAAUGUUCUUAGACAAGAUAAUUUGCCAAUGUUAGGAAACAUGAGAGACAAAGAUCGACAUCCUUUAAUGACUAUAUGUCUAAGAUUUUGUAAGCAAGCCAAGUGUUUCGGGAGACAACUCAGUUCACCGCAGUCUUUUAUUUUCAAUAUUUCCAGUUUUUGUAAGUUGUAAAUUGAGUCCGGCAACAUUUUUAUGUCAAGAGAACGAAGUUCCAAAUACCUUAAAUGAAUUAAACUUUCUAGUGAUAAUACAUGGGAUAUGCAUAAAACCCGAAGAGAGCGGUUUAAUGGGAAGUGAUCAUAUUUUUUUGCAAAAAAAUUAGGAUUCUUCAAGUUAAACAACAAUGUUCGCAAGGAUUCAACUUUUUUAAAGGCACCCUCAUCGAAUGAUAACAAAUUAUCGGAGUUAAAACUUAUGUGGUGUGUGCUUUUUGUCAAACUAGUCAUGUUUGCAUUCUCCAAAUACACACAUUCUUGCCCCAUUACUGAUUGAGCGAGAUCAUGGACAAGAUCAUGCAUCUUGAAAAAAAUGUCUCCAGAGUAUUCAUCCAUCUUGAUAUCUUGAAAGAAUGACUUUUGGUACAAUUCCUUCCAAACCAUAUUUCCAACAUCUUCAACGUCCAAAUUACCCUUAGAUGAAAUAAAUCCAUUAGCCAUCCAAAGUUGAAUCAAUUCUUCUUUCAGGAUUUCUCCAUCCUUGGGAAAUAUAGCGCAAAAGGAGAAACAUUGUUUUAGGGUUGGUGUUAAAUAAAAGUAACUCAACCUCAAAGCAAGCAAAAUAGAAUUUUCUUGUGGUAAAGCCCAAAGCUCACUGUCUUUAAUAUCAAGCCAUUCCUUUUCUUCAUUCCUUGAGCUCAUCAAACCUCCCAAUGUUUUUGCUGCAAGAGGCAAUCCAUUACAUUUCUUUACAAUCUCCUUUCCUAUUUCCACAAGCUUUGUAUGCUCUUCUCUGAAAUAUCCAAAUGCAUAUUCUUUGAACAACAACCAACAUUCACUAUCAGAGAGACCAUACAAAGAGUGAGCUUGGCAUGUUCCCAUGAUUGUUGCAACAAAUUUAUCACGAGUGGACACUAAAAUGGAACUACCUUUUGAUCCACACGACAACACAGACUUCAAAUGAUUCCAUUUAUCUUGUGUUAACCCAUAUUCCAAUUGUUGAUUUUGAUUCCACACAUCAUCCAAAACCAGCAAAUAUAUUUUACCUUGCAACAAUUCUUGCACCCUUCUUUCCAAUACAUCUAAAUCAAAGUCAGCAGACUUCUCUCUUGUGAUAGAUUCUACAAUAGAACACAAAAUUCUCUUGACUGAGAAAGUUUCAGAAACGCAAACCCAAAUUUUUUUAUCAAAAUUGCCACUCACCCUAACAUCAUUGUAGACCAAUUGAAGAAGAGUUGUUUUUCCAACACCACCUAAACCAAAAAUGGGAUAGACGGAAAGGAAGUCUGAGUCCCUCGUUUGGGUGAGAAGAAACUCAACAAUCUUUUCUUUAUCAUCUUCUCGUCCAAACACUUUUGGUUCAGCAAUAAUGGAGCUGGUUUGACGCCAUUCAGCUACUUCAUUUGAGCUUUCCUUAACAAUAGUACCCUCCCGUAGAAAAAACUUGUUCUUACUAUCAGCAAUAUCAUCCAAUUUCCUUGUAAUCUCUUUCAACCUGUUGCCGAUCUCAUGGCGAAACAUGAUGUUCUUUGGUUUGAAAGAGGUUAAUCCUCUAAGUUGACCAGACUUGAUUGAACACUCAUCAAGGAUAUCAUCGAGCACAUAAACAGCAUCUUUGAGUUGUUGUAGCCAUACCUUAAUAGAGUGGUCUGUGACUUGUUUCUUUUCAGCAUCUUCAAGAACAGCAUUGAUCAAAUCUAAGGUGGUUGAUAGUUUUUCAGCCUUUGACUUGAUUCUAGAAAUGGUUGAAAAUUCACUUUGUAGGAGAGACGUCAAAUUCUGAAACACAACUCCGAGUAAAGCGUCGGCCAUUUUUUGUGAAAACAAAGAGUUGAAAAUAUAAGUAAAUAAGAAAUUGGUUUAGAUUGAAAGAGUGUUGAAGUAAACAGAAGAACUUUGAGAAUAAAUGCAAUGGUAGUUGCAAGAAUGCAAGUGGUAUUCAAUAAUUGCGAGCAAACAUUCACGUAAACCACACAUUUAUGCAACUUGCAAGGUUCCAAUAUUGAUUGGGUGUUUUAGAACACGCAUUUUCUAUCACAAAUUUUCCCUCAAUUUUUUUUUUUCAAUCACAGAUUUAUUAUCGGGUCCAUUAUUGGUUUCGUUUCAUUUGUCUCUUGUUUUCACACUUGAACUACUUUAACCAAUAAGAUGUGGCCGACAUUUUAUUUAUUUAUUUAGUUGUUCCAUAUACAAUUUGGUCAUGCUCAUAGUUAUUUACUUUUGUGUACAAUUUGGGUCAUGCUAACUUGUAACUUAAUGAUACAUGUUAAACAACCUAAAAGUAUAAAAAAAAAAAAAAAAUCUUAAAUUUCGUACAUUCAAUUAAUUAAAAGAAAAAAAUUAAAUUAAAUGCAUUAAUUACAACAAAAUAUUUUUACAUUUGACUCAUUUACUUGUGUCUUAAGGGCAUAAGUUAACAUUUCACAAUAUGAUAAUUUGAAGCAUAGUUUCUUGUGUUCUCCUUGUACUCCCUCCGUAUGUCACCUUAGCAUAUUUUAUUUUAGCUAAAAUAUGAUUUUGGUCCUUGGAAAUAUGCCUCAUUUUGGUUUUAGUCCCUGUAAUUUUUGUUGUUGUUUUUGUCCAAAUAUGUCUCGUUUUGAUUUUGGUCUCUGACCUCACUUUUGUGAUGAUUUGCACACGCGGCACAUGACGACUGAACCCAUUUAUGAGAAAAAUAGUCCCUAAAAAAUCUUUUGAUUUUUAAAAAGAUCCCUGCAAAAUAUUUUGUUUUUGAAAAUAGUCCCUUAUUAUCUUUUUGCAUUAUUAUAUCCUUAUUUAUUAAAUGGAUUUUUCUAUCAUGUGUAAAUUUGCACAUGUUAAGAAGUUUUAAAUAAUUUAGUGUUGGAACUUGCACAUUUAAUAUUAAGAAUAAAACUUUUUAAUAGUUACUACUAUUAGUUGUUUUAACAUGUGCAAUGUUGCACAUGUUAGAGAAACCUUAAUUAAAUUGCAUUCAACUUAACUACUCCACUAACUACAAUUAAUAAGAGUAUUUUAGCAAGUGAUAUUAAUUUUAUCAUUGAAAUCAACGCAAUUUUAUUUCCUUAAUAAUCGUGCACAAAUCUUAAACGAUUACUCCCUCCGUCCCUAUUUCUAAGCACCUCUUGCAUCUUUAUCUUUAUUAUAUAUAUUUGCACUAUUUUUUUUUAAAAGUACACGUGUCAUUCUCUCUAUGCUAAUUGUCAUUAAAUGUCUUAAUUUGGCCAUAUGUCAUGGUAGUAUCAUUCAUUUGUUUGAUGGUUGAUUUUAUUGAGAAAGGAUUUUAAUUUGUGAAUUCUUAUAAAGAUGUAUAAGGGAUACAAAAUCGGUACAAUAAUUAUAUCAUUAAUUAAAAAUUAUCUUAUUUGGUAUCAUGCUUUCACAAUCUCUAGAGUUUUGCUCAAUUAUUGAUUUAAAUCAAAUUGUAACAAAAACUCAUUUUUGUGGUUGAAAAUUCUUAAUCAUCUCAUUAAAAAAUUAUCAUUCAAUGACAUUUUGACGUGUGUCAUUAUUGUGUAGUUGAACCAAUCAUAUUGCAUCGUUUUGUCUUUUUUGCAUCAUAUUACUUAUUUUUAUAUUGCUUUGCAUAAUAUUUCAUUUAUACUGUUUACCUAUAUAUACUCUGUUGUUAUUCAAUUGUCUCAUUCAUCUAUUCCUCCUCCCCCCAUCAAUCUAAAAAACGAGAUUAUAAUGGCAUCAAGAUCUGAUAACAUAUCUGAGAUCAGCCCUGUGAAGGAAUCAUGGAUCGUGGUUGUUCGGAUUGUCUGUGUUUUGUUUGUUUGUGAUGUCUCUAGAUAUUUUUAGGUUGUAAGCCAAUCAAGCAUUUUAGGAUUAGCCAAUUUUGUAUCAGAUUCUUUAUUUGUUCAUGAUGUCAUUUGCUUUUAUUAUUUUUCCUAUACAUAGUAUAUGUUUCUUUCAUCAUUUCCACUUGCACAUUUCUUUCAAAUAGUGUUGUCAAACUCCAAAAGAUUGUCAUGACACCAAGAUUUGAUAACAUCUAUGAAAUCAACUCGAUUAAAGAAUCAUGAAGCGAGUUGUUCGAAUAAUUCAUGUUUGGUUUGUUAAUAAUAUCAAUUGUGAUAGACACCCGUUCUAUCUAGAUAUGAUUCCCAUUGAUGCGCCUAUUUGUAUAUAAUGAAUGUAAAAAAAUGACAUUUUAAAUUAAUCUAAUUUUUGUAUAUAAUUUAUGCCAUUAUGAGUAACUUGGGUGGUGAUGUAAAUCGUGGAUUGUAUCGAACAAAAGAGAAUGAAUACAAACUCAAUUGUAUAAGUUUCCCAAGACUUUUUUUAUUUUCAUUUUAAUUUCAAUAUGGAUGAAUAAUAACUAUAUUGUGUUUGACAAAUUAUGUAUUUUAAAAUCUCUUCUUUGUCUUCUCCUGAUUUUAAUAAUAAAUUAUAAUUAUAUUGAUACAUUGAUACACGUAAACAUCACUAAUAUGUGCGUACACGUUACCAUCUAAAUAUAUUUUUCUUAUUCACUAUUGUCUAAUCAAAUAUCCACAUCGACACAUAUACAUCUUAAUCGUCUUAAUCUCUAUCUCUAUUAUAAACAUUUACUUUUUUUUUUUUUUUUAAAGUACACAUGACAUCUUCAUACUUCCCAUUUCAUUUAAUGUUUCUCCAUCAACCAAUGAAAAUGAAUCUUGACGUAUUCCUUUUCUAUUAUCCAAUCAAAAUGGAUCAUGACUCAUUUAUUUUUCAUGAGUCAAUCAAAAUUGAUCAUAACAUGAUUUUUUCACUAUAGCAAUUUGGUUUUUUUAUUAUUUUCAUCUACCUCUUCCUCCCAUAAAAAAUCACUGCUUUCAACGCCAUUCUAUUUUCUUUUAUUUGUUUAUUUUUUAUUGUUUUAUUGUUUAUUUAACAUUUCUUAUUGUUAUGUUCCAUUUUAUUGUGAUUUCUUAGGUUGAUGAUUCUUAUUCAUAUUUUCUUUUCAAUAUUAUUUUGGUGUUUAUAUUUUUUUUUCCGGAUAUUUAUUUUGGACAUGAAACCAAUCAAGAGAAAAGAAGAAAUGCAUCACAAAAAUUAGAAUUUAUACGAAGGAUUUCUAUCACCACGUUCAAAUAUAAUCACUUUCAUCCCCCUUUUGAUUUAUUUUAAUCCCUUAAUUCUCACAAUUUUUUCUAUCUAUCUAUUCUUUUUUGUUUAAUUUUUCUUAUGUUGUUAUUUUACUUUUAAAAUCUUUCUCUUUUAUAUUUUAUUUUGGUGAUUUUUUUUUUUGCUACUUUAUGCUUGAAAUGGAAACCAAUCGAUAUAUUAGAAGAAACGCAUCCAUUUUCAUAAAAUUGGUUGAAUCGAUAACUUUCAAGUGAAAAAGAUAAGAAAUACAUAAUAGAAAAUCGAUUUUAUGACACCUUUGAUUUUUUUUUUUUUAGUCAAAAUUAAAAGUUCCAUUUUCUUUAACUAAAAGGGAGCAAGGUGCUACCUUAAAAUUUUAAGUGCAUUUGCAAAAAAAAAAAAAAAAAAAAAAAACUUAACAAUCAUUUAUAUUUUAUUUCCUUCAUCCUAAUUAAACAUUUAAACAUUAGUUGGGAUGUCGGUGUGGCCUCCUGAUGUCUGUCUUUCUCCCUGCUUAGCAAAAAAAUAAAAUUAAACAUUUAAACGAGUUUAUACUAUUAUUAAAAUAAUAUCACAUUAAAUAUUAUUAAUUUAUUAUGAUUUUUAAAUGAAAAAAUAUUAAUUUUUUAUUCACGUCGUAUUUUUUUAUCCAUCAUUCAUUCUAUUAUUAAAACUAAUAAUAACAUAUGCUUUAAAACUGUAUUAAUAUUUUUAUUAAUUCCCAUAUUUAUAAGCGGAAAGUUGUAAAAGUCUUAAAAUGACAAAACUAAAUGAAUUUUUGAUUACUCAUUAAUCAUGUUUCAAUGACCCUUUAAUUUUCACUCAUGUUUCAAUGACAACCAUCAAAUUAUUAUCAAUGUUUUCAAUCAAAUGGACUCAUGUACCCUUUGUCUUAAUUUUUGACCAAUUAGAUUUAACUAAAUCAUCAAAGGUUUCAAUCAUACACGUAUUUGUUAACAAACAAAAUGUAUGCUUUUCCGUUCAACUUUCAACCAUAACAUAGCAUGUUGACGUGACAUUUUUUCUUUUAUUUCAAUGUCUUUAUUGGUUUCCUUUGAUUGUGUUUUUUCUAUGAUGCUAUAGGUUCUUGGUACAAACUCGAAGGAAGAAGAAAAAUUUAAUUUUGUUUAUGGAAACAAAACAAAUUAAUCUAACAACUAAUUACUAACAUUUGACAUUAAAAAAGCAUUUCUUUUCUAUUCAAUUCAGUGAUAGUCUUUGUCCCAUAGUUUUUUUUAUCAUCAUCUUGAAUUUCAUUUGAAAAUAUUAUAGCAUUUAAUCAAACGAUCUUUGUUCAUGUAUAUGACCAAAUACGCUAAAAUUAAUUUGUGAUAAAAUAUUUCUAAGAAUACAACAAUGCCUUAAAUUUUUGUAAAAAAAAAUGCCUUAAUUUUGUUACUAAAGCCUUAAAUAUUAUAUUAUAUACAUUGAAUUUUUUCGGCUUAUUAUAGAAGUUUCUUAUUCAUAGCAAUUUACAAAUUCUUUGUCUUUGACGAAUUGGUACCAAAAAAAUAUUAAGCAAAUUUGUUGUUAAUUUUUUAAAAAUUUACUUUGAAAUUAAACCAAGAACUGAUUCCCAUUUUUAUUAAUAUGGAAUUUAUAUUUAUAUUGUUAAUAUAUUUCAAGCACUGACCUUUAACCACAUAUAUAUGAGUAAUACCGUUAUUUGAUAGAGAUUAAAUUUAAAUUACAAAUAUUUGUGAAGUAAUUAAUUUUUUACCUAUCGAAAUAGGAAUUUUUUUCUUUGUAAAAAAAUUAUAAUAAUUUAACUUGACACAAAUCUAAAUUCCAUAAACUCCAAAAAGUAUAACAAUUUAUACUACCAAUAAAAUUAAUGAAAUGAUCUUUCUAAACCUCUAAAAAGGUAGUUUUAUGCAAAGAGAAAUGUUAGCAACACACAUAUAAAUUUAAACACACGUUUCAACGUCCUCAUUUGAAUAAAAGUUGGAAAUUAAUAUAUCUUAAUGUUUAAUUAACAAUAAAAAAUAGCUCCAAAAAAAGCGCACCAUAUAAGUAUGUUCCUUUUUUUUUUACUCAUAUAAAAAUAUUCUCUUUUCCACUAAAAAAACAUAUUCAUUUUUUUUUAAUAAUUUUAUUUAGGUGAGUUGGAUCCAAAGAGAAAGCCCCUAGGAUAAAAAAAGAUAUUACAAAGGUAUUUAUGUAUUAUCCAUCUAGGAUGUCCUAACGAUGGUAUCGAGAGUUGUACUCACACUUUAAUAGGGGUAGGAGUCAAUUUAUUAUCAACUAAAUCAACAUAUAUCUACAAUAUAAGCACAUUCUCAAUCACACUAUAAAUAUUUUUCUUUAUCUUUAUAUUUAUAAUAUGAAUUAAAAACUCAAUAAAUGAAUAAUUAAAUGUUGGAUUAAAUGAAGAAAUAUUUACCACUAAAAUCAAUAAAUAAAAAGUUUUAAGUAUCACAAUCAUUUUCUUAAUUGCAAUUAUGCGCAUUCAACUACUAUUGAUUCAAUCAUUAAAAAUUUCAAUUAAUAAAUGCUAAAAAGUCAUAAUUAUUUAAUGAAAUAGUUUAAUUUUUUUUUUUUAUCAAUCAAAGAAAUGCAUUAAACAUGUAUGAAGGGGCCUGAUAUGAUAUGAAAUAAAUUAAACUAUCUGAUCCUAUCCUACGCAGGAUAUGAUAUGAUAGGAUAGACUCAUAAUUAUUUAAUGGAGUAGUUUAAUUUAACUAGAGUCCGUUUGAUGGCCAGUAUAGGGAGACAUGAUAUGAUACAUUAAUCAUAUUCUGCUUAAAUUUCAUGUUUGAUGCACCAAAGAGAUAGGAUAAAAUAAACCAUUUCCCUAUCAUAUCAUGACUUUCCUUUGUAAUUUAUAUCCUGAGUAUAGGCUAAGUUAGAAAUUAUCCUGAUGGGAUUAGAAGAUCAUUCCUUAUUUAUUAUCUUGAUAUUCUGCCAUUUUUAAAUAUUGUCAUUUUUAAAAUAGUUAUAGCAUGUAUUUUCUAUUAUAAUUAAUAACAUACCAUUUUUACAAUAUUUAAUUAAUUAUGAAAGCAAUUUUUUCAUUUAAUUAUAAUGAUAUCGUGUUUGUUAUCAUGUGCACAUCAAACACAUGAUAAGAUUAAUGUUUAUCAUGUCAUUAUCAUAUCUUAUCUCUAUCCAACUUUAUAUCAUAUCACGCCUUUGUCAUAUCCUGACCAUCAAACACACCUUUAACAGCAUGAGGAUAUUACAUCAAAAUUCUAAAUAAAGGCAAACUAGAGUUAUAUACAUAGUGAGCUUAUUUAUCAGACAAGAUAUAUCAAUACAUUGUUAAAAAAGCAUACACUCAGAAAGAAAAUUAUCUUCUGUUAAAAAAAAAAGAAAAGCAAACUAUCUUUUAAGGGAGAGAAAGCGAAGUUUAUAUUCUUAAUUGUUUUGAAUCUUUACACAAUCGUUCCAAUAUUGAAUGGUACAAAGUCAAAAUCAUAUUCAAAAUAAAAUCGAUUUUUUUUUAGGGAAGAUCAAUUUUAUUAUGUAAAUUAUUAUGCAUUGAACAUAAAAUUAAUGAGUAUGUAUGUUUUUCAAUAAAUUCAGUCGAAAAAAUAUUUUAAUAAAAAAAUUAUAUUUCAUCUAGCUAGAUAUGAUUUUUUUCCGUUAUUUUUAUUAUAUAGAAAAUAUUAAUAAUAAUUUAUUUUAUAUUUAUUGGCAAUAAAACUUCUUCACGCAGUUUCUGUGAGUAUAACUCAGUUAUUGGCAAUUUGAUCCCCUUAAAAAAAAUAUUAUAAUUUUUUGAUUUUUUAUUUACAAAAAUAAAUAUAUAAUUCAAUUUUUUAUAUUUUAAGAUAACAAAUUGGUACUUUUACUUCUUUUUUUGUCAUCUUCACCGAUCGAAACACAUGUCGACAUUGUUGAUACUAACCGAAAACAAAAGAGUAGUGAAGAACACAAAAGCUUGAAACUAGAUGCAGGAAACCGAAAUAAAAGGUUGUCUUGGUUUUAAAUUUCUUAACUCAUUCUCUGUUUUUACAAUAAACGGUUCAUUCAUUCUCUUUAUGUCUUAAUGUGUCAUUUUUCUUACUGCUAAAACGUUUGAUUUUUUACUUAUUUAACUUCUUCUUUUUUUAACGAGGGAUUAAUUUUUUCCCGUAAAAAUUCUUUUAAUGUAUGUUAGCACUUAACUAACACUUUUAACGCCACUUAGUUAAAUUAACAAUAUACGUGAAAUAUUCAACUAUGGAAAUUGAUUCAAUGACUAUGUUAUCUCUAUUUGAUUUUGUAAGACAAUUAAAUCAGUCUUUUUAUUUGCGUAUGACUAAUUUGAUCCCUACACAUUUUUGUCAGGGACCAAAAUAGAUCUUCAUUUUUACCAUUUAAUCUAAUACAAUUAAACUAUCAAAUUAAGGGGGUAAUUGAUUUGACUACUUGCUUCUUUUUGUUAUAAAUAUUGUUUUUAGUCUCAAUAUUUUCAUGCCAUUUUGGAAUUUAUAUGAAAACUUCGAAACUUCAAAAACUUCAAAAAAUAGGGCGCGUUAGGUGAUGUUUCCGGAUUACAUAAUCCGGAAACCCCCUAAACACCAUUUUUCAAGGUAAAACAGUUCGAAUUAUAUAAUCCGAACUGUAUCAGCACAAAUUCUAAACAUGUUUGUAACAUGGAUAGUCAUUUUAGGGACAAUAUUAAUCUUCCUAACUUUCAUCCUUCCGUUUUUGGGUCAUUAUUACCUGUUCUUAGUCAAAAAUCAAGUUUUCGGGCUACUUGAUGUGAUUGCUCCGAAACUUCCCUAGAAAAUCAGAAAUCCAAAAUUCAAUCGGUUAGACCCAUUUUUCAUUUUUUAAAAUUUUUCAUAUUCUAAGAAAAAUCCGAAAAAAUUUGCAUUAGUUUUAUUUGAUUUUUAGAAUUUUUUUGUGCUAUUUUUAUAUUUUUAUGAUUUUAUUUGACAGGUUUUAAGCAUUUUUUACUUAGUUUUUUUGUUGUUUUUAAAAGCAAAACUCAAAACUGUUAAAAUAUGAGAGAGUCUGAUGGCUGAUUAUACAUAAGAAUUGUCCGGAUUAUAUAAUUCGAAAUAGUAAACAUGAAUCCGGAUUUUAAAAUAUGGAAUGCACAAGGUCAUUUUUGGAAAAAUUACAGGGCGCGGGAGAAGGCCAUAAGGUGGGAAAAAUAAUAGUCAAUAGUUUAUCAUAAUAUUGGGAUAAUUCUAGGACUCCUGAGUGGGCAUAGACUGAGCUGGAUAAUCAUAUAUUAGGCUAAUAUCAACUAUACAAGUGAGAUUGACACCGCAUCUUCAGAUAAAACCUUACGGCAUUAGACAUAUGAGUCAUCUCACUUAUAUGUUUUUUCAAAAUAUACUCAUCCAUCCAAUGUAGAGUGGUAUCUCACACUUGACAACUCUUAAUCAAGUGUGCGACUAUUUGUGUAUGUAAUUAUCUGAUAUUGUCAAAUCAGGUUAAAUAGAGUCACAACAUGUUAAAUAGGUUAGUUUAAGUAGUUUCAUGAAUGGAGAUUUAAGUUCAUUUCUUUCAUGGGAAGAGAGAAAUGAAAAUAGAAGAAAAAGAAUGAAUAUGAAAAAGGAAUUUGAACAUGAGAGAAACGAUAAGGGAAAAUAUAUGUAAUGUGUUUUGACCAUGAGAGUAAAUGGAAUAUGCUGGGUUGUCGGUAAUUAUAUGAGUUUGUUGAAGGAUUUGAAGAUUUUUGGGUAACUACAUUACCAAAAUUUAGACUUAAUUAUAAAAAUAUCACAUCAUUUUAAAUGUAUAAUAAACAUGUAUUUUGUCAACUUAGCAUAACACAUUUUCAAAUAAUAAAGAUUGAAUAAAAAAAGAGCAUGAAAGAGAAUGAGAGAUCCAAAAACUAAAUUUCAAUAUAAGAAAAAAACAAAUGACAUUCAAACAUUAAUAAAAUUAUUCUUUAUAUUGUUGGGACCACAAAGGAUGUUUACACUAAGUUGAAUCAUCAUAUUAGGUUAAGAGCAAUCACACAAGUGAGAUCGACACUACAUAUUAACUUAAAAUGUGUAAUGGACAUGUAUUUUGUCAAUUCAGCAUAACAAAUCUACAAUUUUCUACUGUCAGAUCCCACCAAAGAUCAAAAGUUAAGUAAUUUAAAAUAAUAGAUGUUGAAUAAAAAAAUAGCAUCAAAACGAAUGACAUCCAAAAACUAAAAUUUAAAAAAUAAAUAAAUAAAAGAUAUUCAAAACUAACAAAACCACCCAUCAUAAUGUUUAGACUUCCGGGGGAGUCUAAACUGGGUUGUAUAAUCACAGUAGAGUAAAAUCAACCAUAAAAGUGAGAUUCACACCAUAGUUUUAUUCAAAAUCUAAAGGCAUUAGGUAUAUGGGUCAUUUCACUUAUAUUUUUCUCAUCAUCUACUUUUUUUAUCUAAUGUGAAGCUUUAAUUACAUAUGAGACAUUAGUAUCUCUCUCUGAAGUGUGCGACGACUCUGCAUCUGUAUGAUGGUGACAUGGUCAUAUAUAAGGUCAGAUUGAUGCAUAACAUGAUAAAAAAAAAGGCGGGUGUAUUUUAAAAAGAAAUUUUGACAUGAAAGAAAUGGUAAGGAAAAAAAUAAGGAGUGUGUAUUUUAACCAUGAGAGUAUAGGAAAUAGAGUGAGUUACUGGUAAUUUGUAGGUUUGUUGAAGAAUUUGGAGAUUUUGGGGUUUAUUUACCAAAAAAUUAGACUCAAUUAAAAAAUACACUUCAUUUUCAAAUUUCUACUAAGUAUAUAUUUUGUCAACUCAACAUAAUACAUCUUUUUUCCAUUUCAGAUUCCACCAAAGACAAAAGUCAAGGAAUUUGAAAUAGUGAAAGUUGAACAAAAAAAAAUGUAAGAGAGUGACAUCCAACAACUAAAAUUUAUGAUAAAGAAAAAUUAAACAAAUGACAUCCAAAAGCUGACAUAAAACUUCAUCCUAAUUUUGGAACCUUCGAGGGAUCAUAGUCUAAGUUUGAUCACCAUAUUAGACUAAGAAAAACCACACAUGUAUGACUAAUAUCAAAUCUUUAUCCUAAAUCUUAAGACAUCAGAUAUAUAUGUCAUCUCACUUAUAUGUUGUUUAAAGUUUACCAUAUAUCGCAUCCUAACAUAGAACUUUGACUCACACUAGACACACUAAUAUUUCUUAACCAAAUGGGCAACUAUUCGUGUUCGUAAUCACGUGACAUAGUAAAAUAAGGUCAAGCGGAGGAACACCAUGUUCCAGAAGGUUGGUUGGUGACUGUUUCAUGAAGAGAGUUUUAUAUUCCUUUCUUUUACGUGAAGACAAAAAGGAAAUCAGAAGGAAAAGUAACGGAUUUGAAAAAGGAAUUUGAACAUGAGAGAAGAUAAGGGAAAAAAUUGUGCGUUAUGUUCAUGAGAGUAUAGAGAGUAGUGUGAGUUAUCGGUGAUUUUAUGAGUUUGUUAAAGGAGUUUGAGAUUUUUGGGUAAUUAUUUUACUAAAAAAAUUGAGUCAGUUAAGAAAUGCCACAUAAUUUUAAAUGUCUAAUAAACAUGUAUUUUGUGAACUCAGCAUAACACAUAUGCAAUUUUCCAUUGCCACUUGCCGCCAAAGUCCAAAAGUUGAUGAAUUUAAAUUAAUAGAGGUUGAAUGAAAAAAAUUCAGAUGAAAAACAAUGACAUUUAAAAACUAAAUUUUAAGAUAAAAAAUGCAAACAAACGACAUCAAAAAAUUAAAAGACAAUUUAUUUGUGACUUUCGGGAGAUUCUGCAUCGAGUUUGAUAAUCACAUUAAACAAAGAGAACAAUACACGUGAGUUUAACAACACAUCUUCACCCCAAACCUUAUGAAAUUAGGUAUAUGAAUCAUAACACUUAUAUGUUACUCAACAUCAACUCUUACAUCCAAUGUGACUUUAACUCGCACUUGACACAUUAACAUUUCUUCCUCAUGUACGAGACUCUCUGCAUAUGAGAUCUACCACCAUAAACCAAUUCUGCUUCUCCACAGAGUCGAUCUGAGCUAUGAUACCAUUGUUGGGCCUUACGAGGGAGCCAACACUGGCAUGGAUUGACCCAUUGCACAAAGAACAACCAGACAAAUGAAAAUGAUAUCAAAUCUUUAAUUAAUAUUUUAAAUAUCACGAAAUUCUAGCCCGUGCUUGGCACGGGUUUCCAAGCUAGUUUUUCACAUUUCUUAAGAAAAGUUGUUAGUGCAAUUAAUAUGUCUUUUUUGUGUGUUAAUAUUACCAAGUUGUCCUUUGUUUGUAUGUGUAUUAAAUUUGACUUUUCAUAUUUCAAGACAAGUUAGUAGUAUUAAUUAGGGGUAUGUUUAGGAAAAAAAUUAUAAAUGCAUCUAGUAACUUGAAAAGAGGUUUACAUUUAGGAAAAAGAAUAAAGUCAAAUGGAGUAUUAUUUAGAGACGAAGAGAGUAAUAUAGUUUGAUGGGAAGAUGUAAAAUAAUUUUCAUUGAUUAUUAGUUAUUUAAAACAAUUUUCAUUAAAAAAAAAAGCCUUGAAUAUGUUUUUUAUCCUUAAAAAUAUUCUAAUCUUUUUGUUUUUAUCCCUCUAAUUUUUUUUUUCAAAGAUUAAUAAUGAAUGUUUUUUGUUCUGAUAGGUUUUGAUUGGUUCAACAAAAAGGAGAUGAAAGGAAAAGAAAUGGGAGGAAUUUCAAUUAUACACACAUACGAGCGUUCAAACAAGCGGUUUCCAUUUGUCUGUUUUUAUAUUGUGCUAAUGCGUGUAAAUUAUGAACAAUAGUUUUUAAGAAAUUGAUUUUGAUUACGCAUACAGACAAAUGAAAAUUAGAAAAAUAUCACUACAAAUCUGUGAGAAAGAACUAACAAAUGUUGUGAGCAACCCAAAUAUGCAAAACAAAAAAGUAAUUUAUAUUUGUUUUAGAAUUCAAUUUUGCUUUGCAAUUUCAAGAUUUAACAAUCACUAAAUAAUGUCUAUGUUAAAUAUUGUUUUCUACAUAUAUUAUUAAUGAAACUGAAUUUUUUUUUAAAAAGUUCUUGCACCAAUGGAGUUGAGUCUAAGAAACGGAGUUCGACCCUCACAACUUCGCGAAUCAAUGUUCAAACUAUGACGGAGAACGAUAUUCAUAUUCAGUAUCUGGCAUGUCUCAAAUCAAACUACACAUAUAUUAAUUUAGCUUCAAUUGAAUUGUAGCUUUAACAGUGGUAAUCUACUAGCUUGGUGGUGUAUGCUAAGAUACAAUUUAAACUCAAAGGAUCGCAAGUUUUGAUGAGGGCUGCAUUAUUAAAGAGUAAGGGGAUAAAACUGAAACUCAGAAGGAAAAAAAUUGUGAUUGCUUGUUUUACAAACUCAAAGUGAGAGAUUUUAUACGGGGUGUCAGUAUGAAAGGGUCCGGAAUUGAUUGAGUUUUUAAACGUAGAGCUUGUUCUAAUAGCAAUAUGAGGCAUGGUCUGGUACAGCAGUUUCUCAGUGCAGCCGGAUCGGUUUUGGCGCUGUCUGUUUUUCAAAAACUGUUGUGGGUAUGAAAAUGUGGUGUCGUCUGUUGUAUUUUCCUAUGAUGUUGUGGAAUCAGUUCGCCUAUUUGGUCGAGUUGAAGCUGCUGAGUUGGAAGCAACCUGCAUAAUUAUGCAUAAUUAUGCAGGUGGGGUGGCUUUUUAUUGUUCAGACUUUGUGGUAGUAGGAGACAUAUUUUUAUGGUUUUCUCAAUGUUGGUUGCUUUGGUGUUAAACCAAAGUAAAUUCUGCUUUAACAAUGUGAUGGUCUAUUUUUAGAUAAUCUUGUCAUACUUCUUUUUAUAUAUUUCGCUUUUUUAAAAAACACACACACACUAAACUUUAGUGCACUUCUAGGAUUAGAACUCGAUCCCUUUCAUCUAUCAGUAAGGUUUCUACAAUACAAGACAUUACUAGCUAUGGUAAUUGCAAGAUGAUAUUACUUGCAAAUAGAACAACAAAUACUGAUCUCAUAAAAAGAAAAGCAUGGAAUGACUGGAGUAACAAUAUAUACUUGUUUUAAUCAACAAACUAUCUGCUCCUUGUUACAUUUACUUAUAUUUCAAUGUUCUACAUUUCACAAUAACAAAGCUCAUUAAAUUGCAUGUAAGUAAAUUGAAAUAUGAGUGGUAAAUAUUUAUAUCAAAAUACUUUAUGAAGAAGAGGGAACUAGAUCAAUGAAUAAUAACAUUCAGACUACAAAUCUUAGCUAAGUAGAUCUCUUCAUCCUCAAGGCAGACGAAAAAAACUUCAUUCCCAUGUUUGUCAACUGUUUGUUUUGGUUGCCAGCAGAAGCAUCACAGUUUUUUUUUUUACACGACCCUUGAAGGAUCUGCCGUUAAUGCAGUAUCAGCAAAAAUGACAGAUUGAAGUUUCAACUAAAAGCAGAAUUGUGCAGCAUUUUGGAGGACCUCAAUCAACUCUUGGGGAAGUUCAGAAUCAUACAAACUUUCAUUGCAGCGGAAAACUGCACAGGGCUCUUGCUUUUUGGCGGCGUUGUGGGCUUAACUUGAUCAACCAACUGCCUUCAAAACUCUUAAUCAGAAUGUGGGAGCUUCUUGCAGAGGUCAGCAACAUCCAUUCAUUCCACAACAUAUCUAACACAAACAUAAUGAAAUAACAUUGGUGUCUCAAAUUCGCAUUAUGAAAUGCAAUGGCACCUUUCUAAAGAAUAGAUGUAUUUACACCUAGCUUGUAGCUUGAACAAUGAGUUUUUACUUUUUAUUGCUAACAUUAAGCUCAACAUCACAUUGCAUCCUUUCGUAAGAAACAAUGGCAAAUACAGGAACCCAAUUCUCACGAUAUUUACCAACACCACGAGAAUCAUAAUAUAGGUGGCUUGUGAGAAAGCAAUUGAUUUCUGCAGAGUGAAAUUUAAAUUAGUAACUAAUAUUCUAAGAAAUAUUACAGGAUUAGAUGAUACAGGGAAGAAAUAAAACUAGUCUACCUCUUCUCACAUUCUUCAUGGCAUUCAUCUAACAACCUCUCUACUACUAUAGUAGCAUUUUCUGGCUGAGUAUAAGAAAAAAAAAAUAAUUUUAUAAGAAAUUGACAUUUAAGAUUGACAUAAAACGAUUCAAAAUGAGUGACAACCACUGAAAAAAUCACCUUUCAAAGCAACAAAUCAUGUUGAUAGUACAGACAAAAUGUGGAUCUGGAAGCUUGACCUUCAUUAUAAUGUUCUUUGUCUUCUCAAUAAAACUUUGAUUCCAAGUCACACACUCUACUCCUUAAUUUGUCCAGUUUUAGAAGCUACUUCAAUGUACUUGAAGUGAAUAUCAUCGAAAUUGCAGUCAAUCAUCGAAACGAAGCCAUGAACCUUACUUAGAAAAUUAUCUUCCCAAAACUAAACAUUAUGUUUAUACAUUUAAGCACUCAAACAUCUAAAUUUCAGUGCUACAAAAGUCUUACCAAAAUUCUGACUCGAAACUAUAGAAAAGGAAAUUCUCAACUAAAUUUACCCUAAAGGAUCACCUAAAAUCAGUACUAAGAAAUUAUACUUAUUAAUCAACUCGCCCUGAACCAAGGUUCUAAUUAAAAAAAGCUUGGCUAGCAAUCAUUAAUGUAGUUAACGUCUUACAAAAAUUGCGUCAUCAAUGCUCUAAACACAGUGUCGUAAAAUCAAAUCAAAACAUUUCAUAGAAGAUAGAACUAUAAAAGGGACAUAUACCUUUGGAAAACAUUGAAAACCUCCACCCUUUACAUUUAGCAAAGCCAAGUAGAGGACUCUAUCAGGAACCACUGCUGCUAUCAUAAAUCCUGUUUCAAUUGGCAAACAUAAUUAACUUAAAUACAAACAAAUAAACUUCACCUAACCAAAUCUUAGAACAAACCAUCUGAAUUUUAAGUAAAUCAAAGGCUCACUAAAAAAGAAAAAAAAAGCACAUUCACAAAAUACUAACCCAUUUAGUGCCCAGAAACAUGAGCCUUUUUCCAACCUUAUCCAACAAAGUAAUUGCAUCCUUUGCCAUGAUCUUUGUUCUGCACCCAACAAUCAUUCACCAAUAUUCAAAUUUCCAUUUCACCUUUUCUAAAUCAUUCAAACUUAAUGCAGCACCAAAACUUCAGAUUGAUGACAUGUAUGAUGUUCAUACUUCAAAUACCGAUAUGACAUUGACCCAUGUAAUUACGUUCAAACACUUUCAUUUUAACAAAUUAUUAUCAAAAUUAACAAAUUAUCAUUCAAAAUAACGUAGCACCAACACUACAUAUUGGUGUCUGAUGUUCAGAUACUGAUAUGACACCAACCCUAUAAUUACAUUCAAAAACUUUUAUUUCUUCAAACUAUUAUCAAAAUUAAGCAAAGAGGAACCCAAACAAUAUACCAUUCAAAGAAAGAAUCUAAAACAAAUAAAUAAAAAAGACCAAUAAAAAUGGAGAAAACCUUGAUGAUCAGAGUUGCUAAUGGGCACGCAGCUCUGACCCACGCCCUCACUAUCAAAAUCGCAAUCCUCGAUACCACCACCGGACUCGUUGUCACCUCCUCCACUCCAAAAGACGUUCUCUUCAUCAUUAGGUACGUUUGUUACGGUUAAUCCCUUGUGUGUUGAAGGCAAUCCUAACCAUUCAAAUCAAUCUCCAGAAAAUCAUUAAAAUUAAAAAAAAAAAACAUGAUGAAGAAAAUUACCUGAAUUAGAACAUUUAUCCUUCUUAGGAUGAACAGUAAAAUAUCUUUCAUGUACUCUGGAUCUCUUCCUGCGGAAUGGGUUCCAAAGAUGUCGACAAUGAGAAUAAAAAUAAAGAUUUUUGAGCAGUUGAAAUCCAAACAUAAGAAGGGGAAAUUGAGAUCCUACAAGUAAAAUUGAUUUUUGCGAUGUUGAUUGUGGCAGAUAAGGGUAAACGUCUCUGCUUCUUAAUCCUCGGUAAACUGUAUUAUUGGAAUAUGAGCUAUCUUGUCCCAAUCCUCCCCUGUUCCCUCUUUGCAUCGUUCCUCUAAUGUUGGGCAACCCUCAAUUGCCAGAAGCUCAAGUGAAGUGAGGUGUCGAAUACCCUCCGGCAAGCAUCGCAAUCCUUCACAAUUCCAAAUCCUUAAAAUUCGAAGGGAUUGAAGACCUUCCCAAUUUUGCUCUGGUAAGGACUCCAAUUGAGAGAAACAAUAUACAAACAGAGAUAGAAGAGAAGUAAGGUUUUUGAACAUCCCCUCUGGGAAGGAUGUUAUUCCUUCACCGUCACUUAGGGCAAGCUGAGUAAGACCACAAAAGGUAGAGAUUGACCUCAGUAACUCAUUGUUACAUGGAUCGGCAACGAGGUCUUUAAGAGAUGGAAGACAUGGCAGUCCAAUUUUAGGGCAUUUCCAAAUAUCCAAACUAGAAAGACAAGGAAACAUCUCCCCUCUUUCAACUUUCAAUAAACCCUCUAUGUUUGGUAACUUAUAUAAUACGAGUUCCUCCAGAGAUGGGAAAAUCCUCACCUCCAUACCAUCCUGAGAUUCAUCAUCAUCCAAGUAUUUCAGAUUAUCCAUAUAAGAUAAUUCCAGUUUUUUUAGAGAUGGUAGUUUACCAAGUAACGGAAGCCGCACAAUCUUGUUGCAAUCCUCAAGUUUAAGAGAAAUUAAAUUACUAAGAAUAAUUAUCCAACUUGGUAACGAUAAUCCUUCAUAGUAAUUUAUUGUCAAGCAUUUGAGAUUUGAGUGAGGUUGAAGCUCUUCGAGUACUUGCUCAGCACUAAUUAUAGAUUCCUGUUGCGAUAUCCAUGACAAGCAUAAUUGAUGAAGGUCUUUUUUACCCAUCAAAUUAGCCGCUUCAGCUUCAGAUAAACUGCCAACAUUGUUUAAUCCUUCGAUACUCAGUUUUCCACCGAGUUUUAGAUCACGUAACUCUGUCAAACUAUUCCCUUUCUCUAAACUAACAAUGUACACACUUAAUGUUCUUAAACAAGUUAAUUUUCCAAUGUUAGGAAACAUACUAGACAAAGAUCGACAUUCUUCAAUGACUAUAUGUCUAAGAUUUUGUAAACAAGCCAAGCGUUUCGGAAGCCAGCUAAGUUUAUCACAGUAUUUUAUUUUCAAGAUUUCCAGCUUUUUUAGAUUGUAAAUUGAGUCAGGCAACUUUUUUAUGUCAAGAAAACGAAGUCCCAAAUACCUUAAAUGAAUUAAACUCCCCAGUGAUGGCAUCCGGAUAAAGGAUGCGCAUAAAACCCGGAGAGAAAGAUAUGCUGGGAAGUUAUCAUGUUUUUUUUGGUAAGAAUAACUCAACAAUGUUCUCAAGGAUUCAACUUUUUUGAAAGCAUUUUCAUCAAAGGAUAACACUUUGUAGUCAACAACAAUGUGGUGUGUGCUUUUUGACAAACUGGUCAUGUUUUUGUUCUCCAAAUGCAUACAUUCUUGCCCCAUUAUUGAUUGAGCGAGAUCAUGGACAAGAUCAUGCAUCUUGAAAGAAAUGUCUCCAGAAUAUUCAUCCAUCUUGCCAUCUUGAAAGAAUGAUUUUUGGUACAAUUCCUUCCAAACCAUGUUUCCAACAUCUUCAACGUCCAAAUUACCCAUAGAUGAAAUAAAUUCAUUAGCCAUCCAAAGUUGAAUCAAUUCUUCUUUCAGGAUUUUUCUAUCCUUGGGAAAUAUAGCGCAAAAAGAGAAACAUUGCUUUAGGGUUGGUGUUAAAUAAAAGUAACUCAACCUCAAAGCAAGCAAAAUAGAAUUUUCUUGCGAUAAAGCCCAAAGCUCACUGUCCUUAAUAUCAAGCCAUUCCUUUUCUUCAUUCCUUGAGCUCAUCAAACCUCCCAAUGCUUUUGCUGCAAGAGGCAAUCCAUUACAUUUCUUUACAAUCUCCUUUCCUAUUUCCAUAAGCUUUGUAUGCUCUUCUCUGUAAUAUCCAAAUGCAUAUUCUUUGAACAACAACCAACAUUCACUAUCAGAGAUACCAGACAAAGAGUGAGCUUGGCAUGUUCCCACGAUUGUUGCAACAACUUUAUCACGGGUGGACACUAAAAUGGAACUACCUUUUGAUCCACACGACAACACAGACUUCAAAUGAUUCCACUUAUCAUGUGUUAGUCCAGAUUCCAAUUGUUGGGUUUUGUUCCACAGAUCAUCCAAAACGAGCAAAUAUUUUUUACCUUGCAGCACUUCUUGCACCUUUCUUUCCAUUACAUCUAAUUCGAAGUCAGCACACUUCUCUCUUGUGAUAGAUUCUAUAAUGGAACAACAAAUCCUCUUGACAGAGAAAGUCUCAGAAACACAAACCCAAAUAUUUUUGUCAAAAUUGCCACUCACCCUAACAUCAUUGUAGACCAAUUGAACGAGAGUUGUUUUUCCAAUACCACCUAAACCAACAAUGGGAUAGACGGAAAGGAAGUCAGAGUCCCUCGCUUGGGUGAGAAGAAACUCAACAAUCUUUUCUUUAUCAUCUUCUCGUCCAAAUACUUUUGGUUCAACAAUAAUGGAGCUGGUUUGACGCCAUUCAGCUACUUCAUUUGAGCUUUCCUUAACAAUAGUACCCUCCCGUAGAAAAAACUUGUUCUUACUAUCAGCAAUAUCAUCCAAUCUCCUUGUAAUCUCUUUCAACCUGUUGCCGAUCUCAAGGCGAAACAUGAUGUUAUUUGGUUUAAAAGAGAUUGAUCCUCUAAGUUGACCAGACUUGAUCGAGCACUCAUCAAGGAUAUCAUCGAGCACAUAAACAACAUCUUUGAGUUGUUGUAGCCAUACCUUAAUAGAGCGGUCUGUGACUUGUUUCUUUUCAGCAUCUUCAAGAACAGCCUUGAUCAAAUCUAAGGUGGUUGAUAGUUUUUCAGCCUUUGACUUGAUACCAGAAAUGGUAGAAAAUUCAUUUUGAAGGAGAGACAUCAAAUUUUCAAACACAACUCCGAGCAAAGCGUUAGCCAUUUUUUGUGAAAACAAAAGAGUUGAAAAGAUAAGAAAAGAUGAGAAAUUUGUUUCGAUGGAAUGAGUGCUUAACUAAGCAGGAGACCUUUGAGAAUAAAUGCAAUGAGAGCAGCAAAUCAACAAGCAGGUGCUCAAUAAUUAUGAGCAAACAUUCACACGUAAACCACAAAUUUAUGCAACUUGCUUGCAAGGUUCCAUUUAUGAUUGGGUGUAACCCACAUUUUCAAUCAGAAAUUUAUUAGCGGGUCCAUGAUUGCUUUUAUUUGUCUCUUUGUUUUCACACUUGAACUACUUUAACUAAUAGAUGUGGCCGACAGAAUAAUGAUCUUUGGGAAAAGUUUAUGAAUCUAGUCCCUACACAUUUUAUUUACUCCCGUCUUUAACGUAGGCAAUUAUUGCUUUUUUCACAUUUUUUUAGUGUAGUUAAUGUAUCUAUUUUGUGUGUUAAUAUUACCAAAUUGUCAUUUGACUUUUUCAUAUUUCAAAACAAGUUAUUAGUAUUAAUUAGGGGUAUGUUUAGGAAAAAAUAAUACUCCCUCCGGUUCUUAAUAUAAGAAACAAUUGACUUUUUUGGUUCAUUGUUUAAGUGAUGUAUCUAGUCUAUAUUUUUAAUAAAAUACAUUAAUUAUUCUAUGAACCUAAAAAGUUAACUUUUUCUUAUAUUAAGGACCGGAGGUAUUAAAUGCAUCUAGUAAUUUGAAAGGGGGUUUACAUUUAGGAACAAAAAAAAAAGUCAAAUGAGGACUUAUAUAUAGGGACUGAGGGAGUAUUUAGGUACCGUUUGGUCAGAUUUUUUUUCGGUCUAAAAGCUACUUUAAAACAAAGUAAAAAUAAAGUUCUUUAAGAAAAAAGCUAAAGCUGUUUGGUUUCUUUAUUUUUUUUAGUUCUAUAGUUAUUUUUAAGUUAAAAGUUGUUUGACAAAAUAUUAUACAAAACUUUGAAUUUAUUAUUUUUUUGGUGGUGUCCGGGAUUCGAACCCGCGACCUUUCAUAUAUUUAUUCAUUGUCUAUAUCAACUGAGUUAAGUUAUAGAAUAUUUUGUUUUUUCAUUUCCAAUUAUACUGUAUAACAAAUUUUGUUAUAAGAAUAUCAUAUUUUUGGUGUCAUUUAAAAAGAUAAGAAUUUAUAUUAUAUGAUAUUAUAUUUGAUUUUUUUUUUGAAUAAGAUAUUACUCCCUCCAUUCUUUUUCUUUUGAUGUUUUAGAACUUCAACUAUAUUCCAAAACAUUUGAUGUUUUAGUGAAUUUAUUAUUGUUUUCUCAAGUUUACCCUUGUUGGAAAACACAAUAAACUAUUAAAGUAGUUGUGACCUUUGGUUUAUCACAUGUGAAUUUAAUGAUAAAUAAGGACAUUUAAGUAAAAAACACACAAAUGUUUAUAUACUUUAAUUACUCCUUAAAACUUGUGUCAAGAGCUAAAACAUCAAAAGAAAAGGAAUGGAGGGAGUAUAUUUGUUACAUUAUUGGUGUCAUUGAAAAAGAUAUGUUUAGUUUUUUUAAUAAGAAAAAGAUAUGCAUAAUUUGUUACAAUAUAAAUGUGUAAAAUAUAUAUAAGUAUAAUUUUUUUAGGCAUCUAUACUAGUACUUUUAAUUAAAAUCAAAAUUUUAUAAAAAUAAGGCUAAAAUAUGAUUUUAAUCCCUGCAAAUAUGCCUCGUUUUGGUUUUAGUCCCUGGUAAAAAAAAAUUUGUUUUUGGUCCCUGCAAAUUUUUUUGUUUUUGAAAAUAGUCCCUUACCCCAAUUUUGUGAUGAUUUGCAUACGUGGCACAUUAUAACUGAACCAAUUUUCUAGUUUUUGGUCCCUGCAAAAUAUUUUGUUUUUAAAAAAGGUCCCUGCAAAAUUUUUUGUUUUUGAAAAUAGCCCGACCAAAAACAAAAUUUUUCUUUACCAGGGACUAAAACCAAAACGAGGCAUAUUUGCAGGGACUAAAACCAUAUUUUAGCCUAAAAAUAAUGAUUGUAUGCAUUAAGCAACACUGAAAAAAUUAUACGCAUUAGCAUAACAAAAAAAAACAGACAUACAAACAUAAAAUAUUACUCUAAACGCUAAUGUGUGUGUGUAUUUGUGAGGUUGAAGAAAGGGAAUAAAAAUAUUUGGUGUGAUUCAAUAACAACAUGAAUAGAAAUAUUUGUGAGGUUGUGAUAAUUAAACGAUAUUAAAAUUAAGGGUUAAUAGGCUUUUACCCCCUGCCAUUUGGGCGACAUUUGGUUUACCCCCCUGCAAAAAAAAAACUUGUAGAUUCCCACUUGUAAUAUGAAGAUUCCUUGGUUUACCCCCCAAAGCCAAUAGUCAGCGUCUGACUGGAUAAAAAAGGUGACGUGGCGUGCUGAGUAGGUAUUUUUUGUUUUUAUGUUUUUUUUUUAAUUUACAACUAGAUUAUUAAAAUUUAAUUUCCCCCAAAAUUGAAAAAAUCCAAAAGUCCAAACAUUUUGUUUAUUGGUAUACCCCCCUCUCAUUUCCCCCAAAACUUAAAACCUAAUUUCUCCAAUUGAGAAGAAGAAACGGACGAAGAAGAGAAACAGACGAAGAACAAAGGGACGGAUUCAGAAUCGAAGAGUAACAACUGGGGUUAGGGUUUCGAUUCGAAGCAAGAUUUCUGCGAUUCGAAGCAAGGUUUCUGCGUUUUAGCGAUUUUGAAGCAAGAAUACUGCGAAUCUAGGAAGCUGCGAUUUUGAAGAAAGAGGGUUUCGAUUUACGUUAUUGCGAAUCUGGACACGAACGGAGAAAGAGUAAGCGAAGUGAACGGGAAGGUUGGAGACGAAGCUUGUGGUAAGUUUACUGAUUCUCUCUUUCUCUUUAUGCAUGCGUGUCUCUGUGUUGUUAGUAUUUGUAGAUGGUAAAGAAAGGGAAAAUUGUAUGUUGUGGUCCCAAAAGUCUGAUCCUAGAUUCCAUUAUUGUCUGUUUUCCAUGUGCAAAAGUUCCAUUUUUAGGGAUUAUUUAUUGAAGCUUUUUGUUUUGUGUGAGUUGUUGAUAUUAACCUGGUUUAAACCAAUGGGCUGCAGACACGUGUGGUUCUGAUUUUGAAUAAAAAAUUGUUUUUUUUUUUACCACAGAUAAUGGUUUUGUUUGAUGUUGUUUUCCAUCAUGGUGGGGAGUUUGUUAUGGAUAAGCGUAUUUUUUAUAGAGGUGGUGUACAAACUGUUGUGUCUGGUCUUGAAAGUAACAACUGGGGUGUGUGUGAUAUUCAGAAUACUGUGGCUUCUUGGGGAUAUGAGAAGAAUAAGUUUAGGGUGUGGAGUCAAAUUGAAGUGAUUUUUGAAGAUUUUUUUCAAAUCAAUGAGGACCAUAUUAAUGAGGAGGUUUCUGGGUAUUCAGUUGCUAACAAAGUAGAUGCACAUAUCUUUGUUGAGCACAAUGUGUUGGAUAUAAGUGUCAAAGUAGAUGUACCUAGAUUUUUUGAUUUGGAUGUAGGGUAUGAUGAGGAAGAUGUUAUGGUUAGCACUGAUGAUGAUAGUGGUAAAUUUGUUGGGUUUGAUGAUAGUGAGGAUGAAAGAACCACUGCACUUGAAGAUGGGUUUGAAGAUGUUGAAGUUGAAGCACCUACUAAUGGUACCAACAGAGUCACAGUUAACAACAAAACAUUAAGGAUCAAGAAGUGUGGUUCCAAAACACCUAAGAAAAAAUCUCCUAAGAAAAACAAUAGUGGCAGGAUGAAUGUGAUUGCACCAGUGUCUCUUUUGAAGAAUGGGAAAGGGAAGUAUGUUGUAGAUGAAGAAAUAGAUGGAGAUUACCUUAGUGAAGAGUUGGGUAGCUCAGACCCUGAUGACUCAAAUGAUGACACAAUUAAAUAUGACCAGUUUAGGAUGCCACAAUUAAAUAAGGAUUUUAAGUUCAAGAUAGGUAUGGAAUUUAAUACUCUGGUAGAGUUUAAAGAAGCAAUUAUUGAGUGGAACGUAUUAAAUGGUUACCAAAUUAAAAUGCCAAAAAAUGAAAGUUACAGGGUAAGGGUGGAGUGUAGGGACCAAUGUGGAUAUAAGGUUUUAUGUUCAAAGGUGGGUGACAGAAGGACUUUUCAAAUAAAGACAUUAGAGGGGCCCCACACUUGUGCACCAGUGUUGGAAAAUAAAAGUGCCAAUUCAAGAUGGGUUGCUAAGAAAGUUGUGCCAAAAAUGCAAGUCACCAAAAAGAUGAGUGUACAAGAGGUCUUUAAUGAAAUGGCUGUUAAUUAUGGUGUGGGUAUUACCAUGGACAGAGCAUGGAGAGCAAGGAAGAUUGCAAAGAGCAUAAUUGAGGGUGAUGCAGAUAAGCAGUAUGCAAUGAUAAGGAGGUAUGCAGCUGAGUUGAAGAGAGUGUGUAGGGACAAUAAUGUGAAAAUAAAUGUUGCUGGUCCUUCUGCAACUAUUCAACCAAGGUUUGGGUCUUUUUAUUUCUGUUUUGAUGGGUGUAAGAAAGGGUUCAUAUCUGCUUGCAGACCCUUUGUUGGAGUGGAUGGCUGCCACUUGAAAACAAGAUAUGGGGGGCAACUGUUGAUUGCUGUAGGAAGAGACCCAAAUGACCAGUAUUUUCCACUAGCUUUUGGGGUAGUUGAAACUGAGUGCAAGGAAAGUUGGAAAUGGUUCAUACAGUUGCUGAUGGAAGAUAUAGGUCAAGAUAAGAGAUAUGUGUUCAUAUCAGAUCAACAAAAGGUAUGUUUAGAUCUAUUCAUGUUUUAUCUAUACAUAUAUGUAUUCAAUGUUUCAGAUCUGAUGAGAUCUAUAUUGAUUUACUAUUAUGCAGGGGUUGCUGUCAGUUUUUGAUGAGAUGUUUGAUACUAUUGAUCAUAGAUUGUGCCUUAGACAUUUGUAUGCUAAUUUCAAGAAGAAGUUUGGAGGAGGCAGUCAAAUAAGAGAUUUGAUGAUGGGAGCUGCAAAGGCCACUUACUAUCAAGGAUGGUUGGAAAAGAUGAAUGAACUGAAGAAGAUAGAUCUGGGAGCUUGGGAAUGGUUAAUGGCUGUAGAACCAAAAAAAUGGUGUAAGCAUGCUUUACCCUUUUAUUCUAAGUGUGAUGUACUGAUGAAUNACAUAUCUGAAUCCUUAAAUGCCACAAUAUUAUCUGCUAGAGAUCAACCUAUUAUUAGUAUGGCUGAGUGGAUUAGACAUUAUCUAAUGAGAAGAAUGACAACAUCUGCCACUAAACUUCAAAAGUGGCAACAUAAUGUGAUGCCUAUGCCUAGGAAAAGAUUAGAUAAAGAGAUAACAUUAGCUGCUCAUUGGAGAUCAACUUGGUCUGGAAUAGGUGAACAAUUUCAGGUUAUGCAUACAUAUAACCGUCAGCAAUUUAUUGUUGACAUUGCAAAAAGGAGUUGCAGCUGUAACUUUUGGGAGAUAGUGGGAAUACCUUGCAGACAUGCUGUUUCUGCACUUGGUAAAAGGAAGCAAAGGCCUGAAAUGUUUGUUGAUGAUUACUACUCUAGGACUAAGUAUGCCUUGUGUUAUAGUUUUGCAAUUAGUCCUAUUAAUGGUAUGGAUAUGUGGCCUGAGGUAGAAGCUCCUGAACUUUUACCUCCAAACUAUAAGAAUGGACCAGGAAGGCCUAGAAAGCUUAGGAUUAGAGAGUUUGAUGAAAAUGGAUCUAGAAUGAGGAGGCAAGGGGUGGCAUAUAGAUGCACAAAAUGUGAUCAAUUUGGACACAAUCAAAGGAGAUGCAAGAGUGAUGUUCAGAAUCCAGAGGCUGCAAAAAGGAAGGUAUGAUGAUUAUGUACAAAAUGUGAUUAAUUAUACUCUCUGAUUAUGUACAAAAUCCUAACUUAUGCCUUUUUAUGUUUGUUAAUGUUGUAGAGGAAAACACCUAGAAGGAAGAACACUUCAACUGCUACUGAACCAAUGCAGACUGACCCAAUGCAAGCUGAAGUUGCAGCUGCUACUGAACCAAUGCAAGCUGAAGUUGAAGCUGGUACUGAACCAAUGCAAACUGAACCAAUUCAGACUGACCCAAUGCAGGCUGAAGUUGCAGCUGGUACUAAACCAAUGCAAGCUGAAGUUGAAGCUGGUACUGAACCAAUGCAGCCUGAAGUUGAAGCUGGUACACAACCAAUGCACACUGCAUCUACUCAAGAUCCACCAAGGCACACCACAAAAAUUGUAAAAGUGAAAAACUCUGAAGCUCCUUUCAAGAUACAAAAAGUAGUCACCUCUGAAGCUGCAAAUGCUUUACCAGAAAAAAUUGUUACAGAAUUUUAUGAAGCCCUUCCUGAAUCACAACUUGAAACUAGCCUUGGGCCAGAUGUGUUUGAUGACCUGGAUGACAGUGUAUUGGCAGCCAUCACUGAUCAAAUGUUUGAAGCAGCAGAAAAAGAAUUUAAUGUUGUGAAUGUUGUGAAGAGUAGGAAUGAACAGAAAAAGAAAACAUUGGGGUUGAAGAAAUCUGUAAAAGCUGGUAGGAAGAGUUCCAGGUUGAUGAAAUUGAAGACCAAGGCAAUCAAAGGUGCUGGCUCCAGUAUGGAUCAACCUAUGGUCCUUGAUGAGUCUGAAGAGGGCACUUUGACUCAGGAGGAUCAUGGUCUGAUUAAGAGUGGGACAUGUUUGUCUGUGCUAAGAGGCUUACCAAAAUUGGUUAUGAGAUCCUCCAAGCCUAAUUGAAGAAGCACAUAUUCAUUCUAGGCCUCUGUUAGGUUCCUGCUUGUUAAUGUUUUUGUUUAAGUUUUUUGAUGUAAUGACUUAUGCACUUUAAGUGCUUUUAGUUAAUGUAAUGACUUAUCCACUUUAAGUGCUUUUGGUUGAUGAAUCUGAUUAUGCACUUUAAGUGCUUUUGGUUAAUGUAAUGACUUAUGCACUUUAAGUGCUUUUGGUUGAUGAAUAUGAUUAUGCACUUUAUGCACUUUAAGUGCUUUUGGUUAAUGUAAUGACUUAUGCACUUUAAGUGCUUUAUUGCUUAUGUUAUGGCAUGUUUAGAAUGAUGAAAAAAUUACUUCAAACAUUUUUCAUUAAUAUCUAAAGGAGUUACAUUUUUCAUUUUUCAUUAAUAUCAAAAGCAGAAAUGUUAACAUAAGUCUUACUACAUAAUCAGAACAUUACAAUGACUUAGAGAACAAUUACAUUAACUUGAAAACAACUGAGAACACAAUCCAAGACACAGCUAGCGCAACAAUGACGCCAAAAUUUUUCUUCUUCUCAGCAUCAAGCUUCAUUUUGAGUUUCUCAUGCUUCUUUGCACUUAUUUGAGUUCCAUGUUCUUUGCCAAACUCUUUCCCAAACUCUUUCCCAAAGUCUUUGCCAAAUUGUGUCAAAAACUCCAUUGUCAUUGCACAAUUGCUGCAACCAGCUUCAGACUUUAAAAUAGAAGAACAACCUGGUUCACAGUACUUUCCACAUUUUUUAGGAACUUCAUCGAGUUCAUCAUCCCAAAUGAACAGCUCACAACUAUACUCAGCCUGCAAUAAGUUUCGGCUUACAAAUUUAGCAACUAUUUCAAAACUACAUACGUUUGGAAAAUUUGAAACAAAAAAUUUACAUCAAAAUAAAAAAUUCACUUACUCCAGAAAAUCGGCAUCUCCAAAACUUUCUCUUGGGGUUUUCAUUUGUGUUUGAAAUCCACAUUGUUAUCAUGAUUUUCGGGUGUCAAGCCAUUAAUUAGGCUUGAACCUUUCAAUCUUUGAUAUUCUCUAUUUUUUCUUGGGAAGGGCAAAAUUGAGAAAAAAAACCCUUAGAGUCUAAGUUCGGGGGUUGCUUUCACUACGGGAAGGUGUUAGGCACCCGCAAUGAUUAUAGAACCUUUUUCCUAGUUUUAUGUCUACGCUUUACUUUUAUUGCCUACUUAUUGAAAAAAGAAGUUUUAUUUGAGUGAAGAAUGGGGGAGAGAAGAUGAUUGAGAUUUUAUUUUUAUUUGGCUUGGAAGAGUUUUGACUCCUUGCCUACGUACCCUUUUAAGGGAUCAAAACCAAACGUAGUUCAUUCUCAAAAAUUGUUUUCUUUGUUUUUAUUGGUUGAUUUUAAGUUUGAAAAAAAGGAAUUUUGAAGAAUGGAGAUGAGAGGCCUCAAGGGCAUGAGAUUUGGAAAAUGUGAGGUGGAAUUAGUUAUUUUGCAAAACAAAGUCUAAGUAUGAUUAAAAUUCAUUAAGAUUUUUAUUUAAGAAAAUAAAAGGAAAAUGAGGAGUUUUGACUCCUAUUUUUUUGGAAAAAGGUUUUCAAGUGAGGUUAUUCACAUUUUUUGGGAAAAAUGAUUUUUGUCUAAGCAUUAUAAAACCUAAGCAUACAUCUAAACAUACAUUCCCUAAUCAUGCAUCUAGAAUAUCCAUGUGGGGUGUGUGCAUGUGUCGGUGUACAUCACUUAUAGUGUCCAUAGUCAUUUACAUUGAGUCCUAGAUACAUGCUAUGGUCUUGCAAGAAUGUAAACUAAACUAAACUAACUAAAUUUAGUACAAACCAAUUGGCAUAGAAAUGAAUACAAAAAGAAAACCUAAACUAGGAGCAAUGAGGGUACAAAGAUUAGGUGCUUAUGGAAUGAAUGAGAUAUGAAGCAUAAGAGUUAGUAACACAAGUACAAAAUGAUAAUAAUAAAAAAAAAAGAUGCAAGCAAUAUAGAAUUGAAUAGCACAAGAGAAAGAAAAUAAUGCAAUGAAACAAAGUAGUAAAAAAUACACCUAGAAUUUAGGUAUAACACUCAUACAUGCAUAUGACCUAUAAUUCCCUCAUUAUAGCCAUUUUUGAAAGGUUUGAAUUUAAGCUACAAUGUGAGGAUCAUAAGAGUACACACAAGCCAAGCAUUAUAUCAUAUUCCUAGAGAUAUUUCCACACAUUAUUUCACAUGCAAAAAUAUCACAAUAUGUAACAAUGCAUCAAGAACAUAUAUGGAAUUUAAUGAGCAAGAAUUAAAAGAACAAAGUAAAGAAAAUGAAUGCAAAAAUAAGCAAAUAAAUUCUAAUACUUAGAGGAAAAAUUAAAAUGAUAGGGAAAUAUUUUUAGAAAUUUUUUUAGAAGCAUAAAACACCAAGAAAGUGUAAAAAAGGAUUUAAAACACAAUUAAAAAGCAAUUAAAAAGAGGCUCAGCAGGAUUUAAUCUUGACCGCUGGAUGAAUCCAGAGGUCCAGAUCUAACUCCCAAGAUCACAUCACAGCCACUGGAUCAAAGAUCCAAGGGUCCAAAAAAAAAGCACAAAAGAUAGUGUAAAAUGCAGGAAGCACAGUGACCGUUAGAUCAAAGAUCUAACGGUUCAAACAGAAGAUAUAGCAUAUUCCACACAAAAAAUCACACACAAGAUUCAAAAUCAAACACACAGCAGCCAUCAGAUCUUGGAACAAACCGGAUCUGAUGGUUCACAGAGCGAGGGAACACAACAAGAGCACGCACGUGCGCGCGUGGGAACGGAGGGAGUAUAAAAAGGAAUUUCACACAAAAAAUCACAUAAACUUCUUCUCCUUCUCUCUCUAAGUCACACUUAGAGAGAGAAGCUCUCCCUUCUCUCUAAAAAAACUCGCUGGCGAAGGUGGAGGAGGUGGUGGUUCAGGCGCGGCGGCCUGCCGGUUUCCGGCGGCGGCGCCCCCGUGCCGUAAAAUUCAAACUACUUUUUUUCAAAAAUUUUACAUCAAAAGUUCCGUCACCACCUCCUCUACACAAAUCCGGCGUUAGUUUUAGCGAGAACGGAGCGAUUCGGACUAGAUCUACGUUUUUACUUUGAAAAUCUUUUUCACACUUUUCGCAAAAAAAAACUACGGAUCUAGAUAUCCUUUUCUCUAUAGAGUCCGAAUCCGGCCUCAAAAUUCUCAAAAUCCGAACACAAAAGCCUAGAUCUACUAAUUUUUAUCCGUAACAAACUUUUUCACACUUUUUCAAGCAAGAAAUGCGCGGAAAUGACUUAGAAAGAAAGGAGAAACGCGUUACCUCUGUCGUAGAACGGAGAAAAAAGAUAUUCAGAAAACUUCGAAUCUCUCCUCUUCUCUUUCGCGCGCGCGCUAUAUCCUCCGUUGGUGUUGUUUUUGCUCGAAAAUCCGGUACGAUCUUGGUGUUGAUGUGAUGAUCCGCGGUGGUUUUGAGUGAAUCCGGUUCGGAUUUGUUGAUUUUGUGGUGAGGUGUUCUUGGUGUUCUUCCUCUUUUUCCUGAGUUUUUUUUCUGUUUUGAUUCUGUUAUGGAUGAGAGAGAGAAAAAGAUUCUGUUUGAGAGUGAUUGUGAUUGAUUCUGAUUUUUCUGACUCAUUGAUGGAUCUGACACAUUUACUAUUUAUAGCCUGCCAUGUGUAUCUGAGACCCAAUGGAAAAUUGACACCUGGACUGUUUUGGACUUAAGGACUAAUCUGCAAAAAAGUUAAUAUGAGGACUAAUCUGCAAUAAAAAAAAGAUUAAAAAAAUGCAAUUAAAAAAAAGAGUAUUGGACAAAAAUGCAAUUUUGGGAUCUGUUUGAGUACUAAAAAUGCCAUUAAAAUAAAAUUGGUAAAUUGGACAAAAAUGACAGGAAAAGACCAAAAUGCCCCUAGGGACUAAAAUGACCCAACCUGACUCAGAUGCAGUUUUGAAAUGAUUUUAAAAAAGAGAUUCAACAAUGAUUUGUACAGACAAGUUAGAAAGACUCAGAGACAGUUACAGGGACUAAAAUGGGUUCCGCUGCAGGAAAUGACCAAAAUACCCUUUUGUAUGAUUUUUGAAAAUAAAAUGCAAGAAAAGUAAUGCAAUGAUUCAGAGAAUUUUCAAAUGACUUGUAAUGCAAGAAAGACACUUUGGAUAGUUUUAUGCAAGAAAAUCAUGAUUGAACAUACUUUGAGACAGAGACAGUAAAAUAUGCAGAUGAAAAGAGAGUAAAGAUUCAGAGUGAAACAACAGUAAUUUGACAAUUAUAAGUAGUAGAAAAUAAAUUUGAAUGAGUAUUUUUAGGUCCAAAAUCAGGGUAUAACACACAUCUUCAUAACCUUCUCACAACCGCAUAUUGGGGGUCGAUUUCCAACAUUGUUACUAAUUGACGAAGUUCUGCUUCCACCCAUUAUAAACCCUAAGGUCCCACUGACAGUUGUCGUUUAAUCCUGAAUAGUCUUUGACUUUUCAAAAGGAAAUUUCGGCAGUAAGGUAUUUUAAAAUACCUCAUUUAGUUUGGUUUCUUAGCCCACAUUUUCAUUAUCACUUUAUUUUUAUUUUUAUUUUUUUUUAGUUAUUUUCUUUAAUUAUUUUUUUAAUAAGUCCAAAAUUGUCAAAAGAGCCGUGGUCCAAAGAUUCUUCACGCCACAAUUCCACAAUUCCAGGCAAAUUUACUCAGGUCUACUCUUUCUUUCCCAAUUUACCAGAAACGUGUUUCAUCCCUUUUAAUUCCAUUCAAGCACCAUUCAUUCCUAUUAAACAACAUUUCCUUUUGUUAUCAACCUUGAGCCUUUAAAUAGGAGUAAAAAUCAGAGAAGAAGGGGGACACGAUUCACACAACCUGAAAAGAGAAAAGAAAACCAGUAAUCACAAAUCAUCAAAACCUCUCUCAAACCCUCAUCACACACCAUCAUCGAAUCAUCAUCACAACAAUUCCAACCAACACAUCAAUUUUCCAGCCAUCAGUCACAAUUCCAAAACCCACACAAAAUCCUCACAACCGAUCCAACAAUUUUCCAAAGCCCUCAAUAGAAACCGACACAAAAACAUCACAGAAUACCAGCAUCAAAGGAACAACGCCGUACAUCAACCGAAACAGCCAUCACAGAAUUGACCAGAGAAUCCGAAUCGAAAUCAAAAGGUAGUAUUUCAUUAACUUUUAGAUCUAGGCUCGUAUAUUCACUGUUUGAGAUUUGUGAGUUUAGAAUCGAGUAGAGGAGAAGAGAACAAGUAGAAGGAACCAAAAAAAUCAAAAAAAUAAGUUGUUAGGGUUCCGGCGCGGUGGCGCCGCCCCACAGGCUGGCCAACCGCCACCGGAACCCUUUCGGGUUUUCGAUCCACCGGGAAGCGCAUUUUUGCCUAGGCCGCCCUUUCGGGUUUUCGACCUACCACGUUGUUCCUUUCAUAUAUCUAGGCGAAGUAUUUCUUGACUAUAUCGACAUUCACAGGAUUUGGAAGUUCAACACCAUCCAUGUGUGUAACAAUUAAAGCACCACCGGAGAAGGCCUUCUUGACAACAUAAGGACCUUCAUAGUUAGGCGUCCACUUGCCCCUUGGGUCGGGUUGCUGGCUUAUCCUCCUUUUCAAAACAAGUUCUCCUACCUUGAAUUCUCGAGGAUGGACUUUCUUGUCAAAGGCAGUCUUCAUUCUUGCUUGAUAUGACUGUCCACGAGCCAUGGCAUCCAUACGUUUUUCCUCAAUCAAAUUCAACUGAUCAUACCGGCUUUGGCACCAUUCAGCCUCGGAUAACUUUGAUUCCAUGAUCACACGGAGAGAUGGGAUCUCCACUUCCAAAGGAAGAACCGCUUCCAUACCAUAUACAAGAGAGAAAGGGGUUGCCCCGGUUGAACUGCGCACUGUAGUACGGUAACCAUGCAGAGCAUAGGGUAACAUCUCAUGCCAGUCCUUAUAAGUAGUAACCAUCUUCUGAACAAUCUUCUUGAUAUUCUUGUUGGCGGCCUCAACUGCACCAUUCAUCUGAGGUCUAUAAGGAGAAGAGUUAUGAUGCUCAAUUUUGAAUUCUUCACAAAGAGCUUGCACCACAUUGCUGUUUAGGUUGGUACCAUUGUCGGUAAUGAUCUUACUGGGAACACCAUAUCGACAGAUGAUGUUAUUCUUGAUGAACUUGGCUACCACUUGCUUGGUCACAUUGGUAUAAGAUGCCGCUUCAACCCAUUUAGUGAAGUAGUCAAUUGCCACUAAGAUGAAACGAUGACCAUUUGAAGCCUUCGGUUCAAUUCUUCCAAUCAUAUCGAUGCCCCACAUUGAAAACGGCCAUGGGGAUGACAUAACAUUGAGAGCGUGCGGAGGCACGUGAAUCUUAUCAGCAUAGAUUUGACAUUUGUGGCACUUUCUGGCGUGCUGGUAGCAAUCAUGCUCCAUGGUCAUCCAGUAGUAACCUGCUCGCAACAACUUCCUUGACAUAGUAUGCCCUGUAGCAUGGGUCCCGAAGGUACCGUCAUGUACGUCAUGCAUUAACUGUUCCGCUUCAUGUUCAUCAACACAUCUUAACAAUACCAUGUCAUAGUUUCUUUUGUACAGAAUAUCUCCAUCCAAAAGGAAUCUACUGGCCAAUCUUCUUAGGGUCUUCUUGUCUUGGUUGGAAGCACCUGACGGAUACUCACGGCUCAGCAAGAACUGCUUGAUAUCGUAAUACCAGGGUUUAUAGUCAACCAUAUUUUCACCGGCCUGAUCGAUCACAUCCCCAAUAGCAAACACAUGCGAAGGUCUUUCAAGGCGUUGCACUUUGAUUAUUGGCACAUCAUUCCAAUGGUUUACUCGAAACAUGGAGGAUAGAGUAGCAAGAGCAUCAACCAUUUGGUUCUCAUCACGAGGGAUAUGGUGCAACUCAACCUUUGUAAAAUAUGUCAGCAAACGUCUUGCGUAAUCACGGUAAGGAAUCAGAUUGGCAUGGUGGGUCUCCCAUUCACCCUUUAUCUGAUUGAUGACGAGUACCGAAUCUCCAUAAAUGUCGAGGUGUUUGAUUCUCAUGUCAAUCGCUUCCUCGAUCCCAAAGAUACAUGCUUCAUACUCAGCCAUAUUGUUUGUACAUUCGAACAGAAUCCGGGCGGUAAAAGGAAUGUGAUGCCCCUGUGGGGAUACAAUGACUGCCCCAAUUCCUUUGCCAUAAGCAUUGACAGCACCAUCAAAGACUAAUCCUCACUUGCUAUUGGGAUCUGGUCCUUCACCAAUCAAUGGUUCUUCGCAGUCUUUUGAUUUCAAAUACAUGAUCUCUUCAUCGGGGAAAUCAAACUCAAUUGGUUGGUAAUCAUCGAGAGGUUGGUAGGCGAGAUUAUCGGCAAGGAUGCUACCUUUGAUUGCCUUUUGAGUUUUGAACACAAUAUCAUAUUCAGACAAAAGCAUCUGCCAGAGUGCAAUCUUCCCAGUAACAACAGCUUUCUCAAAGAUAUACUUGAUAGGAUCCAUCCUGGAUAUCAACCAAGUUGUAUGAUUCACCAAAUAAUGACGCAGGCGUUUGGCAGCCCAGGCUAGAGCACAACAAGUCUUCUCAAGCAUUGUAUACCGAGUUUCACAGUCGGUGAACUUCUUGCUCAGAUAGUAGAUAGCAUGUUCUUUCUUUCCAGUCUCAUCUUAUUGACCAAGCACGCAUCCCAUGGAUUCAUCAAACACUGACAAAUACAAAAUCAAAGGCCUUCCUUCCACGGAUGAGACAAGGAUAGGUGGUUCCAGCAGGUAAUUCUUGAUGCUAUCAAAAGCUUCCUGGCAUUCAUCGUUCCAUACAAUAGGCUGAUUCUUGCUCAAGCAGUCGAGUGAUCUCAUACGGUAUAUCAUCAUCCUCUUCAUCUUCGGCUUCAUACACCGGGAAUUCAAAAUUUGGAGGAACUGUAUGAUUACUGUGUUCAACGGGUUUAUUAUGGUUCAAACUGCAUAGAAUGGUUGAAUGAUUUUAGAAAAGGGUUUUUUUUUUCUUUCAUGCAGAUCUUUGAAAUUAAUAAGAAAAAUAAAGAUGUUUUGGUUUUUUCUGGUAUUACCAUUAUUUCCAAGAAAAAAAAAAGAAAAAAAAAAUCACUAAAAAAUAAAAGUCGUGAAAGAAACGACGAUUUUUAUUGAUAACGGCGAUGCCGAAACAAACACGCCCUUCCAGAAAUAUCACUUUCGCUUCGGACAGAGCGAGAGGAUGGUUAUUUUGAAAAACAAAACACUUAAGCAACAAGACACAUUAUUCGGAAACAUGCAUGAUUGAAUGAAUGUUGAUGGCGUCCCAAUUUCUCGCAAUGCCUCCUGGUAUAACAAACAUAGGCCUAGGACUACAUCCAGUCGCCUCUUCAGUAAUUGCAUUGACAAACUCAGCACUGUAGAAGAUUCCUGUGGUAUUGUACUUGUAAGGAAUAGCCUUUGCUGAAGUAUAAGGUACCGGUCCGGGCAGCCUUAUCACUAGAGGCUCAACAUUCUCUUUUGAAGGCACGCUCUUGACGGGCGGAUCAUGAAAGACUGGCACAAUCACAUAAACAUCGUUGACAGUCAAAUAAUUGUCGUUCAUCAAGCUCUGGAUGUCAUUUUGAACAGCAUAGCAACCCAAAGGAUUACGAAAGCAAUCUGGGCAAUUGGCAUGAUCACGGUUAAACAGAGAAGCUUUGCAUAGCUUGAUGUGUAGUGGUACCAGAGGAGUUGCAACAUUACGGACAUCAAGUCUGGGAGCUUCCUCAUACACCUCAAUCAUGUUCACAGCAGCGUGAUUCGGAAGAGGAUUGUCGAGGACAUGAGGGACAUUGUUCUCAAAAGUCAACUUUCCUUGAUCAAUGAGCUUCUUCACGAUGUACUUCAAAGCAUAGCAUCCUUCGACAUCAUGACCCAGAGCACCUUGAUGGAAAUCACAUAUGAGGUCAGACCGGAACCUGGGAGGCAACGGAUCAGGUGGAGGCUUGCCCUGUCUGGUGGUGCAGUGCCCUCUGAGAAGUAGAGUUGGGAGUAGCUCAGCAUACAACAUUGGUAUCAGAGGAAAGGUAGGUCUAGCUUGUUGCUGCUGUCGUUGUUGAGCUGGAGGCUGAUUGUUCCCAGGCGGCUAGCAGAGCAGUCAUGGUAUCAUUGGCCUUUGCCAAUUCUUCCCUCAGAGAAGCCAACUCGGUGCGAAGCUGAGUGUUCUCUUCCUCCAUAGCUACCAAAUUCUUUUUUCUGUACAAUCUAGUCCGAUGGAUUCUGUCAGGUUCGUAGACUUUUCGAGCACGAGCCACCUUUCAAACUCUGUGGCAGAAGAACCAGGAGGCAAUGAGUGCUUGGAAGCUUCUGUGACUGAUGAAUGAUGCAUAUGAUGCAUGAUAUGUACAAAUGCAGAUGCAAAAAUGACUUUUUUGUCAUCGAAGGGUUUUUAGACAAAUUAGAAACCUUGUAAACAUUAUUUAAUAAGAUCUCAAUAGCGUUCAAAUCCACGAAGUUGUCGAGAUUCGAAAAGAGAAUGAGCCCAUAGAUAAACAAUGCAAGAAUAGCCUCGAGUGUAUCUUGACAAGUGGUUUCGAAUUAGCCCGCUCAAGUAGAUACUUUGAAGUGAACCCUCGGAUGUGAGAAUUGGUAAUAAGAUGAUUGGAGACGUCGGAAGUCCUGGGAUAGAUAUCCUUAGCAAUAACCAAAGGAGUAAGAGAAGUUCCGGGACCGCUAUAGGUGAAUCUAACAAGUAGGAAUAAGCCUCAAGAGUAGGGACCAAUUGGAAAUCCGAGAAAGUGAAGCAACGGAAACUCGAGUCAUAGAAUCGCACAAGAGUGUGCACUAGCUUCCCUUCAACAUUGGUCUGGAGAAUAGUGAGCAAACCACCAUAUCGGAGUCGAAAACCUGUUUGAUUCUUAACCUUGAGUGCCAAUUCUCUCAAGCUAACCAAAUCAACCUCCUUGCACUUGUAGGAUUUAGUCUUCUUCAUACCAGUAAUGUUUACAAAGUUUUUAAUUUGUCUAGUCCUUCGAUGAAGGCAUGAAAAAAGUUUAUGCAUGAAUGCAUGUAUGCAUGAUUGUUUUUUUUUUUCAAUUACAGAGAAUACAUGGUGAGGGUAAGUUCCACAAUGUUGGAGUUAAGGAUAACAACGCCAUUUGGUAAGGACUAUGGUUUAAAAUGUACCUGCAUCACGGGUUCUACCAAGUUCCCAAAUUACAACUUCCCUUAUGAGCAUAUCGGUGUAUAGGACCGCUCCUAGUCCAAUAACGCCCAUAAGUAAGUCUAGUUUGAGUGUAGUAUCGCGUGUCGACCAAAGUCAAAACUGCUCUUGGUUUAGCCACCGCACUACGUCCUAAAAAAAGGCCAAGAUGGGUUAAGGGUGAUCUAAAGGUCCUCAACGUUUAGCGGACUUCAAAAAUAAUAACGCCAAUCACGACUGCUCAUGACGACAUAUUAUUACUUUUGAAAGACCUACGUUGAGUGGAGUUAUAUCACAUGUACACAUAUCGCAGGACCGCUCCUGGUAUGGCACUACGAUUGUACCCCGUCCUAUCUUAUGUUUCACUCAAGCCCGGGUGUAGGACUUUGAUAUUCUCACCCCACACGUUAAAUGAAAAUAAACAAAUAUUCACAUAUAUAAGCAAUAAAACAAAGCGUAAACAUAAACUACGGAAAACUAGGCGUGACCCGCUUAAAAAAUGUCCCCAGUGAAGUCGCCAUUUCUGUUAUCAUGGUUUUUGGGUGCCAAGCCAUUAAUUGGACUUGAACCUUUUGACCGUUGAUAUCUUCUUUUUUCUUGGGAAGGGUAAAAGGAGAAAAACCCUUGAGUUUCCGAAUUCGGGGGUCGAUUUCGCUACGGGAAGGUGUUAGGCACCCGGAGCGAUUAUGGUAUUCCAUAAGAACCGUUCUCCUAAGUUUAUUUCUACGCUUUAUUUUAUUGCCUAUUUAUUGAAAGAAAAGAAGUUUUAUUUGAGUGAAGAAUGGGGGAGAGAAGAUGAUUGAAUUUGAUUUUAUUUCGGCUUGGAGGGGUUAAAGUCCCUUGCCUACGUACCGUUUUACGGGAUCAAAACCGGCGUAGUUCUUGCUAAAAAGACUUGUUGUUUUUUUUGUUUUAAUUGUUUGAUUUUAAAUUUUGAAAAUGAUUUUGAAGAAGGGGAUUGAGAGGCUUCAUGAGCAUUAGAGUAUGAAAAAGUGGGGGUUUGUUUAGUGAUUUUGCAAAAAAGUCUAAAUGAUUAGAUUUAUUUGAGAAUUUUAUUAAGAAAAUAAAAGGUGAAAAAUUGUUGGAGUUUUGACUCCAUUUUUAUGAAAAAAUAUUUGAAGCGAAUUUGUUUGCAUAUUUUUUGGAAAAAAUUGGAUUUUCUCUAAGUGUUUAAACCUAAGCAUUCAUCUAACCAUGCAAUCCUAGGCAUACAUCUACACAUGCAAUCCUAGCCAUACAUCUAGGGUGAGUGUGUGCGUGCCGGUGCGUCAUAGUGUCCAUAGUCCAUAUUACAAAAAUUGCCUAAAUACAUUCUAUGGCCCCUUUGCCAAGCUACAAACCAAUGAUAACAAAUUACAUCACCAAAUGAAUUAAAACUUGCAAAAAUAAAUGCUAAGCUAAAGAAAGUGGAGGAGGUAGUGGAAUGCUAUGAGUGAAGUCUCACAAGGAACAAAAUGUUAGUGAAACAAGGAAAAAUAUAAUGGGAAUGAUGAAAAAUGCACCAAAUGAAUAUGCAAUAAAAAGGGGUAAAAACAUGAGAAUUUAUCAAGCACAAUGUGUAAUAAAUGGCCUAUAAUGCAAGCACAAACACAAACCAAAUGAAAACAGUGGCACAAUCAUUGAAUUAUCAUCACAUCUAUCAUGAAAAUGCAUUCUAAUUAGCCAUGCUAUGCACCAAAAUUCUUAGGACAAGAAUCAACCUAAAAAGCAUGACAAAGCUAACUAGAGAAGUAAUUUGAACGAGAGACCUAUGCACAUAUUUUUUACCAGUUAUUUGCAAGCAAAAUAUCAUUAAAAAAUCAUCAAGAAAGUGGUAAAAACAUGUAGUAAUUUUUGGAAUUUAUGGUAAAAAAAUCAGAGCAAUCAGAGGUUCAGAUAGCAAAAAGAACGGUGUAAGUAGCACAAAAAGGCAAAGAAAUUCUUAGAAAACUAAGCCCAAACCUACAGCCUAACACACAAAACUCAGAUUGCACAGGAGACGUUGGAUUGAUCCAGGGUAGGAAACCCUAGAUCCAACGGCCAGGAACGAAGGAGGUUGGACCGGUCCUGAACCGGUCCGGUUCACUGGCUUUAAAAAGGGGGGGAAACCGGUUUUUUCCUAUUUUCUUCCUCUCCUUCUCUCUCUAACUCUUCUCUCUUCUCUCAUCUCUCUCUAAACCCUCACCGCCGGUGAGGAUGAAGCCACGGCAGAGACCUUGAAGGUCCGCCGGAAGCUUCAUCUUCUCCGGCGAGUCCUAUGCACUCUCCGGUGAAAAAUUUCCAGAAUUUAAAGAUUUUUACAUCAAAUGAUUCGUCCUUUAACCCUAAACACGAAUCCAGCAAUUAUUUUCUCAAACACAGCUUGAUACGAUGUAGAUCUGAAAAUUUCGUACGGUUUUGAAAUUGAUUUUCUUUGAUCUUUUUUUGAAAAAAAAAGGUUUAGAUCUUUACGGAUCUACAUCGUUUCGUCGUUUAUCUCUUUUCUGGUGCUUGUUCUUGCUUUCAAAACUUAGGUCCUUAUGGAUCUAGGUUUUGUGUUUACGGUUACGGUCUUAUCUUUGAAUUCUGGAAAUUUUUAGAUCUGUUUCUCGCGUGAUUUUACAGGUUAAACUAUGAUAUCACUUCUGAAAAGGAAUUCUGAGUUUUACCUGAAGUUUUUGAUUGGAGGUUUUAUGAGAUUCUUCGGAAAUCUUGAUUCUGUUCUUGAUGAUUUUUGAUCCUUCCGCUUGUUCUUUGGACCGAAAAUAAAUCGGUGAUUCACUGGCUUAAUCCCUUCAUCUUCUCCGAUUCUUUCUCUGUGAUUAUACGCUUGAACUUGCUUUCCCUCUUCUGAUCUUCUCUCUGUGAUCAACGCUUGAGCUUGCUUCAAUGCGAACUCGCGUUUGGAAUUGCAGGGAAACGACCAAUUCAGUGAUGAAGAUUCCACAGAAUCUCUGAGAAUCGAUCCAAAAAUUGUUGAUUCUGAUGAAUUUUAGGGUUUCUGGAAACGGUUAGGGUUUUGUGUUCUUGGUGUUCUUGAGAAAUUCUGAGAAAUUUUCUGUUUUGAUUCAAUUGCUGAGAGAGAGAAAAUUAGAAUUGUGUUUAUGAGUUGGCGUGUGGUUAAUGGAUCUCUGUGGCACUGUACACCUUUUAUAGCCUGCCAUGUGUGAUCUUGGACCAUUAGAAAGCUGACAUGUGGCAUUGGACUGAAAAAGGGGCGCUGCCUUGUAAUUUGACUUGAAGGACCUGUUUGCAAAUUUGAAAAAAUAUAUGGACUGGACUGAAAAAUGAAAGUAAGGACUGAAAUGAAAUUAAAAACUGUUUGGACAAAAUAUGCAAUUUUGGGACCUCAAUUGAGGGACCAAAAUGCAAUUAAAAAUAAAAUUGGAUAAAACGUAAUUUGACCAAACGUAAAAUGAAACAAAAAAAUAAAAUUGACAAAACGGACUAAAACGAACCAAUGGCUUAAAUGAGGUACUUCAAAGUAACCCCUCUAUGCCGAAAUUUUGUGUGAAAUGACCAAAAUGCCCUUCUGUACGACUUUUGAAAUAAAAUGCAAGAAAAGUAAUGCGAUGAUUUAUAGAAUUUUUUCAAAUGACUUGUAAUGCAAAAAGACAUUUUGGAUGGUUUUAUGCGCAAGAAAAAUCAAAGACAAAAUCACGAUUGAAAAUAGUUUGAGACAGACAUUAAAAUAUGCAGAUGAAACAAAGUAAAGGUUCAGGGAAAUAUAACAGCAAAUUGACAAAUAUCAGUAUUGAAAAAGAAAUUUGAAUAAGUAUUUUUAGGUCCAAAAUCAGGGUACAACACAUGCAAAUAAUCAAAAAUCACAAAAAUAUCUUCAUAAACAAACCUUGAUCUUAAAUCAAGUGACCGUCUUUUGUUUUCAUUUUCUUAAUCAAACUUUAAUCAAUUUAAUCAUAUUUUGAGUCAUUUUCUUUUAAUAUAAAAAAUACAAACAAAUACUCAUUUGCCACUUGGCUUUUCAUUUUAAAACCUUUUUUCAAAACUAAUAAAAAACACUCAACAAAUCAAACGUCGUUUUCUACCCCGAACUACGAGGUUUUGAUCCCUCACGGGUACGUAGGCAGAGGACCAUGUCCUUCCAAAUCAAUAAAAUGUAGAUAACUAGGUCUUUUAUUCUUCCACUUUAAUUCCUUCUUUUCAAAAAUAAUAAGCAAGUUUAUAGCACAUUAAUUAAAUAAAAUCAAGAGGUUCUCGUAGAGUACUACGAAUAUUUAGGGUGCUAAUACCUUCCCUAAAUAUAACCAACCCCCGAACCCUAAAUCUCAAUAUGGGGUAGUUUGAACCUUUUUCCCCUUUUUCUUAAAAAAAUUAAAUGUUCAGUCGUGAAAUAAUUAGUGAGUCAAAAGCUAAUCAAAUAGCCUUGAUCUCCAAAAAAUGACACGACAGAAAUGGCGACUUCACUGGGGACCCCCUAAGAGGGUUAAGCCUAACUUGGCUUUAUUUAAAUUUUGUUCUAUAACUUGCUUAAAAUCAAAAAAUAAAAUAUGGAAAACCGUGUAUAUAUGUUCUUCCUUCUUCGUUCUCCUUUCUAAACUUGAGUGGUGAGAUAAGUCAUACACCCGGACUUGAGUGAACAUUAAGAUAGGAUGGUGAUAUAAUCAAAGUGCCAUUCCAAGAGUAAUCUUGAGUGUUGGUACAUGUGAUAAUCCCGCUCAAUGGAGGUUCUUGGAAGUAAUACUUUGUUGACAUGAGUAAUCAUGUUUGACACUAUUAUUUUCAAGUAACCGUCGAAGUUGAGGGCCUUUAGUUACCUUUAACCCAUCUUGGCCUUUUAGGACGUAGUGCGGUGGCUAAUCAAGAGUAAUCUUGAAUUAGUUGAUACGCGAGACUACACUCAAACGAGACUUUCCUUCAAAUGAUAUUAGAUCAAGAGUAAUCUUGUAACCUAAUAAUAUUUGGAAGUGGUUAAAGACUUUGGGAACUUGGUAGAACCCGUGAUACAGGUACAAAUGAAACCAUAGUCCUUACUAAAUGGCGUUGUUACCCUUAAAGCUCCAACAUUGUGGACUUAACCUCACCAUGCAUUCCAUGUUCUUUAGCAUAAUCAUGCAAACAUGCAUUCAUUCAUAAAAACUUUUUCUCACUAAUAUCGAAGGACUUAGAUAAGUUCUUGUAAACAUCAAAGAUAUGGUCCUUGUAAGAAGGAACACCUACAACUUCAAAAACCUUAACUAAGCUUUAGCUUUUGUUAAGAAUUUUUUCCUUGGUUUCGUUCUUACUUUUGAAAAGGGAACCAAUUGCAACAUCUUCACAAUUUUCAGAUAAAACAAUGUUCCUUAUCAAGUUUACAAUUACUUUGACAAAUCCUUCAAAAAAAAUGUGUCUAUUUUUGCAUAAGCAUAGCAUGCAUCAUUUUGCAUUCAUAAUUUCAAGUCUGAGUCUCACACUGUGUCUUUUCUACUAAAGGUCAAUCCAUUUCAAAAGUGGCCCGACGUAAUCUUUACCAGUCUACCCGCACAUACAACACUCGGGCUAAUAUAAAAAAGAAAAUGGAAGGUCUUGAGCAAGAAAAUCAGGUCCUCCGUGCCGAAGUGAUAUCAUUGAAGACCAAGAUAGAGGAAUUGGAGUCCAUGAAGACCAAGAUGGAUGAGUUGUCUGAAUUGGUAAAAGUGCUAUCAACUGCACAAAAUCAACCACCACCACCUCCUCCCUUCAGCACUCAGGCCGAAGCAUCUUCCUCUUCUAUCCCCGAUUGGACAAUAUGUGCCGACACUCCGACAUACUCUGCUCCACAACGUUCCGCGCCUUGGUUUCAACCUUUUACUGCUGGUGAAAUAUUCCGUCCCAUUGCCUGUGAAGCUCAGAUGCCUACUCAUCAGUAUGUGGCUCGUGUUCCCCCUGUAAAGGUCCCUCCAGUCGCUAUGACCUACUCAGCACCUGUGAUGCAUACUAUUCCACAAAAUGAAGAAUCCAUCUUCCAUUCAGGGAACAUGGAGACUUACGAUGGAAUGAGUAACUUACGAGAAAAGUAUGAUGAACUGCAACGAGACGUGAAAGCUCUCCGUGGGAAAGGAAAAUUUGGAAAGACUGCUUACGAUCUCUGUUUGGUGCCGAAUGUUCAGAUACCUCACAAAUUCAAGAUUCCAGAUUUCGAGAAGUAUAAAGGGAACUCCUGCCCUGAGGAACAUCUAAAAAUGUAUGUGAGAAGGAUGUCCGCAUAUGCCCAGGACGAUCAGGUCCUUAUUUAUUACUUUCAAGAAAGUUUGGCUGGUCCCGCCUCAAAAUGGUACAAAAAUCUAGACAAAACGGAAAUCCAAACUUUUCGUGAUCUAUGUGAAGCUUUUGUGGAACAGUACAAUUAUAAUGUGGAUAUGGCUCCAGACAGAAGCGAUCUUCAGGCUAUGACCCAGGGAGACAAGGAAACAUUCAAAGAGUAUGCCCAGCGAUGGAGAGAUACCGCUGCCCAAGUCAGCCCACGUAUAGAAGAGAAGGAGAUGACCAAGAUCUUCUUAAAAACUCUCAAUCAUUUCUACUACGAGAAGAUGGUCGGAAGUACGCCCAAGAACUUUGCUGAGAUGGUUGGUAUGGGCGUACAGUUGGAAGAAGGAGUCCGAGAAGGACGAUUAGUUAAAGAUGGAGCUUCCGACAGUGGAGCCAAGAAAUUUGGGAACAACUUCCCAAGAAAGAAAGCACCAGAGGUCGGUAUGGUGGCCCAUGGGAGGCCUCAGCAAAAUUAUCCAGCCUAUCAGCAUGUUGCUGCCAUUACACCCGCUACCAAUGCUAUUCAACAACCGGGUUAUCAGCCGCAGUUCCAACAGUAUCCUCAGCAACUGUAUCAGCAACAACAACCUCGACCACAAGCUCAAAGGACCCAAUUUGACCCGAUCCCCAUGAAAUAUGCGGAUUUGCUCCCAGCAUUGCUAGAGAAGAAUUUGGUCCAGACCAGGCCACCUCCUAAGGUGCCAGAAAGAUUACCAACAUGGUAUAGACCUGACAAGUUUUGUGCUUUUCAUCAAGGGGCCCCAGGUCAUGAUACUGAAUACUGCUAUACUCUGAAGGCCGCAGUCCAAAAGUUAAUCCGAGAUAAAGAUCUGUCCUUCGCCAAUCCGCUACCAGAUCAUGGUACCUAAUAUUGCCACAAAAGGAUGGUUAACCGCAAUCGGGUCAAUGUUGAUGUCUUCUUCCAUUUGUUCAAUUUGUUUUAAGUGUUAUGUUUGUUGUUUUGUUAUCUUUCCAAAAGAGUCCUUUCGUCCCGCCCAAGACGAAAGUGAACUUAUGUAGGGCUUUUUGCUUCAUGAACUGUCAUCAUUAAUAAAAAGGUCGUUUUGAUCCCGACUUUGUUUUUUAUUUUAUUUUGUGCUUCUUCUUGAAAAAUGGUAAUACAAAAAAAAAACCAAAAAAAAGAAAAAACUUUAAUCAUUCUCAAAUAUCUGCAUAAUCAUAGCUUGUACUUACUUGUCAAAAUCAAUAAUCAAAUCAUGCAUUAAUAAACCUGUUGAACAUAAUAACCAUCUACUCUCUCCCAAAUUUGAGUUCUCUAUGACCGAAGAUGAAGAAGAGGAGAAUGAAGAGACUCCAAACAAGAUCUCUCGCCCACUGGGGCAUCUUAGCCGUCAAAGCUGCAAACAAAAUAUAAAAGAAGAUUGUCCAAAAGAUUGCUUUCAUUUACAAAGACCGGCACGAAAUGCUACCAUUUGCACUUCAUGAGUAUUGUACUUCAGUACACACUUCAACAGGGGCAACCCCCUCUUUCAUUAACAUACAUCAUGAAGGCCAUACUUCCCGUGGAGGUCGAAGUCCCGACAAUAGAAGUUUUGCCGAAGUCCAAGCUUGAUUGAACUUAAAUUGCAUGACGACCUUGUACAAACAUGUCAAAAGAGGUUGAAACAAACUUCCAACAAGAAGGUUCGUCCUCUUGAAUUUCAAGAAGGAGACUCUGUGCCUAAAAAGGUAUUAUCUUUCCAACCAGACUCUAGGGGCAAGUGGACGCCUAACUAUGAAGGUUCAUGUGCAAUGACUUUUACAACUAUGGAUGGUGACAAACUUGCACUUCCUAUGAAUGCCGGUGCAGUCAAGAAAUAUUAUGUCAAAAAAAUAAAAGCUCGAUAAGUCGCAAACCUGAAAAAGGGGCUUAGGCAAAAAUGAGCGUCUCGAUAGACUGAAAACCUGAAAGGGCGGUCUAGGCAAAAAUUAGAGACAUGAACAAAAAUGAUUAUCCUGAUAGAUUGAAAACCCAAAUGGGCGAUCUAUGCAAAAGUUAAGGAUCAAAAGACAAAUUAACUGCAUCCGGCGGAGCACAAUCCACUUGGGGCAUCCGGUUGUCAAAAGACCUCCGAUUCGAAGCAUCUGCAGAUCAAAGACUCGGAACAUUGGCAUUCAAAGUUGUUAGGGAGAAUAGUGGUUAUGGUGUUCAAUGUACCAUCCCAUACAUUUACCAUUUUUCAAAAUUUCCAAAAAAUCUGUGGAGCCAUGCCCUUAGCAGGCCACCACUCAAUUCAUCAAAUUUGAGCUUAUGCCCAUUUAUUCAGAACUCUCAUUUAUUCUAUUUGCAUAAUUUCUUCUUUUUGAUGGCAAUACUUAAAGCAAAAAUUUUCAAAAAAAUACAAAAAACUUUUUUUUACAUCUUUUGAAAAGUGUGAACAACAAACACACUCACUUUGAACUCAUGAGUAGGUGAAGCAUACAUCAACAUUCGCCUCGAGAACGGUUACACUCCAUAAGAGAAACAGAGCUAAGCACUAUGGAAAUGAUCUCUGCCUUGAACAAGAUGUUGUCACAGUAAAAAAAAAAUAUACAAAAAAAUCAAAGCUCGCUAAGUUGAAAACCUGAAAAGGCGGCUUAGGCAAAAAUGAGCGUCCUGGUGGACUGAAAACCCGAAAGGGCGGUCCAGGCAAAAAUUAGGGGCAGAAAAAAAAGAAUAUAUUCCCGGUGGACUUAAAACCCGAAAGGGCGGUCUAGGCAAAAGUUAGGGAUUUUCAAAAAAAUAAUAUAAAAAAACAUGACUGCUGAGGCAUACCAAUGGAAGGACACUCUGUGCCGGUUCACAAAUGGCGACUCUUUCCAUACCUUUUUAUCAAUAAUGGGCUUAUACCGUCAACGGCUCGAUUUGUUCACAAUAAUAUCAUCUCCAAGGAAGUUUGCCGAGUGUUUGUACUGCGAUGUCAGUCCGCCUCCCAUCUUACCUAUCUUGUCUCGUCUCAUCGAGUCACUUGUCACAUAAAGUUUAUACAGUCAUGCAAGUUGUACAUUCAUAACAUUUGUACAUUCAUAAAAUUCAUACAUUCAUACAUUCAUGUACACAUCAUAUGCACAACAUCAGUUCACACAUAAUUGCAUCAGUCGUCCAGAAUCUCAAUUCGGUCGCGUCUCUUCGGUUCAGUCUUAACUUACCAUUGUGUCAAGCCGCAAGUUUCUACAAAUAAGCCUCUUCCAUUUACCUUCUUAUUGUCAAAGUGUCAUCCCCGGCGUGAAGCCGUGCUAGUCAUGACACUAAUCAAACUUCAAUUUCAAUUUCAAAAAGUGUCAUCCCCAGCGGUAGCUGUGCAAGUGGUGUCACCAGUCAAUUUCAACUCUCAAUGGUGUCAUCCUUAGUGUGACUGACCAAGUUGUCCUUUCAUUCUUACCUUUGUUAAGCUAUCUCAUCGAUAGUUAGGUAAAAGUAUCAUUUGUCUUUGUUAAGCUAUCAUUUCAACGGUAGUUAGACGAUGGUUUUUUCUCUCAAUCUUACCUUUGUUAAGCUAUCUCAUCGAUAGUUAGGUAAAAGUAUCAUUUGUCUUUGUUAAGCUAUCAUUUCAACGGUAGUUAGACGAUGGUUUUUUCUCUCAAUUUUACCUUUGUUAAGCUAUCUCAUCGAUAGUUAGGUAAAGGUAUCAUUUGUCUUUGUUAAGCUAUCAUUUCAACGGUAGUUAGACGAUGUUUUUCUUUCAUUCUUACCUUUGUUAAGCUAUCUCAUCGAUAGUUAGGUAAAAGUAUCAUUUGUCUUUGUUAAGCUAUCAUUUCAACGAUAGUUAGACGAUGGUUUUUCUUUCAUUCUUACCUUUGUUAAGCUAUCUCAUAGAUAGUUAGGUAAAAGUAUCAUUUGUCUUUGUUAAGCUAUCAUUUCAACGGUAGUUAGACGAUGGUUUUUUCUCUCAUUCUUACCUUUGUUAAGCUAUCUCAUCGAUAGUUAGGUAAAAGUAUCAUUUGUCUUUGUUAAGCUAUCAUUUCAACGGUAGUUAGACGAUGUUUUUCUUUCAUUCUUACCUUUGUUAAGCUAUCUCAUCGAUAGUUAGGUAAAAGUAUCAUUUGUCUUUGUUAAGCUAUCAUUUCAACGAUAGUUAGACGAUGGUUUUUCUUUCAUUCUUACCUUUGUUAAGCUAUCUCAUCGAUAGUUAUGUAAAAGUAUCAUUUGUCUUUGUUAAGCUAUCAUUUCAACGGUAGUUAGACGAUGUUUUUCUUUCAUUCUUACCUUUGUUAAGCUAUCUCAUCGAUAGUUAGGUAAAAGUAUCAUUUGUCUUUGUUAAGCUAUCAUUUCAACGGUAGUUAGACGGUGGUUUCUCUUUCAUUCUUACCUUUGUUAAGCUAUCUCAUCGAUAGUUAGGUAAAAGUAUCAUUUGUCUUUGUUAAGCUAUCAUUUCAACGAUAGUUAGACGAUAGUUUUCUCUCAUCCUUACCUUUGUUAAGCUAUUUCAUCGAUAGUUAGGUAAAAGUAUCAAUCGUCUGUGUUAAGCUAUCAAUACGAUAGUAGACAUUCAUUUUCCCCAGUGAAAUUACAUUCCCCUAGCGGAGUUGGACCCCUUUUCUUCAACGAAUUCGGGUAUCCCGUUUUUAUUUCUCAUUCGAGUCAAAUCAUCCUGCAUUCAUAAAUUGCACCAAAUGCAUCCAUAUCAUCUUAGGUCAAAAAUUGUGUAUUUUGUAUUUAAGUCUCUUCGACUCGUCAAAUCAAAGAUUUCAUCUUCAAAUCUCCGGACGAAGAAACUUAAAUAGGGGCAUCUGUCAUACCCCAAUUUUUGACCUAAGGUCCCACUGACAGUUGUCGUUUAAUCCUGAAUAGUCUUUGACUUUUCAAAAGGAAAUUUCGGCAGUAAGGUAUUUUAAAAUACCUCAUUUAGUUUGGUUUCUUAGCCCACAUUUUCAUUAUCACUUUAUUUUUAUUUUUAUUUUUUUUUAGUUAUUUUCUUUAAUUUUUUUUUUAAUAAGUCCAAAAUUGUCAAAAGAGCCGUGGUCCAAAGAUUCUUCACGCCACAAUUCCACAAUUCCAGGCAAAUUUACUCAGGUCUACUCUUUCUUUCCCAAUUUACCAGAAACGUGUUUCAUCCCUUUUAAUUCCAUUCAAGCACCAUUCAUUCCUAUUAAACAACAUUUCCUUUUGUUAUCAACCUUGAGCCUUUAAAUAGGAGUAAAAAUCAGAGAAGAAGGGGGACACGAUUCACACAACCUGAAAAGAGAAAAGAAAACCAGUAAUCACAAAUCAUCAAAACCUCUCUCAAACCCUCAUCACACACCAUCAUCGAAUCAUCAUCACAACAAUUCCAACCAACACAUCAAUUUUCCAGCCAUCAGUCACAAUUCCAAAACCCACACAAAAUCCUCACAACCGAUCCAACAAUUUUCCAAAGCCCUCCAUAAAAACCGACACAAAAACAUCACAGAAUACCAGCAUCAAAGGAACAACGCCGUACAUCAACCGAAACAGCCAUCACAGAACUGACCAGAGAAUCCGAAUCGAAAUCAAAAGGUAGUAUUUCAUUAACUUUUAGAUCUAGGCUCGUAUAUUCACUGUUUGAGAUUUGUGAGUUUAGAAUCGAGUAGAGGAGAAGAGAACAAGUAGAAGGAACCAAAAAAAUCAAAAAAAUAAGUUGUUAGGGUUCCGGCGCGGUGGCGCCGCCCCACAAGCUAGCCAACCGCCACCGGAACCCGCCUUACCUCCGCCGAGGAUGAUGAAGAUUUGCCGGAAUCUUCAUGUUUCAAACCCAGAACUUUGAACAAAUUAGAGAGAGGAGAGAGCUUUUGUGAGAGAAGGAGAAGUAAGAGAGAGAAAGAGAUGUAAAAAAAAUGAAGAAAAAACCGGACACACCACAUAUAUAUGGUACUAGACCGAGCCGGUUCAGCCUUGAACCGGCUUGAACCGGUCUAACCCAAAGAUCAACCCACGAGGCCCAACAGCGCGCCUCUGUCUCCCUUUAAACCCAAUUCCAUCUUUUGUUUCGUUUCUGCAACCCCCUGAACACUGCUGCACCCCCCCACCUUGUGAUUGAUCCCCUUUAUUUUAUUUCUCGCAUGCAUUUUAUUUUUGCUUUUAUUUUAGCAUUGUAAUUAUUAUUUUAUAUUCUCUCAUGCAUGUUUUAUUUAUAGCAAGAAUAUUAGAAUGCAAAUUAAGCUUUGAUGUAAAUAAUUCAUUUAUAUUCUUGUCAUUUAUUUUCUGCAGACCAUAGCAUGUAUCCUAGGCUUUAAUGUAAAUCAUGCAUGUGUGCGUGUGUGGGUGUAUGCUUUAUUUUAUGUUUCUAGCUUAGGUUACAAACGUUUUACUUUCCUUGCUCCGUUAGUUUACAUUUUAGUUUAGCUUUUAUUCAAAAACAACAAAAACAUGCAAAUAAUCAAAAAUCACAAAAAUAUCUUCAUAAACAAACCUUGAUCUUAAAUCAAGUGACCGUCUUUUGUUUUCAUUUUCUUAAUCAAACUUUAAUCAAUUUAAUCAUAUUUUGAGUCAUUUUCUUUUAAUAUAAAAAAUACAAACAAAUACUCAUUUGCCACUUGGCUUUUCAUUUUAAAACCUUUUUUCAAAACUAAUAAAAAACACUCAACAAAUCAAACGUCGUUUUCUACCCGGAACUACGAGGUUUUGAUCCCUCACGGGUACGUAGGCAGAGGACCAUGUCCUUCCAAAUCAAUAAAAUGUAGAUAACUAGGUCUUUUAUUCUUCCACUUUAAUUCCUUCUUUUCAAAAAUAAUAAGCAAGUUUAUAGCACAUUAAUUAAAUAAAAUCAAGAGGUUCUCGUAGAGUACUACGAAUAUUUAGGGUGCUAAUACCUUCCCUAAAUAUAACCAACCCCCGAACCCUAAAUCUCAAUAUGGGGUAGUUUGAACCUUUUUCCCCUUUUUCUUAAAAAAAUUAAAUGUUCAGUCGUGAAAUAAUUAGUGAGUCAAAAGCUAAUCAAAUAGCCUUGAUCUCCAAAAAAUGAUAUGACACUUAUAUUUAAAAACGGAUGGAGUAUGUCUUUUAAGUUAUUCUCCUUCCUCCUUCAAAAAAUAAAAGUUAUUUAAUUCUAACUUUUAGGCGUCGAAUAACUUACAUUUAUAAGAUCUGACAUCUCUCAAAUUUUUACGAUUAAAUAACUUAAAAGACUUAAUUGGUAUGAAAAUAAUUUAAAGGACUAAUUUGUUAAAAUUAAUUAAUUUAAAGAUCUAAGUGGUAAAAAAAUAAACUUAAACACUAAUUAAUUUAGCCAUAUUUUUAGAGCACCUGGACAAGAAGGUAGUAUCUGAUGUAAUCAAGGAGAGGAUUGUCUGCCAUGAGAUUUUCUUUUGUUUUUCUCCGGUCAACAAUAUUAGCCCUUCAUUUGUUUAAUGAUAGAUCAACGGGGGGCGGGGGCGUAGUAACAAGUGGCGAACGUCCUUCCUUCUCUAUUGUCCUUCUACUAGUAUAUGCAACCCGUGCGGACGCACGGGUGAAAUUCUUCCUUGAGCAGCAAAAAUUCAGACCAAACAAUUAUUUUUGCAUCAAAAAUAAUAUUUAUUUGCUCAAAACCAGAAAAAACUAAUACGAAAUACUUCCUCACAUUUUCAACCCUUUUUAAGUGUUUGGCAGCAAUGCAACGAAGCUAAAAUUUAACGAAGAGAAAUCUUAAAGAUAACAAAAAGGAAAAGAGCAGAAAAAUGAAGGAAGGUUAAGUAUUUAUAGACUGAACUUUAUACUAUGUCCGCACGGUUUAUACUGUGUUCGUACUGUUACCGUUGUUGUUACCGUUACUGUUUCAGUUAUCGUUAAGGUUAACGUUACUGGGGUGGUUAAUUUGAAUUAAUUUAUCUAUGGCUCACAAAACAGGCUUUUUCAUUCGACGCUUUAAAUUGAAUUCGCAAGCAAACAAUAAGUACAAAAGAGAAAAAUACGGUAGAAAGGAAAAAACUUUUAUACAACAUUAGACAACAUGUUUUUGUUUAGAUAAAUAGCGAAGCUAAGUCUUCGUGAGCUUAACUCAGUUGGUUAAGGACAAUACAUAAUAUAUGUAAGGUUCGAGGUUCAAACUCCGACUACCAAAAAAAAAAUAGCAAAGACCAAGUCCUACCAACUAAAGCCUAGCCAAAACAUAUAAAUAUAAAAACAACACUCAAAACAAUACACUAACUCUUCGUGGGAGAGACAUGAGAAACAGAUGCUCGCAUCCGAACUUUAAAAACAUGACCACUCUUUUUUGGGUUAACAAUCUCAAACUUGAAACAGAGAAUGUCACGAACAUUGAUCCCAUUUUCAUCACAAAAUUCCUUCCAUCUCAUUCCCAGCGCAGUUUUCCUCGAAGGUGCAUCCAUGUAGAACUAAUAUACCAACCAAGUGAGAACUGAUGGCACUUAAUGCAUUCAGCUGAAGAUAAAAGUGCAUUGUGCAUCCAACCCGCAAGCCUAUGCUAUGAUAAGUUGGAAUCUGGUCAGGGUUUUCAUGUUUCUUGCUAUGAUAUAUCCCAAAAAGAUUAUCACCAUAGUAACAAAGUAUAACCUUCUCGUUGCUAUGAAAACCAAAUACAUCAUGCAUCUCUUUCCAUCAUGCAUCUCUAACCAUGUGGCUUUUAUCUAAAUAGUUCAUUAUUGUCCACUCUUCACCAAGAUCAUCCUUGUGAUCUUCCAGAAAAAUUGGAUUAACCACGCCAAAUUCCUUAAAAAAAAAGUUUGCAAUGCAUAAGGUGACAUAAAACCAAAACAAUACUUAAAGAACAACAAAUAAAUACUUACCUUGCUGCCAAGAUAAAGAGUAGUAAAACCACCACAUGGUUGUUGUUCAAGGUAAAUCUAGUAAUUCUCCAUAAGCAUUGUCGCUUGAACUUGUGUUGUGUGCAUACCCACCAAACUACUUAUAUAGAGAGAGAGAGAGAGAGAGAGAAAAACGUACAUUUUUUGAUUAAUUUUUUUAACUAUUCCCAUCGUUUCCAUAAUAACGUAAAAAUGGAGUCUAAAACACGUGGUAAGUACACAAAUAUGAAAAGAAAAAAAAAUGGUGGAAGAAAACCUAACAUAAAAUAAAGUAGGAGGUGACAACACGUUGAUAUAUUUGUUCAUGUUGAGUAAUAGUGUACUUUUUGUUUUAUACAAAUAUAAAGUUUGAUAAAACCAAGAACCAAAAAUCUUAAAUUGAUGUUUAAAAUUUUAAGACUAAAUCAAAUAGAGUUUACUUGAUAUACCCAAAUUACAUGUGGAUUUUAACCUCGAGGAUAACCAUACACACCAUGUUUACUAUUCAAUAUAUUUACAAUGUAUGCACUAUAUCUUUUGUUUUUUUGUUUUGUUUACAAUCAACUAUAUUUACUAUAAUUAAUAUACUUACUAUUUGCCAUACUUAUUAUUUAAUCCAUAAACUAUAUUUACCAUUAAUUGUUUAGUAUUUUUAUAUUACUAAAUCAAUAUUAAUAUUACUAUAUUACCAUUACUAUAACAAAAAUGAGGAAUUAGACCCUGCUACUUUUUAUUUAGUGGUCCACAAAAACUUAAAACUAAGUAUCAAAAACAUCAAAUAGUACAUAAAAUAAAAAGAGUAAUAGAUUAAAAUAGGCUUAAUUACUCUUUUGGUUUCUUAACUUAUUUUUUGGUUUCGUUUUGGUUCCUUAACUAUUAAAAGUUUUGUUUCGGUCCCAUAACUUAUUUUUGAGUUUUCUUUUGGUCCCUUAACUAUUAAAAGUUUCGUUUUGGUCCCUUAACUUAUUUUUUUGUUUCAUUUUGAUCCCUUAACUAUAAUACAUUCAUCCUAACAUAAAGGACCAAAGUGGUUGACGGAUGAAGAGUUAAGGGACCAAAACGAAACCAAAAAAGUAAGUUAAAGGACGAAAACGAAACUUUUAAUAGUUAAGAGACCAAAACGAAACCAAAAAAUAAGUCAAGGGACCAAAAGAGUAAUUAAGCCAUUAAAAUAUUAGGCAAUGAUCAUCCAGGUUCUUAAAACUAAAAGCCAAGAGAAUUAAAUGUGAUAUGUGCCACAUCCAAGGGCGUUAGUCAAGCAAGAAAAUGGACAUGACUAAAGGUAAAUAACACCCGGGACAAAAGAAACAUGAAAGAAAGGUCAAAAAGCAAAUAGCUUCCAAGGAUAACUUCAAUAGUUGAAAACUAUUUUCUGUCAUUUUUAUGAUCUUCAUCAAGCAAUGCAUAAAAGCAAGGAGAAUUUGAAACAGAUACCAUUGACAAUGAUGUGAAUGAAAACGUGUAUAUCUUAUAGCAAUAGUUAUCCAUCACCGACAAUAAAAUUGGAUUCAAAAUAUUUUUCCAUCAUAGCAAUCAUGUUUUCUGUUAAGCCAAAGAUAAAUUAAAUCCAACAAAAGAGGUAGAAUGACCAUUAAAAUUAUAUUUCUUCGAACCACCAAUAACAUGGAAAUUACAGGCUUAUUAAAUUAAAAAUAAAACAAUAAAUUAACACCAUAAUAUAGAAAUAAUAAAAGUUAUAAAAGUAAGUUAGAUAAGAGUCGUUUAAAAAAAUUCGAACAGGACUCAAAUUGUUUUUGAUAACUUGGACGAUAUUUAUGUUGAUGAUUUGGUUUUUGAAUCCAUUUUUACGUGGUAGAGUUUUUCUGAGGCAAAACAGAUGGUGUUCCUCGUAGAACUAAAAAAUAUUAUGCCAAGCUAGCUCUUUAACUUACAGCUAUGUACCACUUUGUAUUGCACCUCUUAUUUAUAGUGAAAUGCAUUAGUUAUGCUCCUGUCAAAAACAGAAGUUGCUUAAAAAAUUCAAUCAUCACAGCAAAAUGUGGAUGACUGGAUUAAGUAUGAUAUAGCAUAUAAUGAUUUUUCCUUCUCCAAUUUAAAAUAAAAAACAUUACUUGGUACCACAAAACAAACUUUUUAUUACACACGAUUAAAACAUGUCUAUAAUUCUUAUAAGUAUAGCAACAUAGAACACAAAUAAACUAUAGCAUGGAAACAAUAGAUUAGAAAGUUCAGCAGCAACAUACGUAAACACAUCACAUUUCUCGUGAGACCGCAUGAGGAUAUAAAGCAAAAUACAUCACAUUUCAAUCCUUGACAACCUUAGCAGACUUGGCUGAUUUCUUUGACCUCUUCCGAGAAACCUCAUCAAAUCCUUCACCAAACUCCUCUUGGCAUGAUGACUGGAAGUAGCAAACAACAUUGUCGUCGUUCAAAUCAGGGGUGAGUAUUAAAUUGGAGGUCAAACCUCAGGAGAGCCAACAAUCUCCCCAGAUUCUGCAGCAUUAGAAGGUGAAAGGGCUGCACCCUAAACAAACAAUUUAUCCAUUUCAGCAGGAUAAAAUCCAUCAUUUUCACCCUAAAAUAAAAUUAACGAACACAGUAAAAGACAAUUAACACCCAGUAAAUGCCCGUCAUUACAAUCGAAGUAGUUUCUGUCAACUGAGGAUAUUUAUAUUCAUAUCUCUAUAAAUCAGAAAAAAACUUAGCUGUGGCAACCAUGGAGGCACCCUGCUUGUCAAUAAGGAAUAUAAAGCAAUCGUUUCCUGACAGUGGCAUUAAUCUUGCAACCCUUCAAAGAUGAACAGGCAAAAAGGCUUUAAAAGAAAAGCAAUAAUCAUUAACCAAAUUAACCAAAAUAAUAAUCAAAGGCAAACAAACAGCAAUACAAACCUUCUCAUCAACAAACACCAUCUCAAUUGAAUUGAUCUGUUAUGAUUGAAGAAAAUCACGCACCUCCCACAAACGAACAACACGAAGCUUGAAUCUCCAAGACUCUCUUCCAGGAAGAACAUCAGACAGCAAAUCAAAGCUGCGAUACCUCUGUGACCAGACCUAAGACCCUUGUUAUCAAACCUAACACCUUUCAACAUUGCAGAAGACAUUAAAAAAAAAGAUUUAAACCAGAGCAGAUUGGAAAUCGGAAAAAGAAAAGAAUGAGAUGAGUUGUGAGAAACAGAAAGAAAUCCAGGACUAUUUAUAGAGGAUUUGAAAAAGAGGGGGAAAGAUAAAUUCUCCUUUGAUGUGAAUGGACAUGUAAUUGAAUUAGCUUAAAUUAAUUGGAGGAAUUGAAGGAAUUCAAUCAAACCCCACGUGCAUCUUCAAAUCAUCCUUUAUUCCUUGAUAACGACAGCUUUUUUUUCCUGUAGAAGAAAAAUAGAGAAGUAAACGGUUGUCCAAUCAAUCCCAAAAAAAUUCAAAAAGGCUCAUUAAACCGCGAAAAUUUCACCAAAUAUGUUACAAAAGUCAAACCACCAGCAGAUGAAUAUCAAUGGUCUGCUGAACAAUCUCAUUAACAUUGGUAAGAUUAAGGAAGCUUGUACACCACACCCUCGACCAACUUAUUAUGGAAGAGGUACAACAGCUGCUUACGAAUAGUAGCGUGAAUCCUAACACCCUUCAAAAUCAACAUGACAUACAACCUUGAACAAAAGGACAAAUGACAAAAACAAAAGCUAAAACCAGGGCAGUUUAAAUAAAAACACCAACCUUCUCAUCAACCAACACCAUCUCAACCGAAUUCACCUGUUCAGGAUGAAGAAACGCAGGAGCCUCCCACAGACGCACCACACGAACAAUGAAUCUCCAAGACUCCUUUCCAGGAGCAGCAUCAGAUAACAGAUCAAAACUGCUAUCAGCACCAGCACGGGUCUGCAGACCAGACUUAGGUAUUUUACCACCAUGCCUAGAACCUUUCAACAUUGCAGAUGACAUAACAAAAAUUGAAGGAAAGAGAGAGAAUUGUGGAUGAGUGUGAAAACACAAAAACAAACUAGCCCAAUUUAUAGAACAACAGAGCACAAGCAGCCAAAACGGUUUUAAAAGGGGGGAAUUGAAGGAGUUGAUGUGAAAGGACGUAUGGAUAUAAUAUAUUAAAUAAAGGAAACUAACCAAAACCCAUGUGCAUCAGCGUCUCCCUCGUACCAAUUCGUUGACAACGACAUCCCUUGACCUUUGAGAAACCAGAUAAACUAUUGAGAGGUAAACGGCCCUCACAUCAAACCGCCACAAAAUUCAAAUUUAGAAAGGGGAAAACAACCGCGAAAAUUCCAGAAUUAAAUUGGCACAAAAGUCAAUCCACCAAAUUUCUAAAUCUACAGUGGACUUUUUUUUCACGUCUUGAUAAGAGUAUGGAUUUGAAAUGGUGGUUAGACCUAACACAAUCCCACAAAACCGAUUUGUGAGGUGAGGAUUGCCUCCACUUAUAAAUAAAUUGUCAGGCCAACUCCUAACCGAUGUCGGACUCUUAACACACCCCCUCACGCUUAGGAUUGCACAUCUGAAGCGUGAACAUAAAUGACGGGUGGCCUGAUAACGGAAACCUGAUAACAGGUGGCUCAAAGAAUCGUGAAGAGGCUCUGAUGUCAUAUUAGAAAUGGUGGUUGGGCCUAACACAACUCCACAAAACCGGCUUGUGAGGUGAGGAUUGCCUCCACUUAUAAAAAAAAUUGUCAAACCAACUCCUAACUGAUGUGGGACUCUUAACACCUGCUCCUCCGUUCUCAUAUUCUCCGUGUUUAUUUAUUUUUUCUCUAUUCAUUUUGCUUCUCAUUAGUUUGAUUUCUUUCUUGCUAAUUUUAAGAUUUUGUACUUUGAAAUUGUGAUCAUGGAAACUAAUUAUUAUUGUACAUGGUACUUGUUAUGUCGACAUUUGAAUUGAACCUGUAAUAUUGUGUGAAAGAUCCAAAGAAUGACAAAUAAAGUGGAAUUGAGUCUGAUCCUUGAUAAAUCAAUUUUCAAAUAAAAAACUGAACCAGUCAAAUUGUGAUCAAUGAAACCUAAUAAGAAGCAUGGAUUUUGUUUUCUCCGCUCAUGGCAAUCCCCCACUCCAAGUCUUCAACCGAUCAAAAAAUACAUUGACCUUCACAAAGCCUCUACCCCUAAACCGUCCUUUUGAGAAAAACUUUUGGGUUCUACCCAAGAGAUCCAUCCUAGAGAAAAAGAAGAGUUGGUAGAGAAGAAACUUGUCUGCAUUGAGCUUGAAGCUGGUAAUCGUCUUCUUCCCAAAAUCUAUUUGGAGUCGAAUGUAUUUCAGGAACUAUGUACCCCUUGGAAAGAUAUGCUUGUGUUGAAACUUUUAUGGAAACCAUUGGACUAAAACACCAUGAAGGAACGCCUCCAAAAAGUGUGGAAGCUACAAGGUGGAUUAAAUAUCAUGGAUAAUGAUAAUGGGAUUUACAUGGUAAAACUUGACUAGGCAGCAGACACAGAAAAAAUCAUCACGGGAGGGCCAUGGAUAAUAUUUUAUCAUUGUUUAGCGGUCUCUCAUUGGUGACCUGAAUUUGCUUCCCUAAAUGCUAAAAUAGAUCGCACGGUCGUCUGGGUACGUUUUAAUGGCCUCAAUUUAGUUUCUUAUGAGAAAAGUUUCCUCGUAGCCAUGGCUUCAGCAAUAGGAAGACCAAUCAAUGUGGACACUAAUACCUGAAAGGUUGAAAGAGGUAGAUUUGCUAGAGUAUGUGUCGAUGUAGAUCUUAUUGUCCUUGUUGUUGGUAAAAUUUGGGUCAAUGGUCAUUGGUAUAAAGUUCAGUAUGAAGGUCUUCAUCUUAUUUGCACAAAUUGCGGUUAUUAUGGCCACCUUGGUCGAAACUGCCCCACCACCCCAACCGUGCCGAAAGUCGCGGCACAACCUCAACAUACCCAUCCUCAUCGCCCCACACCAAGGUCAACCCCAAGUCAACCCCCAAAUUUUUCUGAACAUCUAAACAUCAGCCAAGGUGAAAAGGAAGACUUACAUGGUGAUUGGCUUAUAGUUACUAGGGAAAAAAACUAAACUAAACUCAAUCUGCUAGCCUCGUAAAACACACCAAAUGAAUCAAAUAGAUUUAUUUCUUUAUCCCUCGUGGCCCACAACAAUAAAGCUUCCACAUCCCAUCAUACUCUUCCUCCUAACAUUCUUUAUGCUACUUCCCAACCCAAAGACUCUCCCACUUGGUCUUCAAUCAUUCAUGCUAAAAAUGCUCUCAGAGAAGGUUUAUGUCGGCGUGUGGGUUCAGCUAUUUCUUCCUUCAAGUUUUGUCCUUGGAGCUCUCUAGGUCACAUAUGAUCGAUUGUUUCAGUCAUAGACAUACAAUCUCAGGUUUUAUACAUGCAACUUCUCUCAUCGGCAUCUGAUUCCAUCAACAACUUGAACAUUAAGUUCAACCCCUCCUUCGAUGAUGCUUUCAUCUAGGCAUCCAACAAAAAUGGCGCCUACACUACUAAGAGUGGCUAUGCCUGGCUGCUGUCCCAUUCAAACAUGAUUGCUCAUGGUCAAACUUCUUCCUCUUGGUCUUGGAUUUGAAAAUUAAAAUCUUCUGAAAUGCACAAAUUUCUUUUUUUGUUGGCUUGCCAAAAUUAUGUCCCCACUCUUUUAUUGCUCAACAAUAGGAAUAUGGAUUCAUCGACCCUUUGCUCUCGUUGUGGUCUUGAAGAUUAGACUUUUCUUCAUUGUGUCCGUGACUAUAAUUUCUCUCGUAUUAUUUGGAACCAUGUUGAAUUCAAUGAUACAAAUUUCUUCACAGAUAAGAAAGUGAGCCACUAGUUAAAGAAGGUCUCUUCGGGUACCAAGCCUUCCUUUUCAUGGCCACCGUUUGGUGGCUUGGCGUUGUAACACCCUAUUUCUAUUAAAGCGAUAAAACACACGAAUAAUAUAAAUAUUCAAGAAAUAGACGUCACAUCAUCAACAAAAUCCGAAACAACAUGCAUGUAUAAAAAUUUCCAACAGUCGCAGCAGAUAAAAAUCAUACAUCUCAAAAGUAUACAUGCCAUGAUAUCAAAAAAUCUCAAUAUAAAAAUUCUCCAAAUCCCGACAAGUGGGCAAAUCUCCAACACAUAAAUAAAUCCACAACAGAUAAUCUAGAAUAAUCAUAAACAGACACCUAGAUCAAAGCCUAUCCUAGACUCUAAGGACUUGAUAACGGAGAUGGCUUCCGCUAUCCAAGCAACCACCAAGCAACUCACAAAAGCGACUAACCCUGUACUUCGUCUACUCAUCCAUACAGACAGGUAGAUGGUCCAAACCACUAGGGGUAAGCUUUACAUCAAUCAUAAUCAAUAAAAUAAAUUUGAGCAUAUAUGAAUUAAAGUCGAUUCCGAGUACUUCACAUAAACAUUUAAUUCAAUAUGCACAUUCAUAUAACAAUCCCAAAUAUCACGAUCAAGUAUUCACCAAGCAUACUUAUAAUCAACAAUUAUCAUUCACAUCUCAUCACAAUCUUCAACAAUUAUCAUUCACAUGCAACAAUUACGACUCAUGUCAAUAUGCUAUGCGCCUAAUUCCGACACAUACAUGCAUGUGGUACCAAACAACAACAACAAGAUGCCAACCGCACAUCUUAUGUAAGAGUACACCUCCUCUUACGCACAACUAUGUAAAAGUACACCUCCUUUUACAUUUCUCAUAUGACUCGAUAUGACGAUGAUGCAUGGACAUAAGCAAAGACUCAAUAAUGCAAACUACUCAACAUAUACAUACACCAACACAAUGUAAAAGUACACCUACAAUUACAUUGUUCAACUUCAACAACAAUUGCAUUAUCAAGUAUUUACAUCCACACAAUCAACAUGUCAUCAUUCCAUUAAGAGUCGUCCCCAAAAUAUCACAAUUCAUCAACAUAUAUUCAUUAAUCAACUUCAACUAUAUUUUAUAGUUCAUGAACUUUGCAUAAUUUAUCAACAUCCAAGUAAAAUGGAAAAUACAACACCUUCUGAUAAACGUCACCUCAAACACUUACCAUUUACUCACAUAUCUUCAUUCAAACAUAUACAACUAAUCACAAAGGAAUGUAAGCAAUUGGCCUUAAAGAAUCAUUUUUGACAAAAUCCGUAUCAAGUGGCAAACGGCCAACAUUGAUAAUUUCCAAAAUAAAAUACCUUAUUCAAGUUUGAAAAUUCACAAAUCAAUCUUAAUCAAUCAUGUAGUCAUGAGCUUAAGCCACUUACAAACUAUUAGACAUUAGUUCAAAGUAUAGCUUAAGUUCGUAUGAGAAAACCCAAGUUUACAUUUUCCACAUUCCCACCCGAAAUUCAAGUUUAACAUGAUUAAGAUGUGAAACCAACUUUACAAGUCUUGUAUAAGUCUAUAUGAAUGAACUGUAGACCCAACUUGUAAUCCCAUUUAGUUCAAAAAAGUUCAUUUCGACGAAAAUCCAAAAUUUCCAAGAUCCAAGUUUCAACACAAAAUGGAAAAUCCCAAAUUCGAAUGAGUAAAACAUGUUACAAUAGGUUUAGGAGUUCAAACAGUGGUUAAAAAAGUUGAAAGAAACAUUUUACAAAACUCGGAUUGGUGUAACACUCCGUUUUUCCAACUUGAAAUUUUUUGCAUACAAAUCAGAGUAAUCAACUUAACAGGAUGUCACACUGAUCUAAAAGAUAAAUAGAGUAGAAUUACUAUUUAUUCAAAACAUCUCAUGUCAUCAAUUCAAAUCUCAUUGCAGCGGAAAACAUUAAUUAAACAACGUAAUGACACAACGACCUCAACAUAAACAAGUUAUUAAACUCCAUUCUAGGUGGUUCCUCAACAUAAAAUCAUAGAAAUAUGUAACACAAGGAAAACAAGCAAGAUCAUCUCGUUACGUAUCAGAGCGACCCUAAGACGACGCGUGAGAGAGUCGACUCACUUCAACAGCUAUUCCUGGUUAUCUACGCGUUACCCUCGUAGAGGCAAUAUUCAAACAGAAUGGGUGAGAUUUCGCAUCCAAUAAUAAUAAGCAUAUAAUUCAUCAACAUAAUUUAACAACAUAAACAACCACAAUAAAUAAUAUUGAUACUUCACAUAACUUAUCAUUAACAACUCAUUAGUAAUUGACAACUGGACAACAACGACAAUGCGAUAACAUCAACAUCUACUCGACAAUGCAACAACGACAACUUACACAUGAAUGUGGUACCAAUCAGGGCAUCAAACCCCCAACGUAUAGAGAGAAUAGGCUCACAGGGCAUCAAACCCUCAACAUAUAGAGAAAAUAGGCUCACAGGGCAUCAAGCCCCCAACUUAUAGAGCAAAUAGGCUCACAGGGCAUCAAGCCCUCAACUUUAAUGAGUAUGCAUGGACUUAGCAACCAACAACUUAGACAACUUAGACGACUUCAACAACUUAGAACAACAACUUACAACUUGGCGACUUUGACAACAACUUGCAACUUAACGAUAUUAACAAUCAACAACAACAAGGACAACAACAAUAACAACCUGCAACAUUAACCACAACAACUUGAAUGAUAUGAACGACUAUAUUUCUAUAUUAUACAAUAUUCGCAUAAUAUAUGUAUCUCAAAUCAUCCAAAAACAACAUUCAUAUUAAUUCAGACUCACUGAACAACAAUAUAAUUAUAAACCACUUUCAUUCCUACCUGAAAGACUAACUUAGAACGUCACGUGCGACAAGGAUCACAAGAACACUAAACAAGGUUGACUGCCACUGAGUAACUCGCGAGGCGAGCCACUCUACUCGCUAUGCCGAGCUAAAGCUGAUGGCUCUCGGGAGUUUUGACAUUUUUCACUCAAAAAUCUCAUUUUUAACUUCCCUAUGCCCAAAUUUGAUCAAAAACUUUCCUAAUCAUUUCUAAACAUGUUAAUGCACUCAAAACCAUAUAAAACUUUACCCCUAACAUUAAUUCACAAAAUCAUAAUUUUCUCACUGGGUAAUUCGCGAGGCGAAAGAGGUUACUCGCAAUGGCGAGCGAUGAAGAUGAUCACUCGCGAGGCGGGAAGGAUUACUCGCUAUGGCGAGCGAUGACGAUCUGCUCUACGGACAGAACACAAUUUCAGCAAAAAUUUACCUAAUUCCAUAAUUCUAACCUUAAAACUGAUUUUAAUCAUUGCUGUUGUGAUGAAUAUGAUCUACUUUGAUGAUUAAUGUGAGAAUAUUUAUAUAUUGUGAAAGAUGUUGAUAUGAAGUUGUAAUGGUUGUAUUAGAUGAUUAUUGUUGAUGUUGACUUGCUGUAAAUUAUUGAAUGGCGUUGCCUUGCUGAUGUGAUGUAUUAAUAUCAUUAAGAUGCUAAUGUUUAUUUAAGUUGUUUAAGUUGUAAGAUGUUGAUCCAAAUUAUUGGAGUCAUAAGAGAUGUCUAAGUUGUUAAGAUGUUGAGUCCAUUGCAUACUCAUUUACGAUGGGCGAGGGCUUGAUGCUCUGUGAGCCUAUUUACGCUCAAUAAGUUCGGGGCUUGAUGUCCUAGUUGGUACCACAUGCAUGAUUAAGAAGUUGAAGUUGCCUAAGUUGAAUUAAGUUAUGGAAGUUGUAUUGUCGUUGUCGUCGAGUUGUCAUUGUUAAUGAGUUAUUGAUAAAGAACUAAGUGAAGUGUUAAUAUUUAUUAAAUGUUGUUGUUUAUGUUGUUGUGAUAUUAUUAUAAGAUGAUGAAUACGUUGUUGUUUAUGUUGUUGUGAUAGUAUUAUAAGAUGAUGAAUAUGUUGUUGUUUAUGUUGUUGUGAUAUUAAUAUAAAUGAUGAAUAUGUUUCUGUUUAUGUUAUUGUGAUAUUAUUAUAAGAUCAUGAAUACGUUGUUGUUUAUGUUGUUGUGAUAUUAUUAUAAGAUGAUGGAUAAUGCUGUCGUCUAUAUGAUUAUGAAGUGAUGAUUAUGUAGUCUAUGUUGUUGUGAUGUGAAUAUUAUAUUGUGUCUAAUGAGAUGAUGACUAUUCUGUGUGUUAAAGAUGUUAUUUAUGAUGUGAUGAUCUAUGUUGGUUAAGAUUUGGUUGUUAUGUACUAUAUGAUAAUGUUUAUAAUGUGAUGAUUAUGAAGUUAUUUAUGUCGUUAAAAUUAAUUAAUGAAUUAUAUGUUUGAUAUUAUUGUUUUGCGAAAUCUCACCCCUUCUGCUUGAAAAUGUUGCUCUUCGUAUGAGUAACUUGCAGGUGAUCGAGUUAGGUUGCUGUGUUUUGCUGUCGUGAGUGGCUAUCCCUCACUGAGUCGUUUAGGUGCUCUGAUAGGUAAUAGGAUGUGAUCUUUUGUGGCUAUUUUCUAUUCCUUUACGUAUUUGAUUAUGAUUUUAUGAUUAAGUUGUUUAAAUGAAUAAUUAUGAGAUAUUUGAUGAGGCCUGCGUGCCAAGACUUAUUUAUGAUGUUGAAUUAAAUACGCUGCAAUGUUUUGAAAUUGAAUUAUAUUGAAGGAUAAUUAGUUAAUUAUCUCAUUUAUGAUUUUUAGAAGUGUAGCAUUCCGUUUCUAUGCUGAUUACUCUGAUAAUAUGUUUGAAAAUUUUAAGUUAGGAAAACGGGGUGUUACACGAGCGAGAGCAUCUAUCUAGGUUCAAUCUCAUUCUAAUCAUCUAAGGAUCAACUCAAAAGUCAAAAUCACGAAAUUUGGAUAGCUCUAUGGUCAUGCUCGCUAUGGCGAGUUCAUUUGCUCGCUAUGGCGAGCUGCGACGUGCAACUCGCGAGGCGGGUAAGUUGCUCGUGUGGCGAGCGAUGAAGUUCAUCACUCGCUAUGGCGAGGAUCAUAGCUCGGGAGGCGAGCGAUGAAUGUCGCUACGGGCAGAAGUGCGAUUUUUCACAAAAAUCACUAACUCUCAUGGUUUUAAGCCUAAUCUUGAUUCCAGAAUUCAUCAUAAUCAUUAUCUAAGGUCUAGGGACAAUUUCUACAUCAUUCUAACAAGUUUUCACCGUUUAAUCAUCAAUUCCAUCAGUUUUAACCUACUUUUCGAUUUCUCUAAAACUCAUUCUACUUCAUGUUAAACCUAACCAUUGAUUCACAUACUUAACAGAAUUGCAAAGUUAGUCUCACCCUUACCUUAACAAUGAAAAUUGCAGCUCUCUAAGUGCUUCUCCCUUCUCUUAGCUUUUACUCCCUUUUCUUCAAAAUUGAUCGUACGUUAUGUUUUUUCUAAACUAGGUCUCUCCUAUUUAUAAAAAUCCUUAACGUACUUAUUUUUCUCUUAUAUCUCAAAUCUUAAUAUUCUAUUAUAAUAUAUAUAUAUAUAUAUAUAUAUAUAUAUAUAUAUAUAUAUAUAUAUAUAUAUAUAUAUUAUUUCUAUAACGAAUAACAAAUAUAUCUCUAUAAUCAUAUAUAUUUCUACAUUAAAUAACAUAUAUUUCUACAACAAAUCAACAUAUAACUUUACAAAAUAUCACUCAUAAAAAAUAAAUCAUAUAAAUCACACAAAUCAUAUAAGUAUAUUCUAAACUCAUUUAAAUAAUCAAAUAAUUAAAGAGAGCGUUACACCACAUAACCAUUUAAAUCACAUAAAUCAUAUAAAUAGACUAUAAACCCAAUAAAAUAAUUAAAUAAUCAAAUAGGGCGUUACAAUUGACCCCCUAAAGUCCGGAACGAAAAUAAAAGGUGGCUGAAACUGGGCAAGUUCGCUUAAGCGACAACCUUGUUCGCUUAAGUGAACAAGUUCCAGAAGCUACAACAAAAGUUCGCUUCCGGUUCGCUUAAGCGACCCAGUCACAGAACCUAUUGUGAUUGUUCGCUUAAGCGAUCAGUCAUAGUUCUGCAGAAAAAAAAAUUACAGGUUUCAACCCUUUUUCACCCAAAAUUCCAAAUUUUGAUCUCCCCCAAUGCCCAAAUAUGUUUCCAAAGUAGGUUUACAGGUCAAAACAACAAAAAGGGUUCCCAAGCAGACAUCAAACAUGAAAACAAUUGCCAUUUGAACACAAUUCACCAAAUCAACCUAUUUUUACAAAACCAACGACAAUAAUUUAUUUCUCAACAUCAAAUCAUGAUUUAUGAACACCCAAGCCAUGAAUCAUCAACAACAAUAUCUCUUAGCAACAACAACAUCAGUUAAACAUGAUUCUCAUCAUAAUUCAACAACAACAUAACACAAUUCAACAUUUAGAGCAUAAUUCACAAUAUAUCCUGUUCACAUACUAUGAACAUGCAAUUUCACCAACAACAAUUCAAUUAUCAUCAAUUUCAUGUAUUCAAACAUAUCAUCAUAAUUGGAGCACGAAUUUCAACAACUAUGAACAAAAAAUCACUUAUUCAAUUAAGCAUUUAAUCAUGCAAUUAAUGAAAAGUUACAACUAAUUGAUUAUGGUUGAAAUCUAACCCCCUUACCUUAGUUAGUGAACAUCCUAGCCCAAACUUCAAUUUAGCUCUUGGAAAUCUCCACCACCUCUUAGGUCUUCAAGUCUUCUCUCUUCUAACCCUUUUCCUCUUCUCUUGCAUUUUCUCUCUCUCUCUCUCUCUCUCUCUCUCUCUCUCUCUCUCUCUCUCUCUCUCUCUCUCUCUCUCUCUCUCUCUCUCUCUCUCUCUCUCUCUCUCUCUCUCUCUCUCUCUCUCUCUCUCUCCAAAAAUCUCAUGAAAUGAAAAAAUGAAUGCUAUUUUAUCUUAAGACAAGGUUUAUAUAGGCUAUUCUCAAAUGGGCUUAACCCUAAUGCCUUAGUGGGCUUAACCCACCCAAUCACAAUUCUAAAAUGUUUCUACACACUUAACGGUAAAAUACUAACAACGGUCACUUAUCGGCUCACAACUAUUUAUCACACUAGUAACUUAGUAAAAUAAUGGCUCUCACUUGAAACACUAAAAAUACUCCUCACCAAAAAUUACUAAUUUAUCCUUACUCACAAAAUGACCAAAAUACCCACUGAAAGGGAUGCGAUUGGCGACGAUGGAAGUGGUGGUGGGCGGCGAUGGGAGGAGAAGAGAAGCUUCAGAUCACGUUAUUGGGGAAGAGGUGAAUGAAGGAAGAUAAAUUGCAUUUUUUUUUUUAAAGAAGUACUUUAUAAAAUUUUAAAAUAUGUUAAGACAUUUGUUACCUUACCCAACUUGUAGCUUUUGGGAAAGUGACGAGGUCAAGAGAUGAACUGAGUUUUGUACACCUCUAAUCAACUUAUACUCUACGAUCUUAAAUAUUUUUUUUGCAUUGUCAUUCCAUAAAUUUCGGAUUGUUUUUCCAAAUUGAGUCUUAAUUUCUAAGCAAACCAUCUAAAAAGAUACCAAAUAAUUCAGAACGAUUAUUCAAUAAAGUGAUCAAAGUACAUCUUGAAAAACCAUCAAUAAAAGUCAAAUGUGGUUGUUUUAGAUAGAGACCAAAUACAUUUUCCAUUUUUAACUAAGUAGUGUAAAAAUAGUGUUUUUAUUUAAAUUUUUUUUUAAUUUUUUUAUAGAAGUCAAAUGUAUUUGUUCUAAAUAUGAACCAAAUACAUUUUACUUUUUACUUAAAUUUAAGAUGAUAAAACAAUGUUUUUUUUUAGGGGUAGUUGUGUUUUUGAUAAGCAACUUCAAAUAACAUUUGAGCUUUUUAUUUUUUUCUCUAAAUUUUAGCCUAAUUAUCUUUUAAAUAAGUAAAUAAUCCUUAUAAAUAUCUAAAAUUUUGUUUAGUCAUACAGAAAUUACACCUUUUAGUCCUCGUAAGCAUUUUCAUUUAGCAAUUUUAAGGACAAAAAAUAUUGAUGAAUUUUUUUUCAGGAAUUAAAAAUGUUGAUGGAAAAUUUUACAAAGGUUAUAAAUGCUGACAAAUUUUUCUAUGAAGACUAAAACAUACAAUUUUGUUUUGAGGGAUUAAAAACAAAAAAAAUCUAAAAUUUUGUUUUGAGGGAUUAAAAACAAAAAAAUCUAAAUAUUUACAUGGAUCAAUUACUUGAUUAACCCUUAUCUUAAUUGAAAUAUUAAAUUUUUAAUUAAAAAUAGUUUUUUCUACGUCAUUUCAUAUUCAUUAACUAAUUUAAGCACUUAUUUUAUCAAAAGCUACAAAUUCAUUUCACUAUCUUAUAUCAACUACUUUGUCUACCCUAACUAUGAGACCACCUUCUACUUUUUUUUUUUUUUAAUAUAAAGACUAUUUUCAAAAUUCACAUGCACUUAUGUUUUUCUUGCAAAAAUACCCUUAUUUAACUUUUUGAUAAAUAUAUAAAACUAACAUAAAUUUUUGAUAAAUUUUUCACAAUUUUAUUUUAUUUUUUGCAGGAAUUUUUCACUACAAUUAUUUUUCUUAAUACCUAUUAACAUUGUUGGAGGAUCUCUCUCAAAAAUUUGUCAAAGGAGCUUUUUUUUUUCCUAAUAAAAAAAAUUAAAUGAUAAUAAAAAUUUGAGUUUUUCUACUAGCACCCUAGUUAAUCAUGGUUGCACCUCAAAAUAACAAGAUUACCCUUUCAUAAAAUUUCAUCUUAAACUUAGUUGAAGUAGGUCAUAUAAAUUGAGUUUAAGUGUAUAUACUUAAUCUCAGUUUAAGUAGGUUCAUGUAAACUGAGUUUAAGUAGGUCAUGUAAACUGAGUUCAUGUAAACUAAAUUUAAGUAAGUGUACCAACUUAAACUCAGUUUAAGUAGGUUCAUGUAAACUAAGUUUAAGUAGGUCAUGUAAACUUAGUUUAAGUGCACAUCUAAAAGUUCAAUCUUAUUCAAUGAUUAUACGUCAUCUCAGUUUAAGUAUGCACAUGUAAACUCAGUUUAAGUAGGUUCAUGUAAACUUAAUUUAAGUAGGUUCAUGUAAACUCAGUUUAUGUAAGUUAGGUCAUGUACACCCAAUUUAAAUUUAAGUAGGUCAUGUAAACUUAGUUUAAGUAGGUUCAUGUAAACUCAGUUUAAGUAUGUUCAUGUAAACUCAGUUUAAGUUUAAGUAGGUUCAUGUUAACUCAGUUUAAGUAGGUUCAUGUAAACUUAGUUUAAGUAGGUUCAUGUAAACUCAAUUUAAGUAGGUUAAUGUAAACUCAGUUUAAGUUAACCUUGCCAAUGUAAAUUAAAACCGUAAUCGUACAGUGCAUCAGUGCAGUUGAAGGAAAAAAAUUGAAACUAGCAAAUAGAAGAAAAAAUUCACUUACUUAUAUCCAAUUGAGUAUGGAUGAAAAAUAUGUUGAUUCACUCUUUAAUUUUCAUGGGGAUUGAUAUUGAACAUCAAAUUGUUUGAUCGAUCGCUUUGUGGGGUGAAAGAGGGUGAAACUCACUGGCAAUGAAUAAAAUUAGGGUUUUAAGAAAAUUUAUAUAAAAGGACAAUUUUGGUAUUAUCAAAAACUUUUAAGAAAAUUUGGAUGAUUUACUCCAAAUUUAUAUGUAAAAAAAAAAAAAGAAAAAAACACAUUUUCCUUUUAUUUUAUUUUUUUCAAAAUGAUUCCUAGGCAAAUCUCAUGCUUUGCCACGUGAAAAAUUCACACUUCCCAUCAUCACAACAAACACAUACUUUUGUUCCUGUUUUUUUUAACAUUAAAAAAUGGGGCAAUUGUUGAAUUCAUACAAAUAUUCCAUUUGAAACAAAUUUUCAGUUACAACAACUAUCUUCAUCUUCUUCAAUCAUUCUGCUUCCAAUGGAAAACCUUAGAAACAACAAUUCAAUGACGGAAGAAGAAGACGAUCCCGGAAGUGCAUUAUCCUUCGACUCAACCGAAUCAAGAUGGGUUUUUCAAGAAGACGAGGAUCCAUCUGAGAUCGAGGAUUACGAUGCUUCUGAUAUGCGCCAUCAAUCUAUGUUUGAUUCUGAAGAUGAAGAUAAUGCUGAAAUGAAGCUUAUUCGUACUGGUCCUAGAAUUGAUUCGUUUGAUGUUGAAGCUCUUGAGGUUCCUGGUGCUCAUACUCAUCACUAUGAGGUGUGUGGUUUUUUUUUUUGGUAGUUUUUUUAAUGCUUGGUUUUUGUAUUAAUGGAUUGAUUUUUAGUAAUUAUUAGUGAUUAGGUAUUUAAUUAAAUUGUUUCUCAAGUUGUAUUUGUACUAUAUUAUGUUUGAUUCCGCCUUUUGAGGAGUCGAAAUUGAUUCGAGUAAUGUAGAAUUGUUUUUGAGAGAAGACGUAUAGAUUCUAGAGGAGUAGAAUUGAUUUUGGAAGGGGAGAAAUUGAUUCUAGAGGAGUAGAAUUGAUUUUGCUUGUAGAAUUGAUUCUAGUUGAAGCUAGUAGCUUUAGGGUUCUUGUUGUCCGUUUUGAUUGGCUUAUUUUUGAGUUUAUGAAAAAUAGCUUAUGCAAAUAAAUAAGCUUUUAUAUUAAUUCAUAAGCUCUCACUAAAAAAAAUUGUAUAUGCAUAAGCUGUGUUUUCAUAAACUACCUUGACAAGCUUAUGAAUAAUACAUAAAAACUUAUUUAUUUGCAUAAACUGUUUUGCAUAAGCUCAAAAAUAAACCAUUUUACAUCCAACUCACUUUUACUCAAAAUCAAUUUAUUCAAUAUCAAUUCUCACAACCGUAGAACCAAACACACCUAAGGAGAGUAGAUCAAAUGAAAGAUAACCAAAGGUAGAGGAAGAUCUAGAAAAACUAUAAGAGAAACUAUUAAGAAAGAUUUAGAGAUUAACAAGUUGGACUGAAACCUGGUUUACGAUAGAACAUUAUGGCGUAAUUUGAUCCAUGUAGCCAACCUCACUUGGUGGGAUAAGCCUUGGUUGUUGUUGUUGUUGGUGUAUUUUGACAUGUUUGAUUGUUCUCUAGUAGAAUUGAUUUUGCCUCAAGAAUUGAUUUUAACUUGAAGCCAGAAUCUUUUGGCUUCCAGAAUUGAUUUUUUGCCUUGAAUUUAUUUUUCAACUCACUUUUGCAUCAAUGAUGUAUCCACACAUAAACCACUUUACAUUCAAAAUUAAUUUGUGUCACCGCGUAGAACCAAACAUACUUUUAGUGUAUGUUUACUUCCACUUUUUGAGGAGUCAAAAUUGAUUCUAGUAGUGUAGAAUUGAUUUUGACAUGUUUGGUUGUUCUCGAGCAGAAUUGAUUUUGUCUCAAGAAUUGAUUUUAACUUGAAGCUAAAAAUCGUAGCUUUUGGCUUCUAGAAUUGAUUUUUAUCUUUGAAUUUAUUUUUUAACUCAUUUUUGCAUGAAUGAAUGUAUCCAAACAUAAAUUACUUCACAUUCAACUCACUUAUAGUCAAAAUCAAUUUUACAUAAUCAAUUCAUUCAAAAUCAUUCAGAACUAAACACACACUGUGCUGAUCAUAAGAUUCGUUAUGCAGCUGUGAUGUGAAUUCUGCUAGUGUGUAUGGUUUUACAGUAGUGAGAGCCAAAAGUGAGUCCAAACAUAUUAAAUUGAUUCAACAUGUUUGGGUGAUGUCUAUUGGAAUUGAUUUUUCCCUAGAAUUGAUUCUAACUUGAAGCUAAGAUUUGUCGUUUUUAACUCAAAACGUGAUUUUUACACUCAAAUUUAAUGUUUAACUCACUUUACGCGAAUGUAUGUAAACAUAAACCACUUCACAUUCAAUUCACUUUUAACUGAAAUAAAGUUACAAAAUCAAUUUUUGUCAGUUUUAGUAUUUUUUUGUAUCUAUUUUCUUCAUUGUGUUUUGUUGUUGCAGGAUAUGACCACGGGAAAGAAAAUUGUGUUGGCUUUUCAAACUCUUGGUGUUGUCUUUGGUGAUGUUGGAACAAGCCCAUUAUAUACCUUCAGUGUUAUGUUUAGAAAGGCACCUAUUAAUGACAAUGAAGACAUUCUUGGAGCAUUAUCACUUGUCUUGUACACUUUAAUCUUGAUUCCUUUCCUCAAAUAUGUUCUUGUCGUUCUCUGGGCCAAUGAUGACGGCGAAGGUAUGGUGGUGAAUUUAGUCUUUUAAAGAUAAAAUAUUUCUUUCUCAUUUCCUCUUAUAUACUCUAUCUUUGGUUUUGUUUAUAGUUGUUUUGAAACCAUUGCAGGUGGUACAUUUGCAUUGUAUUCCUUGAUUUGUCGAAAUGCUAAGGUGAAUCUUCUUCCCAAUCAGUUGCCGUCAGAUGCCCGUAUAUCAGGCUUUAGGCUAAAGGUUCCGUCUGCUGAGCUUGAAAGGUCUUUAAAACUCAAGGAAAGGCUGGAGUCUUCAUUCACUCUGAAGAAGAUUCUGCUAUUAUUAGUUCUUGCUGGUACUUCUAUGGUGAUAGCUAAUGGGGUUGUUACACCAGCAAUGUCAGGUUACUUACUGCUCUAGUAUCAUGUAUUGUGUAACUUCUACACAAAUGCUUUUGUCAUAGUAUGUUUAGAAUUCAGAUUGAUAGAUAUAUCAUGCUUGUAAAUUCUGAUGACAUCUUGCUGCUUGUGUUCAUGGCCAGCUGUUGUUUUCAAUAAGCUCUUGUUUACUUCAUAUUGAUUCUUACUUUACAAAAUUUUCUUCUUGCAGUACUAUCAUCUGUUAAUGGCUUGAAGGUUGGGGUAGAUGCAAUUCAACAAGGUAUUGUGUUAACCUAUUAACAAGCUCUUGUGCGUUAAUACCUGCAUUUGAUAUUACCCACAGACACAUUAUGAUCAUAGCAUAUCUUUUGUCUUUCUUUCUACUUAGAAAUUAAUAAUUUUUGCUUCUCCAUUAAUAGCACUAGCUUUCGAGGUAUUAUUUUGGUGUGUAAAGUUGCCUGAACUAUGCUUUGGUCCAUUGGUGAGAAAAUUCAGUUAUGUGUUGAUAGGGUGCUUAUGCUUUGUAUAUUAAUUCAACCUAAGUGUGUACAGGAUGCCGUUCCUAUAGUUUAGGCAAAUCUGGUGGAAACUGGGAAAAAUUGGUUAAAUAUUUCAAUUUUAGAAUUACUUAUGUAGCUGGAUUAAUUUUUUCUACUUUUUCAUUGAUUAUGCAGAUGAAGUGGUGAUGAUUUCUGUUGCUUGCCUUGUCGUUUUGUUCAGUUUACAGAAGUAUGGAACAAGUAAAGUUGGGCUUGCUGUAGGACCUGCAUUGUUUAUAUGGUUCUGUUCUCUUGCGGGCAAUGGUGUAUACAAUCUUGUCAAAUAUGACAGCAGCGUUUUUAGGGCUUUUAAUCCUAUUCACAUCUAUUAUUUCUUUGCAAGGAAUUCAACUAAAGCAUGGUAUUCUCUUGGGGGCUGUCUUCUGUGUGCAACUGGUAAACACAUAUGCAGAAUCAUUGAUAUGGUAGAUGUGAUAAUAUAUAUUCUCUCUUGUCGUGUAUAUUUUGAUUCUAUUGAUGUCUCUGUUUUUCUCUAUUUUUAAACCAAUGUGCUGGUAGCAAUUACAAUGGCUAAUUUUGAUUUUUCCAUUUACUAUCUGAAGUUUAAUGAAAUGCCUACUGGCAUCUAUCAUGAUUUUGAGAUUCAAUGGAGUUUGGGACCUGAGUCUUUCUUUUCUUUGGUGCUUGAAAAAAGAUUCAGGUUUAAGUGCUUAAGUAUUGAUAGUUAAGAGUACCACUGAUCAACUUGGUAACAUGUCUUGCAUGAAUGAUCAAGGAAUAUAGGCUUCAAACCAUAUAUUGUCUUUGAAUUUAAAACACGCAAGAAAUCACCAGACCAUACAACAAAAAGUUUGAAAGCAAAAAAAUGAAAUGUAGUUUUUUAGCUGGUUUACUGUUUUUUUUUUUUUAACGACAAAUGUUUGUUUUGUUAAUAUUUAUGUUGGGAUGGAUGGGUGGCAGCUGGUUUACUAUAUAGGAGGGACUGCAUUUUUCUGUUAUAGCAGUCUGAGUAUGCAGAGACUAGCUGCUACCCAAAAAUGGGAUGCAUAUGAGCACCUGAGUGAUGCAAUGUGUAGCCGCUAUAGUGUUGCUUUUGUGUGCCAUAGAUGAUUCAUUAUUCUGAAUAAAAUACCCUGUCAUAGUGGUGACAUGCAUCUAGUAUAGAAAAGCAGGAGUAUUGAUUUGUGGGUUGGUUAGUUUUUUAUUUGAUUACCUGCUUGGGUAAACAGCUUACCCUGUUAUCAUAAUAAACGCUUAAGUAUAUGCUUGCAUAAGCUAUUUUUAUAGCAAAAGAUAAAAUAGCGUUAAAUUGUUUCUGUAUGUGCUAUAAGUUGUUUACAUAAGCUAUAUUGGAGAACUUAUGAAAAUAAGUUGAAAAAAACACAUGAACAUUGUCAUAAGCUGUUUUCAUAAGUUCUCCCAAACGGUCUCACAAAACUUUGCUAGUAGAUAAGCCCAAAUAAACCACAAUCCAGACAGGCCUGUGAAAUUCAUGGAAAAAUUAUACUAUUGUUUGAGAAACAUGUAUUAUUCCCAUUAGAGUUGGCUGAAUUAGUAUGAUUAGAUAGUGUCGAUAAAAUGGUAGUUUUGAUUCUAGCCAGUGGUCUUUCGUUGAUAGGUCAUUUGUAAGUACCACUGUAAGCUUUUGAUGAGGGAUAUGGGCAUCCAGACCUUGUAGCAAGAGACAAACUCCCCUUAAGGCUGUAUUUUGGAUUGUUUGAAAUAAGAUGAACUGUAAUAAAAUCUUAUGGGACAUAUUGCAUUCUAUUUCAUAGGCCACCUCUAUCUUUCUCUGCUCUUCUUGGGGUAUGUAAUUGAAAAAAAAUAAUAUUUAUUAAUCUUGUUGUCUACCCGUCUACUUUUUAUACAAUGGUAUGAAAAUUUAAACCCGUUUAUCAUAAAAAUAUAUCUAGACAAUGGUGUGAAAAAUUAUUUCAUUCAACUCCACUCUAAUCUAUUCCAUUCUACCCCAUCAUUAAAUAUCCUAACACAGUCUGAUUUUUGUACGCCAAACAAAAAAGCUAUUACAUUAUCCUCCCCAUCACGUUGAUGUUGAGAUGCGGUAAAUAUGUAUUUUUGAUUUAACUGUUGCUGGCAUGCACAAAUCCCAUCCACUAUGAAUUAACAUUGUUAUUGGAUCAUGUUACAGGCUCUGAAGCCAUGUUUGCAGAUCUUUGCUACUUCUCUGUUCGAUCAGUUCAGGUAAUGAAUCAUGUCUAUGUUUUAUCUAUCAUGGCUUCUGGUUGGAAUUCUUUCACAUCUUUUGUCAUAUCAACUUAUAUAUUGAUGAAACUGAUGGUGGUUUGUUUGCAGAUUACAUUUUUAUUUCUUGUUUUGCCGUGCCUAUUAUUGGGUUAUUUGGGUCAAGCUGCAUACCUUAUGGAACACCAUGCUGAUGCUGGUGAAGCCUUUUUUUCUUCUGUUCCAAGUAGGUGUCAGUAUGUUUGCAUGCUUUACAAUGGCUCGUCUCUGCACUUCCCAUAAACUUCGGUGUAAUACUAUUCUUUAUUUGCAGGUGGUGCAUUCUGGCCAACUUUUCUCAUCGCCAACAUUGCUGCACUAAUUGCAAGUCGGACUAUGACAACAGCUACAUUUUCUUGCAUAAAACAGUCAACUGCUCUUGGUUGUUUCCCUCGACUUAAAAUAAUUCACACCUCUCGUAAAUUUAUGGGUCAAAUCUAUAUCCCUGUCAUAAACUGGUUCCUGUUGGCUGUUUCUCUGGUGUUCGUCUGCACUAUAUCCAGCAUUGAUGAGAUUGGAAAUGCAUAUGGUAAUUCUUUUAUUUCAAAAUAUUUAUUUUAUCUUGAUAAAUUUUUCAAAUUUAUCAGCCGCAUGCAUUAAAUACUUGUCAAAUUGUAAGUUUAGUGGGAUCGACUAUGUAGAAUAGAUUGCUCGAGAAGCUUAUGGGGCUGCAAUUAACUGGAAAGGCACUGAGCUUCACUCUUGAUAUUUCUCUUUGGAAAUUCUUGAAUAUAGUCCAAGAAUACUAAUAGUGUCGGUGGAUCCUUGUUUAAGAGGACCCAAUUAGCUUUUGCUGGUUGACCUGAAUUUACACCAGUAUCAUAAAUUUACCUAGCUUAGAUACCAUAGAAAUCUGCUGAAUGUGUGAAAAUGUUCAUUUAGCAGUUUUUCAAACACUGGCUGUAUGCUCAGAAAAUAUGAUGUCAGUAUAGGUAUACAUGGUUUCAUCCAACAAUUCUAUUCCAAAUGGACGAGAUCAAGCAUUGCCUCCUCCCCAAGAUUUCAUAAUGGUUCGGGUGGAAGAGAGGUUUCCCAGUUCCAAGGUUAAGACCAUGGUUUCAAAUUGUGGUCGGUAUCAGCAAUUGUGGCUGCAGUAUUGCUGUUGUAUCCUCCGCAACGGCUUCGCACCGCAAUUGCAGUGGGAUCUCCAGUCACAUGUACAACCACAUCGUAACCGCAUCACAUAAAGUUCAAUAACUAAUAUAUUUUGGCCAUGUUUUUCCGAAUCAUCUGACUAAAAAUUAAAUUUUAGAACCCCGAAUCCCAAUCUGCUUUAGAUCUAAUGAAAAUCUUACCUUAACAAUUUCUCAACUGUGUAUUUCAAGGACUUCCCAACCAGUAUUUACAGAGAAAAUUGAGUCUCUGCUAUGGUGGGUAAGUAGUGUAGUGGGUGAAAAUUUAAAAUUAUUUCACGCCACAAAGUGUCGCAGCAACAACAAUGACUGCGAUCGCAACGACCGCAGCCACAAUUCAAAACCAUGGUUAGAACAUGCGGCAUGCUUCAACAAGUGUUAGGCUCUGAUACCAAUCAAAACCCAAGACCUUUUAUUUGUAUGCUACUCGAUCCUACUGGUUUAACCAAUUCUCAUUGGCAAAACAUUUCUUAUUUAUCCAGGGAAAAGCUUUAACCUCGCGGUUUGAGCUUGUAAAAUGAAUAUGUCGAUAAUAAUUGGAUCAUGCAAGCUUAGAUAGGGGAAGACAGUUUUUUCUUUGGUUCUAACUAAAACACUGAAUUUCUUCAAUAUUGUUGUAAUAUAUUAUAUAUGAAAAUGUAUUUGUUUUCAGCCUGUUCCUUUGUCAUCUUUCAGGCAUUGCUGAGCUGGGGGUGAUGAUGAUGACCACCAUUUUAGUUACUCUUGUUAUGCUUCUUAUAUGGCAGAUGCACAUCAUCAUAGUGAUGAGUUUCCUGGGAGUCUUCUUGGGUUUAGAGUUGGUUUUCUUUUCAUCGGUUUUGUGGAGCAUAACAGAUGGAAGUUGGAUUAUAUUGGUCUUUGCUGCAAUUAUGUUUUUUAUAAUGUUCAUAUGGAACUAUGGAAGCAAGCUCAAGUAUGAAACUGAAGUCAAACAAAAGUUGUCACCGGAUUUAAUGCGAGAAUUGGGCUGCAAUCUUGGGACAAUACGAGCUCCUGGAAUUGGUCUACUUUAUAAUGAGUUAGUCAAAGGAAUUCCAGGAAUUUUUGGGCAUUUUCUAACGACACUUCCAGCAAUACAUUCCAUGAUAAUAUUCGUGAGUAUCAAGUACGUUCCAGUUGCUAUGGUGCCUCAAAGUGAAAGGUUUCUAUUUCGGCGUGUUUGCCAAAGAAGCUAUCAUUUAUUUCGUUGUAUUGCCAGGUAAUAAGUGCUAUAAGUGCAUAUUACUUUUUAGAAACAUGCUAAUAGUGCUAUAGCUUCAAAUCUCCCUCUCUCCCCCCCUCUCUCUGGAAUAGGUUAGGAAACAAUUUGGGAAAAUUUAACAAAGAUAUUAGUAGCUCUUUGGGGUAGUUUGUUAGUUCAUGAGGAUGCAAUAUUUUCAUCUGAGACACCGUGUCUUGUAGUUUUGUGCUGACCCCACUUAGUGGGAUAAGGCUUGGUUGUUGUUGUUGUUGUACCGUGUUUUGUAAUUUUGUCUUUGUCAUUAAAAUGUUUCUUUAUCUUACGUGUCUGAUCUGAACAUUUAUAUCUCACAGGUAUGGUUACAAAGAUGCUCGCAAAGAAAAUCACCAGGCUUUUGAACAGCUUCUAAUGGAGAGCUUAGAGAAGUUUAUACGUCGCGAGGCACAGGAGAGAUCACUGGAAAGUGAUGGGGAUGAGGAUACUGAAUUGGAGGACGAGUACGCUGGUUCUAGAGUUCUCAUAGCUCCAAAUGGAAGUGUUUACUCACUUGGUGUUCCCCUUCUGGCUGAUUUUAAUGAAUCAUUCAUGCCCAGUUUUGAACCCAGCACAUCAGAAGAGGCAGGCCCUCCGUCUCCCAAACCCCUUGUGCUCGAUGCAGAGCAACUUCUGGAAAGAGAGUUAUCUUUUAUACGCAAUGCUAAAGAAUCUGGAUUGGUUUAUCUUCUUGGUCAUGGAGAUAUAAGGGCAAGGAAAGACUCUUGGUUUAUUAAGAAGCUAGUUAUAAACUAUUUUUAUGCCUUCCUGAGAAAGAACUGCAGAAGGGGGGUCACAAAUUUAAGCGUACCGCAUUCACAUCUAAUGCAGGUUGGAAUGACUUACAUGGUUUGACUUUGACCAUCAAUUUUGCAAUCCAAUAAUAUCCCCGCAUUGAACAUCGUUCCAGCUCUACCUUUGGAAAUUGUUUCAACUUUCCUUAUGAGCAUGAGCAUGUGCCGCGGAUAUAUGGAAUUGAAAUAGGCCAAGAACAGAAAUAGACAGAUACAUGUAGAAUUUGGACAAAAAAAAGAUAUAUGUAAAAUUAUAUUAUCAAAAGAAAAAAGAACCUGCAAAUGGCUAUGCACACAUUUCCUUAUGAGUAUGAAUAUGUUUAACAGAGUUUUGUACAUGGGAAGACCUAUCUAGACUAAUUUUAUUUUCAUUUGCAUUAAUUGUUUGCCUGAUCUCUUUUGAAGAGACCUUCUGUUGAUUGAAGCUUAAUUGAGAUUAUAUUUUCUUUUUGAAAUAUUACAUCGUGCCUUUCCCUUGGCAUUAUAACUAUAAAUUUAUGAUUGACAAAAACUUUUCUGACACUAGUUUACUCAUUGGAAUUGAGAAAGGACAGGAGGAAUCAAAACUUUUGGUGGGAUGGAAGUAUUGGUAGAUCUAGAAAUGUAUGUAACUUUUUUUGUUCACUAGAAUGUAUCCAACUUGAAACUAUUAUUAACUAAUCAAUGAAAGAAAAAUACAAUCAGGCACAAGACAAGAGGUGCAUAUCUCAACACUAAUAUAGGGUCCGUUUGUUUCAGAUUUUUUCCCUUAAAAAAAAAUCACUUUUUUCAUUUUUAAGUGUUUGUUUAGGAUUUUUAGAAAAAUCAUUUUAUCAAAAAAAUCUAUUUUGACCCUAAAAUGAAAAGCUAUUAGGAUUAGCUUUUCUCAAAAUCUAUUUUUUUUAACAAGGAGAUAACACAUGUGCAUGUUAUAACUUAUUUUAAAAUAAAAAUAAAAAGGAUUUUUAUGGAUAGUAGGCAAACACAAAUAACUUCAGAUUUUUUUUAAAAUCUCUAAAAAAAAUCUCUAAAUUCUUUUGAUAUAAAAUCCAUUUUUUUUUUUAAAACUGAAACAAACGCAUCCAUACUCCACUACCCCUAUUUCGAAUACAACAAAUUAAGGCAUUUCUGGUAACUGAUUCCAUUAAUCUCUAUCCAAGCCAAACUAUUAUCAAGUCCUUAACUCCAUUCUGCCAAGCAUCAAUCCUGUUGAUAGAUGAUAACAAACACCACCACCAACUCAUUGAUUUGAUGAGAUAUUGUGUAAUGAGUACUGGUAAACUUUCAGGAUAUAAAAUGCAGAUUGAAAGUACAUUUUAUUUAUUGAAGAAUUCCGACACGAAUUGAAAGUUUAGACAACAAAGGCUAGCUAGAAAAUAGAAAUCACUAUUUGAUAAAAAAAAUCGAUAAAAACAUGACUCAAUGAUAACCAAUAGGAGCUGGAGCCUCUUUCAGUUCUUUUCCUUGAUGGUGAAUAUCCUACAAAAAGAUGAACACAACAUUCAGAGCAAAUGAAGAGGAAAGAAAUUAAAAUCAAGAGUGUUUUAAACAAAUUAUAAUGACUUAAAAAAGUUUUUCAUCCUUUUUUUAGACUAAGAUAAUAUAUUUAUAGAGACGAAAAACACAUUUAACAAAAUUAAAAUUGACAGAUUAAAAAAUAAAUAAUUACGAUUGACACUCACCGAAGCAAAGUGAUUGACAUCCCUAUGAUGAGCCUCAUCAGCACGAAUAACAGUGAUAACAUCCUUAAGAGUUGCAUCCUUAGGAAGUCUCCAAUAAUCAAUUGCAAUAGCAGGAGCAGGUACAUUUUCAACUUUACCACUCUCAAUUGCAUUCAAAUGUUGUGUAUAUGAAAUCACAGCUUCCUCCUCUAAAUAACCAACAAACCUGUGUGCAGUUUUUGGUGAGAGUAUGUAAAAAACAAAGAAUGCAUUGAAGAAAACUCCUUGUGCAGUAAUAACCAAAAGCCUUUCAUGCCAACUUGGUUUUACAAGCUCUACCAUUGUCAUCAAAUGCAUCCUCUCAUUCUCUGCUUCUUCAAGUAAUGCUUUGAUCCAACCACCAGUGUGUUGAAAUUUUCUUAGAGACUUCAAGUGUAAAAGCAUCCCUCCCACCAUUGGCGGGACGGCUGCAAUUGUUUCCAGCAUCAUUGCAUGGCAUCCGUACCGUUCCUGCAGCAGUUAUAUUUCAGAUUAAUCAAACCCAUCAAUCAAAAUUCUUCUAUGUAUCAAGUUACACUUCACUACAACACAUCGAAUUACUAGGGAAUUAAAUUUUCUUUUGUUGUCUCAACACUCUCGUUCCUAGCGGGAAUAGGCUAUGGUAAUUUAGUGUUCGGUCCAAAAGUAAGUAAAUUCUAGUAAAAAGUUGUUCUAGUCAGAAUCGAAACAAGUGAAUCAAUAAGUUACCACUAAGAAUAAAUUUUGUUAUGGAUAGAAAUAUAUGUUAUGUAGCAGUAGAUAAGCCCACAAACCUUGAAAUACAAAUCAGAGAGAACCCUUAGAAACUUGACAGAUCUGAAAGCAAACUUGUCCCCAAAUGUUUUUGGUACAUGAUGCUUGGUCACAUCUAUUGACACAUCUGAGCUGUAACUUUCCCAUGGCUGCACCAGACAUCAUACAUAGAGAACAUAUAGUAUGAGACAUUAUCGAAAUACAAUACUGUUAGAUCAACAUUGAAUUUCAUUGAUCUAAUGCUUAAAUCAAAAGUUUUUAUCGAAUAGCUCAGCUCGACAAAUUUGAAUAAAAUUACUUGAUGCUCUAUUGAAUAAAUUCAAAUCAACAUAUAAUAUAAAUAAGUCUAUCUACAAAUUUUAGGUUCAUAAGAUUUUUUUUGUGUAUGAUCAUUAACAUAAAUAAAUUCAACAUUUAUAAUGAAUUAUUAAGCAGAAUAACUCAGUUCAGAUUUACUUAUGCAUACAUUAAUUUUGAUACCUCCUCUAUAUAGUAUAUAUUCUUACCAUGAAACAGUUCCAUGGCCACUCAGUUCCAUCCUCCCUUUUAACCUUGGGCCUAGUGAUUCCCCAGUAACUCGAAACGACGGUGUUGCUGUCAUUACUGUUCUUAUUCUCCUCUGAAUGCUGAUCCUUUUUCUCUGGCAGAGUUGACAUCUUCUGCCAGUAGAAGCUUCCACGAGUGCCACCGCCAUUCUGGUGUCUCGGCUGAACUAUCACCGCAGUUGAGAAGCUGCAGUGAUAGUUGCGACUACUGUGGAACAGAGCUCGUGCCGUUGACCUUAGUAAAGAGUUUUUCAUGUAGAAUGUUUUUGAAUGAGUUCUUGGAUGAAAAUAGUAGCUCAGAAGUCAGAAGUGGAGAUUUAUAACAAGGAGUGGAGAAUAUAUUAAUAAUUUAAUAUAUAGUUUUUGUAUUAAAUUUUGUAUUCGUCACAAAGGGAAGAAGAAAGGUAGUGGAAGGUCUCAACAAUGUGGUUUUGUUGCUUUCCAUGUUUAAUUAUUCGUUAAAUUAGUGAUUGAUUAGUACUUACUACAAAGUUGGAAUUGAAAAUGUUAGCAGCCACUAGCUUUUUGGAAUUUUCUCUUCCUUGAUCCCAUUCUUAAUUAUAAGAUUCUUUAAAAGAUUUAUUUAUCCUUAAAUAUAAGAUGAUCCAUUAGAUUCAUUUUUUAAAUAUAUCUCGUAGGACUACAUCAAACUAAGUUAACUCCAAAAUACUCACUACCCUUAUUUUGAAUACAAUAAAUUAAUUUUACUAAUAAUUGAUUCCAUUAAUCUCUCUCCAAAGCCAAACUAAUAUUGAUUUUACUAAUUCCAUUCUGUGAAGCAUCAAACGUGUAGAUACAUGAUCAUCACCAAGACCACCAAACAAUUCCUUGAUUGGGUGAGAUAUUGUGUAUUGAUAAACUUUCAGGUUACAAAAUGCACACUGAAAAUACAUUUUAUUUAUUGAACAAUUCAAGCACAAAUUGAAAGUUUAGAGACAAAAAAGGCUAGAAAAAAGAAAUUACUAUAUUUUGAUAAUUUUUUUUUGACAAAAACAGUGACUCAAUGAUAACCAACAGGAGCUGGAGCCUCUUUCAAUUCUUUUCCUUGAUGGUGAAUAUCCUACAAAAAGAAGAACACAACAUUCAGAACAAUUUAUAAUGGGUCAAAUAUAUUUAUGAAUUCAAUUGCAUGCAGUCAACAAUCCUUUGCAUUCACGCAGUUGACACAUACUUGACCAUUGAGUCGAGAAAGGAUAUGACGAUCCAUAAUUCAAUGCCCAUUUUAAUAUUUAUAAAAUUUAAAAUAUCGAUCUUAAAAUUUGAAUGGUCUAAUCUCAAUCCAACAUCCACAAAAGGACCGACUGUGUGAACGCGGAGAUUACCUAUCGUAGUUAAUUCAAAUUCUAUAUUUAUAGAGGGAUAUGAAAACAUAUUUAUCACAAUUAUAAUGAAAAUAUGGCAGACUUACAGAAGCAAAGUGAUUGACAUCCCUAUGAUGAGCCUCAUCAGCACGAAUAACAGUGACAACAUCCUUAAGAGUUGCAUCAUUUGGAAGUCUCCAAUAAUCAAUAGCAAUAGCAGGAGCAGGUACAUUUUCAACUUUACCACUUUCAAUUGCAUUCAGAUAUUGUGUGUAUGAAAUCACAGCUUCCUCCUCUAAAUAACCAACAAACCUAUGUGCUAUUUUUGGUGAGAGGAUGUAAAACACAAAGAAUCCAUUAAAGAAAACACCUUGUGCAGUAAUAACCAAAAGCCUCUCAUGCCAACUUGGUUUCACAAGCUCAACCAUUGUCAUCAAAUGCAUCCUUUCAUUCUCUGCUUCUUCAAGUAAUGCUUUGAUCCAACCACCGGCAUGUUGAAAUUUUCUUAGAGAUUUUAAGUGUAAAAGCAUCCCUCCCACCAUUCCAGGGACCGCUGCUAUUGUUUCUAGCAUCAUUGCAUGGCAACCAUAUCGUUCCUGCAAUAAUUAUAAUUCAAAUUAAUCAAUAAUUUAAUUUUGAUACAUUGUGUCGCUGUAAAAAAGUUUCGUAGAGGCUGAACUUGGAAUAACCAAGUCUCUUCUUCUCAUGUAAACCAAUCCGAUUUACUACAACACAUUACAUUGUUUUUUGGUCUUGACAAUCCGAUUUUUUCACGGAAAAAGUCCUUACCUGGUAGUAAUCCAAAGUCGGACAACGGAUUUUUUGGUCUUCAUGAAGCACCCUAAGUAAUUUUUAUGUUUCAUUUAUAUUUUAUAUAUAUAGUUGAUGGAUAGAAUUAUAUUUUAUGUAGCAGUAGAUAUUCCACAUACCUUGAAAUACAAAUCAGAGAGCACUCUUAGAAACUUGACAGAUCUGAAAGCAAACUUGUCCCCAAAUGUUUUUGGUACAUGAUGCUUGGUCACAUCUAUUGACACAUCUGAACUGUAACUUUCCCACGGCUGCGAAAAAAGAUCGUAUGAGAAAUCAUCCAAAUACAACAGCAUGCAAGAUCAAGUAACUCAUGCCCUAGAAUUAACUUUAAGAUAUUGUUUGAAAGAAUUUAUGAAAACAGUCAGUGAUUUUGUUCAAAAGUUGUUCAACUUAUUUUUAUAAGUUCUUCAAAAUAGUUAAUAAAAAUAUUUACUAGCUUAUACAAAAAUAAUUUAACUUUAUUUUACUUUUUGCUAAAGAAAUAGCUUAGUAAGUUGCAAAUAUCUAAAUCAAUUUAGAGUUAAUACCUCUUUCUAUAUAUGUAUUCUUACCAUGAAGCAGUUCCAUGGCCACUCAGUUCCAUCUUCCUUAAGAACCUUAGGCCUACUGAUACCCCAGUAACUCGAAACGACGGCGUUGUGGUUGGCAUCUUUUUUGCUCUCCUCUGUCUGCUGAUCCUUUUUCUCUGGCAAAGUUGACAUCCUCUGCCAGUACAAGUUUCCACAAGCACCGCCGCCAUGCUGGUGGUGUCUCGGCUGAACUAUCACCGCAGUUGAGAAGCUGCGGUGGUAGUUCCCACCAUUGCGGAACAAAGCUCGUGCAGUUGACCUUAAUAAAAUGUUUCUCAUGUUGAAUGUAAAUGUUUUAUGACUAUUUCGAUGAAAACGAAUUGAAGACUUAUAUUUAUACAAGCAACAAAUUUAGGAGUGUGUAUUAAUAAUUUAACAUAUAGUUUUCGUAUUCAACUUUGUAUUUGCCACAAGGACAAGGUAACUCCAAGAAGAAAGGUCGUGGAAGGUUUCAUGUGGUUUUGUUACUUUAGAUGUUAAAUUAUUGAAUUGAAUUUGCAUCAGUGGUUGUUGAUUAGUUGCCACAAAGUUGGAAUUGAAUAUGUUCAGUCAGCGUUGCCACUAAGGCUUUUGUGGACUUUUCACCUCCUUUGAUUAUUAUUGUAACUAUUUUCUUUUUGACUAGAUUAUUACUGCUUCUAUUAUUUUUGUUCAAUUCAAUUCAAUGGUUACUUUCUUUAGCGUGAUGCAAAUGUAACGCAAUAUCCCCAAGGAAGAAGGAACUAGAAUCUUGGGAAUAGUCUAAAUGCUGUUUUUUCUUUUGACUUUAGAGGAAAAUUCAUCAAAGGACGGUUUCAAGAGAAUUAUUACAAUUUACAAUCAAUUUGAAACCACAUUAUUUGUUAUUGCAUUACUUUUUUUUUGAACAAGCAUUAUUGCAGUACUUAAAUAUGUGUUUGUAUUUUUUAUUUUUUUGCAAAUACGUUUUUGUAAUGUUUCUUUUACUGAAUUUGUACAUGUAUUUUUCUUUAUUUUUGUCUUUAUCUACUUGAUAUUAAGUUCAUUAUAGAUAUCUGUUUCUAAAAUGCUGUUGAAGUUUGGAGUGGCGUUGUAUUUUUUAAAGAUGAGACGAAGAAUCAUGGUACCGUGAAAGCUAUGAAACAAAGGUUCUCUAUUUUCACGAAAGUAGCUCUUUUAGACGUGAAUUUGUCUUUUUCAUCGUCAACUCUUACUAUCCUUGGUGGAUAAAUCAGUUUUGGCAAAGAUAUUGCAAUCGUUUGGAGUUUUAACCUAACCAUAGAUUGAUUUACACAAAUUUGAGAAUUAGUGAGAUUAAUGAUCACUAAGAUUAUAAAUAUUUGUUUAAAUUAAUCAUUAUGAGAGCAUCCUAUUCUUUAUUAUAAACUCAUUUGUUAUAAUUAGGUUAGUUUAUCGGUCAAAUUAUAGAUAUAAGUCGACUAAGUUGAUUCACUUAUGAUGUAAAAGAUUCAAAUCUCAUUGUCAGAAUGAAAACUUCUUUAAUGAAUAACUUGUAAGUAUAUUUUUGAGUCUUAAAAUUUGUUGUGACCCUGAUUAACCCAAAUUCUAAUCCACGAAACGAAAUGACAAUCACCAUUAAAAAUUUACACACAUAAAUAGAAGACCCUAACUUUGAUCCAAUCACUUACAUCUACUCUAACAAUUUCAACAUUUUUGUUAGUUGAAUUAAUUUUUUUGGACCGUGUAUAUUUAUUUAAAGGGUCUUGUUAAUGAAUGCUCUCGAAACCUUAUAUAAAGAUUUAAAAAAAAAAAAUUAUUUUAUUAAAAUGUCAAAACAUUUCGAUUUCUAAUGCAUUGGUUAAAAAAAAAAUGUAUUUCGUAAAAAAUUAUCAUUUCCCUUAUCUUAUUUGAAUAAAUGGGAAAGUAUUUUUUUGAGUGUAUCUCCAAAACUGGAAAAACACCUCCCCAGGCUUAAAAAUCAAAACCCUUUCUGCCCAAAACCCAGUGGCAGAGCAUAUCAGAGCUGAGCAGUGUCACUCUACAAAUCUAUAUCUAACAUACUCAACUGCCACCGUCGAUUCUCGAACCUUCCAAUUCUUCCCACCCCCGUCACAAACGAUGUCGGAAUCAAUUUGCAGAUCCUUACGCGACGGCGCGUUAGAAGGAGAACUCUCUCCCACUCUCACUAUCAAAGACACUCUCUCUUCACCUUUCGCAUUCAACGUUUUCUCUCACAUUCUUCUUCAACUUUCCUCACCAAAAUCUCACUCCAACACUGCUAUUCUCAUCGUUGCACUUUCUCGGAGUCCCUCAUUUUAUGCUCAUUUGUUGAAAAACAAGGGAAUCGAACUUUCUUCUUCUAACAAAUGGUAAUUAUGUUCAAUUUUUAACUUCCUUCUUGUUUUAUAUUUCUGGUUUUUACUGUUUACUCUCUAUUAAAAUUUUCAAUUUUCAUUUUUAAUGUGGAGAUUGAAAUGACAUUUAGGCUCUGUUUGUUAAAAAGUAUAGAUAGUUGAUAGUGGAUGAACUUAUAAGUGAAUUGAAUUUGUAGUAAUUGAUUAAGAUAGUUCAAACAAGCUGUUGAACUAGCUGUUAAAUUUAUUAUUUUUUUAUUAACGUUAGAAAAGAUGCUGCUAGAGAGAUAGUUGAGGUAUAUAAUAGAAAAGAUGGUGGAAAAUAGGCUUAGGUGGUUUAAGCCUAUAGAGAGAAGACCUGUAGAUUCGGUGGUAAGGACAGUAGAUUGGAUGAAGGAUAGUCAGAUCACAAGAGGUAGAGGAAGACCUAGAAAAACUGAGAAACUAUUAGGAAUGAUUUAAUGAUUAAUGAGUUGGAUUGAAAUAUGAUUUAUGUAGAACAUUUUGGUGUAAGUUGGUCCAUGUAGCCGACCCCACUCAGUUGGAUAGUAAUAAUUGGUUGUUGUUGUAUUAACGUUACUUGAAGUAGCCUAGAAAAACACAUUAUAAGCUCACAAGAAACCGCUGUUAACAAAGAGGUCUAUUUUGGUCCUAUGAGCUUUUAAGCUAUAAGCUCAAACGUUCAUCUUGCCAAACAGAACCUUAGUUGUAAAACAGUUUUACACUGACUUCCAACACGAAUCCAUUAUUUUGUUAUGUCACCCCACUUUUCAUAUGGUUGGAUGCUGAUUGUGUGACGUGGAAAAAUGGUGGCUUCUCAUUGGAUGUCAGUGUAAAAUUGUUUUACCCUGGCAGAAUACAACCGUUAAACUCUUUUAGAGUUUCAUUUUUGAAAACAUGUAUAAUGUCUUCUCUAAUGUGUUAUGUUGCAGGAUUCAUGUUUUGGAUUGUUAUACAGAUCCUCUUGGUUGGAAGGAUAAGACAAGGAAAUCUGGAAAUGUUACGAUUCCUUCUGACCAAAUUUCACUUGCUACUACUUCUUACAAAUCUGUCAAGGAUAUGGAUAAGUUGUUUUUGGCGAUUACUGAAUUGGGAAGAGGUAUUUUUUGCUGUUAGGUUGUGAAUUGUGAUCUUUUUUCGCUUCAAGAAACAUAUUUAUGUCGCCUAUUGAUUUUUUUUUUCUUUUCAAUUCAUAUACUUGCAGGUUUAGUUGGAGAAAAUAAAGUCCGCUUUUGUGUUGCCAUAGACUCGGUAAAUACCGUUGACUUAACAUAGCUCUGAGUGAAGUUGAAUUUACUGUGUUGGUCUAUUCUAGUCAAUGUUUAUGGCUUUGUAAUGUAUACGGUGAUUGGUUUUUUUACAUGCAUUUAGCUGAAAAUUUUAUGAUUAUGUAACUUGUAAGAAGGAUUUUUUUUUCUUUCAUUUAUUUUCAAGCUAAAUCAAAUAACCUUGAUACAAUAAUCUUUUUAUGAUAUUCUCCAUCAGUUUCUGAGAUUUUUACCUUAUCUAUGACUAGUAGCUUGAGUCACAAACUUGAACAAUAGAUUCUCAUCAUAAGAAGAGUCUGUGUGUUUACAUUGUAGGGGAUUCAUGCUGCUUUAGUUGUUAAUUUAUUUUGUAUUUUAUAAAGUUGCUAAAAAGGUGAUUGAGACUUGAGCUCUUUGAUAUUGUUCUAUCUUUACACUUUUGAGCCCACUUCUGAUCUGGCAGGUAACCCGACCCAAUUUGUUGUUACUUAGUUGAAAAUGAUUAGGUUGAGUUGGUUAGACAGUUAGGAUGGCAGUAGAGGUAUGGUAUCUUGUCAUUUUUGAGAGAAUUGGGGCCUUUGGCUAGGAAGAUUAAGACUCUCGAAGUUCUACAAUAUCUUUGUUAUUGGACAGUUUAUCUCUAUUCAUUUUCUAAUAAAAACCAAUUUGUGAUAAGCUUCAAAGAAACUUGAAAGUAUGGAUGGAAUAUGUCAGUUUGCCUCAUCUCUUAAACUCCCCAGAAAUAAACGAGCCAUUGAGGCAUUAUAAAGAUAUCAUGUUACAACUUAAUGAUGGAAUUGGAAACUUUUUUUUGUGUAUAUAUAUGUAUCUGACUAUCUAACUUUCUUGUGCCCAUUGUCAAAAAAGAAAAAGAAUUUUUGUGCCUGCAAGUUUCCAAAAUUCCUUUUACACUAGAAUUCCUGAGCAAGAAGUUUUACAAUUACUUUCAAUUCCAUUAAUAUUCUAAUCAAGACUGUUCGGUUUCUAUGUUUUUCUUGUAUUAUUUGUUUGUGUAUAUAUAUAAUCCUAAUGGAUUCUUUUUGGAUAUUAUCAGCUAAGUGAACUGUUGAGACAUGCAUCUUUGCAGUCAGUCGCAGGCCUUCUAAGCAAUCUGCGUAGCCAUGGUAUUUUCUCUUGUACUAUUUUGAAUACAGUUUUUUGUACAGUAUGUCUAAUUUGUUUUUAUUUGAUUGAGUAAAUAUUUUAGAGUACCAGAAGUCUAGAAUGUGAGUUAGUUGAUUAUUUCAGUAGAUAAUAUUUAUGGCACGGGUUGGCUUGACACUAACAUUAUCUUCUCUUAAAUCAUUGCUGUUGUAUGAUUGCAGAUCAAAUUUCAAGUAUAUUUGGAUUAUUGCAUUCUGACCUUCAUGAGGAGAGGGCUGCAACUGCUCUUGAGUACAUGUCCUCGAUGGUGGCUAGUGUAGAAUCAGAUCAUCAUUCUUCCGAGAACUCCUUAUCGGAGAAAAACUUUACCCAAGGAAAAUUUAAUGUCAGACUCAAACGCAGAAAUGGACGAGUUAGAGUGACGGUGAUCUCUUUAUUCCUUAUUGCGAACAUAUUUGGAAUUGCUAAUCUUCAAAACCAGUGAACUGAUGUAAGAUCGCUUUUAUUCAGUGUGAAAAGUUUAAAGUUGAAGCAGGAGGAAUCAGCUUUACUUCUGUUUCAGCAGAAGAUGGAACGACCGUUGCAGGCUUACUGCCAAAGGUCAGUCAUUACUCUUUAGUUUCCUGUGAAGUCAUGUCUCUUUCACUAGAAGCAAUGGCCCAACUCCUAAUAGCCUUGUUAUUAUUAGAUAUUUAUUAUUAGUUUUCAGAUAAAAUAUAUCCAUUAAAGAGAUCUUAUUUUUGUUGUGUCCCCCUUUAUAAAAGAGAGCAUAUCAUUCAAUGGUAUUUUUUCUAAGGAAAUGAAAAUUUAGAUGCUAGGUGUGCCUAUUUGAUGCUUUGAUUGAAAUGCUGAGUGCUUCUAACAUUAAAUUUAGGAUUUUAAAUUGUGGGCCGAUUUAGAUCAUUACAGCAGAUGUAAUCUGCCCUCAUAAUCAGAUGUAGUUGCUUAGAGCACCACAACCUAGUUGAUUGUACAGGACAGUUUUUAUGAUAAAAUCUAUCAAUGUGUUAUAUAUAAUUUGCAAUUGGUAUAAUCUGUUUUGAAGAAACAUCUCAUGUGCUGAUGCCAUGCCUGCACAUGCUAAGCACUUAGUUUGUUCACCUUCUCGUAUACACAUGACGGUACUUUUACAGAAUAUACACGUAUAUGCAUCGUAAACACAGUCACAAACAGUUGUAACAGAGACCAAACAAGAUAUGGUGUGUGAUAUGAAGCUGAAAACUUUGCAUUGACCGCAAAUAAAUAAUAGGUUGAAACUUUAUGUUUUUAACAGGUACAAUUCAAUCUCCAACUGUCAGAGAAGGAGCAAGUUGAUAGGGCAAAGGUUGUGCUUCCUUUUGAACACCAAGGUAUGAUAUAGAUUUGUAAUUGAGCCAUUUCUUACGGUGUUUAAAUCAUAUAUGUCCUCUUAUGCCUAAGCUCUUCUCUUUUAGGAAAUGGUGCACCGAUUCAAAUUUAUGAUGGUAGAAGAUCCCUUGAAGAGAGCAGCAGUGACGGGGCACCUCUUUCAAAGGGUAAAAAGGAGGACUCAGACCUAGGUGAGAUUAUAUAUUUUCGUGAUUCAGAUGAUGAGAUGCCAGAUUCCGAUGAAGACCCAGAUGAUGAUUUAGAUAUAUGAAUGUGCUUUAGUUAGUGUCUUAUGUAUUUCUAGGUGACUUAGAUUAGGAUUGUGAUCAAACAAAAUUAUUUAAAAAAAAAUCUGCCCGAUAUUGUUUAGCCAAUGUUGUCAAAAUUGCGCGUUAAAACGUAAAAUUGCCCUAUUUUGAGCGACUUGACUUGCAGUGAAAUCGAAAUACAAUCCGAUUUUGAGCAAUUUGAGUGAAAUCAGAAUACAUUCUGAUUUUGAGAGAUUUGAGUGAAAUCGGAACACAAUCCGAUAUUGAGGGAUUUGACUCGCAGUGAAAUUGGGUAAAAUCGAGGUACAAUUGAGUUAAUUUAUUUUGAUUUUACUCGUUUUUAUUACCCAAUAUUGAAGAAAUUAACUUUUUUUGGGGUUUGUUUUAACUUUUAACUGUUGACAACUUUAGAAACUUAUUAAACUCUUCUCUUUUGGGUAGUUUUUUGUGUGGAUGUUUUUAUGAUUUGGAUUGAUAAUUUAUGCUGUUUGAUACAAGUUACGAGCUUGACACUUCAUUAUGGAGAUUUGGUAUGUUUAUGAUUUAUAAUUAAGUUGAAAUUUUGGAUUAUUGAUGCAUUUAUAGUUUUUUUAGUAAUGCAUUUAUAAUAUUAUAUAAGUAUGUGUAAUUUAUAUAAUAAUUUUAAUAUUAUUUUAGUUUACAAUUCGAUUCCAUCUAGGCAAAACGAGUUCAUAUAAAAACUCGAGUUGACAACCUUAUGUUUAACUCAACUGAAUAAUUCAUCACAUUCGUCAUAUUGUACAGCCUACAUAGAAACCUGAAAUUGAUUUUAUGAUUUCGACAACAUAUCUAUUUAGUGCUCAGUUUUUACUAUUAUCUCUCUGUCACUACGCUCUUCGUUCCCUCGUUUCUAAUCUAUCUUAGCGUGGUUAUUGACCAAAUUCCUCUACGUUUUUGUCGCCGUAGAAGUUUAUGUCAUCGACUGGUCUUCAACCAAACCAAACCUACUCAUAAGUCACAACCAGGCAGAGAUGCCAAACCUACUCACAACCAGGCAGAGAACUGAAAACAUAUGUAUAACAGACCAUUGUGCCACCAUAUUGACAUGUAACAAACUGCAAAAACUGAAUACAAAUCUACAAACGAUUAUACCAAAAUUGGACAGGUAGCAAAAUAAAAACCUCAAUUAUGUUUUAAUUUUUUGCAGUAAAGAAAGCCUGAAUUAUGUUGAUAUAAGAUUCUGUUGAGGUAUUUAUAUGCCAUACAGCAGACUACAAAAUUACUCCAGUUACAAAAUUGCUCACAGUUACAAUCUAAACACCGUAAACAACACCAUAGAGCUCAUCUAAACCCUUCAUAUGAUGAAGAUUGUUCUUUUGACACCGAAAAAUUGCUCACAGGCACCUAAAACACGUCGAACGAAAGUUAAUUGCAGUUCAGGCACUUUUUAAAUCAGUUAAACUGAUUUAAAAAGUGUUCUCAAAAUAUUGGUUUUCGGCAUUCAUCAUUUUCAACUUGAUUUGUACAUAGCAUUCAUGUUUUUGAAAAAUCUGUAUGGUAAGCAAAUGGCAUUUAUGAAUGUCUAGUCUAAUGUGAGAGAUUUGGCCCCCUAAUUGUUCGGUCGGUCCUAAUAACAUAAUAACUUCUGUAUGGUUAGUACCGUAUAUAUCUCUUACACAUCCACAAAUCCAUAAUCAAACACAUCACUAGUUUAGAGUCAGACAAAAAGGAGUUCUUGAUAAUCCUCAACCUUAGUACUUGAUCCAAACCAAACCAUUCAUUGUAGAGAUGUCUUCUGCAGCAAUAACAACAGUACUUGCUUUCCUUAUCUUCACUUUCACAUAUUUUUUAUCCAAACUAUUCUUGCAUCCAAAACAAAAAACCAUCAAUCAUAAAAAGCCACCAGGUCCACCAUCACUACCAAUAAUCGGAAACCUCCACAUAUUAGGCACCCUUCCACAUAGAACACUUCAAUCACUCUCCAAACAAUAUGGUCCAAUCAUGUCCUUACAACUAGGUCAAGUCCCAGCUAUUGUCAUUUCAUCUUCAAAAGCCGCAGAGUCAUUCGUCAAAACCCAUGACAUCGUUUUCGCAAACCGACCGGAACUUGUAGGAGCACAGAUCAUGUCUUAUGGUUGCAAAGGGUUGGCGUUUUCUAAGUACGACUCUUAUUGGCGUAGUGUGAGAAAACUUUGUACUUCAAAACUUCUUAGUGCUUCGAAAGUUGAGAUGUUUGGUCCUAUUAGGAAGGAGAAGUUGGAUGUUUUGGUUAAAUCUUUGGAGAAAGCUGCUCUGGAGGGUGAGGUUGUGAAUGUUAGUGAGGCUGUAGAGAAUGUUAUAGAGGAUAUUGUGUAUAAGAUGGUGUUGGGUCGGAGUAAGUAUGAUCAUAUUGACCUAAAGAGGUUGGUUCAAGACGUAAUGGCUUUGAUUGGAGCUUUUAAUAUGGCUGAUUAUGUUCCUUGGUUAGGCACAUUUGAUCUUCAGGUAAUAUUUUUUUUAAGUAUUCAAAGUAUCUGCAUUGUAAAAUCAGUAUGAUUAACAUAUUUGCAUAUGACCAAAAUCAAAAUGAACUAUAUGUUAUAAAGACUAAAACCGAAACACCAAAAAAGAAAAUAUUUAAUGUUUUCAGUUUUAAAAACAAAUAAAACAUUUAUGGUUCCAUUAAGUUCACUGAAAAUAUUCAAUUAGAAAUUAACGUUAUCAAUUUGACUAUUUGUUAGGGCUUAACACGAGCCUGCAAAAGAACCAACAAAGCACUUGAUGAGGUGUUGGAGAUGAUAAUAUCAGAGCAUGAACAAACCACUAAUACAGACAAAACUCGUCAUGAAGACUUUGUAGACAUACUUCUCACUUUUAAGCACCAAAACAUUGAUCAUGGGAGUGAACAAAAUCAUGUCAUUGAUCGAACUAACAUCAAAGCUAUUUUACUAGACAUGGUUGUGGCAUCAUUUAGUACAUCUGCUACCACAAUUGAGUGGGCUUUAUCCGAACUUUUAAGGCAUCCAAGAGUGAUGAAAAAUCUUCAAGAUGAAAUACAAAAUGAAGUAGGAAAUAAGAGAAUGGUUGAAGAAAAGGAUUUGAAGAAUUUUAAUUACUUAGAUAUGGUGGUUGAUGAAACUUUAAGACUUCAUCCAGUUUCACCCUUCUUACUCCCUCGUGAAUGUAGAGAGAACAUAACAAUUGAUGGUUAUUUUGUAAAGGAAAAGACACGAGUUAUAGUAAAUGCAUUUACAAUAGCGAGAGAUCCUAAUGUUUGGUCAGAAAAUGCUGAAGAAUUUUGUCCAGAGAGGUUUAUUAAUAAGAAAUUGAAUUAUGAAGGACAAGAGUUUGAAAGUAUACCAUUUGGAUUUGGUCGUAGGCGUUGCCCUGGAAUUCAAUUGGCUUUGAGGACUGUUAGGUUAAGCAUAGCUCAAUUGGUGCAUUGCUUUAAUUGGAAACUUCCAUAUAAUAUUAGUCCUUCUAAUUUGAACAUGGAUGAGAAAUUUGGACAAUCUAUACAUAGAGCUCAACACUUACACGCAAUACCAAGUUAUCGUUUGGCAGGUGAUGGCAAGCUUGAAUAGUAGUUCCAAGAGGGACAAUAUUAUGUUUGCAUUCAACAAGGUUAUUACUAGUAAAGAUGCUUUAUUUUUAAUUAGUCUAAUGGUGUUUGUAUAAAAUAUGUUAAUGAAUACUUUUGAUGGCUGAUUCUGCACACAUAUGUGAGCUAACUUAUGAACUACAGUGUAUUUGGGCUAAACAACCUAAUAGUUAAAUGUUUAUGAACUAAAAGCUUAUUAUAGGAAAGGAAGAGAUAUUGCAUUAAAACUAUCUUUACAUAAAUGCCAAUUAUCGUGGUAUAUGUGUAUGAAUUACUUGUAGCCUUGUAGGGGAAUUUUCUCCCCCCAUCACUAUCCAAAUUUAGAAGUGGCAAAACAGAUUUAUCCUUUGAAUUGGUCCGUUUAACCCACCAUUUUAAGCAAAUUGAGUUGACGUUUUAAGUUCAUUCUCUAAUUUGUCCGUCCCAUCUAGCCUGAUGAAAAAGUGGGUUUUGAGCUGCAGGCUUAUGAAAAAUUGUUUCUUUAUUUUUAUUGUACUAUAGUCAAUAAGAAAGUGGCCAAAUUUUUAAAGAUUGUUUUUACCCUUAAAAAUAGUCGGAGGAUUUUUGUUUUAUUCAUACAAGAGAAUUUAAGACAAGAAGCAUAUUUUAUCUAAUUAUGCUCCUUUAGUUUAUAGUUAAAUAUUUACAUAUUUUCUUAAAUAACUAAGAAGUUUUUUUUUGAAGGAUUAAAUAACUAAGAAGUUAGAGAUUUCACGUACUUAAAAAAAAAAAAAGUUUGAGAUUUCAUUCUUUGACAAAAAUUCUAACUCAAUUUAAGUUCGAAAGAACACCAAGUCACCAACUGUACAUGAUUUAUUAAAAAUAAAAUAAAAAGAGGCGACAUAAUAUUCCUAUCGUAGAUGCAUAAUUUUUUUUAGAUGUAAUGUAAUUGAAUAACUACUAUUUCUCUAAUGUUUCUUUGGAGGGAACUAAAUCGUCAAUAUCUUUGGAGCGGAGUUAUUUGCAUCGAAUGGAAUGUGUACUUUUUUUUGCAGCACAAUAUUUGUUUUUGUCAAAACAACAAUAAUAAAAGAAUAUUUAAACCAAAAAUACAAUUAUUUUUUUCUUAUGUGUUUUCAAUAAUUGAUACUAUUAAUGUAACUCUCUGUUAGGGAUUAACACGAGCCUGCAAGAAAACAAGUAAAUCACUUGAUGAGGUGCUGGAAGUGAUAAUAACAGAGCAUGAACAAACAACUAAUGUAGACAAAACUCAUCAUGAAGACUUCGUAGACAUACUACUCUCAAUUAAGAACCAAACCAUAGAUCAAAAGAAUGAACAGAAACAUGUUAUUGAUCGACCAAACAUUAAGGCAUAUUACUAGACACGGUUAUGGCAGCAAUUGAAACAUCUGCUACCGCGAUUGAAUGGGCUUUUAUCUGAACUUUUAAGGAAUCCAAGAGUGAUGAAAACCCUUCAAGAUGAUAUACAAAAUGAAGUAGGAAAUAAAAGAAUGGUCGAAGAGAAAGAUUUAGAGAAGUUAAGUUACUUAGAUAUGGUGGUUCAUGAAACUUUAAGACUUUACCCUGUUGCACCCUUGUUACUCCCUCGUGAAUGUAGAGAGAGUAUAACAAUUGAUGGAUAUUUUAUAAUGGAAAAGACACGAGUUAUAGUAAAUGCAUGGGCUAUAGAGAGAGAUUCUAGUGUUUGGUCAGAAAAUUAUGAAGAAUUUCAUCCAGAAAGAUUUAUUGACAUGAAAAUGAAUUAUGAAGGACAUAAGUUUAAAUCUAUACCAUUUGGUUCUGGUCGUAGACGUUGUCCUGGAAUUGAAAUGGGUUUGAUCACAAUUAAAAUGGUUAUAGCUCAAUUGGUACAUUGCUUUAAUUGGGAACUUCCAUGUAAUAUUAGUCCUUCCAAUUUGAAUAUGGAGGAGAAAUUUAGAUCACUCUAUUCCAAGGGCUCAACACUUGCACGCAAUACCGAGUUAUCACUUGACAUGUGACAACAAGCAUGAUUAGGUUCAAGAAGGAAAAUGCUAUGUUUAAUUUGUAUUCGUCAAAAUAUUAUUAAUUACUAAAUACAUUAACUUUUUUUAAAAUUUAGAUCGAUUAAUAACUUGUCUUUGCGUCUGAUUUGCAGUAGGGAAGAGGGGUAUGUUAUUCAUAUUAUGCAUAGUUGUCCAAUGACAGUUUUGGCUUGGAACCACUUUGUAGAUAAUAAAUGGAAGCUUGUUUCUAAUAGGAAUUUGUUUUACAGAAUUGAGAUGAACUUUUAUAUUGGGUAAGCUUCGGAGUGUGCGGUUAUGGUGCUUAAGGAACCAUUUCCAUAGUAAAAUGGUUUUGACAUAAUUGGGUUGAGAUUUAUACAGGGUGCUGGAAACCAUUAAGUACAUCUAAUAGUUUUUGAGUAUAACUCACAAAAACCAUUUCUAAAUUUAUGCAGGAUCGUAAGGAUUUCUUUAUGCACCAUAACCACGCCAGCUUUAAAGUCAUUUGUUAUUUAUUGUUGAGGUGAAGAGAUAAUUUAGUGCAGUCCUCUUCAUGCUCUACUUGGGAUUUGAAUAAACUAUCAAUUAAUUCUUAAUUAUGACUCCAUCUUCAACUUAGUCUUUUUUUUUUCUUUUUUUUUUGAGAGAGUCUUCAACUUGUUCUUAAACUAUAUAAAUUUAGUCUUUAACAUAUACUCAUUUCUGUCCUUAUUAUAAAAAGAAAAACACUUGAUCAAAAAAAUAAAAAUAAAAAGAAAAACAAAAAAAAUAUCAAAACCAAUGCAAUCAUUAUUUAAUGUAACUUUUUUGAUAUUUUUACAAAUAUACUCUAAUAAAAAAUUAUAAAACAUUAAAUACACUCAUUAAUAUUAAAAAUAUAAACAUUAAAUAAAGGAGUAUUAAAACUUUUUAAACAAUAAAUACACCUUAAAAUUUGCCAAAAAAAACUACAUUUUAAAAGUUGUGACGUUUUCUUAUAAAUAUAACCAUUUAAAAAAAAAUUAUAAUAAGAAUAAGAGGGAGUAUAAAAUAUAUGUCAGUUUAGUCUUUACUCGUAGAAUUUUCAUUUACUUUAAGUAUUGUUAUGAAAUUAAUCUAAAGUAUGGCAAGAUAUUGUGCAACAUCGAAGAGUAGAGAGAAAAUGAUACAGGGAGAACAAAAGAGUAUAUUGUAUUGCUUUUCAAGUGUGUUUUCACACUAAAAUACGAGUAUUAUUUAUAGGAUACAAUCUGAGCAAGUGAAUGAUCAAAGUAAUUAAGGACCAGUAACCAUCCCUUCACUUAUAGGACUUAUAGGAAUGUGGAAGAUUAAGGAUGGACAUCCACUAAGUUAAUUAUUCAUAACACUCCCCCUUGGAUGUCUAUCAUGAUAUGCAUCGUUAAAACCUCACUAAACAAAACCCCGUUGAAAAAAAAUUCUAGCAAAAGUUCUUAAAUUCACUUGAUAGUGAAAUAUGAAACUCCCUGAAGGAUUUCAUAUGAAAGAUGUGUUACAAUUUAUAUAUAUGGCUCACUUGAUAGUGAAAUAUGAAACUCCCUAUAAGAUUUCAUAUUUCACUAUGAAAAAGUUCUUGAAUUCACUUCUGGUGAAUAUAUCUGUAAAGAAUAUAUGUCUUUUAAAAAUAAAUGGUAGACAUUUACCCAUUCCUUCUUUGAACUUUCAAGAUAUCAUUGGUAUAUUAUUACCUAAAGUAAUAUUAAAAACACUCUCUUUUGAACACUCUCUAAUACUUAGAUUUAAAUCAUUGUGGGUGGGACAUCCCAACAAAGUGGUGGGAUAUCCCGUCAUCCAUCUCAACCAUCCCUCAUACCAUGCAGUCAUGGGCAUCCAGUCAUCCACUUAUACAAAAUGGUGGGACAUCCAGUCAUCCACAAACACACCACUCGUUUAGAGAUGAUACCGGUUCUUAUAGCCCUCACUCCUCACUCUUGGUACUUGAAUUGUAGACAUGUCUUCAGCAACAAUAAUAACUACAUUACUUUAUUUCCUUCUCUUCACUUUCACAUGCUUUUUAUUCAAACACUUCUUACAUCCAAAACAAAAAAACAUAAACCAUAAAAAGCCACCAGGUCCACCAACACUACCAAUAAUUGGAAACCUUCACCUAUUAGGUAAACUUCCACAUAGAACACUUCAAUCACUCUCCAAAAAAUAUGGUCCAAUCAUGUCCUUACAACUUGGUCAAGUUCCAACAAUUAUAAUUUCUUCUUCAAAAGCUGCAGAAUCAUUCCUCAAAACUCACGACAUCAAAUUUGCAAGCCGGCCAAAGAUUCAAGGAACUGAACUCAUAACAUAUUGAUGUGAUCCUAAAAAUUAUCUCUCUUGACAAGAAUAAUAAAGUCAUUGUGGAAUAAAAGAACCAAAUUAAUUUUGGGUUCAAAGUUUUAUUUUCGUAGGUCAUGAUAUGUCUGUCUUGUUUUGGCUAUAUCUGGAGCUCUGGAUGUCCGUUUGAGGUGAUCUUUAACUCGUUGGAAAGCUUACGAAAUUCUCUACAUUUCAUCUAUUUGAUUCAAGAUCAAAUUCGGAAUAUUUAAUGGUGUAAAAUGAGUUGUAAGUUGAAAACGUGGUUAAAGUGUGUAAGCUGAAGAAUUAAAGGUGUUUGUGGAAUUGUAACGUCUAGAAAUAAUUAGCCUUCACAAAUCAAUGUGCAAAUGAAUAUGUAACCUCCUCAUGCAUUGAUUAGCCACCAGCUUAGAGAGUCAUUUUGUAACAUUUUAUUUGCAUUAAUCAGCCACCAAAACAUUAUUGUAAUUAGUGGUUGCAUUUCCUUUCAUUUUCUAAGAGUUUUAGAGUCAAAAUCAUCAUGUAAUAAGCUCAUAUAAAUAGAGCACGAAAAUGAUAUGAAAAAGAAGUUGAAUAUUAUAGAAUUUUACACAUAUGUGUAUUGAGAGCUUUGUCUCUUGUGGUUCUGGAUUGAACCAACCUUGAUCUUAUCAAGAAAUCAUAUUUCUUGUGGCGAUCCUCGCAUCCAUAGACUUAUCACUUUCUUGGAUUAGAAAGUGUGGCGUCCCUGUCUAUCCAUUACAUUUCUUCAUUUUUUAGUCUUUUCAUCAUUUCCACCAACAAUAUUCAUAAUUCACUUCCGACGGCUCCGUGACAUUCAUCAUUUGGUAAUCAGAGCUUAGGUUCAAAUCAGGUGUUUUCUAUCCUUUUAAUUUAUUUGAUUUUUGUUGUUCUACAUCAAAGUUUGAAAAAAAAAAAUGUCUCAAGAAAUCCAAGCUUCAAUAGAAUAUUUUGAUAAAGUAUGGAGAGAGAAAAUGCUUGAGGAUAUCAAGAGGAGAUCAAGUCAUUCUUCUCCUCUUAAAGAGUUACAAAGAAAUAGGAGAGAGAAAAUGAUGGCAAUAAUUGAUAGAGGAAUGGCUGAUAUCUCUAAAAUACUAGAGGAAAAUCUCUUUCAAAUCCAAAAUCAUUAUAUAGAGCCUAAAAUAGAUAUUGAAGAAAAAGAGAGUCUCAUUGUAAAGGAAACUCACGAAGAAGAAUGUGAAAAGGAAAGAGAAGAGACAAAAGAAAGUGACGAAAAACAAGUAGAGGAAAAAGGAGAAGAAAAGGAGAAUGAGAAGGAAAAGGAAGAGAAAAAUGUUAGGAAGUUUUGGCCUACUAUUACAUUAGUACCUUCUUCUAAGUUGGUUUGUGUUUUUAAAUGUUGGGAUUCUUCUUCUAAUAUUAUUCAAUUGCCUAACAUUUCUUUAUGUCAUGAAGGAAACAAAGAGAAUGAAGAAACUUUUUCUCAACAAGUGGAAGAAAAUUAUGAGAUUUGGAACGAUGAUCAUGUCCAUAAAUCAAAAGUGGAUGAAAAGAAAACUAAUUCUUCCAAUAAAAGUGAAGAGCUCUCUAAAGUUAAAGUUACAUGUGAUGGAUUCCAUAGAUUUAUUUUUGACCCAGGAGGUAUUCAAGCUAUAAAUUCGAGGUCGAAUUCUCUUGAAGAGGGAGAGUAUGAUGUGAUCCUAAAAAUUAUCUCUCUUGACAAGAAUAAUAAAGUCAUUGUGGAAUAAAAGAACCAAAUUAAUUUUGGGUUCAAAGUUUUAUUUUCGUAGGUCAUGAUAUGUCUGUCUUGUUUUGGCUAUAUCUGGAGCUCUGGAUGUCCGUUUGAGGUGAUCUUUAACUCGUUGGAAAGCUUACGAAAUUCUCUACAUUUCAUCUAUUUGAUUCAAGAUCAAAUUCGGAAUAUUUAAUGGUGUAAAAUGAGUUGUAAGUUGAAAACGUGGUUAAAGUGUGUAAGCUGAAGAAUUAAAGGUGUUUGUGGAAUUGUAACGUCUAGAAAUAAUUAGCCUUCACAAAUCAAUGUGCAAAUGAAUAUGUAACCUCCUCAUGCAUUGAUUAGCCACCAGCUUAGAGAGUCAUUUUGUAACAUUUUAUUUGCAUUAAUCAGCCACCAAAACAUUAUUGUAAUUAGUGGUUGCAUUUCCUUUCAUUUUCUAAGAGUUUUAGAGUCAAAAUCAUCAUGUAAUAAGCUCAUAUAAAUAGAGCACGAAAAUGAUAUGAAAAAGAAGUUGAAUAUUAUAGAAUUUUACACAUAUGUGUAUUGAGAGCUUUGUCUCUUGUGGUUCUGGAUUGAACCAACCUUGAUCUUAUCAAGAAAUCAUAUUUCUUGUGGUGAUCCUCGCAUCCAUAGACUUAUCACUUUCUUGGAUUAGAAAGUGUGGCGUCCCUGUCUAUCCAUUACAUUUCUUCAUUUUUUAGUCUUUUCAUCAUUUCCACCAACAAUAUUCAUAAUUCACUUCCGACGGCUCCGUGACAUUCAUCACAUAUGGUUCCAAAGGGUUGGCUUUUUCUAAGUAUGGUCCUUAUUGGCGUAGUGUGAGGAAACUUUGCACUUUAAAACUUCUUAGUGCUUCAAAAGUUGAGAUGUUUGGUUCUAUUAGGAAGGAAAAGUUGGAUGUUUUGAUUAAGUCAUUGGAGAAAGCUGCUUUGGUGAGUGAGGUUGUGAAUGUUAGUGAGGUUGUAGAGAAUCUUAUUGAGGAUAUUGUGUAUAAGAUGAUAUUGGGUCGGAGCAAGUAUGAUCAAUUUGACUUAAAGAGGGUGGUUCAAGACGUAUUGGCUUUGGUUGGAGCUUUUAAUCUGGCUGAUUAUGUUCCUUGGCUAGGUGUAUUUGAUCUUCAGGUAAUUUUUUCAAGUAUAAAAUCAAAAAUAAAGGAUUAAAUAUCGAAUGUGCAAUUUUAGUCAUGAUCUUUUUAAUUGUACGACUUUGUUCUGUAAAUAUUGUUGUGAGAUAUUAGUCUCCACUUUUAAUCCUAAGCAUCAUCAAACAUCAUGGUUGUUUGUAAUUGAAAAGAGAAUGGUAAAUUGCAUGACACUAGCCAUCAUGAAUAAUUAUGAUGUACGAAUCAAGGGUACUUCUGGUUGGUGUUAGAGGGAGAGGGGGUCUUUAGAGGCCAUGGUCUGGUCCCUCCUAUAUUUUUAAUAAUUUUUUUAUUUAUAUACUAUAAUUAAACUAUAUUAUAAUAUUUCAUAAAAUAUAUUAGGCUAUAGUCCCCUCAAUUGAUUUAAUUAAAACGUUCACCAUAUUAUUAGAUUUAUUGACAACUAGUAUUAUUAGUUUGAUAUGUUAUAUUUUAUUUUAAAUUAUCUCACAUUGUCCUUUCCUCAACAUAUUUUAAAUGGAAUAAAACACAAUGAUAUAGCGUUGCAAAAUAAAAGGUGAUUACAAUUAUUACCUUUUUUGAUAGUAAAUGGAUGGAUAAAUAAAUGUUAAAGACGAGUUAAUGUUAUGCUUAUAUGCAUUUGUAUAUAUUUUGACUAUAAAUUUAGAUCUUUACGAAUAAUAUUAAUAUUUUAUUUAAUUAUAAUAAAUAAAUUAAUAUAUGUGUAGUGGUGUCAAUGUCCUAAGUUAUUUACAUUAAUAGUGUUGACGUGUCAGGUGUUCGAGUCAAAGUCCAUGCUUCAUAGAUUAAGUGGUUUGAGUUAUGUAGGUUUUGAUUUUGUAACAUCAAGAAACUUGAUUUAAAUUUGACUAAGAGUUGUAAAAUGAAUAUUAGUGUCACCGUUAUUGAUAAUAAUUUUUUUAAAUGAUAAAUAACAUUUAAAUCAAAAAUAAAAAUCAUAUUUUAAUUUUGUGUGUUUUCAAUUUUUGUAUGCUCAUAUGGUUCUGUUAAAUUAGGUGAAAAUAUUAAAUUAGCAAUUGACAUUAUUAAUUUAACACUUUGUAUAGGGAUUAACACGAGCAUGCAAGGAAACGGGUAAAGCAAUUGAUGAGGUGUUGGAAGUUAUUUUAACAGAGCAUGAACAAACCACUAAUGUAGACAAAAAUCGCCAUGAAGACUUUGUUGACAUACUUCUUACAUUUAUGCACCAAACCAUUGAUCUAGAAAAUGAAGAAAAUCAUUUCAUUGAUCGAACUAACAUCAAGGCAAUUUUACUAGACUUGACUGUGGCAGCAAUUGAUACAUCUGCUACCGUGAUUGAAUGGGCUUUAUCCGAACUUCUAAGACAUCCAAGGGUAAUGAAAAUCCUUCAAGAUGAGAUACAAAAUGAAGUAGGAAAUGAAAGAAUGAUUGAAGAGAAAGAUUUAGAGAACUUAAGUUACUUAGAGAUGGUGGUUCAUGAAACUUUAAGACUUUACCCUGUUGCACCCUUAUUACUCCCUCGUGAAUGUAGAGAGAGUGUAACAAUUGAUGGAUAUUUUAUAAAGGAAAAGACUCGAGUUAUAGUAAAUGCAUGGGCUAUAGGGAGAGAUUCAAAUGUUUGGUCAGAAAAUGCCGAAGAAUUUUACCCAGAGAGAUUCAUUGGCAAGAAAAUGAAUUAUCAAGGACAAGAGUUUGAAUCUCUACCAUUUGGUUCUGGCCGCAGACGUUGUCCUGGAAUUCAAUCGGGUUUAGUGACCGUUAAGUUGGUUAUUGCCCAAUUGGUGCAUUGUUUUGAUUGGGAACUUCCAUAUAAUAUCAGUCCUUCCAAUUUGAAUAUGGAGGAGAAAUUUGGACUCACUAUACCAAGAGCUCAACACUUGCAUGUAAUACCGACUUAUCGUUUGGCAUGUGAUGACAGGGUUGAAUAGGUUCAAGAAGGACAAUAUUAUGCUUGUAUGCAAUAAGUUUAUUACUAUAUUAAAGGACAAUCUUAAAACCCUCUUUUAUUCUACUAACCCUCUCUCAUCAUGUUUUUUGUAACUUGGUUUCGAAUCCGUACGCGGGUUCGCUGGAUUGCGCUCAUGGUGAGAGUUAGUUUGUUAGGAUUGAUUAGGGUAGUUUCAUUUUUCUGUUUUACACGAUGUAUUUCCGUUUGGGUUAUUUCUGGGUCAGGUGCAAUGUCCCCCCAGCUCUUUACCUUUUGUUCUUUUAUGUUAUUUUAUUUCUAUUUUUGCUAUAAAAAAAAAAAAAAAAGUAUAGUAGGUCUAAUGGUAUUUUUCGAUGAUUCUAGGGUGAAGAGAACUAGACUUGCUUUUCUACAUUUGAGCACAUACUUUAAAUAAUUUGAAGGAGCAUUUAUACUUUAAAAUAGACUACAUAAACAAAAUGGAUGAUUUUCAUACUAUUUGUUAAAAUUAAAAAUUAUUUUUCAAAACUAGAUAUCAUAAACUUUCCAGUAAAUGGUCAGUUGCUUAAUUCUGACACCGUUUUCUAUAUUAAUAUAAUCGAUGAAGUUUAUGAUAAAAUGCAGAAAAAUGUGAGAAAAUGAUCAAUAAUUAAAGUAUGCAUACCAUAUUAUUUAUAUUUUCAUACAGGUUGCAAAAUGAUUUCUGUUAUCAAAAUAUGUUUUGAGCUAUGAGUUCCUUAGAAGACUAGACAAAAUAAGGAACCAAGUUGUGAGCCUCCCAUUUAUGGGGAGGACAAGUUCCAUGUCCCAGCAUACUAACUUAUUUAACUUAAUGUUUUAAUUUACUUUAAGAAGAUAUUUAAUUGCAUUUGCACCCAAAACCAAUGUCUUAGUGUUCAAGAGUUUUAGAGUUUGAAAUUCAUAGCACUAUUUAGAUGAUGCGAUGUGAAGGUACGAACUUAAUAAAUAAAGACAGUGAAAUGUUUGUUGUAAUUUAAACCUUCAACAGGUAAGGGGACCUACUCACAUGCUAAGAAUAAUAGAUAUGUUUGGUUAUAUAUACCGUUGGUGUACACAUCUGAUGCGGUGUAUUCUAUGAUUCUUGUAUACACAGGUCAUUAGUUUAUUACUAUAAAUAUAAUAAUUUUUUGUUUUAAUUUCUCUAAAUUUGUUUUUUGAUUGUUAGUUAUGAAAAAUAUUUUAAUCACCAUUUUUUUUUUAAAGAAAUAUGAUUAUAACAUUUCAUUAAUAAUAAAAGAUUCAAUACAAUCAGGUAUGUUAAAAUAAACAAUGAGACUAGUUAGAAACGUGACUUCUCUUACAAGCACAUGAGCAACCAUAUUUGUUUGUCGCCUAGCAAACUCCAUAGAGUUGGUAAAAGAAGAGCUGAAUAGAGAUCGACAAGAAGAAAUAAUGCAUGCAAAUCCAGAAAUGUCGUCUCGAGUAAUCUUGGAAUCAGUUUCAAAAUCAACAUUAUUUAUCAAAUUGCAUAUCACUCAACCAGUGCAUAGCACUAUGUAACAUGAAUGCUUCACCAACAUCAACCGAGUAAAUACAUGGAAAACUGGCAACUUUUGCCAAGACAAACGCACCUUCAAAAUCCCGAACACAAAUGUCAAUUCUAGUUUGGUUAAGAUUAGAUGAGAACGCAACAUUGAUGUUACACUUAUACCUACCUGACAAAGGACGUUCCCAGCAAUUGGAACCCGCGGGUCCUGUACUGCUAAUUGUAUCCAAAGUUGCGGCCGAAUGCUCCCCACCAUGAGGUUGUUGCGCUUGCUGCUGAGUUGUGGGAGCAGCUAUGCUAGAGGCAUUUGCAAGAUGCCAAUCGUUGACAAGUUCUUUGCACGCUCAACAAUCGUGGCACUUACCUAUAUGACAUCAUCCCAAACUUUUAGAUUACCAUGCUUCCAAAGGCUCCAUAAUGUUGCUGCCAACCGUUGGUUUUGUUCGGAAUAUAAUGUAUCCAAUAACAAAAUGAUAGUUUCAGUUGUUAAAGUAGUAAAUUGAAUAGCAUGUUGAAUAGCUCCCCAAAUAUUUGUCAUAUGCCAUACCUGGACAUGAUCAAAAGAACAAUAAAAAUAAUUAAGUGAGCAAGAUCCUCAUGGUUUGAGUUACAACUAACACAAUGUGUAGGACAUUGGAUUCCUUUAUCAAGGAGACGAACACGAGUCGGUAAGUAGCCCCGGCACAUACGCCGCACUAAAUUUUUAACUUUAGGAGGAACCUUAACCUGCAAAAUUCCUGACCAAGAACCUGGACAACGAGAAUGAGAAGAAACAACGGGCUCGUCCAAACAAAGCGGAUAAUCACUACACACAGAAUAACGACUAUUCUUUUCCGCUUUCCAGAUUAAACGAUCAUCUUGGAACUAGGCAAUAAGUGGCGUGUUAAAAAUCUUAUCAGCUAUAUCAACACUAAGAACCUAGCGAACUACCUCUUCAUUCCAGCUCUAGUCGUAUAGAUUAAUCAAAUUAUUAAUGGUAACAUUCUAACCAAAACGAGCUCCUAUAAUACUUCCAUCAAUACACUCUCCGUCAGAUAACCAAGGGUCAUUCAAAAUAGAAAUAGAAGAGCCGAAAUCAAUACUCCACCAAGCACCUCCACAAACGAUAAAUCGGGUGCGCAGAAUGUUGUGCCACACAUAGCUAGGAUUGUGGCCAAGUUGUGCCAUGAGAUAGGUAUGGAAGGGAAAAUAUUGUGCUUUAAAAAUACAAGCGACAUGAGAGUCAGGUUCCAUAAGAAAUUCCUAACCUUGUUUACCCAACAUAGCCAAGUUGAAAGCGGGGAGGUCCUUAAAACCCAUUCCCCUAUGAACCUUGUGUACUAACAACUUCUCCCAACUCAUACAGCUAAUAUUGCGUUGUGUAGUUCUACCAUGACGCCACCAGAAGGAAUUCAUCAUCUCUUCGAUACUGUUAAUUAACGUAAUUGGUGAUAAAAAAAUGCUCAUAACAUAAAAAGGAAUGACCUGCAAGACAAAUUUAAUCAUAACCUCACGCCCUGCCUUAAUUAGUUAAGCAUUUACUACUCUAGGAAUUAAUUUUCUGCCAAACUCGAUCUUUGAUAUAAGCAAAAGUUGCAUUUCGAUCCCUAUACCAAUCAUAGAUGGUAAACCAAAUAUUUGCCGAUUCCCAAUAUCGCCUGAACCCGAAGAAUGUUAGUAAGAGUCAGUUUGAGAAGGUCAGGAACAUUUCGACUACAAUAAGUUUCAGACUUAGGCAAACUAAUGGCAUGGCCUGAAGUUAAUUCACGUUUAAUCACCAAUUUUAGUCCUUACUUUUAAGUCAAUUCAUAUGUAUCAUUCAUGUUUUUUAAUGAAAAUUACCAAGAAUGUUUACAAUAUUAUAAGAAUCUCUUCAAAAAAAACAAUAAUUUAGAAAGAAAAAAAAAAGAAUUAUAUAUGUAUUUGUAUGUACCAAAAACAUAAAAAAUAAAAUCAUGUUUGUUAAAAAAUUCUAAAUUUGUUUGGAAGAUAUUCUUAUAAUUGUUGAUAUAAAAUCUAAAUCCCCAUUUUUAGUUUUAAAGAUAACAAACUAAUUAAAUUAAACUUUAUUAAUUCUGAUUUUAAUUGUUAUAUAACUUGUGCUCUUGAGUAUCUUUUUUAAGUUAAAGGUAUAAAAGCAUUGUACAAUUAUCAAGGAAAGCAACAAGUUAUGAUGGAGAGAUUGAUCUCAAGCAUUGGUUUCAAAUAUGGAUUUAAUGUUCAAAUAAGGCCAAGCACGUACAGGGAAAUGGAAUGUUACAUUUGAGGAAGCAAUAAAUAUUUCAAGCAUAAACUAUAUCAUGACAAGGAAAUAUUAUUUGAAGCUUACUACAAAUGAACAUAUGAACAAAAAGAACAUAUUUAAUGUCAUGUGCAAAAAUAGUUGGCAUGAGAAUGACCACUAUAUUUUCGACAACACAUCAAGAGUGUAAGACAAAUACAAAACUAUGAACCUUUGGAUAUUCACUUUAUGGUCACCUCACAACAUGACAAGAAAGCUGCCUAGUACAAGAAAAGCCUUUUCUUUGGGCUCAAGUCUUAUGGUACAGCAACAAGUGAAAAGGAAAUGAGCUGUACAAAGCUCAUGUCUCACGUAGCAAGCAACAAAGUACAAAGGAAAGCUUCAGCAGAUUUAGAGAUCGAUCUCAACUUUGAAAGGAACAGUUCCAUCUCAAAGGCUCCCUUGAAUCUUGUGCUGCAAGAAAGGAAGAAUUUAACAAGGGUUUUUCUCCUAUAAAUAGAAGACUCCAGCAAGUGAGAAAAACAACUUUUGAGCAAAAGAAAAAAGACAACAUUCUUUAAGAAUUUCUUUGUUUACAAAUCACUCAAGAAUCAUAUCUUUGUUUUGAGCAAGCAGCUCUUUUGUGUAUUAAAUCUUUGAAGAAGUUUAAUACUUUCAAAUACUAUUGUAAAAGAAUCUGCAAGUGUGCAGAAAGGUUGUAAAAAUUCUUGCUCGUAACGGCAAGUGACUUGACCAAGUGAAGGUUGAAAGAAAGUGUUGUAUAGAUCAGAAAGAUCUAAAAAGAAAGAAGGAAUUGAGAUUAAGUCAUAACUCAAUUACCUAGUGGAAAAUCUCACAAGUAUUGUGGGGACUGGACUAACCCACGUUGGGUGAACCAGGAUAACUCUUUUUGUGUGAUCCUUCUUCCUUAUCUAUUUUUAUUUGCACUAAUCACACACCUUCACUAUAUCUAUUUAAAAUUCCAUUUAAAUCACUAACGUUUUUUUGUUGAGAAUUUUUAAUAGGUAAUUUUUAUUACAUCACAAUUCAAACCCCCUUUCUUGUGAUAAUUAUUUAUCUUCAAUAAUACUUUAUGAAUUUCUGAAAAUUUAAUUAAAAAAUAUGAAGACUACACAAGAGUUCACUUAAAAGUAGAGAUCAGAAGUAUUGAUGAAAAUUUUAAGAAGACUAAAUAUUGAAGAAAUUUUUAGAGGAACUAAAACUAAAAAUUAAUAUAUUUAUAAGGACUAAAAACAUAUUUAACCAUAUCUUUUAUUCUCUAUUCAAAAUAUACCGUAUUAGAUUGCUUUCUUUAAAGAUUAUCGAUAUAAAACAUAAUUAAAAAUUAAUAAUUAAAUAUAAGUGGUUUCAUAGCCAGUAGUAAUAUAUUCAUUUUGAUGUCUUAAAAAAAAUAUUAAUAAUUAAAUAUAAAUAUAAAGAGAAAAGCAUUUCUUUAUGAUGGGAAAGAAAAAAAAAUGUAUCAUGUGUCAAAACUCAACUCAUUUUAUUUUUCAACAAUAUUCUUCUCAUAUAAUUGUAAUGUUUAUACAUUUUAUUUUACCAUCAAUAUUCUUUUUUUACCGCCAUGAGAAUUACACCGACCAAGGAAACAUGUGGUCCCCGCCCAUAUCGCCAAAAUAACGUUGUCCAUUCUUUUUUUAAUGAAAUACAUGUAGAUUUGACUUUGUAUGGAGAGGUGGAGUUGUGGGACGCCUCAUCUAUGUUAGCUUGCUCACUACUCUCCACCUCAUCCACAUUCAGUCAGUCACCCACUACCUCAUAUGAUCAACUCUAUAAAUAUGGGGAUUUCCGGCCUCCAUAAUUCAUUCACUCCUUCUUACCAAAAAAACACUAAUAACCUAAGAGCUCCUCACUGUCAUCACCAUGGCCAGGAGGGUCUCUACUACUGUACACAGAACAAGUACAUUUUUAAUUUAUUUUUAGGCAAAUUCUAUGGUACACCUAAUAUAUUUGAGUGUAUCAGUACACUCACUCUUUAAAUUAAUGGUUAAAUGAGUUGUAUUUUGAAGAAAAAUAUUAUUUUCUAUCAUUUAUAUUUAUAAUAACUAAAUCUUAUUCGUCAGAAGUGUUAACGAAAUAAAAUUAAUUUUUUUUUUGAAUUUUUAGCACUCAUAAUUGAGAAUAUUGAUUAUAUUUUACGAUUAUAUGUAAAAAAAAUUAUUAUGAUUCCUAUAAACAAUGAACUGAUGUUUUUUCUUAUGAAAUAUAAAUAUUGAUAAAUAGUUAUUUAUUUCAUAAAAAACGAUCGUUAAUUUAUAAAAUUAUGAAGAAAGAGUACCGGUACACCUCAUUUUAUGAGUGUACCGUAAAAGUUCCCUUAUUUUUAUUGGAAAAAGGAAAUUAUUAAUAAUGGUGACAUCAAUGAACAUAUUACAAUUGUCCCACGUUGGGUUUGGACCAAUAUUUCAUUUGUGAUUACAGUAAAUCUCUUUCCACAGAUGUUGGACAUAAUAUCAAAUGUAAUAAUCAAACAUAUACUCUCUCCGUCCCAAAAUAUAAGCAAAAAUAGUUUAAACCAAAUACAUUAACUUUUGUUGUCUAAUUUUUGUUUACAUUUUGGGACGGGAAGAAAUACUCGUUUAUAAUUAGAAUAUUUUAUUUUAUAUAAAAAAAUGAUCAUUCAAAUUGAUUGUGUACAUCCGAUACAAACAUAAAUUCAGCAUUUCUAAAAAUGAAAAUAAAUUUAAGAAUAAACUCACAUCAUCCAAAUUAAUACCAUAAAACAACAACAAAAAUUAUAAAUAAUGUGACAAAAUUAAAGGAAUUGGAAUAUUCAUGUAUUCAAAUCUGCAAUUGACGACUUAAUCAUUUGUUGAAUCAGAAAUUGUUUGAAGUUGAUAUGUUUAUCUAAGUCAAAUGAACACUACACCCAGAUGAAAAUUCAAACAAACACUACAUCAAAACGAGAAAUCAAACAACGUCGCACUGAGAUGACGAAAUCAUAAAAGAAACUUAGGAAAAAUAUGUACUUUAUAGAAAUAUCUUCAAGUUCGCGCAUUGUACAUCUUUGUUUUUUUCCUUCAAAUCUGUUAGAAUAUUCCUAGGCGCCGCCAAACUCUUUGUCAUGUCGAUAACCUUUUCUUCUCCUCCGCUUUUAGUCUACCUGCAAGAAGGUGGCCGUCUAACUUUGGCGCCAACUCAUGGUUGUGCAUUCCACAAAGCAUUGCAAUCCACCAAUCUUUUGUAUCCUUAUCAAAGAAACCUUGCAACCUAAGCGAACAUUCCCAUUUCCUUGAGCCCGUGUCUUCAAGGUUUGGUUUCUUCCUCGUCUUAGGUGGCUUGUAUUCACCACUGCUUUCACAUUGUGUCGUCAAAUAUGACCUUUUUAAACUAGAUUUAUCUAUAAAAAUAGUAAAUCCGGCCCUUGCCACUUGUGGCCAACCUAACCAAGUAAAUCUUCUCGGUCUUUCCAUCUUUUAUUUGUUGUAAAAAACGAGUCGGUGUCUACUUCAAUACCACGAUCAUUGGUAGCCAUUUGUCAUGGUCUGACCUCUAUAAUAUAUUGUCUACAACAAUCACUAUAUACAUGUAAUUUUUUUUUUUUUAAAUUCAUUAAAUAAUUAUUAUAUCUAAUUUAUUUAUAAAUGAGAUACAUUAAUUAUUCAAUAAAACUAAAAAAUUAUUUUUUACUUGUAUAUUUAACCGACUAAGAAUGGAAGGUGGAUCCAGUUUUUGAGGGAUGAAUCCAUUCAUCUGCAGUGUCUACCUUUACUUCUUCAAUUUAAUUUCUUUGUAUAGUUAGUCUUAAAAAAGUUAUGUAGCGAAAUAGUUCAAUCUAUUUGAAUUAAUGGUUUAAAGGAAUUAAGGAGUUAAAAAUCUUGGUUCAAGUCUUAUAAGAAAAUAAAUUAACAUAGGCUUAAAUGCUCUUUUGGUCCCUUAACUAUUUAAUUGGUAUCGCUUUGGUCCAUUAACUAAAAAAAAGAUUGUUUGAGGAUUUUAAAUUUUUUUUAAGUCUCGUUUUGGUCCCUUCGGUUAGGUUUCCGUUAGUUUUAAUAAAAAACGUUAAGUGUGGACACAUGUCACCUUGUCAUUGGUUCUGAGAUUUUUUUUUUACAAAAAAAAUAAUAAUUUUUUUUGUAAAAAAAAAAAAAAAAACUCAGAGCCAAUGACAAGGUGACACUUGUCCAAGAGUUAACUUUUUUUAAAACCCUAACGGAAACCUAACAGAAGGGACCAAAACGAGACUAAAAAAAAACUUAAAGUCCUCAAACAAUCUUUUUUUUAGUUAAGGGACCAAAGCGAUACCAAUUAAAUAGUUAAGGGACCAAAAGAGCAUUUAAGCCAAUUAACAUAUUUGAUAUUUGUCAUUUUCUUUGAAGGAUUGAUAUUUGUCAUUUAAAAAUACUUUCUAUUAAGGAGAAAAAUACUUCAAUUAACAUAAUCAUAUUUUAUCAUAUCUUCUUGAGCUUAGCUCAGUUGAUAGAAACAAUGUAUAAUAUAUGCAAGGUUUGAGUCAAACCUCGACCACCACAAAAAAUAAAUCAUAUUUUACCAUCACGUCAUUUUAUUAUAUUAGUUUACUGUAAAUAUAUUUUAAAAGAAUUCAUGAAAAUCCCCUAAAAAAAGAAUUCAUAAAUCUUCUCCUACAUAAUAUAAUAUAUAUAUUGUAAAACAUGAUUCAACUUAUAUGUAAGUUUUUGUUAACGGAAAGCGAUACCAAUUAAACAAAUCAAAAUUAUUUGUUUCCACCUUUAUUUAACUAAUAAUUAUUCUAUCACUUGCACGGCUGCACCAUCUUCAAAUCCUCAAUCAAGCAACACUAAUAAUUCUUUAUAGUUCUCAUCCUUAGAACUUAGAUCCAAAGAAUUCACUGUAAACAUGUUUUCAACAACAAUAAUAAUUCCUUUCAUUCUCUUCACUUUCACAUACCUUUUAUUCAAAUUCUACUUACGUGAAAAACAAAACACCAUAAAUCAUAAAAAACCACCAGGUCCACCAACACUACCAAUAAUAGGAAACCUUCACAUGUUAGGUAAACUUCCACAUAGAACACUUCAAUCACUGUCCAAAAAAUAUGGUUCAAUCAUGUCCUUACAACUUGGUCAAGUUCCAACAAUUGUUAUUUCAUCUUCAAAAGCUGCAGAAUCAUUCCUCAAAACUCAUGACAUCAAUUUUGCAAGUCGGCCAAAGACUCAAGCAUCUCAGCUCAUUUUUUAUGGUUCCAAAGGGUUGGCUUUUUCUGAGUAUGGUCCUUAUUGGCGUAGUGUAAAGAAACUUUGCACUUUGAAACUUCUUAGUGCUUCAAAAGUUGAGAUGUUUGGUCCUAUUAGGAAGAAGGAGUUGGAUGUUUUGGUUAAGUCAUUAGAGAAAGUUGUUUUGGUAGGUGAGGUUGUGAAUGUUAGUGAGAUUGUAGAGAAUCUUAUUGAAGAUAUUGUGUAUAAGAUGAUAUUGGGUAGGGGUAAGUAUGAGCAAUUUGAUUUAAAGAAGUUGGUUCAAGAAGGAAUGGCUAUGCUUGGAGCUUUUAAUCUGGCUGAUUAUGUUUCUUGGUUAGGUCCUUUUGAUCUUCAGGUAUGUGUGUAAAAGUUGAAGAAAUUAGUUACCUAUUGACUUGAUUUUAUUUUAAGUCUCUUAAGUAUCGUAGCUGUACAUUUUUCAUUGGUCACUUUAUUAUAUUGCACAGUUUUGGGUCCUUCAUGUUUUUUCCUCUUAUGUAUUAAUUGAGGGGUCCUUCAAUAUUUUAGUAUUACAAGGGAGAAAAUAGGGAAGAAAAAAAAAGAGGAUCAUGUAAUUGAACAACACAAUAACACUAGGACACAAUAACACUAGGGUUACCGUCUUUUUUUUCUUCUUUCAAAUAUAUACGUAUGUGAAGAAACUAGACAUUGCAAGUUUAAAUUUAUGUUCUAAGGUGUUCCACAAAUCCUGCGUUAACUUGUAACCUCGUACAACUCGUACAAAUUUACGUUUUUAUGUGUCAAAAAUAUGUUAAGAGCAUGUUUGGCCCUGCUUAUUUGCCACUUAUCUUUUACUUCUAAAGAGAAGUGGGGCCAAACAUAAUUUUGAUAAAGCUCUUAAUAAUAGAAGUGACUUUUUUGUAAAGAAGGAAAUCCAACAAAAGUGACUUUGAAAAUAAGAUAAAAAAAUGAGCUUUGAGAGUGACUUUUCGGAGGUUAUACCUGCUUUUCCUCCUUCGAUUCCCGCAAGCCACUAUAUUUUUUAUUUUAUUAUUAUUUCUGGCAAAUCGGAGGUAAAUUUGAUUUUUGGUGAAAUUGAAUGUUUGACAAGUUUGACCAAGUUAACACAUGUUAAAUUCGGUAAAUUAGAUCGAGUUUAUGAGUUUACUUUUUUUUUUGGCAAACACUUUUUAUAUUUUUUAUUUUUUAUUUUUGGUCCCACUAUGUAAAUCUUAGAAAAUCAAUGUCAUGACGACCAUGUCCCUUAAUUAAUUCUAAAUUUGAGUAAAAAUAAUGGACUACAUAAAGUGACAGAAAAUGGAGGGAUUUGAGGAUUUGUGUGUUGACUUUCACUUUAGUCUCUAGAUCCAUGUUACACAUCCUUGUCGGCAUUUAACGGUCAAUUUUAACGUCAAGCACUAAACUAACCAACGGAGGUAAACAUCCGGGGACCAUUUUGCAUUUUAUCAUAAGUCAAGAUUAUUGUAACAGUGAGGUGCAAAGUCAGAGACUAAAAUGAUUAUUUCUUCAUUUUUUUAUUGUUCCAGUAAGGUAUGUAAAAAUAUCCAAUUAGUAAUUGUCAUUCUUAAUUUAACACUUUGCUAGGGAUUUACACGAACCUGCAAGAAAACCGGUAAAGCACUUGAUGAGGUAUUGGAGAUGAUAAUUACAGAGCAUGAACAAAGCACUAAUGUAGACAAAGUUCGUCAUGAAGAUUUCAUUGAUAUACUUCUCUCAAUUGUGCACCAAACGGUAGAUCCAGAAAAUGAACAAAGUGGUGUUAUUGACAGAACUAACAUCAAGGCAAUUUUACUAGACAUGAUUGUGGCAGGAAUUGAUACAGCCACUACCACGAUUGAGUGGGCUUUAUCUGAACUUUUCAGACAUCCAAGAGUGAUGAAAAAGCUUCAAGAUGAGAUACAAAAUGAAGUAGGAAAUAAAAGAAUGGUCGAAGAGAAUGAUUUGAAGAAGUUGAAUUACUUAGAUAUGGUGGUUGAUGAGACAUUAAGACUUUACCCUGUUGGACCCUUAUUACUUCCUCGUGAAUGUAGAGAAAGCAUAACAAUUGAUGGAUAUUUUAUAAAGGAAAAGACACGAGUUAUAGUAAAUGCAUGGGCUAUAGGGAGAGAUUCAAAUAUUUGGUUAGAAAACGCUGAUGAGUUUUAUCCAGAGAGAUUUAGUGAUAAGAAAAUGAAUUAUCAAGGACAGCAAUUUGAAUCUAUACCAUUUGGUUCAGGUCGUAGACGUUGUCCUGGGAUUCAAUUGGGUUUGGUUACGGUUAGAUUUGUUGUAGCUCAAUUGGUGCAUUGCUUUAAUUGGGAACUUCCACAUAAUAUUAGCCCUUCCAAUUUGAAUAUGGAAGAGAAAUUUGGAGUCACUAUACCAAGGGCUCAACAUUUGCACGCAAUACCGAGUUAUCGUUUGGAAUGUGAUGAGAAGCUUGAAUAGGUCCAUAAAGGACAUUAUUAUGCUUGUAUUCAACAAGUUUAUUACUAGUAAAGAUGUUAUAAGUUGGUCUAAUGGUGCUUGAAUAGAAUAAGUUAAUGAGUAUUGCUAGUUUUUAUUAUAUGUUAAUAGCCAACAUAUGAAUAAAUUAGGAGUGAAGAAAUUAGAGAAAUUAUCAGUUAAUUGCUUAUUGAAUAAGUGUUUAUCAUACAAGUGUUUAUGUAUAUGAUCAGUUAUUCCAAUAAUUAAAGUGAUAAUCCGGUCCACUAUUUUCAACUAACUUGUAACUGAUUUUCUUAAAUUUGUCAUAGAGUGCUAAUUCAACCUAUGACAUCAGGUUCACAAUGGUAUGAAGAAUUAGUUCACUGGUUUAUGCUUGCUUUGUAAUUGUUUUUAGAAAUUUGAAUUAAUAAUAGUCUCAAUUUUAAUUUCAUAAUAAUCAUGAGUAGAGAAUAAUGCCCAGUACCUUAUUGUAAUGAUACCAAAGUUUGGGUUUGGAAUCUCUCCGGUGGUCACACGAGAGUCCAGUGAAAUCUUGUCCAUUAAAAAUUAAUGUAUAUGAGAAUUUUAAAUGUUGAAAAUAAAAGAGAAGACAAUUAAUGGUGCAGAUUGUAUCACUGCAGAAAACUGGAGAGAUUUUCACAGGAGGAAAUCCAUUUCCCCAAAAUUUUAUUUGGAUUUGUUAGUUCAAGACAACUUUUAGGUUGUGAAAGUAUAAAUACAGAUUUUCAUGCAAUUAUAACAUAAGGGAUGCCUAAAAUUCUAGAAAUUAGAGGAACAAAUAAAUAAUUUGAUUAGAGGAAAUAUUGGAAGUAGUGUUUUCAUAGUACUGAAUAGUUUGAUUCACCAUAAAAAACUCCAUCAAUUUUAAAAAUUUAUCAUUAGCUGAGUUAAGGUUUGUAUCUCUGUUUCUUUGAUUAACUUCAUCUUAUUUGUCGUUCUACAAUCUCCAUAGUAACAUUCUAGUUUUGUUGUCAUGUGUGAUAUGUUGUGUUAAAAAAGCUUUAGAAUUUGAAGGUCUACCUCAUUUCUAGAAUUGAUAUUAGCAUGUUUGUGCAAGCGGUUGAUUUAUCAAUUCAGUGAUAAAAACCCACGUUUGAAGAGAAGCUACCUUUUGAAGCUUCUUUAAAUCACGUCUUUCCAGCACACUGGCGGCCGUACGUACGUCCGCUNNNNNNNNNNNNNNNNNNNNNNNNNNNNNNNNNNNNNNNNNNNNNNNNNNNNNNNNNNNNNNNNNNNNNNNNNNNNNNNNNNNNNNNNNNNNNNNNNNNNGGAGACAUCCCAGACACUUGGCAUGAUCAUGAUUGAACAGAGAAGCUUUGCACAGCUUGAUGUGUAGAGGUACCAGAGGAGUUGCGACGUUGCGGACAUCAAGUCUCGGAGCUUCUUCACACACUUCGAUCAUAUUCACAGCGGCAUGAUUUGGUAGCGGAUUGUCGAGGACAUGUGGGACAUUAUUCUCAAAAGUCAGCUUCCCUUGAUCGAUGAGCUUCUUCACGAUAUACUUCAAAGCAUAACACCCCUCGACGUCAUGACCCAAGGCACCUUGAUGAAAGUCACAUUUGAGAUCAGACCUGAACCUUGGAGGCAACGGAUCAGGUGGGGGCUUACCCUGUCUAGUUGUACAAUGACCUCUCUGGAGUAGAGUUGGAAGAAGUUCUGCAUACAACAUUGGUAUAGGAGGGAAGGUUGGCCUGGCUUGCUGAUUUUGUUGUUGUUGUUGAACCGGCAUCUGUUGUUUCAUCUGUUGGGCAAUUGCAUUGACGGGCACUUGAGGCUGGCCCGGCGGCAAAGGGUACUGAUGAUAAAACGGUGGGAAGAACGGAUGCUGAGAAUACGGCAUAUAUGGGUAUGACGGAGGCAUUUGAGCUGCAUUGAUAGGAGCAACAGUAGCCAUUGAUUGCCCGGCUCCAGCUGACACCAUCCCCACUUCCGUUUCUUUCUUUUUGUGGUGUCCAUUACCAUAUCUCUUCGACGCAUUCACAGAGGAUUCAGCUUUCUCAAACACGAUGAUUCCAUCCCUUACGGCUUCCUCAAGACGGGUUCCCAUGGUGACCAUCUCCGAAAAGUUGUUCGGGGCAGCGAUGAUCAUCCUCUCAACAUAAUCUUUCUUCAACGUUUUUAAGAACGUCUGGGUCAUUUCUUCCUCAUCUAAAGCAGGAGUGAUACGGGCAGCCGCCCCUCUCCACCUUUGCGCAUAUUCACGGAAACUUUCCUCCUUCUUCUGAGAUAGGGACCUGAGAAACUCCCUAUUUGGCCUCAGUCGAGUGUUAAACCCAUAAUGGCUCUUGAAAGCGGUGGCUAACUCAUCAAAGGUAUGGAUGUCAUUCUUACUCAAACUAGUAUACCACUCUGCGGCAUCCUCCAUCAGACUAUCCUGAAAACAGUGGAUCAUAAGGGAAUCAUUGUCUUUGUAAUUGCCCAUCUUCCGGACGUAUUUGAUGAUGUGAUUUUGAGGACAAGUUAGCCCGUUGUACCGGUCGAAGUCCGGAAUCUUGAACUUUUUAGGAACAUCCACUUUUGACACUAAGCAAAGGUCUUGAGUUUUGACAGAGUUUGCACUCCCUCGAUUGGCCUGGAUCUCGUGACGGAGUUCUUUAGCAAGUUCCUCCAUCAUCUCUUCCAUAGUCUUGGUUACGGGGAUGCUUCUGUGCUGUGUGUUGACGUUAAUACCUUGAGGCAGAGUGUGUACCAGAGGCUCAGUGACAGCUGCUGUUGUUUGUGGCAAAGUAGCAAUGAUGGAGGCGGCAUUUGUUGCAGGGAUCAGAACAUUGUUAGCAGUGCCCGAGGUGCUUGCUGUAGCAACGGGAGUGAAGAACGGUGGAAGCCCAUACGGAAACCCCACUGGCAUAGUAAAGCGGUUGUCUGCAGAAGUGGUAGGGAGCACGCUUGUAGUUACUGGUGCAGCUGUGGUUGUAGGGAUAGCUGUAGCUGAUUGCUCUUGAGCAGCUAGUAGAGCAGUCAUGACGUCAUUAGCUUUAGCCAAUUCCUCCUUUAGAGAGGCCAACUCGGUGCGAAGCUGAGCGUUCUCUUCUUCCAUAGCCCUUUUCUUUCUUCUGUAUUCUCUGGUUCGAUCAAUUCUAUCUGGUUCGUAAACUCUCUGAGCACGAGCCACUUUUCACACUGUGGCAGAGGAACCAGGAGAUAGUGAGCACUUGGAAGCCUUUGUGACCAAUGCAUGAUGCAUAUGAUGCAUGAUGUGCAAAUGCGAAUGCAAAAGACUUAUUUUUUUUCAUCGAAGGAAUUUUGAACCAAUUAGAAAUCUUUGCAAAUAAUCAAAACUACAUAGUAUUUUUUUUUAACAGGAAGACUUUGAAAUUUCAACAAGAUAAACACAUGGAGUCCUCAAGCAUAGGAAGUAGUCGGAGGAUCAUCGGACUCGGAAUCUGAAUCACAGUAUCUGGCAAAGAAGUCUCGUCGUCCUCGGGCUCUCUUGGAAUCCCUCAUAAGCAGCUCGUCUUUCUCUUCUAGUUCCCUCCGGGCCUUAGCUAGCUCUUUCUUCAACAUCAGAUUCUCAUGAGUCUUCUGCUCAUCUCUACCAUCCAAAGUCAUGAUUAGAUUCUCGGCUUGAUUGUACCGAGCCUUCCACACUUGCUUCUCACGACUCUCCAUAGCUAGAUGCUCCUGAUACAUAUCCUGAGUCGCGGGGAGCAAAGGUAGAGGCAUAGAUGGGGUAGAUGAAGACACAUAUCUCAUAGCUGGAUAAGGCAUACCAAUCUCCUCAGCUCGAUCUAUCACCCACUGGGUAUAGGCCUCAUGAGCGACACCGGAUCUCACACCUAGAUGCUUCACACUCUUCCUUCGAACCUUGGACCAAGCAUCCACGAAAGCUUUCCUUUGUCCGGUAGGAGCAUUCGUGUAGAAGAAGAACUCUGGAGAUGUGGCAAGAUUGAUGGGCUUCGACUUCAUAGGGAAACCAAACUGUCUCAUAGCAAGCUCGGGAUUGUAGUUGAUUCCUCCACGAGUACCAAGAAGAGGUACAUUGAGAAAGUCUCCACAACCCAUAAUGAUUUCCUUCACUUGAGCGGCAGGAGUGAGCCAGACGACCUCAUCAGGAGUGAGAGCCAUAAUCCGCUGAGAGUAGGACCAAUUUUCCGAGUUAUCAUGGAAGGAACUCGGAAGGUGCGAAAUAAACCACCUAUACAAAAGAGAUGUGCAGCAAAGAAUAUACCCACGGCCCUUGAGAGUCCUGUCAUGAAUGGCGUGGUAGGUGUCCGCUAGCAAAGUAGGAACCGGGUUCUUAGAAUGAAAGAUCUCGAUAGCAUUCAUGUCCACGAAGUUGUCAAGGUUCGGGAAGAGAAUGAGCCCGUAGAUAAGCAAAGCAAGAAUAGCCUCGAGUGUGUCCUGGCGAGUGGUACCGAGAUUAGCCUGAUCAAGAAGAUACUUCGAAGUGAAACCCCGGAUGUGAGACUUGGUAAUAAGAUGGUUGGAGACGUCGGAAGUCUUGAGGUAGAGAUCCUUAGCAACAACCAGAGGAGUAAGAGGAGUCCCGGGACCGGCGAAAGGCGUCUUCUCGGCUAUAGGUAACCCCACUAGAUUGGAGUAAGCCUCGAGAGUAGGAACCAACUGGAAGUCCGGGAAAGUGAAGCAGCGGAAGCUCGGAUCAUAAAAUUGCACCAGAGUGUGCAUUAGCUUCUCGUCCACAUCGGUUCGGAGCAAAGUAAGCAAUCCCCCAUACCGGAGUCGGAACCCUGUUUGACUCUUGACCUUGAGCGCCAACUCUCUCAAACUAACCAAAUCCACUUCCUUGAACUUGUAGCACUUAGUCUUCUUCAUACCUGUGAUUAUUUACAAAAAUUCUCAUUUGUUUAAACCCUUCGAUGAAUGCAUGAAAAAUAUUUAUGCAUGAAUGCAUGUAUGCAUGAUUGUGUUGUUUAGUUACAAUGUGGGUUGAGAUUCAAAGUAACAAGGCCACGGAUGGACACGGCGUCCGGUGAACUAAGGCUUUGGAUAGUAGUAACCAAGGUUCUAACACAGUUCCCAAACUGCAACCUCUCUCACAUAUAUCAUGGUAGUACAGGACGACACCCGUUCCACGAUUAUUUGUGAGAAGGUCUAGUUUGAGUGUAGUAUCGCGUGACGACUAAAGUUUUGAGACAACACUCAAUUUAGCCACCGCACUACGUCCUAAAAAGGCUAGGAUGGGUUUGGUAACUACGGUUCAUAGCUUCGUCGAACAAUUGAAAGUGAAGUGCCUAAGCAUGACGACACACGCCGACAAUAUCACCUUCAAAAUGCCUCAGCUAUGUGAGAUUGAUCGCAUAAUCCAAUACACGAGGCAACCCCCGGAUCGAAUUGUCGAUUAUAUCUCUACCUAAACAUAAGUUCACUCAGCCCGGGUAUAGGACUUUUGAUAUUCUCACCCCACACGUCAAAUGAAAGUAAACAAAUAUUCACAUAUGUAAGCAAUAAAAUAAAACAUAAAUAUAAACUAAGGAAAACUAGGCGCGACCCGCUUAAAAAAGUCCCCAGUGAAGUCGCCAUUUCUGUUAUCAUGGUUUUUGGGUACCAAGUCAUUAAUUGGACUUGUACCUUUCGACCGUUGAUAUCUCUCUUUUUUCUUGGGAAGGGAAAAAUUGAGAAAAAACCCUUAGAUUCUAAGUUCGGGGGUCGGUUUUACUACGGGAAGGUGUUAGGCACCCGGAGUAACUAUAGUCCUCUAUAGGAGCCGUUUUCCUAAGUCGAUUUUUACGCUUUAUUUUUACCUACUUUUGAAAAUGGGAGGUUUAUUUAGUUAAGAGUGGGGGUGAGAAGAAGUAGAAUUUUGAUUUUAUUUCGGCUUGGAUGAGUUUUGACUCAUUGCCUACGUACCCUUUUAAGGGAUCAAAACCGUUCGUAGUUCUUGCUAAAAAGACUUGUUUUUGUUUUAAUUGUUUGAUUUUAAGUUUUGAAAAUGGUUUUGAAGAAGGAGAUUGGGAGGCUUCAUGAGCAUUAGAUUUAGCAAAAAGUGAGGUUUGAUUAGUGAUUAAAAAAGAAAGUCUAAAUGAUUAAGAUGAAUUGAAUUUUUCUCAAGAAAAAAAAGAAAGGAAAAGAAAUGAAGUGUUGACUUCAUGUUUAUUAUGAAAAUUUUUGAAGUGAAGUUCAAUUGUUUUUUUUUUGGAAAAAAGAUGGAUUUUCUCUAGGUGUUUAAAACCUAAACGCUUAUUUAACCAUACAAUCCUAUGCAUACAUCUAAGGUGAGUGUGUGCGUGUCGGUGCGUCAUAGUGUCCAUAGUCCAUAUUACAAAAAUUGCCUAAAUACAUUCUAUGGCCCCUUUGCCAAGCUACAAACCAAUGAUGACAAAUUACAUCACUAAAUGAAUUAAAACUUGCAAAAAUAAAUGCUAGGCUAAAGAGGGUGGAGGGAAUGCUAAAUGGGAUGCAUGAAACAUGGGAAUAAACUUGUUAGUCAAAAGAAAAAACAUAAUAAGCACUAAGAAAUAAAAUCAUGCAAGAUGACACAAAAAGUUAACAAAAUGACAUUAAACCCUAAAAACUUAGGUAUGAAACCUAAAGCAUCCUUGGCCUCUAAUUCUCAUGCUUUAACAAAUUUUGAAAGAGUUUUCUUUAUCUCAAGUUAUAGCAUGAAAUUAUUGGAAACAUGCAAGCAUGGUUUCAUGCCAUAUUUUCUAGAAUAAACUUGGCAUUUUAUAUCUUUCAAAAUAUGCAUAUAUUGCUCAUAAAAUCAAGCACUCAUGAACCAAAUCAAAACAGCAAAACAACACGAAAUUAUAGGCACAAAUUUCUCAUAUUAACACAUCAAAAAGCUUUUAUCACAUAUUCGCACAUCAAGGACAAAUGUAUGAAGAAGAAUCCAUAACAAAUAAUUCAAAGAGAAUUAAAAUGCUAUGAAUUAACCAUACCAAAAUUUCAUAGAUCCUUAAUGUGCAAAAAUGUCAUAAAAACACUAAGAAAAUAUCAGGAAACAUGCAUGAAUUUUUCUAGGAAUUUUAUCACAAUUUUAAUCAAGACAUAGGUACAGGUAGCAAAAAUAGAGGUGUGAAAAGCACAGGAAUAGCAAAACGUAAAGAUCCAAAGGAAACAAAGGCCCAACCCAAAACCCUAAGGAACCGGAUUCACAGGAGCCACAGGAUUGAUCCAGGGUCCUGAAACCCUAGAUCAAACGGCCUGGAAUCAACAGGAUUGGACCGGUCUUGGACCGGUCUGGUUCACUAGCUUAUUUAAAAGGCAUGGCACCGGUUUUCUUCAUUUUUCACUCCCCUUUCUCUCUCUAGCUCUUCUCUCUUCUCUCACCUCUCACCUCUCUCUAAACCUCGCCGCCGGCGAGGAUGAAGCUACGGCGGAGACCUUGAAGGUCCGCCGGAAACUUCAUCUUCUCCGGCGAGUUCAUGCAGUUUCCGGUGACCUAAAUUUCCAGAUUUCAAAGAUUCUUACUUCGUUUGACUCGUCCUUUAACCCUAAACACGAAUCCGGCAUUUGUUUUUUCAAAAACGGCUUUGAACGACGUAGAUCUUGAAAAAGCUUUUACGGUUUUGAAAUGAUUUUUGAUUUUUUUGAAUGAGAUCAUUUAGAUCUUUAAAGAUCUACAUCGUUUCGUCGUUUGAUUACUUUUUGACGCCUGUUUUCGCUUUCAAAACGUUGAUCCUUACGGAUCUGGAUUUUGAUGUUUACGGUUAUAGUUUUCUUUGAAUUCUGGAACCUUUGGAUCUGUUUUGCUUGCGUGAUUUUUAGGUUUAACAGUGAUAUUGCUUUUGAAAAAGAGUAUGAGUUUUACCUAAGGUUUUGGUUGAAACCUUUAAUGGAGAAAUUCUUUGGAAAACUUCAAUCUCUGAUGCUACGUGAUUUGGCUUUGAAUCCGGAAAUAAACCGGUGUUCCUGCUGGUUUCUUGCUUUAUCGCCUUCUUCGCCGGUUUAAACCUUCAUCAUCUUUCUUUCUUCUUCGUCUUCCUCACUGUAUCUUCGUGAUCGGUGCUGGAGUUUGCCUUUGGCGAAUUCGCACUUCGAAUUGCGAAGAUAUUGAUUCAAUGAUGAUGAUUCUUCAAAGAAUCACUGAGAAUCCAUGAAAAAUAGCUUGAAUUUGUGUAGUUUCUGUUUCUGGAAAACGGUUAGGUUUUUUGUUCUUGGUGUUCUUGAUGAAUCUGAGGAAUUUUUUCUGUUUUGAUUCAGUUGCUGAGAAAGAGAAAAUUUGGAAUGUGUUUAUGAGUUGGCGUGUGUUCUCUGGCUCUGAGUGGCACUGUGCACCUUUUAUAGCUUGACAUGUGUGUAUCUGAACAAAUGAGAAAGUGACACCUGGACCUGAAAAAAAAAGAUGGCACGGCCUUGGGCAAAAAAUGAAAUUGGACCUUUCUGCAAAAUUGAAAAAAUAAGGGACUAAACUGCAAUUGACAAAAAGGACUGAAAUGUAAAAAAAGAAAAUUCUGGACUGAAAUGCAAUUUUGGGACCUCACUUGAGGGACCAAAAUGCAAUUAAAAAAUAAAAUUGAAUAAAAAACGUAAUUUGACCCAACGUAAAGCGAAACAAAAAAAUAAAAUUGACAAAACGGACUAAAACGAACCAAUGGCCUAAAUGAGGUACUUCAAAGUAACCUCCCCAUGCCAAAAUUUUAUGUGAAAUGACCAAAAUGCCCCUAGGGCUAAAAACGACCUAAACAGAUUCAAAUUGACCUGACACUGACUCAGACGCAAGUUUGAAAUGAAUUUUAACAAAGUUUACUGAUGAAAUGUUUAAAAGUAAUCUGAAAAGACUCAGAGACAGUCACAAGGAUGAAAAUGGGUCCCACUGCAGGAAAUGACCAAAAUACCCUUCUGUAUGACUUUUUGCAAAUUUUGGAAUAAACUGUAGAAAAAGCAAUGUAAUGAUCCAGAGACACUUUUGAAUGACUUACAAGACAAGUAAAGACAUUUUGAAAGGUUUUAUGCAAGAAAAACAUAGGUAAAAUUGUGAUUGAAAAUACUGCGAGGCAGAGACAAAUUGAACUGUGCAGUUGAAAUUUGAUAAUUGACAAAGUUUGAAAUGAAAUUGGGCCCAGUAUUUUUAGGUCCAAAAACAGGGUAUAACACCUCUAAUCCCAACAAAGGAGAUUUAGCUACUCAUUGUCAUGGAAGCCUUGCAAGAAUGAAUUGAAGAAGCAAGAUUCAUUACAACUUGUGAUGUCUCAACAAAGGAUGAAGAAUCCACUCUCUAUCACUCUCACUCUAUAAAGCACAAGCCCUAUCUCUCUCUCUCUAAGAAUAUUACAAGUGAAAAACUAAGAGAAAAACUAUCUAAAAACUAUAUAAAAAACUAUCUUUUUCUGAAAUGGUUGAGUGGGCUAUUUAUAGAAUUCUGAGUCUGCCUUCACUCGCCUCGCGAGCUGCUUCAUUCGCCAAGGCGAGUUGAAGUUUCUUCCCCAUUGGGUUUGUGCCACGUCAGCAUUUAGAGGCUAAACCGCCCUUACUCGCCUCGCGAGUCCUUCCAUUCGCCACGGCGAGUAAGCUCGCCUUCUACUCGCCAUUGCGAGUUGGUGGCGUGUGAUCUUUGUUGCAUUCUGGAAUUGCUCGCCUUUUCUGCUUGCCAUGGCGAGUUGGAGGCGAGUGAUCUCCUUUUUCUGCCUUUUUGUACUUUUCUCGAUUUUCUUCUCUUUGCUUGAUGUCUUGAGUUCGAAUCCUGCACAAAUGGGUGAAGUAAGAUAGAUAAAGCGUAAAAGGGCAAUAAUCACUUAUUUCUCGGCUUUUCCCUUAAUAACUUGCAAAACAAGUAACAAAAGUGCCUAAAAUAUAUCACUUAAAUUACAACUUUCUAGCACUUAUCAAACUCUCCCCAACUUAACUCUUUGUUUGUCCUCAAACAAAAUCUUGAAAAUCAAACAAGUUAAUAUGACAAGACACAAGUACAAAAGGUUUGAAAACAUUUUUAGAUGAAUGAUUCAAAGAGAAUGCGCGGGCAAGUCUGAGUUUCCAACUAAUCUGGAAUUCUACCACAAAUAUGAAAUGAGUUCUAUGCACAAAGUUCAUGUCAAAUAGUUCAAGUCAAUAAAACAUUUAUUCACGAACCACACCUAACACACUUCUUUGUAAGUAGAUAUGCAAUUGAAAUCAAAUGAGUGAGGGUUAUGAACACACAUCCGGCAAUCAAGUUAACAUCCAAAUCAAGUUAUAUGUCCAUCCAAUUAUCAUUUCAAAAAGCAUAAAAACAUGGAUCAAAAGGUCUUUUAGGGUUGUAAUUUGGCUUGGCUACAAAAGAAAGGACAUUUGUGGGUCAAUUGAAUUCAAAUGGUCAAGCAUAAGGGAACAUUCCUUCUAUUCACAUUCAAAAGACAAAUUUACUAGAAUUCCCUAACAAACCCUUGGUGUUAAAACAUGAUACUCCUUGAUCUUGACAACUUAUUCUAUUUUUGGAUUUUUCUUUCUUUUUCUUUUUCUUCUUUUCUUGUUUUUAUCAUGUACACAUUUUUCUUUUUCUUUCUUUUUUCAUAUACAAACAAUGUUGUCUUGAUCAAAAUUUCUGAUUACACCAAUUCACUUGACAAAUGAUGAACAUCUACCUUUUCUCCCCAACUUGAAUGAAAACAUACCCUAUUUGAAUGUUCCCUUAAUCUAUGGCAAAAAGGGACAAAUAACAAUGAAGGUUUAGGGUUCAACAAUUAAAACAUAUCAAGGUCCGAUAGUGCAACAAAAAUGAACUGGAUUUUGAAAAAUAUAGGGCGAAUUCAUCAAGCAUUGUGCUUAUGAAUUGACAGUUCAUAAUUGAGGACCUUGCUUCAUUUGGCUCAAGUGGGUUAACAAAUACUCGCUCUUCUCACAAGGUAGGCUAUUUGUGGUCAAGUAUGUUUCUCUCAUUAAACAAAAUAUGCCUUGAUCCUUUCCAUGUCUUUACACAAUUUAAAACAAAUAUUAGAUUUAACAUAAAAUGACCGAGUUAAAACAAUGAAUGCCGGUCUCCUUGCAUAUAGUACAAAUAUUUGAGGUUUCCUCACUUUUUAGCUAGUACUAAGUGGUUCACAAACAAACACAUUAUCGAGGAGAACUAAAUGAAUUGAAAUUUGUGCAAAGUACUCGUUUCCUAUUCAAGUAAAAACCUAGAAAAACUGGAAACUUGUACCUUGGCUUUGCGCUUUAUCACAAACCAUCUGUUAUUAUCAAUCAUCUGAGAAUUUUGCUCAAGUUUUGGCUCUUUCAAGCGCUUUGAAAUUUGAAGCUUUGAGCAUUUUCUUUUCAAUAAGCAAGAGUGAUAAACUAAAGAAACUUCCACAAUUUUCAAAACAAAGUACUUGAUAUAAACCAAAAGUGCUAAUAUAAAACAACACAAUACAACUUUGAACAAUACGAAUAUGAAUACGAAAAUACCAAAAUAAUUAAACAAAAUGCUAACUAAACAAAGUGAGUCAUUGUGCUAAAUUUAAAAUAUGAACAGAAGCAAAUAUUGUCAGAAGAAAUGAAAGAGAAAGAAAGAAUAGACUGAAAGCUUUAUAAAAAUGUCACUCAAUAAACGGUGAGCUUUCAAAGUCAUUCUUUUCCUCUUUCAACCCUGCAUGUCAUGAUCAUCUGAACCACCAGUUGCACUUGGGACUCUGUCUGGAUCGUCUCUGUCAGAAUCUCCCAUCAAUAUAUCGUCAGAAAGCGUCCCGAACGAUGAUCCACCCCCUCCGUAAGGAUCUGGCCUGCCCUCAGGCCAAGAAACAUGAGCCUGAUAGGCCUCUGGUGUCAUGAAUUGUGACAUCACCUCCGGUGGGUACCCAGCCUGCUGCUGCAUCACAUACUGAGACUGCUGAAGAUAUGUAUUAGCACGGUUGGUUGCGUCCAGCAUGUUCCAUGUAUGGGUAUGGCACUGGUAUUGCCAUUGAGCGAAGCUUGAAAAGUCAAAAGCAGCAGUGUGUGGGUCUAGAUGUGGUGGAAAGUGGGGUUGUGGUUCAGAUGAUGGUUGAGGUCGUGGUGGAGGUGCCCCAGAAGAUGAUGCUUGUUUGCUUUUAUCCUUCUUUGUUUCACCCAUAAUGUAUCGGGUGAUGAAAGCAUCAUUGAUCGGGUUCCGGAUCUUCUCAUGGACACUGGUUGGUAGGCGCAUGCCGGUAUCUUUAAUGAGUCCCAUGAUUAAACCGGGAAAAAAGAGACGAGCUUCUCUUUCACCUCUUCCUUGCAGGGUGACCAUUCGGAGUUCCCAAGCAAUGGUCCGGGCAAUAUCUACCUUGAUCCCCUUGAGGAUGUAGUAGAUUAAAGGACACACCUCGACAACACAAUCAGACAGAUGACUAUUGGGCCUGACAUUAUAAAGAAUGAAUUUUUGGAUAAUUUUGGCCUCAUUGGUCAUGAAUUUGUAUUGGGCCCGAUACUCUCUCCCUGCAUCACUGAUGUCAUAGUUAUAGUCUCCCAACAAGAGAAAUCGUUUGAUUUCUUCAUGGGGGCCCGGGAGGAUAAAGUGGCCAAGGUUUUGCUUCUCAUGAAAGUCAUCAAGGUCGUCUGGGUAGGCUAACUCAAAGGGGUUGCCAAGGUAUGUAUUUAUUGCCUCACGGUCAAACCGGAUAGUUCGACCCCUCACAAAAGUUUCGAAUGUAAAUGGGUCAGUGUGUGGAUUUUCAGGUAGGGCAUUGGCAUAAAACUCACGCACUAACUCGGCAUUAAUAUCUGUUAUGGGUUGAAGGAGUCGUUCCCAUCCUUGAUCGAGUAAAAGUUUGGCAAUUUCUUUAUAGGGUCCCUCGGGAUUAAGGUUAAAGACCCUCUCACACCACAUGGAUUGGUCAAGCAGUUCAAUAUAUCUAUCUUGAUGGUAGCGAGACCUAAAUCUCUCCCUCUCAAAGGCUUGGUUUCUAGGUGGGGGUCGGGUUGCGGAUGUUUCUCCUUUCUUGCGUUUACCAGUGUUAACGGGUUUCUUUGGAGCCAUACCUGCAAACACAACCAGGAAUUCCACAAACACCAAACAGACAAUUAAAUAUCAGUAUGGAACAAAAAAUAUUGCAUGUUCUGUUACCACUCGCCUCGCGAGCAGGUGCACUCGCCAUGGCGAGUAGUUGAAAUUUUCUGGGUUUCAGAUUGCUCACUCGCCUUGGCGAAUGAUGAAGCUCGCCAUGGCGAGUUGCCCAGAAAAUGACAAAAAUCGACCCUUUUUCAAAAUUUCUUUCAGUUUCAACAUUCUUAACCCUAAAUAUAGUAAUUCCGACCCUGAUAAUGACAAAGAGAUGAACUAAAUCAUGCUUUUGAGUUGAAUGUCGAAUUAUACCACAAAAACCCUAAUUUUAAUUUUAUUUUUAAUUUUUACAAAAGGGUUAACAAAAAUGUGGAUUGGAAUCAGAACAACCACGAAUUUGGGCAUGAUUAUGUUUCAUCUGAGUCAUGUAGGUAUCAGUUUGAAGAACAUUACACUAUCUACUACCCUAGGGUUUUUUUUUUUUUUUUUUUUUUUUUUUUUUUUUUGCAUGCAAAUUUGAAAUGAAUGGCAACAAAGUGAAUACAAACCUGAAUCAGAAGUAAUCUAAGUGCAGAAAUGAGUAUGCAAUAAGCUUGACUUGGAUUGACUUGAUAAAUUGGAAAAAGGGUAGUGUUGAGGUGUUAGGGUUUGAGAGAAGGAAGAAAAAAUUUGUGUGGUUGAUGAGAGAGAAAUGCAAAACCGAAAAUGAUGAAUUAAAGUUGGUAAAGGGUGGUUAAGAGAGAUUAAUGAGGGAGUUAGUGGCUUUGAAAACUGAAACUGUCAGAACUGCUGCCAUUCGCCUCGCGAGCAUAUGUAUUCGCCAUGGCGAGCAAUUUGGUGGUCAACGCAGUCAAAGGACAGUUUUACUCGCCAUGGCGACUAGUUGUACUCGCCUCGCGAGUAAUGACAGUUCAGACUUUGCUUUCUUUUGGCUUCUGAUUUGUGAAUGGUUUUGGUAUGCACAUGACUCCUACACCUAGUAUGCAUUAUAAAAAUAAAUAACUUACAAAGUUGGGUUGCCUCCCAACAAGCGCUUGUUUAACGUCGUUAGCUCGACGCCUUUUUCGUUAGGGUGGCCAAAAUGAAACGGACAACACAUCAUCUUUUGUAAUCCUGCGUGUUGGGAGGAAUUCCAUGAAUUUGAAGUAUAAUUGAUGUGGAGUCCAUAUCCUCCCUAACUUUGGUUUAUUGAACAAGGCACAAAUCUCAUCUAUGAUCCGAUCAAUCUCCAACUUGUUCACUUUCUUCCCCUUUCCUUCCAUUGAUUCUUCCUUGAUUAGUAUCCGAUCCUCUUUCUCUGUCACCUCCAUCACUUCUUCAUUUUCAACAGUUUCGACCUCUUCAGUAUAUGGCCGUUCUUGAGGAAAUUCUUCUGGAUGUAGUGGCUCUAAUUCUUCCACCAUUUUCAUUGUGCUACAUUCUUCUAGUAUUAUGUCUUCCUCGGUAUCAUCAACACCUUCUUCAACAAUCUUUCCGACUUCCACAAAUGUAUUUGAAUUAUUUUCUUGUUUUCUGUGAGUGGAUUGAAUGUUGGCUUGAAUAUCCAUGAUUUGUUCUUGCAUUAUUUCCAUCUGCAAGGAUAGAUUCUUCAAUCUCUGAUUGGUAUCCUGCAUGUUUAUCAUGGAUUGCUGCAUGAAGAUAUUCAAAGUAUUUUCCAUCUUUGAUAUUCGUUCAUCUUCAUAGGGAUGUUGUUGAUACUGUUGAUAUGAUUCAUACUCCAAUGGAGUGUAGAAGUUGUUAUAACCAUGAUCAGCCAUGAUUGCAUUUAUGUAGAGAAUCUGAAACGGAUAUAACUAACAAGAAAUUUUUCUUUGUAUGCAAAGAGGGGUUAGUACCAAUAACUAUACAAAAGAAAAUAUAUUUACAGAGUAUUUACUAAUGCUUAAAAUGAUAAAAUAGUCGCGAUGUCUACGAUAUCUAAACGCCAGUCCCCGGCAGCGGCGCCAUUUUGAUGUAGUAUUUUUNNNNNNNNNNNNNNNNNNNNNNNNNNNNNNNNNNNNNNNNNNNNNNNNNNNNNNNNNNNNNNNNNNNNNNNNNNNNNNNNNNNNNNNNNNNNNNNNNNNNUUUUGCAUCAAACAAUUGUAAGUAUUUAUAUCGUCUCCUCAGGGACUAGUGCGAUAUCGCGGACCGUUCGACACCAAAUAUCAUUUCAAGUUAAACGAUAGUUGAUUGUUUGUUUUAGUAACUGAAUUGCAAAUGAUACAAUUGAGAUUAAUAGGGCGUAAAACUUGUUAGGAUUAGAGUUCCUUGAUCGAGCGUCGCACGUAACCUAAUGAUCAUACAUGGAUUCUAGCUUUUCUUUGAUAUUAUCACGUAUCCCUCGACAACACCAUUCGUGUCCAAACAAUAUUGUGAAAUCAAUUGUAUCAUUCAAUGGUCGAUGUCUCAAACUAUUGAAUGAUUCAAGAGUCGAUCUUAUCGUUCAAUCGAUGAUUUCUCAAUCUAUUAAAUGAUAAGAAAGCUUUAGGUUUGGAUACUCAAGGUGAUUAUCAAAACAUCGAUUCCAUGUCUAGAAACUAUGUUUUGAUAGAUGGUUAUUCUAAACCUAGAUUCAAAAGUAUUUCUCAAUCACAAUUAAAUCAAAGAUAAAGAUUAAAGUGCAAGAAUAACCUCAAUAUCAAUUCAAAUGCUAGAACCAUAUAUUUAUAGAUCAAACGAUUACAUGUUAAACUAUGAUCAAGUACCUCUAAUCCCAACAAAGGAGAUUUAGCUACUCAUUGUCAUGGAAGCCUUGCAAGAAUGAAUUGAAGAAGCAAGAUUCAUUACAACUUGUGAUGUCUCAACAAAGGAUGAAGAAUCCACUCUCUAUCACUCUCACUCUAUAAAGCACAAGCCCUAUCUCUCUCUCUCUCUAAGAAUAUUACAAGUGAAAAACUAAGAGAAAAACUAUCUAAAAACUAUAUAAAAAACUAUCUUUUUCUGAAAUGGUUGAGUGGGCUAUUUAUAGAAUUCUGAGUCUGCCUUCACUCGCCUCGCGAGCUGCUUCAUUCGCCAAGGCGAGUUGAAGUUUCUUCCCCAUUGGGUUUGUGCCACGUCAGCAUUUAGAGGCUAAACCGCCCUUACUCGCCUCGCGAGUCCUUCCAUUCGCCACGGCGAGUAAGCUCGCCUUCUACUCGCCAUUGCGAGUUGGUGGCGUGUGAUCUUUGUUGCAUUCUGGAAUUGCUCGCCUUUUCUGCUUGCCAUGGCGAGUUGGAGGCGAGUGAUCUCCUUUUUCUGCCUUUUUGUACUUUUCUCGAUUUUCUUCUCUUUGCUUGAUGUCUUGAGUUCGAAUCCUGCACAAAUGGGUGAAGUAAGAUAGAUAAAGCGUAAAAGGGCAAUAAUCACUUAUUUCUCGGCUUUUCCCUUAAUAACUUGCAAAACAAGUAACAAAAGUGCCUAAAAUAUAUCACUUAAAUUACAACUUUCUAGCACUUAUCAGGGGCAUCUGCAGACCCGGUUCGGUUGACAAGUUUACGGAAGAAGAUGAUUGAGUUAAUGCUAUGGAGCCUGUUAUUUCUGCAAAAGACAAUGAUUUUCUCACAGCUUCGUUUCAGGUCCAGGAAUUUAAGGAUGCAAUGUUUUCUAUGCUUCCGGAUAAAUGUCCAGGUCCAUAUGGUUUUAAUCCUGUAUUUUUUCCAUCAUUUUUGGUCUAUCGGUAGUCUUGAUAUCUUUAAUGAAUGUUUUCUUUAAGAAGCUAAAUUAGCCCACUAAAUUGGCAUUGGAGAGAAUCGAACCUGAGAUCUUGAAGAUCUUUAAUGAAUGUUGCUCGUGGCUUAAUCACAAUCACUUUCUACCUUCACUUAAUUCCACAAAUAUAGCUUUGAUUUCCAAAGGUACUGAUUGGCAGCCUAUAACUUUGUGUAAUGUUCAAUAUAAAUUGGUUGUCAAAGUCCUAGCUAAUAGACAUAAGAGUAUCCUCCAUAAGUGCAUCUAUGACAAUCAACCAACUUUUGUUAUGGGGCGCUCCAUCAUUGACAAUGACAUGAUAGCUAUCGAAGUUGUGCACCAUAUGAAAGUUAGUAAGCGUGUUAGAUAUGAAAAAAAAAUCUCUCAAGCUUGAUACUAGUAAUGCCUAUGAUCGUAUUGACUGGUUAUUGUGGUGUGUAUCGAAGCUGUUGACUAUUCUGUUAUUGUGAACAAUGAUUUGGAAGACCUAUUAUUCCCGGAAGAGGUUUACUUCAAGGAGAACCUUUAUCACCUUAUCUUUUUAUUUUGUGUGUUGAACGAAGAUGGGAUAUCCACGACAUUUCUAUUUACAUAAAUGCACUUGUUAUUUCUCACCUUUUAUUUGUCGAUGAUUGUUUCUUAUUUUUCAGGGCUAAAGAGCGAUAAGCUCUAACCAUGAAAAGUAUUCUUUAGACUUACGAGGUAGCCUCCUGUUAAGCUAUUAGUCUCCCAAAGUUUGAGGUUUAUUAUUGUAGCAGUGUAUCAAAUCCGUUGAAGGAUUCCAUAACCCUCAUCUUAGGAGUUAGAGCUGUUAUGGGAACAGGGAAAUAUCUUGGCUUGCCAUCGAUGGUUCGUCGAAGUAAAGAAGCAACUUUUAGUUUUAUCAAAGACCGUAUUUGGCAUAAAAUCAAUCCAUGGAGAAGAAAGUAUCUAUCCAAAGUGGGUAGAGAGGUAAUGAUCAAGUCAGUGCUUCAAAAUAUUCCAUCUUAUAUUAUGAGUAUCUUUCUUUUUCCAAAUAAGUUAGUCGAAUCCAUGGAAAAAAAAUUAUAAAUUCUUUUUGGUGGGGCCAUGGAUGAUUAAUGAGAAGAGGGAUGCAUUGGUUGUCUUGGGAGAGAUUAUCAAUUCAUAAAAAUUAUGGAGGUAUGGGUUUCAAGGAUCUCACAUCUUUUAAUGUGUCUAUGUUGGGGAAACGAGGUUGGAAGUUCCACACUGAUACAUCGAGUCUUAUUUCCCAUCUUUUUAAGGAGAGAUAUUUUUCUAAUUGUGAUUAUUUGAGUUCUCGAAUUGGUCACAAUCCCAGAUAUGUGCGACGUUGUAUUUUUCGUGUUAAGAUUGUUGUGAAUUAGGGUGCAAGGUGGCAUAAUGAGGGAAUUGCAUUAUCUACUAACAACCCUAUGUAUGCCUCCCUAGCCCAUUUUACGGUGAAAGAUAUUAUUCACCCAUUCAGAAAGGUAUGGAACACUCCUUUAAUUUAUAAUCUCUUGAUCCGAUUACAGCAUGACUCACUGUGAACACACCACUCCAACCUCUUGUCACUGAAGAUAAAUUGAUUAGGAAAGUGGAAAAGAAUGGUAAAUAUUCUGUUCAUAGUGCCUACUGCCUUUGAGUUACAGAAAUUGCAGAUAACUCUCAUUUACUCUGGAGCAAUGGAGUUCCAUGUGAAAGUUAAAGGUUCCUCCUAAGGUAAACAAUUUUUUAUGGCGAGUUUUUAGAGGAUACUUUUCCAACAAGAGCCCAUCUUAGUAGUCAAGGGGUGCGUUGUCCUAUUGAUUGUGUUCCUUGUGGGAAUAAUUUUGACGAUGGUAUCCAUGUCUUAUUGAAAUGUCUUGGUGCUAUCCAAGUAUGGCAUCAUGUUAAUCUUUGGGACAAAAUUAAUAGUACUCUCUGACAAGAUUAUAAUAUGAAUGCUAUGAUUUUUCAUUUUUUGCAUCAAUUUUCUCCAGCUCAGAGUGAGCUGUUUGCCACAAGUGAAUCUUUGCUCCAUUUAGCUAUACUUUAUUUAGUUCAUUUAAGAUUAUGUCUACAAAACAUGUGGCACAAAAAUAUCUACUGGCUGAAAUUGAAAAUAAUACAAAAAACAAGUAAAACAUUGUUCCAUUGUAUUCACGCUCCUCCCUCUUCAUCUACACACAACCGCUGCUCUUCUCCCUUUCUCUCAUAUCGUCAUCAACCACCAUCCAGCCGUCGUCCGUCGCCGACCCUUUGCAUCAAUCGAGUCAUAAGUUCGUGUCGAAUUUCCAGUAUUUGGUCUGUGUGAAGACAAUAACCCCCUUACUGCAUCCUCAUUCUCAUUCCAAUUUCCCAUUCAGAAUUUUAAGGUUUAUCAUCUGAUUCCAAACAUAUCAUUUGACUAAUUCUUAAACAACAACAACAAACAAACAAACAUUGCUAUUGCAGUUUAAUAUUCCAAUUUCAUAUACAUAAUAUCAAAAUUAACAACAUUAACUGACUAAAUAACUAAGAAUGAAUAUUUCUAGGGUUUCAAAAAAAAGAAACAAUAAACAAAAUUAAGAUGAGUAAUGAAUGACCUGAUGCAUUUGUAGGAGCGAAAGUGCAUUUAACGAUUGCAAUUUUAGAAUUGAACAACGGAAAGAACGGAGUCUCAGGAACAAUGAGAGAAGGUGUAGAGGAAGGAAGAUGUUUUUGCUUAUGUGGAGCGGUAGGGUGGGACGACGGUACCCUGGUGGCAACGCCGGCGCUGACGAAAGGGUGAUGGUGGGGCGGCGUUUUUAGGAGAUGAAGGAGUGUGUUGUAUCAUAGGAGGAAGAGCAGAGGCGUGUGUUUAUUUUCCAAUAAACAAGUAUUUUUUUCGAAGCCUUUUAAUCUCAGCCAUUGGUUUUUUAUUUUUCACAUGUCAAACAUCCAUGAAGUGAAUUGGUAUAAAUGGAGGCUCUCUAAAGGAAGCAAAGAUGCACUCGUUAGCCACGAGAAUGUGGAGCUUGUGAAAACGGCGGAGUCUCAAACUAUGGUAGCAACAAAAUGAAACAAAUAUGCAGGUUGUUGAACGUGCUACACAUCUUCUUGAUGAAUGGAGAGCAGCCAAAAAUAUUAGGUCCCGAAUUGCGGCAAAUUCUAGUAAUGAUAAAAACGGGCAUGUGGAGCUUGUGAUAAACAAAUUCUAGUAAUGAUAAACAAAAUGUUAGGUCCGUGAAUUGUAACAUUGAUGCCUCUUUUUUCUAGUCAACGAAUAUGGUUUGUAUAUGCAUAUGUUUGCGAGAUUUUGCAUGUAAUUUGUGAUUGCAAAAAUUGAUUGCUUCUCUCCCCUUUGUCAAGUUGAUAUAGGAGAGGCUUUUGGGAUGUCUACGACUUUAAAUUGGAUAUCAAACUUUCAAUAUGAUAAUGUUGGUUUUGCUUUAGAUUCUAAGAAUGUCGUUGAUCAGUUUAGGUCAGUAAUAGAAGAUAAUAGUGAAUUUGGUUGUAUUAUAUCUGACUGUAAAAACUUGUUCCAUCAUAGGUAUCAGAACUCUCAUGUCGAGUUCAAUAGAAGACAAGCUAAUGAGGUCGUUCACGAGUUAGCUCAGGUAGCCCUAGGUCAUGUUAGCUCCCACAUUUACAAUAACGCAUCGUCAUGUAUUUCGUACAUUAUAGCUAAUGAACAACACUGUAUUUUCUUUCUUAAAAAAAAUUAUUUGGUGCAAAUCAAUAGUACAAAUCAACGAUGUUAGUAUCAAUGAUUUAUUUUUUGUUGAAGAAGUUAGUAUCAAUGAUUUUCAGGUAUAUUUAGAACAAUACAAAAAGUUCUUAAAAAAUGAUUUUUUUUUUUUUAAGAAGUUAUUAUCAAUGAUUUUCAGGUAUAUUUAGAGCAGUACAAAAAAGUCUUAAGAAAAUAUUCUUUUUUCACAUGAAAUGAAUUAAAUAUAAAUAUUUGAAACACAAAAUAGUGUUUUCUGGAUGAGUUUUGGUUUAUCCAUAAAAAAAGGUUUGAGAUUCUCCCAUAUCAUUUGAAGAUUCUUUGUUUUUAGAGCAUACUAACAAAUGACUAUAUAAAUUAGCUUAUAAUUGAUAAAAACAAAAUACAAAUUAGCUUAUGGGACACCUAAAAUCGGAAUUUUUCUAUUAUAAAAAGGGCAGGCCGGUCUCACCAACUAGUGUAUUGUAGCAGUUUUAUCAUAUUUUUACAUAAAAACCGUUUUCAAAAUUUGAGCUUGUGACCUUUCAAUCAUGUUACGUGGCAUUUGAAAAAUAUCUUAAUCAACAUUUUUUCAUAAAUAAUUCAAAAAAAACUAUUUAUUUUUAAAAUUCUUUAUCACAUCCAUCAACAAACUUUGAAUUAAAAAAAAAAAAUCAUCAAUAAACUCAUGAAAAAAACGAAAAAAUUCUACAAAAAAUAAAUAAAUAAAGUCGUUUUUUUAUGACCUAUUAGGGGGUAUUCCAAAAAAAUAAAAUUACAGCGGGUAAAUCAAAAAAAAUAUUUUACAGGGAGGAAAACAAAAAAUGAUCUAUAUUACAGGUAAAGCCAGUGGCAGAUCUUAGUAGAGACCCUUGGGUGCCAUGGCAUCCCCUGGGUUUUCAAUAUAUACCAUAUUAGACAUAUUAUUUUAGUAAGUUUUGAAUUGUCGCAGCAGUAAGCUAGUCUUAUAGUCCCACCAACGGUCGCGAGUGAGUUCGACACUCACGCCAUCUUUUUUGACAUUUUUCUCUCGUAUUUACAUUUUUUAUUCAAAAAAAACCACUAGCAGGGAUUCAAACCUGCAUCCCACUUGGUGCUUUCAAACAAUUUAAACCAUUACAGCAAGUGAUUAUUUUUAUCUACUUUUUGAAACUGGUUUACAUAUAUUUCAUGGUGGUUUGGCACCCCCAAUAAAUUUACUCAAGAUCCGCCACUGGGUAAAGCACCAUUAACCCCAAAAUAAACGAAAAUCUACAUUAACCAAAUUACAACACCACAUCAAAUCUACAUUUGACAAACUCAAAAAAUUCUAGAUAUGAGAUUAAUACAAUAAAAACCUAGAAUCCAAUUCAAGAACUGUUAAAUUUGGUAACAACCUUGUACAUUCCAAAACAACAUUCAAUGAGAAACUCGUCAGUAUCAGGGGUAAAUUCGUCGGUGUCAGGUAUUAUAAAUCUCCCUUUUUGAUUCUGCCCUAUGAAGCAUGCAAAUAUGGCCGUUGAAUCACACCUGAUAUGUUCUGAUACAUUGUCGAUACAUAUUUAAAGAGUGUCCAAAUUUUUUAAUUUAAACUAAAAAAUAAAAAUUUGGAUUCGUCACCGACACGUUGUCGUCAACACGUUUCUAAUAUGCCUUUGAUACAUCUCAUGAUUGUUCAAUUUUCCCCUCCUUAAUUAGAUGAAUGUAAAUUAUAAUAUAUACCCAGUUAAUUUAUUAGAAUUUUUUAAGUUUUCUUUCUUUUUCCCAUAAUUCUCUUACGGUUGCAAAUUGAAAUCACAGCUAACUAAGAGUGCAUAUAAUAUGUCAUACUUACCAAUUGUGAACAAAUCACUAUAGAGGAUAGAGUUCCGAGCUUUAUUUUAAUUUUUAUGUGUAUGUUAAAUGCAUCGUAUUCUAUAUUUUUCAAUGAUUGAUGUCCGUAUUUAUACGUGUGGUAUCUGAUACUCGUAUUAUGUCCAUGAAUAAUAGAUUCAACCAAACAACUAACAACCAUACCUUUAAAAUUCUAUCUUGGGGCACAUGAGAGUGCACCCAAAGCCAUGAUCUAGGCGCAUAAACCAUGCUUUAGGCGCAUGGUGCUGCCUCAUGGGCACAGGUUCUCCGAUUUCCCGUCUUUUUAGGUCUUCGUCUUCAAAUAACUUGCCUCGGAACUUAGGAACAUAAUUCCUCCCACUGUAAAGUCUCAUGAGGUCUCUUGAAUCUUCAUUUUUGGUCUUCCCAAAGUCUUCACAAAUCUUCAGAUGGUCUUGAUUUGUCGAUUUGCAUGAUUUCUUCGUGAAGUACUUCAAAAAACCCCUAAAAUUGUUAUGUUUCGGGAAAACUAGAAUUACAUACUAAAAUAUAGAAAACAUUACAAAAGUCCCGAAAUCAUAUGCAAUCGUUCUAAUACUCCACCUUUUUUGCUGCUAAAAUCUACUAAAAAUGACUGAAAAACAUGCUAAAAAUAACGUAAGAUGACCUGUCAUCAAAAUCAAAACUAACUAAUAGUGCAUAUAAUAUGCCACACUUACAAAUUAUGAACAAACCACUAUAAAGGAUAGAGUUAUGAGUUAUGAGUUUAGUUGGAAGUUCGCCACUUCUAUUAAGCUUGUGUUGUGAUUUCAGUUUAAAAUUUGUAACUAACGUUUACUACUUUAUUUUAAUUUUUAUAUGUAUAUAUUAAAUGUAUUGAAUCCUAUAUUUUCAAUGACUGACGUAUCGAUACGUGUUGUACCUGAUACUCGUAUUGUGUCUGUGAUUAAUAGAUUAGCCAAACGACCAACAACCACAACCUUAAAAUUCUCUCUCCCACCCAUUUUUAGAAACGACCCACAACCAUAGUAUUUUUCUUUGACCUUUUGGAAGCUAGUUUACUAAGUAAUGAAUAAGAUGAGCACCAUACUCCUCAGUUAUUUGUGACACAAGCAAUUGAAGCUUAAUAUAGUUUUAGACUUGGAAGUUUUAUUAUAACUACUGAUGACAUAUCAUCUUUCAAUUUUGAACAAUCCACUAUAAAGGAUAGAGUUCUAAGUUUAGUUGAAAAUUCGCCACUUCUAUUGAGUUUGUGUUGUGAUUUUAGUUUAAAAUUUGUAAUUAAUGUUUACAACUUUGUUUUAGUUUUUACAUGUGUAUGUUAAAUGUAUCGUAUCCUAUAUUUUUCAAUGACUGACAUAUCAAUAUGUGUUGUAUCUGCUACUCGUAUCGUGCCCCGUGAUUAAUAGAUUCAGCCAAACGACCAACAAUCACUGCCUUCAAAUUCUCUCUUCCACCCAUUUUCAGAAACAACCCACGACCAUGGUUUUUGUCUUUGACCUUUUGGAAGCUAGUUUACUAAGUAAUGAAUGAGAUGAGCACCAUACAUAGUCCUCAGUUACUUAUGACACAAGCAAUUGAAGCUUAAUACAGUUUUAGACUUAGAAGUUCUGUUAUAACUACUGAUGACAGACCAUCUUACGUUAUUCUUAGCAUAUUUUUCAGUAAUUUUUAUUUAGUUUUGAUCCGAAAUAGAGGAGUUUUAGAGCUAUUACCUAUGGUUUUGGGGAUAUUUUGUAAUGUUUUCAUUUAUAAUCAUGUAAUUCUAAUUUCUCAAAAACAUAACAAUUCUAAAGUAUUUUGAUGUAAUUCAAAAAGAAAUCAUACAAAUAUAUUUGCUAACAAAAACAAAAGGUGAAUAUUGUUAUAAGAUCAAAUUGAUCUAAAAUUUAAAUUAUUUAAGUUUAUAUAGACAAAUAGUAACCUAACAUACUUAAUCUACUCUAAAAGAAACAUAACAUACUUAUUCUACUAGCUAGUACUACUAUAUUACUCUCUUAGUUUACUAUGUAUACUAUUCAUACAAGACAUUUUAUCAUAUAUGUUUCUAUUAAUAUAAAGAUAAAUAGUAAGAUAAAGAUGUUAGGGUUAAUAGUGUUUUUCACCCCUGUAAUAUAUGUCAUUUUUUGUUUUCGUCCUUAUAAAAUUUUUGGUUUGAUUUGCACCCUCGUAAAAAUUUUAUUUUUCGAAAAACACCCCUAAUAGGCCAUUUUCAGAUUUUUUUUUUUCAAGAAAUUUUGGUUUUUGAAUGGCCUAUUAAGGUUGUUUUUCGGAAAAUAAAAAUUUUACGAGGGUGAAAUCAAACUGAAAAUUUGAUAGGGGCGAAAAAUGAAAAUGACAUAUAUUACAGGGGUGAAAAACACUAUUAACCCAAGAUGUUAUUAGAUUUUUCUUAACAAAAUACUUUUAAAAUAUCUACUCUUAAUUAUCUUUUGUUAAUAUUCCUCUAAUAAAAUAAAUUUUUUUGUAAUUGUCAAAAAUGUGCAUCGCAUGUAAGAAAGUUACACAAACAAACCACUUUUUCAAUAGUCAUAAACAUUUAACCAAAAUCAAUCAUCUUGAUAGGGGGUAGUAUAUGGGACACCACUUGUGUACCAUUAAGGUAUCAAUGUUAUAUAACAUUGACCAAUAAGAGUGUGCCACAUACCAAUGUUACUUUAUAAAUGUUUUAUUUGAUAUAUGUUUUUUAAAGUGUGUGCCACAUGUCACACCUUAAUUGGCUAAUGUUAUAUAACAUAAUGGUACACAAGUGCUAUCCGUAGUAUAUGGCCCUGGCGAAAAGGGGGCCGUCGUAAAAUUCUUAUAAGUUAAUACUCUCUUUUUCGGGGAAAUAUCUUAAUAGCCAAUACUUUUUUUCACAAACACAUGCCAAAAAAACAAUUUCACAAACAAACACGUACAUCACGAGUUUCAAGAUAAUAAGAGAUCAACUUGGAGUUCUAUAUAGUCUUCAACUUCAACAUUGUUACGUACAACCAAACCAUUCAUUGUAGACAUGUCUUUUGCAGUAACAACAACAAUAUUUGCUUUCCUUCUCUUCACUUUCACAUACUUUCUAUUCAAACUAUUCUUGCAUUCAAAACAAAAAACCAUUAUCCAUAAAAAACCACCAUGUCCACCAACACUACCAAUAAUAGGAAAUCUUCACAUAUUAGGCAAACUUCCACAUAGAACACUUCAAUCACUCUCCAAAAAAUAUGGUCCAAUUAUGUCUUUACAACUUGGACAAGUUCCAACAAUUGUCAUUUCAUCUUCAAAAGCAGCAGAAUCAUUCCUCAAAACCCAUGACAUCGUUUUCGCAAACCGACCGAAACUUAUAGGAGCAGAGAUCAUAUCUUAUGGUUGCAAAGGGUUGGCGUUUUCUAAGUACGACCCUUAUUGGCGUAGUGUAAAGAAACUCUGCACUUUGAAACUUCUUAGUGCUUCAAAAGUUGAGAAGUCGGGUCCUAUUAGAACAGAGGAGUUGGGUAUUUUGGUUAACACUUUGAAAAAAGCUUCUUUGGUAGGUGAGGUUGUGAAUGUCAGUGAGAUUGUAGAGAAUGUUAUUGAAGAUAUUGUGUAUAAGAUGAUAUUGGGUAGAGGUAAGUAUGAGCAAUUUGAUUUGAAGAAGUUGGUUCAAGAAGGAUUGGCUUUGAUUGGAGCUUUUAAUCUGGCUGAUUAUGUUCCUUGGCUAGGAAUUUUUGACCUUCAGGUAAGUUUGUCAAAUUAUAUAUAGCUUUUUUAAGCUUAAAUAUGAAAAUGGUCCCUCCAAAUAUUUGGCGUUUGUUUUAGUCCAUAUAAAAAUAUUUUUUUGAUUUUAAUCCCUGCAAAUAUAAAAUAUUUGGUUUUGGUUCUUGGUAUUUUGUUUUAAUCCUUGUAAAAUCAUUUCAUAUUGAAAUUGGUCCCUAUAAUAUUCAUUUUAGUCCUCAUUUUAAGGGACUAAAAUCAAAUAUUCUACAUACUACAAGGACCAAUUCCAAUAUGAAUCAAUUUUACAAGGACUAAAACAAAAUAUCAAAGACCAAAAUCAAAUUUUUUAUAUUUGUAGGGACUAAAAUAAAAAAAAAAUUUACAGGGACUAUAACCAAUCAUAUUUAAGGCCUCUUUUUAAUACAUGGUCAGAUUAAAAAAAUAUAAUUAGAUUUGUAUGAGAAAACGAAAUUAUGAGUCAUUUUAUAAAAUUACCUUUUAUUAAUGAAUGAUAUAGAAAAAAUAAAUUAAAAAAUUUAAAAAAGAUAAAGUAAUAAAUAUUUAAGAAUAUGGAAUAAUUAAUAUGCUAUUGGUUAACGACUAAUAAUUUGAAACAAUUUCCCCUAAAAAAAUUUAUAAUUUAGGCUCUUUUUGUCAAGGUCAAGAACAUAAUUUAUAAAUAAUUUAAAACAAAUUAUGCUCUUUUUGUCAAUUUUCUUAAAUUGUCAUGUUUGAUAACAAUCUUUUUACCAUAAAUUUAUAGCUUAUUUUACUAGCUUAUAACUUAUCUUUCAUAUAGCUUAUAGCGUUUGAAUUUAUAGUGUAUAAUUUAUCAUCUUUUAUUUCAUUGGAUUGAUUAUUAUUUUUUUAUUUUUUAAGGAAACCAUUGGAUUGAAUUAUUUCAGCGACUUAUGUUCCAAUUUGAUUAUUUCUUUUGGCAAUCUUCUAAUUCUAACGAUAACAAACAUAUACUUUUUUCCACUAUAUUUUACUUUGGCUUGUGUAUGUAUUAUAUUAAGAAUUUAAUUCUGUUUUUUUUUUUUUUUUUUUUUUUUUAUCCCUAAUGAUUUUAUUAAAUUUUCUUUUUAAUUUCUGCAAAUCGGAUAUUAUUUUGUUUGUGGGAUAAAAAUAUUAAAUAUUGAUAACAUUUUUAUAAAGAAUUAACAACAUCCUUUGAAGUCAUUUUACAUUUAUCAGCUAGUUAAACCGCGCUACUUUUAUCAAAUACUUCAAUCAGCUUAUAAGUUAUCAGUCAUCAGAUAUCAGCUAUUAGCUAUCAGACAUCAACCAUAAACUAUAAAUUAUAAGUUAACUUUUCAGCUAUUUACUAUUUUUAUCAAACAAAACCUAAAAAAGAGGGAGUAUUAUGUAUAAGAAAUAAAAGAUUAAUCAUUGACUUUAGUUUUAUUUUAAGUCUCAUAAACAAAUUUCCUCAAAAAAAAAAGUCUCAUAAAUAAAUAUCGUGAUUGUAUAUAAUUUUGGUCACUCAAACGUGGUAUUGCACUGUAUUUAUCCUUUACACUGUGUUUGGUUGAGGUGAAAUAGGAAAGAGAAAGAGCAGGCAGAGAAAAAGGUGAGAAGUUCAAAACUUCUCCUGUUUGGUUAGAAAAAGAAAGAGAGAUAAAAACAUGUGGAACCCACAUCUCCUUUUUUUUUUUUGGUAGAUAACCCACCUCUCCUUUUAGUCUCUCCAAAGUAGUGAAGAAACAAAGAAGAAACCCACUUUUUAUUUUUUAUUCCACUAAUGCCCUUGUGAAAUUGUUGCAAGUUUGCAACACGGCACGGACAAAACGGAAGCAUUGGUGUGAUUAGUGAUAAAUUGAUAAUGUGUCCCUUGCCUAAUAUACAGUGAGUAAGCAAACUUUUUAAAUGUACUUAAUAAUUGAUUGAUUGAAUUACAUAAAAACUAUAAUCUGUUUAACUUAAUUCAGUUAAACUAAUUAGUUUAAUUUACCACAAAAAAAAAAAAUUUAAUUGAUAUAAAGUUUAAAUAAAUAAUUUAAUUAAUUAGAAUAAAUUUGAAUAAAAGAUUAAAUAAUUUAAUUUUGACAAAGAUUAAAUAAUUUAAUAGAUUUUUUUAUUGUAGGGGUAUCUUUGUACUUUUAUAAAUAAUCAACACUUCUCUCUCUUCUAUCUCUCUUUUCUCCCUUUUAUGCCAAACAACACAUCAAAUCUACUUCAUUUCUCACAUAUCUCUCUCUCUCUCUCUCUUCACAACUUCUCUUCCAAACUAAACAAACCCUUUAGUGUUUUUCUUCUAGUUCAAUAAAUAAAAGGCUUAAACGCACUUUUAACCCUCUAAGUUUGCAAAAGUUGUAAUUUUGGCACCCUAUUAAAAAAAUGGCAAAAGUGACCCCCCAUGUUUAUCCCAUUUUGCAAAACCUCAAUUUUGACUUAGUCAAAUUUAUGUGUCACGCCACAUCAGUUAAAAAAUCGCUACGUGUCUACUUUUUGAAUUUAAAAUAAAUGUAAAUACCACAAGUGUAUAUGUAGAAUUAAAAUAAUAAAAAAGAAUAAAAAAAUAAAAGGAAAGAAUUAAGGAGAGAAGCGCUUGGUUUUCUUCUCUUCUUCCUCUGUAACAUCAAACUCGGGUAAGAAAGGAAAAUUAAACCCAGAAAGCAACGUGAGUCUUCAUAUCUUCAUCUCCAUACUUCAUAGCAAUCUUCAUAUCUUCUAAUCCAACCCAGAAAGAAAGAAAAAAAAAAACGAAUCCUUCAUUUAUUAAUUGGAAAACUAAACAUGCAUACACUUUAACUCUCAUUUCUUUAGGACAGUAUCAAUAGUGAUGAUAAAAUAAAACCGUAGGUCUGUUGAAAAAUAGUGUAUUAGGUCAAAAUCACCCAAUUUCAUCUCCAACUAUACCUCCAGCACCAAUUUAUUAUCCAAGUGAAGAUGAAUUCAAAGAUCCAUUAGAAUUUAUUCACAAAAUCAGACACGAAGCCGUACCGUAUGGAAAUUGAUUUGGAGUUUUCAAAUUUUGAUUUUGAGAGAAAAAAUAGCCCAUUUUUUUUUAAUUUCCAAAAUUUUAAUUCACGUGCUCUUUUCUUCAAAAAACAUCACGUGCUCUUAUGUUUUUUUUUUGCUUUUUGAUUUAUAUUUAAUUUCAUUAAUUUAUAUCUGGCUUUUUUAUUUAAUUUUUAAUUGGAAAAAACACAUGUGGUGUGCCAUGUAGGCUUGAUCAAAUCAAAAUUAACGUUUUGCAAAAAGAGAUAAACAUGGGGUCACUUUUACCAUUUUUUUUAAUGGGGGUCAAAAUUACAACUUUUGCAAACUUAGGGAGUAAAUAGUACGUUUAAGCCUAAAUAAAAUGAUUACCUAAUUUUCAAACUCAACUGCCCUUCACUUGUAGUUAAGGUAUUCUGAUGAUUUUAGUUACAAAUACCUUAAAUACCAAGUGAUGGUUUGAAAUUGGGGGCUAAAUUUCACAAUCUCAAUAUUUGAGGUACUACGUAGGAGAAAUUUUGAAAAAAAUCAGACGACCCCUUCUUUGCACAAUGGAAAAAUAUUAAGGUCAUGAUAAUUUAUUUUUGAUAAUUUUUUGGUGAUGUAAUUUUCAUUUUGUGGUGUUUAAUCUUUAAUAAUGAAAGGUUGCGUUAACUUUUAAGUGGUUGAAGGUGAAGUUUCCUUUUCUUCCCUUCAAUUAUCAUGGUUGGUGGCUUAAUCCGUUUACUGUUUUAGGCAUUGGCUAUUUUCUGUUCUUUUUGGCUUGUUUUCUGGUGUUGGCUCUUGUCUUGUAUAUAUGUUUUGUUCUUUUGUUGUAACUUGCUGGGUUUUUAUUCAUUUGUACAUCUUGUGCUAGGAAGACCCUCGUGGUGUUAAUAUAUUUCAUUAAUUUUAGUUUCUUCAAAAAAAUAAUGAGAGGUUGCCAUAAUUUAGAAACCAAAUUGAAUCAAGUUUUAAAUAUUUUAAAUUUCCUUAAAUAUAUUGUUAUCAAUUUUUCAAGCCCAGUUUAGUUAGUAAGAUGCUUCAACUAUAUUCAUAGGGCUUCGAGUUCUAGUUAUGAAGGGGGAAAAUGGAGAACAUUGAUACUCUUUUAAAAAAACUUGCUCUAAUGAUUUUGUUAAGUACAAUGAAAAUAUUUAUUUAGUAAUUGAUAUUUUAUGUUUAACUCAUUGUUAGGGAUUAACAAAAUCUUGCAAGAAAGUUAGUAAAGCAAUUGAUGAGCAGCUAGAGGUGAUAUUAACAGAACAUGAACAAGCUGCUAAUGUAAACAAAACUCAUCAUAAAGAUUUUGUAGACAUACUUCUUUCAAUUAUGCACCAAACCAUUGAUGUCGAGGGUGAACAAAAUCUCGUCAUUGAUCGAACUAACAUCAAGGCUAUUUUGCUCGACAUGAUAGUGGCAGCAAUCGAUACAUCUGCUACCUCGAUUGAAUGGGCUUUAUCUGAACUUUUAAGACAUCCAAGAGUGAUGAAAAAGCUUCAAGAUGAGAUACAAAAUGAAGUAGGAAAUAAAAGAAAGAUUGAGGAGAAAGAUAUGAAGAAGUUGAAUUAUUUAGAUAUGGUGGUUGAUGAGACCUUAAGACUUUACCCUGUUGCACCAUUACUAGUCCCUCGUGAGUCUAGAGAGAGCACAAUAAUUGAUGGUUAUUUUAUAAAGGAAAAGACACGACUUAUAGUAAAUGCAUGGGCAAUAGGGAGAGAUCCUAAUGUUUGGUCAGAAAAUGCCGAAGAAUUUUAUCCAGAGAGAUUUAUUGAGAAAAACUGAAUUAUCUCGGACAAGAGUUUGAAUCUAUACCAUUUGGUUCUAGUCGUAGGCGUUGUCCUGGAAUUCAAUUGGGUUUAAUUACGAUUAAGUUGGUUAUAGCUCAAUUUGUGCAUUGCUUUAAUUGGGAACUUCCACAUAAUAUUAGUUCUUCUAGUUUGAAUAUGGAGGAAAAAUUUGGACUCACUAUACCAAGAACUCAACAUUUGCAUGCAAUACCAAGUUAUCGUUUGGAUGAUGCUAAACAUGAAUAGUUCUAAGUACAAUACUAUGUUGUGUUCAACAAGUUAAUUGCUAGUAAAAAUGCCAAGUAUGGUAGCUUAGUCCACUAAAGCUCUUGCAAACGGAAAGUUCGGAAAGGGGGUCUAACCAAUUAGUGUAUUAUAACGACCUUGGUACUUUCCAAAACAACAUUUAAUGAAGAAUCGGUUCCAGAAUCAGACAUGUGAGUUCAAUUGCACGAGAGGGGUGAAUUCGCCAAUGCCGGAAUUAGAAAUCUCCCUAAUUGAUUCAGCCCUAUGAAGCAUUCAAAAUUACCGUUAAAUCUCACCUGAUAUGCUCUCGUCCAUACGUAUCGAAGAAGUAUCCAAAUUUUUUAAUUAAAAAUAAAAAAUAAUUUUUUUUAACACGUCACAUAUACGUUGCGAUACGCUGCCAACACGUCUCUGAUACAUCUCAUGAUUGUUCAGUUUUUAGUUUUCCCCUAAUUACAUUCUAUCUUUACUAUGAUUAUGAUUGAUGCAUGUCAAUUAUAAUGUGGCAAAUUCUAUGGUACAUCCAAAAAUAUGAGUGUAUCGUUACAUCAAAUCGUUAAAUCAAUAAUUAAAUGAGUUGUUUUUUGAUUUUUUUAUUAUCAUUGAUAAUUAUAAUAAUUAAAUCUUAUUGAACAAAAACUUCGACGAAAUAAAAAAAAAUUGAAUUUUUAUUACUCAUAAUAAAGAAUAUUGAUGAUUUUUUAUGAGAAAAUGUUAAAAAUUUAAUAUGAUUCUUAUAAACAAUGAAAUGAUGUUUUUUCUUACGAAAUGAUGUUUUCUAAAAUAUAAAUAUGGACAAAUAUUUUUUUUAUUUCAUAAAAUGAUCGUUAAUUUAUAAAUUUAUAGAGCAAGAGUACCGGUAAACCUUAAUUUGUGAUGUGUACCGUAGAAGUUCCCUUAUAAUGUACCCAUUUAAUUUAUUAGAAUUUUCUAAGUUUUCUUUCUUUUUUCCAUAAUUAUUUUACGGUUGCAAAUUGAAAUCACAGCUAACUAAGAGUGCAUGUAAUAUGCCAAACUUACCAAUUCUAAACAAACAACUAUAGAGGAUAGAGUUCUGAGUUUAGUUUGAAAUUCAUCGCUUCGAUUGAGUUUGUGUUGUGAAUUUAGUUUAAAUUUUUUAACUAAUAUUUAUAACUUUAUUUUAAUUUUUAUAUUUGUAUGUUAAUUAAAUAUAUCAUAUCUUAUAUUUUUCAAUGACUGAAGUAUCGAUUUGUGUCGUAUCGGAUGCUCAUAUUGUGUCCAUGAUUAAUAGAUUCAACCAAACGACCAAUAACCAUACCCUUCAAAUUCUCUCUCCUACCGAGUUUUAAUUGAUGUUUACAACUUUAUUUUAAUUUUUAUAUGUGUAUGUUAAUUUUAUCGUAUCCUAUAUUUUUAAAUGACUGACAUAUCGAUACCCUUAAAAUUUUCUCUCCCACCCAUUUUUAGAAACAACCCACAACCAUGGUUUAUUGUCUUUAUCCUUUUGGAAGAAGUAUUUGUUAAAGCAUAUCACAAAAGAAAUGGAAGCAAGUUUUCUAAGUAAAGAUGAAGAUGUGCACCAUAGUCCUCCAUUACUUGCGACAAAAGCAAUUGAAGCUUAAGACAGUUUUAGACUUAGAAAUCAUGUUAUGACUACUUUGCUCAUGUUUAGGAAAGUUAGUUAUGAUACAGUGAGGUGAAGAUCACAGUAGUUUAUGCUGAUCUAUCACUGAAAUACCAUAAGUACAUGUAAUUGCUUCUAUUACAAGUUAAUGUGAAAUAAUGGUUCAUUGAACCAAUUCUUGAUUCUUUUAUUUGUUUUUAUCUCAUUUUUUUAUCAAUCUUUUGUUAUCUCAACAUUAUUUGUCUCGUGUGUUUGUAAGAGAACCCAUGGUGGCUGGUUUAUUACACGCUUGGAGGAGAAGGAGGUAGAAGGGGCAAUCCGCGCGCGUGUUUUUUUAGGGUUCUAGGUAGAAGUUGAUUUUUAAUUGAAGAAGCUUGAUAAAAUUGGUGUUUUAGAGUUUCCUAAGAAGAGGAGUGUAGCAGAAGUAACAAAAUUGAAAAGGGAGGAAGAUUAAAUCACCAAUGUAGCAUAUUUGUGUUUGUUGUUUUUUUUUUCUUUUUGCAUAAACAUGGCAAACAAAGACGAAGAAGAAAAAAAUACACAGGACAGAAGAAGAUUUUGGAAAUUGUUUUUAUUAAUGUUGUGAUGAAGAUUUAUGUAUGAAGAUUAAAAGAAAAGCAACAGUGAUCUGGGUUUCUCUUUAAACAUUCUAGAAAAAGGGGUUUUAAAUAAUUUUAUGUUUUUAAAAUUAAUGACUUUUUUUCUGCAGGAUUAAAAUUAAUGACUUGGUAACCAAUAUUCAUGUGGAAGUUUUUUUUUUUUUAAAGAAAUAUAAAUACACACUCAACUACGUAAUCCAUUGUACACAAUCAAAAAAUCUUAAAAUGGAAGAGGAAUCUCAAACUUUUCUUUUUUAAACCAAAAUUCGCUCGUGUAAACAUUAUUUGACCCUAAAAAUAAUGAAUAUUUAGACUUAAAUAUGCAAUUUAACCUUAGUUUUUUUUUUCGUCAUUCGAGUUUUUUUUUAUAAGCAAGAGAGAGGACAGGCAUCAAGAGACAUCAUCGACAUCCCAACUAGGUUGGCAUCUCAAGAGACCUCCAUCGUAUGCCGCCAAACUCAAAAGAUUUUAUUAAAAAAGGGGGAAAAAUAAUUACAAAAGGAGGGUGGACAAGACCAAAACUCUCAAAAUGAACGGAAAAGAAAAGCAACAGUGGAAACAACAAAACAGUCCAAAGAACAGAUCAAAGAAAUCUGUAAUUAGGAAAUCCACAAUAAAAAUUAGAAUUUGUGACAUAUAUAAAUUUUUAAAGCAAUCCAAGUAUCAAAGUUAUUGAUACCUCUAACAUUCCAAUGUGUGCCAAAUAUUGUAUUCAAAAAUUGUGAUCAACCAAUACUUUUUCAACAAGGAAUAGAUAAAUGGAGCACUCCUUGGUGGUAUGGUGACAUAUGUUGUAGCUUCUCUGUCCACAGAAAAACGUGUACACCAACUUGGAGUUCUUGAUAUCUUCAACCUCGUUACUUCAGCCAAACCAAAUCAUUCAUUGUGGUCAUGUCUUUUGCAGCAACAACUAUGCUCUAUUUCCUUCUCUUCACUUUCAUAUACCUUUUAUUCAAACUCUUCUUACAUCCAAAACAAAAUACCAUUAACCAUAAAAAGCCACCAGGUCCACCAACACUACCAAUAAUAGGAAACCUUCACAUGUUAGGUAAACUUCCACAUAGAACACUUCAAUCACUCUCCAAAAGAUAUGGUCCAAUCAUGUCCUUACAACUUGGUCAAGUUCCAACAAUUGUUAUUUCAUCUUCAAAAGGAGCAGAAUCAUUCCUCAAAACCCAUGACAUCGUUUUCGCAAGCCGACCGAAGAUUCAAGGAUCAGAGCUCAUGUCCUAUGGUUCUAAAGGGUUGCCUUUUUCUGAGUAUGGUCCUUAUUGGCGCAGUAUGAGGAAAUUUUGCACUUUGAAACUUCUUAGUGCUUCAAAAGUUGAGAAGUCGGGUCCUAUUAGAAAAGAGGAGUUGGGUGUUUUGGUUAACACUUUGAAGAAAGCUUCUUUGGUAGGUGAGGUUGUGAAUGUUAGUGAGAUUGUCGAGAAUCUUAUUGAGGAUAUUGUGUAUAAGAUGAUAUUGGGUAGAGGUAAGUAUGAGCAAUUUGACUUGAAGAAGAUGAUUAAAGAUGGAUUAACUUUGAUGGGAGCUUUUAAUCUGGCUGAUUAUGUUCCUUGGCUAGGCAUUUUUGACCUUCAGGUACAUUUGUACUAUUUAUUACUACUAUCUCGUUAAAUAUAAGAUCAUUUUGUGUUUUUUCUGUCGCUUUUUAUAAGAACCCUUUCAAAUUUUAAUGUAGAUUAAUUAUUUCUUUAUCAAUAUAUCCUUAUUUAUGUUGCAUAUUUUUAUACAAUAUAUAAUAAAUAUUCUACGAAAACAUCAGCUAAUUUCUUUCAUAAAGGAUAAAUAUGUAAAACAAUAUAAAUUGUAAACAAAAUUAAUUCAACAAUUAAUUUUCUUAAUUCCUGUGUUUUUCACGAAAUGGUUCUAUAAUUAAGGACGGAGGUAGUAUUUAUAAGAAAGAAAGAUAUUGAAUAUUAACAUACAUUUAUUUUAGUCUGAUGAUUUUGGCUUGGGAUCCGGGAGUAUGCACCUCCUCGAGGUCUCAGGUUCGACUCUCUCUGAUGCCAAUUUAAGUGGGUUAAUUUAACUUCUUCAAAAAAACAUAUGUUUAUUUUUAACACACUUAGAUUGGCCUGAUGGUAUUGGCUUGAGAUCCGGAAGUGUGCUGUUUCAUAAAUAGAGUGUUCUUCAAAACAAAACAAAAAACUCAUAAAUAGAGUGAUUGAGUGAUUUUGGUCACUCAAUAUUUAAUAGUUCGGUAUUGGUCCUUUAGUGUUUUUCCCUCUAUGGCUUUAAAAGGGUUACCUGAUUUUAUCUCAAUUGCCCUUCACUUUUAUAUAUGAAAUUGGAAACUGGGUCAAAUUUCACAAUAUCAAAAUAUUUUAGGUACUAGAAGUAAGAGAAAUUUGAAAACAAGUUAGAUAAUCCCUUUACUAUACACAAGGGAAAAUUGAAUUAACUCUACAAAAAAAAUGAGUUAACUCUUAAAUAUUUUCCAUUCGGUUAAAUAUUUCAGUUAUCCAUUUCAUCCUCAAUUUACUUAUGUUUUUACGGUUUUGUUAAUAACAACAAUCAAGUCUUAUCCGACUGAGUAAGAUCAACUAUAUAGAUCAAAUUACCCCAUAAUAGGUUAUCAUAAACGUGGGUUUGUUAAGUUCAAUGAAAAUAUUCAUGUAGUAACUGAUAUUAUUAGUUAACUUUUUGAUAGGGAUUAACACAAGCUUGCAAAAAAACCAGUAAAGCUCUUGAUGAAGUUUUGGAGAUGAUAAUAACAGAGCAUGAACAAACUACUAAUACAGACGAUCCUAAAGAUUUUGUAGACACAGUUCUUUCAAUUAUGCACCAAACCAUUGAUGUUGAGGGUGGACAAGAUCUCGUCAUUGAUCGAACGAUCAUCAAGGCUAUUUUGCUCGACAUGAUAGGGGCAUCAAUUGAUACAUCUUCAAACGUGAUAGAGUGGGCUUUAUCUGAACUUUUAAGGCAUCCAAGAGUGAUGAAAAUUCUUCAAGAUGAAAUACAAAAUGAAGUAGGAAAUAAGAGAAUGGUUGAAGAAAAGGAUUUGAAGAAUUUUAAUUACCUAGAUAUGGUGGUUGAUGAAACCUUAAGACUUUAUCCUGUUGCACCUUUAUUAAUCCCUCGUGAAUGUAGAGAGAACAUAACAAUUGAUGAUUAUUCUAUAAAAGAAAAGACACGAGUUAUAGUAAAUGCAUGGGCAAUUGGGAGAGAUCCUGAUGUUUGGUCAGAAAAUGCUGAAGAAUUUUACCCAGAGAGAUUUAUUGAGAAAAAAAUGAAUUAUCUCGGACAAGAGUUUGAAUCUAUACCAUUUGGUUCUGGUCGUAGACGUUGUCCUGGAAUUCAAUUGGGUAUGAUUACGGUUAAGUUGGUUAUAGCUCAAUUCGUGCAUUGCUUUAACUGGGAACUUCCACAUAAUAUUAGUCCUUCCAAUUUGAAUAUGGAGGAGAAAUUUGGACUCACUAUACCAAGAGCUCAGCAUUUGCACGCAAUACCAAGUUAUCGUUUGGAUGAUGCUAAGCUUGAAUAGUUCCAAGAAUAAUUACUAUGUUCGUGUUCAUCAAGUAUAUAAUUGGUAAAGAUGCUUAGGAGGUCUAUUAAUGAUGUUUUAAUGUAUAUUGCUUGUUCUUUAUAUAUGUUUGAUAGCCAACAUUUGAGUCUUCAUUGGGACAUGGAGGUCAAUAAAAUCACAUACCUUCAUGAUCAAUGGUAUGGUGCAAGUCUAUAGUACAAAUCUCCUUCAUCUCUACCCUAUCUCUUUCUUUUACUCAGUAUUUGUUUCAAUUCUCUGUUAUUAUUAUUACUAGGGUUGUUCGCGGUGCGGUUUGGUUCGGUUUCAAGCAUAAUAAUAAUCCAAACCGCGAGAGAAAAAAGCAUGCGGUUUGGUUUGGUUCGGUUGUUUUUUAAAAAGUCAUCCAAACCAAACCAAUGCGGUUUGGAUUGGUUCAGUUGAUGCGGUUAAUCACGAGAUAAAUAAAAAAAUUACAUUAACUUAAUAUUGCCAACUAGUACCAAGCAAUUUUAAUUAUUCAAAAAAAGAAUUUGAAGUUCCAAAAUAGCAUUACAAUACCAAUAAAAGUUAUUUAUCUAAAAUAACAUUACAGAACCAAAAUAAUAGCUGGAUAGUGUUGGGCUUGGACUUGGGUUCACUUUGGUAUUGGGCUAGUACAAUACUUACUUAGUUUAAUAACAUUGAGUAUUUUUGCGGUUUGGUUUGGUUUGGUUCGGUUGCUGAGAUGUAAACCGCAAACCGAACCGAACCGCGCGGUUCAGUCUAAAAAUCAUCCGAACUCAUCCGAACCAAGUGCGGUUUUUUGCGGUUUCAGUUUGGGUUGGUUCGGUUUGCGGUUUUUCUAUUGGGUUGGUUCGGUUUUGAACACCCCUAAUUAUUACUGAUUUUAAAAUUGGUAUGGCACACUUUAGAAAUGAGGUAGACCUGAAGUUCUAAAGUUUUUUUAACACAACAUAUCACACAUGACAACUUAAUAACUAGAAUACUGCUCCAUUAAGAUUGGAGAACAACAUAUAAAAGAUGUAAAUACUUAUUAUUCCUCUAUGGUUUUCCACAAUGUACAUGUAUAAUAUACUGCACAUUAACUAUUAUUUGAUUCAAAAAGUAUUAAAGUAUGUUUAUAUUUUUAUUUGUAUUAUGUAUUGAUAUCAAAAUAAUGAAUAUCAUUCAAAAAAAAAAAAAAAAUCAAAAUAAUGAAUAUGGGUGGCAUUUAGGGUGGGAAGGGGAAAGAUUUUCCCACCAUAGGUCAGUUGACAUUUUACCGUUAAAUUAAAAAGGAAUACUGAUUUUAUUAUGGACUGUCUACACCCUAUCUUUUCCCACCCACCUUUCUCUCUCCUCCUUGCUCUCCACCACCCGCAACAUCACCUACAGCCACUAUCACCACCGGUUCCUUCCAUUCUCGUCCAAAGCAAGCUUCAGAUCCGACGCACCUAGCUCAAUCUCUCUUUUCCAGUUUCUCUUAAUCAUUCAAUCGCCCCAUUUAUAUCCCCCCUUCGUAAAAAAUUCCAUGAUGUGAUAAUCCAAAUAUGGGCUAUAAUAUUACUGUAAUAUUUAUUGUUUGCUACUUAAUUUUAGUUCAAUGGGUCACUACAUAUAUAUUAAUUAUCGAUUCUUACAGGUUUGAUUGAAGCCUAUGAAGAUUGAUUUUUAACUUUUUUUAGAUUGCAACUCAUGAAGAUUGAUUUUGAUAAUUGGUUCCAUAAAAAGCAUGUUUCUUAAUUGUAAGCACGUGAAGAUUUUUGGGUUGUAGUUUCAUGGUGGCUGGUGGUGGUGGGUGAGUGGGGGUAUGGAGGAGAGAGAAGAAUGGUGAGGUGAGUGAGGUUGGAGACAGAUUGAAAAAAUAUAGUGUGGGUAGACCAUAGUAUGAUUAGUGUUCCUAUUUGAUCUAAUGGUCAAAAUCAACUUUUUUAUGGUAGGAAACUCUUUCCCUUACCCACCCUAAAUGCCACCAUGAAUAUGAGAGAGUUUUGUGUAACUUUUUUGCAUGUGUUGUUUUCUGACUCUAGAUUUGGAUAACAAAACAAUCAAGUCUUUUGUUCUCUUUCUCUAUUAUAGAUCUACUUUCUCUCUCUCUCUAUGAUUCCCGUGCUAUACUAGAUCUGACAACUGAACUCUUGCGACUCAAUAAUUUCUUUCUUCAAUAUGAACUUUAAGACCAAAUUUAGUUUCUAAAUCUUAAAAAAUUUAAUCAUAAACAAUAACAUUUUAGUACAUAAAUUAAUUUCCAAAACCUGAUCUUUCUCCUGUAGACCAAAUAUAUUGUCUAUCCUGUUUCAUGUUUGUAAAUUGUAACAAGUUAAUUUUUUUUUUUUUAAGUUGUAACAUUCUAGUCAAAUACCUCACUGGAUCUUCUAAGUUUUACGUUUGUUUCAGAUAGGUCCUUUAAGUUUUUAAGGUUUUAGAUAUGUCAUUUAAGUUUCGAGUUUGUUUCAGAUAUGUCUUUUAAGUUUCUAAGGUUUCAGAUAGGUCCUUUAAAUUUCGAAUUUAUUUCAGAUAGAUCAUUUCUAUCGAAUCAACUUUAAAAAAUUAACUUAUUAUAAACAACCAACUUAAAAAUCGCUAGAAGUAUUUGACCUUUCCAUAACCAAAAUCUAAAAAACAAAUGUGGUAUUUUUCCUAUAAGACCACUUUCAAAAUCACUCAUGCUGCUGUAUUACUCGAGAUAAGAUUUAAAUUGCAAAUGUAAAUAUUAAAAAGAGGGUUAAUUAAAUUUUUAGUCCCUUUUUUUUUUUUAAAAAAAAAAAAGAAUUUUUAGUCUCUAUAAAUAUUCACAGUUUUGUUUUUAGUCUAUACAAAAUAAAAUCACACUUUUUAGUCAAUGUGACAUUUUAAGGACUAAAAAUGCUGAUGAAAUUUUUUUAUAUAGACGAAAAAUGCUAAUGAAAAAUUUUAUAGAGACUAAAAAUAUUGAUGGAAAAUUUUAUAGGGACUAAAAAAUGUGAUUUUACUUUGUAGGGACUAAAAACAAAAUUAUGAAUAUUUAUAAGGACCAUUUACUUAUUAACCCUUAAAAAGAUGAAUGUUAUUUGAACAACCGUUUGGUUGACAACUUUUGGAACAACUAUAAUUUACAAAGAAAAAGUAGGUAUGUGAACGAAAACCAUAGUAGAAAGAUAAAGUAAAGAAUAACGUAAGUAUGAUUGAGAAAGUUGUCAAAAAAAUUAUUAAAAAAUGGAUGUUCUAAUAUCAUUCCUCUAUUAAAAAACGUUACUAUUUGAUCACAUUAUUAGUAAGUUAUCUUGCUCAGCUAGUAAAUUAUUAUACCGAUGGAGUUUUCACGGUGAAUCAAAUUACACAGUGCUUUGAAAACGAGGAGGAUAACAUCCUUCUUUUACUUUUUAAAUUGACAAGCAUGCACAACGAGAUGGAUAAAAGAAUAUUAAAAUAAUGGUAAAUCAUAUCCAACGUGUGCAUGUACAUUGUCGGUUGUAACAAAUCGACGUUCAUAAAAUGUACGUGCAUAGUUGAUCAUUUAAAAAAAAAAAAAUAUUUGAAUGAUGUUUUUCAUAUUUGCAAUUAGGUGUCAUUUAAAAAUUAGUUCAUAUAAUUGCUAAUCCUGACAAUUUACAUUUGCAUUAUUUAAUCAUUUAAAAUUUUAUCUUUUGACCAACUUAAUCACAAAUUAGCAAAAUGAUACGGAAAUGGACAAAUAUACCCUCGUCGUUAUUAUGAGAAGAAGACUAAGACAAGGGUAGAAAUACAUAAAUAUCUCCAUAAAUAUCUCACUAGCUAGAUAUACAAACCAAACACGUACACCACCGGUUUCAAGAUAAUCUGAGAUUAACUUGGAGUUCUAUAUAGUCUUCAACCUUGUUACGUACUUCAGCCAAACCAAAGCAUUCAUUGUAGACAUGUCUUUUGCACUAACAACAACAAUGUUUGCUUUUCUUCUCUUCACUUUCAUGUACUUUCUAUUCAAACUCUACUUACAUCCAAAACAAAAAACCCUAAACCAUAAAAAACCACCAGGUCCAUCAACACUACCAAUAAUUGGAAAUCUUCACAUAUUAGGCAAACUUCCACAUAGAACACUUCAAUCACUCUCCAAAAAAUAUGGUCCAAUCAUGUCCUUACAACUUGGUCAAGUUCCAACUAUUAUCAUUUCAUCUUCAAAAGCUGCAGAAUCAUUCCUCAAAACUCAUGACAUCGUUUUUGCAAGUCGACCAAAGGUUCAAGGAUCAGAUCUCAUGUCUUAUGGUUCCAAAGGGAUGGCUUUUUCUGAGUAUGGUCCUUAUUGGCGUAGUGUGAGGAAAUUUUGCACUUUGAAACUUUUUAGUGCUUCAAAAGUUGAGAUGUUUGGUCCUAUUAGGAAGGAGAAGUUGGAUGUUUUGGUUAUAUCUUUGGAGAAAGCUGCCUUGGAGGGUGAGGUUGUGAAUGUUAGUGAGGUUGUAGAGAAUCUUAUUGAGGAUAUUGUGUAUAAGAUGAUGUUUGGUCGGAGUAAGUAUGAGCAAUUUGACAUGAAUAAGUUAGUUCUAGAAGCAAUGGCUUUGAUGGGAGCUUUUAAUCUGGCUGAUUAUGUACCUUGGCUAGGCGUUUUUGACCUUCAGGUACGUCUUGACAAUUUCAUAUUAAAAAUUCUAAUUAAUUUUAUGAGAUUAUUUGAUUAUAUGGAAAAGAGGUUAACAUUGGCGCAACUGAUAAAUUUGUUGUCAUGUGACUGAAAGGUCAUAGAUUCAAGUCCGGAAAACAACCUCUUAUAUAAACAACAGGGUAAGGCUGUGUACAUUACACUAAAUGGUGGGACCCCUUCCCGGGGCCUAUGUAUGCGGGAGCUUUAGUGCACCGGGUUGCCUUUUAUUUGAUGAUAUGGAAAAAAGAAAAAUAUUUAUAGUUUAUUGAUAUUUAAUUGGUGGUUAAGACUUGAGAGUAUCUUUGUGUUGAUUUUUUAUAAUUUUUAUAAAGAUGUAUCUUUGUGUUGAUAUCGCUAUAUAAGAAAGAAAAAGAUUGAAUAUUGUGCGUUGUGUUUGAAUGGAGGGUUUAAGAAGAAAAGGGAGGAGAAGAUUUACUUUUUUUUUUUUUUUAAAUUAGUAACACUAAAAUGUUUUUCAAAAAUUGAAAUAACAUGUGAUUUUUCCUCUAUGGCAAUAAAUUGGGUUACCUGAUUUUAUUUCAAUUGCCCUUCACUUUUAAUUAAACUUCUUCAGAUUCUUUCUCAUGUAACCAAAAUAAAUAGAUAGUAAAUAAAUAAAUCAGCUAUCGAUUUCAUACUCAAUUUACAUAUGCUUUUGUUAAGUUCAGUGAAAAUAUUCAUGUAGUAGCUGAUAUCAAUUAUAAGUUUAAUUUUUUGUUAGGGAUUAACACGAGCUUGCAAAAAAACCAGUAAAGCCCUCGAUGAGGUUUUGGAGAUGAUAAUAACAGAGCACGAACAGACUACUAAUACUGACAAAACUCGUAAUGAAGACUUUGUAGACAUACUUCUUUCAAUUAUGCACCAAACCAUUGAUGUCGAGGGUGAACAAAAUCUCGUCAUUGAUCGAACUAACAUCAAGGCUAUUUUGCUCGACAUGAUAGCGGCAUCAGUUCAUACAUCUGCUACCACGAUUGAGUGGGCUUUAUCUGAACUUCUAAGGCAUUCAAGAGUGAUGAAAAUUCUUCAAGAUGAGAUACAAAAUGAAGUAGGAAAUAAAAGAAUGGUUGAAGAGAAGGAUCUGAAGAAGUUUAAUUACUUAGAUAUGGUUGUUGAUGAAACCUUAAGACUUUAUCCUGUUGGACCCUUAUUAAUCCCUCGUGAAUGUAGAGAGAGCAUAACAAUUGAUGGAUAUUUUAUAACGAAAAAGACUCGAGUUAUAGUAAAUGCAUGGGCUAUUGGGAGAGAUUGUAACGUUUGGUCAGAAAAUGCUGAUGAAUUUUACCCAGAGAGAUUUAUUGACAAGAAAAUGAAUUAUCAAGGACAUGAGUUUGAAUCUAUACCAUUUGGUUCUGGUCGUAGGCGUUGUCCUGGAAUUCAAUUGGGUUUAAUUAUCGUUAAGUUGGUUAUAGCUCAAUUUGUGCAUUGCUUUAACUGGGAACUUCCACAUAAUAUUAGUCCUUCCAAUUUGAAUAUGGAGGAGAAAUUUGGACUCUCUAUACCAAGAGCUCAGCAUUUGCAGGCAAUACCGAGUUAUCGUUUGGAUGAUGCUAAGCAUGAAUAGUUACAAGAAUAAUACUAUGUUCUUGUUCAACAAGUUUCUACUAGUAAUAAAGAUGCUAAGUAUGGCAGGUCUAUUAAUGAUGUUUUAAUGCAUAUUGCUUGUUCUUUAUAUAUGUUCAUAGCCAACAUUUGAGUCUCCAUUGGGACAUGGAGGUCAAUAAAAUGAAUAAUACAAGCAUAUCACAUGCCUUCAUGAUCAAUGGUAUGGUGCAAAGUAUUUUACUCAAAGUAUUUGUUUCAAUUCUGUUUUAUCAUUAUUAUUAUUAUUACUGAAUUUAAAAUUGGUAUGGGACAUAUGGUGUGUUUGGAUUCACGGCCAAAACACCUUUUCCACGUCCCGAGGUAAUUUUUAACGUGAUUUAAAGAAGCUUCAAAAGGUAGCUUCUCUUCAAACGUGGGUUUUUAUCACUGAAUUGAUAAAUCAACCGCUUGCACAAACAUGCUAAUAUCAAUUCUAGAAAUGAGGUAGACCUUCAAAUUCUAAAGCUUUUUUAACACAACAUAUCACACAUGACAACAAAACUAGAAUGUUACUAUGGAGAUUGUAGAACGACAAAUAAGAUGAAGUUAAUCAAAGAAACAGAGAUACAAACCUUAACUCAGCUAAUGAUAAAUUUUUAAAAUUGAUGGAGUUUUUUAUGGUGAAUCAAACUAUUCAGUACUAUGAAAACACUACUUCCAAUAUUUCCUCUAAUCAAAUUAUUUAUUUGUUCCUCUAAUUUCUAGAAUUUUAGGCAUCCCUUAUGUUAUAAUUGCAUGAAAAUCUGUAUUUAUACUUUCACAACCUAAAAGUUGUCUUGAACUAACAAAUCCAAAUAAAAUUUUGGGGAAAUGGAUUUCCUCCUGUGAAAAUCUCUCCAGUUUUCUGCAGUGAUACAAUCUGCACCAUUAAUUGUCUUCUCUUUUAUUUUCAACAUUUAAAAUUCUCAUAUACAUUAAUUUUUAAUGGACAAGAUUUCACUGGACUCUCGUGUGACCACCGGAGAGAUUCCAAACCCAAACUUUGGUAUCAUUACAAUAAGGUACUGGGCAUUAUUCUCUACUCAUGAUUAUUAUGAAAUUAAAAUUGAGACUAUUAUUAAUUCAAAUUUCUAAAAACAAUUACAAAGCAAGCAUAAACCAGUGAACUAAUUCUUCAUACCAUUGUGAACCUGAUGUCAUAGGUUGAAUUAGCACUCUAUGACAAAUUUAAGAAAAUCAGUUACAAGUUAGUUGAAAAUAGUGGACCGGAUUAUCACUUUAAUUAUUGGAAUAACUGAUCAUAUACAUAAACACUUGUAUGAUAAACACUUAUUCAAUAAGCAAUUAACUGAUAAUUUCUCUAAUUUCUUCACUCCUAAUUUAUUCAUAUGUUGGCUAUUAACAUAUAAUAAAAACUAGCAAUACUCAUUAACUUAUUCUAUUCAAGCACCAUUAGACCAACUUAUAACAUCUUUACUAGUAAUAAACUUGUUGAAUACAAGCAUAAUAAUGUCCUUUAUGGACCUAUUCAAGCUUCUCAUCACAUUCCAAACGAUAACUCGGUAUUGCGUGCAAAUGUUGAGCCCUUGGUAUAGUGACUCCAAAUUUCUCUUCCAUAUUCAAAUUGGAAGGGCUAAUAUUAUGUGGAAGUUCCCAAUUAAAGCAAUGCACCAAUUGAGCUACAACAAAUCUAACCGUAACCAAACCCAAUUGAAUCCCAGGACAACGUCUACGACCUGAACCAAAUGGUAUAGAUUCAAAUUGCUGUCCUUGAUAAUUCAUUUUCUUAUCACUAAAUCUCUCUGGAUAAAACUCAUCAGCGUUUUCUAACCAAAUAUUUGAAUCUCUCCCUAUAGCCCAUGCAUUUACUAUAACUCGUGUCUUUUCCUUUAUAAAAUAUCCAUCAAUUGUUAUGCUUUCUCUACAUUCACGAGGAAGUAAUAAGGGUCCAACAGGGUAAAGUCUUAAUGUCUCAUCAACCACCAUAUCUAAGUAAUUCAACUUCUUCAAAUCAUUCUCUUCGACCAUUCUUUUAUUUCCUACUUCAUUUUGUAUCUCAUCUUGAAGCUUUUUCAUCACUCUUGGAUGUCUGAAAAGUUCAGAUAAAGCCCACUCAAUCGUGGUAGUGGCUGUAUCAAUUCCUGCCACAAUCAUGUCUAGUAAAAUUGCCUUGAUGUUAGUUCUGUCAAUAACACCACUUUGUUCAUUUUCUGGAUCUACCGUUUGGUGCACAAUUGAGAGAAGUAUAUCAAUGAAAUCUUCAUGACGAACUUUGUCUACAUUAGUGCUUUGUUCAUGCUCUGUAAUUAUCAUCUCCAAUACCUCAUCAAGUGCUUUACCGGUUUUCUUGCAGGUUCGUGUAAAUCCCUAGCAAAGUGUUAAAUUAAGAAUGACAAUUACUAAUUGGAUAUUUUUACAUACCUUACUGGAACAAUAAAAAAAUGAAGAAAUAAUCAUUUUAGUCUCUGACUUUGCACCUCACUGUUACAAUAAUCUUGACUUAUGAUAAAAUGCAAAAUGGUCCCCGGAUGUUUACCUCCGUUGGUUAGUUUAGUGCUUGACGUUAAAAUUGACCGUUAAAUGCCGACAAGGAUGUGUAACAUGGAUCUAGAGACUAAAGUGAAAGUCAACACACAAAUCCUCAAAUCCCUCCAUUUUCUGUCACUUUAUGUAGUCCAUUAUUUUUACUCAAAUUUAGAAUUAAUUAAGGGACAUGGUCGUCAUGACAUUGAUUUUCUAAGAUUUACAUAGUGGGACCAAAAAUAAAAAAUAAAAAAUAUAAAAAGUGUUUGCCAAAAAAAAAAGUAAACUCAUAAACUCGAUCUAAUUUACCGAAUUUAACAUGUGUUAACUUGGUCAAACUUGUCAAACAUUCAAUUUCACCAAAAAUCAAAUUUACCUCCGAUUUGCCAGAAAUAAUAAUAAAAUAAAAAAUAUAGUGGCUUGCGGGAAUCGAAGGAGGAAAAGCAGGUAUAACCUCCGAAAAGUCACUCUCAAAGCUCAUUUUUUUAUCUUAUUUUCAAAGUCACUUUUGUUGGAUUUCCUUCUUUACAAAAAAGUCACUUCUAUUAUUAAGAGCUUUAUCAAAAUUAUGUUUGGCCCCACUUCUCUUUAGAAGUAAAAGAUAAGUGGCAAAUAAGCAGGGCCAAACAUGCUCUUAACAUAUUUUUGACACAUAAAAACGUAAAUUUGUACGAGUUGUACGAGGUUACAAGUUAACGCAGGAUUUGUGGAACACCUUAGAACAUAAAUUUAAACUUGCAAUGUCUAGUUUCUUCACAUACGUAUAUAUUUGAAAGAAGAAAAAAAAGACGGUAACCCUAGUGUUAUUGUGUCCUAGUGUUAUUGUGUUGUUCAAUUACAUGAUCCUCUUUUUUUUUCUUCCCUAUUUUCUCCCUUGUAAUACUAAAAUAUUGAAGGACCCCUCAAUUAAUACAUAAGAGGAAAAAACAUGAAGGACCCAAAACUGUGCAAUAUAAUAAAGUGACCAAUGAAAAAUGUACAGCUACGAUACUUAAGAGACUUAAAAUAAAAUCAAGUCAAUAGGUAACUAAUUUCUUCAACUUUUACACACAUACCUGAAGAUCAAAAGGACCUAACCAAGAAACAUAAUCAGCCAGAUUAAAAGCUCCAAGCAUAGCCAUUCCUUCUUGAACCAACUUCUUUAAAUCAAAUUGCUCAUACUUACCCCUACCCAAUAUCAUCUUAUACACAAUAUCUUCAAUAAGAUUCUCUACAAUCUCACUAACAUUCACAACCUCACCUACCAAAACAACUUUCUCUAAUGACUUAACCAAAACAUCCAACUCCUUCUUCCUAAUAGGACCAAACAUCUCAACUUUUGAAGCACUAAGAAGUUUCAAAGUGCAAAGUUUCUUUACACUACGCCAAUAAGGACCAUACUCAGAAAAAGCCAACCCUUUGGAACCAUAAAAAAUGAGCUGAGAUGCUUGAGUCUUUGGCCGACUUGCAAAAUUGAUGUCAUGAGUUUUGAGGAAUGAUUCUGCAGCUUUUGAAGAUGAAAUAACAAUUGUUGGAACUUGACCAAGUUGUAAGGACAUGAUUGAACCAUAUUUUUUGGACAGUGAUUGAAGUGUUCUAUGUGGAAGUUUACCUAACAUGUGAAGGUUUCCUAUUAUUGGUAGUGUUGGUGGACCUGGUGGUUUUUUAUGAUUUAUGGUGUUUUGUUUUUCACGUAAGUAGAAUUUGAAUAAAAGGUAUGUGAAAGUGAAGAGAAUGAAAGGAAUUAUUAUUGUUGUUGAAAACAUGUUUACAGUGAAUUCUUUGGAUCUAAGUUCUAAGGAUGAGAACUAUAAAGAAUUAUUAGUGUUGCUUGAUUGAGGAUUUGAAGAUGGUGCAGCCGUGCAAGUGAUAGAAUAAUUAUUAGUUAAAUAAAGGUGGAAACAAAUAAUUUUGAUUUGUUUAAUUGGUAUCGCUUUCCGUUAACAAAAACUUACAUAUAAGUUGAAUCAUGUUUUACAAUAUAUAUAUUAUAUUAUGUAGGAGAAGAUUUAUGAAUUCUUUUUUUAGGGGAUUUUCAUGAAUUCUUUUAAAAUAUAUUUACAGUAAACUAAUAUAAUAAAAUGACGUGAUGGUAAAAUAUGAUUUAUUUUUUGUGGUGGUCGAGGUUUGACUCAAACCUUGCAUAUAUUAUACAUUGUUUCUAUCAACUGAGCUAAGCUCAAGAAGAUAUGAUAAAAUAUGAUUAUGUUAAUUGAAGUAUUUUUCUCCUUAAUAGAAAGUAUUUUUAAAUGACAAAUAUCAAUCCUUCAAAGAAAAUGACAAAUAUCAAAUAUGUUAAUUGGCUUAAAUGCUCUUUUGGUCCCUUAACUAUUUAAUUGGUAUCGCUUUGGUCCCUUAACUAAAAAAAAGAUUGUUUGAGGACUUUAAGUUUUUUUUUAGUCUCGUUUUGGUCCCUUCUGUUAGGUUUCCGUUAGGGUUUUAAAAAAAGUUAACUCUUGGACACUNNNNNNNNNNNNNNNNNNNNNNNNNNNNNNNNNNNNNNNNNNNNNNNNNNNNNNNNNNNNNNNNNNNNNNNNNNNNNNNNNNNNNNNNNNNNNNNNNNNNNNNNNNNNNNNNNNNNNNNNNNNNNNNNNNNNNNNNNNNNNNNNNNNNNNNNNNNNNNNNNNNNNNNNNNNNNNNNNNNNNNNNNNNNNNNNNNNNNNNNNNNNNNNNNNNNNNNNNNNNNNNNNNNNNNNNNNNNNNNNNNNNNNNNNNNNNNNNNNNNNNNNNNNNNNNNNNNNNNNNNNNNNNNNNNNNNNNNNNNNNNNNNNNNNNNNNNNNNNNNNNNNNNNNNNNNNNNNNNNNNNNNNNNNNNNNNNNNNNNNNNNNNNNNNNNNNNNNNNNNNNNNNNNNNNNNNNNNNNNNNNNNNNNNNNNNNNNNNNNNNNNNNNNNNNNNNNNNNNNNNNNNNNNNNNNNNNNNNNNNNNNNNNNNNNNNNNNNNNNNNNNNNNNNNNNNNNNNNNNNNNNNNNNNNNNNNNNNNNNNNNNNNNNNNNNNNNNNNNNNNNNNNNNNNNNNNNNNNNNNNNNNNNNNNNNNNNNNNNNNNNNNNNNNNNNNNNNNNNNNNNNNNNNNNNNNNNNNNNNNNNNNNNNNNNNNNNNNNNNNNNNNNNNNNNNNNNNNNNNNNNNNNNNNNNNNNNNNNNNNNNNNNNNNNNNNNNNNNNNNNNNNNNNNNNNNNNNNNNNNNNNNNNNNNNNNNNNNNNNNNNNNNNNNNNNNNNNNNNNNNNNNNNNNNNNNNNNNNNNNNNNNNNNNNNNNNNNNNNNNNNNNNNNNNNNNNNNNNNNNNNNNNNNNNNNNNNNNNNNNNNNNNNNNNNNNNNNNNNNNNNNNNNNNNNNNNNNNNNNNNNNNNNNNNNNNNNNNNNNNNNNNNNNNNNNNNNNNNNNNNNNNNNNNNNNNNNNNNNNNNNNNNNNNNNNNNNNNNNNNNNNNNNNNNNNNNNNNNNNNNNNNNNNNNNNNNNNNNNNNNNNNNNNNNNNNNNNNNNNNNNNNNNNNNNNNNNNNNNNNNNNNNNNNNNNNNNNNNNNNNNNNNNNNNNNNNNNNNNNNNNNNNNNNNNNNNNNNNNNNNNNNNNNNNNNNNNNNNNNNNNNNNNNNNNNNNNNNNNNNNNNNNNNNNNNNNNNNNNNNNNNNNNNNNNNNNNNNNNNNNNNNNNNNNNNNNNNNNNNNNNNNNNNNNNNNNNNNNNNNNNNNNNNNNNNNNNNNNNNNNNNNNNNNNNNNNNNNNNNNNNNNNNNNNNNNNNNNNNNNNNNNNNNNNNNNNNNNNNNNNNNNNNNNNNNNNNNNNNNNNNNNNNNNNNNNNNNNNNNNNNNNNNNNNNNNNNNNNNNNNNNNNNNNNNNNNNNNNNNNNNNNNNNNNNNNNNNNNNNNNNNNNNNNNNNNNNNNNNNNNNNNNNNNNNNNNNNNNNNNNNNNNNNNNNNNNNNNNNNNNNNNNNNNNNNNNNNNNNNNNNNNNNNNNNNNNNNNNNNNNNNNNNNNNNNNNNNNNNNNNNNNNNNNNNNNNNNNNNNNNNNNNNNNNNNNNNNNNNNNNNNNNNNNNNNNNNNNNNNNNNNNNNNNNNNNNNNNNNNNNNNNNNNNNNNNNNNNNNNNNNNNNNNNNNNNNNNNNNNNNNNNNNNNNNNNNNNNNNNNNNNNNNNNNNNNNNNNNNNNNNNNNNNNNNNNNNNNNNNNNNNNNNNNNNNNNNNNNNNNNNNNNNNNNNNNNNNNNNNNNNNNNNNNNNNNNNNNNNNNNNNNNNNNNNNNNNNNNNNNNNNNNNNNNNNNNNNNNNNNNNNNNNNNNNNNNNNNNNNNNNNNNNNNNNNNNNNNNNNNNNNNNNNNNNNNNNNNNNNNNNNNNNNNNNNNNNNNNNNNNNNNNNNNNNNNNNNNNNNNNNNNNNNNNNNNNNNNNNNNNNNNNNNNNNNNNNNNNNNNNNNNNNNNNNNNNNNNNNNNNNNNNNNNNNNNNNNNNNNNNNNNNNNNNNNNNNNNNNNNNNNNNNNNNNNNNNNNNNNNNNNNNNNNNNNNNNNNNNNNNNNNNNNNNNNNNNNNNNNNNNNNNNNNNNNNNNNNNNNNNNNNNNNNNNNNNNNNNNNNNNNNNNNNNNNNNNNNNNNNNNNNNNNNNNNNNNNNNNNNNNNNNNNNNNNNNNNNNNNNNNNNNNNNNNNNNNNNNNNNNNNNNNNNNNNNNNNNNNNNNNNNNNNNNNNNNNNNNNNNNNNNNNNNNNNNNNNNNNNNNNNNNNNNNNNNNNNNNNNNNNNNNNNNNNNNNNNNNNNNNNNNNNNNNNNNNNNNNNNNNNNNNNNNNNNNNNNNNNNNNNNNNNNNNNNNNNNNNNNNNNNNNNNNNNNNNNNNNNNNNNNNNNNNNNNNNNNNNNNNNNNNNNNNNNNNNNNNNNNNNNNNNNNNNNNNNNNNNNNNNNNNNNNNNNNNNNNNNNNNNNNNNNNNNNNNNNNNNNNNNNNNNNNNNNNNNNNNNNNNNNNNNNNNNNNNNNNNNNNNNNNNNNNNNNNNNNNNNNNNNNNNNNNNNNNNNNNNNNNNNNNNNNNNNNNNNNNNNNNNNNNNNNNNNNNNNNNNNNNNNNNNNNNNNNNNNNNNNNNNNNNNNNNNNNNNNNNNNNNNNNNNNNNNNNNNNNNNNNNNNNNNNNNNNNNNNNNNNNNNNNNNNNNNNNNNNNNNNNNNNNNNNNNNNNNNNNNNNNNNNNNNNNNNNNNNNNNNNNNNNNNNNNNNNNNNNNNNNNNNNNNNNNNNNNNNNNNNNNNNNNNNNNNNNNNNNNNNNNNNNNNNNNNNNNNNNNNNNNNNNNNNNNNNNNNNNNNNNNNNNNNNNNNNNNNNNNNNNNNNNNNNNNNNNNNNNNNNNNNNNNNNNNNNNNNNNNNNNNNNNNNNNNNNNNNNNNNNNNNNNNNNNNNNNNNNNNNNNNNNNNNNNNNNNNNNNNNNNNNNNNNNNNNNNNNNNNNNNNNNNNNNNNNNNNNNNNNNNNNNNNNNNNNNNNNNNNNNNNNNNNNNNNNNNNNNNNNNNNNNNNNNNNNNNNNNNNNNNNNNNNNNNNNNNNNNNNNNNNNNNNNNNNNNNNNNNNNNNNNNNNNNNNNNNNNNNNNNNNNNNNNNNNNNNNNNNNNNNNNNNNNNNNNNNNNNNNNNNNNNNNNNNNNNNNNNNNNNNNNNNNNNNNNNNNNNNNNNNNNNNNNNNNNNNNNNNNNNNNNNNNNNNNNNNNNNNNNNNNNNNNNNNNNNNNNNNNNNNNNNNNNNNNNNNNNNNNNNNNNNNNNNNNNNNNNNNNNNNNNNNNNNNNNNNNNNNNNNNNNNNNNNNNNNNNNNNNNNNNNNNNNNNNNNNNNNNNNNNNNNNNNNNNNNNNNNNNNNNNNNNNNNNNNNNNNNNNNNNNNNNNNNNNNNNNNNNNNNNNNNNNNNNNNNNNNNNNNNNNNNNNNNNNNNNNNNNNNNNNNNNNNNNNNNNNNNNNNNNNNNNNNNNNNNNNNNNNNNNNNNNNNNNNNNNNNNNNNNNNNNNNNNNNNNNNNNNNNNNNNNNNNNNNNNNNNNNNNNNNNNNNNNNNNNNNNNNNNNNNNNNNNNNNNNNNNNNNNNNNNNNNNNNNNNNNNNNNNNNNNNNNNNNNNNNNNNNNNNNNNNNNNNNNNNNNNNNNNNNNNNNNNNNNNNNNNNNNNNNNNNNNNNNNNNNNNNNNNNNNNNNNNNNNNNNNNNNNNNNNNNNNNNNNNNNNNNNNNNNNNNNNNNNNNNNNNNNNNNNNNNNNNNNNNNNNNNNNNNNNNNNNNNNNNNNNNNNNNNNNNNNNNNNNNNNNNNNNNNNNNNNNNNNNNNNNNNNNNNNNNNNNNNNNNNNNNNNNNNNNNNNNNNNNNNNNNNNNNNNNNNNNNNNNNNNNNNNNNNNNNNNNNNNNNNNNNNNNNNNNNNNNNNNNNNNNNNNNNNNNNNNNNNNNNNNNNNNNNNNNNNNNNNNNNNNNNNNNNNNNNNNNNNNNNNNNNNNNNNNNNNNNNNNNNNNNNNNNNNNNNNNNNNNNNNNNNNNNNNNNNNNNNNNNNNNNNNNNNNNNNNNNNNNNNNNNNNNNNNNNNNNNNNNNNNNNNNNNNNNNNNNNNNNNNNNNNNNNNNNNNNNNNNNNNNNNNNNNNNNNNNNNNNNNNNNNNNNNNNNNNNNNNNNNNNNNNNNNNNNNNNNNNNNNNNNNNNNNNNNNNNNNNNNNNNNNNNNNNNNNNNNNNNNNNNNNNNNNNNNNNNNNNNNNNNNNNNNNNNNNNNNNNNNNNNNNNNNNNNNNNNNNNNNNNNNNNNNNNNNNNNNNNNNNNNNNNNNNNNNNNNNNNNNNNNNNNNNNNNNNNNNNNNNNNNNNNNNNNNNNNNNNNNNNNNNNNNNNNNNNNNNNNNNNNNNNNNNNNNNNNNNNNNNNNNNNNNNNNNNNNNNNNNNNNNNNNNNNNNNNNNNNNNNNNNNNNNNNNNNNNNNNNNNNNNNNNNNNNNNNNNNNNNNNNNNNNNNNNNNNNNNNNNNNNNNNNNNNNNNNNNNNNNNNNNNNNNNNNNNNNNNNNNNNNNNNNNNNNNNNNNNNNNNNNNNNNNNNNNNNNNNNNNNNNNNNNNNNNNNNNNNNNNNNNNNNNNNNNNNNNNNNNNNNNNNNNNNNNNNNNNNNNNNNNNNNNNNNNNNNNNNNNNNNNNNNNNNNNNNNNNNNNNNNNNNNNNNNNNNNNNNNNNNNNNNNNNNNNNNNNNNNNNNNNNNNNNNNNNNNNNNNNNNNNNNNNNNNNNNNNNNNNNNNNNNNNNNNNNNNNNNNNNNNNNNNNNNNNNNNNNNNNNNNNNNNNNNNNNNNNNNNNNNNNNNNNNNNNNNNNNNNNNNNNNNNNNNNNNNNNNNNNNNNNNNNNNNNNNNNNNNNNNNNNNNNNNNNNNNNNNNNNNNNNNNNNNNNNNNNNNNNNNNNNNNNNNNNNNNNNNNNNNNNNNNNNNNNNNNNNNNNNNNNNNNNNNNNNNNNNNNNNNNNNNNNNNNNNNNNNNNNNNNNNNNNNNNNNNNNNNAUUGCAUACUCAUUUCUGCACUUAGAUAACUUCUGAUUCAGGUUGGUAUUCACUUUGUUGCCAUUCAUUUCAAAUUUGCAUGCAAAAAAAAAAAAAAAAAAAAAAAAAAAAAAAACCCUAGGGUAGUAGAUAGUGUAAUGUUCUUCAAACUGAUACCUACAUGACUCAGAUGAAACAUAAUCAUGCCCAAAUUCGUGGUUGUUCUGAUUCCAAUCCACAUUUUUGUUAACCCUUUUGUAAAAAUUAAAAAUAAAAUUAAAAUUAGGGUUUUUGUGGUAUAAUUCGACAUUCAACUCAAAAGCAUGAUUUAGUUCAUCUCUUUGUCAUUAUCAGGGUCGGAAUUACUAUAUUUAGGGUUAAGAAUGUUGAAACUGAAAGAAAUUUUGAAAAAGGGUCGAUUUUUGUCAUUUUCUGGGCAACUCGCCAUGGCGAGCUUCAUCAUUCGCCAAGGCGAGUGAGCAAUCUGAAACCCAGAAAAUUUCAACUACUCGCCAUGGCGAGUGCACCUGCUCGCGAGGCGAGUGGUAACAGAACAUGCAAUAUUUUUUGUUCCAUACUGAUAUUUAAUUGUCUGUUUGGUGUUUGUGGAAUUCCUGGUUGUGUUUGCAGGUAUGGCUCCAAAGAAACCCGUUAACACUGGUAAACGCAAGAAAGGAGAAACAUCCGCAACCCGACCCCCACCUAGAAACCAAGCCUUUGAGAGGGAGAGAUUUAGGUCUCGCUACCAUCAAGAUAGAUAUAUUGAACUGCUUGACCAAUCCAUGUGGUGUGAGAGGGUCUUUAACCUUAAUCCCGAGGGACCCUAUAAAGAAAUUGCCAAACUUUUACUCGAUCAAGGAUGGGAACGACUCCUUCAACCCAUAACAGAUAUUAAUGCCGAGUUAGUGCGUGAGUUUUAUGCCAAUGCCCUACCUGAAAAUCCACACACUGACCCAUUUACAUUCGAAACUUUUGUGAGGGGUCGAACUAUCCGGUUUGACCGUGAGGCAAUAAAUACAUACCUUGGCAACCCCUUUGAGUUAGCCUACCCAGACGACCUUGAUGACUUUCAUGAGAAGCAAAACCUUGGCCACUUUAUCCUCCCGGGCCCCCAUGAAGAAAUCAAACGAUUUCUCUUGUUGGGAGACUAUAACUAUGACAUCAGUGAUGCAGGGAGAGAGUAUCGGGCCCAAUACAAAUUCAUGACCAAUGAGGCCAAAAUUAUCCAAAAAUUCAUUCUUUAUAAUGUCAGGCCCAAUAGUCAUCUGUCUGAUUGUGUUGUCGAGGUGUGUCCUUUAAUCUACUACAUCCUCAAGGGGAUCAAGGUAGAUAUUGCCCGGACCAUUGCUUGGGAACUCCGAAUGGUCACCCUGCAAGGAAGAGGUGAAAGAGAAGCUCGUCUCUUUUUUCCCGGUUUAAUCAUGGGACUCAUUAAAGAUACCGGCAUGCGCCUACCAACCAGUGUCCAUGAGAAGAUCCGGAACCCGAUCAAUGAUGCUUUCAUCACCCGAUACAUUAUGGGUGAAACAAAGAAGGAUAAAAGCAAACAAGCAUCAUCUUCUGGGGCACCUCCACCACGACCUCAACCAUCAUCUGAACCACAACCCCACUUUCCACCACAUCUAGACCCACACACUGCUGCUUUUGACUUUUCAAGCUUCGCUCAAUGGCAAUACCAGUGCCAUACCCAUACAUGGAACAUGCUGGACGCAACCAACCGUGCUAAUACAUAUCUUCAGCAGUCUCAGUAUGUGAUGCAGCAGCAGGCUGGGUACCCACCGGAGGUGAUGUCACAAUUCAUGACACCAGAGGCCUAUCAGGCUCAUGUUUCUUGGCCUGAGGGCAGGCCAGAUCCUUACGGAGGGGGUGGAUCAUCGUUCGGGACGCUUUCUGACGAUAUAUUGAUGGGAGAUUCUGACAGAGACGAUCCAGACAGAGUCCCAAGUGCAACUGGUGGUUCAGAUGAUCAUGACAUGCAGGGUUGAAAGAGGAAAAGAAUGACUUUGAAAGCUCACCGUUUAUUGAGUGACAUUUUUAUAAAGCUUUCAGUCUAUUCUUUCUUUCUCUUUCAUUUCUUCUGACAAUAUUUGCUUCUGUUCAUAUUUUAAAUUUAGCACAAUGACUCACUUUGUUUAGUUAGCAUUUUGUUUAAUUAUUUUGGUAUUUUCGUAUUCAUAUUCGUAUUGUUCAAAGUUGUAUUGUGUUGUUUUAUAUUAGCACUUUUGGUUUAUAUCAAGUACUUUGUUUUGAAAAUUGUGGAAGUUUCUUUAGUUUAUCACUCUUGCUUAUUGAAAAGAAAAUGCUCAAAGCUUCAAAUUUCAAAGCGCUUGAAAGAGCCAAAACUUGAGCAAAAUUCUCAGAUGAUUGAUAAUAACAGAUGGUUUGUGAUAAAGCGCAAAGCCAAGGUACAAGUUUCCAGUUUUUCUAGGUUUUUACUUGAAUAGGAAACGAGUACUUUGCACAAAUUUCAAUUCAUUUAGUUCUCCUCGAUAAUGUGUUUGUUUGUGAACCACUUAGUACUAGCUAAAAAGUGAGGAAACCUCAAAUAUUUGUACUAUAUGCAAGGAGACCGGCAUUCAUUGUUUUAACUCGGUCAUUUUAUGUUAAAUCUAAUAUUUGUUUUAAAUUGUGUAAAGACAUGGAAAGGAUCAAGGCAUAUUUUGUUUAAUGAGAGAAACAUACUUGACCACAAAUAGCCUACCUUGUGAGAAGAGCGAGUAUUUGUUAACCCACUUGAGCCAAAUGAAGCAAGGUCCUCAAUUAUGAACUGUCAAUUCAUAAGCACAAUGCUUGAUGAAUUCGCCCUAUAUUUUUCAAAAUCCAGUUCAUUUUUGUUGCACUAUCGGACCUUGAUAUGUUUUAAUUGUUGAACCCUAAACCUUCAUUGUUAUUUGUCCCUUUUUGCCAUAGAUUAAGGGAACAUUCAAAUAGGGUAUGUUUUCAUUCAAGUUGGGGAGAAAAGGUAGAUGUUCAUCAUUUGUCAAGUGAAUUGGUGUAAUCAGAAAUUUUGAUCAAGACAACAUUGUUUGUAUAUGAAAAAAGAAAGAAAAAGAAAAAUGUGUACAUGAUAAAAACAAGAAAAGAAGAAAAAGAAAAAGAAAGAAAAAUCCAAAAAUAGAAUAAGUUGUCAAGAUCAAGGAGUAUCAUGUUUUAACACCAAGGGUUUGUUAGGGAAUUCUAGUAAAUUUGUCUUUUGAAUGUGAAUAGAAGGAAUGUUCCCUUAUGCUUGACCAUUUGAAUUCAAUUGACCCACAAAUGUCCUUUCUUUUGUAGCCAAGCCAAAUUACAACCCUAAAAGACCUUUUGAUCCAUGUUUUUAUGCUUUUUGAAAUGAUAAUUGGAUGGACAUAUAACUUGAUUUGGAUGUUAACUUGAUUGCCGGAUGUGUGUUCAUAACCCUCACUCAUUUGAUUUCAAUUGCAUAUCUACUUACAAAGAAGUGUGUUAGGUGUGGUUCGUGAAUAAAUGUUUUAUUGACUUGAACUAUUUGACAUGAACUUUGUGCAUAGAACUCAUUUCAUAUUUGUGGUAGAAUUCCAGAUUAGUUGGAAACUCAGACUUGCCCGCGCAUUCUCUUUGAAUCAUUCAUCUAAAAAUGUUUUCAAACCUUUUGUACUUGUGUCUUGUCAUAUUAACUUGUUUGAUUUUCAAGAUUUUGUUUGAGGACAAACAAAGAGUUAAGUUGGGGAGAGUUUGAUAAGUGCUAGAAAGUUGUAAUUUAAGUGAUAUAUUUUAGGCACUUUUGUUACUUGUUUUGCAAGUUAUUAAGGGAAAAGCCGAGAAAUAAGUGAUUAUUGCCCUUUUACGCUUUAUCUAUCUUACUUCACCCAUUUGUGCAGGAUUCGAACUCAAGACAUCAAGCAAAGAGAAGAAAAUCGAGAAAAGUACAAAAAGGCAGAAAAAGGAGAUCACUCGCCUCCAACUCGCCAUGGCAAGCAGAAAAGGCGAGCAAUUCCAGAAUGCAACAAAGAUCACACGCCACCAACUCGCAAUGGCGAGUAGAAGGCGAGCUUACUCGCCGUGGCGAAUGGAAGGACUCGCGAGGCGAGUAAGGGCGGUUUAGCCUCUAAAUGCUGACGUGGCACAAACCCAAUGGGGAAGAAACUUCAACUCGCCUUGGCGAAUGAAGCAGCUCGCGAGGCGAGUGAAGGCAGACUCAGAAUUCUAUAAAUAGCCCACUCAACCAUUUCAGAAAAAGAUAGUUUUUUAUAUAGUUUUUAGAUAGUUUUUCUCUUAGUUUUUCACUUGUAAUAUUCUUAGAGAGAGAGAGAUAGGGCUUGUGCUUUAUAGAGUGAGAGUGAUAGAGAGUGGAUUCUUCAUCCUUUGUUGAGACAUCACAAGUUGUAAUGAAUCUUGCUUCUUCAAUUCAUUCUUGCAAGGCUUCCAUGACAAUGAGUAGCUAAAUCUCCUUUGUUGGGAUUAGAGGUGUUAUACCCUGUUUUUGGACCUAAAAAUACUGGGCCCAAUUUCAUUUCAAACUUUGUCAAUUAUCAAAUUUCAACUGCACAGUUCAAUUUGUCUCUGCCUCGCAGUAUUUUCAAUCACAAUUUUACCUAUGUUUUUCUUGCAUAAAACCUUUCAAAAUGUCUUUACUUGUCUUGUAAGUCAUUCAAAAGUGUCUCUGGAUCAUUACAUUGCUUUUUCUACAGUUUAUUCCAAAAUUUGCAAAAAGUCAUACAGAAGGGUAUUUUGGUCAUUUCCUGCAGUGGGACCCAUUUUCAUCCUUGUGACUGUCUCUGAGUCUUUUCAGAUUACUUUUAAACAUUUCAUCAGUAAACUUUGUUAAAAUUCAUUUCAAACUUGCGUCUGAGUCAGUGUCAGGUCAAUUUGAAUCUGUUUAGGUCGUUUUUAGCCCUAGGGGCAUUUUGGUCAUUUCACAUAAAAUUUUGGCAUGGGGAGGUUACUUUGAAGUACCUCAUUUAGGCCAUUGGUUCGUUUUAGUCCGUUUUGUCAAUUUUAUUUUUUUGUUUCGCUUUACGUUGGGUCAAAUUACGUUUUUUAUUCAAUUUUAUUUUUUAAUUGCAUUUUGGUCCCUCAAGUGAGGUCCCAAAAUUGCAUUUCAGUCCAGAAUUUUCUUUUUUUACAUUUCAGUCCUUUUUGUCAAUUGCAGUUUAGUCCCUUAUUUUUUCAAUUUUGCAGAAAGGUCCAAUUUCAUUUUUUGCCCAAGGCCGUGCCAUCUUUUUUUUUCAGGUCCAGGUGUCACUUUCUCAUUUGUUCAGAUACACACAUGUCAAGCUAUAAAAGGUGCACAGUGCCACUCAGAGCCAGAAAAACACACGCCAACUCAUAAACACAUUCCAAAUUUUCUCUUUCUCAGCAACUGAAUCAAAACAGAAAAAAUUCCUCAGAUUCAUCAAGAACACCAAGAACAAAAAACCUAACCGUUUUCCAGAAACAGAAACUACACAAAUUCAAGCUAUUUUUCAUGGAUUCUCAGUGAUUCUUUGAAGAAUCAUCAUCAUUGAAUCAAUAUCUUCGCAAUUCGAAGUGCGAAUUCGCCAAAGGCAAACUCCAGCACCGAUCACGAAGAUACAGUGAGGAAGACGAAGAAGAAAGAAAGAUGAUGAAGGUUUAAACCGGCGAAGAAGGCGAUAAAGCAAGAAACCAGCAGGAACACCGGUUUAUUUCCGGAUUCAAAGCCAAAUCACGUAGCAUCAGAGAUUGAAGUUUUCCAAAGAAUUUCUCCAUUAAAGGUUUCAACCAAAACCUUAGGUAAAACUCAUACUCUUUUUCAAAAGCAAUAUCACUGUUAAACCUAAAAAUCACGCAAGCAAAACAGAUCCAAAGGUUCCAGAAUUCAAAGAAAACUAUAACCGUAAACAUCAAAAUCCAGAUCCGUAAGGAUCAACGUUUUGAAAGCGAAAACAGGCGUCAAAAAGUAAUCAAACGACGAAACGAUGUAGAUCUUUAAAGAUCUAAAUGAUCUCAUUCAAAAAAAUCAAAAAUCAUUUCAAAACCGUAAAAGCUUUUUCAAGAUCUACGUCGUUCAAAGCCGUUUUUGAAAAAACAAAUGCCGGAUUCGUGUUUAGGGUUAAAGGACGAGUCAAACGAAGUAAGAAUCUUUGAAAUCUGGAAAUUUAGGUCACCGGAAACUGCAUGAACUCGCCGGAGAAGAUGAAGUUUCCGGCGGACCUUCAAGGUCUCCGCCGUAGCUUCAUCCUCGCCGGCGGCGAGGUUUAGAGAGAGGUGAGAGGUGAGAGAAGAGAGAAGAGCUAGAGAGAGAAAGGGGAGUGAAAAAUGAAGAAAACCGGUGCCAUGCCUUUUAAAUAAGCUAGUGAACCAGACCGGUCCAAGACCGGUCCAAUCCUGUUGAUUCCAGGCCGUUUGAUCUAGGGUUUCAGGACCCUGGAUCAAUCCUGUGGCUCCUGUGAAUCCGGUUCCUUAGGGUUUUGGGUUGGGCCUUUGUUUCCUUUGGAUCUUUACGUUUUGCUAUUCCUGUGCUUUUCACACCUCUAUUUUUGCUACCUGUACCUAUGUCUUGAUUAAAAUUGUGAUAAAAUUCCUAGAAAAAUUCAUGCAUGUUUCCUGAUAUUUUCUUAGUGUUUUUAUGACAUUUUUGCACAUUAAGGAUCUAUGAAAUUUUGGUAUGGUUAAUUCAUAGCAUUUUAAUUCUCUUUGAAUUAUUUGUUAUGGAUUCUUCUUCAUACAUUUGUCCUUGAUGUGCGAAUAUGUGAUAAAAGCUUUUUGAUGUGUUAAUAUGAGAAAUUUGUGCCUAUAAUUUCGUGUUGUUUUGCUGUUUUGAUUUGGUUCAUGAGUGCUUGAUUUUAUGAGCAAUAUAUGCAUAUUUUGAAAGAUAUAAAAUGCCAAGUUUAUUCUAGAAAAUAUGGCAUGAAACCAUGCUUGCAUGUUUCCAAUAAUUUCAUGCUAUAACUUGAGAUAAAGAAAACUCUUUCAAAAUUUGUUAAAGCAUGAGAAUUAGAGGCCAAGGAUGCUUUAGGUUUCAUACCUAAGUUUUUAGGGUUUAAUGUCAUUUUGUUAACUUUUUGUGUCAUCUUGCAUGAUUUUAUUUCUUAGUGCUUAUUAUGUUUUUUCUUUUGACUAACAAGUUUAUUCCCAUGUUUCAUGCAUCCCAUUUAGCAUUCCCUCCACCCUCUUUAGCCUAGCAUUUAUUUUUGCAAGUUUUAAUUCAUUUAGUGAUGUAAUUUGUCAUCAUUGGUUUGUAGCUUGGCAAAGGGGCCAUAGAAUGUAUUUAGGCAAUUUUUGUAAUAUGGACUAUGGACACUAUGACGCACCGACACGCACACACUCACCUUAGAUGUAUGCAUAGGAUUGUAUGGUUAAAUAAGCGUUUAGGUUUUAAACACCUAGAGAAAAUCCAUCUUUUUUCCAAAAAAAAAACAAUUGAACUUCACUUCAAAAAUUUUCAUAAUAAACAUGAAGUCAACACUUCAUUUCUUUUCCUUUCUUUUUUUUCUUGAGAAAAAUUCAAUUCAUCUUAAUCAUUUAGACUUUCUUUUUUAAUCACUAAUCAAACCUCACUUUUUGCUAAAUCUAAUGCUCAUGAAGCCUCCCAAUCUCCUUCUUCAAAACCAUUUUCAAAACUUAAAAUCAAACAAUUAAAACAAAAACAAGUCUUUUUAGCAAGAACUACGAACGGUUUUGAUCCCUUAAAAGGGUACGUAGGCAAUGAGUCAAAACUCAUCCAAGCCGAAAUAAAAUCAAAAUUCUACUUCUUCUCACCCCCACUCUUAACUAAAUAAACCUCCCAUUUUCAAAAGUAGGUAAAAAUAAAGCGUAAAAAUCGACUUAGGAAAACGGCUCCUAUAGAGGACUAUAGUUACUCCGGGUGCCUAACACCUUCCCGUAGUAAAACCGACCCCCGAACUUAGAAUCUAAGGGUUUUUUCUCAAUUUUUCCCUUCCCAAGAAAAAAGAGAGAUAUCAACGGUCGAAAGGUACAAGUCCAAUUAAUGACUUGGUACCCAAAAACCAUGAUAACAGAAAUGGCGACUUCACUGGGGACUUUUUUAAGCGGGUCGCGCCUAGUUUUCCUUAGUUUAUAUUUAUGUUUUAUUUUAUUGCUUACAUAUGUGAAUAUUUGUUUACUUUCAUUUGACGUGUGGGGUGAGAAUAUCAAAAGUCCUAUACCCGGGCUGAGUGAACUUAUGUUUAGGUAGAGAUAUAAUCGACAAUUCGAUCCGGGGGUUGCCUCGUGUAUUGGAUUAUGCGAUCAAUCUCACAUAGCUGAGGCAUUUUGAAGGUGAUAUUGUCGGCGUGUGUCGUCAUGCUUAGGCACUUCACUUUCAAUUGUUCGACGAAGCUAUGAACCGUAGUUACCAAACCCAUCCUAGCCUUUUUAGGACGUAGUGCGGUGGCUAAAUUGAGUGUUGUCUCAAAACUUUAGUCGUCACGCGAUACUACACUCAAACUAGACCUUCUCACAAAUAAUCGUGGAACGGGUGUCGUCCUGUACUACCAUGAUAUAUGUGAGAGAGGUUGCAGUUUGGGAACUGUGUUAGAACCUUGGUUACUACUAUCCAAAGCCUUAGUUCACCGGACGCCGUGUCCAUCCGUGGCCUUGUUACUUUGAAUCUCAACCCACAUUGUAACUAAACAACACAAUCAUGCAUACAUGCAUUCAUGCAUAAAUAUUUUUCAUGCAUUCAUCGAAGGGUUUAAACAAAUGAGAAUUUUUGUAAAUAAUCACAGGUAUGAAGAAGACUAAGUGCUACAAGUUCAAGGAAGUGGAUUUGGUUAGUUUGAGAGAGUUGGCGCUCAAGGUCAAGAGUCAAACAGGGUUCCGACUCCGGUAUGGGGGAUUGCUUACUUUGCUCCGAACCGAUGUGGACGAGAAGCUAAUGCACACUCUGGUGCAAUUUUAUGAUCCGAGCUUCCGCUGCUUCACUUUCCCGGACUUCCAGUUGGUUCCUACUCUCGAGGCUUACUCCAAUCUAGUGGGGUUACCUAUAGCCGAGAAGACGCCUUUCGCCGGUCCCGGGACUCCUCUUACUCCUCUGGUUGUUGCUAAGGAUCUCUACCUCAAGACUUCCGACGUCUCCAACCAUCUUAUUACCAAGUCUCACAUCCGGGGUUUCACUUCGAAGUAUCUUCUUGAUCAGGCUAAUCUCGGUACCACUCGCCAGGACACACUCGAGGCUAUUCUUGCUUUGCUUAUCUACGGGCUCAUUCUCUUCCCGAACCUUGACAACUUCGUGGACAUGAAUGCUAUCGAGAUCUUUCAUUCUAAGAACCCGGUUCCUACUUUGCUAGCGGACACCUACCACGCCAUUCAUGACAGGACUCUCAAGGGCCGUGGGUAUAUUCUUUGCUGCACAUCUCUUUUGUAUAGGUGGUUUAUUUCGCACCUUCCGAGUUCCUUCCAUGAUAACUCGGAAAAUUGGUCCUACUCUCAGCGGAUUAUGGCUCUCACUCCUGAUGAGGUCGUCUGGCUCACUCCUGCCGCUCAAGUGAAGGAAAUCAUUAUGGGUUGUGGAGACUUUCUCAAUGUACCUCUUCUUGGUACUCGUGGAGGAAUCAACUACAAUCCCGAGCUUGCUAUGAGACAGUUUGGUUUCCCUAUGAAGUCGAAGCCCAUCAAUCUUGCCACAUCUCCAGAGUUCUUCUUCUACACGAAUGCUCCUACCGGACAAAGGAAAGCUUUCGUGGAUGCUUGGUCCAAGGUUCGAAGGAAGAGUGUGAAGCAUCUAGGUGUGAGAUCCGGUGUCGCUCAUGAGGCCUAUACCCAGUGGGUGAUAGAUCGAGCUGAGGAGAUUGGUAUGCCUUAUCCAGCUAUGAGAUAUGUGUCUUCAUCUACCCCAUCUAUGCCUCUACCUUUGCUCCCCGCGACUCAGGAUAUGUAUCAGGAGCAUCUAGCUAUGGAGAGUCGUGAGAAGCAAGUGUGGAAGGCUCGGUACAAUCAAGCCGAGAAUCUAAUCAUGACUUUGGAUGGUAGAGAUGAGCAGAAGACUCAUGAGAAUCUGAUGUUGAAGAAAGAGCUAGCUAAGGCCCGGAGGGAACUAGAAGAGAAAGACGAGCUGCUUAUGAGGGAUUCCAAGAGAGCCCGAGGACGACGAGACUUCUUUGCCAGAUACUGUGAUUCAGAUUCCGAGUCCGAUGAUCCUCCGACUACUUCCUAUGCUUGAGGACUCCAUGUGUUUAUCUUGUUGAAAUUUCAAAGUCUUCCUGUUAAAAAAAAAUACUAUGUAGUUUUGAUUAUUUGCAAAGAUUUCUAAUUGGUUCAAAAUUCCUUCGAUGAAAAAAAAUAAGUCUUUUGCAUUCGCAUUUGCACAUCAUGCAUCAUAUGCAUCAUGCAUUGGUCACAAAGGCUUCCAAGUGCUCACUAUCUCCUGGUUCCUCUGCCACAGUGUGAAAAGUGGCUCGUGCUCAGAGAGUUUACGAACCAGAUAGAAUUGAUCGAACCAGAGAAUACAGAAGAAAGAAAAGGGCUAUGGAAGAAGAGAACGCUCAGCUUCGCACCGAGUUGGCCUCUCUAAAGGAGGAAUUGGCUAAAGCUAAUGACGUCAUGACUGCUCUACUAGCUGCUCAAGAGCAAUCAGCUACAGCUAUCCCUACAACCACAGCUGCACCAGUAACUACAAGCGUGCUCCCUACCACUUCUGCAGACAACCGCUUUACUAUGCCAGUGGGGUUUCCGUAUGGGCUUCCACCGUUCUUCACUCCCGUUGCUACAGCAAGCACCUCGGGCACUGCUAACAAUGUUCUGAUCCCUGCAACAAAUGCCGCCUCCAUCAUUGCUACUUUGCCACAAACAACAGCAGCUGUCACUGAGCCUCUGGUACACACUCUGCCUCAAGGUAUUAACGUCAACACACAGCACAGAAGCAUCCCCGUAACCAAGACUAUGGAAGAGAUGAUGGAGGAACUUGCUAAAGAACUCCGUCACGAGAUCCAGGCCAAUCGAGGGAGUGCAAACUCUGUCAAAACUCAAGACCUUUGCUUAGUGUCAAAAGUGGAUGUUCCUAAAAAGUUCAAGAUUCCGGACUUCGACCGGUACAACGGGCUAACUUGUCCUCAAAAUCACAUCAUCAAAUACGUCCGGAAGAUGGGCAAUUACAAAGACAAUGAUUCCCUUAUGAUCCACUGUUUUCAGGAUAGUCUGAUGGAGGAUGCCGCAGAGUGGUAUACUAGUUUGAGUAAGAAUGACAUCCAUACCUUUGAUGAGUUAGCCACCGCUUUCAAGAGCCAUUAUGGGUUUAACACUCGACUGAGGCCAAAUAGGGAGUUUCUCAGGUCCCUAUCUCAGAAGAAGGAGGAAAGUUUCCGUGAAUAUGCGCAAAGGUGGAGAGGGGCGGCUGCCCGUAUCACUCCUGCUUUAGAUGAGGAAGAAAUGACCCAGACGUUCUUAAAAACGUUGAAGAAAGAUUAUGUUGAGAGGAUGAUCAUCGCUGCCCCGAACAACUUUUCGGAGAUGGUCACCAUGGGAACCCGUCUUGAGGAAGCCGUAAGGGAUGGAAUCAUCGUGUUUGAGAAAGCUGAAUCCUCUGUGAAUGCGUCGAAGAGAUAUGGUAAUGGACACCACAAAAAGAAAGAAACGGAAGUGGGGAUGGUGUCAGCUGGAGCCGGGCAAUCAAUGGCUACUGUUGCUCCUAUCAAUGCAGCUCAAAUGCCUCCGUCAUACCCAUAUAUGCCGUAUUCUCAGCAUCCGUUCUUCCCACCGUUUUAUCAUCAGUACCCUUUGCCGCCGGGCCAGCCUCAAGUGCCCGUCAAUGCAAUUGCCCAACAGAUGAAACAACAGAUGCCGGUUCAACAACAACAACAAAAUCAGCAAGCCAGGCCAACCUUCCCUCCUAUACCAAUGUUGUAUGCAGAACUUCUUCCAACUCUACUCCAGAGAGGUCAUUGUACAACUAGACAGGGUAAGCCCCCACCUGAUCCGUUGCCUCCAAGGUUCAGGUCUGAUCUCAAAUGUGACUUUCAUCAAGGUGCCUUGGGUCAUGACGUCGAGGGGUGUUAUGCUUUGAAGUAUAUCGUGAAGAAGCUCAUCGAUCAAGGGAAGCUGACUUUUGAGAAUAAUGUCCCACAUGUCCUCGACAAUCCGCUACCAAAUCAUGCCGCUGUGAAUAUGAUCGAAGUGUGUGAAGAAGCUCCGAGACUUGAUGUCCGCAACGUCGCAACUCCUCUGGUACCUCUACACAUCAAGCUGUGCAAAGCUUCUCUGUUCAAUCAUGAUCAUGCCAAGUGUCUGGGAUGUCUCCGUGAUCCUUUGGGUUGCCACGCUGUUCAAGACGACAUUCAAAGCUUGAUGAAUGAUAAUCUUCUGACUGUCAGUGAUGUUUGCGUGAUUGUGCCAGUUUUUCACGAUCCACCUGUCAAGAGUGUAACUUUGAAGAAGAAUGCUGAGCCUUUGGUGAUAAGGUUGCCAGGACCAAUUCCUUAUGUUUCGGACAAGGCAGUGCCAUACAAGUACAAUGCUACUAUGAUAGAAAAUGGAGUAGAGGUGCCUCUAGCCUCCUUUGCCACAGUAAGCAAUAUUGCCGAAGGGACUUCUGCAGCACUAAGAAGCGGGAAGGUCCGUCCGCCGUUAUUUCAGAAGAAAGUAGCUACACCGACCAUUCCACCAGUUGAAGAAGCAACUCCAACCGUUGUUUCACCCAUUGCUACAGAUGUGAACCAGCCAGGCAAAUCUAUAGAGGAUUCAAAUUUAGAUGAGAUUCUGAGGAUAAUAAAGAGGAGCGACUACAAGAUCGUUGAUCAGUUGCUGCAGACUCCUUCAAAGAUAUCUGUAUUGUCGUUACUCUUGAGCUCCGAGGCUCACAGGAAUACCUUGUUAAAAGUGCUGGAGCAGGCUUAUGUUGACCACGAAGUUACGGUAGAUCGUUUCGGUGGCAUAGUGGGAAAUAUUACUGCUUGUAACAAUCUCUGGUUUAGUGAAGAAGAGCUGCCGGAAGUGGGAAAGAGUCACAAUCUGGCUUUGCACAUCUCGGUGAAAUGUAAAUCAGACAUGAUAUCAAAUGUGUUGGUGGAUACUGGUUCCUCUCUCAAUGUAAUGCCUAAGACAACCCUAGAUCAGUUGAGCUACCGUGGGACCCCGUUGAGGAGAAGUACUUUCUUGGUCAAAGCUUUUGAUGGAUCUCGAAAGAAUGUGCUGGGAGAGAUAGACUUGCCGAUAACCAUUGGCCCUGAGAAUUUCUUGGUUACUUUCCAAGUGAUGGACAUUAAUGCAUCCUACAGUUGCCUGCUGGGAAGACCGUGGAUACACGAUGCAGGUGCGGUUACUUCCACCUUACAUCAGAAGUUGAAAUUUGUGAAGAAUGGAAAACUCGUUACAAUCCAUGGUGAAGAAGCAUACUUAGUCAGCCAAUUGUCUUCUUUUUCUUGUAUUGAAGCAGGGUCUGCUGAAGGGACUGCUUUCCAAGGUUUGACCAUUGAAGGUGCAGAGUCUAAGGAAGCUGGGGCUGCUAUGGCUUCAUUAAAGGAUGCUCAGAGAGCCAUCCAAGAAGGUCAGACUGCCGGCUGGGGCAAGGUGAUACAGCUCUGUGAGAACAAGCGUAAAGAAGGUCUCGGGUUCUCCCCGUCAUCAAGGGUUUCCUCGGGAGUCUUCCACAGUGCAGGGUUUGUUAAUGCUAUCUCUGAAGAAGCCACUGGAUCUGGUCUCAGACCUGCAUUUGUUACACCAGGAGGCAUUACGACAAAUUGGGAUGCCAUUGACAUUCCUUCAAUCAUGCAUGUUUCUGAGUAAUGUGUCUUGUUGCUUUAAUGCUUUGUUUUCAAAAUAACAAUCCUCUCGCUCUGCCCAAAGCGAGAGUGAUAUUUUCUGUAAGGGCAUGUUUGUUUCGGCAUUGCCGUUGAUUAAUAAAAUUUUGUCGUUUCUUCCACGACUAUUUUUUUUUAGUGCUUUUUCCCUUGGAAACAAUGGUAAUGCCAGAAAAAAAAACCAAAACGUCUGUAUUUUCUUAUUAAUUUCAAAAAUCUGCAUGAAAAAAAAAAAAAAAAAAACUCUUUCUAAAAUCAUCCAAUCAUUAUAUGCAGGUUGAACCAUAAUAAACCCGUUGAACACAGUAAUCCUACGGUUCCUCCAAGUUUUGAAUUCCCUGUGUAUGAAGCCGAAGAUGAGGAAGGUGAUGACAUACCAUAUGAGAUCACUCGGUUACUUGAGCAAGAAGAGAAAGCCAUUCAGUCUCACCAGGAAGAGAUCGAGCUUAUCAACAUAGGUACCGAGGAAAACAAGCGAGAAAUCAAGAUUGGUGCCACUCUAGAGGAAGGGGUUAAACAGAAGAUCAUCCAGCUCCUCCGGGAAUAUCCGGAUAUUUUUGCAUGGUCCUAUGAAGAUAUGCCAGGUCUAGACCCUAUGAUCGUGGAGCAUCGGAUCCCUACCAAGCCUGAAUGUCCUCCCGUCAGGCAGAAAUUGAGAAGGACUCAUCCUGAUAUGGCUCUCAAGAUCAAGAAUGAAGUUCAAAAGCAGAUUGAUGCGGGUUUCCUCAUGACAGUUGAGUAUCCCGAAUGGGUUGCCAAUAUUGUGCCCGUGCCAAAGAAGGAUGGUAAAGUCCGGAUGUGUGUUGACUUCAGAGACCUGAACAAGGCCAGUCCAAAAGACAACUUUCCAUUACCUCAUAUUGAUGUGCUUGUUGAUAAUACUGCUCAAUCUAAGGUGUUUUCCUUCAUGGACGGUUUUUCCGGUUAUAAUCAAAUCAAGAUGUCUCCUGAAGAUAGGGAAAAGACAUCUUUUAUCACUCCAUGGGGUACUUUCUGCUACAAGGUGAUGCCGUUCGGCCUAAUCAAUGCUGGUGCUACCUACCAAAGGGGAAUGACCACUCUGUUUCAUGACAUGAUUCACAAGGAAGUUGAGGUAUAUGUGGAUGACAUGAUUGUGAAGUCAGCAGAUGAGGAGCAGCAUGUUGAAUAUUUAACAAAGAUGUUUGAAAGGUUGAGAAAAUACAAGCUGCGAUUGAAUCCCAACAAAUGUACAUUCGGUGUCAGGUCCGGAAAGUUAUUAGGCUUCAUUGUCAGCCAAAAGGGCAUUGAAGUCGAUCCUGAUAAAGUCCGGGCCAUCCGAGAAAUGCCAGCUCCACAGACAGAGAAGCAAGUCAGAGGUUUCUUGGGACGUUUGAAUUACAUCUCCCGAUUCAUAUCUCAUAUGACCGCAACCUGCGGGCCGAUCUUUAAGCUGCUUAGAAAGAACCAGCCUAUUGUAUGGAAUGAUGAAUGCCAAGAAGCUUUUGAUAGCAUCAAGAAUUACCUGCUGGAACCACCUAUCCUUGUCCCACCCGUGGAAGGAAGGCCUUUGAUUAUGUAUUUGGCAGUGUUUGAUGAAUCCAUGGGAUGCGUGCUUGGUCAACAAGAUGAAACUGGAAAGAAAGAGCAUGCUAUCUACUAUCUAAGCAAGAAGUUCACCGAUUGUGAAACUCGGUAUACAAUGCUUGAGAAGACUUGUUGUGCUUUAGCUUGGGCUACCAAACGCCUGCGUCAUUAUUUGGUGAAUCAUACAACUUGGUUGAUAUCCAGAAUGGAUCCGAUAAAGUAUAUCUUUGAGAAGGCUGCUGUUACUGGAAAGAUUGCACGCUGGCAGAUGCUUUUGUCAGAAUAUGAUAUUGUGUUCAAAACUCAAAAGGCAAUCAAAGGCAGCAUUCUUGCCGAUCACCUUGCUUAUCAACCUCUUGACGAUUACCAACCAAUUGAAUUCGACUUCCCUGAUGAAGAGAUCAUGUAUUUGAAAUCCAAAGACUGCGAAGAACCGUUGAUUAAUGAAGGUCCAGAUCCCGAUAGCAAGUGGGGUUUAGUCUUUGACGGUGCUGUCAAUGCUUAUGGCAAGGGAAUUGGGGCAGUCAUUGUAUCCCCGCAGGGGCAUCACAUUCCUUUUACCACCAGAAUCUUGUUCGAAUGUACCAACAAUAUGGCGGAGUAUGAAGCAUGUAUCUUUGGGAUCGAGGAAGCAAUUGACAUGAGAAUCAAACACCUCGACAUCUAUGGAGAUUCUGCGCUCAUCAUCAAUCAGAUAAAGGGUGAAUGGGAGACCCACCAUGCUAAUUUGAUUCCUUAUCGUGAUUAUGCGAGACGUUUGCUGACAUAUUUUACAAAGGUUGAGCUGCACCAUAUUCCUCGUGAUGAGAACCAAAUGGCUGAUGCUCUUGCUACUCUAUCCUCCAUGUUUCGAGUAAACCAUUGGAAUGAUGUGCCAUUAAUCAAAGUGCAACGCCUUGAAAGACCUUCGCAUGUGUUUGCUAUUGGGGAUGUGAUCGAUCAGGCUGGUGAGAAUGUGGUUGACUAUAGACCCUGGUACUACGACAUCAAACAGUUCUUGCUGAGCCGUGAGUAUCCGCCGGGUGCUUCCAAACAAGACAAGAAGACCUUGAGAAGAUUGGCCGGUAGAUUCCUGUUAGAUGGAAAUAUUCUGUACAAGAGGAACUAUGACAUGGUAUUGUUAAGGUGUGUUGAUGAACAUGAAGCAGAGCAGUUAAUGCAUGAUGUACAUGACGGUACCUUCGGGACCCAUGCUACAGGGCAUACUAUGUCAAGGAAGUUGUUACGAGCAGGUUACUACUGGAUGGCCAUGGAGCAUGAUUGCUACCAGCACGCCAGAAAGUGCCACAAAUGUCAAAUCUAUGCUGAUAAGAUUCAUGUGCCUCCGCACGCCCUCAAUGUUAUGUCAUCCCCAUGGCCGUUCUCAAUGUGGGGCAUCGACAUGAUUGGAAGAAUUGAACCGAAAGCUUCAAAUGGCCAUCGUUUCAUCUUAGUGGCAAUUGACUACUUUACCAAAUGGGUUGAAGCGGCAUCUUAUACCAAUGUGACUAAGCAAGUGGUAGCUAAGUUUAUCAAGAACAACAUCAUCUGUCGAUAUGGUGUUCCCAGCAAAAUUAUUACCGACAACGGUACCAACCUGAACAACAAUGUGGUGCAAGCUCUUUGUGAAGAAUUCAAAAUUGAGCAUCAUAACUCUUCUCCUUAUAGACCUCAGAUGAAUGGUGCAGUUGAGGCCGCCAACAAGAAUAUCAAGAGAAUCGUCCAGAAGAUGGUAACUACUUACAAGGACUGGCAUGAGAUGUUACCCUAUGCUCUGCAUGGCUACCGCACUACCGUGCGCAGUUCAACCGGGGCAACUCCUUUCUCUCUUGUAUAUGGUAUGGAAGCAGUUCUUCCUUUGGAAGUGGAGAUCCCAUCUCUCCGUGUGAUCAUGGAAGCAAAGUUAUCCGAGGCUGAAUGGUGCCAAAGCCGGUAUGAUCAGUUGAAUUUGAUUGAGGAAAAACGUAUGGAUGCCAUGGCUCGUGGACAGUCAUAUCAAGCAAGAAUGAAGACUGCCUUUGACAAGAAAGUCCAUCCUCGAGAAUUCAAGGUAGGGGAACUUGUAUUGAAAAGGAGGAUAAGCCAGCAACCCGACCCAAGGGGCAAGUGGACGCCUAACUAUGAAGGUCCUUAUGUUGUCAAGAAGGCCUUCUCCGGUGGUGCUUUAAUCCUUACACACAUGGAUGGUAUAGAACUUCCAAAUCCAGUGAAUGCCGAUAUAGUCAAGAAAUACUUUGCCUAGAAAUAUGAAAAGAACAGCGUGGUAGGUCGAAAACCCGAAAGGGCGGCCUAGGCAAAAAUGCGCUUCCCGGUGGAUCGAAAACCCGAAAGGGCGGUCCAGGCAAAAAUAAGGGACAAAAAACAAAUAUGAAAAAGCUCGCUGAGAUUGUUCGCAACUCAGGCAAAAAUGAGCGUCUCGAUGAAUCGAAAACCCGGAAGGGCGGUUCAUGCAAAAAUGAGAUUGAAGCAAAAGGCAAGUAACUAUAUCUGGCUAACCACCGUCCCCUUGGGGCAUCUGCAGCUGUUAAUGACCAUCUUCAUCAAAAGCUCCUAUGCUUGCGAAUUCAAAGUUUCUAGGAAAUGUCAUGAUUACUGUGUUCAAUGUAUCACCAACCAAUAAAAUUACCAUUUUCCAAGCUUUGUAAAUCCGUGGAGUCACGCCUUCGGCUGACCACCACUCUUAUACAUCAAAUUGAGCCUGUGCUUUUGUUUAAAAUUCUAUUUUCUUCUACUUUCAAAGCUAUAUACAAAACAUUUUCUUUCUAUUUUGAUAAUGGCAAUGCUUGAAACAAACAUUUUUGAAAACUGAAAACUUUUUGUUUAUUUUGAAAAGCAAACCUGAGCAACAGGGUACAUUCAAAUGAAACAUGCAUGAGCGAGAGUAUGUUGGUGUCUAUUUCAAUAUAUGUUACCAGCAGAUUCUCCUCCAAGAUAAUCUGUGGUCAAUGGCAAGAAUGAAAAAAACAGAAUGAAAAUGCAUGAAAAUAAAUGAGCUCGCUAAGUUGAAAACCCGAAAGGGCGGCUUAGGCAAAAAUGAGCACCCCGCUGGAUUGACAACCCGAAAGGGCAGUUCAGGCAAAAAUGGGGCAUUGAAAAGAAUUUAUUUCCCCGGUGGACCGAAAACCCGAAAGGGCGAUCCAGGCAAAAAUGGGAUGCAAAAAAUGAUGAAUGAAAAUGAGAAUAUAACAUGCAAAAGCAUUGACCACAGAUGCAAUGUCUACAACAUACCCAGCGCUGAAAUGCCCAGCACAACGGCGUUUUCCCCAGUCGGGUCUUCCAAGAUUCUAUCCCCAGCAAGAUGCAUAGCUACCUGCCCUCAGCCAUGGUUCCGAUACGUCUCCCAACGACGUCAUCCCCAAAGAGGAUUUCCAAGAAUGUGUAAUAUAGCACGAGCCACUACGUGCCCAAUACUCUGAUGUCUUGUCUUCCCCGUGAAGUCGUGCCUACAAAAUGCCAACAGUCAUGCAUUACAAGCAUUCAUACAUGCAUAAUCAUGCAUAUUACGUACCCAUGCAUUUAAUGAAAUUGUUAUAUCAUCCAUGCAUAUUGCAUUUCCAAUGUCAACAUCAGUCUCAAUUCAAUACUCAUGUCAGGUUCUCUGUCAAAACCUUGUGAGCCAAUAAUACCGGUCAAUUUCUGCCUUUCAAUUCAAAUCGAUGUCAAGUCAACCUCAAUCUAUAUUUUGUCAACAAACCAAUCCCCAGUGAAUAUGUUUCUAUUUGGUCAAGUGACUAGUUCAAGUCCAAGAACAGCUUGUACCUAUCAAUUUGCUUAUGUUAUCGGUCGAGUGCCCAGCUCAAUCCAAGAGCAGCUUGUACCUAUCAAUAUGUUUCCGUUUGGUCAAGUGGCUAGCUCAAUCCAAGAGCAGCUUGUACCUGUCUAUCUGUUUCUGCCCGGUGGAGUAACCAGUUCGCAUCCAAGAACAAGCUCGCACCUGUCUAUUUGCCUUGCUUUCAGUCGAGUCACCAGUUCGAAUCCGUAAGAACAACUUGUAAUUGUCAGUUUUCUCUUUCUUCCAGUCGGGUUACCAGUUCGAAUCCAUAAGAACAACUCGCACUUUCCAAUAUCCCCAAGUGAGUCACCAGUUCGAAUCCAUAAGAACAACUCAUGUUGGUCCAGUAACCUCUAUCCCCUGUGAAGUGACCAGUUCGAAUCCAUAAGAACAACUCGCAGUUGUCUGUUUGUUUCAUCCCCGGUCAAGUGGCUAGUUCGAAUCCAAGAACAGCUUGUACCUGUCCAACUUGUUUCUAGUUUCCCGUUACUCUGCUAUUCACUAUCUUUGUCAAUGUCUACCAAUCCCGCAAUGGAUACGACAUAUUUUGUUAAUUCCAAUCCCCAUGAAGUCUUGCAUUCAUAAUCCAAGUGAUGCAUGGCAUGCAUAUUAUUUGAAAAUGGGUAGGCGUAUUUUUACGUCCAAAUACAGUGCAAAUGCUAAUAUUUAAGUACCUUCGUCCUGUCAAGCCAAAGACUCCAUCUCUUGACUCUCCAGACAAAGAAACUUAAAUAGGGGCAGCUGUUAUACCCUGUUUUUGGACCUAAAAAUACUGGGCCCAAUUUCAUUUCAAACUUUGUCAAUUAUCAGAUUUCAACUGCACAGUUCAAUUUGUCUCUGCCUCGCAGUAUUUUCAAUCACAAUUUUACCUAUGUUUUUCUUGCAUAAAACCUUUCAAAAUGUCUUUACUUGUCUUGUAAGUCAUUCAAAAGUGUCUCUGGAUCAUUACAUUGCUUUUUCUACAGUUUAUUCCAAAAUUUGCAAAAAGUCAUACAGAAGGGUAUUUUGGUCAUUUCCUGCAGUGGGACCCAUUUUCAUCCUUGUGACUGUCUCUGAGUCUUUUCAGAUUACUUUUAAACAUUUCAUCAGUAAACUUUGUUAAAAUUCAUUUCAAACUUGCGUCUGAGUCAGUGUCAGGUCAAUUUGAAUCUGUUUAGGUCGUUUUUAGCCCUAGGGGCAUUUUGGUCAUUUCACAUAAAAUUUUGGCAUGGGGAGGUUACUUUGAAGUACCUCAUUUAGGCCAUUGGUUCGUUUUAGUCCGUUUUGUCAAUUUUAUUUUUUUGUUUCGCUUUACGUUGGGUCAAAUUACGUUUUUUAUUCAAUUUUAUUUUUUAAUUGCAUUUUGGUCCCUCAAGUGAGGUCCCAAAAUUGCAUUUCAGUCCAGAAUUUUCUUUUUUUACAUUUCAGUCCUUUUUGUCAAUUGCAGUUUAGUCCCUUAUUUUUUCAAUUUUGCAGAAAGGUCCAAUUUCAUUUUUUGCCCAAGGCCGUGCCAUCUUUUUUUUUCAGGUCCAGGUGUCACUUUCUCAUUUGUUCAGAUACACACAUGUCAAGCUAUAAAAGGUGCACAGUGCCACUCAGAGCCAGAAAAACACACGCCAACUCAUAAACACAUUCCAAAUUUUCUCUUUCUCAGCAACUGAAUCAAAACAGAAAAAAUUCCUCAGAUUCAUCAAGAACACCAAGAACAAAAAACCUAACCGUUUUCCAGAAACAGAAACUACACAAAUUCAAGCUAUUUUUCAUGGAUUCUCAGUGAUUCUUUGAAGAAUCAUCAUCAUUGAAUCAAUAUCUUCGCAAUUCGAAGUGCGAAUUCGCCAAAGGCAAACUCCAGCACCGAUCACGAAGAUACAGUGAGGAAGACGAAGAAGAAAGAAAGAUGAUGAAGGUUUAAACCGGCGAAGAAGGCGAUAAAGCAAGAAACCAGCAGGAACACCGGUUUAUUUCCGGAUUCAAAGCCAAAUCACGUAGCAUCAGAGAUUGAAGUUUUCCAAAGAAUUUCUCCAUUAAAGGUUUCAACCAAAACCUUAGGUAAAACUCAUACUCUUUUUCAAAAGCAAUAUCACUGUUAAACCUAAAAAUCACGCAAGCAAAACAGAUCCAAAGGUUCCAGAAUUCAAAGAAAACUAUAACCGUAAACAUCAAAAUCCAGAUCCGUAAGGAUCAACGUUUUGAAAGCGAAAACAGGCGUCAAAAAGUAAUCAAACGACGAAACGAUGUAGAUCUUUAAAGAUCUAAAUGAUCUCAUUCAAAAAAAUCAAAAAUCAUUUCAAAACCGUAAAAGCUUUUUCAAGAUCUACGUCGUUCAAAGCCGUUUUUGAAAAAACAAAUGCCGGAUUCGUGUUUAGGGUUAAAGGACGAGUCAAACGAAGUAAGAAUCUUUGAAAUCUGGAAAUUUAGGUCACCGAAAACUGCAUGAACUCGCCGGAGAAGAUGAAGUUUCCGGCGGACCUUCAAGGUCUCCGCCGUAGCUUCAUCCUCGCCGGCGGCGAGGUUUAGAGAGAGGUGAGAGGUGAGAGAAGAGAGAAGAGCUAGAGAGAGAAAGGGGAGUGAAAAAUGAAGAAAACCGGUGCCAUGCCUUUUAAAUAAGCUAGUGAACCAGACCGGUCCAAGACCGGUCCAAUCCUGUUGAUUCCAGGCCGUUUGAUCUAGGGUUUCAGGACCCUGGAUCAAUCUUGUGGCUCCUGUGAAUCCGGUUCCUUAGGGUUUUGGGUUGGGCCUUUGUUUCCUUUGGAUCUUUACGUUUUGCUAUUCCUGUGCUUUUCACACCUCUAUUUUUGCUACCUGUACCUAUGUCUUGAUUAAAAUUGUGAUAAAAUUCCUAGAAAAAUUCAUGCAUGUUUCCUGAUAUUUUCUUAGUGUUUUUAUGACAUUUUUGCACAUUAAGGAUCUAUGAAAUUUUGGUAUGGUUAAUUCAUAGCAUUUUAAUUCUCUUUGAAUUAUUUGUUAUGGAUUCUUCUUCAUACAUUUGUCCUUGAUGUGCGAAUAUGUGAUAAAAGCUUUUUGAUGUGUUAAUAUGAGAAAUUUGUGCCUAUAAUUUCGUGUUGUUUUGCUGUUUUGAUUUGGUUCAUGAGUGCUUGAUUUUAUGAGCAAUAUAUGCAUAUUUUGAAAGAUAUAAAAUGCCAAGUUUAUUCUAGAAAAUAUGGCAUGAAACCAUGCUUGCAUGUUUCCAAUAAUUUCAUGCUAUAACUUGAGAUAAAGAAAACUCUUUCAAAAUUUGUUAAAGCAUGAGAAUUAGAGGCCAAGGAUGCUUUAGGUUUCAUACCUAAGUUUUUAGGGUUUAAUGUCAUUUUGUUAACUUUUUGUGUCAUCUUGCAUGAUUUUAUUUCUUAGUGCUUAUUAUGUUUUUUCUUUUGACUAACAAGUUUAUUCCCAUGUUUCAUGCAUCCCAUUUAGCAUUCCCUCCACCCUCUUUAGCCUAGCAUUUAUUUUUGCAAGUUUUAAUUCAUUUAGUGAUGUAAUUUGUCAUCAUUGGUUUGUAGCUUGGCAAAGGGGCCAUAGAAUGUAUUUAGGCAAUUUUUGUAAUAUGGACUAUGGACACUAUGACGCACCGACACGCACACACUCACCUUAGAUGUAUGCAUAGGAUUGUAUGGUUAAAUAAGCGUUUAGGUUUUAAACACCUAGAGAAAAUCCAUCUUUUUUCCAAAAAAAAAACAAUUGAACUUCACUUCAAAAAUUUUCAUAAUAAACAUGAAGUCAACACUUCAUUUCUUUUCCUUUCUUUUUUUUCUUGAGAAAAAUUCAAUUCAUCUUAAUCAUUUAGACUUUCUUUUUUAAUCACUAAUCAAACCUCACUUUUUGCUAAAUCUAAUGCUCAUGAAGCCUCCCAAUCUCCUUCUUCAAAACCAUUUUCAAAACUUAAAAUCAAACAAUUAAAACAAAAACAAGUCUUUUUAGCAAGAACUACGAACGGUUUUGAUCCCUUAAAAGGGUACGUAGGCAAUGAGUCAAAACUCAUCCAAGCCGAAAUAAAAUCAAAAUUCUACUUCUUCUCACCCCCACUCUUAACUAAAUAAACCUCCCAUUUUCAAAAGUAGGUAAAAAUAAAGCGUAAAAAUCGACUUAGGAAAACGGCUCCUAUAGAGGACUAUAGUUACUCCGGGUGCCUAACACCUUCCCGUAGUAAAACCGACCCCCGAACUUAGAAUCUAAGGGUUUUUUCUCAAUUUUUCCCUUCCCAAGAAAAAAGAGAGAUAUCAACGGUCGAAAGGUACAAGUCCAAUUAAUGACUUGGUACCCAAAAACCAUGAUAACAAGAGGUACUUGAUCAUAGUUUAACAUGUAAUCGUUUGAUCUAUAAAUAUAUGGUUCUAGCAUUUGAAUUGAUAUUGAGGUUAUUCUUGCACUUUAAUCUUUAUCUUUGAUUUAAUUGUGAUUGAGAAAUACUUUUGAAUCUAGGUUUAGAAUAACCAUCUAUCAAAACAUAGUUUCUAGACAUGGAAUCGAUGUUUUGAUAAUCACCUUGAGUAUCCAAACCUAAAGCUUUCUUAUCAUUUAAUAGAUUGAGAAAUCAUCGAUUGAACGAUAAGAUCGACUCUUGAAUCAUUCAAUAGUUUGAGACAUCGACCAUUGAAUGAUACAAUUGAUUUCACAAUAUUGUUUGGACACGAAUGGUGUUGUCGAGGGAUACGUGAUAAUAUCAAAGAAAAGCUAGAAUCCAUGUAUGAUCAUUAGGUUACGUGCGACGCUCGAUCAAGGAACUCUAAUCCUAACAAGUUUUACGCCCUAUUAAUCUCAAUUGUAUCAUUUGCAAUUCAGUUACUAAAACAAACAAUCAACUAUCGUUUAACUUGAAAUGAUAUUUGGUGUCGAACGGUCCGCGAUAUCGCACUAGUCCCUGAGGAGACGAUAUAAAUACUUACAAUUGUUUGAUGCAAAAAUACUACAUCAGCCCCUUGGUUCCAACAACGAGUUAGAUCACGACGACAAGCAUCCAUCUCCUCUUUUAGACCAUUGUGAUUCACUUUGUUCCAUGUGCUAAGCUCUUAUGCACAAUGAUCUAGUUUUUCAACAAUCAACAAACCUGCACUAGAAACCCAGCUAUCAGAAACAACAUCAUGAAUACAUGGUUCAACACACCAAGCAUUCUCAAAUUUAAAAUUUCUUUUAGGUAUCCAGACACGAGCAUUCGGUAUCCCUAUUUAAUAAAAUUGGAUAAUGAUCAGAAGUUGAAGCCACUAAAUUCUCUUGCUUGGCAUUAGGAUACAACUAGAACCACUCUUCAUUUGCAAGAGCACGGUCCGAUCUUUCUUUAACUGCUCUAGGAGUACCUGAACUCUUAAACUAGGUAAAAGAAUACCCCCUCCUUUAACAUAUCAAUUAAACCUGCAUAAAAAACAACCUAUCUUAAAUCGUUAAUCAACCACCUAGCACGCUUAAAGCCCCCUCACUUUUCAUAGAUAUCCAAAAUAUCAUUAAAAUCACCAAGGAUACACCAUUGAAGCGAAGUACCACAAGAUAAAUUUCUCAAAAAAUCCCAAGAAUUGCGUCUUCGACUCCCUUAUAGGAAUCCAUAAAAACUUGUAAAUGCCAUCUCCCUUGACUAGGAUCACGGACUUCAACAUUAAUAUAAUUUUCAGAAUAAUUUAUCACUCUACAGUUAAAAGAGUGUCUCCAAAGUAGUGCUAAGACACCACUUCGACCAUUACUAAUAACAGUUAAACAUUUAUCAAAAUCAAGCAAAUAACGGAAUUCUUCAGUUUUAUUGGCAUGGAUUAAAGUCUCACUGAGAAAAAGAGCAUCCGACUUAUAAUAGGUACUAGGUAUUUUAGGUUAAGAACUACACUCAGGUUCUCUAGGCCUCGGCAAUUCCAUCCUAUAAGACUCAUUCCCCUCAACAAUAUUCAACAAAGACAUGACAGUAUCAUCAUUAACGGUAUCUGUAGCGAAAACUCUCUCCUUUUUCUUCAAGUACAAUUUGAUACAAACCUUCCAACAUAUCAAACUCAUGACACAUCAAUUUCAUCAAACACAGGUUAUUCAUAGUAUUCACCACCAAAUGCAAUCCCCAAAACCACUAAUUGUAUCAAGAAAGAACCGACAACAAUUUGAUCUCUAAUAAAAUGUGUAAUUAAAAGGAUUAUACCUUGUAUGAAAAUAUAGAUGAUGGAAAUUGCAACAAGACAAAGCACAUGAUCGAGAAGGCAAAGGAAUCAGCGUCAUCUUUAUCUCUGGAAAAGGAGUAAUAUCGAAGGAAAUAGAACAACGCAACAACAAACACGUUCAGGGGAGACUAUUUCUCAUCGAACGACGGCAAAAUCCUUCACAAAGGGAGCGGCGGCGCUAACCCUAGAAGCGACGGCAAUUUCUGUUAUUAUUCUUAAUGUCAAAAAAUAAUUUGGUUCAAAUCAUUGAUCAUGAAGGCCUGUGAUGGGCGUGUAUUAUUCAUUUCAAUGACCUCCAUGUUCAAUGGAGACUCAAAUGUCGGCUGUUAACAUAUAUAAAUAAGUAAUAUACAUUAACUUAUUUUACACGAACAUCAUUACUAGACGUACAAUACUUGGCAUUUUUACUAGCAAUAAACUUGUUACACAACAUAAUAUUGUUCUUGAAACUAUUCAAGCUUAGCAUCAUUCAAACGAUAACUCGGUAUUGCGUGCAAAUGCUGAGCUCUUGGUAUAGUGAGUCCAAAUUUCUCCUCCAUAUUCAAAUUGGAGGGACUAAUAUUAUGUGGAAGUUCCCAGUUAAAACAAUGGAUAAAUUGAGCUAUAACCAAUUUAACAGUAAUUAAACCCAAUUGAAUUCCAGGACAACGCCUACGACCAGAACCAAAUGGUAUAGAUUCAAACUCUUGUCCAAGAUAAUUCAUUUUUUUCUCUACAAAUCUCUCUGGGUAAAAUUCUUUAGCAUUUUCUGACCAAACAUUAGGAUCUCUCCCUAUUGCCCAUGCAUUUACUAUAAGUCGUGUCUUUUCCUUUAUAAAAUAACCAUCAAUUGUUGUGCUCUCUCUAGAUUCACGAGGGACUAGUAACGGUGCUACGGGGUAAAGUCUUAAGGUCUCAUCAACCACCAUAUCUAAAUAAUUCAACUUCUUUAGAUCCUUCUCGUUAACCAUUCUUUUAUUUCCUACUUCAUUUUGUAUCUCAUCUUGAAGCUUUUUCAUCACUCUUGGAUGUCUUAAAAGUUCAGAUAAAGCCCAUUCAAUCGAGGUAGCAGAUGUAUCAAUUGCUGCCACUAUCAUGUCGAGCAAAAUAGCCUUGAUGUUAGUUCGAUCAAUGACGAGAUUUUGUUCACCCUCAAUAUCAAUGGUUUGGUGCAUAAUUGAAAGAAGUAUGUCUACAAAAUCUUUUUGAGUUUUGUUUACAUUAGCAGCUUGUUCAUGUUCUGUUAAUAUCACCUCUAGCACCUCAUCAAGUGCUUUACUGACUUUCUUGCAAGAUUUUGUUAAUCCCUAACAAUGAGUUAAAACAUAAAAUAUCAAUUACUAAAUGAAUAUUUUCAUUGUACUUAACAAAACCAUUAGAGCAUCCUUAAAAAAAAUAAAAAAUAAAACCAUUAGAGCAUGUUUUCUUAAAAGAGGAUCAAUGCUAUCCAUUUUUCUCCUUCAUGACUAGAACUCAUAGCCCUAUGAAUAUAGUUGAAGCAUCUUACCAACUAAACUGCACUUAGAAAAUCGAUAACAAUAUAUUUAAGGGAAUGUAAAAUAUUUAAAACUUUAUUUAAUUUAGUUUCUAAAUUAUCGCAAUCUUUCAUUGUUAAAGAUUAAACACCACCAAAAAAUUAUCAAAAAUUAAAUUAAAUUAUCACGACCUUAAUAUUUUUCCAUUGUGCAAAGAACCGGUCGUCUGAUUUUUUUCAAAAAUUCUCCUACUUUUAUCACCUCAAAUAUUGAGAUUGUGAAAUUUAGCCCCCAAUUUCAAACAAUCACGUGGUAUUUGAGGUAUUUAUAAGUAAAAUCAUUGGAAUACUAUAUAACUACAAGUGAAGGGUAGUUGAGUUUGAAAUUAGGUAACCAUUUUAUUUAUUGAACGACAAAUAUCGUGCAAUUACAUAUUGAGUGAAGAAAAUUAUAUACAAUCACGAUAUUUAUUUAUGAGACUUAAAAUUAAACUUAUGUCAAUAAUUAAUCUUUUAUUUCCUAUACAUAAUACUCCCUCGCUCCUAAAUUAUAAGUUGUUUUUGAGGGAAAUUGUUUCAAAUUAUAAUAAGUAAGUUUUACAGUAGCAUAUUUUUUCUAUCAUAUUCUUAAAUAUUUCUUACCUUUCUAUUUUAUUAAUGAAAGGUAAUUUUAUCAAAUGACUCAUAAUUUCGUUUUCUAAUACAAAAUUAACAAGGUAGAAUUUAACAAACAUACCUGAAGAUCAAAAAUUCCUAGCCAAGGAACAUAAUCAGCCAGAUUAAAAGCUCCAAUCAAAGCCAAUCCUUCUUGAACCAAACUCUUCAAGUCAAAUUGCUCAUACUUACUCCGACCAAACAUCAACUUAUACACAAUAUCUUCUAUUAGAUUCUCUACAACCUCACUAACAUUCACAACCUCACCAACCAAAGCAGCUUUCUUCAAAGUGUUAACCAAAAUACUCAACUCCUCUUUUCUAAUAGGACCAGACAUCUCAACUUUUGAAGCACUAAGAAGUUUCAAAGUGCAAAAUUUCCUCACACUACGCCAAUAAGGACCAUACUCACAAAAAGCCAUCCCUUUGGAACCAUAAGACAUGAGCUCAGAUCCUUGAAUCUUUGGUCGGCUUGCGAAAACGAUGUCGUGGGUUUUGAGGAAUGAUUCUGCUGCUUUUGAAGAUGAAAUGACAAUAGCUGGGACUUGACCAAGUUGUAAGGACAUGAUUGGACCAUAUUUUUUGGAGAGUGACUGAAGUGUUCUAUGUGGAAGGGUGCCUAAUAUGUGAAGGUUCCCUAUUAUUGGUAGUGUUGGUGGACCUGGUGGUUUUUCAUGGAUAAUGGUUUUUUGUUUUGAAUGUAAGAAGAGUUUGAAUAGAAAGUACAUGAAAGUGAAGAGAAGAAAAGCAAAUAUUAUUGUUGUUACUGCAAAAGACAUGUCUACAAAUGAAUGGUUGGGUUGUACGUAAUAAGGUUGAAGAUAAAGACUAUAUAGAACUCCAAGUUGAUCUCAUAUUAUCUUGAAACUGGUGGUAUACGUUUGUUUGUGGAAUUGUUUUCUUGACAUGUAUUUGUGGAAUUGUUCGUUGUGAGAUAUUUCUUCCCCGAAAAUAAAAGAAUAAAGAUAGCUUCUGUAACCAUAUUUUUUCAAUUGCGGCCACUAUUUUUUCAAAAAAAUAUAAUGACGCAACUAAAAUACGCGUGACCACUAUUUUUCCAUUUAAUUAACCAAAUAAAUUCGGUGAAAAUAAUGGUCACACAACUGAAAAAUAUAGUCACACAUACCAUAUAUUUAGUUGACUUUAAAUUUUUAAGAAUGGUAGAGCAAUCUAUCAUUGCUCAAAAUAAAAGUAUUGACUAUUGAGUUAUUUAUGACGGGCCCCUUUUCUGCAGCGCCAUAUACCCAAUCAGGAUGAUUGAUUUUGGUUAAAUAUUUAUGACUAUUGAAAAACUGGUGGUGUGCAUGUUUGUUUGUGUAACUUUCUUAAGGGAAAAAGGAACGUGCUCAGUGCCGUAGUGUUCUCAAAACAUUUAUUAAUCAACCUACUCCCUCAAUCAUUGCUUCUUUUUUUUUUCCAUACAUUUAUUAACAAAAUAUAUAUUUCCUCCGGUCACAUUUAUAAGUAAAAAAAACUACUCUUUAGAUAUAUUGAAUAGUUAAUGUAUCUAACCUAUAAAUGUGGCCGGAUACAUUAAUUAUUCAAUGUAUCUAAAAUGUGAUUUUUUGCUUAUAAAUGUAACCGGAAUGAGUAAUUUUUUAGAUUAACAAAAAAUAAUUAAAGUAAAUAUUUUGUAAGUAUUUUGUCAAGAAAAAUCUAAUAACAUCUUUAUCUUAUAUAUUAAUAGAAAAAUAUAAUCAAAUAUCUUGUAUGAAUAGUAUACAUAGUAGACCAAGGGAGUAAUAUAGUAGUAGCAUUAGUCAAAUUUGAGUUUGAGUUGGACUGUCAAAAUUACCUAUUCUUGACGUGAAGAUAAAAGAAGUGUAGAUUGGCUCGCUAAUUUCAACAUUUUGAUGGAUUUUCUAGAUUUUCAUAUUAUGGAGAAUCCCCCUAGUGAGUUUCAGAGUCUUUUGUUUGAUGAUAUUUUCAAAGCUUGCAUACCUAGGAACGUCCGUUUAAUUUCUUAAUGUAGAUUUCAAGUCUUUUGUUUGUUUAAUGUAGAUUUUCGUUGAAUUUGUUUGAUGGGAUUUUUUUAUGCAUUUUUUUCAUGAGUUCAGUGAUGAUUUUUUUAAUUCAAACUUUGGAAAUGGAUGUGAUAAAGGGUAAGAGAGAGAAUUAUAAUAUAUAUAUAUAUAUACAUUUGAAUUAUUUAUGAAACAAAUUGACUAAGAUAAUUUUCAAAUGCCACAUAACAUAAUUGAAAGGCCAUUUGUUCAAGUUCUAGAAACAAUGUUUUAUGUAAAAAAUAGGAUAGAAUUGCGUACGAUACGCCAAAUGUCGAGACCUCUUCUUGACUUUGCGUAUGCGGAAGCUUUAGUGCACCAGACUGCACUUUUUAUAAUAAAAAAAAUCCUGACUCGGUGCCCCACAUAAGCUAAUUUGUAUACUAAGCUCUAAAAUCAAAUAAUAUUCAAAUGGCAACGAAGAAUCUCAAACUUUUUUUCGAGGAAUAACUAAAACUCGCCCAAAUGACAGGAAAAACACUAGGACAGAUCAUGUUAGUUUUAAUUCAAGUUAGAUGGUUUUAACUCAAGUUAGUUGAUCUUUAGAAAGAAAAAAAAAAAACUCAAGUUAGUUGAGAUUAAAUCAUGGUUAGAAUGUUUGUUGGAAGACUUGGCUAUUAGUUAGCAAAAUCAGUUCAGUUUGUUUUGAUUGCUUACUAAGCAAGCUAUGUAAAUAAGCUCUUUAUAAGCAUGUUGUAAAUAUUUUUUCACAACUUAAUGAGAAUACAAUUUUACAACAAUCAAUUACUCUUCUUCUUUCUCUCAGUUCUCUCAAUUUCUCAACCCUAAUUUUCAUAGAAACUCUUGCUUGCAUUGCAAGAAACUUAAGUUACAUUAUCAAAUUGGCAUCUAGAGCCACUAGUUCUAAUCUAAGGGAAAAAGAAUACUUCAAUCACGCAAAGAUUUAGGAGCAUAAAUGGUGUAACUGAAACCACGAAUGGUAAUAAUAGUUUCAAUACUCAUCUUCCAAAUCUUAAAGGUGGAAAUUGGGAAAGAUAGAGUCGUGUGAUGAAGAUUGUGCAAAAUGGUUUUGAUGAAUUGGGUUGGAAUGCAACUGAAGUACAAAGAAUUGCACAUAAGGAGUUAAAGAAGAAGGAUUGCAAAGCAGUGUUCUUCAUUCAACAAGGUGUUGAUGGAGGAAAUUUUGAUAAAAUUUCUACGGCUACAAGAUCAAAGGAAGUUUGGAUAUUCUAGAGAAAUAUCAUGAAGGAGAUGAGAAGGUGAAGGAGAUAAAGCUUCGGUCUUUAAGAAGGAAAUUUAAGUUGAUGCAAAUGGAAGAGGAGCAAAAGAUUCUUGAUUACAUCUUUAAGUUGAUUAAUGUUGUACAAAUGAAGGCAUGCAGUGAAACAAUCUCUGAUUAACAAAUUAUUGAGACGAUCAUAAGAACACUAUCUCCAAGAUUUUAUUUUAUAGUGGUGGCCGUAAAAAAAUCAAAGGAUGUGAAAACUUUGAAAAUUGAAGAAAUGCAGAGUUCAUUGGAGGCACGUGAAUUAAUAAUGUCUGAAAGAAGUAGUGAAAGAUCAAUUCAACAAGCUUUACAAGUUCAAACUGUGAAGAAGGAUGAAUAUGAUAAAAAGAAUUUCAAGAAAGGCAAAAGUAACUCUAAGGGCGAAACUGGUCAAAUUCUAAAGAGAAGAACAAAGCCAGUGAUAAAACUGAAUCUUCAAAAGGAGGAGGUUCUGGUAAUUAUCAAGGCAAGAAGAAAGGCUUUGAUAAGAAGAAGAUAUGUUGUUAUAAUUGUGAAAAGUUUGGUCAUUAUGCUUCUGAAUGUUGGACCGGUAAACGGAAGCAAGUAAAGAAUGAAGAGGAACAAGCCAAACUUUCACAAGAAGAUUUAGAUUAUGAUGCAGUCUUGUUAAUGGUGAAAACAACCAAUAAUGAAAGUCGUAAGUCAGAUAGAUGGUUUUUAGAUAAUGGUUGUUCUAAUCAUAUGACUGCAAAUAAGAAUUGGUUGAAAGAAAUCAACACGGGAAGAAACAGCAAGGUGAAGCUUGCAUAUCAUAGAACACUAGUUGGAAAAGGCAUGGGAAAGAUUGUUAUUGAAAGAAAGAAUGGAAAAUUAAUAGUAAUUUAAGAUGUGAUUUAUAUUAUGGGGAUGUAAUGCAACUUGUUGAGUGUAGGUCAAUUGGUGCAAAAGGGCUAUUCAGUAACAAUGAAGGAUAACUCUUUGAAAUUGUUUGAUAAAAAUCAAAGGUUAGUUCUGAAAACUCCCCUUGCAAAGAAUAGGACAUUUCAAACUGAUAUGAAAACUACUGAUCUGAUACUAUAAAAAAUGAAGAUAGUUAGUUAUGGGACUACAGAUUUGGUCAUUUAAAUUUUAGAAGUCUUAAUCAGUUAGUUGACGAAGAAUUGAUUUUAGGAGUACCAAAGUUGAAUAUACCAGAGAAAAUAUGUGAUAUUUUUUUUGAUAAACAAGCAACCUAGAAAUGCAUUCAGUGCAAAUACAACUCAUAGAUUAACAGAGGUGUUGAAUGUAGUAUAUUCUGAUGCAUGUAGUCCAUUAGAAGUUCCUUUAAUGGGAGCAGGAAGAUUUGGCUAUUUCUGAUUAAAGCAAAGAGUGAAGUUUUUGGUAUAAUCAAGAAGGAGAAGUGCUCUAGUUGUUCCUGCAAUAUUGAUGAAGAACGAGUUCAACAAGAAGUUGAGAUUCAGCAGGAGCCUCCCAUAACAGUUAAUCAAAACAUCAGAGUCUCACAAAGGAAAAGGUUUGUAUCUUCUAGACUGAUCCACUUUAACCUUUAAAACGUGGCCGACAGAAUAAUUAUCUUUGGAGUAAUUAGUUCUGGUGUGUGUCAUUUACUCAUAUUUGUUUUAUGCAUCCACUUUAAUUCAAUGUAUUGAGAACAUCUUGAACAAGUCUUAUCUAUUAUACCAAUGUAUGAACCACUAAAAUUAUUUAUAAUAUAUAAACACAAAUUUAAGUUGAAAUAAACAUUCAAGUUGAAACAACGGAGUUCGACUAAAAAUUAGCAUGAAUACUUAAAUCAUUACAUAUUUAACAACUAUUAUAAAUUAUGAAACUUUUUUUUUCGUACAUUACAAUUGUUAACGGAAAGAAUUUCCAGUUGACAGAACAAUAUACGGGAGAUUUGAAACUCAUGUAAAUUCGAAAGUCUAUAAGUCUUCGCUAACAUGCCAAGUAUAAGUAUCACAAAACUCACGUAUGUCACUUUUGAAAUUGCGGAAAACUAUAAUCGUUAAAAGAUAGAUCUAUAAUUAUUUAAAUUUUUAGGUUGGCCACUACACCACUUUACGAAAAUUUGAAUCAACCGUAACCAAAAAUUGACACAAAAUUGUAUAAAAUAUCGUAAAAUAGACCUAUAAUCGUUAAUUUUUUUAUUUUUCCGGAUGCCCCAUAUGGCUCCACUUGAAAGAACACCAUUCUUGUGUAAAAAAUAAUAAAAAUAAAUUUAUAAUAGUAACCGUACUUGUGUUUUUGACAACUGUUUUUUUUUUCCUAAACAUAAAUUCUUUUUUUUUUUAAAUAAAUUUUUUUAUACACUUUCAUUCAUUAUAAAAAGUGAUAAAUUGUUAUUUCUCAACUAUAUUUUAUUUCUGCAUGCCAGUUUAUUGUUAUGAGUUUUUUUUUUAAAAGACUUUAUUGCACUACAAGAAAAUUGCCAUAUAUCUAUGGAGGUUUAUAGUGACGGACUAAAAUCCGUAGGUAUAUAAGUUUUACCUACGGAAGUGGCCAUAGGUCUAUCUUAAAAAAAAUAAAAAUAAAAAAUAAAUAGUAAUACAAGAGAGUGCGCCUAAUGAAAACUAUAGACCGGGAAAGAUCCCGCUUUUUCCAAUUUUUUCCACCUCUAAAUUGAAAAUAUAUAAAAAAAACUCUAAUAAAAACAAAAAAAAAACCCAACUCUUCACGUUCAAGAACACAAUUUCAUUUUUCACCCGUUUCAGAAUCCAAAUCAAAAUCUCACUCUUCCAAAUCCUGAAAUGGCCAAAUCAAAACCUCACCUUUUUUUCCCUGAUUGAAACCUCAGCCUCUCUUGUUCUUCCCCGUUCCCAAAUUGCAACACUUUUCACACCCAAAUCGAAAUCCUUGAAGAUCAACUGAAAGAAUCUGAAGUCAAAUCCCUCUGUCUCAAAGCAAACGAGAUCCUGUAAGCCAUCAAUUUUCACGUUUCUUCUGUUUUUACUUUCUGUAAGUCAUCAAAGGACAAAAUUCUGUUAUUAGGUUUUCACUAUUUUUACUUGAUUUUUUGAUUUAUUUUUACUAUAAUAUUUGUUGAUUUUUUGAUUUGUUUUGAUUAUGUUUUUAGUAUGAUAGUAACAAUUAUCUUUCAAGGGAAGUUAGUAGGUUUAUUUUUUGAUUUGUGUUGAUUUUUUUAUUUGUUUCUUUUUACAUAGUAGCAACAAUUAUUUUAAUGAAAAGUUAUUUUAUUUUUAGGAUAUCUUUCAAGGAGAUUUAGUAGGUUUGGGGAGUGUCGUUCGAAGAUACAAUUAAUAGAGUGGACGGUUGUUGUUAUUAGUCAAUUAUUUGAAUAUAAUUUUUAUAUCUUCUAAAUAAAAAUGAGAAUAAUUGAUAUAUAUAUAUAUAUAUAUAUAAUCGAGUCAGUUCAUGAACUAAACGAGUCGAACUAUAUAUAGUUCAUGUUCGACUCAUAUAAUUAACAAACUUAAUUUUCAUCUCAAAUUCGAUUCAUUUGAAAAUUCUAUGUUUUAAACUCAUAUUGUGAAUCUUCAACGUUGUAAAAUGAAAAUCGAACGAUUACAAAUUACUCUUGGGGUAAGAAUAAUAGAAGAUAACUAGCAAAGUUAAAAAAAAAUGUUUAGGUUGUUAUUUGUGUCCUACUAGAGUACUAGUAUUUCUUGAACUCUAGAAAUUAACUAAUUUUUCAAUUGUAUUAAUACCAUAUUUUGUUUUAUACAUGAGUUAAUUAGCUGACUACCUCAUUUAUUUCUUUUCAAUAUUUAUUUUCUUUGUUUGAAGUUUAAUAGUUUGUUGUUCUCUACGAAAGCAAAAACUAUUUUUAUAUUUUAUUUUUUAUUCUUGAAUUGUAAUGUCAUCUUGUGUAUUUCAAGUCCAAAAUGAGUUGAUUUUGCAUGGUUGACCUGAUUUGGUAUUCUCUCAUUGCUUUAGUCCGAUCUUUUAAUUUACCACACAAAUAUUGUUUAUCCUCUAAAUUACCACACCCUUCCCAUACAAGAUUGAGAGGUAGUCAUAAUCACUCCUCUCACAUAUAAAUUGUCAAUCGUUGGAAGGCGGUUGAGAAGAAGACGCCACAUAAAAAGAUUGAUUUGCAGAGGAACAUCUUUAUGUCAGAAUACACGGGAAUAGUAAGUUGUCGCUGAAUUGAAGCACUAAGUAGAAGAAAUAGCACUGCCUCUUCUCUGCUAACAUUCAUAUCAACAACAUGAGAUGGUGUGGUAAAGGAGCCAUGAAAAAUCAAUCGGAUCCUUGAAGUGCAUAGAUAUUAAGAUGUGCUCUUCAGCCCAAGAAAAAGGCACACCACGAUGGAACAUGAUAAAAUGGACAAAGGAGAGGAAUGCAAUAUAGGCACAUACAAAGCUUCCCUAAGAACAUAUUUCAAAUCAUUAUUAGAUAUAUGAAUAAUUUUUAAAAGAUAUUUUAGUUUACAUUCAAUACCAAAUUAUUUUUUAAAUCAAUAUGAAUUAUAUAAUUGGUUUGAAUGAUAAUGUAUAAUAAAUCAUGCAAUUACAAAAUUAAAUACACAUCCACAUUUUUUUUAAUGAUUUUAUCAACAACAUAAAUUGAUCCUACCAUACAUUAUAAAAAAAAUCUUUUUUUAUAUUUGAGAGGCAUACACUACAAAUAUAAAAAAUUCCUUGCUAUCUUCUUCCAUAUUGAAAGGAACACAUCAAUUAGGCAAAUAAUUGUCGAAUUAUUAACAGAAAAUAACUUCAAAUUCAGCUUUGCAAGCCAUCUACUUGGAAAAGCAUCGAAAUCCAUCCAAGAUUCAACAAUGAGAGAUAAUUCAAACCUAUAUUUGACAAUAAGCCUUUUGAGAGCUAAUUUUGAUAGGGAACUUGCUAUACCUGUAAUAUUCUAGAAUUGGAAAAGCCAACCUUUAAUCUGGUGUUGUAUUGCUUUCUUAAUUUCUCAGUUUUGUUUUGUUUGCACCAGCAUCUGAAUUCGCAUUUCAAUACGGUUUAUAGCAUUGACGAGUAAGUUCAUUCAUAUUCCUCAAAUAUUCAUGAUCACCAUUGUCACAUUCGCAUUUUAAUACGGUUUUUAGCAUCAAUACUAUGUUCCGAGUUAGUUGUUCCACAAGCAUAAGACAUGUCAUUAACAUUGCCAGAAUUAUUCAAAGUGUUGUUAUAAACCAUUUCAGCUCUUUUUUUUUUUCCUUUUCUAUAUGUAUCCUUUAGGUUCACAGCUCCAAUAUUAUUAUCUGUGUAUAUUGUCUUUAGAUUACACAAAGAUUUUCUUCUAAUCCUAUUUAGGUUUUAUUCUAUUAAGGGUCCGUUUGCUACAGCUUUUUAUAAAAAAAAAAAAAAUCACUUUUUUUAAUCUUGCAUCUUUUUAUUCAGAUUUUCAAAAAAAAUUAAAAUCUGAAAAUAAUCUAAAAACAGCUUCAAAUGAGUAGCUGUUAUGAGCAGCUUUUUUUUUUAUAGAUUAUUUUUAGAGGAGAGAGAAAUUUGUUACGAGAUUUUAACAAAAAAAAAAGAUAUGUUUAAAACAAACUAAAAUUCCAAUCAUAUCCUUGUUUUGCUAUAUAUACGCAAAGACUAGUCUUCCUUUUUUCACAGCCUAUUCGUUAUUCUUCUCUCUAUUCUCUAAACAAGUGAAGGUUAGCAAUUUUAUUAUCUUUUUGAUUCAUUCAUAAUUGAACCUGUAUAUUUUUUUUUCAUGUUUCUCUUCCCAUUAUCAUAUAUUUUGUGUUGUUUUUGUCUAUUUUGGAUGUUUUUUAUGUUUGUAUAUAUCAUUGUUGCUUCUAUUUUGCGGUGCUGUUGAUGUUGGGUUUUGAGGGUAAUUGUUUGGGUGCCCUGCCAUGGCGUGGGGCUCGUAUAUAUAUCAUAAAUUGGAACCACUAUAUAGUUAUUAUUAUCAAGGAAAAUGCUAUUUUUUUACGAAAACCAAUGGCAAGAAAUCGACAAACGCUUUUGUAUUGUGCUAUUUCACCCACUGCUUGUCUCCUACUCUUGUAGUAUUCUGUCAAAUGCUAAUUAAACUGAUGAAUAUUUGUUAAAUUUUUAUAAAAAUAUAAUAUGAUACUUUGUAUUCGGCAAUAUGAGUGUAUGUAUACAAGCAGAUUAAAUUAUGAACAAAUGCUAGUGAUAAAUUUAUCAUUCUUGUGUUUCUUGUGCAAAAUAUAUGUGGAGUAAUAAUUUGGUAAAUCAACAAUUUUAUGGCAUGCUUAACUAUUCAUAUUUUGUUUACAUAUAUAACAUUGUUUGAUCCCUAUUGUUAGAUCACUUUAGUUAGGUAUUGAUUCAGGUUAAAUUAUGAACAAAUGCUAUUAUCAAUAUGUAGUAGCUAAAUAUCAUAUAUAUAGUAUCAUAGGAUAUGGAAGAACAAUCCAUCUUUUUCAACUAAUCAUUUUGCUCGUGUUUUAACAACGUAAAUGCAUUUUUAAUUAACAUACUUGUUUUCAUACAUAAAAAAGUAUUUUUUUUUUUUUUGGACAAACAUGUUAUAUUUGAAAGAAUUUUUUUUUGUGUCCUUUAUGGUAAUUUUAUAAUAAAAAAUCACUUUUAGAAAGUUGUAUCCAAAUAAACUAAAAAUCACUUUUUUUUUAAAAAGUGAUAUUUGACAUGGUAAACAAACAUAAAAUAGAUUCUGAUUUUUUAAAGAAUCUCUAAAAAUUAUCUCUAAAUUAUUUUAUUUUAAAAUCACUUUUAUUUUAAUCCGUAACAAACGGACCCUAAUUCUCUUAAACUUCACCAUAUCCAUGGUGGAAUCAGAGAAAAUGCAGAAGCUCAACGAAAAAGAAAGAGAGAAAAUUAGAUCAAAUUCUAGAUUCAUUGAAUUGAUCUGAAAUUGGUUACAACAAAGCUAUAUAUAGCUGUAUAUGAUCCUAACUAACUCUAAAAAACUAUUAGCUAGCUAGGAUUAGAAUCAUAUGAUGCUAGUACACAGUAAAGAUCUAUGGAAUGGCAGAGUAAUAUGCUGCGCAAGCUAUCUAAUAUUACAAGUAAUCACACAAUUUAAAAAAGAAGAAAAAGAGAAGGAGAGUGCACAAACAAAUAUUGGCGCCAGAUAAAUUGUGCAUAACCAGGAUAAUUAGGGAACCUUGCUAAAUAUAUUGGUACUCUCUGGUGGUUUGAUUUUAAUAAUUUGGAGAAUCAACUAAGUUCGAUGAUGAGGCCGAGGGAGGCAUGGUGGAAAAGAAGAAUUAUACAAUUGCAUUGUAGAGAUGAAAACGUAGCUUGGCAAAACAUGAAAACAAUGAGCUCUAUCUGAACGUUAAUGCAAAACAAUUUCACGCCGAUAGUGUAUAUUCACUAAUAUUGCCCAUUUUCACAUCAGAUGUGUUCGACUCAGGCACAACCACCCUUCAUUUGUGCAACGUCUGCAAGAAGUAAAUCAAUCACUUUGCUCUAGCUAGAAUCAUUAAAAUAAUAAGCAUUUCAGAGUUUGAGAGAUUAAGAAUUCUAUUGACUUUGUUUUAUGUCGAAUCCUAGUUCUUAUCACGAAUUAUUAUAAACAAACUUCCCAGACACAGGGAUAUUUAUGACAAGUUCACUUACUGAACAGAUAAGAAACAAGAAUUUGAAAUAAAACAAGGAUGAGUUCUUAAAUAUAUUCAGUGGAAGCUAAUUUGUGAAGGUAAUCAAAUAUUAUAUAUCCUCAAGCUGAAGUCCCUUCUAAGGAUCAUUCAUGUGUGCUGAUGAUAAUGAACUCAAAUUUGUUGAGACUUCAUCUGUUGCUUUUUUUCGCACGACUGUUGCACCGGACUAUUCAUUAACUUCUCAAGUCCUUUGUGGUUGUGUGUAUUGCUUAGUGGAUGGUUACAUCAACGGUAUAUACUUCUCUACCCCCUUCCAUUUAGUAGAUAUUGUAAAACCAAGGACAACCUCCUGAGGCUUAGGAGAAGCUAUAUAUAACUCUUUUCAACAUCUGUUAUUAGUUGGAAUUAAGUUCGGCUCAUGUGUUGGAUCACCAUUAUUCACUGCCUUCUUUGGAGAUUGAUUUUUCAGGCCAAAAUACAUUCAGUCCCUUGCCUGUAUGUAUAAACAAAAUACACUCAAUUCCUUUAUAAAAUCUUACCAUACAUCUACAAUAUACUAUUUUUUCUUUGCUAUAAGGAUGGAAUUUUAAAUGUUUGGUGAAAAACUGAUAUGUGAAGGUAAUUAGCAUUAUAAAGUCCUGAAAAUCAACUCCAACCACAAGAAGGUGGAAAGAGUAUUACUUUGUUGAAGCAUCCAAUAAAAAGAAAGCCGACUAAAGUUUUGAUAUGUAUGUUAAAAUAAAUUAGUUUGACGAGGCAGAAAAUUCAUGUUAAAGUAUUCACUAAGAUAUGAACUAUGCCUUACCCUUGAAUUAACCAUAACCAGCACAAAGCUAUCAGUUAGAGGAAAUUGAAAUCUUCAGCAGCAAACUUCAUUCCUAAUAUUGCUUAACAACGUCGCCAAUUCUGGCUAUUGGUGUUUCCCCUGAUCGAACAUGAAAUUCCGACUCUUUCAUAAAUAUAUUAUACAUGAAAGGGCUAUUUCAUAAAUGAAGGACCAUCACCUGCAUAUUUUCAUGGAUACAUGUAUUUAAAUUGAAAUCAAGUAAUAUAUGUUAAAAUUAAUACUAUAGGAAUGAAGAUCUAUACCAUAUCAAUACCAGCAUCAAUGGAAGUGGAAACGCGAUAACGAUAAUCUGACGUAUAAGGUUGACAAUUUUAAUCGAUUUUGUCUCAGACAAAAGACAAAAUCACAAGGUUCACAUAAAUCAAGUCUCUUAAAAAAUGUCUUCGUUCCAAUAAAUAAAUUUUGGGUAACCACGAAUAUUCAAAAACUUAAGUGAAGUGAGGUGUCAAAUACCUUAUGGCAGGGAUCUCAAUUCCUCACAUUCAAGAAUAUCCAUAGUUCGAAGCGAAAUAAGUGUCACCUGUUCAGUUUCAUAGGAGAUGCUCUCUGUAAGUGAUAUGACUAAUGCUAAUAUACUAAAAUAUAAAGAGUUAAAAGAUAAAAAAUUCACUUUGUUAUCAAAUUAAACGGUUGAUUUCUCAUUCAUAUCAUCCAAAAUCAUCACCUCUUAUAGUUUCUGUGGUUUAGCUGAAGCAUCCUCUUGCUUUCAGGAAAAACAGUGGACACAACACAACUUGAUCAAUAACAUUGUUCGACACAAACAUGGCUGCGAUUUAGCAGCAUUCCACAACAUAUCUGACACAAACAUAAUGAAAUAACAUGAGUGACUCGACUAGAAUCAUGAAAUAGCUAAAUACACACCUUCCUAAUGAAGAGCUGUAUACACACCUGGCUAAUAGCUUGAACCAAGAAUUUUGAUUUGUUGCAUUAACAAGCUCAGCGUCAAUUCUAAAGAUAUGGCCCAAUUCUCACAAUAAUUUUACUCGUAGACAUAUUCCAUACAAAAACAGAGAAAGCAAGUGAUUCCUGCAUAUAGAAAUUUAAAUUAGAAAGUAAUUUGGGGAUAAGAAGAUGCAGGGAAGAGAUAAAACUAGCAUACAUCUUCUUCCAGAUAAUUGUCUUGAGAAAUGCUUAGAAAUCAAAUAUGCAUGAAUCAACAGAGUUUAGUGCAUGCAUCAACAGCCAUCAAUAUUCUUUAAAAAUUAGCAAAUAACAUACCAAGACAAUUUUAGUACUAUGAAAUUCUGAACAAAAUUCUGACUCAAAGCCAUAGAAAGAUAAAUUCUCAACUAAAUUUGUCCUAAAGGAUCACCUAAAAUCUGUACCAACAAAUUAUACUUAUUAUGUAUGCAGGUCCACUCGUCAUGAACUAAGUUUGUAAUUAAAAAGUGUGGCUAGCAAUCAUUGAUGUAGUUAACGUAUUACAAAUAUUGCGUCAUCAAUGCUCUAAUCACAGUGCCGUAAAAAUAAAUCAAAAUGUUCAAAGAAUUAUAAAAGGGACAUAUACCUCUGGAAAACAUUGAAAAUCUCCUGUCAGGGAGAGAACUCUAUCAGGAACCAUUGCUGCUAUUUUACAAGCUAUCAUAGAUCAUGUUUCAAUAGGCAAACAAUAUUAAAAAUAAACUCAACCUAAUCAAAUCUUAGGAAAAACCAUCUGAAUUUUAACUAAAUCAAAACUCAAUAACACAAAAUAAUAACCGGUUGAGCGCCCAAAAACACGAGCCUUUUUCCAACCUAAAUGACCCAACAAAGUAAUUGUAUCUUUUGCCAUGAUCUUUGUAAAUUAUUCAAAUUAAUGUAGCACCAACACUUCAUAUUGAUGACAUGUCUGAUGUUUAGAUACUGAUAUAACACCAAACCAUAUAAUUUACAUUCAAAAACUUUCAUUUCUUCAAAAUAUUAUCAAACAAUAUAUCAUUCAAAUAAACAAUCUAAAGCAAAUAAAUACAAAAGACCAAUAAAAACCUUGAUGAUCAGACUUUCUAUUGUGUACAGAGCUCCGACCCACGCCCCAAUGAUCAAAAGCGAAAACCUCUACCACCACCGGACUCAUUGUCACAUCCUCCACUCCGAACGAUGUCAUCUUCAUCAUUAGGAACCUAUUAAUCCAUUUAUUUGUCGACCCCACCCUUGUGUGUCAAAGGAAAUCCUAACCAUUCAAUUCAAUCUCCACAAAAUCAGCAAAAUUUAAAAAAAUUUCAAAAAAUAAAAGUAAAAUUGAAUAAAAAUAAAGUGAAUUGAGGCAGAUAAGGGGAAAUAGAGAUCUUACCAGUUAAGUGAAUUGAAUUUUGCGAUGGUGAUCGAGGCCAGAUAAGGGUAAACAACAUACGAGUAAUCAGACUUGCUAAUCCCAUGGAAAAUCAUGAAUAUCUCUUUUUGGAAUAUGAGCUAUCUUAGGUAGAAUAUCUUUCAUGUACUCUGGAUCUCUUCCUGCAGAAUGGGUUCCAAAGAUGUCGACAAUGAGAAUAAAAAUAAAGAUUUUUGAGCAGUUGAAAUCCAAACAUAAGAAGGGGAAAUUGAGAUCCUACCAGUAAAAUUGAUUUUUGCGAUGGUUAAUGAGGCAGAUAAGGGUAAACGUCUCUGCUUCUUAAAACUGUAUUUUUGGAAUAUGAGAUAUCUUGUCCCAAUCCUCCCCUGUUCGCUUCUUGCAUCGUUCCUUUAAUGUUCGGCAACCAAUGAUAGUCAGAAGCUCAAGAGAAGUGAGGUGUCGAAUACCCUCCGGCAAACAUCGCAAUCCUUCACAGCUAUAAAUAUGUAGAGUUCGAAGGGAUUGAAGACCUUCCCAAUUUUGCUCUGGUAAGGACUCCAACUCAUUACAAUAACAGAUACACAGAAGCGUCAAAGCUGGGUUAAAGGUUUCAUUUGGUAACUCCUUCAGUUUUGGGAAAUUAUAUAUUCUCAGAGAUUGAAGAGAAGUAAGGUUUUUGAACAUCCCCUCUGGGAAGGAUGUUAUUCCUUCACCCCCAUUUACGAAAAGCUGAGUAAGACCACGGAAGGUAGAGAUUGACCUCAGUAACUCAUUGUUACAUUCCGAUACAGUGAGGGAUUUAAGAGAUGGAAGACAUGGCAGUCCAAGUUUACGGCAUUCAGAGAUAUCCAACUUAGAAAGACAAGGAAACAUCUCCCCUCUUUCCACUUUCAAUAAACCCUCUAUGUUUGGUAACUGAUAUAAUACGAGUUCCUCCAGAGAUGGGAAAACCCUCACCUCCAUACCAUCCUCAGAUUCAUCAUCAUCCAAGUAUUUCAGAUUAUCCAUAUAAGAUAAUUCCAGGUUUUUUAAAGAUGGUAGUAUACCAAGUAACUGAAGCCGCACAACUUUCUUACAACGCUUAAGUUUAAGAGAAACUAAAUUACUAAGAAUAAUUAUCCAACUUGGCAAGGAUAAUCCCUCAUAGAAACUUAUUUUCAAGCAGUUGAGAUUUGAGUGAGGUUGAAGAACUUCAAGUACUUGCUCAACACUAACAACAGGGUUCUUUGGAAUUCCUUGUUUGUCUUUCCAUGACAAGUAUAAUUCAUGAAGGUCUUUUUUACCCAUCAAAUUAGCCGCUUCAGCUUCAAAUAACCUGCCAACAUUGUUUAAUCCUUGGAUAUGCAGUUUUCCACCGAGGUUUAGAUCACGUAACUCUGUCAAGCUAUUCCCUUUCUCUAAACUAACAAUGUACACACUUAAUGUUCUUAGACAAGUUAAUUUUCCAAUGUUAGGAAACAUGAGAGACAAAGACCGACAUACUUCAAUGACUAUAUGUCUAAGAUUUUGUAAGCAAGCCAAGCGUUUUGGGAGACAACUCAGUUUACGACAGUCUUUUAUUUUCAAGAUUUCCAGUUUUUGUAAGUUGUAAAUUGAGUCAGGCAACUUUUUUAUAUCAAGAGAACGAAGUUCCAAAUACCUUAAAUGAAUUAAACUACCUAGUAAUGGCUCUCGGAUAAAGGUUAUGCAUAAAACCCGAAGAGAAAGGUUUGUUGGGAAGUAAUCAUGUUUUUCUUUUGAAAAAGUACUACAAAACUCAAACCAUGUUCGCAAGGAUUCAACUAUUUUGAAAGCAUCCUUGUCGAAGGAUAACGAGUCUUUAUUGUCAAAACUAAUGUGGUGUGUGCUUUUUGACAAACUAGUCAAGUUUGCAUUCUCCAAAUACAUACAUUCUUGCCCCAUUACUGAUUGAGCAAGAUCAUGGACAAGGUCAUGCAUCUUGAAUGAAAUGUCGCCAGAAAAUUCAUCCAUUUUUCUAUCUUGAAAGAAUGAUUUUUGGUACAAUUCAUCCCACACCAUGAUGCCAACAUCUUCAACCUCCGUAGUACCCCUAGAUGAAAUCAAUCCAUUAGCCAUCCAAAGCCAAAUCAAUUCUUCCUUUAGGAUUUCUGCAUCUUUGGGAAAUAUAGCACAAAAAGAGAAACAUUGUUUUAGGGCUGCCGGUAAAUAAAAGUAACUCAACCUCAAAGCAGGCAAAAUGGAAUUUUCAUCUGAUAAAUCCCAAAGUUCACUGUCUUUAAUUUUAAGCCAUUCCUUUUCAUCUUUCCUUGAGUUCAUUAAACUUCCCAAUGAUUUUGCUGCAAGAGGCAAUCCAUUGCAUUUCUUUACUAUCUCCUUUCCUAUUGCCACGAGAUCAGCACGCUCUUCUUUGUGAUGUCCAAAUGCAUAUUGUUCGAACAACAACCAACAUUCACUAUCAGAGAGAGAAGACAAACGAUGAUGAGUUUGGUAUGUUCCUGUGAUCGUUGCAACAACUUCAUCACGGGUGGACACUAAAAUGGAACUACCUUUGGAUCCACAAGACAACACAGGUUUCAAUUUGUUCCAUUUCUCUCGUGUUAACCCUGAUUCCAAUUGUUGAUUUUGAUUCCACACAUCAUCCAAAACCAGCAAAUAUCUUUUCCCUUGCAACAAUCCUUGCACCUCUCUUUCCAUUACAGCAUAAUCAAAGUCAGGACACUUCUGUAAUGUGAUAGAUUCUAUAAUAGAACACAAAAUCCUCUUUACCGAGAAAGUCUCAGAAACACAAACCCAAAUUUUUUUUUCAAAAUUGCCACUCACCCUAACAUCAUUGUAGACCAAUUGAACAAGAGUUGUUUUUCCAACACCACCUAAACCAACUAUGGGAUAGACGGAAAGGAAGUCAGAGUCCCUUGCUUGGGUGAGAAGAAACUCAACAAUCUUUUCUUUAUCAACUUCUCGUCCAAACACUUUUGGUUCAGCAAUAAUGGAGCCGGUUUGGCGCCCUUCAGCUACUUGAUCUGGGAUUUCCCUAAGAGUGCCACCCAUCUGUAGAGAAAACUUGUUCUUACUUUCAGCAAUAUCAUCUAACCUCCUUGUAAUCUCUUUGAACCUGUUACCAAUCUCAUGGCGAAACAUGAUGUUCUUUGGUUUGAAAGAGGUAAAUCCUCUCAGUCGACAAGACUUGAUCGAGUACUCAUCAAGGAUAUCAUCGAGCACAUAAACACCAUCUUUGAGGUCUUGUAACCAUAGCUUAAUAGAGAGUUCUUUGAAUUGUUUCUUCUCAGCAUCUUCAAGAACAGCCUUGAUGUGAACUAAGUUGUUUGAUAGCUUUUGAACCUUUGACUUAAUUCCAGAAAUGGUUGAAAAUUCAUUUUGAAGGAGAGCCGUCAAAUUUUCAAACACAACUCCAAGCAAAGCGUCGGCCAUUUUUUUGUGAAAACAAAUUAAAGAGUUGAAAGUGAAAUGAUAAGAUGAUGAGAAAUUUGUUUAGAAAGAGUGAGUACUGAACCAAGCUGGAGACCUUUGAGAAUAAAUGCAAUGGUAGUAGGAACUCAGCAAGUAGGUGUUCAAUAAUUGUGGCCGACAGAACUAUUAUCGUGGUCCAUUAUUAUUGAUCCACUUUAACCUUUAAAACGUGGCCGACAGAAUAAUUAUCUUUGGAGUAAUUAGUUCUGGUGUGUGUCAUUUACUGAUAUUUGUUUUAUGCAUCCACUUUAAUUCAAUGUAUUGAGAACAUCUUGAACAAAUCUUAUCUAUUAUACCAAUGUAUGGACCACUAAAAUUAUUUAUAUUAUAUAAACACAAAUUUAAGUUGCUCUACUGUAAUAAACAUUUAAAGAAGUUGAAACGGCGGAGUUCGACUAAAAAUUAGCGUGAAUCUUAAAUCAUUACGUAUUUAACAACUACUAUAAAUUAUGAAGAAAAAAAUUCGUACAUUACAAUUGUUAAUUGAAAGAAUUUUCAGUUGACAUGACAAUAUACGGGAGAUUUGAAACCCACCUAAAUUCGAAAGUCUAUAAGUCUUCGCUAACAUGCCAAGUAUAAGCAUCACAAAACUCACGUAUGUCACUUUUGAAACCGCGGAAAACUAUAAUCGUUAAAAGAUAGAUCUAUGAUUAUUUAAAUUUUCAAGUUUGCCACUCCACCACUUUACGAAAAUUUGAAUCAACUAAAACUAAAAACCGACACAAAGUUGUAUAAAAUAUCAUAAAAUAGACCUAUAAUCGUCAAUUUUUUUUUCGAAUGGGCCGCCCCAUCCCAUGAAGGGCUCCGCCACCGGAAAGAACACCAUUCUUGUGUAAAAAAUAAUAGAAAUAAAUUUAUAAUAGUAACCGUACUUGUGUUUUUGACAACUGUUUUUUUUUUCUAAACAAAAAUCCUUUUCUUUUAAAAAUAAAAACUUUUACAUCAUUAUAAAAAGUGAUAAAUUGUUAUUUCCCAACUAUAUCUUAUUUCUGCAUGCCAGUUUAUUGUUAUGAGAUUUUUUUUUAAAAGACUUUAUUGUUAUGAGAUUACUUUGUGCAGAUUAGCCACUGCAAAGUGUCGUUCGAAGAUACAAUUAAUAGAGUCGGCGGUUGUUGUUAUUAGUCAAUUAUUUGAAUAUAAUUUUUAUAUCUUCUAAAUAAAAAUGAGAAUAACUAAUAUAUAUAAUCGAGUCAGUUCAUGAAUUAAACGAGUCGAAUUAUAUAAAUUUAUGUUCAACUCAUAUAAUUAACGAAUAUAAUUUUCAGCUAAGUUCGACUCAUUUAAAAAUUCAAUGUUUUGAACUCAGACUGUGAAUCUUCAACGUUGUAAAAUGAAAACUAAACGAUUACUAAUUACUCUUAGGGUAAGAAUAAUAGAAGAUAACUAGCAAAGUUAAAAAAAUGUUUAGGUUGUUAUUUGUGUCCUACUAGAGUACUAGUAUUUCUUGAACUCUAGAAAUUAACUAAAUUUUCAAUUGUAUGAAUACUAUAUUUUGUUUUAUACAUGAGUUAAUUAGCUGACUACCUCAUUUAUUUCUUUUCAAAUUUAUUUUCUUUGUUUGAAGUUUUAAUAGUUUGUUGUUCUCUACGAAAGCAAAAACUAUUUUUUAUUUUAUUUUUUAUUCUUGAAUUGUAAUGUCAUGUUGUGUAUUUCAACUUCAAAAUAAGUUGAUUUUGCAUGGUUGAGCUGAUUUGGUAUUCUCUCAUUGCCUUAGUCCGAUCUUUUAAUUUACCACACAAACAUUGUUUAUCCUCUAAAUUACCACACCCUUCCCAUACAAUAUUGAGAGGUAGUCAUAAUCACUCCUCUCACAUAUAAAUUGGUCAAUCGUUGGAAGGCGGUUGAAAAGAAGACGUCACAUAAAAAGAUUGACUUACAGAAAAACAUCUUUAUGUCAAAGUACACGGUUCUCAUCUGCAAUGAUAUUUUGAUUGGCUAAUUGUUGAAGGAAAUUAUAAACACUACUAAUAAUGUAAUUAUUUGAAGAAUGUAAAUUCCACCGCCACCUGUUAUUAACAUCAUCCUACGGGAACAGUAAGUUGUCGCUGAAUUGAAGCACUAAGUAGAAGAAAUAGCACUGCCUCUUCUCUGCUAACAUUCAUAUCAACAACAUGAGAUGGUGUGGUAACUGGUAAAGGAGCCAUGAAAAAUCAAUCGGAUCCUUGAAAAUGAACAAAGGAGAGGCACGUUGAAAAACGAAACAAGAGGAAUGUAAUAUAGAAACAUACAAAGCUUCCCUAAGAACACGUUUCAAUUCAUUAUUAGAUAUAUGAAUAAUUUUUAAAAGAAAUUUUAGUUUACAUUCAAUACCAAAUUAUUUUUAAAUCAAUAUGAAUUAUAUAAUUGGUUUGAAUGAUAAUGUAUAAUAAAUCAUGCAAUUACAAAAUUAAAUACACAUUCACAUUUUUUUUAAUGAUUUUAUCAACAACAUGAAUUGAUCCUACCAUACAUUUUACUUGUGUAUAAAUAGUGGCGGAGUCAGAAAGAAAAUCUCGUAUGGGUUAAAAAAAUUAUAUUGUAAUACAUAAUAAGCACAAAAUUGAUCAUUAAAAAAUUAAAUUACACAUGUUAAAAAUUUAAAAUAAUUCUCAAUGUGAUUCGAAUGAUUUAGAUUCAUCAAUAAUAGAUUAAAAUAAAAUGGGUUCUUAAACUGAAAUUGAAACCAAAUGGCUAGCUGCAAAGCAUAAGGCAAGAUUAGUGGCUAAAGGCUUUAUGCAAAAAGCUGAAAUUUAUUACUUUGAAGUAUAUGCAUUUAUAGCAAGACUUGAGACAAUCAGGUUGAUAGUUGUUAUUGCAUGUGAAAGGAACUGGCCACUGUACCACUUAGAUGUGAAGUCAUCAUUUCUAAAUGGUCCACUAUAAAUAUAUAUAUGAAGUUGUGUAUGUCACAAAACCUGCAGGGUUCAAAUUCAAAGAAAAUGAAGAUAUGAUAUUCAGAUUACAUAAGGCUCUAUAUGGUUUGAAGCAAUCUCUAAGAGCAUGGAAUAAGAGGAUUGUCAACUUUCUAGUGCAGCAAGAAUUUGUCAAAUGCAAAGCUGAAUAUAAUGUCUAUGUAAAAAAUAGCAAAGAUAGUAAUCUGGUGCAUAUUUGCUUAUAUGUUGAUGAUUUAAUAGUAACUGAUAGCAAUUUGGCUGAGAUAGAAGCCUUUAAAGGUCAUAUGAUGAAAAAGUUUAAUAUGACUGAUCUAGGAAAGUUAACAUACUUCCUUGGUAUGGAAUUCACUAAAACUUCUGAAGGUCUAGUUAAGCAUCAGAAGAAGUAUGCUUCUGAUAUUCUCAAGAGGUUCAACAUGUUGAACUGCAAUCCUGCAUCUACACUGUUCAAACAAAUUGUAGGAUCCUACAUUGCUCAUUGUUCAAACUAGUAAAGAAUGAUGACGAGGAGUUGGUUGAUUCUACAUUUUUCUAACAAAUUGUAGGAUCCUUGAGAUGUAAGUGCAAUAACUAGCCAACUAUAGCUUAUGUUGUUGGUAUAAUCAGCAGGUUCAUGAGUGAACCUAGAAGCUCUCAUCUACUUGUAGCUGAAAGAGUGAUAAGAUAUGAUGACAAUCAUUCAUUCGUUAUUUUUAGAGUCUUUUUAUGAUAUUUUUGAAUUCACAAGCAAGAUUAAGCAACAAGAAAAAACUGAAAAAGCUUAAAAAAGGCAUCGUGUCACGAUUACUAAAAAAACGUGACACGAUUUGGAGCUUUCAAGAAAUAUGCAUUCGGCAUUGGUGAAAACGUGUCACGAUGGCAAAAACGUGACACGGUUAUGGAAACCCUAAUUUGGGUGGUUUGUUACACAAGGAAGAAACGUGUCACGAUUUACAUAAAUUGUGCCACGAUUUUAGGAGCAGUUCUUGCCUAUUUAAGCUUGAGACAAUUCUGAAAACAAGGGUUACGAAUUGGAGAGAGCAAAGUGCGAUUUUGAGACCUAAAGACGGCUAGGAGGGCGAUUUCUUCAACCUUCUAUCAGUUCAUGUAAGUUUUGAUUCCAUUAAUGAUUAUGCUAUUUGUAAACUCGAUUAUGAGUAGCUAAAUCUCUUAGAGAUUAGGUCUGAAAUGAUUCUUUGUAACCCUAAUUGAACCAUGUUGCUGUGAAACUCUAUUUAUUGUGAAUGACAAUCUAGUUUUUAUUCAAUUCAAUUAUUCUUAAUGCUUUUUAUAUCUUGAUCAAAUAUAAACAUGAUUUAAUGAGAAUGAAUGACUACUGACCAUAGCUUUCUACUUAGACCUAAAUGAAUUGUUCUAACAAACAUGGUUAGUCUAGGAGUGGAUAAUCGUUUGUUAGAGAUAUUAGGUUAACGUUCUUAAACCUUCAAAGAUUAUUAGACCACCUAAGGAAUUAAGGGAUUGAUUAGCACUAUUUUGUUAACUAUCGCGGAACUAGAAAAUCAUUCAUAAGAAUAGGUGCAGUAUACCAAUUAGGGGAACAUAGAUGAUUCGAAAGACCUGAUCUCAUCUCUUUUCAUAUUUUCUAACCAAAUCUAUAUUUUCAAGCCGAAUCUUUAUUUUAUGUUAUUUAAUUUUAUGCAAUCAAAUCAAAUCUACAAACAAAAUAAUUUAUACAUCCUAAAUAUUUACUUUAUUGCUAAAUUGAGAUUAACACAGUCCUCGUGGAUACGAACCUAUUUUAUUACUUCGAUGCAUUUUUAGUACAUUUGCUAAAAGUUUAUCAAGAUACAUUAAGGGAACCAUAGACUAUGGUGUAAUUUUUCCUAAAUGUAUCAGCGAAGCUAACAUGGAGUUAAUUGCCUACUCAGAUGCAGAUUGGUGUGGAGAUAUGCAAGAUAGGAAAAGCACUUCAUGCUACUUGUUCAAAUUUCUGAAUGCUCCUAUAUCAUGGUGUACAAAAAAGCAACUUGUAUUAGUACUUUCAACUUGUGAAUCUGAGUACAUUGUAGGGUGUUUAGCAGCAUGUCAAGCAGUAUGGCUAGAUUAUGUGUUAAAGGAACUGAAUAUUGAAAUCUGCAAGCCUAUUGCAUUGUUUGUAGACAAUCAAUCUGCCAUAAACUUAGCCAAAAAUCAUGUGUUGCAUGGAAGAAGCAAGCAUAUUGAAGCAAAGUUUCAUUUUCUCAGAGAACAAGUGAACAAAGAGGCUCUCAAGCUCAUAUAUUGCUCAACUAAACUGCAGCUUGCUAAUCGGUUUACAAAGGAUGUGAAGAUUCAAAGAUUUAACGAGCUAAGAGGCUUGAUUGGAAUGAUGAAGUGCGAAAACUUGAAUUAAAGGAGGAUGUUAUAGUUUUAAUUCAAGUUAGAUGGGUUUAACUCAAGUUUAGUUGCGAUUAAAUAAUGGUUAGAAAGUAUGUUACAAGUUUCUUGAAAGACUUAGCUAGUAGUUAGCAAGUUAUGUAAAUAAGCACUAUAUAAGCAUGUUGUAAAUAGAUUUUCACAACUUAAUGAGAAUAUAGUUUUACAACAAUCAAUUACGCUUCUUCUUUCUCUUAAUUCUCUCUAUUUCUUAAUCCUAAUUUUCAUGAAAAUUCUUGCUUGAUACGAACACAUUGAUUUAUACUAUUAAUUUGAAGGUGUGUGUUGUGUUGUGUAUUAUUCAUUUCCUUGACUCCAUAUCCAAUGGAGACUCAAAUGUUGGCUAUUAAAAUAUAUAAACAACAAGCAAUAUCCAUUAGCUUAUUUUAUACGAACAUCAUUAUUAAACCUACUAUACUUGGCAUUUUUACUAGCAAUAAACUUGUUGAACACAACAUUGUUCUUGAAACUAUUUAUGCUUAGCAUAAUCCAAACGAUAACUUGGUAUUGCGUGCAAAUGCUGAGCUCUUGGUAUAGUGAGUCCAAAUUUCUCCUCCAUAUUCAAAUUGAAUGGACUAAUAUUAUGUGAAAGUUCCCAAUUAAAGCAAUGCACAAAUUGAGCUAUAACCAACUUAACAGUAGUUAAACCCAAUUGAAUUCCAGGGCAACGUCUACGACCAUAAUCAAAUGGUAAACUUUCAAACUCUUGUCUUUGAUAAUUCAUUUUCUUUUCAAUAAAUCUCUUUGGAUAAAAUUCUUCAGCAUUUUCUGACCAAACAUUAGGAUCUCUCCCUAUUGCCCAUGCAUUUACCAUAAUUCUCGUCUUUUCCUUUAUAAAAUAAUCAUCAAUUGUUAUGUUCUCUCUACAUUUAGGAGGGACUAGUAAGGGUGCAACAGGAUACAGUCUUAAGGUUUCAUCAACCACCAUAUCUAAGUAAUUCAACUUCUUCAAAUCCUUCUCUUCAACCAUUCUUUUAUUUCCUACUUCAUUUUGUAUCUCAUCUUGAAGAAUUUUCAUCACUCUUGGAUGCCUUAAAAGUGCAGAUAAAGCCCAUUAAAAUCGAGGUAGCAGAUGUAUCAAUUGCUGCCACUAUCAUGUCGAGCAAAAUAGCUUUGAUGUUAGAUCGAUCAAUUACGAGAUUUUGUUCACCCUCGACAUCAAUGGUUUGAUGCAUAAUUGAAAGAAGUAUGUCUACGAAAUCUUUAUGAUGAGUUUUGUUUACAUUAGCAGCUUGUAAUCACCUCUAGCACCUCAUCAAUUUCUUUACUGAGUUUCUGGCAAGAUCGUGUUAAUCCCUAACAAAGAGUUAAACUUAAAAUAUCAAUUAUUACAUCAAUAUUCUCAGUGUACUUAACAGAACCAUUAGAGCAUAUAUUUUUUUUAAGAGGAUUGUGUUCUCCAAUUUUCUUCUUGAUGACUGGGUCUGGAACCCACAACCCUAUAGGUGUAGGUAAAACAUCUUAUCAACUAAACUGCACUUCUAAAUCGAUAACAAUAUAUUUAAGGGAAUGUAAAAUAUUUAAAAAUUAAUCACCACCAAAACAAAAUUACAUCACCGAAAAAUUAUCAAAAAUUAAAUAAAUUUAUCGCGACCUUAAUAUUUUUCAGUUGUAUAAAAAAAGAGGUCUGAUUUUUUUUUUUCCUCAAAGUUUCUCCUACAUUUAGCACCUCAAAUAUUAAGAUAUCAAAUUUAGCCCGGAAUUUCACACAAUCAUCACUAGGAAUUUGAGGUAUUAAUUAUAACUAAAAUUGUCAGAAUACCUAACUACAAUUGCAGGGUAGUUGAGUUUAAAAAUUAGGUAACCCUUUUAUUUAUUGAACUAGAGGAAAAAACACUAAAGGACUUUCGUGCAAUUACAUAUUGAGUGACCAAAAUUAUACAAUCACGAUAUUUAUUUAAGAGGCUUAAAGUUAAACUUAACUCAAUAAUUAAUGUUUUAUUUCUUAUACAUAGUACUGAAGGUGAGAAAAACACAAGAAGGGGGGGUUGAAUUGUGUUUUCUUUUUCUCUCUUAAAAAAUCUUCUUCUGAUAAACCUUCAGAAGCAGUUUGUGAGUGCUUCUGAUGAAAUGAUCAGAAUUAGAUAUGCAGCGGAAAAGAACAGAGCAGAGAAAAGAAAGACAAAGACACAAGCAGUUAUCCUGGUUCCUUCCACAACACGGAAGUAGUCCAGUCCCCCUUGCACUUCCAAGGAGAUUUCACUAUAAUCACAAAGAUUACAAAUGCUCAAUACUUUCUAAGUAUGAGACUUCACAAAAAAUGCUCACGCACACACGCAAGAGUCUUCCAAUGCUCAAGCACUAAGCAAGAGACUUCUAAUGCUCAAGCACGCAGGCAAGAGACUUCUGAUCAAACAAAAAUACAGAGAAUUGAGUUUGACUUGAACACUUGAUAUACAAUCAGUGGUGUUCUCAAUACAAUACAAUAAAGACUCUAGACUUUGAAUUUCUUAAGAUGUAUCAAAUCAGUGCAGAAAUUCAGUGUGCUUUGUAGAAUCAAUUUGACAGAGUUUUGGCGCUUUUUAACUUGUAUAUCUCUCUAUCUUCAAUCUUCAAGUCUUCACUCCUUUAUAUAGAGGCGUGAAAGAGACGUUGAGAUAAUCAGCACGUCUAAAGAGUCGUUUGAAAUCCUUUGAUCAUCCACCAGUAAUCCUAUGCCUGAUUUGGGUGUAGUCCUUUGAAGAAUUAGCUUCAAAUUCAUUCCCAUCUUGAAGGCACAAAUUCUGCAGGCAUAGCUGUUGUUUUGUCUUGUAGCGUGGACAAAAACAGAGUAGUGGAGGUAGUGGUUGUACACUUGUACUUUGUCAACUCUGUCAACGAAGGACAAAUGCUCAGUGCUAUCCAUAUGACCGUUGAUACCUCCCUUUCAAUUCUUCGUUCUUCUUAGAUAAGACUGAAUUGAGAACCAGCUACUUUGGAUCUUCAGUUUGAUUAAUGGAUCAAAUGUAGCUUCUGGUGAAGAUAUCGCUUCUGAUGAAAACCUUGCUUCUGAUGACCUUCUGCUUCUGAUGAGCUUCUGCUUCUGAUGACGUCAUCACUUCAGAAGCACUUCAGCUUCAGGAGCACUCUAGCUUCAGACACAGUUUUCUUCAGAUGCUUAGAAUUUCUUUUGCUUUUCAUUGUUCUUCUAAGACCUAUUGAAAUUACUUGACUAGCCUUUGGUCCUGUACACUUGAACAAUAAUUAGUAAUAACCAAUUGACAAUUUUUAAUACCUUGUUAUCAUCAAAACUCAUUAAGGUUCAUUGUGAAACACAUUUUGUUCCAACAAGUACUGCCACCCUCUCAAAUUGUAAGUUGUUUUAGAAGAAAUUGUUCUAAAUUAUUAGUUAUUUUACAAUAAUAUUAAUAUUAUUAUUUUCUAUACUAAUAAUAAUAAAAGGUAAUUUUAUAAAAUAAUUAAUAAUUUUGUUUUCUCAUAAAAAAUCAAUUAUACCUUUUAAAUGUCGCAAAAUCCAUUUUUUCUUGUAGUGUUUAAUUUGUGUAAGUCAUCAUAACGAGUUAUAAUUUGACAAACAUACCUGAAAGGUCAAAAAAUCUUUAGCCAAGGAACAUAAUCAGCCAGAUUAAAAGCUCCAAUCAAAACCAAUUCUUGUUGAACCAAAUUUUUCAAGUCAAAUUGCUCAUACUUACUCCGUCCAAACAUCAACUUAUACACAAUAUCUUCUAUUAGAUUCUCUACUACCUCACUAACAUUCACAACCUCACCAACCAAAGCAGCUUUCUUCAAAGUGUUAACCAAAAUACUCAACUCCUCUUUUCUAAUAGGACCAGACAUCUCAACUUUUGAAGCACUAAGAAGUUUCAAAGUGCAAAAUUUCCUCACACUACGCCAAUAAGGACCAUAGUCAGAAAAAACUAUCCCUUUGGAACCAUAUAACAUGAGCUCAGAUCCUUGACUCUUUGGUCGGCUUGCAAAAACGAUGUCAUGGGUUUUGAGAAAUGAUUCUGCAGCUUUUGAAGAUGAAAUGAUAAUAGUUGGAACUUGACCAAGUUGUAAGGACAUGAUUGGACCAUAUUUUUUGGAGAGUGAUUGAAGUGUUCUAUGUGGAAGUUUGCCUAAUAUGUGAAGAUUUCCAAUUAUUGGUAGUGAUGGUGGACCUGGUGGUUUUUUAUGGUUUAGGGUUUUUUGUUUUGGAUGUAAGUAGAGUUUGAAUAGAAAGUACAUGAAAGUGAAGAGAAGAAAAGCAAACAUUGUUGUUGUUAGUGCAAAAGACAUGUCUACAAUGAAUGGUUUGGUUUGGCUGAAGUACGUAACAAGGUUGAAGACUAUACAACUACAAGUUGAUCUCUUAUUAUCUUGAAGCCGGUGGUGUACGUGUUUGGUUUGUAUAUCUAGUGAGAUAUUUCCCCUUAAAAAUGUAUUGAGAUAUUUAUGGCGGCCAUACUAUAUACUCUAUAAGGAAAAAAGGAAAGUUCCUUUCGAAAAGACAAAAAAAGGAAAGCGCUAAAAACAUUUAUUAGUCAACCUACUCCCGCAAUUAUAAAUGAGCAUUGCUAUUUAUCUAAAGAGUUUUUAUCUAGAAUUUAACAAGAAAAGGUCUCAACCAAUUAAAUUUAUUAUUUGUUGGAAAUCAUGGAAGGUAGUGGUGUGUAAUUGAGGAAAGGAGUUAGCAAAUACAUUGUCUUAAAAUUUUCUUCAUAAAUUUUGUCACUCUAUCUAUCAUUUCCCAUUAUAAAUGAUGAUUAAUUUUGUUUACUUUACAUAUGUUAAUGCACAAUUUCUACUCACUCUCAUAAGGUUGAACCAUUCUUCUCCCACGGUCAGUGAUUCUCAAAUCUCAAUGGGUAUCCAUUAUUCUUACCAUGUCAUUUUACAUCUUCCUCUAAAUCGAUAACUACAAACCUCCACCUUGCAUAUUGAUGACGGAACAUCAUGUGUUAUUUUGGCUAUGUUUUAAGUACUUUUCUUUGGAUUUGAAGACAAAUAAGAUGAGAAUUAGAGGAGUUGUCAAUGGUUUGAGGAACAGGUGUUUUGAGUGCUUUGUAGUGGGAAAUCAUAUUAAUCGACAAAUCAAGACAUCACAUGAAGGAUCAAAGAUAUGAAGAUUGAAGAUUAAUGGUUCUUAAAAGGUUUUUAAAGACAAUACAAAGUGAAGAAAUUUCAUUUCAAGUUCGUAUGCGUUUCCAAACGGAAGAACGAUAAAAAAAAAAAAAAAAAGGGAUGAAAACGCAAGAUUUCACACACAGGGACUGUCUCAUGUGCCACUAUCGCAUGAGGCAGUGUUACCACUGCCCCAGGCGCCUCAUGCACACGACUGUGGGCAUAAAUUGCCUGCAACUUGUUUUUCAAGCUAAAACGGUGGUAAAAGCUCAGUUUUCUUCUCUUAAACCUUAAGUAAUCAUUUAAUAUAAAUAGAGACCCUUGUACACAUUAUUUUUCAUUCAUAAAGCUAGCAGUUCAAGGGGUAAAGCAUCAGAGUUUCAAGGCAGGAUUCCAACCUCAUCUUGACUCUCUCUAGGGUAUAUUUUUCUAUUGUUUUGUUAUGAUGUUUGUUUCUAUUAUUUUUCAUUCAUAGUCACUUUCUACUGAGAUCAAUUUAAUCAUUGAGAUUAAAAGUACAAUCAACUUUCGAUCUUAGUAGUUGUAAGAACAACAUUAAUCAUCUUUAGGAAGAAGGAUUAUAAUACACAUACAUGAUUUAUACAAAAAUAUAGAGUAGGAAUAAGUAUAUUUCAGAUUGCUUUUAAUAUUUGUAAUUAUAAGUGAUUAUGAAUUUGAUCUCAGUAUUCUGCAGACUUUUGUAAUCGGGUCUUUUUUAUCAGCUGUAGUGAGAUAUGAUAUAUCUUUGAAUGAUGCCCCUUAUAUAGAAAAUGUGGGACCUAUCUUGUCAUGGUGAGCAUGUAACAAAGUAUGCUUCUUCCAAAAGUUAUUGUUGUGAUUUAGUUUUGAAUUUCAUCUUUUGAAGAUCAAUCUCAUAUUCUAACACACUUUUGAAGUUGUUUCCCUUCAUCAUUCUUUUGGUGUUUUUUAAAUUUCUUAAUUUGAAGUUUGAUCUUUAGAACUUCAAUAUGAUGUGUUGUUGAACUGCAUUGCUUAUAUAUUUGAUAUGCAUUUUAAAGUACAAUCUAAUCUUCAUUCUGAUCUAAUUUUGAUUCUGGAUUUUGAAGAAUUUUGAUCAUUCUUGAUGUGACAUAAGUGAAGUUGCUUAUAGUGUUAGAUUUGUGUUUUGAUGAUGUUUAUUAGCUAGAUUCAUUUGAUGAUGUUUAAAUAAGUUUUAGUUAUAAAGCAUAGAACAUGUUAAAGCACCCAACAAUCCUUGUCUCAUUGUGUCAUAUGUGUUUUGUAUAUCAAAUGUGUCUUUGUGUGUGAAAACCUUCAUUUUUGAGUGGCAAAAACUUUUUUCCAGGUCCUUGAUUCGAUUCAAAAUAUUUUGAAUCGAAUCAAUCAUUAUCUAUGCCACUGUUUCUUGUUAGUCAUGUAAGUUUGAUUCGAUUCAUGAUUCUUUGAAUCAUAUCAUUGACUUUCUCUUGUCUUGUGUUUUGGCUUAUUGAAUCAUAUUAUAGUUCUUUGAUUCGUAUCAACCUUCAUCAGAGUUUUUCUGAUUCAAUUCACAUAAUGCUUGAUUCAACCUUUAUAGCUACUUAUAUGUCCAUUUACACAUAUCUGAAUCGAAUCACACAUUACCUUAUUCGAACCAUUACGUUGUUUUUGCCUAAAAUAUUGCAUUUACCACACAUACCACUCCCAAAUUAUUAAAUCAAUUGCAACUAUCAUUCUUGAGUCUUCAAAUCUCUCUCUCUCUCUCUCUCUCUCUCUCUCUCCACUUGUUCUUCAUAUUAAACACUUUUUCUAAGAAUCUUUGUGGUUUUUGAGUCAUAGAUUGCUAGAGUUCUAUUGGGAUUGUAGAUUGGUUUCUUUCAAGGAAAUUGAUUGGAAAUCAAGGGUCCAAAGGAAAAAGAGUGAUUUCUUUCCACCUCCAAGGGAAUUGGGGGUUCUUUAUAAUCUUCUCAAGUUCAAAUGGAUCCAAGCUUCAGACAUAGCAAAGAAGAGUUCGAGGUGAAAAACUUCAAGGAUUGCAUGGGAGUUUGAGUUUCGGAGACUUGAAGAAUCACCAAUUUGAAGAGUUACUUGAAGAUUGGGGGGUUGUCGUUGCUUAGGAUUAAAGAUUAGGGUUAUCGAGGGAAUUCUUUGUAAUCAUAACAAUUGUAAUCAAAUUUCAACAAUAAUGCAUGUCCUUGAUAGAGACAUAUUCUAUCGAGAACCCUAAUCUUUAAUCCCUUUCCUCUUUCCUCUUUGAUUAUGGUGUUAUUCUCUUCCCUUUCCUAUUUGAUUUUGCUUUAUUAUUUGUAAAUGAAUUUUAAUGUUUGUAGCUAUUUUAUUUGAUUGUGAUUAAUUUUCAUACUUAACCCAAUCUUAAUUCAAGAUUCUUUUCAAAUUCAAUUUUAUCAAAAUUAAACUUCUAUUAAGUUUCGAAUCAUUAAUUCAUAUAUUUUGUGUUCCUUAGUGUUAGUUUGGUUUAUUGCAUUUAGGUUUGGUUUAUGAAUUGUGUUAUUGAUGAUUGAUAUUUGAUGUGCUUAUUAAUAUUCAACAUUUGAACCUCUCAAUUCAAUAUUGAAUCUUAGUGUUUUAUUCAUUGUCUUAAUUUUUGUUAUCGUCGUUAUUGUGCGCGAAUCCGAAAAUUCAUACGUUUUCUAAUCACGCUUUCGCUAAACUCUUCUGAAAUUUGAAAAAUACUAUUCAUCCCCCCAAUUUGACUUUAAAUCUGAAGUUUUUUCGACAUGCUUCUAAUCUCAAUCUGAAGUACUUUUGAUCAAUCUAGAGUUCUUCUUAAUACAUUGUAAUAUUUAGAUUCAUGUUUCUUGAAUAAAUUUUGAUUUCCCACUUGUAAUAUCAUGUUAUAAAGAACAAUCAAAGAAACUUCUUAGAAAGCAAAACACAUCAAAAUUAUAAUUGAUCUGUGUUCUCAUAUGUUUGUUAUCAUUAAAACAUGUUCUAAAAAUGGAUUUUGUUAUUUUCCUCAACAAUCUUCCACUUUUUGAUUAUGACAAGCUUCUUGAAUUAAGGAUCAUAUUUUUUAGAUUCUGAUGUUUAAUCAAUGCAUUGAUAUGAGAUAAAUGACCUUUAAACUUAUUCCAUAAUCAUAAUUGAGAAUUUUAAUAAACAAAAACUCCCCCUCAUGAUUAGAAAUAAAAUUAUGCAAUAAUUAAAAUUGAACCAUAAUUGUACUUUAUUAUUUAUAGUCCAAAUAUUACAAAAUAGCAUUCAUGAUGCAGAUACAUGGUUAAAAAAAUAGUUGAUCUUAACAACGAUGAUAGCAAACAUCAUUUUUUACUAGCCAAAAUAAGAUCAUAAUAGGACUAUAAUGCCAAGUUUUUUUUCAUUCAUAACCAAAAAAUUGAUCCUUUUCUUCUCCCUCUUUUUUCAUUAGCAAAAGGGUACAUACAAGUAGCAAGCCACUACUUGGUAAGGGAGGAAUCAUUUGAAUAUAGAGCUUGACUAGAAGUAGAACAAUUGAUGUUGUAGAGUAGCAUUGGGAGUAAUUCAGUUGAAACCAAAGCUUUCCACCCAAAGUCUUUUUUGAGAACUCUCAACAAAAUUUGUUAAAUCAUUUCCUUCCAAACAAGAAGCUUUUUAAUGUCCAUUCUUGUCUUUCUUGAAUUGUCUUAUAAGAGGUUGCAUCAUCUUUUUCUUUUGAACCCCCUUGCUCAUUGAUGACAAUAUCAACCGAGUCAAGUUGUUGAGGAAACAUUGGUAGACCACAAUUACUAGGCUUUGGAGGGUUUGGUUUUUGGUGGUGAUGGCUUUGUUGGUUCAUUCAAAUCAUUUGUGUCCAAAUGCUUUGAUGGUUGCAUCAAACAUUGGUAACUUAGGUAUUGUACCGACUCUUGAUCGGAUUCUAGAUGAUCUCUUUAAGGAAGUAUAACUUGAUUGUUUUGAAGCUUUGGCUAUUUAGUUCUUGGUUAUAUGGGAGCGGAAGCUUUAGUUGAUGGUGGUUCAUGGCCAAUCAUUAGAAUGAAUCUGAGAUGGUGAUGGUUGAGGUUGAGAGCCAGACUAAGUUUUAGUGCAUAAAAUUGACUUUCUCCACUAGUUCUCUUUAUUUCAAAUUCAUCCUCAACAUAAUCGGCAUCACAAUAUUCUACAAGAUCAAAAGAACAACCCUUGAUAUACCAAAGACCAAGAUCAGUAGUAUCUACCAAAUAUAUGAAAAUCCUUAUACAACAAUAUGUAGAUAUUAUUUGGACAAGAUUAAAAUCUAGCACAUAACCUUACUACAAAGACUAUAUAUGGUCUACUUGCAAUGAUUCAAUCAUACCUCAAAAUUCAUUUUUUGAAACAGAUUUUUCAUUCACAUCUUUGUCUAAACUAGAUGAUGGGUGCAUAGGAGUCAUGAUCUCAACUUCAUUCAUUUUGAACUUCUUAAAAAUAUCUUUGACAUAUUUUUCUUAACAGAUGAAAAUACCAUUAAAAUGUUGUUUGAUUUGCAAGCUAAGAAAAACAUGAGUUGUUCCAUCAUGUUCAUCUCAAAUUCACUUUGUAUAAGGUUAAAAAAUUCCUUACACAUGUUUACAUUAAUUAAACCAAAAAUGAUAUCUUCAAUAUAAACUUGUACCAUCAACAUAUCAGAUUGAUUGAUUUUUUUUUUCUUUUUUCUUUUAAAAAGAGUGGUAUCAAUAUUUCUUCUUGCAAAACACUUUUCUUUAAGAAAAAGGUCCCAAUCUCUCCAACCAAACUCUUGGAACUUGUUUAUGACUAUGUAGAGAUUUUGUAAGUUUAAAAACAUGAUUUGAUUUUUCUUUGUUGAUGAACAUUGACUUCUUCAUUCAUAAAACCAUUUAGAAAGUCACUUUUAACAUCCAUUUUGCACUUAUGAGUUGUAAAUGUAAGUAAGAUUAUGAUAGAUAUAAACCUUAUUAUUGGUGCAAAAGUCUCAUCAUAACCAAUACUCCCUUCGUCUCAAAUUGUAUGACGUUUUGGGUAUUUCACACAUUAAGAAAUGUAAUUAAUAUUCUGUGGAAAAGAGAUAUUAUGAGUUGUUUUACAAAAUUAUCUUGAUAAAUAAUAUGAGAAAAAUAAAUGAAAGAAUUGAAAGAAGAGAGAGUAAUAAAUAGUUAGGGUUAUAAUAGGAAAAACAACAUUAAUAUUGUAUUAGUAUUAUAAAGCAACAUAUAAUUUGAGACAACUUUUCUCCUAAAACGACAUACAAUUUUAGAACAAGCUUGUUUCUGAAUACUCUAUUCCAAUAAUUUUUUUGACUGUGAGACUUAAAGACAAGAUUCCAAACUUUAUUUUUUUUCAAAUUCUUCAUGGUUUAAAGAAUUUUUGGGAUUGUUUUCUACUCAUAUUUCUUACAUGCUCUUAACCUUAUUGGUAAUACCGAUAUUUAUUUUCGUUGUUAUGCAGUUGAGAUCCUAUCAAUCCGAGAUGUUUUAAAGCUUGAUUGGACCUUGCAAUUAAUUCACAGUUCACACCUCAAGCGAAGAUAAUCAAGAUGUUGAUCUUAUAAUGACGAUAAGUUCUACCUUUGACAUGAACCUCCUCCUGAUCUCCCUUCCAUUGGAAUAGUUUAAUUAAGAAAGUGUAGAUUUUCUUGGUUUUCUUUGUUUUUUUCUUCCAUCUUUGUACCCAAAAAAUAUCUAACUUCCAAAGGAAACGUGAAUCAAUGUAUGGCUAAAGUCACACAUUAAAAAAAAUAUAUAUAUAAAUAAAAUAUAAUAUGUUAAAAAUAAGAGCAAUAAGUCAACUCUUACAAUGUGUUUCUUGUUUGAGUCCUGCAAUGUUAUUUACUGCUUUUGAUGUGAUUAAUUAUUGAGAAUGACUGAGUUUUAUCCAAAUAAUUUUAUAGAUGUGCUGAAGCGGCGUUACACCAUCAAUAAAAUCAUUUGAAUAAAACAUUUUUAUGAUUUAUAAGCUUUUAAAGUUGAUUUUGCUCUUGCCGGUAGCAACUUCAAGUGUUGAACAUGUUUUUUCAACAUUGAAAAUUGUUGUGAAGAGUAAUUAUGUAACAAAAUAGGUGAUCAAUGUAACUUAUAUAGAAAGAAUUGUUCUUUUAGCAAUUAACUUAUAUAGAAAACAAUUUUCAUUGUAAUAAUGUUUUUUUUUAGGGAAUGUAUUAUAUCAAAUAAUAUUAUUUCCUAUUUUAAACAUUUUAAUUUCACAUAUAUCAAAUGCUCCCUUAAAACUGAUGUAGCUUUUUUUUUUUUUUAAGGAGAAGAAAACGUGAUGUUAUUCGAUUAUUUUGUUAUAUUCUGGACUCUUUAAUUUAUAUUUUUUUCGUCUCAAUCAUUUAUGAUUGUUAGCCCCAAAGGGUUGUUGGGUCAGCGCACUAUAUGGUCAUCAUAGCUGGAUCAUACCUUUAUUAAAGUUAUUUAUUGAAAAAAGAUAUUUUGUUUUUUAAUCUAAUAGCGAAAUGAUAAUAGUUAAUUCAAUUUUGCACAUAAAUAAAGUAUUUUUUUGAAAGAAGCACAUAAAUAAAGGUUGUUUUUUUUAGGAAACAUAAAUAAAGGUUGUACGGUUUAAAUUCUUGUCACAGUCUAACAAUUUUGAUCUUUUUAUAAGUUCAACGAUUUAUAGACACUGACGAGAGCUUUAUUAAAGUUAAAAUAAAGUGAGUUGCGAUAUAUUGUCAUAUUUAUCAACAACCCUGAUUAAAUGUAAUUAAUCACUUAUUUGAAUUAUAUUAACCAUCAAUUUUAUUGUCAAAAUAACAGAAAUGGUGUCACAAGAGAGUAGAAACAAAAACGAGUAGACCACAUGACAAAUAAGUUUCACAAAACUCUGUCAUAUACAUUACUCUUUGAUCAAUACACAAUGACAAUACAGACAAAAUAUAUGUAAAUUUUGAAUUGUGUAAUAUUUAAUUAGCAAUAUGUAUAUGUACAACAUGGUUGUGGAGAGCCAGAUAGGAGCAAAUAUUUUCAUAUUUUAUAUGUUGCUGUCCUUUUUAAAUUAAUAAAAUCCUCGUUAAGAUGUCAUGUGUGAUUUGUUGAGUUAACAAAAAGCAAUAGAAACUUUAUGGUAUACACUAUACUCAAAUUGCUAUGUUUCGUACCAACUUUAUAAUUAGUACUAAUACAGUUAUGAAUAAAGAAAUGGACUAAACAACAAAGACUUUGAGUUAAAGACAGAGGGACAAGGUAGAGAGAGAUUGAGACAGAAGGUGGAGAUUUGUUCAUACUAUGAUUCUCUCUUUAUCAAAAUUUCACAUGGCAAAAUCCUAGAUCAUGAAAAUGUGUUCUGUGCUGUAAUUCAUUACUUUUCAUUCAUAUUCCAGUCUCUUCACCUCCUUCUCCACGUUUCUAUAAUAAUUAUUCAUCAAUGAGUGUAUACAUAAAUACACUUUAUCUUACUAUCUAUGAAUGAUUCAUUCAAUGAGCAUUAUUAUUUUUACUAUAUAGUUGAUCAUAGAAGAAGGGUCAUUCACAUUAUUUGAUUUGAUUAGUACUUAAUUAUAUGGGAAGUUAUAGAGUCUGCGUGUGUUUCCGGCGGAGGUUUAAGUCCGGGGAGGCAGUGGCGCCUCAGGAAGUCAGGGAGAUCUUCAACAAGUAUGCUGAAGGUGGGGCCCACAUGACUCCGGAACAGCUCCGGAGGUUUCUUGUGGAGGUUCAAGGUGAGGUUGAUGAUGAGAAGGAUGGACUUGAUACACAGAAGGUGGUGGAGGAAGUGUUGCAGAAGCGGCAUCAUAUUACGAAGUUUGCAAGACAUAAUCUCACGCUUGAAGAUUUUCAUCAUUAUCUAUUCUCUACUGAAUUCAACCCUCCUAUUAGAUCUAAGGUAAUGCAUUUGACUUGUUUUUGUCAUGUUGUUUUGAUUCAACGGUUUGACUUUUGGUCAAACAUCAUAUGUUUAUGUUCUGUUUCAAUUUGUUGGAUUAAUUGGAUCUAGUUAAGGUGGAUUUUAGAGGAAAUAAGUGUCUCAUAUUUGGCAUUUUUUAAUGUUAGUUUCAUGUUCUUCCUUGAUUGUGAUAAUUUGAACUUGCUAGUAGUAGUGAUGUUAAUUGUAAACCUCUUCUCUGAUUCAGGUUCAUCAGGAUAUGACAGCUCCAUUGUCGCAUUAUUUUAUAUAUACUGGCCAUAACUCUUAUCUCACUGGAAAUCAACUCAGCAGUGAUUGUAGUGAUAUCCCCAUUAUAAAGGCAUUGCAUAGAGGUGUGAGAGUGGUUGAGCUUGAUAUUUGGCCUAAUUCCACCAAAGAUGAUGUUCUUGUGCUACAUGGAAGGUAAUUAUAUUUUUCGUGGAUAAUGUUUGCACUGACACUUCUAAUUGAAGGAGUGUCCCGGUGUCCGACAUGUGUCAUGUCCGACACUAACACCACACCGAUACUUGUGAUUACAUUGAAUUAUGUCAUUUUCUCAAAAUUUUAUCAGUGUCGACAUUUCCGUGUCAUUGUCGUGUCUGGUGUCUGGUGUCCGUGUUAGUGUCCGUGCUUCAUCCUGAUCAACACAGCAAAAAAUGGUUUAAUUUCUAUUUCCCUUUUCAAUGCAGCUAUAUGAGCAUAAAAAAUCACUACUUAUUUGGAAUGUGUAUAGUGUUGUCUCCCUUUUAAUAAACUCUUAGUUUAUGAUUUUGAGAGUGGAAGUAUAAGUAACUGAUAGAACAAAAAUUUCAUAUUCUGCAAAUCUAUAUAAGCUUGAUGAAUGAGCUAUCAGAGUGUAAAUCACAAGAAUUUAUAUCUAUGCACCAAAAGGAUCUCUUCUGCUAAGGACUGUUCAUGAUUCGGUUCAUGAAGGAAGACUGAACCGGAAUGAACCUUUACAACAGUUUAGUAAAACUGAACUGAACCAUCAAUGAUAUAAAUCAGUUUGUUAAACCGAACUGUUUCUUUGUGAACCUUGCACCUUUUCGAACUGGACAAGCUAAAGGCACACACCGUGCGCAUUAACUGAUUUUGGAAUUUUAACAAGAACCAAAAACCGAACUAUUAAACCAAACUGCACCGCACCGAGAAAACUGAAUUUUGAUCGACAGUUCAUGAAUUGAACUGAACUGAGUAAUAAAAACACCAGUUCAGUUCUUGAACUGUCCGUCAUAAUUUGCUUCUUUUCAGUUCGGAUCGGUUUAACGGUUUAGUUUUUUGUUUUUUUUAACAGUCCUAUUGUGCUGGUAAUCUUUUUCUUUGACUUAUAAUUUUUUGCUGGUAGUUCAUGCUAAAUACCUAACUUUUGCAUAUAUUCUACUUGUGUUGACCUGUGAAUGUAGGACAUUGACCACACCUGUUGAUUUGAUCAAAUGUUUGAAAUCCAUUAAGGAACACGCGUUCUCGGCAUCUCCGUACCCAGUUGUAAUAACUCUGGAAGAUCAUCUUACCUCAGACCUUCAAGCAAAAGCUGCUCAGGUAAUUUCUUAUAGGUUUAACCAUGCUUUCAAUUUCUGUAAUUAUCUCGAAUUUUAUUUUAAGUUUCUGUAUCCUCUUUGAGGACUAAAGGCAUGCAGUUUUAUAACUUGUAGAGACAUAAAAGUGGAUACAGCGACUAAAAAUAAAAAGUGUAAAUUUUAUAGGGGACUAAAAACAUGUUUAAUUGUUUGUUAUAUCUGAAAGGAGUAAAUCACUCGGGUUCACAAUUUUUUUGGAAUUAAUCAUCAUUCUCUUUCGACGUUAUUAGAUGAUUACUCAAACAUUUGGAGAUAUGCUGUUCUGUCCAAAUGAUGAAAAUUUAAACAAUAUUCCAUCACCUGAAGAAUUGAAGUAUAGGAUCAUGAUAUCAACAAAACCUCCAAAAGAGUACUUAAAUUCCAAAAGUGUUAGGGAGAAUUCUGAACAAUUGCUGAAAUCAAAAUCAAAGGAUUCUGAUGAAGACGAAUGGGGAAAGGAAGUCACUGAUGUUGUACAUGCACAAAAUGAAGACGACAAGGUGAGAUAAACUAAGAAUUUCACUUUAUAGAAGCCUCUAUUUUCACAAGAUAAUGACAUAUUCGUUUAUGCUGUUUUUGUAUAAGUUAUAAACUGUUCUCGUAAGCUAUCCUGAACAUGCUAUAAGAUGUUUCCAAAAUCUCUUUCAAACAGUCUUACAAAGAGUUCAUGUUAGCAGAUAAGUUCAAAUAAGCCAAUUCUAACAGUCUUGUUUUUUUCUUUCUAUUUUCUUACAGGGUGACUGUGACUCACAUCAACAGAAUGAUGAUGAUGAUGAAUCAAAUGAUGAUGAAUAUGAAACAAAUCACGAGAGUGAGUAUAAGCGUCUAAUCGCUAUUCAUGCUGGAAAACCUAAGGGUAGUUUGAAGGAAGCCUUAAAAGUUGAAGAAGAUAAAGUGAGACGCCUUAGCUUAAGUGAACAAGCUCUUGAGAAGGCUGCUGAGUCGCUCGGAACUGAUCUUAUUAGGUAGCAUCUGAUUUCAUAUCAAAUAUCAUUUAUACGAUUAUUAAUUACCACUAGUGACCAUUUUACAGUUGUUAUCGAGAGAAUUUAAAUUAAGUGUACCUUGAGGUUACAAAGUCAUCAGCGUUAUAAUAGAUCAUGUAGCUUACCACUAAGCUGAUUAUAACUAAUUUCCUAGCUUAAGUUUACAAGUGAUUUACUACUCUUCCACUUUUCCUUAAACUCUUCUACAUUCUAAUUCUAAUUGUAAUGCUUUCUAUUUUGUAUGAUAGGUUCACCCAGAAAAACUUUUUGAGGAUAUAUCCGAAGGGUACACGUGUCACCUCGUCGAACUACAAGCCACUGAUUGGCUGGAUGCAUGGUGCUCAAAUGGUUGCAUUCAAUAUGCAAGGAUAUGGCAGAAAUCUUUGGUUGAUGCAUGGAAUGUUUAGAUCCAAUGGGGAAUGUGGUUAUGUGAAAAAACCAGACUUUCUAAUGAAUGUAGGUCCAAAUAAUGAGGUAUUCAAUCCUAAAGAUAAGUUGGAAGUGAAGAAGACGCUUAAGGUGAGGACUGAGGAUAUUAUCAAAAUGAAAAAGUUAGCAAAAUGAACAUUUUUCUUGCACUGUGUUUAAUUUAUUCUCACUGGAUAGGUUAAAAUAUAUGUGGGAGAUGGAUGGAGUAUGGAUUUCAAACAAACUCACUUUGACUCAUAUUCUCCACCAGAUUUUUAUGCCAGGGUAAGUUUUUUCUAUUUAUUUAUAAUUAUGCUUUGAUUUACAAUAUAACUGCUUAAUUCUUUAUGCACUAAUAGUACUUAUGUAAUCUUUAAUCUUUCACCACUUGAAGCUUAAAUAACUUUAAGGAUAUUAUUUCUCUUUAAUGAAAGUUGUGAGAAUUAAUACUAUGAUUCUUUCUAGAGUACAUUUGUUAAGGUCUAUUUACAAGUUAUUUGGUCUUGUCUAAUGACAUACAUACUUGUGUAAAGUGAGGUUAUCAAAUUGAGUUUAAAUCAUGAACCAGAAAACCUAUACAUAGGGAUUCAUUUGAAAGAAUCAGGGCUCAUCACUGUGAGUCGGGAUUCAUCAUAACGAAUCGGGAUUUAAAAUGAGAUUCAUAUCAAAAUUAGAUACAUACCAGAGACUCAUAUGAAUUGAGUUAAGUUUUGUAUCAAAUUGAGAUAUGACUUGCAUGUAUCAUAAGAUACUAAUAACCAUUUUUGCAAGAGCGUGCGCAUAAGCUGUUUACAGCACAUAUGAUAAUCUUGAAGGAUAACUUACAUGAAACGACUCACAAUUUAUAUGAAAACAGUUUAACCACGUUCUUUCGACGAUUACAGAAAUAGCUUAUUCAUAAGUGUUUAUAUCAUAUAUGAUAAUCACUUAUUCAAUAUGCGUUUAAUUAAGUCGUUUACCAAAACAAACCAUCGGUACUUCUUGCAUGAGCUUACAUGUGAAUUUGUGAGGCAGGUUGGCAUAGCUGGAGUGCCGGCUGAUGUAACAAUGAAGAAAACAAAGACAAUAGAGGAUAACUGGAUACCUACUUGGGAAGAAGAAUUCACCUUCCCUUUAACUGUGCCUGAACUUGCUUUGCUUAGAGUGGAAGUACAUGAAUAUGACAUGUCUGAGACAGAUGAUUUUGCUGGCCAAACUUGUUUACCAAUCACUGAACUAAAACAAGGGAUCCGCGCCGUUCCACUUUACGAUCGAAAAGGAGAGAAAUACAACUCAGUUAGGCUUCUUAUGAAAUUUGAUUUUAUUUAAGCUGUUCUUCUCUACUUGGGAGUAUAUUUAUUUUAUAUUAUGAUGAAGAAUGUUGAAACUUGUUUUCCAUGUCACACUUGAUUCAUGUGGAUUUGGCCUAACCAUGUAAGUAAAUAAUAUUAAAAAUUAAAAAUAGUAAUAGGAUUUUAUGUUGCAACUCAUGCUUCAUUAUGGCAGCGUUUACCUCUAUUGAAGUUUGAGUGGUUUUGGAGUUAUAAUUCUCUUUUGUUUUCUGCAUUGUAAAGCUAUAAUUCUGUUAUGUUACCAACUUAUUAGCAACAAAAUAACCCGCUCAUUUGAUCCUUGUAUAUGUAUUCCUCUGAUAGACCAAAAUGAAUAAGUUAAAUUAAGUAAACAUAAAAUUCUUAAUGAAUGAACAAUGGUACUCAAAUCAUAAAAGAAAGACCAUAAAAGAGAGCAAUGAUACUCAAAUCAUUAUAAAAAAAAAUACCAUAAAAGAGAGCGCAGGAUUGUUGCAAACUUGCUAUAAUCCUGUUCAAUAAAAUUAAUUUUAUUAUAUUUUGAUUGUUCUAACAUUUGAAUGUCUACAUAUAUAAUCACACACGUUUUUUUUCUUCCUGUGUAACCACUAAAUUUAUGGAUAUUGGGACUAAGGCUAUGUUUGGAUUGAUGGAGAGUGGUGGAAUGGGAUGGAAUAGAGUCAGAUUCCAUUGUUUGGUUUUGCAAAAUUGUAAUGGAAUGGAAUGGAAUGUGAUGGAACUCAUUCCAUCCAAUACCACUCAUUCAUCCAAUUUUCCAUUCCUCCCAAAUUGGGGUGUAUCCAAUGGAAUGGAACACAUUAAUAACUCAAUUACAUUUUUAUCCCUACUAUUUCUAUUUCAUUAGCCACUCCUCAUUCCAUGUUUCUUUUUUCCAUUGAUUGUUUCUUGUUUAUAAAUCUCUUUCUUCUUCAUUCAUAUUAAAGUGUCACGAAAAUUGACUAUAGUAGUUACAAAUGGAAAAACACAUAGGUUUCUUAUUUAUAAACCUCUUUGAGAUCGAUUUUGAAUUAUAUCUAAAAACUAUUGAUAUUGAAUUAUAUAUAAAAAUACGAUGAAUAGUAAUUUGCAACUAAUGUAACCUACAUAGGCUAGAAAAUAGAUGAAUUUUAACGUGUAACCUAUAUUAUUAUUGUUUUAUUUAACCUGACAAAUGGAAAUACUGUAGUUGCAAAUUAUGCCAGAACCGAAAUUUAAAAAUGUUUUGUUCAUAUCUUAAUUUGUGGUUAUACUUGUGUUUAUUCCUUUACUUGUUUAUUUUGUGCUAUUUAUGAAUAAUGUCAAAAUAACUACGUAUUGAUUGAAUUGAGUUGAGAAUUCAACAUAGUGAUGUUUUUAAGUAAAGGGUAAAAAUGAAAUAAAAAAGUUAUAAAUCAUUCCGUUCCAUUCACUUUCCAAACAAUGGAGUGGAAAAUUAGUUCAAUUCCGUAGUAAAAUAUCCAAACAAUAGGAUGGAACCUUUGUUCCGCUCCGUUCCACUCCGCUCCAUUCCGUUCCGCUCCGUUAGUUUCAUGUUAUCCAAACAGAGCCUAAAGAAAGCAAGGUAGAGAGAUGGAAGAGAAAUGAUAGGGUCACACCUACUAACACACUCUUUUAAAGUUUUAACACACCCAACAAGAAUUAGUCAUGUGUCCCACUUUUUUAAUUCAAUUAACUUGAAAUCUGUUCAACCAGUUUUUAAACAUUUGUUUUUUAUUUUUUUAAUAUUUUAGUACAACAGUUGGAGAGAGAAAGAGAAGAAAAAAACGAAGAGAGAGAAGAGUGUUGAAAAAUAAUCUGGGUCUUCAAUUUCGAUCUUCAAGCUUGAAAGCUUAAGAACCUAAAAUUUAAAGAGUCACACGUGUCUCUCUCUUGUUCCAGUUUCCCCAGCUAUGUCACCUUUCUCUCUUCUAUCUUAAAUGGUUUUGUUCAUCGUCCAUCCACUACGAGCGUCAUCAUUUACCUGGCGUUUUGAUUAUGUGAUUUGGAGAAAAUUCAUGCAAGUAAUUUUUAACUAAUGGAGUAAAAUAUGUCAUCCCUGGAUAAGUACUUAUAAAAAACCAUUAAAAUAACGAAAGCAAUGGAUCUCUUGUAACUCCAUUUUACUCUUUUAAAAGUGUCACAUAUGCAUAAUGCUUGUAUAUAGUUAACCCAAUUUUAGUUUAUAUAGAGAGAUAGAUAGAUAAAUAUAGAAGAUAGGUAGAUAGAUAUUGAUAGAUUCACAUAGUCAUAUGCACUAUAAAUCUAUAUAAUAUUUUAACUAAUAAAUGAUAAUAUAUACUCCCUCCGUUCUAAUUUAUAAGCAAAAAAACAUUAAUUCACACUUAUUAAGAAAACUAACAUUUAGUAAUUUGAGGUAUAAUUUUUUCGUGUUCUCCUUGAAAUAAGUUUCAUGGAAAGAAGUAAAAAUAAUUCUCAUUGGCUAAAAAUUAUGGAGAAAAUAAAAAGGAGAAUAAAUUGAAUGCAAUUUGUAUUUAAUUUUACAUUGGAAAAGAUGAUUUGUUUGAAAAAACAUAAUAAUGACAUAAAAGUUGGUCUUUUUUACUUAUAUUUUGAGACAAAGAAUACGAGAUUUUUUUGCUUAUAUUUUAAGACGGAGGGAGUAUGUUUUUAGAUAAAUGUUAGUGUUUAGUAUAUUGUUGGAGGGGAAGGGGUAAUAUUAUCAGCAGGGAUCAAAUCUUAACCUCUUCUUAAUCUCCAAUUUUCCAACCCUUUGACCACACAAUCAAUGAUUAAUGCAAAACAAUUAGUUGUUGGUUAACGCAUAAACAUAUAUUGCAUUAACCAAAGGAAGAAAUUUUUUAAAGUAGGAGAAUGGUAUUGGUUUAUAUUGUAAAUUUUUUAAAAAUAUAUAUAUUUAUAAUAAUUAAUAUGUUUUUUAUUUACUUUUUCAACAAAAUAAUGAUAGUAGCACUUUUUUAUACAUAUUUUAGAGAAAAUCUAUUUUUUUUCUCUCAUAUUUUAUCAUGUGUUUUUCAAUAUCUUGAUUAAGACGUAACACUUUCAAAGGUAGAAGAUCAACCAUUAGUGUUAAAAUGAGAGUAUAAGUUGAAAAUGGCAAGGAAGUAGAUACCCUCAUUUAUAUAUUAUUGGAAUUAGAAUAAGAACCAUUAGAGAAAAGGAGAAAAAGAAUGGACAACAAAAGCUAUGAGAAUGUCUUUACCUAUUCAUUUUGUUCUCCUGCUAUUAAUACAAUUUUUUUUUUGAAACAAAAAUGAAUGUGGCUUUCCCUAAAAAAAAAUCAGCUUGAGCUUAUUUUUUAAAGAAUAAUUAAAAAACUCAAGCUUAUUUAAAACAUUUGUUGAUAAAGUUUAUUUUUUGGUAAAAUAAUUCAUAAUUUCCUUUAAAAAGAUAGGUAUUCUUUGACCAAAAAAAAAAAAUAGGUAUCCUCUAGUGUGAAGAGAGUUAUUUUAAGGGAUAGACAAAACCCAACUCUUAAAUUUUCCUCAAAACUUUCUUACUUUUUGAACAUGAGAAAUCAUGGUUUUGCUUCCUAACAUUAACAAAUUUAAUUACAAUAUAUUUUCUACAAAGAAGAAAUAAACAUGCAGGUGGUAAAAAAAAAGUAUAGAAAAUGUUCCACUUAUCUUGUUGACAUUGCCGCAUAACUUGAAUCUCCAAUUUAUGACCUGAGAUAAAGAUUUUGUAAUUGUAAAAAAAGUGUGAAACUUUCUUAGUCCUUGAAGUGCCACAUCAUCAUAAUUCUAGCUUAAUAUAGUUCCAUAUUUUGUCUACAAAGAUGUUAAUCUAGAGAUGCCACAUCAUCAAGUUUGCUUUUUAUAUAGAAGAUAUAGAUAGAUAGUUAUCCGUAGUAGUUUUAUGAAGUUAUUAGUAGUUAUAAAAAGAUAGUUACAUAUUGGUGUGUUAUAUUAAGAUAGUUACUUAUCUCUUGUGAGGAAAACCUUGAUGAGGCUGACUACAUUUUUCCUUCAGAAUCUCACGUCGCAGCUUUAAGGUUUGCGACGCGAGACGAUUCUUUGCAUUUUUUCUCUUGCCUUUUAUGUUUUUCGGAUAUUUUCUUGUCCUUGCAUUUCAUGACUUUUUAUUAUGAAUUCUCACAUUCACAACACUGUAUCACAAAAGAACUGACUCGAUCACUCAAAAAACAUAAUUUAAAAUUUGGAUGAGGUUAAGAAAUUGAUGUCAGCAUGCGAAGUGAGCUUUUGUUGGAACUGUUUUUAACUGCUUAGCUAUGUUUUUUUGUUACAAUGACACAACGCAAUCAUUGCAUAUAUAGCUUUAUGAUGCAUUAAAACAAUAAAGUUACAAAUGCAUCUUAUAUUCUUUUGCAGCCUGAUAAUAUUUACUAAUCAGUUUUGUAAGGUUGACUUAGAUUCGAUCUAAAUUAUACUUAUGUGUGUGGAUCAAUUUGGUUUAAGUUUUUUCACAACUAAUUGUAAAAAACUAAAAGUUGAAUCCGUCUUGCAAUAAUAAUGAGUAUUCUAAUUAAUAGUUUCAAGUAGGCUUAAAUAUGUAUUUCACUAGAUCGUCCAUCCGUGCUGCCGCACGGGUCAUAUACAUUGUAAGUAUUGUAGACAAAAACAAAAUUUUAUAAUACAGUCCCAACUUAUAAUUUUAAAUACAACUAUAGAAGGAAAUUGUAUAAUUGAUUCAAAAUAUUUUUAGUGACAUUGAGCAGCAAUCUAUAAUUUAAUAAAAGAAGAGGUUUUGCCAAAAGCACUGCACACAUCUCUUUUUCUCGUGAGUCAAUUACAUUGAAAAUUCAUAUAUUAUAUAUCACUAACAAAGAUACAAAAAUUAUGUUGAAAGGAAUUUGUAUAAUUCAUUCAAAAUAUGUUUAGUUAACUUUAAUAUAUAAGAAGAUGUAUCGAGAAGUUGAGAAGGGGGAAAAUUCAAUAAGGUUAAACAAAGGAAUUUAGAAUCAGGGUUAAAAUAGUAAAUUUAUACAAUAAGUUUAAGUUAAAAUUAGGGCUAAAAUAUGCUUCUGUGUUAGCCUUAAUAUAUAAGAAGAUAGAAGAAAAUUGUAUAAUUGAUUCAAAAUAUUUUUAGUGACAUUGAACAGCAAUCUAUAAUUUAAUAACAGAAAAGAAUUUGCCAAAAGCACUGCACACAUCUCUUUUUCUCGUGAGUCAAUUACAUUGAAAAUUCAUAUAUUAUAUAUCACUAACAAAGAUACAAAAAUUAUGUUGAAAGAAAUUUGUAUAAUUGAUUCAAAAUAUGUUUAGUUAACUUUAAUAUAUAAGAAGAUCUAUCGAGAAAUUGAGAAGGGGGAAAAUUCAAUAAGGUUAAACAAAGGAAUUUAGCAUCAUGGUUAAAAUAGUAAAUUUAUGCAAUAGGUUUAGGUUAAAAUUAGGGCUAAAAUAUGCUUAUGUGUUAACUUUAAUAUAUAAGAAGAUGUAUCGAGAAAUUGAGAAGGAGGAAAAUUCAAUAAGGUUAAACAAAGGAAUUUAGCAUCAGGGUUAAAAUAGUAAAUUUAUGCAAUAGGUUUAGGUUAAAAUUAGGGCUAAAAUAUGCUUCUGUGUUAACUUUAAUAUAUAACAAGAUGUAUCGAGAAAUUGAGAAGGAGGAAAAUUCAAUAAGGUUAAACAAAGGAAUUUAGCAUCAGGGUUAAAAUAGUAAAUUUAUGCAAUAGGUUUAGGUUAAAAUUAGGGCUAAAAUAUGCUUCUGUGUUAACUUUAAUAUAUAAGAAGAUAGUAAAUUUAUGCAAUAGGUUUAGGUUAAAAUUAGGGCUAAAAUAUGCUUCUGUGUUAACUUUAAUAUAUAAGAAGAUGUAUCGAGAAAUUGAGAAGGAGGAAAAUUCAAUAAGGUUAAACAAAGGAAUUUAGCAUCAAGGUUAAAAUAGUAAAUUUAUGCAAUAGGUUUAGGUUAAAAUUAGGGCUAAAAUAUGCUUCUGUGUUAACUUUAACUAGACCAUUGACCCGUGCUAACGCACGUGUCAUUUAAAAAAUUAAUACUCAUAGAAAAAAUAAGACACUGUAGGUCGCUUGAAUGUAAAAAUUGUCGUGAAUCAAAGCAAAAUGUCAAUUACCAUAGACUUUGUUAUUGUUCCAUAAUUCUAGUACGUAGUACCUGUUACUUUAACAUAACAUAUAAUUUUAAAAGGGAAACUGAAGUUCGUUGACAUGCAAAUAGUUUCAAUAAGUAAGAAAAUGAAUAGUACACAAAAAAGUCCUACACAUUACGGAAAACUUCUCUGUAGACCACACUUGAUGCAACAUCGGUAUCAUCACCGUCGUCAUCAUUAAUCAAUAUCUUUAAACCACCCCUCAAAGUAACCCGCGAUAUUGCGACGUACAACUGUCCAUGUGAAAAAUAACAAAGAUGAAUCCAAAACGACAUCUAAAAAUUUCAAUAAAGAGAUAGCUACCUCAGUUGACUCAGUCAUGCUUUCAAUUGUCAUUCGGUUAGUGUUGAGCAAGUCAUCUGAUAAAGACGCGGGGCUGUUCGUUGAAAUUUGGCUGACACUUCGGGUGAACUAUAUUGAUGCAUUUUUCAUUCUAAUAAAAGGGCACCAAUGUUAAUAGAAGAGUGGUGAGACCUCCAGACAACUUAAUUACAACCAAAAAAACUUGCCUUUAUUCUAAAGCAUAUAAAAAUGUAAAUGGUUACCAUGUCAUGUACGCAGCGACAUCAGGCAAAUCGCCAUUAAGUAUCAGCUUAGUCCCAUUAAAGGCAUUAGCAACUCCCAUAGCACCUAAUUUUUUUAAAAAUCAACAGCAAGUGAACAUAAUUUCACAUUUCAUUGUUGAUAUCAGCAGAAAGCACAAACUUAAAACACGACAUACCUAACUACAUGUGUGUCUUGCAAAACUGCAAUAUUAAUACAGUAGGUGUGUCGUUAUCAUGGUUGCCAAAAAAGGUCACAAUUUUGUCAACAUGUUCACCCCAAAGAGAGCAAUGCAAGCGGUUGUUUCUGUAAUAAAAUAUUACCAAAAUAUCAAUUCAGGAACAUAAGGUAUAUUAAAAUUAUAUUACAACCAGGUACAAAGAAAGAGACAAAUCUUACUCAAGAUCUUCUAAAGUGAGAUCAGUAACCCUACUUUUCCUUCCGUCCUUUUCAGUUUCCCUUACAUCACCUCUUUCAAUUACAUGACCAAUAACAUCUGAAAUUACGUAUACAAAAGCAAAAACAAAUGUAUGAAAUUCCUAAACGAAUGCUUAUAGGUAGAAAUAAUGUACAACACACAUUCAGAAUUGAAGUCUUACCCGUAGAUACUUCCUCGACAGUUGAAGAGAGAAUUUCAUUGAAUGGCUUGAACUAAAAAACGUUCAUAGGGAUAGCAGGCGAGUGUACUUUGGUAAAAGUUGAAUUGUGCAUCAUACUAAGCUUAUGUUUGUGUGAAGUUACCUUAUAAGGACUUUCAUUAAAACCUACAAUUGCAUUUUCAAGCUGAAAUGUACCCCCUUCUUGAACCAUGGACCUGAACUUUGCCACCAAAUCUUUUCUACCUGUGGCGUGAAUACGUCCACCCUAUUGACGACAACAACAACAUUAAACAGCUGGUUAAAUUAGAUAACUAAAAAACAACAAUGACAUUAGUUUAAUUUUAAAGCUAAGAGUGCAAACAUGUAGAAACCUUUUCAUCAACCAAAUGUGAGCAACUCGCACACACAUCUUGAGAUUCUUUCUUCCUCCAGAAACAGCUGAGAUUGGAGUGUAUUUGGAAGACAUCAUUAGCUUGUUUUUUCCUUUCCAAGAAAGAGGAUGCUUAUUUAGAUUGAGAUGGUUUGGCUAAUAUGUUAUGAUAUAUUUAUAGGAAAAAGGUGGAAUACGUGUGAGUAGGAUAUGUCGGUUGAGCAAUAAAGAGUAUUAGUUAUCAGGAUAAGCACAAAAUAGUGGAACAAAAUUAGGAAAUGGCCAACAUUUUAGGAUAAAGAUUAAUAUGAAUAAAAUGAAAUUAAUAUUGUUGAUGGGGCACUUUAUUUUACUUAAGAAUUGACAUUUUUUUGUACUUAAGAAUUACCAUAGUUGAUUCGCCAAAACAUAUUUUAGAGAUGUGGAUGAAAUGUGUAGUAGUUACUUGAAUGAGAGGAAUUAGGAUUUUUAGUUUGUUUCCACCCAAAACAUAUUUUAGAGAUGUGGAUGAAAUCCCCUACUUAUUUGAAUGAGAGAAAUAAGGAUUUUAGUUUGUUUCCACCAAAAAGUUACUUUAGAGAUGUGGAUGAAAUCUCUUAGUUACUUGAAUGAGAAGAAUUAGGAUUUUUAGUUUGUUUCCACCGAAAACAUAUUUUAGAGAUGUGGAUGAAAUCCCCUACUUAUUUGAAUGAGAGAAAUUAGGAUUUUAGUUUGUUUCCACCAAAAAGUUAGAUUAAAGAUGUGGAUGAAAUCUCUUAGUUACUUGAAUGAGAGAAAUAAGGAUUAGGAUUUAAGUUUGUUUCCACCCAAAACAUAUUUUAGAGAUGUGGAUGAAAUCUUUAGUAGUUACUUGAAUAAGAGGAAUUAUGAUUUUUAGUUUGUUUCCACCCAAAACAUAUUUUAGAGAUGUGGAUGAAAUCUUUAGUAGUUACUUGAAUGAGAGGAAUUAUGAUUUUUAAUUUGUUUCCACCCAAAACAUAUUUUAAAGAUGUGGAUAAAAUCCCCUGAUUAUUUGAAUGAGAGAAAUAAGGAUUUUAGUUUGUUUCCACCAAAAACUUAGUUAAGAGAUGUGAAUGAAAUCUCUUAGUUACUUGAAUGAGAGAAAUAAGGAUUAGGAUUUAAGUUUGUUUCCACCCAAAACAUAUUUUAGAGAUGUGGAUGAAAUCUUUAGUAGUUACUUGAAUGAGAGGAAUUAGGAAUUUUAGUUUGUUUCCACCCAAAACAUAUUUUAGAGAUGUGGAUGAAAUCUUUAGUAGUUACUUGAAUGAGAGGAAUUAUGAUUUUUAGUUUGUUUCCACCCAAAACAUAUUUUAAAGAUGUGGAUGAAAUCUCCUGAUUAUUUAAAUGAGAGAAAUAAGGAUUUUAGUUUGUUUCCACCAAAAACUUAGUUAAGAGAUGUGAAUGAAAUCUCUUAGUUACUUGAAUGAGAGAAAUUAGGAUUAGGAUUUUAGUUUGUUUCCACCAAAAACAUAUUUUAGAGAUUAGGAUUAGUAAUUGUUAGUAAUAAUGUUAAGAGGAGACGUUACACCGCUAUGCUACUAAAUUGAUUCUAGUAAUUGUUACUAAUAAUGUUACUAAAAUGCUUCAGUAACACAGUCAUGCUACUAAAUUGAUUCAGCAACACAAAAACAAACACAAAUAUAUAAAUAAAAAAGCAAAGCAAGCAAGGCUAAAUUAUUUAUGAAAUUCAAGGGACAUUUGCUAAAUUCAAAGACAAAAAAAAUAGAUGCUUCCAAAACUCUAAGAAACUAAAACUUAAAAUUCAAAUUGGAAAGGUCUUGCACAAUUUAUCUAAACAUGGACUAAUUGUAAAUAACAUCAAGGUAGAUGGUAUCAUGUGACCCAACCAUCGGAGCACCCCCUCUGAUCUUCACACCGUCACCCACAAAAACCAAGGUCAGGCACCAAGAUCGAUUCCGUAAAAGUCACGAAUUGCUUUCCAUCCCUUUGUGAGAAAAAAUGCUUCGUUUACUCUAUCGACCAAUAAUUCAAACUUGUUGGACUUAGGAUCAAUCAAUAUUGCAUAGCGCCCAAUUUGAUCUCCGAAAUCACCGCCAAACAUGUUUGGCAAGCAUACUGCACCCUAAAAAAAUAACAAACAAAAACAUCACAAACGUUGAUAAAAUAGAAUGCAAAUAAUUGAGAAUAGGUAUAUUUCGCAAAAAACACAUACAGCAUCAAUGUCAUAUUCAACGAUAUAUGAUAUGUAUUUCAGUCUGAGCUUGUUGAUUGCUUUGUCAAGAUCGGAAAAAGGGUUUUUCACCAACGGACCUACAAAAGAUUGAAAGGGAUUGAAAGAAUUAUUUAUACUUUAAAACAGUGAGGAAUAAGAGCAAAAAUCUAUAUAUUUAGUUUAAACCAGAGUGGAAUGAAGAUAUGGUUACCAGUGAGGCAGUGGUAUGACAGUAAAGUCUGAAUGUUUCUGGAAGCCAUGUUGAAAAGAGAUUUCGGUUUAGGAGAAAAGAUAAAAAUAUAUUGGUGAGGGUUUGGAGGAGAGAAAUAUAUGGUUUUAAAGAGAGAUUUCGGUUUAGGAGAAAGGAUUAAAAUAUAUUGGUUAGGGUUUGGAGGAGGGGAAUUAGGAAAUAUGAUUUAGGAGGAGUGAAGUUAGAAGGUUAGGGUUUGGAGGAGGAGAAUUAGGAAAUAUGGUUAGGUUUUAAAGGAGGGAAAAAUUGCUAAAAUAAUAGGGUUAAAAUAUUAGGUUAAAAUUAGGGCAACCAAGCUUUGUUUAGGAAUAAGAAGAUAUAUAACAAGAUGUAUCGAGAAAUUGAGAAGGAGGAAAAUUUAAUAAGGUUAAACAAAGGAAUUUAGCAUCAGGGUUAAAAUAGUAAAUUUAUGCAAUAGGUUUAGGUUAAAAUUAGGGCUAAAAUAUGCUUCUGUGUUAACUUUAAUAUAUAAGAAGAUAGGUUUAGGUUAAAAUUAGGGCUAAAAUAUGCUUCUGUGUUAACUUUAUUAUAUAAGAAGAUGUAUCGAGAAAUUGAGAAAGGGAAAAAUUCAAUAAGGUUAAACAAAGGAAUUUAGCAUCAGGGUUAAAAUAGUAAAUUUAUGCAAUAGGUUUAGGUUAAAAUUAGGGCUAAAAUAUGCUUCUGUGUUAACUUUAAUAUAUAAGAAGAUGUAUCGAGAAAUUGAGAAGAAGGAAAAUUCAAUAAGGUUAAACAAAGGAAUUUAGCAUCAGGGUUAAAAUAGUAAAUUUAUGCAAUAGGUUUAGGUUAAAAUUAGGGCUAAAAUCUGCUUCUGUGUUAACUUUAAUAUAUAAGAAGAUAGUAAAUUUAUGCAAUAGGUUUAAGUUAAAAUUAGGGCUAAAAUAUGCUUCUGUGUUAACUUUAAUAUAUAAGAAGAUGUUUCGAGAAAUUGAGAAGAAGGAAAAUUCAAUAAGGUUAAACAAAGGAAUUUAGCAUCAGGGUUAAAAUAGUAAAUUUAUGCUAUAGGUUUAGGUUAAAAUUAGGGCUAAAAUAUGCUUCUGUGUUAACUUUAAUAUAUAAGAAGACGUAUCGAGAAAUUGAGAAGGAGGAAAAUUCAAUAAGGUUAAACCAAGGAAUUUAGCAUUAGGGUUAAAAUAGUAAAUUUAUGCAAUAGGUUUAGGUUAAAAUUAGGGCUAAAAUAUGCUUCUGUGUUAACUUUAAUAUAUAAGAAGAUAGUAAAUUUAUGCAAUAGGUUUAGGUUAAAAUUAGGGCUAAAAUAUGCUUCUGUGUUAACUUUAAUAUAUAAGAAGAUGUAUCGAGAAAUUGAGAAGGAGGAAAAUUCAAUAAGGUUAAACAAAUGAAUUUAGCAUCAGGGUUAAAAUAGUAAAUUUAUGCAAAAGGUUUAGGUUAAAAUUAGGGUUAAAAUAUGCUUCUGUGUUAACUUUAAUAUAUAACAAGAUGUAUCGAGAAAUUGAGAAGGAGGAAAAUUCAAUAAGGUUAAACAAAGGAAUUUAGCAUCAGGGUUAAAAUAGUAAAUUUAUGCAAUAGGUUUAGGUUAAAAUUAGGGCUAAAAUAUGCUUUUGUGUUAACUUUAAUAUAUAUAAGAAGACGUAUCGAGAAAUUGAGAAGGAGGAAAAUUCAAUAAGGUUAAACCAAGGAAUUUAGCAUCAGGGUUAAAAUAGUAAAUUUAUGCAAUAGGUUUAGGUUUAAAUUAGGGCUAAAAUAUGCUUCUGUGUUAACUUUAAUAUAUAAGAAGAUAGUAAAUUUAUGCAAUAGGUUUAGGUUAAAAUUAGGGCUAAAAUAUGCUUCUGUGUUAACUUUAAUAUAUAAGAAGAUGUAUUGAGAAAUUGAGAAGGAGGAAAAUUCAAUAAGGUUAAACAAAGGAAUUUAGCAUCAGGGUUAAAAUAGUAAAUUUAUGCAAUAUGUUUAGGUUAAAAUUAGGGCUAAAAUAUGCUUCUGUGUUAACUUUAAUAUAUAAGAAGAUGUAUCGAGAAAUUGAGAAGGGGGAAAAUUCAAUAAGGUUAAACAAAGGAAUUUAGCAUCAGGGUUAAAAUAGUAAAUUUAUGCAAUAGGUUUAGGUUAAAAUUAGGGCUAAAAUAUGCUUCUGUGUUAACUUUAACUAGAUCGUCCACCCGUGCUGCCGCACGGAUCAUAUACAUUGUAAGUAUUGUAGACAAAAGCAAAAUUUUAUAAUACAGUCCCAACUUAUAAUUUUAAUGUCAUAAUUUGAAAUACAACUAUAGAAGGAAAUUGUAUAAUUGAUUCAAAAUAUUUUUAGUGACAUUGAGCAGCAAUCUAUAAUUUAAUAACAUAAGAGAUUUUGCCAAAAACACUGCACACAUCUCUUUUUCUCGUGAGUCAAUUACAUUGAAAAUUCAUAUAUUAUAUAUCACUAACAAAGAUAAAAAAAUUAUGUUGAAAGCAAUUUGUAUAAUUGAUUCAAAAUAUGUUUAGUUAACUUUAAUAUAUAAGAAGAUGUAUCGAGAAAUUGAGAAGGGGAAAAAUUCAAUAAGGUUAAACAAAGGAAUUUAGAAUGAGGAAGAACCUCCUUCAAUUGGUGUUCGUGUGUUGCUGGGAAUUGCAGUUGAAUCUGCAAGGAAACUAAGAGGGAAAAGGAAGAAGAUGAAGCCAGGGGUAUUUUGGUCUUUUCGCAAGUUACAUCAACUAAUCGGUGAUGUGGCACUGAUUAACUAGGUUGAGGGACCAAUUUUUAAGUGAUUAAUUUUUAGGAGGGUAAAUUGCCAGAAUUAAUGGAUACAGGGACCAUUUUUUAAAUGACCCCUAAUUACAGGGAUGAAAUACGUAUUUAAGCCGUUUCAAGUACAGAGUAAGUUGAAAUAUUUAAUCUCUGCAAGGAGUAUUUCACAUCACUUUUUAUCCUUUCCACUAAAUAUGAAUGCUUCUUUUCCACUUAACUUUACCAGCACAUCACAUUGAAUAUUCCUUACUUUAAGUAGAUAAUUAUAUGAUUCUACUUUCAUCUAAUUCUAAGGGACAAAUUAAAGUCUUUUGAUAUAUAUGACUUGAAAUCAGUUACCAGAGUUAUUCCUCAUUGAACUGUAACAUCAAAAAGAGUACCAACACACAAACUCAAGCAAUCUCUUUCUUCUUUACAUAGAUAAUAUAGUUAACAAAAACAAAUUACUUUCAGCUUUUUAUUCACCUUCCUUAGAAACAUGGUUAUAGUAUAAAUUCUCGCUUUAGUUAGAAGCUAUCGGGAAAAACACAAGUUUCAUAUUGAAGAGCGAUAAAGUCUAAAAUAGUUUAUAAAGAGUGACACUACUCAUCUAACAAGGCGAUUUUAUAAGGAUGAGUUAGACAUAAUAUAAAAAUCGAAUAUUGAUAUCAGAGUUUAUCCAUUCGGUUCAUCCACCAAAAUAUGAACUCACUAAUCCAAUAGUGUUUGUUUUGUAACACAAUAUAAAACCAAUAUAAAGUGCUUGUUUUCGUGAAGGAGUCUGUUUUAGGUGGUGACGUGUAUUUUGGUGGGUGUUGUCAUCAUGGAUGUUUUUUAGGGUGUUUAUUUUCGGGUGUUCCGCCUAUAUACGGCGUCUUUAGUUUGUAUUCUUUAAUUUACCGGUCUUUGUUCGUCUUAAGCAGAAAUCUAGUUGUUUAAAAAAAAUUGCUGCGAAAAAAUAUAUAUAUAUAAAGAACAUAAUACAAGCCACUCCUGAUAAUCUUAAAACACAACAAUUUUUAUUCUCUCCAAGUGCUGUCUCCCCCUCAAGAGACAUCAUUAAUCAAACACAAAACAAUGGCGACAAAAUUUGGUUUUAGUAAAACCUCUAGGAACAAAUCGAUUAAACAACACUUCAAAGUUUGUUUUUGUUUCAACAGAAUGUUUAAGCUCAAGGUGGCUGAACCACCAGAAGAAAUCAACAAUAUUUUUUAUAGGUAUGCACAAAAUGGUACCAUGACCAUGGAUGAAUUGUACUACUUUUUAGUUCAUUUUCAAGGAGAAAAGGGUGGUGAUGCUACCCAAAAACAUGCUCAAGAUGUUUUCCAUAGUUUAAGACAUCUCAAUAUAUUUCAAAGGAGAGGUCUUCAUUUUGAUGCCUUCUUUCGUUAUCUUUUUGGUGACCUAAAUGGCCCCAUAGGUGAUCAGGUAAAUUUUCUUCCAGUUUAUCCUUAUUAUCUAUGAAGCACGGACACCGGACACUGACACGACGAAACCGUUAAUAAUUUGAGAAAAUCACAUAAUUCAAUGUAAUUAUAGAUGUCGGUAUCGAGUCAGUGUCGGACACGACACGUGUCAGACACCAGGACACACCUAAUCCGAGGAAUGUCCGUGCUUCAUAGUUUAUUAUCAUUUUUUUUAUAUCAUUUUGUAUUUAUGUUAGUUCAACUGCUAACUUUAUCAAAUACUACAAAUUUAAUCGGCUAGUUUAUCUACUAUAUUUUUUUUUUUUGAGAGGAGUUUAUCUACUAUAAUUAACAUGACAGUUAUAAAUUCAUCCGUUAUCAACUAGCGUUUAUCAAAAAUAUACAUGACUUUUUACCAAAAAGAGCCAAAAACAUGCAUAUAUCUUUUGGUUCCACUAAAUCCUUAACAAUUACAAUUAUAUAUUUGAAUUUUUAAAUAAAUUGUCUGUUUUUUAUUUCAGGUGCAUCAAGAUAUGAAUGCUCCAUUGGCUCAUUAUUUUUUGUACACAGGGCACAACUCCUACUUAACUGGAAAUCAAUUGAGUAGUGAAAGCAGUACUGCACCAAUAAUAAAAGCUUUGAAAAAAGGAGUUAGAGUAAUUGAGUUGGAUUUGUGGCCAAAUUCUAGAGAAGAUGAUGUGGAAGUUCGUCAUGGAGGGUAUAAGUUUAGUUUUCAACUACGAAGCACGAACACUCCUUGGAUAAGGCGUGUCCCCGUGUCAGACACGUGUCGUAUCCGACACCGACACAUAUAAUUACACAGAAUUAUGCGAUUGUUUAAAAAAUUUAGUUGUGUCGGCGUGUCUAUGUCGUGUCCGGUAUCCAUGUCCAUACUUCAUAGGUUUUCAAUAGCAUAUUAGUUUAAGUUCAAUAUUAUAGCACAUUGUUGAUUUCUUGUGCAUUCCAACUUUCAGCUUUAUAUAUAACUUAAACUAAUUGACUUAUUUUUGAGCUGUAGGACUCUGACUUCUUCGGUGAAACUUAGAGAUUGUUUGAAUGCCAUUAGGGACAAUGCAUUUGAUGCAUCAAAGUAUCCAGUUAUAAUAACUUUUGAAGACCAUAUAACUCCACCUCUUCAACGCAAAGUCGCCAAAGUUUGUAAAUUUUUUGCAUUAUUUAUGCCACUAUAUAUCAUAUAGUCUUAAAUUAAAGUAACAAUUUAAUAUUUAUAAUGCAGAUGGUGGAUGAUAUAUUUAGAGGUAUGUUGUUUCGUCCAAACUAUGCACAUCAAAUGAAGAAAUUCCCUUCACCAGAAGCGUUGAAGGGGAAAAUUCUGAUUUCGACGAAACCACCGGAGUCUCUUGAAAGUCAAAGCCAAAAGGUACAAGAAGAAGAAGUUGAUGAGUUGCUUGAGGACAAAGAUGAUGGAUCUAGAGUCAAUGAAGAGGUGAAAAUUUGAAUUCAUUUAGCUUAUGAACCUGUUCGCUACGAACUAUGAAAAAAAUUGAUAUUCAAUAAUUUAGAGAUUCAUUUUAAGAGAGUUUGAAGCAGUUUUUCGAUUUCUUUUGAGAUUCUCAUUUGUAUUUUUUUAAGAUAUGUAAUAAACAAAUGAAAAUUUCUAUUUUUUUUCUAAAUAGCUUAAUAAGCAUUUUUUGCAAUUAAUUAGGAUGAGUUGGAUGAUGAGAAUGAGGAGGAUGAGUCUCUUGGAUAUAGGAAUUUGAUUUCUAUUCAUGCUGGGAAACCAAAAGGUAAUGUGGAACACUGGUUGACGGAACAUGAUCAAGUUAGGCGUCUUAGCUUGAGUGAGCAAGUUCUUGAAGAUAUCGUCAAAACUCAAGGAUCUGAAAUUGUCAGGUGAUUUUAAAUGUAUUUUUGGUUGAUCGUAUUGUUGAACCUCAAUAAUUUUAAUUUAGUUAAUCGACUCGUAAGAGUGUGAAACUCUCUCAACACCUAUAUUUUUUCAUUCACAAAACUCUAACACAAAAUACCAAUUAAGUUCAUAUGCUCUAUUUUUUUACCCUAUUGUUAAUUGUUACAACAAUGAAUAUUAUUCCAUUCUAUGCUUUAGAUUCACCCAAAGGAAUUUGCUUAGAAUAUAUCCAAAGGGUUCACGUGUAACUUCCUCCAAUUAUGAUCCUAUGAAUGGAUGGAUGCAUGGAGCUCAAAUGGUAGCAUUUAAUAUGCAGGUUAGACUUCACUUUCCAUUUAUUUGACAAUUGAGAGAAGAGAAGGGAAAAAUAUGAAUUGACUCUUAAAAAGCACUAUGCUACUCUUAUAAAUAUAUUUCAUUUUGUCUCUUAAUAACUUUCAGAAGUGUCAACUUAUAAUUAAAUAUAAGAAGCUAAUUAGGAUAAAACUAAAUAAUAACGGGGAAUUAGUCACUUUAGUCCCUAAGUGAGAAAAGAGUAGUCACUUUAAUCCCUAAAUGCAGAGAAAUUGCAAAACAAUCCUUGAAUGUAGACUUUAUUCAAUUUCAGGGACUAAAGUGACAAACAGAGUCUACAUUCAGGGACUAUAUUGACUAAUGGAGUCUGCAUUCAGGGACUAAAGUGAUUAACAGAGUCUGCAUUCAUGGACUAUUUUGCAAUUUAUCUACAUUCAGGACCUAAAAUUACAACUUAUUUUCUAUUCAAGGACUAAAAUGACUAAUCUUCCAAAUAAUAACAUAAAACUAUGAAUGUAACAUGGUCAAAAACAACAUCAAAGCAUCCUAUUAUAACAACUUGCAUCCUAAGAAAAGUAUUUUUUUUUAAAACUCCUAAGAAAAGUAUUUUCAUAAUAACAUAUGGCGGAAUUUCACACUCAUGCAUCCUUCAUUUUAUACAAUUGUUGGUAUGUUAUGCAAUUUGGUGUCUGCUUUCCAUUAUUUAUUUAUAAAUUUGGGAAUAGAAAUCAAAAAAGUUUGAGGAUUUUUUUUCGAAUCAUGUUAACUAGGGUCACUAAGACACUACUUAACAUUUUCCUUUUCUUAUUUAUUUAUUGGGAAUAUUAAUUAUUAACUUUGUUUUACUUAAAGGGACAUGGGCAUUAUCUUCAAUAUAUGGAAGGAAUGUUCAAAGCCAAUGGUGGAUGUGGGUAUGUUAAGAAACCUGAUAUCUUAUUGAACAAUAAUAAGAUGUAUGAUCCUAGAGUAUACCGACCAAAGAAAACUCUUCAGGUAAAGGGAAUGUAGAUACUUAUAAUUCAUAUUUGGAAUUGAUACUACAAAAUUUAUCUUCUAAUAUAUAAAAAAUAAAAAACAGGUUCACGUAUACAUGGGUGAAGGUUGGCAAUCUGAAUUCGGCCAAACACACUUCGAUUUUUAUUCUCCACCUGAUUUUCGUGUACAGGUAAUUAUACUGUGAUUGAAAUGACUUAAGGACUUGUUUAAAUUGACUUAUUUAAGACCAUCUAUAACUUAGGUAUUUGUGAAACUAAUACCGUACAGUUGAAUUUGUGAAAACAUCUUAUGACAUGUUUAAAACAUGUUUUCAGCUUACUUUCGCAAUCUCUUUAUGACAUAUUUAAAGCAUUUGUUAGUAUUUCACAUUCUUAUAAUAGAUGUAAUGUAACAGUAGUCCUAUGUGUUUCCGUUAAAAAUAGUAUUAUGAAUCAAUCUGCUAUAUUUUCAUGUCAACUAAUUUUAGGAUCAUUGUGCUAAAAUAUGCACAAAAAAUUAAUUGUGAAGUCAGUAUGAACAAACCCCACAAACAUGAAAAUUGUAAGAGAAAUGUUAUUAACAAUUUUGUUGUCCAAAACCGUAUUUACUUACAUCGUAAAUACAAUUUUGUUUUUUUAUUAGUUUUCUAUCUUUCUCUAAAUCAAAUCAACAGCUAUAAAUAAUACAUUUUGAGAUGAUGUUAAAUAGUUGUCAAUUUUUAGAUGCUCAAAUAAAAUUCCUCAAAUAUAACGUGUCAAUAUUGUGCAGGUUGGUAUCCAUGGUGUUCCAGUUGAUACAGACACCAAAGUAACCAGGACCAAGGAAGAUGAGUGGGUCCCAGUUUGGAAUGAGGAGUUAAACUUUCCAUUAACUUAUCCAGAAUUGGCACUAUUACACAUUAAAGUUAUUGAACGUGACUUUUCUGGACAACAUGAUUUUGCUGGACAAACAUGUUUACCUGUAUCAGAGUUAAGAGAAGGAAUUCGUUGUGUUCGUUUGUGUAACCGCAAAGGUGAACCUUAUAAGCAUGUUAGGCUUUUAAUCCAAUUUCGAUUUUCUAAUCACUAGUAGUGAAUUUGUUUGUGUUUGUAUUAUGAAAGAUAUAAACACAUGUAAAUAUAAAUAAUUAGUACAAUUACGAAGAUAUGGUAUGUUCGGUUCGUUCCUACGCAAGAAUUUCUCGUGUAUUAGUACGGAAUAUAUCAAAGAUAUCCUCCACAUAUAGAAGUCACUAAAGAAUGAUUUCUCAUCCCUCUUCAUUAUGUAAACAAAAUUGGCAUACAUGCUUCUCAAAAAAUCGGUUUUCGAACAAAACUCACUAAACCAACGAUACCAGUACUUUGAAAUUUGUUUCAACUCAUACAAAUAUUUCUUCAAAAGACCCACCGUAGAUUUAUCCUCUACAAAACCUUUUGGUUGCUCUAUGUAAAUUGUCUCUUCAAGGUCUCCAUGUAAGAAAACCGUUUACGUAUCCAUUUGUUCCAACUCAAAAUUGUAGAUUAAUAAUUGCCGUAAGUACCCGUAUGAAACAAUGAUUUACGACAUAUAAGAGAAUCUCUUUGGAGUCAAUCCCCUCAACUUGAGUAAACCAUUUGUCACAAGCCUUAAUUGGUUCUUCGAUCGUUGAAUCACCUUUAUUCUUUAAACAAUGAGUUUGAACUUUUCUUUCAUGAAUCUUAGCAAGUCUUUUUUUUUUAUAUCAUAUCCAUUUUUUUUAAAUAGAUCAAAUAUAUCCCCGGAUCCUUUAAAUUUCAUGUUUGUUUCAGACAGAUCCUUUAAGUUUCUAAAAUUUCAGGCCUUUUAAAUACAAAUGUUAGUAUUUUCUCGAUUAGUAGGAUUCAAAUCUUUGAACCUUUAAUUAACUUUUUAUCCAACCUCUUAAUUUCUUAGCUCAACCAAAUUACACAUCCCCGGUAAUAUCCAUGUUUUUUUAGUAUCACGUCUUAUAUUAUUAUUAUUAAGAGUAAUGAUAUUUGAACAACUAUUUUAAAAUAAUUUUUGGGACAAUCUUGUUGUUCUUUUUUCAAUGGUCAAAAACAAAAGAGAAAGAAAAAGUAAGAGAGAGAAUAAAAAUAUAAUGUGAAUAUGAGAGAGAAAAUUGUACAAAAAUUAUACAAAAAUGAUUGUACAAAUAUCAUUUCUAUUAUUAAAGUUGACUGAAAUGGCUUUUUAGUGAACAAAUAAUAGCAAAAGACAAAAGGGUGAGUUUCGGGUAAAAAGGUCCUUGUAGACUCAAAAGCGAGAAAGUGAUAUCUUUUAACUUAUUUUGAUUAAGUGGGCACGGCAUAGGUCUGUUUAAGCUCAGCCACCGAGACAGAAAGACAAGACAAGCACUAACAAAUAUUUGAUCAAAGAAAAUCAAUGUAAAUUACUUUUCAUUUUUAGGAUACAGUUUAUGUUUGACUUGGAUCCAUUAACCUUGAAGAUCAAUUCUAUCAUCUCCACUAACAUGGAUCAAUCAACUAAAAUCAAUGUAUUUAAUUUGAUAAUAAAGAUUGAAUAUAUUAAGUUUUUUUCUCUCUCUUUAUUUACAAAAUAUACGGUUCACACUAAUGAAGAUAUUAUCAUAUCUCUUAUAAAAAUUACUUAAAUUUGAGCAAAACUAUUUAAAUAUAGUAUUUUCUUCUACUUUUAAAGAAAAUAUGUAAAUCUCCGUGAUCUUAAUUCAAUUGUUAGAAAUAUUACAUUUUAAAUGCAUGGUUUAUAUAUGAACCUUGGAUUUCCCACUUGUUCACCUUAUAAAAUAGAGAAUCUAACUACUUGACUACUUACCAAAAAUAAAUAAAUAAAUAAAAUACCAAAAACCUCGUGUUUUUUUUAAGGAAAAACUCUCCUAUUUUUGGUGAAUACAUAUACUCUCAUUUAUUUGUAAAAGUGUAACAUUAAUUAUUAUUAUUGUUGACAAGAAAUAAGCUUCAUUCAUUGAAAUACUAAAAUAGUAACAAUACAAUCAAAAGGAUCAUACGUUGGGACAUUUCUCAUCCAUAUAUUAGGAAUUAUUAAGAUAGUUAGAUAGAUGCUAAGGGUACAUUAUAAACUUUCAAAAGGCAUUAAUGCAAUAGCAAAACAAACUUCAAAUCUUAACAACCAAGCUAAAUUCUUACUCCUAUGACCAUAAGUCAAUAAUAAAUCGAGAUUCACGUAAUCCAACUUCAGAAAAAGAUAUUUGCAGGUGUUUGCACAAAUCGAUUAUUUGUGAUCUUUUAUAUGACCAAUUCUACCACAUAUUGACAAUACAUUUGUGUAAUUGAAAGGACCUUGAAUUUAGUGAUAGACGUUAUAAACCCCCUACUCGAAAUAGAGUACCUUUGAAGCGAGUCAUUCUCAAGCAUUUUAGCAAACAUAUAAGGUGCAAACUUGAAGCAAAUUAAGCAGAACAAUGAAAUAAAUAAGGGUAUUGUUAACAAGUGCCCUCGGGGCACUCUUUAAGCAUCCCAAAUUUAGUAACUAUUUUUUUAAAAAGUCAACAAUUACAAUUUCCAAUGCAUUCAAUACACAACUUUUCAUUAAAAACUUACCACUUAAAGUGUUUAAAGAGUGCUCCGGGGGCACUAGUUAACAUUUCCCAACAAAUAAAACAACCACAAAGACUUUGAAUCUCAAACCCAGUGAAGAUAAUAGAGUAGACCAUGGUGGCUUUCAAGGGGACCGUUUAUACGACUUUUUCACUUGAGAUAAUAGCCAUAACAGCUAGAUACAAAGGACGUGGUGGACGAUCCGUCGUAGGAACGCUUGAAUGAGGCGUGUAGGAAUUGAUCUCAUCGUCAUAGCACAACGAGGGAAAGCACAAAAAGAUAGUCAGAACAUAUUUCACGAGAAAGCGAACGAUGGUAUAAAUGGAUGGGUUGCGAGUGAAGGCGAUUAAAGCCAGAUAUUUACUUUUUAUCUUUUUUAAUCUCUUAACUCAACUAAAUGAGUUACUCAUGCCUAAAAUUUAUGGGUUGUAAUUCAUAUUCAUAAUAUGAGUAAUGCAAAGGGGAAUAGGAUAAAAAGUUAUGUAAAACCUUUAUAUAAGAAAAAAAAUUAGAGUGCAGAGACAUCAUCGUUCCAAGGUAAACUUGUCACCCAUACUUCAUUAUCACACUCAAGAAUGAUGCACAAUAUAUUCUACAAAAUAUACCUGCAAAAGGAUGUACAUAAAAGCUAUGUGUAGUAGUCACAAAGGUACUAAAGAAAGGCAAUGGAAUAGGAAACAUAACAGGGAACUCACUUAUUUCCCUUCCACAUUGAAAGAAUCUAUACCCACCAUCUGUUUGAUUAUGAAUAGCCAAAGUUAAUGGUCCCACACCACUCAAACUAAUCUAUCCCACCAUAAUAUCAACCCCAGAAAUAAAACACACACAAACAAAUACAAUACAAAUGUCAAAAAACACAUCAUAAUCUAAUCUGCCACAUCACCACCAUCAUCAUAAAAAAGAAGAAAAAAUGCAUCCAAAACCAAAUUGGAUUUCCAACUGUCACUAACUACUCAUCCUCACCAACUAGUAGAACAUCUCUAAAACAUCUGAUCUCAAUCAAACAAUCGAUAAAAUAAGUUAACUUUAACUUUUAUUCAAAUUAAAAUUAUCAAAUUUAAAAUUUAAAUUGUCCGAUCUCAAUCAAACUAUCACCGAUCAUCUGACUAAAUAAAUGCGUACAGUCAAUGACAAAGAGAGGAUCACCACUAAGACCAACCAAAAAUAGAGUCACUCUUGGGAGUCUUUUCUCCCUCUUCUCCUCUUGUUGUCAUAACCUGAUAAAUAAUCACUCCAAUUAUAUUUCCACACUAUGAACAAGUAAAGUAAAACCCAAACUAAAUAAACCCUCAUACUAAUUUAUUUCUUCAAUCAUCAUCAUCAUCUCUUCACUAAAAUCCAAACCCCAAAACCUGGUACCUUACAUACACAUAUACAUAUAUCAAUAUUCAAUUCAAUACUAUAGUAUAGUAUGAUAUGUCAUAAUAAAAUAUAAUAUUACUAUUAUUGCUAUUGUGUUAUUUUAUUUUUUAUAUAUGGUUGCCGGCGAUGCCGACGCCGGUAAGCUCCGCUCGUCAAUUCCUAACCGACGAAGCGGCGCGUGCCCUCGACGACGCAGUAGCCGUCGCACGCCGUCGCAGCCAUGCACAAACAACCUCCCUUCACACCAUCUCCGCCUUACUCUCCCUCCCAUCUUCAUCCCUCCGCGACGCCAUCUGCCGAGCUCGAACCGCCGUUAGAUUCCCGUCAUUCUCGCACCGUCUUCACCUCCGAGCACUUGAGCUCUCCGUCGGCGUAUCCCUCGACCGCCUCCCGUCGUCAAAACCAUCUCCGGUAGAAGAGCCGCCGGUUUCGAAUUCUCUCAUGGCGGCGAUCAAAAGGUCUCAGGCGAAUCAACGCCGGUCGCCGGAGAGUUUUCAUUUCUACAACCAUAACGGAACGACGCCGUCUUUGUUGAAAGUUGAACUGAAACACUUCGUUCUAUCCAUUCUUGAUGAUCCUAUAGUGAACCGUGUUUUCUCUGAAGCUGGUUUUCGUAGUUGUGAUGUUAAACUUGCUUUACUUCAACCACCGGUUCAAUCAUCAUCCCGGUUUUUAUCCUCUCCGCCGGUUUUUCUUUGUAAUCUUGAACCGGGUCGAACCGGGUUAACUCCUUUUCCUUUAGGGGUUGAUGAGAAUUCAAGAAGAAUAGCUGAGGUUAUAGCAAUGAAAGGUAAAAAGAUGAAUCCUUUGUUGAUGGGUGUUUAUGCAAAAGAUGCUUUUAGAAAUUUUGUUGAGUUGUUACAAAAGGGUUUAGGUGGUGGUUUGUUUCCACCUGGGAUGUCUGGUUUGAGUGUUGUGUGUGUUGAAAAGGAGAUUGUCGAGUUUGUUAAGGAUGGUGGGAGUGAGGAGAAGAUGGGUUUGAGGUUUAAGGAAGUGGGGUGUGAGGUGGAGAAAUGUUUGGGUGCUGGUGUUGUUGUUGGGUUUGGAGAGAUUGAGGUUUUGGUUGGGGAUGAUGUGGAUGGUGGAUGUAUUAAGUUUGUUGUGUCGGAGUUGGGGAGAUUGUUGGAGGUUUAUGGUGAGAAGGUUUGGUUGAUGGGUGUGGCUGAAACGUCGGAGGCUUAUUCGAAGUUUUUGAGGUUGUUUCCGGGUGUGGAGAAGGAUUGGGAUUUGCAUUUGGUUACUGUGACAUCUGCUACUCCUUCAAUGGAAGGACUCUACUCUAAAUCCAGGUUAGUUCUAUCUAUGAAGCACAGGCGCGGACCUGUCCGGACACCAGACACAACACUUGACACGUAGAUACUGAUAAUAAUUUAAAAAGUUGAAAGUGAUUAAAUGUAAUCACAUGUGACCAUGUACACAUGUUAGACACCAGCCACAUUGAAUUGAAGAGUAUAGAUGUCUAUUGGUUGUGGUUUGUACUUGUCAUGAUUUUGGUUGAAGUGUACACAUAGGUACUAUGCAGGCCUCUUAUAGGUUCAUAUACGCACACAUAUAUCAAUAUACAUUUAUGAAAACAUAUCAGAAUCAUCAUGUAUUUAAGGCAAUGCAUAUUUAGAAUGGUAAGUGAGAUCAUAGAAAAAUUAAUGAAUAUGAUUGUGACUUGGUUGUGUUUGUUAAUUUGUGCCAAAGGUUAUGGGUUUUUGCUAUUUUUGGUUACUCUCUUCUGACUUCUGUCUUCCUUAUUAAUCUUUCCCUCUUGCUUUUUUGGAAGGGUUGUUUGGUAGAAGUGGAAUUUUUAUGAACAAGUUAUUAUACUUUAAUCUCCCUUACUCAAUUCAAACCUCUAUUAUGUUUUUACUUUUUUCUUUUUUCAAUAGUAAAAUGAAAGUUAGUCCUUGUAAUUUAAGGUACUACUUGUUGGCAUUGUCAAAGUUGUGAUUUUAAGCAUGGAUUGCUAGAAAGUUUUCUUUUUUCAAACUCUUAUUGUGAGCCCAAAAAAUUCAUUAGUCUGUUGUUAUAUACAUACAUAUUGGCUACGAUAUACUUGAUUUUCGUAUACGGUGCUUUUAAGUUACAGGUCUCUCUUACUGUGUGCACUUUAGCUUCUGACUAUUGUACCGAUUGUAUCUCACAGUUCCAUGCUCAUGAUAAACUUACAGUUUGAUGGGGUCCUUUGUUCCAUUUGGUGGAUUCUUUUCUACACCUCCUGAAAGCAAAAGUCCCAUUAGCUCUGCAAAUGCAUCAUUUACUCGCUGUGACAAAUGCAAUGAAAAGUAUGAACAAGAAGUUGCUGAUGCUUUUAAGGUAGAUCCUGCUACUCUGGCAUCAAAUUACACAACAAGCUUGCCUUGGUUUAAAAAGGUUGUUGAUGUGGAUACACAUGGAGGACUUGAUGUGGCAAAGGUUUGUUAUGAUCGCCAAAUCUUAGAUAUUCUUGUCUUGUGCAUACUUGGCAUUCACAUGCAUACACAUAAUGUGUGCAACAUGGUGGGGGCAAUUAUUGUACUAAUCUACUUAAAUAAUUUAAGGGUAUAAAUAAUGCUAGAUUUCCUAUACUGGUUAAAGUAAUUUGGCUGCCCUAAAGUGAGAAGUCACUUUAGAGUGUGAAGUAAGUAAUUAUAUUUAUAGGCAUUUAUUUGGAAAUCAAUGGUUGAGUUUGUGAUCAUAUGCAUGCAAGUGUUUGACAAACUAUGAAGUUUAUAUGCCAAUUAUUGAUUUUAGAAUCAAUAGCUAGCUUAUUUAACCCUCCUAAGUGACUCAUUCACUUUAAAGAAGCCAAAUAAGGUAACAAAAACCUUUCCAAUCAAUAAAAAAGAUGGAAAUUUGAUGAUUCGUUUGUAAAAACCAAAUAAAAGAAUAAUGUUUCUCUUUUAUUUUCUCCCUGUGAAUAUUCUUUUGCUGAGCCUAUGGGCUUACGAUGAUCAAAUUUAGAUUUAUAUCAAACAUGUUAUAUCAAAUAAUGGGCAUGGAUAUCUAUUCAACAUCCACUAGUAUAGUGACCUAUAUUUUUUUUGAAGAAGCUAAAUUAGCCCACCUAAAUUAGCACCGGGGGAAUCGAACCUGAGACCUCAAGGAGGAGCACACUCCCAGGUCACAAGCCAAUACCACCAAGCCAACCCAAGUGGGUUUAUAGUGACCUAUAUUAGUUUUGGUUAUACCAUAUAAAUCUGCAGUUGCUGAAAUGACUUUUUUGCUAUCAGUAUUGGGACACAAGAAAAUCAUAUAUUUUCUUUAUAACUCUUAAAACAUCUGCAAGUUAUUCUAGAAUGUUAACCUAUAAAAUGAUUUGGAGUUCUAUUUUUCUCACGAAGAACCGUAAGAUUUUGUUUCUUGAGUUUAUAACUCUUAACAUCUGCAGGUAAAUGAAGAAAAUACAAGCUUGAAUGAUAAGAUAUUGGGAUUUCAAAAGAAAUGGAAUGAUAUUUGUCAACGUCUUCAUCAAGCAAGGUCUCAUGUCCCAUCACUUGAAGUUUUACGGUUUGGUUCAGGUUUUAACGAAGGCAGCAGUAAAGAUUCAUCACUUAAUGAACUCCAACGUUCUAGUCCAUUUUCCUACAUGCCUAAAGAGUUGCAUGGUACUUUUCCAUCAAAACAUUUAUCACCCACUCCAGUACAUACUGGUAGAGUUAGUGUCAAUGUUGGAACUGAUCGUGUGCCGAAAGUUACAGAGACUCAACAAAAUGACAUGACGACUCCUUGGCUCGCCCCUUCACGUAUGGCCAAUAUGAGUGUACUGGAAAACAAAUCAUCUUCAUCCCUUAUUCCUGUGACCACAGAUUUAGGAUUGGGAACGUUAUAUACAUCAACACCAAUUGCUCACAAGCCAGAUACUUCAGAAUUUCAAGAUAAAAUAAAGCAUUUUGAGCACUUUCCAGAGUCUACUUCAGCUGAUUCUGUUGCUGUCAAUGGAAAUACAUCACAUAAGAUUGCUAGAUCCUCCUUCCCGGCUUCAAACAUGGCAACAAAAUUUGAUUCAGUAGAUUUCAAGUCUCUUAAUAAACUUCUCUUUGAAAAGGUUGGCUGGCAGAAUCAGGCGAUAUGUGAUAUCAACCGAACUCUGUCCCUUCAUAAAUCCGGUGAAGGGAAGAGCAGAGACUUGCAUGGUAGAGCAGACAUAUGGUUUGCUUUCCUAGGACCAGAUAGAAUUGGAAAAAAGAAAAUUGCUUCGGCACUUGCAGAGACUAUAUUUGGAAAUACAGAAAGCAUCAUCUCUUUGGAUCUCGGCUUCCAAGACGGGCUUUACCCACCGAACUCGAUUUUCGAAUGCCAAAAGUCAUUAUGUUAUGACUUGUUUAUAAGGAAAACAGUUGUGGAUUAUAUUGCUGGGGAGUUGAGUAAAAAUCCUCAUUCCGUUGUCUUUCUAGAAAAUGUAGAUAAAGCUGAUUUUCUGGUGCAGAGUAGUUUGUUGCAGGCAAUAAGAAGAGGUAAAUUUCCAGACUCGCGUGGAAGGGAAAUAAGCAUCAACAAUGCAAUCUUUCUUUUAUCCUCGACUGUCUGUAAAGGCAACGGCUCUUCUGCUUUGGUGGAAGGCAACUUAUUUUCUGAAGAAACAAUACUUGAAGCCAAAAGAUGUCAAAUGCAAUUACUACUCGGAGAUACAUCUGAGGAUGCCAAAAGAAGCUUUAGUACAAAUGUCAAGAUUGUGCGGAGGAAAGGGUUUUCCAAACCAUCAUUUAUGAAUAAAAGAAAACGAGCUGAUACUAGUGACUUCAAAGAGGGAGCAGCAAGCAAGAUGCAAAAACAGGUUUGCGAGACAUCGAUGUCCUGUCUGGAUUUAAAUAUGCCUCUAGACGAGGGUGAAGAAGGUAUGGACGAGGACAACAAUGACCAUGAACGCGAUUUUGUAGUGGAAAACUCAGAUUCCUGGUUUAGUGAUUUCUGCGAUAAAAUGGACGAAAAAGUGGUUUUCAAGCCAUUCGAUUUUGAUGCACUUGCUGAACAAUUACUAAAAAGCAUUAGCAUACAAUUUGAAAAGGCAUUUGGUUCAGAGUUUCAGUUGGAAGUCAAUUAUGAGGUAAUGGCACAGAUACUUGCCGCUGCUUGGUUAGCAGACAAGAAAGAUGCAGUGGAUAAUUGGGUUGAAAGUGUACUUGGCAAAGGCUUCUUUGAAGCUCAGCAGAAAUACCACCCUGUAACUAAAUAUGUUGUGAAACUAGUUAACUGUGAAUCUAUUUUUGUCGAAGAACCUGAUCUUGGAGUAUGCCUUCCUGCUAGCAUUAACUUGAAGUAAAUUUUGGCUUACUAUUUAGUAUUAUUGUAAUUACUUGUAAAAUGUAGCUUUUAGAUAUAACAUAUGGUAGUUGGUAGCAUUGUUCAGCUUAUUAAUCUCACAUUUUUUGUUGUGCUGAUCAUCGUGUUGUAAGUUUUAUGAUGAUAAAAGAAUGUGUAGUUUUCUCUGGUAUAAUACCUAGUUAACAUGUAUUUUCUCUGUAUAUUUCUUUAUACGUUAUUGUGCUCUAAUAUAUUUGUUUGCAGAGGUUUGCUAUUUGAACACGAUUUUUGGACAAAACACAAAUAAAAAAUACUUAAACACACACAUAGAUAAGAAAAAUUAAAAGAUAAAAGUGAGAAAUGAUGUGACUAAUCUAUUUCUUUUUCAAUUUGUGUGUUCAAAUAUUUUUUAUUUGAAGUUGUGACUAAAUAAGAUUUGUUCACCUAGCAAACACAAAAAGGGAAUUGUACGUUCUAGUUGUGCGUUCUGUUAUCGAGGUGGGUGAAAAUGUUAAUAAAAAAUUAAAAAAGAUAUAGAAACCGUUUUGUUAUACGGUGUGGUUGUUGUGAUUUGUGUUCACAAAUAAUUCCCGUAGUUUGAAAUUGUUAUACAUUAUUGUACCUAAAAAAAUAUCUACUUAUUCCGAUGGUUGAUAUUUGUUCUGGUUACAAUUUUUUUUUAGGUUUAAUUGUUCUUUUGUCCCUUAAUUAUUUAAUUGGUAUCGCUUUGGUCCCUUAAAAAAAAAAAGAUUGUUUGAGUACUUUAAGUUUUUUUUUAGUCUCGUUUUGGUCCCUUCUGUUAGGUUUCCGUUUGGGUUUUAAAAAAAAGUUAACUCCUGGACACGUGUCACCUUGUCAUUGGCUCUGAGUUUUUUUUUUUACAAAAAAAAAAUUAAUUAUUUUUUUUAAAAUAUAUAUAUUUUUUUAAAAAAAAUCCCAAAGCCAAUGACAACGUGACACGUGUCCCAGGGUUAACACGUGUCACCUUGUCAUUGGUUCUGGGAAUUUUUUACAAAAAAAUAUAUAUAUAUAUAUAUAUUAAAAAAAAUUAAUUUUAAAAAAAAUAUAUAUAUAUAUAUAUAUUUUUGUAAAAAAAAAAAAAAAAAAAAACCUCAGAGCCAAUGACAAGGUGACAUGUGUCCACACUUAACGUUUUUUUUAUUAAAACUAACGGAAACCUAACAGAAGGGAUCAAAACGAGACUAAAAAUAAACUUAAAGAACUCAAACAAUCUUUUUUUUAGUUAAGGGACCAAAGCGAUACCAAUUAAAUACUUAAGGGACUAAAAGAGCAAUUAAGCCUUCUUUUUAUAUUGAUAUAAAGGGGAUGUGCUUAGAGUAGUAGCCGUCCAAAUGUCGAAAUGAAGUAAAUCAUCCUCACGACUAGAUACAUAAGGGUUGUUGGCGAUGGGAUAAAUACUUUUUUGGACGGAUCCUUGGGUGGGUCGUAGCCCUAUGUGUGACAGAUACAAACAUUUAUAUGAUUUAUUAGAAAAUUAAUUGACGGAGAAGGUUGUUCGCGCGAGAAAAAGAGAUGGAAGGGGCAUGCUGUGCUUUGCUUCAAAAUAUUGUUUUCCAGGUUGGCAUGGUGGAUAGAUAGGAAAUGACAUUUAGAGCCUACCAAUAGUUAUACAAUUAGCGGCAUUAUCAAUUGUUAACGAAUGUGGAACCGACUGCUCAUUUAGCUAUUAUUAUUUGGCAUAAAGUAGUUCUCUUCUUUUUUUUGGCAGUUUCUCUGCAAUCAGAUUUCAAUUAAGGAUAGCUUAAUCUGGAGAGGCAUCCUUCAACAUGAUUCUUAGUAUUGUGUGAGUGGUUGGGGUUUAGAUGGAAUGUUGAACAUCUUUUUUGGAGGUUUAAUUACUUCUAGAGUAUUUGGUCUCUUCUUCGACAUUGGAUUGACAUUUGCUCGUUUGAUCCGCUUCGAUUAUCAAACCACUUUCUUCAAUUAGGUCAUACAUACGGAUCUUCUAAAUCACUUCAAACUUUUUUUUUCUUUGGUUAAUUUGAUUCUCGUGCGUUUGGAUGAAUUGAAAAGAAAUGAAUAAUAGAAUUUUUUUUCAUAAUGAGGAAGAAUCGUUACAACAAUUGUUGGACAAAAUUAAACCCCUCUCUUUUUGGUGGUCGAAAGCAAAAAAAAACACUACAUUUGUUUUUGAUAAUUAUAAUUGGUGGCUUAAUCCUUUACUUUGCUUGAUUUUGACGCGUAACUUUUCUUUUUUAGCUAUGUUUUAUCUAUUUUGACAGUGUAACUGAUUAUUAAAUUAUGUGUUCGGUUCUGAAACUUUUUAUGUUGGGUAGAAUGAUUUGUUCGUAGUAAUAUAUUCAAUUUUGCUUGUUCAAAAAGAAAAGAUCUAUUUAUUAAUAUAAACAAUACUCAUACGUGAUAUAUAAUAACAAAAGAUAUAUUUUUGGAAAGGUAUAGAGCUCUUACUUUAGCAACCUUUCUUCGAGUCCGCUAUGCUCUAGAGGUUAUCUUUAGUCAAUAAAAAAAUCUUUUUUCAAUUUUUUUUUGAAUAAUUAAUGUAUUUAAAUGAGAUAAUAAAUUAUUCAUUUGUUUAUAAAAAUGACCGAAUAUAAGUUAAGAAGCACCCCUAAAAAAAUAAAAAGAAGUGCUUUGAACUGAUUCAUAGGAGGCCAUCAAAUAGAAAUUUGUGAUAACUUUAGAAACGACAAACAACAAGAGUAUGGGGGAAGCUCACAUAUGAGCCAAAAAACUUAUCAACGUCAAAGAUCUUAAAGAAAACACCAAUGUCCCUCUCAUCACUCGAUAACUUCAAGAAUACUUGUCGGACUUUUCUUAAAUAAUUACUACUAAAAUAUAAGCAAAAUUCAUUUUUUAAAUAUAUUUAUUUAAUAAUGUAUAUGGUUCAUAAUAUGAACCACAUACAUCAUUAAAUAAAUGAAAAUUAUCUUUCAUUGAAUUCUUCCAUCGACAUAUUAACAUAUUUCCUCCAUUUUUAAUUAUAGAUAUUUUAAGAAAACAACUUAUUUUGAUUAAACUCUUUUAUUUAUCUGUUAAUUUCAAAUUUUAAGUUUAAUUAAGGUCUCUCUUAAAAAUAAAAAUUCAGUUCUUUUUUAUUGAUAUAUUUUUUAAAUUAUCCUCGAAUUCAUCAAUUAUUUUAUAUUUACCUUGACGAAAAUAGAGUUAACUCACUAUUAAAAAGUGAAGAUAUAUUUAAAUUUAAAUCUCAAUCAGAAUUAUUUUUGAAGUUUUCUGUUUUGAAAGAUUUUUUUGUUAAGUUGUAUACUAUAUAUUUUCUAUACCAAUGUAUAAAAUACCUCUUUUUUUUAUAAAAAAAAAAUACCGUAUAGUUUUUUAUGAUAUAAAAAAUUGUAUAAAUAAUAAUUUUUUGUCAAAAUGACAAACACCACUAAAACUCUUACUAGAAAAAGAAGAAAACACCAAUAAUACUCACACACGCAAUUUCAUAAUCUCUGAUUCAAACACGAAUAAAAAUGUUCAAGUUAAUAAUAUCAGAAUAAACAACCGAAAUAAGUAUACAACUGUAUCUGUAAAAAAAUACUCCAUCUAUCACAAUGAGUGGUGAAAAAUAUUAUCGAAAAAUGAGUGACCCUUUUGAUUUUUAAAGACAAUAUUAAUUAUGUAUUUUUCAAUUUAAAUACUUACACCAAUACAUGAUAAACGAUAGACAUGACAAUAGGGCGGGGUGGGAACGGGUUUUACAUUCCCCGUUCCCAUAUCCGAUUCUCAUAUACUUACCUGUUAUCUUACCUAUAUCCAAUAGGGAUGAAAAAUUGAACCCCAUCCUCGUCUCCGAUGGGUUCGGGUACAUCCCCAUCUCUGCAUUUAAUUAUUUUUUAAUAAAAAAUCGAAGUUUUUUUGUAACCUUAGAGAAAUGUUGUAAUGCAUUAUCCAACAAUAUGCUCACUUUAACAUUUGUUAGACUGAUCGAUUUAGUUGCUCCUUUAAAUAUAAAUGGUGGUUUUUAUAACACGGCAAUUAUCAAACAAAAUAACAUAGCAUAUCAACAUAAAAUAAUUUUAUGCAUUCGGGACGGGUUUGAAUAUGGGUUCGGGAUGGGUACCAAUAUACCCGUUGUUGAAACAAAAUGUGUUUAGCAAUAAUAAUCCUUAAGAGUUUUGAUGAUAACAAAGUAUUAAAAAUUGUCAAUUGGAUAUGCUAGUAUUUGUUCAAGUGUCAAUUGGAUAAGCAAAAAUUUGACAUCUUAAAAUGGUAUUGGAAGAACAAAUAAAGAGCAAAUACAUCAACAAAAAGGGAAGCUUAAAGCGUCUGAAGAAAACUGCUCCUGAAGUUUGAAGUGCUCCUGAAGUGAUGACGUCAUUAGAAGCAAGUUCAUCAGAAGCUGUGAAUCACCAGAAGCUGCAGUUCAUCAGGAGAUGCAACUUAAAGCUUCAAAAGUUGUUUCAAGUAUAACAACGACUAUUUUGAAAGGAUUGAAGGGCAUUUGAUGCUUAUUCUUCAAAGAGCGUUGACAUAGUACGUUUGUACGAAAUGUACAACCACUAUCUCCACUACUCUGUUUUUGUCUCUGCUACAAGACAAGAAAAACAGCUCUGCCUGCAACAAUGUUCCUUCACAUUGGGAACACAUUUGAAAUUGAUCCUUCAUAGGACAAUAACCAUAUCAGGCAAAUGAUCAUUAGUGAUUUAUCAAAAGCUUCAAACGACUCUAUUUUAAAUGUGCUGGCAAUUCAACGUCUCUUUACACCGCUAUAUAAAGGAGUGAAGACUUAGAGUUUCACAAGAACAAUACGAAGCAUUAGCUAAGCCAAAACUCUGUUGAAAUUGUUCUACACUUCAAAGUUCACUUAGAAUUUCUCAUCAAAGCUCAUAUCUUAGAAAUUCUAGAGUCUUUAGAGUCUGUAUCUGAUUUGUAUUGUGAAUACCACUGAUUGUAUAUCAAGUGUUCAACUUCAAACAAUUUUCUUUGUAAUUCUGUUUGAAUUAAGAAGUCUCUUGCAGUUGUGCUUGAGCAAUAGAAGUCUCUUGAUUGUGUUCAGGAGCAUAGGAAGUCUCUUGCAGUUGUGCUUGAGCAUUUGAAGUCUCUUACUAAGUUUAGUAGUGAGCAUUUGUAAUCAGAUAUUACAUAGUGAACUCUCCUUGGAAAUGCAAGGGGGACAAGACUGACUUCCGGUUUGUGGAAGGAACCUGUAUAAAUUGCUUGUGUCUUUCUUCCCUCUCUCUCUCUCUCUCUCUCUCUCUCUCUCUCUCUCUCUCUCUCUCUCUGUUUUUAUCCGCUGCAAUUAGUUCUAAACAUCUCUUCAGAAGCAGAACUCUAUCUGCUUCUGAUCUGUAUUUUCAGUUAGGAGAAAAAGAAGAAAAAGCCAACAGAAUUUAACCCCCCCUUCUUGUGUUUUUCUCACCUUCACCCGUUAACCGUCCCAUACUCGUGUUUUGAAAUCGGGGAAGUCCAAACCCAGAAUUGCCUAAUAAACGAUAAUUUAAUAAAAAAGAAAGAGAAAUGCAAACUUGUGCCCUUAAGGCACAAGUUAAAAGCUAAAUAUAAAAUUAUUUUUUUAGAAAAUUGUGUAUUCAACACUACAAAAGUUUAAACAUUUAUAAUUUAAAUAUAAAAUUUAUUGCUUAUUUCUUUUUAUAGCUCCUUAACUUGUGCCCCAAGGGUACAAGUUAGCAUGAUCCAAAAAGAAAUGAUAACAAAUACUAUCUCCGUCCUUAAAUAUAAAUAUAAUACGAUUUUGGAAUUUUUUUUGUCUCUUUUUAUAAGACUCCUUUGAUAUUUGUAAGUACAUUAAUUAAUUCUUUACCAACAAACCUCUAUUUAUUUUAUAUAUCUUUUUCUUCGAUCAACAUUAAAUACUAUGUUGAAAACAUACACUAAUCCUAUCUUUUAAAAUAUAAAAUUGUAAAACAAUAGCAAUUACAAAUAAAUUUAUUAACACUUUCAAUUUUCUUAAUUCCUGUUAUUUUUCUUAUAUAUUCCUAUAAGAAAGAGAUAGUAUCCUUAUACAUUGUUUAAAGAGAUAAAAGAAGUAACUUUUGUAUAAAAAUUUGUGUAUUUAUCUAUACAAAUGAUUAAUUGAAUUGGUUAUUGUGAGAUGGCGGAGGUAAAUGAUUUAUGGAGUUAGGACAUAUACCAUAAAGUUGGAGAACUAACCGCUCACUUGAUCAGUGUGCGGAGGCAAACAAAUGAGGUAAACAUAUUAAUUAGCUAAGACGACCAUAUUAUCAGCUAAUUUUUAGUUAUUGAUUAGCAUAUCAGAUUAUAUUAAACACAUACUAAUGAAAUGCUAUAAAUUUAUUCCUCUAAAAAAAACAACAGUUCACUUGAUCAGGAUGACAGUCCAAUAAAAGAGGUUCUGAUAGGGGUAGAGUACAACUGUGAGCUUGUGAUAAAUGACAAAAGGUGACGGGUAGCAUUUGGGUGAUAUAGAGUUGGGUGACAUUGGUGAUAUUGACCAAUCACAAUGUCACAAUGUUUAUGAAAAAGAGAGAAACACAAGCAUUGUGGCAUUAUGAUUGACCAAUAUCACCAAUGUCAUCCAACUCUAUGUCAUCCAAAUAUUUUCCUGUGACACCACAGAAACUUCUCCAAAACAUGAAAUCCAAAACGUGAAAGACGUGAGUUUCCCGGAAUAUCAAUGUUGGAUCGCUUUUCCUAGAUUACGAUUGACACGUGUGUAUCCACUAUUCGGAGAGCCUUUAGAUAUUGUGCGCAGCCCCGGGCCCACAUGCCUUUGUUUUCCACUACUUUUUUUCUAUCUCAUUUCCAUAUGUUUUCGUCAUUCCAUCUCAUUUUAAUAAUCGUUUUAAAGUUACAUCUGUCUUAAAAAUAUUAAUAAAAUUGAUUUUAAUUGUAAAAUUAGUAUGAUUUACUAAAAUGUUUGUAUUAAUUAUAGUUAAUGGAGUAAAAUUCAAUAAAUAAAUGUAUACUAAUGAAAAUAAAAAUAAAUGUUGCAUGAAUAUUCUAAAGUUACAAUUAUUUUAAGAUAUAAAAACUUUUUAAAGUGACAAUUAAAAUGAGAUAGAGGGAGUAUUGGGGUAAUAGUCUUUUUGUCCUUGAAUAUGUAAUGGGUAGCUAGUGUCACAAUAGUUCUUCAAUGUAUCAAAAUUUUAAAACAGUCUCUGAUUGUGCACUUCGUUCCUCAAUAUAUCACAAUAAAUACUUAUUUAUUGUCAUUUAAGUCUUUACAUAAAAAGAGUUAUCGUAAGUAUUGAGAUGUUAUUUUAGUGUCAGUGACUAAUUUGACUAACAAAGAACACAAUCAAAGACUAUUUUAAAAUUGCAAUGCAUUAAGGGAUUAUUGUGACUACUACUUACACAUUCAGAUAUCAAAAUAACUAUUACAUCGAGAAAUAUUUGCAUGCUGCAUGUCACAUGACUUACAUAAUAGACACACAUCAAUGUACAAUUUAAAUAUUUAAUAUUUUUUUGUUAUUUAUUAGAAAAAAUUAUAUAAAUUUGAUAUAUAUUUUUAAAAAAAAAAAGUCAAAUUAGCUCAUUGAAAUUAGAAUCAAAGGGAAUCGAACCUCAUGCAUUGAUAAGAGUACAUUUCAAGGUUCUAAGUCAAAACCAUCAAGCCAAUCCAAAAUGAGUUAAUAUUUAGAAAAUAUUUAUCGAGACAAAUUCAACAAUAUCUUAUAUGCUACCAUUUAUUUUUAUAUACUAUGUUUUUUUUUUAGAAAAUAUGGUUAAAGUAUUAGAUAUUAAUAUUACACAUUAUUAAUAAGGUCAUUGAGUUUCAUCAUCUUUGCUAUAUAGUUUUUUUUUUUGACGGUCCCUAUUUGUCUUGUGCCUGAACUUGAUCAUUAAUAAAUUUUACAGUUAAAAAUAUAUAUUUUAUAUGAUGUGGAGGGAAUAGUAAACAUCAUCUAAAACUUAAUAUUACAAAAUUUUGGAUUUAAAUCCGAUUUGACAUUGUCAAUUGUGCCAGGUCUUACAAAUUUGGUUGUUCAUUCUUGUUUUUUGGUUUUAUUUAUCUACUAAUAUUACAUCAAUUUUAAGAUUUAGUUAAAAACAAAAAUUUGUUAGACUUUAUUAUUCUCAUGUUUCACUUUCACAAGUUUCUGUCACGUAUAAAGAAACAUCCAACCGGGAAGUUAUAAACUUCAUACAAAAGAAGUACUACUAUAAUAUUUUAUUUUGAAAGAAGGACUACUAUAAUAUAUACAGCUCUAUUUGAAUUAGAAAAUGUUACUUAGGCCGAAAAAAUUCGCACAAAAUCUUCACGAUAGAUAUGAAUAAUGAAUAGCUAUUUAGCGGACAUUUUUGGUAUUUACUAGUGUGGAAAAAUGGGUCGUGCCUGAUUGGUCCGUUUAAUCCGACAUUUUAAAUGAAGGAUUUGAACUCGAUUAUUUAAGUUGAUCUACUCUAUUUCAUUUUUGUCGAAUUAAAAACGGGGCGGCCAAAACGGCCCGUGCCAUCCCCACUUUGCGAUCCUAGUAAUUACUUUUUCUCAUGUUUUAUGCUAGAUAGAAGAUACAACACUCUUGCUAAAAAAAAAUCCAACUCUCAUAAAUAAUUCAUGAUAAUAAUAUUCGUUGUGUCCCCGUGAGCAUAGCUCAGUUGACAAGGACAUGCAUUAUUAUACGUUGAGGUUGGGGUUCGAAUUUCGGACACCUCACUUAUUCACUUUAAAAAUGGUAAAUUCUAGCCACUUGAUAAAAAAAAAUAAAAAAUAUUCGCCGUAAAUUGCUUAUCUCUAAUCUCUUAUCUUUAUUCUUUACCUUAUCAAAUUAUGCCAAAAUUGACUUAGCUUUUGGAGUACCAUUUGCAUAAAUCUCAUCCUGUUUCAAUUGAGCCCCUUAUAGUAAACAGUGUGCUUAAUAUCUAGAUUAGUUGGUUCCUUCUAAAAGAAAAUCUAGAUUAGUUGGUCUUUGGUCCGUUACCAAGUUUAAUAAAGAAACGAAAGUUAAAUAAAAAAUUUAUCUUAAUUCUUUUUAAAAAAAGUUGUUUUAACUUUUACCUGUAUGACUUUUACCUUUGAUUCCAAAAUUUGUUUGUAUUAAUAGAUUAUUAUUAAUUAAAUAUUCCAAGUGGUAUAUGUGCGCCCAUAAAGAUUAUCAAAGUUUCUUUUAAAAAUUUGACUGUUUUUUUUAUUUUUUUGAAAGAAUUUUUUUGACUGUUAUAAAGCUAUAUAUACAGAAGUUUCUGUUUAAUAUAAGGAAUUAAUUGAUAUAAAAAUAUUUUCAACAAAAUGACAUUUUGACUUCUGAAAUAAAAAAAUACUAUUAUUUUUUCCAAUGACUUUCUCUUUGUUGAACAAUGACGUAUUAUAUUAUUCUUUAAUAGAAAAAAAAUGGACUUGGUAAAUUUUAUAUUUGUAUAUGGAAAAAAUUGAAUAAAUGGAAUUGGUAAGAGGAGAAAGUGGUGUCUAGUGAGUUCCACUUUUUUGACCAAAACCAAAAUGUAUUAGAAAAGUCUUCCACUCUUUCUAUUAACCUUUGCAACUUUCAUUUCUUCAUCACAAAAGCAACCAAAAAACCAGUCUUAGUUUCUUUGCUUCGUGUCUUGUCUCUUUGUUUUUUAAGGUACGCUUCUUUUCUUAUAUUUCUUGCAUGUUGUUUGUUUUCACUUCAUAAUGACGAGUUUAAAAUGGUUCCACUUCCUUUAUUAGUCUCUUUGAAUAUGUAAUAUGAUGUUUUUGGUUUGAUAGUUAAUUGAUGAAAGAAAAAACAUUGACCAUGUUAAUAAUUUUUAUUUUUAUUUUUCGUUUUGUUUUACCAUGGAAACAACAUAGGACAGGUUGUUUUCUGUUUUCUGUUUAGAUUUUGUUUGUAACGAUUUCUUGUUUCAUAUCUUACCUGUAUUCAUGAAAAUAUUUAUAAUGAUUGGUGUAUAACUAUAAAUGACAGAAAUUUUUGUUCAUCAAAAAAUAAAUAACUGAAAGAAUUAACAUUUUUCAAUUAAAGCAUAUGAUUGUUGUAAAUUUCAGGCUGUUCAUGAUUAUGUAAGUUUAAAGGUUUUUUGUUUUGCCAACAAUUACAUGCAUAGACAAAAUGGGAAAAUUUAGCCCUUUAAGUUGAUUUUAUCUGUUUUAACUUUGUUAUGUUAAACUGAGUUUUGUGGUUUAAAUUUGGAAAAAAAAUCAUGGUUGGUUCAUCAGCAUCUUCUUGAAUCUUUUUCUCUUGUGUGGUUUUUUCAGAAAUCUUCAUGUGCGGUGAUUCUAAGAAAAAAACUUGUCAAAAGGAUUUGAUUAUGGGUUGUGAGUUUGUGAAUGGGAAUAAAGAAGGGCAGUAUCAUGAGGUUUCUUAUUUGCUUGAAUUUUCAGCUGCAGAUGAUGUGAUUGGUUUCAAAAAUGCGAUUGAAAACGAGGGUUGUGAUGUUGAUGGGGUUGGUUUGUGGUAUGGAAGGAACGUUGGUUCAAACAAAUUUGGUUAUGAAGAGAGGACACCUCUCAUGGUUGCUGCUAUGUAUGGAAGUUUGGAUGUAUCGGCUUAUAUUCUUGGAACAGGUCGGGUUGAUGUUAAUCGGUCUAGUGGAUCCGAUGGUGCUACUGCUCUUCAUUGUGCGGUUGUUGGGGGUUCUGCUGCUUCCCCCAAGAUUAUCAAGAUUUUGCUUGAUGCAUCGGCGGAUGCUAGUGCUGUUGAUGCCAACGGUAGCCGACCCGUUGAUUUGAUUGUUUCUCUGGCCAAUUCUAUCUUCAAUCAAAGGAAGAGGAUGCUACAAGCUCUUUUGGAGGGGACAGGCGGUGCUGAUCAGACACAUCUUUUGUUUCCAGAGACAAUUGAUGACAUUGACGAAUAUCAAAGGCAAGAUGUAAACACACCUCGUGUUUCAAAAGAUUAUGCUGUUGAUGUCUCUCUUCCAGACAUUAAGAAUGGGAUAUAUAGUACCGAUGAGUUUAGGAUGUAUACAUUCAAAGUGAAGCCUUGUUCAAGGGCUUAUUCUCAUGAUUGGACCGAGUGUCCUUUUGUUCAUCCAGGGGAAAAUGCAAGGCGACGCGAUCCAAGGAAAUAUCAUUAUAGCUGCGUCCCUUGUCCUGAGUUUCGGAAAGGAUCUUGCAGUAAAGGAGAUUCUUGUGACUAUGCACACGGUAUUUUUGAGUGCUGGCUUCAUCCUGCGCAGUAUAAGACACGGCUUUGCAAGGAUGAGAGUUUGUGCAUGAGAAGAGUUUGCUUCUUUGCUCACAAGGUCGAGGAGCUUCGCCCCUUGUAUGCUUCUACCGGUUCUGCUAUUCCAUCUCCUAGGUCAUAUUACAGUACUGCUUCUACAUUAGAGAUGGGUUCAAUUAGCCCAAUGUCACUUGGUUCUCCAUCUGUUUUGAUACCACCCUCCUCAACGCCGCCUUUGACUUCAUCUGGAGCGUCGUCUCCCGUUGCUGCUACAGCCAUGUGGCAGACACCGUCUAAUGUUUCGAUCCCUACCCUUCAGCUUCCCAAAAGCAGGUUGAAGACUGGAAUGACCGCUAGAGAUAUUAAUUCAGAUAUUGCAAUGCUUAGGGUUGAAACUCAGCGGCGAAAGCAGCAACUACUGAUGGAUGAGAUGUCCGGUCUUUCCUCUCCUUCCAACUGGAAUCAUUCCAUGCCUAACAGUCCAUCUUUUCCGGUUUCUUCGACCAACCAUACCACCGGGGAACUAAAUAGGUUUUCGGGGGUGAAUCCUACAAACCUUGAAGACUUUUUCGGGUCUCUUGAUCCGUCAAUGUUGCAUAAAUUCCACGGAAUUUCACUUGAUUCUGCAGGAUCUCAGUUACAAUCUCCGACUGGAAUCCAAAUGCGUCCGAAUAUGAACCAGCAUCUGCAACAAAACUAUUCUUCAGGCCAUUCCACUUCCAGUGUGAUUGGAUCUCCGACUUAUAGGUUUCAGCCAUCCGGGGAGUUAUCCGCAUCGGCUUUGAAUGCAAGAGCUGCUGCAUUUUCAAAGCGGAGCCAGAGCUUUAUCGAGCGCGGUGUCACAAACCGUCAUUCUGAGCUUCAUUCUCCUGCUAAGCCUUAUGCUUUUUCUAACUGGGGCUCACCCGAUGGAAAUUUAGAUUGGACUUCACACGGAGAAGAACUGAAUAAGCUGAGGAAAUCAUCUUCAUUUGCAUUUCGAACCACCAGUACUCCUUUAACUCCAGCUGCAGCUAGGGCACAGGAAAAUGACUAUGAACCAGAUGUGUCUUGGGUUAAUACACUUGUAAAGGAUGCUACGCCGCAAGAAUCUCAUCAGUUUAGUGUUGAAGAUCAGAAAAGGAAACUGCAGCGCCAUCUUAACAAUGGAACAGAUUCGAUUCCGGCUUGGUUGGAGCAAUUGUACAUGGAUCAGGAGCAAAUAGUGCAGUGAAUGCAAUUUUAGAAGUUACUCACAAUGUUUUGCUCCUUUUUCGCAACUCUCUCAACUCGGCUCUUAAUUCAUUUUAUGAUUUUUUUGAAUCUUAUAGAAUUUGUUUAGAUGACAAUUUGUAAAACUGAUGGAAAAAAUAGUCCCCAAAAGCUAUAGAAUAUACUAUAGAAGUUGGGUAGGAUGCAAAUUUACUGCUCAAGGAACUACAUAUUACCAGAGUAAUUGAUCACAAUUUUUUCUGAUAUUUUGUCAUAUAGUCUAUUGAGUUGUGAGUUUUAACUUUCCAUUGACAAAUUUACAAAGAUGUAGUGAGAUUAAUGAUCAAUAUGAUGAGGCUAAAGAGGUAACAAUUUUCAGAAUGUCAAUUCUCAAUUUACAUAUCACACAAUUUAAUUUAUUUUUUGUCUUAACCAUUUGAUAUAUAAAGAAAAGAAAUCUUAAUAAUCUGGAGUUUGAUUGUGAGAAAAGAUUCUAAUAAUCUGGAGUUUGAUCGAGAGAAGUCUGAUUAAAAAUUGUUUUAGUUGGAUUUAAACUCGAAUACUCUCAAUUGAUUCGAUUUUCAUUGAAGUUUAUUAAGCACACAUCUUAAUUGGUUUUUUCUAAAUGUUUUGAAGUGCUAAACAAGUUAUGAAGUCAACUUUGGCGUGUUUGAUUUUUCCUAUUUACCAUUCACAGUGAUGUUUAAGUGGGUCCAGUCUAGUUGCAACUUAGGUGAGCUAUUGAGGGUCUACUUAAAUAUUGCUGUACUAUUUGUGACACUUGUAGCAGCCAAAUUAGACUGAUUUUUGUUGGAUUCUACUAUGUUUAGAUUUGUAUUGACAAACUAGCUUUAAAGUUAUUAUUUUUUCUCAGAGAUUUUAUUUAAGAUUCUAAAAUUUAAAAUAGUUCAACGUGUUUUUAGAGGUUUUAUGCGAUGUUUUUAGAGAUUUUUAUAGAAUGUUUAUGUCAUUUAAAUUCUAUAAUCCAAACUAUAUAGGACUCGCGAUAAAUUUAUAAGAUUGAAAAAGAAGCAAUCCUAACUUGAACGUGAUUUUAUUGAGUUACAUGAGAUAUACACAUGCAAGGCACUAUAAAUGUGUGACAUGUAGUAUAACUUUCUAAUAUUCCUAAACAUGUAAAAUGUUACUUUUUUUUUUGAAAGAAUGUAAAAUGUUACUAUUGGUUAAUGUUUUGUUGAAGCAUAUAAACAAAUAAAAUCCUUUAAAAUUUGUUUAAAAAUAGACUAAUUUUGUAGACAGCAAAGAUUUUAUUUGCAUUUCUUACUCUUUUUAUUCUUGAGCUUUGUAGAAUCAGCAUAGUUUCAUUUUCUGUUAGUAUAUUAUCUUGUAUUUUUUAAAGUUUACAUUCAUUUGAGCACUAAGAAAAAGCUUUUUACAAAGUUUUUGUCGUAUUCUAAUUGGCUUUUAUCGCACUUUGGCUUUUUUCAUCAACCUUUUUCUUGGGAUGACAUAAUGAAACUUAUAGUUCAGGUCUCUUGACAUAAUUUUGGUCCACACGUUAAUAUUUGUUUAAUAUUUAGGAGCACUAAAAAGUUACAAGUCAAGUAAGUUACGCUUCUUCUAAAACUCUCAUGUUUGAUUUUUAUUUAAAAGUAACCAAAUAUUUCUACCAUUUAAGCCAAUAUCCAUGGCUUUGGCUGAUUCACUAGAAUAAAUUUGAGUAGCCUGAUAUGUUUACUUGAUUUUAAUGUUCUCCACCUUUGAAGUUUUUCCCCCUCAAUACGUUUAACAAUCUAAACUUUGUUUGGAUUUGGAUUAUGUCAUUACUUGCGAUUUUUUGUCAAAUGUAGCUUCAGUUUUUUCCACACAAGGGGCCCCUUGUGCAGAAAAUUAGAGGUAGCUUCAAUAUUUUACUAGUGGAUACAACAUUUGUCCCUCUGUAUGGAAAAAAAAAAAAUACCAUCUCCACUAUACAUGAAGUUGUCUACUUGUGAUGUGUGAAAUGCAUUGUAUAUUUAGAUGAACUUUGUAUAUUUGGUUCGUCUUGGAUCGGUUCGGUUAAUUAGUUGGUUUGAAAAUACAAUUAAAAAAAAAAUCAUAUUCUUUUAAGUUUGUAUUUCCUAUAUACAACUCACCCAAAUAUUUCAUGGAACUUUGUAUUUCAUUUUUUGUUUUUCAUUAUCUUUGAUUUUCAAACAACUUUAAAUUCAUGAAACACAACUUCAUCAAAAUCAAAUUUUUCAAUCCUCCAUAAUAAUUCAUACACAAAUUUAUUUAUAAUCAUUCAUGAAUCAAACACAAAUUCCAAAAGACAUCCAGAAAUUAAAAUAUACUCAAAACAAUACUCCAUGCAAACUAAAAUUUAAACAUCCUAAAAUUAAGUUUCUCGUCAAAUUUUUAAAAAAAGUCCACACUAAAAUUUCAAUUUCAAUUCACAUUCACAAUCCUAACUUUACUUAAGUGUGUGUAUGAGGUGUAAGGGAAAUGAUAUUAGUAAAUUGAGAGGGCGCGGUAAGAAUCGAUUCGGUUCAUUAGUUCUUUGGGUUUCAAAAUCAAAAUCCAAGAACUGAACCAUACUAAAAUAAUUUAGGUUGAUUUAGUUUAAUUUUAAACAGAACCAAACAAGGUCGAAUAUUUUUUUUGUUUGAUUCGGUUUGGAGUUUCGAUUUCGUUGAUUUGGUCUAAACCAUUUACAUCCCUAACUUUUAUUAGUACUUUGUUAUACAAAAAAUAAUGUUACGUAACAUUAUUAUUUUAAGAUCCAGAGCUAGUAACAACCUGUUGUCGUUUAGGACAAACUCCCAAGAAAAGUAAAAUGGAAAUUAUAUUUAGGGUUAAUAGUGUUUUUUACCCCUGUAAUAUAUGUUAUUUUUGGUUUUCGCCCCUAUAAAAUUUUCGGUUUGAUUUGCACCCUUGUAAAAAUUUUAUUUUCCGGAAAACACUCCUAAUAGGCCAUUUUCAGAAUUUUUUUUCCAAGAAAUUUUGGUUUUUGAAUGGCUUAUUAAGGAUGUUUUCCGAAAAAUAAAAAUUUUACGAGGGUGCAAAUCAAACCGAAAAUUUUAUAGGGACGAAAACCGAAAAUUACAUAUAUUACAGGGUGAAAAAAACUAUUAACCCUUAUAUUUAUAAUGAGAAAAUGAAUUACAUCAAAAGAUAGGAGGGGGUACAUUUGAUAAGGCUUACUAUAAGCCAUUGAUUUGGUUAUAGAUCAAUUAAUUUCACGAGUUCCUCGAGCAGAAUCAGUUCGGAACAAAUUAUUUGAUCUAUAACCAAAUAAAUGGCUUAUAGAAUAGUCCAUAAUUCAUAAUUAGAACCUAAGGAUCUUCUGAAAGCCAAAAUUUGCAUUUACCGUUAUAUUCGAAGCACGAUUCAUCAACACUAGAAUUGGUGAAAGAAUAUGGAAUUUAUUAACCAUAAAUCUGCGAAAACAUGAUAAGUUUUGAAGUCUAAAACAAUAAGCCGCAGCGCUGCAAUAGUCGCUGCAACAGACAUGAUGCCAUAGAACCAAAUGUUGAUCAAAUGCCAAAGCUUUCGAAUGGAUGUUAGUUUGUUCUUAUUCGAAGUCGUGUUAGCACGUCUAACCAAAACUCGAAAUGACAAGUUCUUAAAAGCCAGAGCAUUCCCUUUGAUCCCAUGUUUGGUAUCAAACUACUCAUACAUUGAACAAAUUCAAGUUAUCAAGUAUUUCGCGUCAAAUGUAGUAUUUUCGCCUCUUUCACGGUUUUGAAGUGAAACUAUCUACUGCUUGUCAGCUGAAACAAUUGGAGGUUUCUCAAAAUAUCAGAAGAAGACUAAAAUCACAAAAGAGUGGCAUUAUAUUCCAUGGUAAGCAGAUAAAAUGAAAGAAGAUGUUCAGAAUAGAGAUAGAAGGAAUGAUGAUGAAACUCAGAACACAAUUGCAAGAUCUGGACAACAAUUUCAGAUGUACCGACCGGGGAAACCAGAAACAUGUACAUUAUUCUCUUCACACAAAAGUACAUUAAUCAAAUGAGUGUCAAUGAAAGCUAUGACAAUAUAUGCAAGGCGUAAGACCGUCGAAAAUCCUAGCCAAAUUCCAAGAAACGAAAGAUGAGGAAUACAAAUGGUAAACAUUGCACACACAAGUCCAGCUAUAGAAAUAAAACGUGGAAGCUUCAUUUGAUCAUCAUCCCUAAAUAGAACAUAAAUAGCCUGCACAACAAGGAUAUUUACAAAAUCUUCCCCAAAAAUAUGUUACACUCAAUUUGAUUUCAUACAAAAUCUUCAUCUUACAUGAAAGAUAUAAUAUUACAUAAAAAACCGUCUAGAAGUCCUAGCUCAACUUGUAAAUGCCGAAAUUGCAAGGCCGGACAUCGUGACCCGGGUUCGCAUAGAUUGAGAUAGUUUGGGAUGGAUUGAUAUAUUUUGAGAUAGUUUGGCAUAGUUUGAGAUAGUUUAAGAUAGUUUGAAAUGGUUUGUAAAUUUUGGUCUUUAUAAAUAUAUAAACUUUUUAUUUUAGUUCCUCUAAAAUUUUCCUUUAACUUAUAGUUUGUAUAAAAUUUUCAAUUUUUACAUUUGGUCUCUAUUUUUAAUUAAUUUUUGUAUUUUUUUAUGAAAUUGAAUAUAAACGUAUAGAAUAUUGUAAAAGUCACUCCAAAAAAAAUCAUAAUUUUUUAUUAAAACAUAAAUUAAAUAUGAAUCUUUUACCAUAAAAAAUAUAAAAAUUCAUAUUUAAUACAUGUUUUGGUAAAAAAAAUCUAAUUUUUUUUUUGGAGAGAUCUUUAUAAUUUUAUAAAUUUUUCUGCAAAUUUUUAUUCAAAAAUAUAAAUUCUACAUAUGAGCUUACUUUAAAGAAGGGAUCAAAAUGAAGAUGAAAUUUUUUUGGAGGACUAAAAGUUGAAGAAAUUUUUUAAAGGUACUAAAGCGAAAAAAUUAACAUAUUUAUAGGGACUAAAAACAUAAUUAACCUUAUUUUAAUUGAGAAAUAUAAAAAAAUAUUUUUAACUGCCUUUCUUUAAUUGUGUCCCAUAGUUUGACUUGGUUUUAUAAGACAUGUUUUUUCUAGAUUACCCUCUCUUAUUUAGAGGGUAUUUUACGCUCUCAUGAUAUCAACCAAUCAAAAUGUAAUAUACAUUGGCAACAUUAAAUGUCAUAAAUGACUCAAUUUUUUUCUAAAAAAGAAUCAAUUAUAAUCAUAAGGUAACUUUUAAUUUUUUAUUUAAUUAUAGACAUGAUUACAUUAGAGAUCAUUUAUCUUAUUUAUUUGUUACACUUGGGUCCUUUAUCUUUAUUUUUUUUCACUUAGGUCAUUUAUCUCUUAUAAAAGCACAUAUACAUCAUUUUUCUCAUUUUUUUAAUUAUAAAAAAUACAUAAUUUUAUUUUUUAAAAUAUCUUUUUAUUAAAAAUAAAACAAAUCCAGAAAUAUGAUGAAGAUGUUCAUCAUCUUCAUCUUCUUCCUUUGAAUCUUCAUCAUCUUCGUUGAAUCAAAAGAAUUUCUACACAAAUAUAUCUCCAAAUAUCAUGAAUUAAUGUUAUAUUCACCUCAAAUUUUCUUUUAAACACAAAAAUCAAACCCCUAUAGAGAAAGAGAUUUAGUUUUAUCACAACAAAAAAAAAUAGUUAUAUAAAUUGUCAAAGCUGUAUAUUACUAUUUUUAUUAUUUUCUAACUCAAUAUUCAAGUCCGACAUAAAAAUAACCUCAAAAUUGAUAGCAACUUUGCAUAUCAAUUUUGUUGUUUCCAGAACAAUCUUAACUUUCGUAAAGCCUAACCCUUCCGUCAGUGACUAAGCCUCCAGCAUCCGCCUUGCAACAUUUGUGAAAUUAAGAUUUUGAUUUUUGUGUUUAAAAUAAAAUUUGAGGUGAAUAUAAUAUUUCGAGAUAUAUUUAAAAAAAAUUUUUUUUGGGAAAAUUACACUUUUAGUCCUUUAACUUAAUUUCAGGUAACAAUUUGGUCUUUUAUCUUUUUUUAUUUUAAUUUGAUCCUUUUUGUCCAUUUUCAUAUACAUUUUCAAGCUUCGAAUCUAAUAUUUUAUGCAAACAUAGACAAGGAUCAUAGAUUUGAAGACUCAAGGACCAUAAGAAAAUAAAAUCAUGAAUUUUAAGCUUAAAAAUUCAUAUGAAAAUAGACAAAAAUGACCAAAUUGAAAUGAAAAAAAACGAUAAAGGACCAAACUGUUACCCGAAAUUAAGUUAAGGGACUAAAAGUGUAAUUUUGCCAAUUUUUUAUUUAUUUAAAGAAGAUGAUUAAGAUUCAAAGGAAGAAGUGAAGAUGAUGAACAUCUUUAUCAUAUUUUUGGAUUAUUUUUUUUCAGUUUUAAUAAAAUAUAUUUCUAAAAAUAAAAUUAUGUAUUUUUUAAUUAAAAAAAUGUGUAAAAAGAUGUAUAUGUGCUUUUAAGAGAGAUAAAUGACCUAAACGGGAAAAAAUAAAGAUAUAUGACCAAAGUGUUACAAAUAAAUAAGAUAAAGGACCCAUAAUAUAAUAUUGUCUUAAUUAUAUUUAGUGUUCAAUCUUAAUUAAUUUACACUACAGGACUGGCUUAGAACAAUUAAAAUUUCACAUCAAAUUUCUUUCAUCUGAAUGUCCUUAAAUUUAUCAGUUAUAUUCAUAAAAUUUAUUCAUCCCAUUUUGAUUGUUCAAUUUUGUCGUUCCCAACUGCCGCAUUUUUCAAUUUUCGUGAGAAUCGUCAUGAUUUCAAAUAUCGUGAGAAUUGCCUUUACUUCCAGUACAACGUCAAGUAUGAUGACUUGAUUUUUCUUUUUGAUUUGAUUUUUCUUGGUUGUGAGGUAGUUAAUUAUAACAAUUGAGUAAAUCAUCCGUUGUACUUUGAGGGCUGCUAGCAGGUGUUGCCGCUGUGAUGCUGUGGGAGUUUGCUAGCAUUUUUAUGGUUGCUGCUGAAAUGGUUAUGUGAUGAGAUUUUUGUUCUUUUAUUUGGAUUUAAAAGCUUUUGCUGAUAGUGAGACAGGUCUAUGCGUGUUAACAUAUUUUAUUAGGUUGACUGCUUAAAUAAAAUAAAAAAGUCACGAUACCUGACGCAGUUCUAGAAACAACGACAAUUCUCACGAUAAUUGGAAAUUGCGGCAAUUUGGAACGACAAAAUUGAACAAUUAAAAUGUGAAGAAGAAUGAAAAAGAAACAAAAAUUGAUCAAUAUGGAAGAAUAAAGAAGAAGAAAUUUGAAAGAAUGAGAUGUUUUUGUUCUCACGUUCGGGGUUCUGGAAUGGAAGAAAUUUUAUGAAUAUAAAUGAUGAAUUUAAGGACAUCCAGAUGAAAGAAAUUUGAUGUAAAAUUUUAUUUGUUAUAAGUUUUAUAGUGUAAAUUAAUUAAGAUUGAACACCUUAAUAUAAAAAAAAAAUUAAUAAAAAUUAAAAGUAUUAAAAGUUACCUUUUGAUUAAGAUUAACUCGCCUUCAAAAAUAAAAUAAUUAAGACUAACUCAUUUAUUUUUAGAAAGAAUCUACUCAUUUUUUUUUUAAUUCCAAUCUUUUGAUAUUUCUUGAAUGUUGCUAUUAUUAAGGAUUCAUUAUUGCUUGACUCAACAAUAACGUGACACGAGAAGUUUAGGGACAACAAUAGAUACAAACGAUGUUUUUUCAAUUAGAGAGAAGAACAUAAGAAAAGAAGAUAUUAAAAGGAGAAGAACAGAAGAAACAUAGCAUUAGAGAGAAGAGAAAUAAAGUAGAACUCAUCGAUGGUGUUGAUGGAUGCAAUUGGUGAUGUUGGUGUUGAGAUUGAGGCGACGGUGGUAAUGAUUCGAAGAGGGAAUAAUUAUCAAUCGGUGGUGACGAGAAACCCUAUUUUUUAGGUUAGAAGAGGCAAUAUGUUUUUGAUUUUAUUUUAGGGAAGCAAUAUGUUUUUUAUAGUGUUGUCGGUCUUUAUGUAUUUUUAUUUCUUAUUCUUUUAUUACUUUUUUUAAAAUGGAAAUAUGUAAGACAGAAAUCACAUAUUAAAAAAAAGGGAAAAUCAUGCAUACGUAUCGCGAUAAAGUAUCGGUUUAUUCAGCCAUAUUGAAGUAUAAGUUAGCCGUAUCCGACACGUAUUGUUUUUUUUAUUUUGCAAAAAAAAUAAAUAUUAAUGGCCCGAUACUUCUCUAAUACAUAUGUCUGAACGUAUCGAGAUGUAUCAAUGUCGGAUACGCGUCGGACACAAUUCUUCACUAUUUUAAGAGUAUCGAGGCUUCACAAAUCUAUGUUUGAAAUGAGGAUUUUAGUGAUUAAUAUUGUUGUUGGGCAUCAUACUCUUGGUUUUACAAAUACUCUCUUGUGAUUUGGUAACUAUAAUUUGAGGCGUACAUAAUUUUGUAACAUUUUGUUGUUUUUGAUUUUUGAAGAAACAUUUUGUUGUUUAUGAUAUUUUGAUGCAGAGAUGCAUGAUUUUGAUGAAUGAAAAUGAGCUUCAACAGAAUUCAGUUUCGUCCUUUAACUUCUUAUGCUCAAUUCAUUUCAGUCCCUUAUUUUAAAAUUAAAAAGUCAAUUUGGUCCCUUACUUUGUGUCAAAAGUUAUAUUUUUUUGGUCCCUUACAUUUUCUAUAAAGUAAAAUUUGGUCCCCAAUCCGAAAUAGAUGAUUAUGACAGUAUAACUGGAUCAAAACUAACUCAAACCAUAACAUAAUAUAACCUGGUCAAAAUAGUAUAUCAUUAAUAAUAGGUUAAAAAGUGAUUCACAACGAAGACAUAAUAAAAUUCAAAAUAUAUAUCUUAUAAGUCCUAACUCAAUCCAUAAAAAUAUUGAAACUGUUAAGCCGUACAUUAUAACCGGAGUUCGAACCCGGAGUUUAUGAUAACUUUGCCAUCCCUUCCAUCUCUAUAUAGAACAUUGAUAAUGUAACCAAAAAAUAUAGAACAUGACCCUUGUUCUAAAUUCCUUUUUUUCUAUGGCCUUCCCAGCAUCUUCUUAAUGGGAGGUUGCUGCAGAUCUGUAUAUUGUGUCCGCACCCACAAAUUUGAGCCAUUACAUGGACACACUGAAGGUAGGUAAACUGCUUCAUAACAUGCCUUCUUGUAGCAUGCCGGUAUCAAAAGACUUAACCAAAUUAUUGAGUUACAAUAAUCGUGUAUAUAAGUUUGUGGUUAGUGUGGUUCUGCCAAUGGGUGUUUAAUUUUAUAAAAGUCAUAUAUCCAUGUAAGUAUAAGAAAAGUGAUUAUUUAUAGGGAUAACAUAUUAAGAGAGUGUGUAAUUACAUUUAGUCAAAAUCAAUAAAUGUUCCACAAUAUUUGAUAUUCAAUUAAUCCAAAAUUUAGCAAAAAUGUGACUAUGAAAAUUCAUAAGGAAAUACUCCCUCCGGUCCUUAUUAUAAGAAAAAAUUAACUUUUUAGAUACAAUGAAUCAAAAAAGUUAAUUGUUUCUUAUAAUAAGGACCGGAGGGAGUAAGAAACUCAAGAAUCUCCAAAUUAGAUUAACAUAUAUCAAUAAACGUUUCUAUGAAUGUUGGAUUCACCACAAUGAAACGUUUCCUAAGGUUAGAUAAGCUUCAACGCUCAACAAACAUUAACAGAGUAUUUACAAAUCACACAUCAAAGAGGUUCUCAUGUUGGUGACGGAUGAUUUUGCUAUGUGAAUCAACUUCUUAUCAACUGAAUCAAUCUUAUUGAAAUUAACUUAUGGUUUUAGAUAGAUUAAUAUUGCAGAUAACAAUGAUUUUAUUUGCAUUUACAGUUUUAAACGUGUUUGUUUUCUUAUCUUCUUUAUAUUCUUGGUCAUGAUCUUGUAGUCAGAAUAUAAGUAUAGUUUAUCCUUAAAAUAAAGUAUAGUUUAAUUUCCUGUUAGCAUUAUCUUGUAUUUUUUCAAAGUUUACAUUCAUUUAAGCACAAAGAAAAAGCUUUUUAUAAAGCUUUUGUCGUAUUCUAAUUGGCUUUUAUCGCACUUGGCUCUCAUAAACCCUCAAUGAGUUUAACAAUCAAAAACUUUGGAUUUGGAUUCUGUCAUUUUGCUAUUGUUUUUCUCCAAUGUAUUAUGUAGCUUGAGUUUUUUCCACAUAAGGUACCUCUUGAAAUUGAAGUUGUCUUAUGUGAAAUUCAUUGUGUAUUAAGAUGAACUUUGUUAUUUCAGCGUAGUGUCGAUACUUUCAACCAUCUUUAUAUUUUUUAGUGUACUAGUAUUUUCACCCAUGCAUUGCACGGGCGAAAAAGGAUUUAUUGUGACCGAACGUACAACCAAAAUAAAAACAUAUAAUGCAUUUCUUAGACAAAUCAAAUGUUCUUGUCAUCACAAAAAUUUGUCUUAUUGUAAUAAGCAAAUGUUGAUUCUCAAUACAUAAUGUAUAAAUGAGUAAAAAUAUAUCCAAUAUAUUGAAUACAAAUGUUAAAAUCAACAUAAUUUUAUACUAAUAUUAUAUUUAUCGGAAAUGUGUUAUCAUUUGUUAUUUGACAGGUUGAAUUCAAUUCUUAAAUAUUCGACAAAUAACUAUUUGGCAAGUUGAAUUCAAUUCUUAGAUAUUUGGUAAAUAUUGUGCUUGAGGUUAUCCUUCGUGUUUUUUGAAAGAUAAAUUAAGAAGCCAUCUUAUUGCAAUAAAUAUAAUAUUUAGACUUUUUUUUACAAUAAAAAAAACUUCACUUAAUAAAAACAAAACACUAAAAGAAAUAUAUCAAAAAAUAAAAUCUUACACAAUUAAAAUUUGGACUUGGUAAAAAGUCAUUGUCGAUAAUAGCUUCAACAUCUACUUCACAAAUAAGUAAGUAUUUGUUAUGCUUCACACAAAUCAUAAAUCCUUUGUAUCAUACUUUUAGUUACUAUAACUUUUAAGAAAUUUAAUAGGAUCGGUAUAUGAUUUACAAAUUUGAUAAAGAAUUAGAUACACAAUAGGCACAGUAAACCAAAUUGGGUAUAAAAAAGACUAAACCUUGAGCAAAUAAUAAUGUUUAAAGUCUUCUAUUAGUACUUUGUUAUACAAAAAUUAAUGUAUAAGCAACAUUAUUAGUACUUUGUAAUAAAGAUUGCUAAAAUUAAAAAAACAAUGAAAGGAAGAAUUAAAAUAUUUUAUUCUUUACUAAUUUACUUAGCUUGUUUUACAUUCUAAAUGUGCAAUACUCUCAUGAGAUUACAAACAAAAACUAACAAAUUGAUCUAUAACUUCAUCUAAUAAUUCAUCUAAAAUCUCUAACUCAAAAUCAGCACUUAUAUUUUCUAAAUCAUUUUGUUUCCUCUUGACUUCAUGCAAUUCACUUACCAAUUCAUCAUCAACUAGCUUGCAAAUUUUAAUCCAAAUAUCUACACAUUCAUUGUUAUGCCUCUCUUUUUUCCUUGAUCCUUCAUUCAAAUUGUUCUCAAUUUCCUUAACUUUACUCUCUUCUUCAUUCAUAAAGUUACUAUCAGAAUGUAGAAUAAAUAGCUGGUCAUUUUCAAGUACUGGUGACAAUUUUCUUCUCCAACUCAUAUCAACAUCACAAAGAUCUUCCUCUGCAACAUGUUUAUAUAUGUAAUUAGUUAGCAAAUUUAAAACAUGUAAAAAGGAAAAAAAAAAUUAAGCUACACUAUGUAUGUAAAUUCUAAGGAUAAUUGUGUGUAUGAUUUUGUUUGCAUUCAAAUUAAAAUGAGACAAACUAUUAGGUCAUGUUUGGAUAAAAAGUUUAAUUAAACAACUUAUAUCAUUAUCACUUAUCGUAUAAGCACUUAUGUAUUAAACUAUUUCCAAAAAAAAGAUAAAAUCAAUUUAUAUUAUUUUCAUUCAAGGUAUAAGACAUUUUCAUAAGUUAUCCUCUAUGAAGCACAUAUACGGACACGGACACGACACAGAUACCGACACGCCGACACAACUAAUAAUUUGAAAAAAAUCACAUAACUCAUUGUAAUUACAAGUGUCGGUGUCAUGUCCUGGUGUCGGACAUCAGGACACGAUAUGUGCUUCAUAGGUUAUCCUUAAAAGCUUCUAGAAAUAAUCUAAAACCAACUUAUUAUGAGCAUGUCAAUAGCUCUUUACUUGUCUCUAAACUCAAAUAAACAUAACCAAACAUGCAUUAAAAGUUAAGCUAAGAUGAAGAAACAAACCUGUUCCUGAAACAUCAUGCUCAAAAUCAAAGACAGAAACAGGACUAUAAUCUUCUGAACUACAUUCACUUUCAACCUUCUCUUCAACACAACAUGUUUUUCCUUUCUUUCUCUUCUUCACUUUCUCACCAUUUCCAACUGCCUUAAACAAACUCUUCUCAAAAUGAAAUUCACCAUCAUCAUUCACCUUUUCUCUCUUGUUUCUCUUCACUUCACCUCUCACUUCUCUUUUCUUCUCUUUUCUUCUUCCUUUGGACUUGAAUUUUCUAUUCUCACCUCCACUUUCAAAGCUAAACACCAAAAAGUUCUCAUUUUCAAGCAAAUGAAAAGCUUGUGGCACAUAGUUCAAUGACUUGCAAUGUGUAGGUGAACUUGGUUUUGAUUCAGAAACUUUAUCUUCUUCCAUUGAAUCAAUCCCAUUAACCUUGCAACUACACCAGAAGAAGAAGAAGAAGAAAUUAUAGUUCUUGUAGUAGUAGGAGUGUUAGUCUUAAAUUUUUGAACUUUUUCACUUACAAUGAACUUUGAAUGAAACUCUCUAAUCCUAUGAAAAAUGGUUGUGAAACACCCUGCAGCAACAGUUUUUGAGCUGCAAAAUGUUGAGUCAAAGCUAAAGUUUGAUGAAGAUGAUGGUGAUGAUGAUGAUGAAUAAGAUAAUGUUAAGAGCUUCAUGUUUAUAUGAUUUAGAAGAAGAAAAAAAAAGAAACCAAAAUGGUUCUUUUUCUUUAUACUUUUGGAUUUUGAAAUUCUCCAAUGAUAAAAAGCAAUGGAAGAAUCUAAAGUAUAUGAAUAUGAAUAUAAAGAUUUGAAUUUUGAUAUAAUGAAGAGAAGGGUCGCGGGAUUUUUAUUUGAAUAUGUGAGAAAAAGAAAGUGUAAAGAUUAGAAUGGAAUAUGGUGUACUAUGCUUUUGGUUAUUGAAAUGUGACAAGUCAUUUUUUUGUUAUGAAUUUGUCUUUUUAUUUCCUUGUUUGGACCAAACAAAAGACAUGUCUUGGGGCACGUUAAGAGGACACUUUUUUACUCUGCCUCCUUUGAAGUUCAAAUGGUGAAAAGAAUCAAUGAGAAUGUGAUGAGGUAUGAAGCACAUAUACUUCUUGGAUUAGGCGUGUCUCAGUGUCGAUAUAAUACCGACAUUUAUAAUUACAUUGAAUUACGUAAUUUUUUAAAAUUACUAGUUGUAUUGGCGUGUGAGUGUCCGGUGUCCACAUCUAUGUUUCAUAGGGGAUGAGUGUGUUUGUUUAGAUUUUUACUUUUUUUACUUUAUUGAUUUUGAUGAUAGAUUAGAAAGAAAGUGAGGAUUGGAUCAGAUUAUUGUAUGGUCUAAGCUAGGCAGUGAUUGUAUAGUUUGUUUUGUAGUUUUGUGUGGAGGGAGAGACAUUUGACAGAUUGUGUUUUGUUUUUGUAUAAUGUCAGUGGUAUGAUCAAAUUCUUUUGGGGUUUGAUGUUAAAGAUACUGUCAUUUUGAUUGUGUUUGUUCCAACAUAGUCCCUAUUAUUUUGUGGGAUUGAAGGUUAGUAAUUUGAUAUUGAAGUGGGACAUUUGAUAAGCACUUAUAAUUGAAUUGAAAUUGGUUGGUUAAAAUGAUGGAAAAGGAUAUCAACCAUUCCUUUUUAUAGGCUAAGGAAUAAUUUUAGGUUUAAUCUUCAAUUUAUGAGAUACAAGAAUUUUCAACUCAUCAUGAUGACAAUUAUUAAAUUUAAUACACUUUUAGUUCCUCCUAAUUUUAUGAUUCAUGAUUUUAACUCCUUGCUUUAAAAUUCCAAAAGUAUAGUGCUCCAUAUUUGAAAAUUUUAGAAUUUUUCUCCAACCUUAAAUUGAGGUUUUUUUAUAGGCAAAUGUUAGUUUAUUAAUAUAUUUUUUUAAGGGAGUUUAUUAAUAUAUUGUUAGAGGGGACAUAGUUAGUUUAUUAGUAUAUUGUUAGAGGGGAAAAGAAAUGUUAGCAGUCAGGAAUCGAACUCAGAAACUCAUUUUUAAACUCCUCCAUUGUAUAAACUUACUAACAACUAGACUACACCUGUAAUGCCCUAUUUAUUUAUUAGAUUAUUCUAUUGAGUUUAGAGUAUAUUUAUAUGAUUUAUGUGAUCAAAAUGAUUAUGUGGUGUGUUGUUAUUUUAUUAAGUGGUGUUAUUUAUUUAUUUGAUAGAAUAAGAUUUGAAAAUAAAAUAAGAUUAAGUUGUGGGGGUUGUUUUGAGAAUUUAGAGAGUUUAAUAGAAUAAGUGAGAAAUAGGAUUUAAUUGGAGUUUUUGGGUUAAAUAAGAAUUAAGUGAAUAAAGUGGGCGUUAAUUAAAUAUUGGAAGAUUAUAUUUACUGAGAAAAAGGAGAAAAUAUGGUUAGAAGCAGUUUCACGUACAAACAAUUUUUGGGAGAAAAACCAAGAGAAAGCUAGGAGAAGAAUCAAGAGAGAGUUGCGGAUCGAUUUUCUUAAGGUAAGGGUAAGACUAACUUUCAAUAAUUAUAGUGUAUGUAAAUUCUGAAAUUGAUUUAACAUGUGGGUUGUUCUUGAUUUUGGAAAUUGGGAAUUAGGUUUAGAAGUUGUAAUUGGUUGUUUUAAUUGUAGAAUUGAUUGUUGGAAUUAAGAUGUUAAUGAAGUUAGGGUUGUGAAAAGAAGUUAGAGUUUUGAAAAGAAGUUAGGGUUUUGAAUUGCAAUUUGAUUGUUGAAAGUGUAGGCAAUCCAAUGAAUUAACAUAUGAUAUGAUGUUCAGGUUGUAGAAUAAUCAUAGGUUAAGUUUCCAAACAAAUUUGGGAGUUUGUGUUUGAGUAUAAUGAAUUAAUAGUGAUUCUUAAGUGAAAAACGCAUUGUUAAACUGAUUUUUGAACUGCUGUGAAGCUCAAAAUCGGCCCCCGAGUUUUCAAAAUCGGCCACCGAUUUUUGAGCUGAUUUUCUAGCUUUGGUUCGACGAAAAUCGGCCCCCGAUUUGUCAAAUUCGGCCCCCGAUUUUCUGUCAGGCAAAUCUGAAAAUAUUCGUAAUUUUCACCAUUUUCUGUUUUGAAUUUGCUUUCGGUGUAAACAUAAAAGUUUUAGAUAAUUUUGUUAGCUUUCCAAUGGCUUUGGUUUGACUUGAAAAUGAUUUUUAUUUUUUGAGAUAUGAUGAAAAUACUCCAAGGAGGUUUUAGUGAACCUUAUGAAAAUUCAGCAUAACCGUUUCUAAGUUAACCCAAAAUUUAUGGGAUAAUUUCAACCCUCAAAACUAGAAGUACUAUGAGUUCAAUUAAGGUGUUUAAGAGUAUUUAACCCAUGUUGUGAGUUGAUCCUUGGGGUAGGAAUGGAGGUUGAAUAUAAUAUUACUGAUGAUCUGUGAAGCUAUUAUAAUAUGAUUUAAUGUUCGUAGUAAUGUAAUAUAUUUGUAUAUGCAUUAUGUGAAUUAUAUAAGAUGUUUAAGUUGUUGUUGAUUAUCAUUUGAUGUUGUUAUAUCUUGAGAUGUUUACGUUGUCAUCGUCGAAUCGUUGAAGUCGUUGUUAAUGACAAACCAUAAAAUAUUAAUGAUUAUGUUGUCGUUUAUAUUAUUAUAAGAUGAUGAAUAUGUUGUUGCUUAUGUCAUUAUAAGAUGAUGAUUAUGUUGUUGUUUAUAUUGGUUAUGAGUUAAUGAUGAUUAGAAGUGGAUUGGACUAUUAAUGAAGCAUUAUAUGAAGAAUUAUUAUUAUUAAUUAACAAUGUUUAUGUUGUUUAAUAUAAUUGUUGAAUUAUAUGCUUAAUAUUAUUGUUUGUGAAAUCUCACCCCUUCUGCUUGGAAAUGUUGCUCUUUGUAUGAGUAACUUGCAGAUGAUCGAGUUUAAGCUGCUGUUAGAUUGCUGUCGUGAGUGGACUAUCUCUCACGUGUGUCUUUAGGUGCUCUGAUACGUCACGGGAUGGGAACUUUGUUGCAUGUUUUUCUAUUCCUUACGUAUUACUUUAUGAAGUUUAUGACUAUGUUUUUAGACUUGAUUUCUAUGAGAUAUUUAUGAUGAGGCAUUCGUGUCAAAGACUACUAUUUUUAGAUGUUGAAAUAAAUUCCGCUGCAAAGUUUUGAAUAUUUAUGUUGAUUGAACUUUGAAGGAAAAUUAGUUAAUUAUUCCAUUUAUGAUUUUUAAGAAGUGUGACAUUCCGUUUAUGUGAAUUACUCUGAUUAUUUAAACGAAAUUUUUAUGUUGGGAAAACGACGUGUUACAACACGUUUAGAAAUAGUCUAUUUUUAUUGAUGUAUCAAGUUAAAUAAUGAGUAGACAAGUCAUAAGGCAAAGUGUCAAUGCAUAUGUGAAUUUAAUAUUAUUUUACUUUUGAUAUCUUUAAAUUUAUUGUUUAAAAAAACUUAAAAUAGAAAAGAAAUGUAAAAUCCUAAAAUAUUAUAUUUUCCAAAAAUAUGCAGUCAUUUGUCACAUUAUUAUUUUUUUUUGUCAAAAAAUCACAUUAUUCUGUGACUUGUGAGCUUAUUAUUCAUCAAUACACAUAACAAAAAGAAACUCAAAAUUCAAUGGUGGAAAUUUAAAAAAAAAAAAAAAAAAAAACUCGGAGAUCAAAGAGAGUGACGAUAACGAUCAACACACUUCAUCCUCUUCUUCAUAAGAGUGAUUUUUGGUCUAUCAAAUAGCUUGAACGUAAACAUACUAAAACAAUGAAAAGAAGAUAAAAAUUAGCAACUUUGUGCGUAUUUCAUAUUACAUAUGCUAAAACGAAUCAGUAAACGAGAAGAAAAAAAAUGAGCAGUCUAACCACAAAUAUUUGAUAAAAUGUAUACUAACCUCUGGUGUAGUUGUGAAAAACGUCUCUAAUUUGAAGAAUUUGAUGGAAUUUAGCUGAAAAUUGAAACAAUGAUAAGAUAUUUGGAUUUGGUUUUUGGUUGUUGUUGUUGUUGAGGUAUUUAGGUUAAUUUUCAUAAAUUGAAAGUGAGGGGAAGUUGUUGAGCAUUACAUAUAUAAUGGUACAUUUCUAAGCAUGUCUUCUAAAGCAUAUUUUCCAUGUUUUAGAUUGUAUAAUCUAUAUACUUAUAUUAAAAGAAAUGUCCUUUGAAUUUACCAUUUUGCCCCUAUUAAGGGUAAUUUGGUAAAUUACUAAUUGGUUGAGUUUUUUUUUUUUUUUAAGGUUGCCUAUAAAUUUUCAUUUUUGCCCCUAACCAAUUUUUUUAAUUAUUUUCUAAUUUUAAUAUUUUUAAUAACUUUUAAUUAUUUUCCAAUUUUUAUAUUUUUAACUAUUUUUCAAUUUUUUCUCCCAAAUUCAGUUGCUUCUACAUUGCCGUUGUGGAAGAUUAAGGUAUCGUUUGACCCGACUUUUUUCAAACUUCUUUACAUUUUUAAGGAGAAGUUAGGCCAAACACAAUAUCAAUUAAGUACUUGCUAAAAAAAGAACAUUUUUUGAACGCAUAAAAUUGAAUAGAAUGAGCUUUGACCAGAAGUUGUUGAAUGUUACUUUAAAAAACUAUUUCUCCACAAUUUAUUUCAUAAACACCUUUUCAACUCACGCUGGGAACCUUUUCUUUAUUUUUUAAUAUUAUAUAUCAAUAUCUUUUUCUUAUUCAAAAAAACUAAACAUAUAUGUUUCCACGACACCAACAAAUAUAAUAUCAUAUAGUAUAAAUUCCAACAUUUAUAAUAGUAAUUUUCUUAAGAAAUCAUCGGGCUUCUUCAAGAGAUUGUCAAGAUAAUUCCAAUUGGGACUAGAAAGAAACUGUGUACGAAUAUUGUGUUGAAAGAUAAAAGGUAUUAUUUUCUUAUUUGUCGGCAGAAGAUGAUAGGAUUUUGUAUACGUUUGUUAAUGACCUGAAAUAUGUCUUUCCUUAUGCAGUGAGAAUAUAGUUGAUGUAACACUAUGGGAAAAAUAUUUCGUAGCUUUAUCAUUUACCAUCUAUUUACCUUGAGUUAUUUGCUUCCAUUUUGUAGUAAAUGGCAACCCAAAUAUAUAUAAUAAUUGGUCAGGUUCGAGGCUACUCAUCAACCUACAUUAUUCGGUUGUUGAGAAGUUUAAAACUUAGUAAGUUUGCAUUAUGAUUUCACAAUACAGUGUUAGAGUAAAUUAUUAUUUCACAAUCUGAUUUAAUUGUUUUUUUUACCAUGUUUCUUGAAUUGUUGUCGUGACCUUAACACUUCUCAAGCUUAGAGUCAAAGCAUCAAUCAGAACUUAAGUCAGAGUUCGGCUUCUUCUCAAUGUACUUCGUACAAAGAUUUUUUCAAUCUGUCUCAAGUUAGGCCAAUUGUUGAAUUUAUAAACUUAGUCAAGGUCUUCUUUUUUUAUGCACAAACAUGCUUUGAAUUUUUUACGCACAAAUUAAAAAUACAUAUUGCAUUAUUCUUUAUUUCAUGUGCAUAUUUGUGUUAGGAUACAUAUUGCAUGACUAUUUGGAAAGCAGCUAAAUUCAAUCUUAACCAGUUUGGAUAAUAUUAUGAGAGUUUCACCAAAUGUUCAAAGACAUCAUUGUCAAAUGGUGCUAGCUAUAGAUGCACAUGCGGGAGUGAUGCUUAAUUUCCAUUUGUUUCAACAAUGUUAAUUGGUCAACGGGGUUCAUAUAAUGCACAUGAAUGCAUUUAUCUAGCCUUUUUAGGAAGAUAAAUUAGAAGUCAUGAUACAUUUUCUUUAGCUUAAAAUCAGUUAUGCUACCUUUAUUUUAUAAAUUAUAUGUAACUAUAUUCGCAUACGUCUUAUCCAUGUUAAUAUGCAUUAGACUAAUAUUGUUGUUAUUUCCCUGUUUAGCAUUUCCCAAACGAGGUUUCAAGAACAAUUCUAAAAGGAAAGCGCAAAACAAUCACUCUCAUUGGUUUCAAUUAUUUUCAUCCUAAAUAUUAUGUCAAUUCCUAAUCUCAUAAACUGAUUAUAUGAUCUCUAAAUCAGCUCAUACAUAUUUUAUGAUGAAUCACAAUGUUCUGUUGUUUUAACAUCUUUUCUUUCGAAUAUUUUUUUUUAUGCCGUGAUUAUCUAAGGUUAUUAUUUUACCUUAUGUUAUACCCUGUUUUUGGACCUAAAAAAUACUGGGCCCAAUUUCAUUUCAAACUUCGUCAAUUAUCAAAUUUCAGCUGCACAGUUCAAUUUGUCUCUGCCUCGCAGUAUUUUCAAUCACAAUUUUACCUAUGUUUUUCUUGCAUAAAACCUUUUAAAAUGUCUUUACUGGUCUUGUAAGUCACGCAAAAGUGUCUCUGAAUCAUUAUGUUGCUUUUUUUCCACAGUUUAUUUCAAAAUUUGCAAAAAGUCAUACAGAAGGGUAUUUUGGUCAUUUCCUGCAGUGGGACCCAUUUUCAUCCUUGUGACUGUCUCUGAGUCUUUUCAAAUUCAUUUUUUACUUUCCAUCAGUAAACCUUGCUAAUUUCAUUUCGAACUUGCAUCUGAGUCAGUGUCGAGUCAAUUUGAGUCUGUUUAGGUCAUUUUUUUAGCCCUAGGGGCAUUUUGGUCAUUUCACAUAAAAUUUUGGCAUGGGGAGGUUACUUUGAAGUACCUCAUUUAGGCCAUUGGUUCGUUUUAGUCCGUUUUGUCAAUUUUAUUUUAGUUUCACUUUACGUUUCGUCAGAUUGCCAAUUUUAUUCCAAUUUUAUUUUUAUUUUACAUUUUGGUCCCCAAGAGGUCCAAAAUUGCGUGUCAGUCCAGAAUUUUCUUUUUUUAUAUUUCAGUCCUUUUUGUCAAUUGCAGUUUAGUCCCUUAAUUUUUCAAUUUUGCAGAAAGGUCCCAAAUUAAUUCUAAGUCCAAGGCCGUGCCAUUUCCAUACAAAUCCAGGUGUCACAUUUUCAUUGGCUCAAGUGUACACAUGUCAACUAUAUAAACAGUGAGUCAGAAUCAGAAGCAAUAAUCACACGCCACUUCACCAAAAAACAGGAUCAAACUUUCUCUUUCUUGUCAGUUAGAUCAAACCAAAAAAUCACAGAGAAAUCACCAAGAACACAAGAACCCUAAGAUUUCCAGAACAAAAUUCAUACACAAAUUCAUUGAUUUUCACAUCAAUCCUCAGAGAUUCGUGUGAAUCUUCAUCACCGGAUUGAGGAAUUCCCCUACAAUUCAAAGUGCGAGCUCACAUUGAAGCAAGCUCAAGCACUGAUCAUAGGGAUUUUUCACACAGAUUCAAAAACGUUGAAGCAAGCUCAAGCACAUAAUCACAGAGAAGCAGAGAAAGAAUCAGAGAAGAUGAAGAUGAACCGGUAAACCGAUUUAUUUUCGGUCCAAAAGCAAGCAAAAUCAUCAAAACCGUCAAGAACAUUCAAGUUUUCCCAAAGAUUUCCUCCAUUAAAGGUUUCAACCAGAACCUUAGGUAAAACUCAGAAUCUUUUCUCAAAAGUAAUAUCACUGUUAAACCUGUAGAAAACAAUCACGCAAGCAAAGCGUAUCAAAAAAUUUCCAGAAUUCAAAGAAAGCCGUAACCGUAAACACGAAACCUAGAUCCAUAAGGAUCUAAGUUUUGAAAGCAAGAACGAGUACUAGAAGCGUAAUCAAACAACGAAACGAUGUAGAUCUUUAAACGAUCUAAACAUUUCUUUUCAAAAACCAAAAAAAUCAGUUUCAAAACCGUACGGAACUUUUUAGAUCUACAACGUUUCAAACCGUAUUUGAAAAAACAGCUGCUGGAUUCGUGUUUAGGGUUAAAGGACGAAUCAAAAUAUGCAAAAAUAUUUGAGUUCUGGAAAUUUUUCACCGGAAACUGCUAGGUCUCGCCGGAGAAGAUGAAGUUUCCGGCGGACCUUCAAGGUCUCCGCCGUAGCUUCAUCCUCACCGGCGGUGAGGGUUUAGAGAGAGAUGAGAGAAGAGAGAGGGGUUAGAGAGAGAAAGAGGAAUACGAAAUGAAAAAACCGGCGCGCUAGGGUUUAUAUAGAGUGCUAGACCGGACCGGUUCAAGACCGGUCCAAUCCCAUGCGUUGUGAGCCCUUAGAUCUAGGGUUUGGGAUCUUGGAUCAAUCCAACGAUCCCUGAGCAUUCCUGUGAGAUCCGGAUCCCUUGGCUUUGGGCCUGGGCCUCUUUUCUUUGCUUUUCUACGUUUUUGCUUUUUUUGUGCUAUUUGCACCGUGUUUCCUUGCUAUCUGCACCUAUUGCUUGUUUACUUCUUUUACAAAAAUUCCUAAAAAAAUCCUAGUGGUUUCUUGAUACAUUCUUGGCAUUUCUAUAGCGUUUUCUUGCAUAAAAAUGUUAAAAUGGCAUGAACUAAUUCCAUGUAUUUUUGUACUUUUGGUAUGCAUUUUGCUAUGUUUUGUUCUUGACAUUUUGAUAGUAUGACAUGGAUAAAUGAUGCCUGUUAUACCCUGUUUUUGGACCUAAAAAUACUGGGCCCAAUUUCAUUUCAAACUUUGUCGAUUAUCAAAUUUCAACUGCGCAGUUCAAAUUGUCUCUGCCUCGCAGUAUUUUCAAUCACAAUUUUACCUAUGUUUUUCUUGCAUAAAACCUUUCGAAAUGUCUUUACUUGUCCUGUAAGUCAUUCAAAAGUGUCUCUGAAUCAUUACAUUGCUUUUUCUACAGUUUAUUUCAAAAUUUGCAAAAAGUCAUACAGAAGGGUAUUUUGGUCAUUUCCUGCAGUGGGACCCAUUUUCAUCCUUGUGACUGUCUCUGAGUCUUUUCAGAUUACUUUUAAACAUUUCAUCAGUAAACUUUGUUAAAAUUCAUUUCAAACUUGCGUCUGAGUCAGUGUCAAGUCAAUUCGAGUCUGUUUAGGUCAUUUUUAGCCCUAGGGGCAUUUUGGUCAUUUCACAUAAAAUUUUGGCAUGGGGAGGUUACUUUGAAGUACCUCAUUUAGGCCAUUGGUUCGUUUUAGUCCGUUUUGUCAAUUUUAUUUGUGUUUCGCUUUACGUUUGGUCAAAUUACCAAUUUUAUUUUAAUUUUUAGUGUUUUUAUUAUUUUUGCAUUUUUGUCCUCAAAGAGUUCCAAAAUUGCAGUUCAGUCCACUUUUUUUCCAAUUUUCAUUUCAGUCCUUUUUGUCAAAUUGCAGUUUAGUCCUUGAAGUUUUAUUUUUUGCAGAAAGGUCCAAAGUUCAUUUUUCAGGUCCAAAGCCGUGCCAUUCCUUUUCCAAAUCCAGGUGUCACAUUUUCGUUGGCUCAAGUGUACACAUGUCAGCUAUAAAAGCAGUGAGUCAGAGUCAAAGCCAAGGACAACACGCCAACUCAACAAACACAUUUUCAGAUUCUCUCUCCAAUCAGUUAGAUCAAAACAGAAAAAUUUCUCAGAUUCAUCAAGAACACGAAGAACACAAAACCCUAACCGUUUCCAGAAAGUCACAAAUUCAUCAAGUUUCAGUGUUUUUCGCAUCAAUUCUCAGAGAUUCGUAUGAAUCUUCAUCACUGAAUUGAUUGAUUCUCUGCAAUUCCAAACGCGAGCUCGCAUCAAAGCAAGCUCAUGCGUUGAUCACAGAGAGCCUCUCGCAAAGAAAUCAAAGAAGCAAGUUCAAACGUAUAAUCAGAGAAAGAAUCGGAGAAGAUGAAGAAACCAAGCCAGUAAACCGAUUUAUUUUCGGUUCAGAGAAAACCAAAGAACGUUCAAGUUUUCCGAAGAUUUUCUCCUUCAAGAAUCUCAACCAAAUUCAGGUAAAACUCAGUUUUCUCUCUUUAAAAAGCAUAAUCACUGUUAAACCUGCAAACAAGAUCCAAAAAAUUUCCAGAAUCAUAAAAAAAAUCAUAACCGUAAGCAAAAACAUAGAUCCAUAGAAAUCCAGAAGUUGUAAGCAAGGACGAGUGCCAGAGAGAUAGCCAACACGGAAUCAAUGUAGAUCUUGAGGUGUUACAAGCUUCUUUUAAAAAUUCUUUGAAAACCUAAAAAAUUUUUCAAAACCGUGACACAAAAACGUAGAUCUACGUUGAUUCACGCCUUGCAUGAAAAAUCCAGUGGCAUAUUCGUGUUUAGGAUGGAAAAGGAUAUCUGAAAAUGUAAGUUUUUUUGAAAACGGUGGAGUUUGUUCAACUCCGGCGGCGGCGCCACCACCCUUGGGCGGCCGGCCACCACGCCGGAGGAGCAAAACUCACCGGGGAAGAUGAAGAUCUUCCGUGUUUUUCCAGAAUCCGGUGAGGGUUUAGAGAGAGAUGAGAGAUGAGAGAAGAGGGAAGAACUUAGAGAGAGAAAGGGAAGUAGAGAAAUGAAAAAACCGGUGCUCUCUUGUUUAUAUAAGCCAGCGAACCGGACCGGUUCAAUCCGGUCCAUUCCCCUUUGAUUCCUGGCCGCUUGAUCUAGGGUUUCAGAAUCCUGGAUCAAUCGUGUGGUUACUGUGCAUCCGGAUCUUUUAAGGAUUGGGCUUUGGUUUGGGCUUAGUUUUUUUACGUUUUUUUUGUUAUUUUCUUGCUAUUUGCACUGCCUGUCUUUGCUAUCCGCACCUGUUGCUUGCCUACCUUUUUAUAGAAAAUUCCUAAAAAAAUCCUAGUUGUUUCUCAAUGUAUUUUUGGCAUUUUUAUGGUGUUUUCUUGCAUGAAAAAAAUAUUAAAAUGGCAUGAACUAAUUUCCAUGAGUUUCUACACUUUUGGUAUGCAUUUUGCUAUGUUUUGUUCUUGGCAUUUUGAUAUUAUGACAUGGAUGAAUGAUGCCUAAUAUGGUGAUGAACAUGCCUCUGGAAAUGUGUUUAUUUUUGUUGUGUUUGGAUAUGAUUUUAUGGAUUACUUGUUUCACAAGAAAUAAUGGUUUAUUUUUUAGAAUAAAGUGGCAAAUUUCUCUAUGAACUUGGUAUGAUAUUUUGCAUGCAUACGCCUCCAUUAAUUGCAUGUCAUGGCUUGAAACAAAAUUUCUUUCUAAAUUGCCAUGAUGUGAUGAUUAUGGGUCACUAGCAUUUUUAAGUAUCAUAUCAAAUGUCUUCUAGGUUUAUUACCACUUUAUUGCUUUCUCUUGGCCAUCUUUAUGCAUUUCCUCUUAAUUACUUCCUACUAUUGUGUGCUUUAUGACUACUAACCAUUUCAUCUCAUGUGCCAUACAUUUCAUAGCAUUCCACCACUCUCUCCACUUUCUUUAGCUUAGCAUUUAUUUUUUGCAAAUCUUAAUUCAUUUGGUGAUGUAAUUUGUUGUCAUUGGUUUGUAGCUUGGCAAAGGGGCCAUAGAAUGUAUUUAGGCAAUUUUUGUAAUAUGGACUAUGGACACUAUGACGCACCGACACGCACACACUCACCUUAGAUGUAUGCAUAGGAUUGUAUGAUUAAAUAAGCGUUUAGGUUUUAAACACUUAGAGAAAAUCCAUCUUUUUUCAAAAAAUAAUUGAACUUCACUUCAAAAACUUUCAUGAUAAGCAUGAAGUCAACACUUCAUUUUUCCUUUCUUUUUUUCUUAAGAAAAAGUUCAAUUCAUCUUAAUCAUUUAGACUUUCUUUCUAAUCACUAAUCAAACCUCACUUUUUUGCUAAAUCUAAUGCUCAUGAAGCCUCCCAAUCUCCUUCUUCAAAACUUUUUUUUCAAAACUUAAAAUCAAACAAUUAAAAUCAAAAAAAAAAGUUUUUUUAGCAAGAACUACGAACGGUUUUGAUCCCUUAAAAGGGUACGUAGGCAAUGAGUCAAAACUCAUCCAAGCCGAAAUAAAAUCAAAAUUCUACUUCUUCUCACCCCCAUUCUUAACUAAAUAAACCUCCCAUUUUCAAAAGUAAGUAAAAAUAAAGCGUAGAAAUCGACUUAGGAAAACGGCUCCUAUAGAGGACUAUAGUUACUCCGGGUGCCUAACACCUUCCCGUAGUAAAACCGACCCCCGAACUUAGAAUCUAAGGGUUUUUUCUCAAUUUUUCCCUUCCCAAGAAAAAAGAGAGAUAUCAACGGUCGAAAGGUACAAGUCCAAUUAAUGACUUGGCACCCAAAAACCAUGAUAACAGAAAUGGCGACUUCACUGGGGAUUCUUUUUAGCGGGUCGCGCCUAGUUUUCUUUAGUUUAUAUUUACGCUUGUUUUAUUGCUUACAUAUGUGAAUAUUUGUUUACUUUCAUUCAACGUGUGGGGUGAGAAUAUCAAAAGUCCUAACCCGGGCUGAGUGAACUUAUGUUUAGGUAGAGAUAUAAUCGACAAUUCGAUCCGGGGGUUGCCUCGUGUAUUGGAUUAUGCGAUCAAUCUCACAUAGCUGAGGCAUUUUGAAGGUGAUAUUGUCGGCGUGUGUUGUCAUGCUUAGGCACUUCACUUUCAAUUGUUCGACGAAGCUAUGAACCGUAGUUACCAAACCCAUCCUAGCUUUUUUUAGGACGUAGUGCGGUGGCUAAAUUGAGUGUUGUCUCAAACUUUAGUCGUCAUGCGAUACUACACUCAAACUAGACCUUCUCACAAAUAAUCAGGGAACGGGUGUCGUCCUGUACUACCAUGAUAUAUGUGAGAGAGGUUGCAGUUUGGGAACUGUGUUAGAACCUUGGUUACUACUGUCCAAAGCCUUAGUUCACCGGACGCCGUGUCCAUCCGUGGCCCUGUUACUUUGAAUCUCAACCCACAUUGUAACUAAACAACACAAUCAUGCAUACAUGCAUUCAUGCAUAAAUAUUUUUCAUGCAUUCAUCGAAGGGUUUAAACAAAUGGAAAUUUUUGUAAAUAAUCACAGGUAUGAAGAAGACUAAGUGCUACAAGUUCAAGGAAGUGGAUUUGGUUAGUUUGAGAGAGUUGGCACUCAAGGUCAAGAGUCAAACAGGGUUCCGACUCCGAUAUGGGGGAUUGCUUACUUUGCUCCGAACCGAUGUGGAAGAGAAGCUAGUGCACACUCUAGUGCAGUUUUAUGAUCCAAGCUUCCGUUGUUUCACUUUUCCGGACUUCCAGUUAGUUCCUACUCUCGAGGCUUACUCCGAUCUAGUGGGUUUACCUAUAGCCGAGAAGACACCUUUCACCGGUCCCGGGGCUCCUCUUACUCCUCUGGUUAUUGCUAAGGAUCUCUACCUCAAGACUUCCGACGUCUCCAACCAUCUUAUUACCAAAUCUCACAUCCGGGGGUUCACUUCGAAGUAUCUUCUUGAUCAGGCUAAUCUCGGUACUACUCGUCAGGAUACACUCGAGGCUAUUCUUGCUUUGCUUAUCUACGGGCUCAUUCUCUUCCCGAACCUCGACAACUUCGUGGACAUGAAUGCUAUCGAGAUCUUUCAUUCCAAGAACCCGGUUCCUACUUUGCUAGCGGAUACCUACCACGCCAUCCAUGACAGGACUCUCAAGGGCCGUGGGUAUAUUCUUUGCUGCACAUCUCUUUUGUAUAGGUGGUUUAUUUCGCACCUUCCGAGUUCCUUCCAUGACAACUCGGAGAACUGGUCCUACUCGCAGCGGAUUAUGGCCCUUACUCCUAAUGAGGUCGUCUGGCUCACUCCCGCCGCUCAAGUGAAGGAAAUCAUUAUGGGUUGCGGAGACUUUCUCAAUGUACCUCUUCUUGGUACCCGUGGAGGAAUCAACUACAACCCCGAGCUUGCUAUGAGACAGUUCGGUUUCCCUAUGAAGUCGAAGCCCAUCAAUCUUGCCACAUCUCCAGAGUUCUUCUUCUACAUGAAUGCUCCCACCGGACAAAGGAAAGCUUUCAUAGAUGCUUGGUCCAAGGUUCGAAGGAAGAGUGUGAAGCAUCUAGGUGUGAGAUCCGGUGUCGCUCAUGAGGCCUAUGCUCAGUGGGUGAUAGAUCGAGCUGAGGAGAUUGGUAUGCCUUAUCCAGCUAUGAGAUAUGUGUCUUCAUCUACCCCAUCUAUGCCUCUACCUUUGCUCCCCGCGACUCAGGAUAUGUAUCAGGAGCAUCUAGCUAUGGAGAGUCGUGAGAAGCAAGUGUGGAAAGCUCGGUACAAUCAAGCUGAGAAUCUAAUCAUGACUUUGGAUGGUAGAGAUGAGCAGAAGACUCAUGAGAAUCUGAUGUUGAAGAAAGAACUAGCUAAAGCCCGGAGGGAAUUGGAAGAGAAAGACGAGCUGCUUAUGAGGGAUUCCAAGAGAGCUCGAGGACGACGAGAUUUCUUUGACAGAUACUGUGAUUCAGAUUCCGAGUCCGAUGAUCCUCCGACUACUUCCUAUGCUUGAGGACUCCAUGUGUUUAUCUUGUUGAAAUUUCAAAGUAUUCCUGUUAAAAAAAUACUAUGUAGUUUUGAUUAUUUGCAAAGAUUUCUAAUUUGUUUAAAAUUCCUUCGAUGAAAAAAAUAAGUCUUUUGCAUUCGCAUUUGCAUAUCAUGCAUCAUAUGCAUCAUGCAUUGGUCACAAAGGCUUCCAAGUGCUCACUAUCUCCUGGUUCCUCUGCCGCAGUGUGAAAAGUGGCUCGUGCUCAGAGAGUUUACGAACCAGAUAGAAUUGAUCGAACCAGAGAAUACAGAAGAAAGAAAAGGGCUAUGGAAGAAGAGAACGCUCAGCUUCGCACCGAGUUAGCCUCUCUAAAGGAGGAAUUGGCUAAAGCUAAUGACGUCAUGACUGCUCUACUAGCUGCUCAAGAGCAAUCAGCUACAGCUAUCCCUACAACCACAGCUGCACCAGUAACUACAAGCGUGCUCCCUACCACUUCUGCAGACAACCGCUUUACUAUGCCAGUGGGGUUUCCGUAUGGGCUUCCACCGUUCUUCACUCCCGUUGCUACAGCAAGCACCUCGGGCACUGCUAACAAUGUUCUGAUCCCUGCAACAAAUGCCGCCUCCAUCAUUGCUACUUUGCCACAAACAACAGCAGCUGUCACUGAGCCUCUGGUACACACUCUGCCUCAAGGUAUUAACAUCAACACACAGCACAGAAGCAUCCCCGUAACCAAGACUAUGGAAGAGAUGAUGGAGGAACUUGCUAAAGAACUCCGUCACGAGAUCCAGGCCAAUCGAGGGAAUGCAGACUCUGUCAAAACUCAAGACCUUUGCUUAGUGUCAAAAGUGGAUGUUCCUAAAAAGUUCAAGAUUCCGGACUUCGACCGGUACAACGGGCUAACUUGUCCUCAAAAUCACAUCAUCAAAUACGUCCGGAAGAUGGGCAAUUACAAAGACAAUGAUUCCCUUAUGAUCCACUGUUUUCAGGAUAGUCUGAUGGAGGAUGCCGCAGAGUGGUAUACUAGUUUGAGUAAGAAUGACAUCCAUACCUUUGAUGAGUUAGCCACCGCUUUCAAGAGCCAUUAUGGGUUUAACACUCGACUGAGGCCAAAUAGGGAGUUUCUCAGGUCCCUAUCUCAGAAGAAGGAGGAAAGUUUCCGUGAAUAUGCGCAAAGGUGGAGAGGGGCGGCUGCCCGUAUCACUCCUGCUUUAGAUGAGGAAGAAAUGACCCAGACGUUCUUAAAGACGUUGAAGAAAGAUUAUGUUGAGAGGAUGAUCAUCGCUGCCCCGAACAACUUUUCGGAGAUGGUCACCAUGGGAACCCGUCUUGAGGAAGCCGUCAGGGAUGGAAUCAUUGUGUUUGAGAAAGCUGAAUCUUCUACGAGUGCAUCGAAAAGGUACGGUAAUGGACACCACAAGAAGAAAGAAACGGAAGUGGGGAUGGUAUCAGCUGGAGCCGGUCAAUCAAUGGCUACUGUUGCUCCCAUCAAUGCAGCUCAAAUGCCUCCGUCAUACCCAUAUAUGCCGUAUUCUCAGCAUCCGUUCUUCCCACCGUUUUAUCAUCAGUACCCUUUGCCGCCGGGCCAGCCUCAAGUGCCCGUCAAUGCGAUUGCCCAACAGAUGAAACAACAGAUGCCGGUUCAACAACAACAACAAAAUCAGCAAGCUAGGCCUACUUUCCCUCCGAUACCGAUGUUAUAUGCUGAGUUGCUUCCAACUUUACUCCAGAGAGGGCAUUGUACAACUAGACAGGGUAAGCCCCCACCUGAUCCGUUGCCUCCAAGGUUCAGGUCUGAUCUCAAAUGCGACUUUCAUCAAGGUGCCCUAGGUCAUGAUGUCGAGGGGUGUUAUGCUUUGAAGUAUAUCGUGAAGAAGCUCAUCGAUCAAGGGAAGCUGACUUUUGAGAAUAAUGUCCCACACGUCCUCGACAAUCCUCUUCCAAAUCAUGCCGCUGUGAAUAUGAUCGAAGUGUGUGAGGAAGCUCCUAGACUUGAUGUCCGCAAUGUUGCCACUCCUCUGGUGCCUCUACAUAUCAAGCUGUGCAAAGCUUCUCUGUUCAAUCAUGAUCAUGCCAAGUGUCUGGGAUGCCUCCGUGAUCCUUUGGGUUGUUAUACUGUUCAAGACGACAUCCAAAGCUUGAUGGAUGAUAAUCUUCUGACUGUCAGUGAUGUUUGCGUGGUCGUGCCAGUUUUUCACGAUCCGCCUGUCAAGAGUGUACCUUUGAAGAAGAAUGCUGAGCCUUUGGUGAUAAGGUUGCCAGGACCAAUUCCUUAUGUUUCGGACAAGGCAGUGCCAUACAAGUACAAUGCUACUAUGAUAGAAAAUGGAGUAGAGGUGCCUCUAGCCUCCUUUGCCACAGUAAGCAAUAUUGCCGAAGGGACUUCUGCAGCGCUAAGAAGCGGGAAGGUCCGUCCGCCGUUAUUUCAGAAGAAAGUAGCUACGCCGACCAUUCCACCAGUUGAAGAAGCAACUCCAACCGUUGUUUCACCCAUUGCUACAGAUGUGAACCAGCCUGGCAAAUCUAUAGAGGAUUCGAAUUUAGAUGAGAUUCUGAGGAUAAUAAAGAGGAGCGACUACAAGAUCGUUGAUCAAUUGCUGCAGACUCCUUCAAAGAUAUCUGUAUUGUCAUUACUCUUGAGCUCCGAGGCUCACAGGAAUACCUUGUUGAAAGUGCUGGAGCAGGCUUAUGUUGACCACGAAGUUACGGUAGAUCGUUUCGGUGGCAUAGUGGGAAAUAUUACUGCUUGUAACAAUCUCUGGUUUAGUGAAGAAGAAUUGCCGGAAGCGGGAAAGAGUCACAAUCUGGCUUUACACAUCUCGGUGAAUUGUAAAUCAGACAUGAUAUCAAAUGUGUUGGUGGAUACCGGUUCCUCCCUCAAUGUAAUGCCCAAGACAACUCUAGAUCAGUUGAGCUACCGUAGGACCCCGUUGAGAAGAAGUACUUUCUUGGUCAAAGCUUUUGAUGGAUCUCGAAAGAAUGUGCUGGGAGAGAUAGAUUUGCCGAUAACCAUUGGCCCUGAGAAUUUCUUGGUUACUUUCCAGGUGAUGGACAUUAAUGCAUCCUACAGUUGCCUGCUGGGAAGACCGUGGAUACACGAUGCAGGUGCGGUUACUUCCACCUUACAUCAGAAGUUGAAAUUUGUGAAGAAUGGAAAACUCGUUACAAUCCAUGGUGAAGAAGCAUACUUAGUCAGCCAAUUGUCUUCUUUUUCUUGUAUUGAAGCAGGGUCUGCUGAAGGGACUGCUUUCCAAGGUUUGACCAUUGAAGGUGCAGAGUCUAAGGAAGCUGGGGCUGCUAUGGCUUCAUUGAAGGAUGCUCAGAGAGCCAUUCAAGAAGGUCAGACUGCCGGCUGGGGCAAGGUGAUACAGCUCUGUGAGAACAAGCGUAAAGAAGGUCUCGGGUUCUCCCCGUCAUCAAGAGCUUCCUCGGGAGUCUUCCACAGUGCUGGGUUUGUUAAUGCUAUCUCUGAAGAAGCCACUGGAUCUGGUCUCAGGCCUGCAUUUGUUACACCAGGAGGCAUUGCGACAAAUUGGGACGCCAUUGACAUUCCUUCAAUCAUGCAUGUUUCUGAGUAAUGUGUCUUGUUGCUUUAAUGCUUUGUUUUCAAAAUAACAAUCCUCUCGCUCUGCCCAAAGCGAGAGUGAUAUUUUCUGUAAGGGCAUGUUUGUUUCGGCAUUGCCGUUGAUUAAUAAAAUUUUGUCGUUUCUUCCACGACUACUUUUUUUUAGUGCUUUUUCCCUUGGAAACAAUGGUAAUGCCAGAAAAAACCAAAACGUCUGUAUUUUCUUAUUAAUUUCAAAAAUCUGCAUGAAAAAAAAAAAAAAAAAAAAAACUCUUUCUUAAAUCAUCCAACCAUUAUAUGCAGGUUGAACCAUAAUAAACCCGUUGAACACAGUAAUCCUACGGUUCCUCCAAGUUUUGAUUUCCCUGUGUAUGAAGCCGAAGAUGAGGAAGGUGAUGACAUACCGUAUGAGAUCACUCGGUUACUUGAGCAAGAAAAGAAAGCCAUUCAGUCUCACCAGGAAGAAAUUGAGCUUAUCAACAUAGGUACCGAGGAAAACAAGCAAGAAAUCAAGAUUGGUGCUACUCUAGAGGAAGGGGUUAAACAGAAGAUCAUCCAGCUCCUCCGGGAAUAUCCGGAUAUUUUUGCAUGGUCCUAUGAAGAUAUGCCAGGUCUAGACCCUAUGAUCGUGGAGCAUCGGAUCCCUACCAAGCCUGAAUGUCCUCCCGUCAGGCAGAAAUUGAGAAGGACUCAUCCUGAUAUGGCUCUCAAAAUCAAGAAUGAAGUUCAAAAGCAGAUUGAUGCGGGUUUCCUCAUGACAGUUGAGUAUCCCGAAUGGGUUGCCAAUAUUGUGCCUGUGCCAAAGAAGGAUGGUAAAGUUCGGAUGUGUAUUGACUUCAGAGACCUGAACAAAGCCAGCCCAAAAGACAACUUUCCAUUACCUCAUAUUGAUGUGCUUGUUGAUAAUACUGCUCAAUCUAAGGUGUUCUCCUUCAUGGACGGUUUUUCCGGUUAUAAUCAGAUCAAGAUGUCUCCUGAAGAUAGAGAAAAGACAUCUUUUAUCACUCCAUGGGGUACUUUCUGCUACAAGGUGAUGCCGUUCGGCCUAAUCAAUGCUGGUGCUACCUAUCAAAGGGGAAUGACUACUCUGUUUCAUGACAUGAUUCACAAAGAAGUUGAGGUAUAUGUGGAUGACAUGAUUGUGAAGUCAGCAGAUGAGGAGCAGCAUGUUGAAUAUUUAACAAAGAUGUUUGAAAGGUUGAGAAAAUACAAGCUGCGAUUGAAUCCCAACAAAUGUACAUUCGGUGUCAGGUCCGGAAAGUUAUUAGGCUUCAUUGUCAGCCAAAAGGGCAUUGAAGUCGAUCCUGAUAAAGUCCGGGCCAUCCGAGAAAUGCCAGCUCCACAGACAGAGAAGCAAGUCAGAGGUUUCUUGGGACGUUUGAAUUACAUCUCCCGAUUCAUAUCUCAUAUGACUGCAACCUGCGGGCCGAUCUUCAAGCUACUUAGAAAGAACCAGCCUGUUGUAUGGAAUGAUGAAUGCCAAGAAGCUUUUGAUAGCAUCAAGAAUUACCUGCUGGAACCACCUAUCCUUGUCCCACCCGUGGAAGGAAGGCCUUUGAUUAUGUAUUUGGCAGUGUUUGAUGAAUCCAUGGGAUGCGUGCUUGGUCAACAAGAUGAAACUGGAAAGAAAGAGCAUGCUAUCUACUAUCUAAGCAAGAAGUUCACCGAUUGUGAAACUCGGUAUACAAUGCUUGAGAAGACUUGUUGUGCUUUAGCUUGGGCUGCCAAACGCCUGCGUCAUUAUUUGGUGAAUCAUACAACUUGGUUGAUAUCCAGAAUGGAUCCGAUAAAGUAUAUCUUUGAGAAAGCUGCUGUUACUGGAAAGAUUGCACGCUGGCAGAUGCUUUUGUCAGAAUAUGAUAUUGUGUUCAAAACUCAAAAGGCAAUCAAAGGUAGCAUUCUUGCCGAUCACCUUGCUUACCAACCUCUUGAUGAUUACCAACCAAUUGAAUUCGAUUUCCCCGAUGAAGAGAUCAUGUAUUUGAAAUCCAAAGACUGCGAAGAACCGUUGAUUAAUGAAGGUCCAGAUCCCAAUAGCAAGUGGGGUUUAGUCUUUGAUGGUGCUGUCAAUGCUUAUGGUAAGGGAAUUGGGGCAGUCAUUGUAUCCCCGCAGGGGCAUCACAUUCCUUUUACCGCCAGAAUCUUGUUCGAAUGUACCAACAAUAUGGCUGAGUAUGAAGCAUGUAUCUUUGGGAUCGAGGAAGCAAUUGACAUGAGAAUCAAACACCUCGACAUCUAUGGAGAUUCUGCGCUCGUCAUCAAUCAGAUAAAGGGUGAAUGGGAGACCCACCAUGCUAAUUUGAUUCCUUAUCGUGAUUAUGCGAGACGUUUGCUGACAUAUUUUACAAAGGUUGAGCUGCACCAUAUUCCUCGUGAUGAGAACCAAAUGGCUGAUGCUCUUGCUACUCUAUCCUCCAUGUUUCGAGUAAACCAUUGGAAUGAUGUGCCAAUAAUCAAAAUGCAACGCCUUGAAAGACCUUCACAUGUGUUUGCUAUUGGGGAUGUGAUCGAUCAGGCUGGUGAAAAUGUGGUUGACUAUAAACCCUGGUACUAUGACAUCAAGCAGUUCUUGCUGAGCCGUGAGUAUCCGCCGGGUGCUUCCAAACAAGAUAAGAAGACCCUGAGAAGAUUGGCCGGUAGAUUCCUGUUAGAUGGAAAUAUUCUGUACAAGAGGAACUAUGACAUGGUAUUGUUAAGGUGUGUUGAUGAACAUGAAGCAGAGCAGUUAAUGCAUGAUGUACAUGACGGUACCUUCGGGACCCAUGCUACAGGGCAUACUAUGUCAAGAAAGUUGUUACGAGCAGGUUAUUACUGGAUGGCCAUGGAGCAUGAUUGCUACCAAUACGCCAGAAAGUGCCACAAAUGUCAAAUCUAUGCUGAUAAGAUCCAUGUGCCUCCGCAUGCUCUCAAUGUUAUGUCAUCCCCAUGGCCGUUCUCAAUGUGGGGCAUUGACAUGAUUGGAAGAAUUGAACCGAAGGCUUCAAAUGGUCAUCGUUUCAUCUUAGUGGCAAUUGACUACUUCACCAAGUGGGUUGAAGCAGCAUCUUAUACCAAUGUGACCAAGCAAGUGGUAGCUAAGUUCAUCAAGAACAACAUCAUCUGUCGAUAUGGUGUUCCCAGCAAGAUUAUUACUGACAAUGGUACCAACCUGAACAACAAUGUGGUGCAAGCUCUUUGUGAAGAAUUCAAAAUUGAGCACCAUAACUCUUCUCCUUAUAGACCUCAGAUGAAUGGUGCAGUUGAGGCCGCCAACAAGAAUAUCAAGAGAAUUGUCCAGAAGAUGGUAACUACUUACAAGGACUGGCAUGAGAUGUUACCCUAUGCUCUGCAUGGCUACCGUACUACAGUGCGCAGUUCAACCGGGGCAACCCCUUUCUCUCUUGUAUAUGGUAUGGAAGCAGUUCUUCCUUUGGAAGUGGAGAUCCCGUCUCUCCGUGUGAUCAUGGAAGCAAAGUUAUCUGAGGCUGAAUGGUGCCAAAGCCGGUAUGAUCAGUUGAAUUUGAUUGAGGAAAAACGUAUGGAUGCCAUGGCUCGUGGACAUUCAUAUCAAGCCAGAAUGAAGACUGCUUUUGACAAGAAAGUCAAUCCUCGAGAAUUCAAGGUAGGGGAACUUGUUUUGAAAAGGAGGAUAAGCCAGCAACCCGACCCAAGGGGCAAGUGGACGCCUAACUAUGAAGGUCCUUAUGUUGUCAAGAAGGCCUUCUCCGGUGGUGCUUUAAUCCUUACACACAUGGAUGGUGUAGAACUUCCAAAUCCAGUGAAUGCUGAUAUAGUCAAGAAAUACUUUGCCUAGAAAUAUGAAAAGAACAGCGUGGUAGGUCGAAAACCCGAAAGGGCGGCCUAGGCAAAAAUGCGCUUCCCGGUGGAUCGAAAACCCGAAAGGGCGGUCCAGGCAAAAAUAAGGGACAAAAAAGAAACAAAUAUGAAAAGCUCGCUGAGAUUGUACACAACUCAGGCAAGAAUGAGCGUCUCGAUGAGCCGAAAACCCGGAAGGGCGGUUCAUGCAAAAAUGAGAUUGAAACAAAAGGCAAGUAACUAUAUCUAGUCAACCACCGUUCCCCUUGAGGCAUCUGCAGCUGUUAAUGACCGUCUUCAUCAAAAAGCUUAUGUACUCGUGGAUUCAAAGUUUCUAAGAAAUGUAGUGAUUGCUGUGUUCAAUGUACCACCAACCAAUAAAAUUACCAUUUUCCAAGCUUUGUGAAUCCGUGGAGUCACGCCUUUGGCUGACCACCACUCUUACACAUCAAUUUGAGCUUGUGCUUUUGUUUAAAACUCUACCUUUCUUCUACUUUCAAAGCUAUAUACAAAACAUUUUCCUUCUAUUUUGAUAAUGACAAUGCUUGAAACAAACAUUUUUGAAAAUUGAAAACUUUUUGUCUAUUUUGAAAAGCAAACCUGAGCAACGGGGUACAUUCAAAUGAAACAUGCAUGAGCGAGAAUAUGUUAAUGUCUAUUUCAAUAUAUGUUACAAGCAGGUUCUCCUCCAGGAUAGUCUGUGGUCAAUGGCAAGAAUGAAAAAACAGAAUGAAAAUGCAUGAAAAUGAAAAGGCUCGCUAAGUUGAAAACCCGAAAGGGCGACUUAGGCAAAAAUGAGCACCCCGCUGGAUUGACAACCCGAAAGGGCAAUUCAGGCAAAAAUGGGGCAUUGAAAAGAAUUUAUUUCCCCGGUGGACCGAAAACCCGAAAGGGCGAUCCAGGCAAAAAUGGGAUGCGAAAAAUGAUGAAUGAAAUUGAGAAUAUAACAUGCAAGAAGCAUUGACCACAGAUGCAAUGUCUACAACAUGCCCAGCACAACGGCAUUUUCCCCAGUCAAGUCUUCCAAGAUUCUAUCUCCAGCAAGUUGCAUACCUACCUAUCCUCAGCCUUGGUUCUGAUACGUCUCCCAACGACGUCAUCUCCAAAGAGGAUUUCCAAGAAUGUGUAAUAUAGCACGAGCCACUACGUGCCCAAUACUCUAAUGUCUUGUCUUCUCCGUGAAGUCGUGCCUACAAAAUGCCAACAGUCAUGCAUUACAAGCAUUCAUACAUGCAUAAUCAUGCAUAUUACGUGCCCAUGCAUUUAAUGAAAUUGUUAUAUCAUCCAUGCAUAUUGCAUUUCCAAUGUCAACAUCAGUCUCAAUUCAAUACUCAUGUCAGGUUCUCCGUCAAAACCUUGUGAGCCAAUAAUAUCGGUCAAUUUCUGCCUUUCAAUUCAAAUCGACGUCAAGUCAACCUCAAUCUAUAUUUUGUCAACAAACCAAUCCCCAGUGAAUGUGUUUCUGUUUGGUCAAGUUACUAGUUCGCAUCCAAGAACGACUUGUACCCAUUUACUUUUCAAUGUUAUCGGUCGAGUGCCCAGCUCAAUCCAAGAGCAGCUUGUACCUGUCUAUAUGUUUCCGUUUGGUCAAGUGACUAGCUCAAUCCAAGAGCAGCUUGUACCUGUCUAUCUGUUUCUGUCCGGUGGAGUAACCAGUUCGAAUCCAUAAGAACAACUCAUGUUUGUCCAGUAACCUCUAUCCCCAAGUGAGUCACCAGUUCGAAUCCAUAAGAACAACUCAUGUUUGUCCAGUAACCUCUAUCCCCAAGUGAGUCACCAGUUCGAAUCCAUAAGAACAACUCAUGUUUGUCCAGUAACCUCUAUCCCCUGUGAAGUGACCAGUUCGAAUCCAUAAGAACAACUCGCAGUUGUCUGUUUGUUUCAUCCCCGGUCAAGUGGCUAGUUUGAAUCCAAGAACAGCUUGUACCUGUCCAACUUGUUUCUAGUUUCCCGUUACUCUGCUAUUCACUAUCUUUGUCAAUGUCUACCAAUCCCGCAAUGGAUACGACAUAUUUUGUUAAUUCCAAUCCCCAUGAGGUCUUGCAUUCAUAAUCCAAAUGAUGCAUGGCAUGCAUAUUAUUUGAAAAUGGGUAGGCGUAUUUUUACGUCCAAACACAGUGUAAAUGCUAAUAUUUAAGUAUCUUCGUCCUGUCAAGCCAAAGACUCCGUCUCUUGAUUCUCCGGACAAAGAAACUUAAAUAGGGGCAGCUGUUAUACCCUGUUUUUGGACCUAAAAAUACUGGGCCCAAUUUCAUUUCAAACUUUGUCGAUUAUCAAAUUUCAACUGCGCAGUUCAAAUUGUCUCUGCCUCGCAGUAUUUUCAAUCACAAUUUUACCUAUGUUUUUCUUGCAUAAAACCUUUCGAAAUGUCUUUACUUGUCCUGUAAGUCAUUCAAAAGUGUCUCUGAAUCAUUACAUUGCUUUUUCUACAGUUUAUUUCAAAAUUUGCAAAAAGUCAUACAGAAGGGUAUUUUGGUCAUUUCCUGCAGUGGGACCCAUUUUCAUCCUUGUGACUGUCUCUGAGUCUUUUCAGAUUACUUUUAAACAUUUCAUCAGUAAACUUUGUUAAAAUUCAUUUCAAACUUGCGUCUGAGUCAGUGUCAAGUCAAUUCGAGUCUGUUUAGGUCAUUUUUAGCCCUAGGGGCAUUUUGGUCAUUUCACAUAAAAUUUUGGCAUGGGGAGGUUACUUUGAAGUACCUCAUUUAGGCCAUUGGUUCGUUUUAGUCCGUUUUGUCAAUUUUAUUUGUGUUUCGCUUUACGUUUGGUCAAAUUACCAAUUUUAUUUUAAUUUUUAGUGUUUUUAUUAUUUUUGCAUUUUUGUCCUCAAAGAGUUCCAAAAUUGCAGUUCAGUCCACUUUUUUUCCAAUUUUCAUUUCAGUCCUUUUUGUCAAAUUGCAGUUUAGUCCUUGAAGUUUUAUUUUUUGCAGAAAGGUCCAAAGUUCAUUUUUCAGGUCCAAAGCCGUGCCAUUCCUUUUCCAAAUCCAGGUGUCACAUUUUCGUUGGCUCAAGUGUACACAUGUCAGCUAUAAAAGCAGUGAGUCAGAGUCAAAGCCAAGGACAACACGCCAACUCAACAAACACAUUUUCAGAUUCUCUCUCCAAUCAGUUAGAUCAAAACAGAAAAAUUUCUCAGAUUCAUCAAGAACACGAAGAACACAAAACCCUAACCGUUUCCAGAAAGUCACAAAUUCAUCAAGUUUCAGUGUUUUUCGCAUCAAUUCUCAGAGAUUCGUAUGAAUCUUCAUCACUGAAUUGAUUGAUUCUCUGCAAUUCCAAACGCGAGCUCGCAUCAAAGCAAGCUCAUGCGUUGAUCACAGAGAGCCUCUCGCAAAGAAAUCAAAGAAGCAAGUUCAAACGUAUAAUCAGAGAAAGAAUCGGAGAAGAUGAAGAAACCAAGCCAGUAAACCGAUUUAUUUUCGGUUCAGAGAAAACCAAAGAACGUUCAAGUUUUCCGAAGAUUUUCUCCUUCAAGAAUCUCAACCAAAUUCAGGUAAAACUCAGUUUUCUCUCUUUAAAAAGCAUAAUCACUGUUAAACCUGCAAACAAGAUCCAAAAAAUUUCCAGAAUCAUAAAAAAAAUCAUAACCGUAAGCAAAAACAUAGAUCCAUAGAAAUCCAGAAGUUGUAAGCAAGGACGAGUGCCAGAGAGAUAGCCAACACGGAAUCAAUGUAGAUCUUGAGGUGUUACAAGCUUCUUUUAAAAAUUCUUUGAAAACCUAAAAAAUUUUUCAAAACCGUGACACAAAAACGUAGAUCUACGUUGAUUCACGCCUUGCAUGAAAAAUCCAGUGGCAUAUUCGUGUUUAGGAUGGAAAAGGAUAUCUGAAAAUGUAAGUUUUUUUGAAAACGGUGGAGUUUGUUCAACUCCGGCGGCGGCGCCACCACCCUUGGGCGGCCGGCCACCACGCCGGAGGAGCAAAACUCACCGGGGAAGAUGAAGAUCUUCCGUGUUUUUCCAGAAUCCGGUGAGGGUUUAGAGAGAGAUGAGAGAUGAGAGAAGAGGGAAGAACUUAGAGAGAGAAAGGGAAGUAGAGAAAUGAAAAAACCGGUGCUCUCUUGUUUAUAUAAGCCAGCGAACCGGACCGGUUCAAUCCGGUCCAUUCCCCUUUGAUUCCUGGCCGCUUGAUCUAGGGUUUCAGAAUCCUGGAUCAAUCGUGUGGUUACUGUGCAUCCGGAUCUUUUAAGGAUUGGGCUUUGGUUUGGGCUUAGUUUUUUUACGUUUUUUUUGUUAUUUUCUUGCUAUUUGCACUGCCUGUCUUUGCUAUCCGCACCUGUUGCUUGCCUACCUUUUUAUAGAAAAUUCCUAAAAAAAUCCUAGUUGUUUCUCAAUGUAUUUUUGGCAUUUUUAUGGUGUUUUCUUGCAUGAAAAAAAUAUUAAAAUGGCAUGAACUAAUUUCCAUGAGUUUCUACACUUUUGGUAUGCAUUUUGCUAUGUUUUGUUCUUGGCAUUUUGAUAUUAUGACAUGGAUGAAUGAUGCCUAAUAUGGUGAUGAACAUGCCUCUGGAAAUGUGUUUAUUUUUGUUGUGUUUGGAUAUGAUUUUAUGGAUUACUUGUUUCACAAGAAAUAAUGGUUUAUUUUUUAGAAUAAAGUGGCAAAUUUCUCUAUGAACUUGGUAUGAUAUUUUGCAUGCAUACGCCUCCAUUAAUUGCAUGUCAUGGCUUGAAACAAAAUUUCUUUCUAAAUUGCCAUGAUGUGAUGAUUAUGGGUCACUAGCAUUUUUAAGUAUCAUAUCAAAUGUCUUCUAGGUUUAUUACCACUUUAUUGCUUUCUCUUGGCCAUCUUUAUGCAUUUCCUCUUAAUUACUUCCUACUAUUGUGUGCUUUAUGACUACUAACCAUUUCAUCUCAUGUGCCAUACAUUUCAUAGCAUUCCACCACUCUCUCCACUUUCUUUAGCUUAGCAUUUAUUUUUUGCAAAUCUUAAUUCAUUUGGUGAUGUAAUUUGUUGUCAUUGGUUUGUAGCUUGGCAAAGGGGCCAUAGAAUGUAUUUAGGCAAUUUUUGUAAUAUGGACUAUGGACACUAUGACGCACCGACACGCACACACUCACCUUAGAUGUAUGCAUAGGAUUGUAUGAUUAAAUAAGCGUUUAGGUUUUAAACACUUAGAGAAAAUCCAUCUUUUUUCAAAAAAUAAUUGAACUUCACUUCAAAAACUUUCAUGAUAAGCAUGAAGUCAACACUUCAUUUUUCCUUUCUUUUUUUCUUAAGAAAAAGUUCAAUUCAUCUUAAUCAUUUAGACUUUCUUUCUAAUCACUAAUCAAACCUCACUUUUUUGCUAAAUCUAAUGCUCAUGAAGCCUCCCAAUCUCCUUCUUCAAAACUUUUUUUUCAAAACUUAAAAUCAAACAAUUAAAAUCAAAAAAAAAAGUUUUUUUAGCAAGAACUACGAACGGUUUUGAUCCCUUAAAAGGGUACGUAGGCAAUGAGUCAAAACUCAUCCAAGCCGAAAUAAAAUCAAAAUUCUACUUCUUCUCACCCCCAUUCUUAACUAAAUAAACCUCCCAUUUUCAAAAGUAAGUAAAAAUAAAGCGUAGAAAUCGACUUAGGAAAACGGCUCCUAUAGAGGACUAUAGUUACUCCGGGUGCCUAACACCUUCCCGUAGUAAAACCGACCCCCGAACUUAGAAUCUAAGGGUUUUUUCUCAAUUUUUCCCUUCCCAAGAAAAAAGAGAGAUAUCAACGGUCGAAAGGUACAAGUCCAAUUAAUGACUUGGCACCCAAAAACCAUGAUAACAAUGCCUAAUAUUGUGGUGAAUAUAACUCUGGAAAUGUGCUUUUGUUUGCUAUUUGUGAAUAUGAUUUUAUGGAUUUCUUGUUUUACAAGCAACAAGUGUUUAUUUUUAGGAAUAAAGUAGGAAAUUUCUUCAUGAAUUUGGUGUGGUAUUUUGCUUGCACAUGUCUCCAUUAAUUGCAUGUCAUGGUUUAAAACAAAAUUUCUUUCAAAAUUGCCAUGAUGUGAUAAUUAUGGGUCACUAGCAUCUUUAGGUAUCAUAUCAAAUGUUUUUUUAGGUUUUUACCACUUUGUUACUCUUUCUUUGCCAUUCUUAUGCACUUCCUUUUGAUUAUUUCCUACUAUUUUGUGCUUUAUAAUCACUAACCAUUUCAUCUCAUGUGCCAUACAUUCCAUAGCAUUCCACCACCCUCUCCACUUUCUUUAGCUUAGCAUUUAUUUUUUGCAAGUUUUAAUUCAUUUGGUGAUGUAAUUUGUUAUCAUUGGUUUGUAGCUUGGCAAAGGGGCCAUAGAAUGUAUUUAGGCAAUUUUUGUAAUAUGGACUAUGGACACUAUGACGCACCGACACGCACACACUCACCUUAGAUGUAUGCAUAGGAUUGUAUGGUUAAAUAAGCGUUUAGGUUUUAAACACUUAGAGAAAAUCCAUCUUUUUUUCAAAAAAAAACAAUUGAACUUCACUUCAAAAUUUUCAUAAUAAGUAUGAAGUCAACACUUCAUUUUUUUUCCUUUCUUUUUUCUUAAGAAAAAUUCAAUUCAUCUUAACUAUUUAGACUUUCUUUCUAAUCACUAAUCAAACCUCACUUUUUUGCUAAAUCUAAUGCUCAUGAAGCCUCCCAAUCUCCUUCUUCAAAACCUUUUUUUCAAAACUUAAAAUCAAACAAUUAAAACAAAAAACAAGUUUUUUUAGCAAGAACUACGAACGGUUUUGAUCCCGUAAAACGGUACGUAGGCAAUGAGUCAAAACUCAUCCAAGCCGAAAUAAAAUCAAAUUCUACUUCUUCUCACCCCCAUUCUUCACUAAUCAUACCUUCUUUUUUACAAAUAAGCAAUAAAACUAAAGCGUAGAAAUAAACUUAGGAGAACGGUUCUUAUGGAAUACCAUAAUCGCUCCGGGUGCCUAACACCUUCCCGUAGUGAAAACGACCCCCGAAUCUAGAACUUUUUAAGGGUUUUUUCUCCUUUUACCCUUCCCAAGAAAAAAGAGAGAUAUCAACGGUCGAAAGGUUCAAGUCCAAUUAAUGGCUUGGCACCCCAAAACCAUGAUAACAGAAAUGGCGACUUCACUGGGGACUCUUUUUAGCGGGUCGCGCCUAGUUUUCCUUAGUUUAUAUUUACACUUUGUUUUAUUGCUUACAUAUGUGAAUAUUUGUUUACUUUCAUUCAACGUGUGGGGUGAGAAUAUCAAAAGUCCUAUACCCGGGCUGAGUGAACUUAUGUUUAGGUAGAGAUAUAAUCGACAAUUCGAUCCGGGGGUUGCCUCGUGUAUUGGAUUAUGCGAUCAAUCUCACAUAGCUGAGGCAUUUUGAAGGUGAUAUUGUCGGCGUGUGUUGUCAUGCUUAGGCACUUCACUUUCAAUUGUUCGACGAAGCUAUGAACCGUAGUUACCAAACCCAUCCUAGCCUUUUUAGGACGUAGUGCGGUGGCUAAAUUGAGUGUUGUCUCAAACUUUAGUCGUCACGCGAUACUACACUCAAACUAGACCUUCUCACAAAUAAUCAUGGAACGGGUGUCGUCCUGUACUACCAUGAUAUAUGUGAGAGAAGUUGCAGUUUGGGAACUGUGUUAGAACCUUGGUUACUACUAUCCAAAGCCUUAGUUCACCGGACGCCGUGUCCAUCCGUGGCCCCGUUACCUUGAAACUCAAUCCACUUUUAACAACACAAUCAUGCAUACAUGCAUUCAUGCAUAAACAUUUUUCAUGCAUUCAUCGAAGGGUUUAAACAAAUGAGAAUUUUUUUUGUAAAUAAUCACAGGUAUGAAGAAGACUAAGUGCUACAAGUUCAAGGAGGUGGAUUUGGUUAGUUUGAGAGAGUUGGCACUCAAGGUCAAGAGUCAAACAGGGUUCCGACUCCGGUAUGGGGGAUUGCUUACUUUGCUCCGAACCGAUGUGGAAGAGAAGCUAGUGCACACUCUAGUGCAGUUUUAUGAUCCGAGCUUCCGUUGCUUCACUUUCCCGGACUUCCAGUUGGUUCCUACUCUCGAGGCUUACUCCAAUCUAGUGGGUUUACCUAUAGCCGAGAAGACGCCUUUCACCGGUCCCGGGACUUCUCUUACUCCUCUGGUUAUUGCAAAGGAUCUCUACCUCAAGACUUCCGACGUCUCCAACCAUCUUAUUACCAAGUCUCACAUCCGGGGGUUCACUUCGAAGUAUCUUCUUGAUCAGGCUAAUCUCGGUACUACUCGUCAGGAUACACUUGAGGCUAUUCUUGCUUUGCUUAUCUACGGGCUCAUCCUCUUUCCGAACCUCGACAACUUCGUGGACAUGAAUGCUAUCGAGAUCUUUCAUUCCAAGAACCCGGUUCCUACUUUGCUAGCGGAUACUUACCACGCCAUCCAUGACAGGACUCUCAAGGGCCGUGGGUAUAUUCUUUGCUGCAUAUCUCUCUUGUAUAGGUGGUUUAUUUCGCACCUUCCGAGUUCCUUCCAUGACAACUCGGAGAACUGGUCCUACUCGCAGCGGAUUAUGGCUCUCACUCCUAAUGAGGUCGUCUGGCUCACUCCGGCCGCUCAGGUGAAGGAAAUCAUUAUGGGUUGUGGAGACUUUCUCAAUGUACCUCUUCUUGGUACCCGUGGAGAAAUCAACUACAACCCCGAGCUUGCUAUGAGACAGUUCGGUUUCCCUAUGAAGUCGAAGCCCAUCAAUCUUGCCACAUCUCCAGAGUUCUUCUUCUACAUGAAUGCUCCUACCGGACAAAAGAAAGCUUUCGUGGAUGCUUGGUCCAAGGUUCGAAGGAAAAGUGUGAAGCAUCUAGGUGUGAGAUCCGGUGUCGCUCAUGAGGCUUAUACUCAGUGGGUGAUAGAUCGAGCUGAGGAGAUUGGUAUGCCUUAUCCAGCUAUGAGAUACGUGUCUUCAUCCACUCCGUCUAUGCCUUUACCUCUACUUCCCGCAACUCAGGAUAUGUAUCAGGAGCAUCUAGCUAUGGAGAGUCGUGAGAAGCAAGCGUGGAAAGCUCGGUACAAUCAAGCCGAGAAUCUAAUCAUGACUUUGGAUGGUAGAGAUGAGCAGAAGACUCAUGAGAAUCUGAUGUUGAAGAAAGAACUAGCUAAGGCCCGGAGGGAAUUGGAAGAGAAAGACGAGCUGCUUAUGAGGGAUUCCAAGAGAGCUCGAGGACGACGAGAUUUCUUUGACAGAUACUGUGAUUCAGAUUCCGAGUCCGAUGAUCUUCCGACUACUUCCUAUGCUUGAGAGCUCUAUUUGUUUACCUUGUUGAAAAUGUUGUGUAAUUUUGUUUAUUUGCAAGAUUUCUAAUUUGUUUUAAAAUCCUUCGAUGAAAAAAAUAAGUCUUUUGCAUUCGCAUUUGCAUAUCAUGCAUCAUAUGCAUCAUGCAUUGGUCACAAAGGCUUCCAAGUGCUCAUUAUCUCCUGGUUCCUCUGCCGCAGUGUGAAAAGUGGCUCGUGCUCAGAGAGUUUACGAACCAGAUAGAAUUGAUCGAACCAGAGAAUACAGAAGAAAGAAAAGGGCUAUGGAAGAAGAGAACGCUCAGCUUCGCACCGAGUUAGCCUCUCUAAAGGAGGAAUUGGCAAAAGCUAAUGACGUCAUGACUGCUCUACUAGCUGCUCAAGAGCAAUCAGCUACAGCUAUCCCUACAACCACAGCUGCACCAGUAACUACAAGCGUGCUCCCUACCACUUCUGCAGACAAUCGCUUUACUAUGCCAGUGGGGUUUCCGUAUGGGCUUCCACCAUUCUUCACUCCCGUUGCUACAGCAAGCACCUCGGGCACUGCUAACAAUGUUCUGAUCCCUGCAACAAAUGCCGCCUCCAUCAUUGCUACUUUGCCACAAACAACAGCAGCUGUCACUGAGCCUCUGGUACACACUCUGCCUCAAGGUAUUAACAUCAACACACAGCACAGAAGCAUCCCCGUAACCAAGACUAUGGAAGAGAUGAUGGAGGAACUUGCUAAAGAACUCCGUCACGAGAUCCAGGCCAAUCGAGGGAAUGCAGACUCUGUCAAAACUCAAGACCUUUGCUUAGUGUCAAAAGUGGAUGUUCCUAAAAAGUUCAAGAUUCCGGACUUCGACCGGUACAACGGGCUAACUUGUCCUCAAAAUCACAUCAUCAAAUACGUCCGGAAGAUGGGCAAUUACAAAGACAAUGAUUCCCUUAUGAUCCACUGUUUUCAGGAUAGUCUGAUGGAGGAUGCCGCAGAGUGGUAUACUAGUUUGAGUAAGAAUGACAUCCAUACCUUUGAUGAGUUAGCCACCGCUUUCAAGAGCCAUUAUGGGUUUAACACUCGACUGAGGCCAAAUAGGGAGUUUCUCAGGUCCCUAUCUCAGAAGAAGGAGGAAAGUUUCCGUGAAUAUGCGCAAAGGUGGAGAGGGGCGGCUGCCCGUAUCACCCCUGCUUUAGAUGAAGAAGAAAUGACCCAGACGUUCUUAAAGACGUUGAAGAAAGAUUAUGUUGAGAGGAUGAUCAUCGCUGCCCCGAACAACUUUUCGGAGAUGGUCACUAUGGGAACCCGCCUUGAGGAAGCCGUCAGGGAUGGGAUCAUUGUGUUUGAGAAAGCUGAAUCCUCUGUGAGUGCAUCGAAGAGAUAUGGUAAUGGACACCACAAGAAGAAAGAAACUGAAGUGGGGAUGGUAUCAGCUGGAGCCGGUCAAUCCAUGGCUACUAUUGCUCCCAUCAAUGCAGCUCAAAUGCCUCCGUCAUACCCAUAUAUGCCAUAUUCUCAGCAUCCGUUCUUCCCACCGUUUUAUCAUCAGUACCCUUUGCCACCGGGUCAACCUCAAGUGCCCGUCAAUGCAAUUGCCCAACAGAUGAAACAACAGUUGCCGGUUCAACAACAACAACAAAAUCAGCAAGCUAGGCCUACUUUCCCUCCGAUACCGAUGUUAUAUGCUGAGUUGCUUCCAACUUUACUCCAGAGAGGGCAUUGUACGACUAGACAGGGCAAGCCACCACCUGAUCCGUUGCCUCCAAGGUUCAGGUCUGAUCUCAAAUGCGAUUUUCAUCAAGGUGCCUUAGGUCAUGAUGUCGAGGGGUGUUAUGCUUUGAAGUAUAUCGUGAAGAAGCUCAUUGAUCAAGGGAAGCUCACUUUUGAGAAUAAUGUCCCACAUGUCCUUGACAAUCCGCUACCAAAUCAUGCCGCUGUGAAUAUGAUCGAAGUAUGUGAAGAAACUCCUAGACUUGAUGUCCGCAAUGUCGCAACUCCUCUGGUACCUCUACACAUCAAGCUGUGCAAAGCUUCUCUGUUCAAUCAUGAUCAUGCUAAGUGUCUGGGAUGUCUCCGUGAUCCUUUGGGUUGUUAUGCUGUUCAAGACGACAUCCAAAGCUUAAUGAAUGAUAAUCUUCUGACUGUCAGUGAUGUUUGCGUGAUUGUGCCAGUUUUUCACGAUCCGCCUGUCAAGAGUGUACCUUUGAAGAAGAAUGCUGAGCCUUUGGUGAUAAGGUUGCCAGGACCAAUUCCUUAUGUUUCGGAUAAGGCUGUUCCAUACAAAUACAAUGCUACUAUGAUAGAAAAUGGAGUAGAGGUGCCUCUAGCCUCCUUUGCCACAGUAAGCAAUAUUGCCGAAGGGACUUCUGCAGCGCUAAGAAGCGGGAAAGUUCGUCCGCCGUUAUUUCAGAAGAAGGUAGCUACCCCGACCAUUCCACCAGUUGAAGAAGCAACUCCAACCGUUGUCUCACCCAUUGCUACAGAUGUGAACCAGCCUGGCAAAUCUAUAGAGGAUUCGAAUUUAGAUGAGAUUCUGAGGAUAAUAAAGAGGAGCGACUACAAGAUCGUUGAUCAGUUGCUGCAGACUCCUUCAAAGAUAUCUGUCUUGUCAUUACUCUUAAGCUCUGAGGCUCACAGGAAUACUUUGUUGAAAGUGCUGGAGCAGGCUUAUGUUGACCACGAAGUUACGGUAGAUCGUUUCGGUGGCAUAGUGGGAAAUAUUACUGCUUGUAACAAUCUCUGGUUUAGUGAAGAAGAAUUGCCGGAAGCGGGAAAGAGUCACAAUCUGGCUUUACACAUCUCGGUGAAUUGUAAAUCAGACAUGAUAUCAAAUGUGUUGGUGGAUACCGGUUCCUCUCUCAAUGUAAUGCCCAAGACAACUCUAGAUCAGUUGAGCUACCGUGGGACCCCUUUGAGAAGAAGUACUUUCUUGGUCAAAGCUUUUGAUGGAUCUCGAAAGAAUGUGCUGGGAGAGAUAGACUUGCCGAUAACCAUUGGCCCUGAGAAUUUCUUGGUUACUUUCCAAGUGAUGGACAUUAAUGCAUCCUACAGUUGCCUGCUGGGAAGACCGUGGAUACACGAUGCAGGUGCGGUUACUUCCACCUUACAUCAGAAGUUGAAAUUUGUGAAGAAUGGAAAACUCGUUACAAUCCAUGGUGAAGAAGCAUACUUAGUCAGCCAAUUGUCUUCUUUUUCUUGUAUUGAAGCAGGGUCUGCUGAAGGGACUGCUUUCCAAGGUUUGACCAUUGAAGGUGCAGAGUCAAAGGAAGCUGGGGCUGCUAUGGCUUCAUUGAAGGAUGCUCAGAGAGCCAUUCAAGAAGGUCAGACUGCCGGCUGGGGCAAGGUGAUACAGCUCUGUGAGAACAAGCGCAAAGAAGGUCUCGGGUUCUCCCCGUCAUCAAGGGUUUCCUCAGGAGUCUUCCACAGUGCAGGGUUUGUUAAUGCUAUCUCCGAAGAAGCCACUGGAUCUGGUCUCAGGCCUGUAUUUGUUACACCAGGAGGCAUUGCGAGUGAUUGGGAUGCCAUUGACAUUCCUUCAAUCAUGCAUGUUUCCGAGUAAUGCGUCUUGUUGCUUUAGCGCUUUGUUUUCAAAAAUAACAAUCCUCUCGCUCUGCCCAAAGCGAGAGUGAUAUUUUCUGUAAGGGCGUGUUUGUUUCGGCAUUGCCGUUUGAUGAAUAAAAAUUGUCGUUUCUUUCACGACUGCUUUUUUUUUAGUGCCCUUUUCUUGGAAAAAUGGUAAUGCCAGAAAAAACCAAAACGUCUGUAUUUUCUUAUUAAUUUCAAAAAUCUGCAUGAAAAAAAAACUCUUUCUAAAAUCAUCCAAUCAUUAUAUGCAGGUUGAACCAUAAUAAACCCGUUGAACACAGUAAUCCUACGGUUCCUCCAAAUUUUGAAUUCCCUGUAUAUGAAGCUGAAGAUGAGGAAGGUGAUGACAUACCGUAUGAGAUCACUCGGUUACUUGAGCAAGAAAAGAAAGCCAUUCAGUCUCACCAGGAAGAGAUUGAGCUUAUCAACAUAGGUACCGAGGAAAACAAGCGAGAAAUCAAGAUUGGUGCUACUCUAGAGGAAGGGGUUAAACAGAAGAUCAUCCAGCUCCUCCGGGAAUAUCCGGAUAUUUUUGCAUGGUCCUAUGAAGAUAUGCCAGGUCUAGACCCUAUGAUCGUGGAGCAUCGGAUCCCUACCAAGCCUGAAUGUCCUCCCGUCAGACAGAAAUUGAGAAGGACUCAUCCUGAUAUGGCUCUCAAGAUUAAGAGCGAGGUUCAAAAACAGAUUGAUGCGGGUUUCCUAAUGACAGUUGAGUAUCCUGAAUGGGUUGCCAAUAUUGUGCCUGUGCCAAAAAAGGAUGGUAAAGUCCGGAUGUGUGUUGACUUCAGAGACCUGAACAAAGCCAGUCCAAAAGACAACUUUCCAUUACCUCAUAUUGAUGUGCUUGUUGAUAAUACUGCUCAAUCUAAGGUGUUCUCCUUCAUGGACGGUUUUUCUGGUUAUAAUCAGAUCAAAAUGUCUCCCGAAGAUAGAGAAAAGACAUCUUUUAUCACUCCAUGGGGUACUUUCUGCUACAAAGUGAUGCCAUUCGGUCUAAUUAAUGCUGGUGCUACCUACCAAAGGGGAAUGACUACUUUGUUUCAUGACAUGAUUCACAAAGAAGUUGAGGUAUAUGUGGAUGACAUGAUUGUGAAGUCAGCAGAUGAGGAGCAGCAUGUUGAAUAUUUAACAAAGAUGUUUGAAAGGUUGAGAAAAUACAAGCUGCGUUUGAAUCCCAACAAAUGUACAUUCGGUGUCAGGUCCGGAAAGUUAUUAGGCUUCAUUGUCAGCCAAAAGGGCAUUGAAGUCGAUCCUGAUAAAGUCCGGGCCAUCCAAGAAAUGCCAGCUCCACAGACAGAGAAGCAAGUCAGAGGUUUCCUCGGGCGUUUGAAUUACAUCUCCCGGUUCAUAUCUCACAUGACCGCAACCUGUGGGCCGAUCUUCAAGCUGCUUAGAAAAAACCAGCCUAUUGUAUGGAAUGAUGAGUGCCAAGAAGCUUUUGAUAGCAUCAAGAAUUACCUGCUGGAACCACCUAUCCUUGUCCCACCCGUGGAAGGAAGGCCGUUGAUCAUGUAUUUGGCAGUAUUUGAUGAAUCCAUGGGAUGCGUGCUUGGUCAACAAGAUGAAACUGGAAAGAAAGAGCAUGCUAUCUACUAUCUAAGCAAGAAGUUCACCGAUUGUGAAACUCGGUAUACAAUGCUUGAGAAGACUUGUUGUGCUUUGGCCUGGGCCGCUAAACGCCUGCGUCAUUAUUUGGUGAAUCAUACAACUUGAUUGAUAUCCAGAAUGGAUCCGAUCAAGUAUAUCUUUGAGAAAGCUGCCGUUACUGGAAAGAUUGCACGCUGGCAGAUGCUUUUGUCUGAAUAUGAUAUUGUGUUCAAAACUCAAAAGGCAAUCAAAGGUAGCAUUCUUGCCGAUCAUCUUGCCUACCAACCUCUUGAUGAUUACCAACCAAUUGAGUUCGACUUCCCUGAUGAAGAGAUCAUGUAUUUGAAAUCCAAAGACUGCGAAGAACCGUUGAUUAAUGAAGGUCCAGAUCCCAAUAGCAAGUGGGGUUUAGUCUUUGAUGGUGCUGUCAAUGCUUAUGGCAAAGGAAUCGGGGCAGUCAUUGUAUCCCCGCAAGGGUAUCACAUUCCUUUUACCGCCAGAAUCUUGUUCGAAUGUACCAACAAUAUGGCUGAGUAUGAAGCAUGUAUCUUUGGGAUCGAGGAAGCAAUUGACAUGAGAAUCAAACACCUCGACAUCUAUGGAGAUUCUGCGCUCGUCAUCAAUCAGAUAAAGGGUGAAUGGGAGACCCACCAUGCUAAUUUGAUUCCUUAUCGUGAUUAUGCGAGACGUUUGCUGACAUAUUUUACAAAGGUUGAGCUGCACCAUAUUCCUCGUGAUGAGAACCAAAUGGCUGAUGCUCUUGCUACUCUAUCCUCCAUGUUUCGAGUAAACCAUUGGAAUGAUGUGCCAAUAAUCAAAAUGCAACGCCUUGAAAGACCUUCACAUGUGUUUGCUAUUGGGGAUGUGAUCGAUCAGGCUGGUGAAAAUGUGGUUGACUAUAAACCCUGGUACUAUGACAUCAAGCAGUUCUUGCUGAGCCGUGAGUAUCCGCCGGGUGCUUCCAAACAAGACAAGAAGACCUUGAGAAGAUUGGCCAGUAGAUUCCUGUUAGAUGGAGAUAUUCUGUACAAGAGAAACUAUGACAUGGUAUUGUUAAGAUGUGUUGAUGAACAUGAAGCAGAGCAGUUAAUGCAUGAUGUACAUGACGGUACCUUCGGGACCCAUGCUACAGGGCAUACUAUGUCAAGAAAGUUGUUACGAGCAGGUUACUACUGGAUGGCCAUGGAGCAUGAUUGCUACCAGUACGCCAGAAAAUGCCACAAAUGUCAAAUCUAUGCUGAUAAGAUUCAUGUGCCUCCGCACGCUCUCAAUGUUAUGUCAUCCCCAUGGCCGUUCUCAAUGUGGGGCAUCGACAUGAUUGGAAGAAUUGAACCGAAGGCUUCAAAUGGUCAUCGUUUCAUCUUAGUGGCAAUUGACUACUUCACCAAGUGGGUUGAAGCAGCAUCUUAUACCAAUGUGACCAAGCAAGUGGUAGCUAAGUUCAUCAAGAACAACAUCAUCUGUCGAUAUGGUGUUCCCAGCAAGAUUAUUACCGACAAUGGUACCAACCUGAACAACAAUGUGGUGCAAGCUCUUUGUGAAGAAUUCAAAAUUGAGCAUCAUAACUCUUCUCCCUAUAGACCUCAGAUGAAUGGUGCAGUUGAGGCCGCCAACAAGAAUAUCAAGAGAAUUGUCCAGAAGAUGGUGACCACUUACAAGGACUGGCAUGAGAUGUUACCCUAUGCUCUGCAUGGCUACCGUACUACUGUGCGCAGUUCAACAGGGGCAACCCCUUUCUCUCUUGUAUAUGGUAUGGAAGCAGUUCUUCCUUUGGAAGUGGAGAUCCCAUCUCUCCGUGUGAUCAUGGAAGCAAAGUUAUCUGAGGCUGAAUGGUGCCAAAGCCGGUAUGAUCAGUUGAAUUUGAUUGAGGAAAAACGUAUGGAUGCCAUGGCUCGUGGACAGUCAUAUCAAGCAAGAAUGAAGACUGCCUUUGACAAGAAAGUCCAUCCUCGAGAAUUCAAGGUAGGGGAACUUGUAUUGAAAAGGAGGAUAAGCCAGCAACCCGACCCAAGGGGCAAGUGGACGCCUAACUAUGAAGGUCCUUAUGUUGUCAAGAAGGCCUUCUCCGGUGGUGCUUUAAUCCUUACACACAUGGAUGGUGUAGAACUUCCAAAUCCAGUGAAUGCCGAUAUAGUCAAGAAAUACUUUGCCUAGAAAUAUGAAAAGAACAGCGUGGUAGGUCGAAAACCCGAAAGGGCGGCCUAGGCAAAAAUGCGCUUCCCGGUGGAUCGAAAACCCGAAAGGGCGGUCCAGGCAAAAAUAAGGGACAAAAAAUAUAUGAAAAGCUCGCUGAGAUUGUACACAACUCAGGCAAGAAUGAGCGUCUCGAUGAGCCGAAAACCCGGAAGGGCGGUUCAUGCAAAAAUGAGAUUGAAACAAAAGGCAAGUAACUAUAUCUAGUCAACCACCGUCUCCCUUGGGGCAUCUGCGGCUGUUAAUGCCUAUCUUCAUCUAAAGCUCCUACGCUUGCGAAUUCAAAGUUUCCAGGAAAUGUAAUGAUUGCUGUGUUCAAUGUACCACCAACCAAUAAAAUUACCAUUUUCCAAGCUUUGUGAAUCCGUGGAGUCAUGCCUUUGGCUGACCACCACUCUUAUACAUCAAUUUGAGCCUUUGCUUUUGUUUGAAAACUCUAUUUUUUCUUCUACUUUCAAAGCUAUAUACAAAACAUUUUCUUUCUAUUUUGAUAAUGACAAUGCUUGAAACAAACAUUUUGAAAAUUGAAAACUUUUUGUCUAUUUUGAAAAGCAAACCUGAGCAACAGGGUACAUUCAAAUGAAACAUGCAUGAGUGAGAGUAUGUUGAUGUCUAUUUCAAUAUGUGUUACAAGCAGGUUCUCCUCCAGGAUAGUCUGUGGUCAAUGGCAAGAAUGAAAAAGCAGAAUGAAAAUGCAUGAAAAUGAAAAGGCUCGCUAAGUUGAAAACCCGGAAGGGCGGCUUAGGCAAGAAUGAGCACCCCGCUGGAUUGAAAACCCGAAAGGGCAGUUCAGGCAAAAAUGGGGCAUUGAAAAGAAUUUAUUUCCCCGGUGGAUCGAAAACCCGAAAGGGCGAUCCAGGCAAAAAUGGGAUGCAAAAAAUGAAUGAAUGAAGUUGAGAAUAUAACAUGCAAAAAGCAUUGACCACAGAUGCAAUGUCUACAACAUACCCAGCACUGAAAUGCCCAGCACAACGGCGUUUUCCCCAGUGGAGCCUCUCAAGAUUCUAUCUCCAGCAAGUUGCAUAUCUACCUGCCCUCAGCUAUGGUUCCGACACGUCUCCCAACGACGUCAUCUCCAAAGAAGAUUUCCAAGAAUGUGUAAUAUAGCACGAGCCACUACGUGCCCAAUACUCUAAUGUCUUGUCUUCCCCGUAAAGUCGUGCCUACAAACUGCCAACAGUCAUGCAUUACAAGCAUUCAUACAUGCACAAUCAUGCGUAAUACGUGCCCAUGCAUUUAAUAAAACUGUUAUAUCAUCCAUGCAUAUCGCAUUUCCAAUAUCAAUAUCAGUCUCAAUUCAAAACUCAUGACAGGUCCUUUGUCAAAACCUUGUGAGCCAAUAAUAUCGGUCAAUUUCUACCUUUCAAAUCAAAUCGACGUCAAGUCAAUCUCAAUCUAUAUUUUGCCAACAAACCAAUCCCCAGUGAAUAUGUUUCUGUUUGGUCAAGUGGCUAGUUCAAGGCCAAGAACAGCUUGUACCUAUCAAUUUGCUUAUGUUAUCGGUCGAGUGCCCAGCUCAAUCCAAGAGCAGCUUGUACCUGUCAAUAUGUUUCCGUUUGGUCAAGUGACUAGCUCAAUCCAAGAGCAGCUUGUACCUGUCUAUCCGUUUCUCUCCGGUGGAGUAACUAGUUCGCAUCCAAGAACAAGCUCGCACCUGUCUAUUUGCCUUGCUUUCAGUCGAGUAACCAGUUCGAAUCCUUAAGAACAACUCGUACCUGCCAAUUUUACAUGUUUUCAGUCGAGACACCAGUUCGAAUCCAUAGGAACAACUCGUACUUGUCAAUUUUCUCUUUUUCCAGUCGAGUCACCAGUUCGAAUCCGUAAGAACAACUCGUACUUGCCAAUUUUCUCUUUAUCCCCAAGUGAGCUACCCAGUUCGAAUCCAUAAGAACAACUCAUGUUUGUCCAGUAACCUCUAUCCCCUGUGAAGUGACCAGUUCGAAUCCAUAAGAACAACUCGCAGUUGUCGGUUUGUUUCAUCCCCGGUCAAGUGGCUAGUUCGAAUCCAAGAACAGCUUGUACCUGCCCAACUUGUUUCUAGUUUCCCGUUACUCUGCUAUUCACUAUCUUUGUCAAUGUCUACCAAUCCCGCAAUGGAUACGACAUAUUUUGUUAAUUCCAAUCCCCAUGAGGUCUUGCAUUCAUAAUCCAAAUGAUGCAUGGCAUGCAUAUUAUUUGAAUAUGGGUAGGCGUAUUUUUACGUCCAAACACAGUGCAAAUGCUAAUAUUUAAGUAUCUUCGUCCUGUCAAGCCAAAGACUCCGUCUCUUGACUCUCCAGACAAAGAAACUUAAAUAGGGGCAGCUGUUAUACCCUGUUUUUGGACCUAAAAAAUACUGGGCCCAAUUUCAUUUCAAACUUCGUCAAUUAUCAAAUUUCAGCUGCACAGUUCAAUUUGUCUCUGCCUCGCAGUAUUUUCAAUCACAAUUUUACCUAUGUUUUUCUUGCAUAAAACCUUUUAAAAUGUCUUUACUGGUCUUGUAAGUCACGCAAAAGUGUCUCUGAAUCAUUAUGUUGCUUUUUUUCCACAGUUUAUUUCAAAAUUUGCAAAAAGUCAUACAGAAGGGUAUUUUGGUCAUUUCCUGCAGUGGGACCCAUUUUCAUCCUUGUGACUGUCUCUGAGUCUUUUCAAAUUCAUUUUUUACUUUCCAUCAGUAAACCUUGCUAAUUUCAUUUCGAACUUGCAUCUGAGUCAGUGUCGAGUCAAUUUGAGUCUGUUUAGGUCAUUUUUUUAGCCCUAGGGGCAUUUUGGUCAUUUCACAUAAAAUUUUGGCAUGGGGAGGUUACUUUGAAGUACCUCAUUUAGGCCAUUGGUUCGUUUUAGUCCGUUUUGUCAAUUUUAUUUUAGUUUCACUUUACGUUUCGUCAGAUUGCCAAUUUUAUUCCAAUUUUAUUUUUAUUUUACAUUUUGGUCCCCAAGAGGUCCAAAAUUGCGUGUCAGUCCAGAAUUUUCUUUUUUUAUAUUUCAGUCCUUUUUGUCAAUUGCAGUUUAGUCCCUUAAUUUUUCAAUUUUGCAGAAAGGUCCCAAAUUAAUUCUAAGUCCAAGGCCGUGCCAUUUCCAUACAAAUCCAGGUGUCACAUUUUCAUUGGCUCAAGUGUACACAUGUCAACUAUAUAAACAGUGAGUCAGAAUCAGAAGCAAUAAUCACACGCCACUUCACCAAAAAACAGGAUCAAACUUUCUCUUUCUUGUCAGUUAGAUCAAACCAAAAAAUCACAGAGAAAUCACCAAGAACACAAGAACCCUAAGAUUUCCAGAACAAAAUUCAUACACAAAUUCAUUGAUUUUCACAUCAAUCCUCAGAGAUUCGUGUGAAUCUUCAUCACCGGAUUGAGGAAUUCCCCUACAAUUCAAAGUGCGAGCUCACAUUGAAGCAAGCUCAAGCACUGAUCAUAGGGAUUUUUCACACAGAUUCAAAAACGUUGAAGCAAGCUCAAGCACAUAAUCACAGAGAAGCAGAGAAAGAAUCAGAGAAGAUGAAGAUGAACCGGUAAACCGAUUUAUUUUCGGUCCAAAAGCAAGCAAAAUCAUCAAAACCGUCAAGAACAUUCAAGUUUUCCCAAAGAUUUCCUCCAUUAAAGGUUUCAACCAGAACCUUAGGUAAAACUCAGAAUCUUUUCUCAAAAGUAAUAUCACUGUUAAACCUGUAGAAAACAAUCACGCAAGCAAAGCGUAUCAAAAAAUUUCCAGAAUUCAAAGAAAGCCGUAACCGUAAACACGAAACCUAGAUCCAUAAGGAUCUAAGUUUUGAAAGCAAGAACGAGUACUAGAAGCGUAAUCAAACAACGAAACGAUGUAGAUCUUUAAACGAUCUAAACAUUUCUUUUCAAAAACCAAAAAAAUCAGUUUCAAAACCGUACGGAACUUUUUAGAUCUACAACGUUUCAAACCGUAUUUGAAAAAACAGCUGCUGGAUUCGUGUUUAGGGUUAAAGGACGAAUCAAAAUAUGCAAAAAUAUUUGAGUUCUGGAAAUUUUUCACCGGAAACUGCUAGGUCUCGCCGGAGAAGAUGAAGUUUCCGGCGGACCUUCAAGGUCUCCGCCGUAGCUUCAUCCUCACCGGCGGUGAGGGUUUAGAGAGAGAUGAGAGAAGAGAGAGGGGUUAGAGAGAGAAAGAGGAAUACGAAAUGAAAAAACCGGCGCGCUAGGGUUUAUAUAGAGUGCUAGACCGGACCGGUUCAAGACCGGUCCAAUCCCAUGCGUUGUGAGCCCUUAGAUCUAGGGUUUGGGAUCUUGGAUCAAUCCAACGAUCCCUGAGCAUUCCUGUGAGAUCCGGAUCCCUUGGCUUUGGGCCUGGGCCUCUUUUCUUUGCUUUUCUACGUUUUUGCUUUUUUUGUGCUAUUUGCACCGUGUUUCCUUGCUAUCUGCACCUAUUGCUUGUUUACUUCUUUUACAAAAAUUCCUAAAAAAAUCCUAGUGGUUUCUUGAUACAUUCUUGGCAUUUCUAUAGCGUUUUCUUGCAUAAAAAUGUUAAAAUGGCAUGAACUAAUUCCAUGUAUUUUUGUACUUUUGGUAUGCAUUUUGCUAUGUUUUGUUCUUGACAUUUUGAUAGUAUGACAUGGAUAAAUGAUGCCUAAUAUUGUGGUGAAUAUAACUCUGGAAAUGUGCUUUUGUUUGCUAUUUGUGAAUAUGAUUUUAUGGAUUUCUUGUUUUACAAGCAACAAGUGUUUAUUUUUAGGAAUAAAGUAGGAAAUUUCUUCAUGAAUUUGGUGUGGUAUUUUGCUUGCACAUGUCUCCAUUAAUUGCAUGUCAUGGUUUAAAACAAAAUUUCUUUCAAAAUUGCCAUGAUGUGAUAAUUAUGGGUCACUAGCAUCUUUAGGUAUCAUAUCAAAUGUUUUUUUAGGUUUUUACCACUUUGUUACUCUUUCUUUGCCAUUCUUAUGCACUUCCUUUUGAUUAUUUCCUACUAUUUUGUGCUUUAUAAUCACUAACCAUUUCAUCUCAUGUGCCAUACAUUCCAUAGCAUUCCACCACCCUCUCCACUUUCUUUAGCUUAGCAUUUAUUUUUUGCAAGUUUUAAUUCAUUUGGUGAUGUAAUUUGUUAUCAUUGGUUUGUAGCUUGGCAAAGGGGCCAUAGAAUGUAUUUAGGCAAUUUUUGUAAUAUGGACUAUGGACACUAUGACGCACCGACACGCACACACUCACCUUAGAUGUAUGCAUAGGAUUGUAUGGUUAAAUAAGCGUUUAGGUUUUAAACACUUAGAGAAAAUCCAUCUUUUUUUCAAAAAAAAACAAUUGAACUUCACUUCAAAAUUUUCAUAAUAAGUAUGAAGUCAACACUUCAUUUUUUUUCCUUUCUUUUUUCUUAAGAAAAAUUCAAUUCAUCUUAACUAUUUAGACUUUCUUUCUAAUCACUAAUCAAACCUCACUUUUUUGCUAAAUCUAAUGCUCAUGAAGCCUCCCAAUCUCCUUCUUCAAAACCUUUUUUUCAAAACUUAAAAUCAAACAAUUAAAACAAAAAACAAGUUUUUUUAGCAAGAACUACGAACGGUUUUGAUCCCGUAAAACGGUACGUAGGCAAUGAGUCAAAACUCAUCCAAGCCGAAAUAAAAUCAAAUUCUACUUCUUCUCACCCCCAUUCUUCACUAAUCAUACCUUCUUUUUUACAAAUAAGCAAUAAAACUAAAGCGUAGAAAUAAACUUAGGAGAACGGUUCUUAUGGAAUACCAUAAUCGCUCCGGGUGCCUAACACCUUCCCGUAGUGAAAACGACCCCCGAAUCUAGAACUUUUUAAGGGUUUUUUCUCCUUUUACCCUUCCCAAGAAAAAAGAGAGAUAUCAACGGUCGAAAGGUUCAAGUCCAAUUAAUGGCUUGGCACCCCAAAACCAUGAUAACACCUUAGAUAAACAUUAAAUGUAAAAGUCUGGAGGGAAAAAUUAGGUUAAAACUAGAGCUGACAUUUUGCAUAAAUUAAAUCUAGGGUUAAUAUAGUAAAGUCACGCGAAAAAAUACGUUAAAUCUAGGGUUAAUAUUGCGUCACGGGUUAACAUUUAGAAAUAAGAGAUGACAUUUUGCAUAAAUUAAAUCUAGGGUUAAUAUAGUAAAGUCACACGAAAAAAUUAGGUUAAAUCUAGGGUUAAUAUUGCGUCACGGGUUACCAUUUAGAAAUAAGAGAUGUCAUUUUGCAUAAAUUAAAUCUAAGGUUAAUAUAAUUUGUUUAGUAAAUUUAAAGAGAAAAAUUAGGAGCGAUUUGUUUAUUUUGAUUUCCCUAACAAUUAACGUUAACAUUUUGUUUAAGUUAAACAUGAUUAAUUAAAUAGGGUUAAUACAGUAAAAUUAAGCAAAGAAGUUAGGUUAAAUCUAGGGCAAAAUUUUGCGUUGGGGUUAACUUUAAGAAAUAAAAUAGGUUAAGUAUAGCAAGAAGGAUUAACAUUUAUAAGUAAGAGAUUAGAUUAAGUAUAGCGAGACGGGUUAACGGUUAUUCCUUUCCAAAAAAACAACAUAUAAUUGGGAACAUCAUUUUAUUUUACUUUAGAUAAAUAUUAAAUGCAAAAGUGUGGAGGGAAAAAUUAGGUUAAAAUUAGAGAUGACAUUUUGCAUAAAUUAAAUCUAGGGUUAAUAUAGUAAAGUCACGCGAAAAAAUAUGUUAAAUCUAGGGUUAAUAUUGCAUCAAGGAUUAACAUUUAGAAAUAAGAGAUAACAUUUUGCAUAAAUUAAAUCUAGGGUUAAUAUAGUAAAGUCACAUGAAAAAAUUAGGUUAAAUCUAAGGUUAAUAUUGCGUCAGGGGUUAACAUUUAAAAAUAAGAGAUAACAUUUUGCAUAAAUUAAAUCUAGGGUUAAUAUAGUAAAGUCACAUGAAAAAAUUAGGUUAAAUCUAAGGUUAAUAUUGCGUCAGGGGUUAACAUUUAAAAAUAAGAGAUAACAUUUUGCAUAAAUUAAAUCUAGGGUUAAUAUAAUUUUUGUAGUAAAAUUAGGAGCGAUUUGUUUAAUUUGAUUUCCCUAACAAUUAACGUUAACAUUUUGAUUAAAUUAAAUAGGGUUAAUACUGUAAAAUUAAGCAAAGAAGUUAGGUUAAAUCUAGGGCAAAAUUUUGCGUUCGGGUUAACUUUAAGGAAUAAGAGAUUACAAUAGUUGUUAUGUUAUUUUUUAUGCAGUGUUUUAGGCUCUGUGUUGCAAAAUUUUGGUUUACGCAGUUUUGAUUUUCACAUUGAUAAAGGACAAUAAUUUUCCGUAAUUUAUAAGAUUUCUUCUUCGGAGUUAAAUUUUUUAAAAAUACGUUAUUCAACCCGUGCGAAUUCGCACGGGUUUGUAACUAGUUUGAAUGACAAAAAAAUAAAAAUGUGGAAUGGGUUGAGAGAAAGAGAAAGGAUGGAAAAAGAAUUAGUACGUACUUUGCAAUUAUGGAAUUAAAACCUCUUUUAUCACACAAUAAUGUGCUAAAGCUCAUUAACACAUUGAUUUUUUUUUUUUUAUUUUUAUUUUUUUUUUUUUAUUUUUUAUAGUUGUUCAAUAGACCUCUCAAAAUUGUUCACUUAACUACAAAAGCUAAUCAAAAGAUGCAUCUUGAUCGAAAUUCACAUACAAAAUCAAUCGAUCGGGGUCAUAAACUGAUUGAAAGAGAAAUUGAAAGGUCUAUUGAACAACUUACCUAUAAUUUUCUUCUUUUCUUUUCUAUUAAUUGGUGUGGGCUUCCACAUGAGUAGAGAUUCGCCAAACAGUUCUUUAUUUCACAAUUUAAGUGAAGCAAUUUGUUAUCAUUCCAAUAAGGGAUAGUGUCUGAGGGGGCACUUAUUAAGAAAGAAAUUAAAUACUACCUUAAAAAUUGUGUAUUUAUUUUUAAAAAAUUGGAAAGAGAUCAUUUUAAUAUAAAAUUUGUCUUUUCUUUUUACUUUUAAUUCUUUUAACAAAUGUCCCUAAACUAUUGUUACUGUGUCUUCCAACAACUACUACAUCUGUCCCUAAUUAUAAAACCAUUUUGAGAAUUUUUUUUGUCCCUUUUUAUAAGACCCAUUUUCUAUUUCCAACUACAUUAAUUAUUUCUUUACAUGCAUGGCCCUAUUUAUUAUUGUUGUGUAUGUCUUCAAAUUGCAAAGUUGGGAAGCAGAGAAAUCGUGACACGAUUUUGGUAAUGUCGUGAGCUGGUUUUCAGGGCGUCCAAUCGUUACACGAUUUUUGGCUUGCUGGGCAAGAUUUUCAGGAUAAGGUUGGUCGUACCUUGGAUCGUACGCAUCAAUCGUGGCACGAUUGGGGGAAAAACGUGACACGAUUUUGACGCAGAAGACAGCUAUAAAAGUGUUCUUUGCAGAUUUUGAAUGAGAGCUUGAAGAGAGAGAAACUUGGGAAAUCAAAGGAAGCAACUUUAGGGAUUAGGGUCUUUGAUUAGAGUUCUCUUGGGUUGGGAAACAUUGCAAACACCUUGGUGAGUGAAAAUCAUUGAGUGUCUUGUUCAUUGGUGAGAUUGGGAAAAAUGGUAGAAAUUAGGGUUGUUCUUUGUGAACUUGUCAAAGCUAAUUUCUUGUAACCCUUUUCUAUCUCUUUGGAAGAACUCAUUGAUAGUGGAUUGGAGAGUUCAAUCUCUCCUCCAGAGUAUGUCAAGUUUGGACCGAACUGGAUGAACAAUCUUUGGUGUGUUUGUUUCUCUCUUCUCUCCUUUUAUCUUGUGCUUGUGUUUUGUGCUUUUCACUUUGUUUCCUAGAUUAGAUCUAGGUGUUGUUAUUGUUGAUUAUUGUUUGCAUUCACUUUGUUAUUGGUUACUACUUUCCUUUGCUCCACACAUCAUAGUUUGUUUUGGUGUGAUUUUGAGACCGGAAUUCACAACAAUUAUACAUUUUUUCUUCAAUCAGCAAUAAAUAGAAUGUUGAAAACAUAAGCCAACCCUCUUUCUUAAAGGAUAAAAUUGUAAAAACAAUAGUAAUUACAAACAUAUUUAAUACAAAUAUCAUCUAUCUUAAUUCCCGUUAUUUUUUCAGAAGAGUCUUAUAAUUAGAGACGGAGGUAGUAUAUCAUAAGUCUCAACUCUCAACCUUCUUCUUAUGUGAUAAUCAAGAUUUUCUCAACAAAUCAACACCAUUGUCAUCUCUAUCUCCAACAUCAAUUAUAAACAUCACACCUUAGUUAAACAGCCAAAUCACAUGCCAAGUUACUUAGAAGUUAGAACCACCAUUCAACAAAGAAAUUAGGUUACUUCAAACUUGAAUGAUCCUCUUGUCCUAGUAAAAGUCCGCGUGUGUAUUGCAAAGUUCGUUAAAAGUACAUUUCGUUAAAAGUACAUUUAUAGUGAACUACUGAACUUGAUGUCGGUGAUUGCUUAUAUUUUGCAACAACAAAUUCUACACUAAAUUAAUUGAUUUAAACCUAUGAAGGACGGAUACGGACACAGACACUAGACACAAUACAGACACUGAUAUGCCGACACAACUAAUAAUUUGAAAAUAUCACAUUAUUCGGUUUAAUUACAAGUGUCGGUGUCGUGUUGGUAUCAGACACGACACGUGUCCGACACUGGGACACGCCUAAUUCGAGAAGUGUCUGUGCUUCGUACCAAGUCAUUUUUUUAAUAAAAUUACUUGUUCAUCAGGCAAACACCAAUUCUCAUACCAAUUCGCUCUCAUUAUAUGCUCAAAUUUCAAAACUCGGUUUUGGUUGAAAAUGAAAUCUUAACCGAUCAAAGUAGAAGCUAUCUCCGUAUUGUGGAUUAGUUUUUCACUAUAGAAAAAAUGAUUUUGAUAAUUAAAAACUAUUUAGAGGUUAAUUUAUUAUAUUAAAAAAAUUAAAUAUGUUUUGUGUUAGAUUAUUAUAAUGUAAACCAUUUUUUGAAAGAAAUUGUCUUCAGCACAUGAUUGGAACUCUCGAUGAACUCAUUUUGAACGCAUACAUAUAUAGUAUAUGAAUGAUUGGAUUUCAAGAGAGAACAAUUCUUGUGCACAUUUAUUCGGAUUUGAAUAAAUACACAAUUGUUUUACAAAUGAAAGAAGAUUAUUCCUAAGAUAUUUUUAAAUGGUGAAAUCUAGACGAGAAAAAAAAAAUAUUUCUCAUUUUUAUAGAUAAAUUUAGAAAAAGAUGAUAUUUUUCGUACAAAAACAUUUAUCAAGAAUUAUGGUAGUAGAAGAAAAAAGAAAUUGUCCACUAAACAUAGAUCUGUUGGUACGAAUAUUACAUAAUAUACAAAGUGGUCAAAAUUCAAAUCAAAAAUACCCCACUUAUACAAGGUUCAAAUUCCAAAAGCCCACUUAUACUUACGUUAGAUGAUUUCUAGCCACUACCAAAACUAAGUUAAAGGAAAAAAAAAUAAAAUAUUAAUUCAUGUGUUACAUUAUAUAUAUUUAAUUCAUGUGUUACAUUAUAUUUCUGUCAAAUGAGUAUCAUGACUAUCAAAAUUGUUACAACCAUUUUACCAUUUUCAACCUGGCCAACUGGAACCACUAUGCUAUGUAUGCAAUUUUUACACUUUAACAAUAGUAAAAAAAGAAGGGGAAGAGGUAGUGGCUAGAAAUGAAACAAAUCACUUCACCAUUUUGAUUUAAAUUGAACAUGUGAAUGCACAGUACAAGUGGUAAUUAGAAAACAUAACAGAUGAAACUGACAAUUCAAAAUUUAUUUCAUUUAUUUCAAAUAUAUUAUUCCAUUAAGAGUAACUACAUAACAUUGUCUCCAAAAAGAAAAAUUAAAAAUAAAACUCCAAAUAUUUUUGUCUCUAAGUAGCAACUGAAUUUACUAGGCAAUGACACCCAUUCUUUUUAUAAAGUAGACAAAAAGUCAUGUACCCAGUUAACAUGAACCACAACUACAACUUGUACUGCAACUUAUUCAUAGAUAAUUUUUAGAGGCUAGAAUUGAUUUUGAGAACCAAAAAAGUGACUUAUUCAUUGUGCUUCUUGUGGAGCUGAGGAUCAGUUUGAUAAAAGACAACAUCUCCAGUGUCACUUACAAAGUGAUCUUCAUUCAUACUUUGUAGUAAAUAUUUAAUUAGAUGAAAUGGAAGUGGUGAUGAUUUCUCUGGCUCACGGUAAUAGUCUCCAAAAAUUGGUUUUGCUGCUUUAGUCUGCAAAGGAAAAAGAUUGCAAUCAUUGUUUAAAACCACAUCGUAAGAAAUGACCAGUGACCCUGAGACGCUGGUUAAAGAACUAAAAAUAGGAUGAAGCGUGUUUAACGGUAAGUAAUUACCGCUUCAACCAAGUGAUAAUGAGGAAUUUGAGGGAAGAGAUGAUGAACAACAUGAGUGCCAAUGUCAUGAUGAAUGUUAUUAAUCCAACCAUAGUCACGAUCAACGGUUGUUAGUCCACCUCUUAGAUAGGUCCAUUCCUACCAAAAUGUACACGAGUAAUCAGACUCAACAAGAUUUGUGAUACAUAAUCACGUAAUUAUGAACAUAAAUAAUUGAUUGAUUGAAGGUACAUAAUUCAUUAUAUUUUUACCUGGCCACGGUACCAUGGUAAUUUUUGCGUAUAACCAUGGUGAUGCAAGUAUGUGACAAAAUCCAACCACAUGACAAAAAUCUGGAGUUGUACAAAAUAAGCAUAUAAUAAUCAAUUAAUGGACAUAAUAACAAUAAUUCAAUUAUAAUACAUUGUUUAGAUCAACGGUAAAUUUGGUAGAAGUAUGGUGAAACGUUCUAAAUUUAAUAAAAGAUUCAACAAAAUUAUGUUGUCCCCAUAACUUUUAAUAUGAAGCACAGCUACGACACUGACACAUCGAUACCAUAAAUAAUUUAUGAAAAUUACAUAAUUCACUGUAAUAACAAAUGUCAGUCUCGUAUCAGUGUCAGAAAAAUGUCUAACACCAGAACACGCCUAACUCGAGGAAUAUAAAAAAAAAAGGAUUUAAAAAUGAAUUUAACUUUACCCAAUAGGGAACUCCAUAGAGCUUGAGAAUUAAAAGUGGACUAGUUGUGAAGGACAAAUAAAGAAGCAAAGAAAACAUGAGAAGCCAACAAACUGUUGAAACUGUCACUUCUUUUCUCUCAUUGGGUGAGAACAAGUCGCUAUAGGGAUGAAAGUGUGACCCUGAUUUUCCAGGACUUCUACUCCACUGAAACAUUAACAUUUUCACAUUAGAAUAUGAAAAAAAAAAUUAGAUUCUACAAGUAUAUUAUCAUGAUAAGAACAAUAUUUGUAUUAUUUUAAAUAAUAAAAAAAAAACUCACCAAAUAAAUUGGAUAUGCAAACAAUGGUAAAGGCACUGAGAAUCUCACAAAUUUUGUCAUGUUGUCUAGACUGUUGUAAACCUUUUCUGUCAACUAAGAAAAUGACACAAAAUAUUAUGAACAAAACUCAUCAAAUGAAAGUUACUUCAUUUUUGCCCUUUGUUUGGGACUAAACCACCAAAACUAUGCAUAUAAUAUAAUAUAAUAACAUUAAUUAAGAACUUAGAAUAAAAUCAACAAAUCACAUACUGGAACCCAUGACUCAUCCCUUUCAACAUUUCCAUGGUUUUGAUGAUGUGUUUUGUGACUAAUUCUCCUGAAAAAUUCAUUAAAGCAAAAACUUGAAAUUUGUUAUAAUUCAAAGUAAAGUUAUUACCAUGAAACAACAAGGACAAAAAUGAUAUAAUGAACAAUAAAAAAACAAAAAUUCUAGAAACUAUUUCACUCACCAUCCAUGGUAUGGAACAAGAAUUGAGGAAUGCAAAAUAUGGCCCACAAAGUUAUUCACCAAAGAACUAUCUGAGAAGCUUCCAUGGCCACUAUUCCAAACAAAACAUCAAUGUUUACAUAAAAAAACAUAACAAAAACAAAAAACCAUAUGACAUAACAUUAACAUGAGUUAAACAAAAAACAUAAUUGAAAAAAAAAAAUUAUUUCUUACCAAUCAUGUCCAAGAACAAAAAUUGCCCAAAACAUUGUUCCUUGAAGAGGCCAAUAAAUUGGCCAAAAAUACCAGUUAUCAAACCUAAUUGCAGCUACAAUCAAUGCAGUAACAACCACCACAUCUCUAAGAACAUAACUUAGAGAUCUCCAUGUGUUCUUCACCCAACAAUGUUUUGGAAUAGCAGCUCUAAUAUCUGCUAUCUUAAAUGGUGGAGGAGCACUAGGGUCAAAUUCACUAUGGUUGUAAUUGUAGCCACCAUUGGUUACAACCAUUGUUUCUUGGCCUAGUGUUUCUCUUUUUUCAGAUAUGUGGUGAAUAGAGGUUGAUAUAGCCAUAAGAUGAAAUAUUUUUAACCUUUUGUAUGAGUAUACUACGACAGACACAUGGGGUCGUUUGUAUAUAUAAUAGAAAAAUGUUAGAGUGGUAAUAAUAGGUGCACAAGAUUUUAGUUUGACUUGUGUAAUUUUUUGUUUAUUUAUGUUGAUUUUCCUAAGAUCUAGGUGAUGUGGGAAAUGCUAAACUUGUGAAUUUAUGACGAUUUUGCAAAUUUCAAACCGUAUGAAGGUUGAAUAUUGAACCAUUGUAUCUCUUGAAAAACAUGUGCUAACAAAGAAGUGAAUUUAUGGUCGGUUAAUAUAUGGCAUAAUUAAAUUUUAUGUGCUAAUGUGAAUUUAGGGUCGGUUAUAUAUAUGGCAUAAGUUCAAUUUUGGAGGGUCAAGAAUCAUUUUAAUAGUUUUUUUUUUUGUUGAAAGAAUCAUUUUUUUAGUAUUGAUUUUAGGGUUAAUUAAGUUUUUAGUCCCUAUAAAUAUUCACAGUUUUGUUUUUAGUCCCUAUAAAAUAAAAUCACAUUUUUUAGUCCCUAUAAAAUUUUCCAGCAGCAUUUUUAGUCCCUAUAAAUUUUUCUAUCAGCACUUUCAGUCCCUGUCAAAAAUUUUUAUCAACAAUUUUGGUCUCUAAAAUGCUUAAGAAAAAUGUCACAAGAACUAAAAAGUGUGAUUUUAUUUUGUAGGAACUAAAAACAAAACUGUGAAUAUUUAUGGGGACUAAAAACUUAAUUAACCCUUGAUUUUAUCAUUGUAAAAAAAAAAAAAAUUUUAUCAUGUGCGGAUGAUUUAAAAGAUAUUACAAUUGCUUGGUGCUUAUAAUUAUAAUAACUUAACUGCAGUUAAUGUUGAUUUUAAUUUGGGUUUUAAUCUUGUGUUAUGGAUCAAGGCAAUUUCUCUCAAAGUUAACAUUUUUAUAUAAGUUUGUUGUUAAAUCGAAUUUCUGCAAAGGACAAUUUAUUUAGAAGGCAUAUCUUACCUAAUAAUGAUAUUUUUUGCUCGGUUGCUUGUAGUUGUGCGGAAGUCAGAGACCACUUGUUCUUCCCGUGUGAUGUUUAUGGUCGUCUUUGAAAUCUUAAUUAUGAUUGGUUAAGUUUUUACUUUGCUCCUCCUAAAAAUUUACUUGAUCAUCUUCUUCAAUUUGAGAGUUAGGGGGUUUCUCUAAAAAGUUUUAUGUGGCUUUCAACAUUAUUUGAACCUUUGCCAUUUAUGUCAUUUGGGAUUGGAAUGAACUAAACAAAAUAAUCUUUAAUCGUAAGGUGUGGCUUUCAACAUUAUUUGAACCUUUGUCAUUUAUGUCAUUUGAAAUUGGAAGGAACGAAACAAAAGGAUCUUUAAUUGUAAGGCUGAAAUUCUUACUUCUUUAACUUAAAAAAAUUAAGAUUCAGACAUAUUGGUGGUUAAAAUCUUUUUAUGAUUUGUUUUAUUUUGAUUAGAUAACUUGGAGGUUAAAUCCUUUGAUGUGUAUAAAGGUGCUCUUCUAAUUAACUUGUGUUUGUACCCUUUUUCAAUUGUAAUUCCCUGGACAUGUAGUUUCUCUAGUACGUACACCUUGUGUCGGAAGGACUAUUUUUGAUUGUUUAAUAUAUAUUUUCUUAGCCUUUACGGAAAAAAAAAGACAAAAUUUUCGUAAUAAAAUAAUGGACUUAGUAAGGACAAAAAAAAAAAAACUUUUUAUUGAGAUGUCAUUUGAUAUAGUGACUUAAUUAAUAUAUUUUUAUUGCGAACUGAAUAGUUAUUAUAUCAAAAUAGGGAUAUCAUAUAAAAGGUACCAGUUGUCUUGGUUCCAAUAUUAAGAAAUUUUUUUGAGAAAAUUAUUAUUUUUUGCUACAAAAGUAUUAUACAUUUAAUUAUUUUUUGCUACCAAAGUAGUAUACAUUUAAAUUGUCGAAUUAAAAGUAGUAUAUAUUUAAUGUAGAUUGUAACUAGAAAAGGAUUUAUUUUAUUUCAAAAAAUGCUUAUAAUUGUAUUUGCAUACACUGAUACAUUCUUUAGUAUAUCUAAUUUUUAAUUAUCAUUAUUAUUACUACUAUUUUUGAAAACUUAAUUUGAUUGGCUUUUAGUAAAAAAAAAUGUAUUUUGACACAAAUAAUAAUAAUUAUAUACAUAUCGUUCUUCUCUCAAAAAAAAAAAAAUAUAUAUAUAUAUAUAAAUGUUGUUCUUUUUUUUAUUAAAGGGAAAUAGAAAGACAAGAGAUAAGAAAAUUAGUUAACUCAUUGCCUCAAAUUAGUUGUUGGGUAUAGGUUGUUGAUGAGAAUUCGUGAAUUGGGUGAUAAUAAAUGUGUUGUUGUGGUUAAGUUGUUGUGUUUUAUGACUUUUGUGAAAAUGGGUUAAAAAUGGAGAAGUUUGAUUUUGAUGAGUUUGAGUGAGUUAGUAGAGUUGUCGUGAUGAAUUGAAUUGAGGAGAAUUUCUGUUUUCAAUCAAUGUAUUUUAGUGAGGAAUCGUUUGGGAGAAAAUCGAAUUUUUGUGUCAAAAAUUGUUUUAAGCACUUUUGAAAAAUAAGUCAUUUUUAGCUUAUUUGAAUUAAGUUGUUUUGAGUUACAAAACCAUGUUUUCAAGUAUAGUUUGAGUGGUCUAAGUGUUUGGGACACGUUGGCGAAAACGGAUCAAAAAUCGGGUUUUACGCGCGAAAAAUGAAAAAUCAAAAAAAUUGCACCAGAUAAGGUGGCAUGACCAUGCGCCCUGUGGCACAUCCGUGCCAACCCCUUUGUGUCCGGAAACCCCGAUUUUCGUGUUUUUGAGUACUUUUAAGUAUAUCAAUGGUUCCCAAACACCAAAACCUAUUUAAAUGGUAUGUAAUUGGACUUCUAAGAGUGGUUUAUCAUAGCUCCAAGUUAGGAAUGAAUUGGUUUGAAAAAUGAGGUAAAAAUGAGACGAACUUUGAGAAUUAUGCGAAAUAAAUGAACUUUGUGAAACCAAAAUGAUAUGAUUGAUUACACUAUGUGUUAUAUGAUAUGUAUGGAUGUUUUGAUGAUACGUAAGAACGAGGGAACCUAUUUUUGUUGAGGGAAAUUGGAAAUAGACGAUUUUAUGAAAAUAGACGAACUUCGUCAAAAUGGGGUUUUAUGAUCAGAUAACUUGCAAAUUACUUUGUGAACAUGAUAACCAGAUGAAAUAAGAGUGAGCCAAUGUUUGUGGAUGUUAAAUAGGUGGGUUAUCAUUAUGUGGUCGAUGGUACGUCUUUUGUGUGAUUAUACUAUAUGAAACAAUGUUGUUUCUUUGUGAUGAUGAUUACUUGACAGUUGUUUAUUAUUGUUAAAUAUGAAUAUGCAGAGAUGAAUGCUUGAUGAUGAAAGUGUAGAGAUGAUUUAUUAUUUGAUAAAUGCUUGAUGUGUGGAUGUAUUGUUUGAUAAUUCAAUAUGUGGAGAUAUGCGGAGAAUAUGUAGAGUAAAUUGGUGCUGUGUAUUAUCGAGUCAAUACUUGGCAUCCAUGCAUUCAUAAGUCUUAUAUGUGGAGAUACGUAGAGAUAUGCAUAGAUAUGUAGAGGGAUCAAUCGGUAAAACCUACCUUCGACAUCCAAUGGUAUCACAUGCAUGUAGAGUCGAGUCUAGAACAUCGCAUGCAUAUAAAAUGUGUGAAAUGUGCCAUAUUUAAUUACUUGACUUGGUGAAUUAUGUGGGCUAUGUGAUUGAUGAAUGUUGAUAUAUAUGGAGUUGUGGACUUGUAUAUUUUGUAUUGAUAUGCUUGAGAAAUAUUGUCGAUGCGAUAAUUCAUUUGGAAUCUCGAUUAAUAUUUAUUUGAUUAUGUUUAUUAUGUGGAAUAUAAUAUAACCUCAGUGGUCGUUUGGUUGACCGUCUGCCUAUUUGUACGAAUGUUAUUGAUCCAUAUAAAUAUAUAAAAUUUUUGUUUUAGUUUCUUUUAAAAAAAAUCUUCAACUUAGUCCUCCAAAUUUUUCGCAUCAACCCUUUUGGUCCCUCUUUUUAUUUUUGAAUAUUCCUGAUCCUUCUUUUAAGUCAACUCAUAUGUAGACAUCAUAUUUUUGAAUGAAACUUGACAAGAAUAUUAUAAUAAUGUCUCCCAAAAAAUAGAUUUAUUUUAGCAAAACAUGAAUAUUUAUGUUUUUUACACUUAAAUAUUUAUGUUUUGUUAAAAAGUUCUAUUUUUUUAAAGAGCUUAUUAUAAUAUUUUACACAUUUUUGAACAAUUUCGUUCAAAAAUAAAAAAGGUAACACAUGAGUUUAUUUAAAAGUAAAAACAAAAAGCGGUGAUCUUGACAAAAAAAAAAAAAAGCAGUGAUGAAGUUUUUUUGAAGACUAAAAGUCAAAUUUUUCUGGAGAAAUUAAUUAAAACGAAAAAUUAAUAUAUUUACAACAACCAAAACCAUAUUUAACCUUUUGUUAUAAUGACUCACUCUUUGAUGGAAGCAGAGAGCAAUGUUAUCCAUGACUCUUUGGCGCAACCAUAUUUAUGAUAAAUUAAUAAUGAAUGUUUUUGUAGUUGAAUUGGUAAUGAAAUACCGCAUAUUCUCUUUGAUUUAGGUUCAACUUUUGACUCUAACAAAACAUAAAUUUUAUUUAUCUAUAUGUAACUUUUUUAUUGUAUUUUUUUUACAGGAACUUUUUUACUGUAAAAAGGCUUACUAUAGAAGUUGUUUAAGGCCUCUAAUAUUGUUUGACUUGGGCAGGCAAAUGCAUAAGGAAGUGCAUAAGCAAAGUAGUGCACGUAAUUCUUAUGAGUAAAGGCAUAAGGAAGUGCAUGCAUGAGCAAAGUGGUAUACACGUAACCCUUAUAUAUCAUGAGCAAACACAUAUAAGGCAUGUUCUUGGAUGUUCUUGGCAUGAUGGAUUGGGUUUUGCCAAGUAAAGUGGUGAUGGAGUGCAUUUUUUAUUCACGUUUUUUCAAUGGAAUGGAUGAUGUGCAUUCUCUCUUACACGUAAUUUCAAUAGAGUGAUACUUUUAGGAUAAUUUUGAUGUAUUUUGUUGCCACAAUUUUGAGUAAUGCUUGAGUUAUUAUUCCUUAGAAUAAUUUUUCAAAGCACUCUAAAAGGAGAUCAUCUUGCUAUUAAAACAUAGGAAAAUGAACAUAUGACUAUGAUAGAAGCGUGAAAAAUCACUUUUAUGGAAAGGUUGGUCGUCUUAUGAAACUUAACGAUUUGUGUGCUAAGUUGGUUGCGUUAUGGAAGCUUUUGAAAGAAAAAAAAAAUGAGGAAAUGUUUCUUGAGUAUUGCUGUUGACACAUUUGAUUUGACUGAGAAACACGAGUAAAUUACUCAAAUGCCCUUCGGCAGUUAACUGCCGAAAUUUUAAAGAACCGGCUGCAGUUAACUGUCGAGGAAAACUUCGGCAGUUAACUGCCGAGGAAUUUCAAACCUGAAAUUAAAUAAGGAAAUAUACCAAAAUUUUCUUUAAUUAAAUUUAAUUCUUUAAUCCUUUUAAGGAAUUAAACAUAAUUAUUUUUAUGAUUUCAUUCAUAUGAUUUUGUUGUCAUAAAUGAAAAAAUAUGAGAGAUGAAUAAUAUCAGCAAUCGGUAGUUAAUGGAUCUAAAAUGAUGAUUCAAUAAAAAAAAAUGCAACAACAAAAAACAUUAUAAAUGAUAGAAUAAUUAUAUUUGUAAUUAAUUUCAUUGAUGUCUGUCAUUAUUCAUAGGUUUGACUAACCUAUUAUUACCCCAAUUUUUUUUUUUUUGAAAGACCCCCAAAUUUUGUUUUAAUUGUUGGACUUCAAACCUCACAUUUUUUAAAUUAAACGUUAACUUCAAAUUCAUUUAGCAAUUUCCAUCCUUAAAAAUUACCUCACGUCACAUUUUAUUUUAUUUUUUAAUAAUGUAAUAAAUCUGGUAUUUUAAUUUAUUAAAUAAAAACAUAAUUAAAAUUUUACAAAUAAAAUGAUUUACAAAAACCCAAAUCAAUACCAGUCAAAAAGAACGAGAAUAAUUUUCAUUUAUGUCAAAUUACAUUUUUGAUCUAUUAACUAUUUAUUUAAGUAAUAUUGUUUUAGUCCCUUAAUUAAAAUUUAAUUUAGCCUUUCAUUUAUCACUACAUGCUUCAUUCAGAAUUUUCAUUACCAGUCACCAUCCCCUUAUCAACAACACAAUCCUUAUCUCAAACCUUCAUUGCAAAACCCAAAACCCACAUACAAGUGAUAAAGUAGAAGAAGAAAAAAAAUGGAAAAAAUUCAUAUUUUCAUACCCAAUAAAUCAAUAACUCCAUUAUCAUUCCCCAAUAAACCCACCAAAUUUGAUUGCAUUUCUUCAAAAAGGGUCAAUGCAAAUUCCAACAAUGUCUCAACAACCAAACCUUCAAUUCGAAAAUUAAUUGAUUCCCAAUUGAACCAAUUAUGCAUUAAUGGCUCCCUUAGUGAAGCUGUGACAAUUCUUGAUUCCCUUGCUGAGCAAGGGUGUAGGGUGAAACCCAUUACUUAUAUGAAUUUGUUACAGUCAUGCAUUGAUAAAGAUUGUAUUUUUAUUGGUAAGGAAUUGCAUUCUAGAAUUGGGUUGGUUGAAAAUGUGAACCCUUUUGUGGAGACUAAGUUGGUUAGUAUGUAUGCGAAAUGUGGGUUGUUGGGUAUGGCGCGGAAGGUGUUUAAUGAAAUGUCUGUGAGGAAUUUGUUUACUUGGUCUGCUAUGAUUGGUGGUUGUUCGAGGAAUAAGAGUUGGGGGGAGGUUGUGGGUUUGUUUUAUGCAAUGAUGAGGGAUGGUGUUUUGCCGGAUGAGUUUUUGCUUCCGAAGGUUUUGCAGGCGUGUGGGAAGUGUAGGGAUUUGGAGACUGGGAGGUUGAUACAUUCGAUGGUGAUUAGACGUGGAAUGCGGUGGUCGAAGCAUUUGCGUAAUUCGAUUAUGGCUGUGUAUGCUAAGUGUGGGGAGAUGGAUUGUGCGAAGAAGAUUUUUGAUUGUAUGGAUGAGAGGGAUAGUGUUGCGUGGAAUGCGAUGAUAUCUGGGUUUUGUCAGAAUGGUGAGAUUGGACAAGCUCAGAAGUAUUUUGAUGCUAUGCAGAAAGAUGGAGUUGAACCUAGUUUGGUAACUUGGAAUAUUUUGAUUUCUUGUUAUAAUCAGUUAGGGCAUUGUGAUCUUGCAAUUGAUUUAAUGAGAAAGAUGGAGUGGUUUGGUAUUGCUCCAGAUGUAUAUACUUGGACUUCGAUGAUUUCUGGAUUUACUCAAAAGGGUAGGAUAAGUCAUGCUUUAGAUUUGUUGAAAGAGAUGUUUUUAGCUGGUGUUGAGGCCAAUAACAUUACAAUUGCAAGUGCUGCCUCAGCAUGUGCAGCCUUAAAAUCAUUGAGUAUGGGAUUAGAAAUACAUUCUAUUGCUGUUAAGAUGAAUUUGGUCGACAAUGUAUUAGUUGGUAAUUCACUGAUUGACAUGUAUUGCAAGUGUGGUGAUCUUAAAGCUGCUCAACACAUUUUUGAUAUGAUGUCAGAGAGAGAUGUAUAUUCUUGGAACUCAAUUAUUGGAGGGUAUUUCCAAGCUGGUUUCUGUGGCAAAGCUCAUGAAUUAUUUAUGAAAAUGCAGGAGUCUGAUUCACCACCCAAUAUUAUUACAUGGAAUAUAAUGAUCACAGGAUAUAUGCAGAGUGGUGCCGAGGAUCAGGCGUUGGAUCUUUUUAAAAGCAUUGAGAAAGAUGGGAAAACUAAGCGAAAUGCAGCUUCUUGGAAUUCUCUGAUAUCUGGUUUCGUACAAAGUGGACAAAAGGACAAGGCUUUACAGAUAUUCCGGAACAUGCAGUUUUGCCACAUACUUCCCAACUCGGUCACAAUACUAAGUAUCCUUCCGGUCUGUGCAAAUUUAGUGGCUAGCAAGAAAGUGAAAGAAAUCCAUUGUUUUGCAGUCCGUAGAAUUUUAGUGUCUGAACUUUCCGUAUCAAAUUUAUUAAUCGAUAGUUAUGCCAAGUCAGGAAAUUUAAUGUACUCGAAAAAUAUUUUUAAUGAAUUGUCAUGGAAAGAUGCUGUCAGUUGGAACUCUAUGCUUUCAAGUUAUGUUUUACAUGGCUGUUCAGAGUCUGCACUUGAUCUUUUUUAUCAAAUGAGGAAGCAAGGGCUUCAACCAAAUAGAGGUACUUUCGCAAGUAUUCUCUUAGCUUAUGGUCAUGCUGGAAUGGUGGAUGAGGGGAAGAGCGUUUUCUCCUGCAUAACUAAAGAUUACCUGGUUAGGCAAGGUAUGGAACAUUAUUCUGCUAUGGUCUAUUUGCUCGGUCGUUCAGGUAAGCUUGCUGAAGCACUCGACUUCAUUCAAAGUAUGCCCAUCGAACCUAAUUCCUCUGUAUGGGGUGCCUUGCUGACCGCCUGCAGAAUUCAUAGAAAUUUCGGAGUGGCAGUCCUUGCAGGAAAGCGUAUGCUUGAGUUUGAACCUGGAAAUAAUAUAACUCGACAUUUACUUUCACAGGCAUAUUCUUUAUGUGGGAAGUUUGAGCCGGAGGGAGAAAAGGCUGUCAAUAAACCUAUUGGUCAAUCCUGGAUUGAAAGGAAUAAUGUUGUUCAUACUUUUGUAGUUGGUGACCAAUCAAACCCGUAUUUGGAUAAGCUACAUUCUUGGCUAAAAAGGGUAGCUGUAAAUGUCAAGACACAUGUUUCUGACAAUGAACUUUACAUUGAGGAAGAGGAGAAGGAAAACACUAGUAGUGUACAUAGUGAAAAACUUGCAUUUGCUUUUGCUCUGAUAGAUCCUCACAACAAACCUCAAAUUUUACGGAUAGUAAAAAAAUUGAGAAUGUGUAGAGAUUGCCAUGACACAGCCAAGUACAUAUCAAUGGCAUAUGGGUGUGAAAUAUAUUUAAGUGAUUCAAAUUGCUUACACCAUUUCAAAGGUGGCCAUUGUUCUUGUAGGGACUAUUGGUAGAGCAAAUGUUGUGUGAGAGAAUCAAUGAUGUCAGAAAUAUGUAAAUCUGUCUUGAUGUAUAGUUGUUCAUGACGUACACAAACCUUUUGAAGAAUUGAUAGUUUAUAAUAUUAACCUUUCACGCAACUGAAAUUUUUGGCUUCCCUUUUUCACAUAAUGUAUCAGGUUAAACUGUAUAGAAUUUCAUUUGAUUAUUAUUCCAGGAUUUUGAAAUGCUUUUCAGGUGAAAAGAUUUGCAUGUAUGUCCUGUUAGCAAUUUCCAUCAAGAAGAUAUAUUAAAAAAAUUAAUGAAAUCAAUCAUUGUAAUAAUUUCAAAGAUGAUUAUAGAAUAAUGAUGGGAAAUAUAGUGGAGCUAUAAAAUAUUGGUAGAAUCAAAACUGUCCCACGAAUAAGCAUCCAUGAAUCAAAAGUGUCAGCCACCUUAUAAAAGCUGCACUAGGCAGUGAGUGCAUGCAGAAGCAAAAGAGUGAGGGCUCUUGGCUAAAUUCUUCUAAAAUAUUUGUUCCUUUUCUCCAGUCAUUUAUUUCUUUUACUAAAAUUGAGGGAAUAGCCCGUGGAAAGGAAAUGUUAGCUCCUUGACCAUAAAAAGUGCACGAAACUUUCUUAAUAAAAGAAAAAAACUGAUUUCUGUUUGGAAUCUGAUUCUCUGACUUUCAAUUCUUUCCCUCCAUGGUGGAACCAGAAUUAGCUUCUUCUAACAGUUUCUUAUCAUUAUUAUUUUCUAUAAAAAGCUCCUUGCCACAAACCAACUUUCUGCUUCCAUAAAUUCCUCUUAAGCCUUCCCCUGCUACAUCAUUAUUAGCACUUGCAACUGCAUUUUUCUUUCUAAGGUCUAUCAUUCUCUUCCUACAAGCAGAGGAUGGUAGUGCACUCUUACAAUAUCUUAUGACACAUUGCAUACAUAACCUUAUAGGUGAUGUUCAUUAACUAUCUUUUCACUUUUUAACACCUUUGCAUGAUGUUUUGCAUGCAGAGUUCUGUGGAUUCCAUAAAGAAACCUGCAUCUGUUGGGCCAUGGGGCGGCAAUGGAGGGUCCCGUUGGGAUGAUGGAAUAUACUCUGGAGUAAGGCAGUUGGUGGUAGUUCACGGAACUGGAAUUGACUCCAUCCAGAUUGAAUAUGAUAAGAAAGGAAGCUCUAUUUGGUCAGAGAAACAUGGUGGAACUGGAGGAAAUAAAACUGACAAGGUAAAGUUUUCAUCUUGUACUAAGCUGAUCCUAUGACAUAAAUUUUUAACAUUAGCACCAAAGAGUCCGUGAAGGUUUCAGUUAAAUUAUGAGCAUAUAUUAACUAACCACUUUUGACUGUGUUGUAGGUUAAACUUGAUUAUCCAGAUGAGUUCUUAACUUCAGUUCACGGAUACUAUGGUAGCUUGAACCAAUGGGGCCACAACUUGGUUCGGUCACUGAGUUUUGAGAGUAACAAGAAAACUUAUGGACCAUUUGGUGUCGAGCAAGGCACAUAUUUUUCAGUACCAAUGACUGGGGCCAAGAUUGUUGGGUUCCAUGGCAGGUGUGGUUGGUACCUAGAUGCCAUUGGAGUAUAUAUGAAGUCCUUGAAGCAACCAAAUCCAGCGAAAGCCUUGCAUCAUUCUGAUCACGUUAAUAACACUAGUGAGAAUUUUGGCUAUUCAGUGAUACAAGGAACUGUGAACCAGAAUUAUGAUAUUGUUCUUGCCGUAAGACAGAAAGAUCAUAAAGAUGAUUUCGGUAAGCCUAUACCAAACAAGAUGCCAGGGAAGAUUUCUACUAUCAAAGAAUCUAAAAACAUUGAACACAAAGAAAAGGUAAAGAUAUCCUGCAACUUUAGUGGAUGAUCUCUGUCUUUGAAGUGCUCCUGAAGUUUUUAUUUAAAUGUAAAAAAUCUUGCUUUUACACAAAAUGGAUCUUAAAAUCUAUUUAUGUUGCAGAUAACUCAUUCAGAAAUUCCACCCGCAAAGGUUGGUGGUGUAGUUACAUGCGGUCCUUGGGGUGGCGUUGGCGGAUAUGCAUUUGACGAUGGGACCUAUAAAGGAAUCAGGCAAAUCAAUUUAUCGCGCAAUGUUGGAAUUGUAUGGAUUAGAGUUAUGUAUGAUCAUGAUGGGGAUGCCAUAUGGGGAUGCAAACAAGGUGGGACAGGAGGAUAUAAAAGUGAUAAGGUAAAUCAAGAGCAUACAACCAAACUUCGCUUAUUUUACUUAAUAAUCUAAAACAAUCACAUUGAAUUUUAGCAUUUUUUGCAUCACUUUGCAGAUAGUCUUUGAUUUCCCAUAUGAAGUCUUGACAUAUAUAUCGGGAUACCAUGGACCUUUGAUGUACAUGGGACCUGCUGUUAUAAGAUCACUAACUUUCCACACCACAAAAAGGAAGUAUGGACCAUUUGGGGAAGAACAAGGAACUUAUUUCACCACAAAGGUGAAAGAAGGUAAAAUCGUCGGCAUUCAUGGGAGAAAAGGUUUGUUUCUCGAUGCUUUUGGUGUACAUGUGCUUGAAGGAAAAGUGGUUGUGCCGGUGGCAAUGCCUCCGAAGGAAAUCAUCCCUAGAGAAACAAAUAUUGGUGAAAUAGGCGGUACUCAAUGGCCUAACAAACUGGUGCUUGCUAAGCCAACAGCAGCUGAAGAGGUAUUUCUUUUCAUAAUAAACUUUUCGAAGAUAUAUUGAAGACAUUCAAGAAUUUGGUUAUCUUUAUGUUUGAGUUGUCCUUUUCACUUUAGUUCCCUCUUUCCCAGGUUUCUUGUGGUGUGGUCAAAGAACCAGCUCCAUGUGGCCCAGGCCCUUGGGGUGGGGAUGGAGGUAGACCUUGGGAUGAUGGAGUCUUUUCUGCGAUUAAGCAGAUUUAUUUGACAAAAGUAUCAGAUGGCAUCUGCUCUAUCCAAAUUGAGUAUGAUCGAAACAGGCAAUCUGUGUGGUCUAUAAAACACGGCGGUAAUGGAGGAGACACCAUGCAUAGGGUAUGAUUGUUGGUUUCCACUUCCUUUAAGCACAUUUUACUGUUUCACUCUUGGUUCAUUAUUUAUCCAUUGUCAUCGAAUUAGUUAAAUUAUAAAUAGAAUUUAUCUGAAAUUUGAUGUGCUUGAUCAUAAUAUGACGAUAUUCAACGGUUGGAUUGGUAAGUUCAAUGUCUAAACUGAUUUAUUAAGCAGAGUAACAAGAGUUACUCCUAGAGUAAGUUGAUUCCCACCCAAAGUACAUAUAGACAUAUAUGUAUUUAUACAUGCAUGCAUACAUUGAUAAAAAAAAUUCAAGCAUGCAUACAUUGAUAAAAAAAAUUCAAGCAUGCAUACGUAGAUAUGUAUGUAUGAAAUAAUAAGCUAAUAUGUAUGUAAUAUGUGUAUGUACUAAUACAAAAUGUAUUUCUUAUACUUACUCGUGCUAAUUAUGAUGUUAGAUACAACUGGAGUUUCCACAUGAGGUAUUGACUUGUAUAUCUGGCUAUUAUGGGUCAAUCACAAAGGAUGAGAAGCAUACAGUCAUAAAAUCACUGACAUUCCACACCAGCCGCGGUCAGUAUGGUCCAUAUGGUGAGGAAGUAGGGAAAUUCUUCACCUCAACCACUACAGAGGGAAAGGUGGUGGGUUUCCAUGGGAGGAGUAGCUUGUACUUGGAUGCUAUUGGGAUCCACAUGCAACACUGGCUUGGAAGUCAGAAAACUUCAAGGUCCUCCCUUUUCAAGCUAUUUUGAGUUUCUGAUCCGCAGUGCUUGAACAAAACAUCAGUUUGGCAUUUGGAGAAGUGUUGCAAGGAGUUUCAAAUUUUAGUGUAAUCUGAAUAAGCAGAAUGUAAUCAGGUGAGAGCAUGAUUACCUGUAUACUCUGAAUAAUUGUUUGGUGGGGUUUUCUGAUCAACAUAAUAAUUUUCUUUACGAGAAUGAAUAAUGUAAUUUGUUUGUUGAUUUCUUACACUUCAAGGUAUGAUUUAAGAUUUCAAUUUUUGCAGUUCUUCUGAUAUAAAUACCUCCACCCUCUCUUUCUCUAUAGCUAACAAGUAUGACAACAAAGGAUAAAAUAAAGUCAAACUAUUUUUUUUUUGUUGACAAAAAGUCAAACUAAAUAGUCUCACAAAUAUUUAUGCCAUUAAUUAAACUCAAAUAAGGCAAUUCAAACCAGGCUUGGGUGGACUAAAAGCUUGUUCUCAAACACAUACUGAAUGCGGUGGAACUAAAUACCCACGGAACAAAUAGUAUACCAACUAUAUAUAAUGUGUCUUGUGUCAUCAGCAAAUGGCUACUUACUACAGUUGCAAAGACCCAAUUCUGCGCGCCAUUAACAAGAUUUUACAUUGGUUGUCCACCCUCUAAACAAAUCUAGGAUGGUAAUUAAUUAAGUAAAAAGAACAAUAUAUAUAUUUUUUUUUUAAGAAGGUAAAGUACUCCACCAAAAUUGACACCUGGAAGAAUCGAAUUGAGAUCUUGAGAAGAGCAUACUCCAAAGUCGUACAAGUGGAAUAAUAAUACAAUUGUUUUAAGGUAAAAACUAUAUAUACAAAGUGAUUAGUAGUCAACACAGAAAUUAACAAACUAAUAGUUUUAUCAACAGAAAGAAAAAAGACAAACUAAUCAACAACUUAUCUUCUACUUGUUGCAUUUACUAAUAACUCAAUGUUCUACUUUCACAAUAACAAACUUCAUUAACUUGCAUGUAUAGAAAUUGCAAUAUGAGUGGUAAAUCUUUAUAUCCAAAAUUGGAGUGAGGCAGGGAGAACUAAAAAAAAUGUUAACAAGAAACAGUGCUAAUUGAAUUAGACCACAAAUAUGAGCUAAGCAGAUUUCCUCAACAUCAAGGGAGGUGAAACAGACUUCAUUCCAUGUUUUUGAACUGUUUGCUUUGGUAGCACCAGCAGAAGCACCUUGGAAUUGUUCAAACUUCACAAUAAAAUCACUGCUAACUUAGCCCUGUCAGAAAUAAAAGCAUAUACAAAUUUUGCAGCAUGACAGAAUUCUUAAUCGUACAAGCCGUCUCCAUUCCAACCUAUUUAUGUAAUCCAUUACCCUUGAAGGAUCUUCCUUCAAUGCAGUAAGAAUCAGCCAACUUAGCAGAUUGAAGUUUCAAACUAAAAGCAGAAUUAUGUAGCAAUAUCUUUUGGAGAAGCUCAAUCAACUCAUAGGAAAGAUCAGCAAUCAUAAGAACUUUCAGGAAAAGGAGUGGACAUAUAACUAGAUCAAUCAAAUGCCUCCUAAACUCAUAGUUGGGAUUUAGGACCUUCUCACAGAUAUCAGCAGCAUCCAUACGUCCAACAAUUUAUCUGAUACAAACAUAACGAAAUAACAUGAGUGUCCUAGAUUAGCAUUAUAAAAUACAAUGACACCUUCCUAAUUAAGAGUUGUAUACACACCUGGUUUGUAGCUUGAGCAACGGAUUUUUAUUGGUAACGUGCUCAGCAUCACAAUGCACCAUUUGGUAAGCAACAAUGGCAAAUGUAGGGCCCCAUUUCUCACAAUAUUUACCAACAAUACGAGAAUCAUAAUAUUGGUUGGUUAUGAGUAAAUGGUUAAGAUUGACAUCGAUGUCAAUCAUAAUUUUACCCACAUCAUUACAGACAUGUACAUCUUGGCUUUGCUCACUCAAAAGAAGUUCCAACAACUGUGAAUGCAUAGAAAUUGAAAUGAGAAAAUAGUAGUGUGAUAAGCAUAUGCAAGGAAGAGAGAAUGAACUGAAAGUAUAAGACCUUUAAGAACACAUGCAUCUGUGCAUCUGGAAGAUUAGCCUUCAUUAUAAAGUUCUUUGUCUUCUCGAUAAAAUUUUGAUUCCCAGUAUUAGCAGUUGCUUCAAUGUAUUUGAAGUGAAUAUCAGGAUCCUCACUAAAGAAUACAAAAUCAAAAGGCAAAAUUAUAAAAACGAAAAACAACUGCAAAUGCAAUAUAGGCCUAGAGUUUAAAUAUGCACCCAAACAAAGUGUAGUCCCUUAUAGGACCUGAAUUCUUCAAAGAGUUUCAUGAAUGCAUCAACACCCAAUUGCUCAGUAAUAUUUUUAGAAGUAUGCAAAUUAUGUACCAGUAAAAUUCUUUGAUGAAAUCCCAAAAAAAAAAAAUUAAUUGAGAAACAAAAGUUUUAUAGAAACAACAUACAAGCUCUAGAACAUUAUCUGAACAAUUAUUUGAAUAUUGUCCCUAAGAGGUUGCAAAGAACUCAACAAAAUCCUAAAAAUCACUCCAUGAUGAGAAUAUAUAACAAUUUUUUUUAUGAAAACCAGUCAAUUGAGCACUUGAAACUAGACAAGCCAUUAUAACGUUGUACAAAAGACAUACAAGAAGCUUGAAAGGAAUUGUUCGAAUAAAGAAUCAAAGAACCUGAAGAGCCUUUUCACAAAGUUAAGCAAACAAAAAGAGAUAUUCAUAAAAUGUUCGCCUAUUUUGAUUUUUACUUUGAUGAGAGUAAAUGUUCACUUAUUAAAUAGAUAAGAAGUAAGAAAAUGAAAUAAAAUAAAAUCAUCGAAACUUACCUAUGGAAGACAAAAGAGAAACUAACACGACAGCUAUAAAAUAGUGAAAAGAACGAGUGGCAUAUCCUGCAAACACAUUACAAUAGAUUGUUAAUGUAAUAUGAGAAACAUAAUCAAAAGGAUGGCGGGAGAAUAAAGAGCCUACCAGUUUAAGUGGAGAUGUGACAAACCGUUAGGAGCAACAAACAAAGGGAACUUCAAUGUUGAUGGAAGCAGAUAAGAGUAAACAAGCUAAAUCAAUGCUCUUCAAAUGCCUAUACUUAAUUUUCAGAAACAAAAGAUGGAUACUUCCCGAAUAUGUGCUAUCUUGUCCCAGUUCUCCCCUGUUCCCUCCUUGCAUCGUUCCUUCAAUAUUGGGCAACCGAAAAUUGUCAGCAAAUCAAGUGAAGUGAGGUGUCUAAUACCUUCUAGCAAGCAUUUUAAUCUUUCACAACCACCAAUUGUUAUUUUUCGUAGGGAUUGUAGACCUCCCCAAAUUUCCUCUGGUAAAGGCUCAAGCUCGCUGCAACAAGAGAUAUUUAGAUGCUCCAAAGCUAGACUGAAGGGUUCAUUUGGUAACUCUUUCAAUUUUCGGAAACCACUUACUCUCAAAUAUUCAAGACAAGUAAGGUUUCUAAACAUCCCCUUUGGGAAGGAGGUUAUUCCUUCACUUCUCUCAAGGUCAAGGGAAGUAAGACCAUAGAAGCUAGAGAUCGACCUCAGUAACUCAUUGUUACAUUCAUUUACAUAAAGGUUUUUAACAUAUGGAAGACAUGACAGUUGAAGUUUAGGGUAAAAGGCGAUAUCCAAUUGAAAAAGACAAGGAAACAUCUCCUCUCUUUCCACUUUCAAGUUUCAACAACCCCUCUAAGUUUGGUAAAUCAUUUAAUACCUCCAAAUAUGGGAAAAUCCUCACCUCCAUACCAUUGUGAGAUUCAUCAUCACCAUCAUCGUUCCAAAAUCCUCACCUCCAUACCAGAGCUCAACAACAUCACCGAUUCUGGCUGUUGAUAUAUUAUCUGAUUGAAAUGCCGACUAAAUAUUUUAUACAAGAAAGGGCAAUCACCUGUAUAUUUUCAAGAAUAACUAUAUUUAAAAUGAAACCAACCAAUUGAUGUAAAAUUAUUAUCGGAAUUGAAGAUCUAUACCAUAUCUAUUCCAGCAUCCAUGAGAGUGGAGACGCGAGAAUGAUAAUCUGACGCAUAAGGUUGGCAUAAUAAUCGAUUUUGUCCCAGUCAAAAAUCAUAAGGUUCACAUAAAUCAAUGCUCUUAAAAAAUGUAUUCUUCUUCAUUCCAGUAAACAAAUUUUGGAAUGUCUGUUAUCUUGUCCCAUUCCUCUCUUGUUCUCUUCUAACACUGACCCUUUCAUUUUGGGUAACCAGGAAUAUUCAAAAACUCAAGUGAGGCGUCUAAUACCUUCCGGCAAGGAUCUUAAUUCCUCAUACUCAACAAUAUCCAUAGUUCGAAGAGAAAAAUAAAUGGCACCUGUUCAGUUCCACAGGAAAAGGCUCUCUGUUAGUGAAAUGGCUAAUGCUAAUCUGCUAUAAUAUAUGGAGUUAAAAGAUGCCAAAUUCACUUUGUUAUCAAAUAAAACUGUUGAUUUCUCAUUCGUAUCCUCCGAAGUCAUUCGUUUCCUCUUGCUUUCAGAAAAAGCAGUGGACAUAACUUGAUCAAUUAACAUUGUUUGACACAAAAAUAGUCGGGAUUCAGCAGCAUUCCGGACGUUCCACAACAUAUCUGACACAAACAUAAUAAAAUAACAUGAGCGACUCGACUAGAAUCAUGAAAUAAAACUACACAUUCCUAAUGAAGAGCUGUAUACACACCUGACUUGUAGCUUGAACUAAGAAUUUUUAUUUUUAUUGGUAACACAUGCUCAGCAUCACAUUGCAAAAUUUGGUAAGCAACAAUGACAAUGGCCCCAGUUCUCCCAUCACUCAAAAGACGAUUCAACAACUGUGUAAAGUGGUUCCUGCACAUACAAAUUAAAAUGAGAAAAUCAUAUAGUAAUAUGGGAAAACUAGAAUACCUCUUCUCACUAAACAAUGGAAAAUCAAAAGCCAGAGUUAUAAAAACAAUAAGAACUAGAAAAAGCAAUAUAAGGUCGUCUAGAAAACUGUCUUAAGAAAUACCUAGAGCUCAAAUAUGCAUCCAAGAAAAAGUAUAAUCCUGCAUAGGACUUGAAUUGGUCAAAGAGUUUGAUGCAUGCAUCAACACCCAGCUGCUCUGAAUCUGAAAACUAUGUACCAGUAAAAAUGUUUUAUAAUAGCGCAAAAAAAUAAUUUAAUCGAAAGGGAUUUCAGAAAGCGAUUAAACAUGCAAUUAUAAAUUUCAAUUCCCAAAACAAAAAGGGAUUUCAGAACACGUGCACUUACUAAACUAAGACGAAUUAAAUAAAAUAAAAUAAAAGAAUCCAAACUCACAUUUGAAAGACAACACAGAAACUAACAUAACAAGGAGACCAUUGUGAAGAGACAAGAGUGGCUCAUCUUGCAAAGAGAGUACAAGAGAUCGUAAGAAACACAAUCAAAAGAAAGAUGGAAGGAGGGAGAAUAAAGAGCCUACCAAUUUAGGUAGAAAUGAGACAAACCGGAAGCAAAAACACCAACAUCUUUGCUUCUUGAUUCCUGUUGAAAUUAGAAGCAACACCAGCAUCACAAAAUCUUUAAUAUCGGAAUAUGCGAUAUCUUGUACCAGUCCUCUCCUGUUCCCUCCUUGCAUCGCUCUUCUAGUGUUGGACAACCACGAAUUGUCAGAAGCUCCAGAGAAGUGAGAUGUCGAAUACCUUCCGGUAAGCAUCUCAGUUCUUUACAACGACAAAUAUCUAGAGUUCGGAGGGAUUGCAGACCUUCCCAAAUUUCCUUUGGUAAAGACUCAAGCUCAUCACAUGAAGAGAUUAUCAGAUGCUCCAUAACUAGGCUAAAUGGUUCAUUUGGUAACUCCUUCACUUUUGGAAAAUCAUUCACAUCAAGAGCUUGAAGACAAGUAAGGUUUUUGAACAUCCCGUCCGGGAAGGAUGUUAUUCUUUUACCUCCAGCGAGGGUAAGGCUGUUAAGACCACAAAAGCUAGAGAUUGACCUCAGCAACUCAUUGUUACAUCCCAAUACAUCUAGGUUUUUAAGAGAUACAAGACAUGGCAGUCCAAGUUUAGGGCAAAAGGAGAUGGUUAAACGAGAAAGACAAGGAAACAUCUCACCUCUUUCCACUUUCAAUAACCCUUCUAAGUUUGGUAGGAUUUCUAAUAUGAGUACCUCCAGAGAUGGGAAAAUCCUCGCCACAAUACCAUCUUGAGAUUCUUCAUCAUCAUCCAAGUAUUUCAAAUCAUUCAUAUUAUGCAAAGCGAGUUUUUUCAAAGAUUGUAGUUUACCAAAUGACGGAAGCCGCACACAUUUCUCACAAUUCCAAAGUACAAGAGCAACUAAAUUACUGAGAAUACUUAUCCAACUUGGUAAGAAUAAUCUGUUAUAGUGACAAAUUAUCAACCUCUUGAGAUUUGAGUGAGGUUGAAGCACUUCAAAUAGUUGCUCAAAACUAAUAGUAGGGGUCUUCGUAAAUCCGUCAUUGCUGGUCCACGAAAAACAUAAUUCCUGGAGGUCUUUUUUACCCAUCAAAUUGGCUGCUUGAGCUUCAGAUAAACUACAAACAUCAUUUAAACCUUUGAUACUUAGUUUUCCUCCCAGGUUUAGAUCGUGUAACUCUGCCAAGCUAUUCCCUUUCUCUAAACUAACAAUGUACACACUUAAUGUUCUUAGACAGGUUAAUUUUCCAAUGUAUGGAAACAUGUGAAACAAUGAAUGGCAAUCUUUAAUGACAAGAUGUCUGAGAUUCUGUAAACAAGCCAAGCCUUUCGGAAGACAGCUAAGUUUUUGACAAUCUUUUAUUUUCAAGAUUUCCAGUUUUUGUAAGUUGUAAAUUGAGUCCGGCAACAUUUUUAUUUCAAGAGAACGAAGUUCCAAAUACCUUAAAUGAAUUAAACUCCCUAGUGAUGGUACCUGGAUAAAGGAUGUGCAUAAAACCCGAAGGGAACGGUUUGUUGGCGAGUAAUCAUGUUUUGUUUUGGUGUAAUGAUUCAACUGAAACAAUGUUCUCAAGGAUUCAACUUUCCUGAAGGCACCCUCGUCGAAUGAUAACACGUCAUCAUAGUGAAAACUUAUGUGGUGUGUGCUUUUUGACAAAGUAGUCAUGUUUGAAUUCUCCAAAUACAUACAUUCUUGACCCAUUACUGAUUGAGCAAGAUCAUGGACAAGAUCAUGCAUCUUGAAAGAAAUGUCUCCAGAACCGUUGUCCAUCUUGAUGUCUUGAAAGAAAGAUUUUUGGCACAAUUCAUUCCAAACCAUGCUGCCAACAUCUUCAACCUCCAUAUUUUCCCUAGAUAAAAUAAAUUCAUUAGCCAUCCAAAGAUGAAUCAAUUCUUCCCUCACGAAUUCUGUAUCUUUGGGAAACAUAGCACAAAAAGCGAAACACCGCUUUAAGGUUGGAGUUAAAUGAAAGUAGCUCAACCUCAAAGCAGGUAAAAUAUAAUUCUCAUGUGGUAAAGCCCAAAGUUCACUCUCUUUAAUUUCAAGCCAUUCUUUUUCUUCAUUCCUUGAACUCAUUAGACCUCCCAAUGCUUGUGCUGCAAGAGGCAAUCCAUCACAUUUCUUUACUAUCUCCUUUCCUAUUUCCACAAGCUCUGCACGCUCUUCUCUAUUUUGUCCAAAUGCAUAUUGUUUGAACAACAACCAACAUUCAUUAUCAGAGAGAACAUAUAAAGGAUGAGCGUGGCAUGUUCCCAUGAUCGUCGCAACAACCUCAUCACGAGUGGACACUAAAAUGGAACUACCUUUGGAUCCACACGAUAACACUGAUUUCAGUAUAUUCCAUUUCUCUUGGCUUAAUCCGAAUUCCAAUUGCUGAUUUUUGUUCCACACAUCAUCCAAAAUCAGCAAAUAUAUUUUACCUUGCAGCAAUUCCUGCACCUUUCUUUGUAUUACAUCUAAAUUGAAGCCGUCAUACUUCUCUCUUGUGAUAGAUUCUAUAAUGGAGCACAAAAUCCUCUUGACCGAGAAAGUCUCGGAAACACAAACCCAUAUUUUUGUAUUAAAAUUGCUACUCACCCUAGCAUCAUUGUAGACCAAUUGAACAAGAGUUGUUUUUCCAACACCACCUAAACCAACAAUGGGAUAGACGGAAAGGAAGUCGGAGUCCCUCGCUUGGGUGAGAAGAAACUCGAUAAUCUUCUCUUUAUCAUCUUCUCGCCCAAAUACUUUUGGUUCAGCAAUAAUAGAGCUAGUUUGACGCCAUUCUGCUACUUCAAUUGAUCUUUCCCUAAAAGUUCCAUUCUCUCCUAAAUGAAACUUGUUUUUACUUUCAGCAAUAUCAUCUAACCUCCUUGUAAUCUCUUUCAAUCUUUUGCCAAUCUCACGACAAAAAAUGAUGUUCUUUGGUUUGAAAGAUGAUGAGGCAAUAAGUCGAGCAGACUCGAUCGAGCACUCAUCAAGGAUAUCAUCGAGCACAUAAACAGCAUCUUUGAGUUGUUGUAGCCAUACCUUUAUAGAGCGAUUGAUGACUUGCUUCUGCUCAGCAUCUUCAAGAACAGCGUUGACCAAAUCUAAGGUGGUUGAAAGCUUCUGAGCCUUGGACUUGAUUCCAGAAAUGGUGGCCAAUUCAUUUUGAACAAGAGACUUCAAAUUCUGUAACACAACUCCAAGUAAGGCGUCAGCCAUAUUCAGUAACAAAAGUGUUGAAAAAAGAGAAAAAGAUAUAACAAAAGGAGUGGUGAAUUAUCAGAGUGUAGAAUGGAAAAUGAAUAUGAAAUGCUGAUUGUUUUUAUUCAAAAGCAGCAUCCACGAAAAGUAUGGAUGACUAAGCUUAUUGAAUAUCAAAGUCAAACGGUUGUAGUUAAUUUUGGGUCAAAUGCAUCUUUAAGUUUUUCAUUUUUUCAAAAAUCGUCUUUUAAGUUUCAAAAGUCUCAAACAAAUCCUUUUAGUUUUUGAAUCAUUUCAAACAAGUUCUAUUGUAGAUAACAUAGUUGGUAAUUGCUUCCUUGAACUCAUCUUUGAUACCAAAUUUGGCUCCUAACACCUACUUAAAAUUAAUCAUCUUUUUAGGCAUGAUAAAUGGUGGAUAAUGCUCUUUGUUGCUAUCAUCUAAAUCAUCACCAUCAUCCUCUAAAAAGACUUGUUUGAUUCAAAAACUAAAAGGAAUUGUUUGGGACUUUUGAAACUUAAAUGAUUUGUUUGGGACUUUUGAAAUUUAAAGGACAACUUUGGGAAAAACGAAAAACUUAAAGACCUUUAGAUGCAUUUGACUUUUGUAUAUAAAUCUUUUUUUUAAACUUGCAUAUUGAUUUCUUAAGUUUUUACUUUUCAUGUUUCAACAUAAUUGUGUCAUUAUAUUUAAAAUAAAUAAUAAUAAAUGUAUCUAGAAAAUUGCAUAAAAGUUCAUAUUUAUGGAUAAAGUUUUCUUCAAAUGCUUUUCUUGGUCUGGUCUUCAAUGUUUUUAUUUAUUAAUGAAUGACUUAGCUCUUGAUUUUUUUUUGUCAGAUAGUCUACUGGUUGGAGAUCACACAUUUUAAAUAUGGAGAAGUGGGGUGCCCGAGGUUCGAACCCCGACCCCUGCAUAUAAAAUGCAUUUGUCCCUACCAAGUGAGCUCUUGAAUUAUUAUAAAUAGUCAUGUUAUCAUACGAAAAAUUUGUCCCUAAACCCUAAUCCGGAAAAAUAUGGAUUAUAUAAUACGAAUCGUGUUUCCCCUAAAUUCUUGACACAAGAGGGUUGUUUGAAUUUUAUAAUCCAAUAAAAAGCAAAAGAUGCACCCUAUUUUUUGGGGUGUUCGUAUUAUAAAAUUUGAAUUGGUGAAAAACAUUUCCCACCCCAAAUCAAGGGAAAACUCAAUUUGAAUUAUAUAAUCUAAAAAUCUCAUGUUCAUUUUCGUAAAAAAUUAGGGCGCAAGAGAAAUUUAUAGAAUGGAAAAAGUAAUAGUCCAAUUAAAAUAGAUACCCUCUGAAAAUUUGGAGGUCUAGAAAACAUUGAAUGGCCUAAAAUGAAUGGCUAAAACAAUUACCGUUAUUUUUCACACCAUGUACUCUUCUUACGCGCAUGUGCUCUAUUUACGCGCCUUAUUUUUUUUUUCUAUAGCUAACAAGUAUGACAACAAAUAUAAUCUGUAUUUUUCUCAAGCGGAUUGAUCAAACGAGGUUAUAAUACUUCACCAUAAAUAAAUUCAUGGGAGUUUCUAUUACUCCUCCCAAUGAUUUCUUUAACUGAAGAAGUACACUUUUUCGGACGGGAAACACUUUUGUCCUGAUUUACCUAUCCUAGGCUAAGGAUAAAAAAUUUUUUUUUUUUUCCUUCACUCAUUCGAAGUACAUGUCCAGGGUAGAAAAAGAAGGUCCCUGAAUUCAUUUUAUUUUAUUUUAUUAGCAAAAGAUCCUAAUGCCAGUUAAUUAUAACACCAUAGGAAAAUAUAAUCCCAACAUAAUUAAUCCAAAGAAACUGAGGACACUCCUCCGGAGGAUAAUAAAAGACAAACCACAAUGUUAUAAAUUAUAUAAGUGUUUACUAAUAACUCAUUGUUCUAACUUCUACAUUUCACAAUAACAAAUCUCAUUAACUUGCAUUUAAAGAAGUUUCAAUAUGAGUGGUAAAUCUUUAUAUCCAAAAUUGGAGUAAGGCAGGGGGAACUAAAAAAAAUGUUAACAAAAAACAGUGCUAAUUGAAUUAUAACAUUUAGACCACAAAUAUGAGCUAAGCAGAUUUCCUCAACAUCAAGGGAGGUGAAACAGACUUCAUUCCAUGUUUUUGAACUGUUUGCUUUGGUAGCGCACCAGCGGAAGCACCUUGGAAUUUUCAAACUUCACAACAAAAUCACUGCUAACUUAGCCCUGUCAGAAAUAAAAGCAAUCAUAAGAACGUUCAGGCAAAGGAGCGGACAUAACUAGAUCGAUCAAAUGCCCUCUAAACUCAUAGUCGGGAUUUAGGACCUUCUCUCGGAGAUCAGCAGCAUCCAUACGUUUCACAAUUUAUCUGAUGUAAACAUAACGAAAUAACAUGAAUGUCCCACCGAAACUAUCAUUAUGUAAUACAAUGACACCUUCCUAAUGAAGACUUGUAUAAACACCUGGUUUAUAGCUUGAACAAAGAAUUUUCAUUGGUAGCAUGCUCAGAAUCACCUUGUGCCUUUUGCUAAGCAACAAUGGCAAAUGUAGAGCCCCAUUUGUCACAAUAUUUACCAACAAUACGAGAAAAUCAUAAUAUAGGGUUGCUUGUGAGAAAGUGCUUGAGUUUGUUAUUGUUGUCGAUGAUCACUUUGCCCCACAGCAUUACGGACAUGUACAUCUUGACUUCCAUCACUCAAAAGAUGUUCAAACAACUGUGUAAGCAAGUGAUUCCUGCACAUGGAAAUUGAAAUGAGAAAAUAGUAGGGUGAUAAGCAGAUGCAGGGAAGAGAGAAUGCACUGAAAGUAUAAGACCUUUCAUAACACAUGCAUGUGUGCAUCUAGAAGCUUGGCCUUCAUAAUAAAGCUCAAUGUACUUGAAGAAGUGAAUAUCAGGAUUCUCACUAAACAAUACAAAAUCAAAAGCCAAUAUUACAAAAGCGAAAAACAACUAUAAAUGCAAGUUCCCUAAAAAAAACACUAUAAAUGCAAUAUAUAUAGGCCUAGAGCUUAUUAAAUAUGCAUCCAAGAAAUAGUAUAUACUAGUUCUUCAUAGGACUUGGAUUCUUCAAAUAGUUUGAUGCAUGCUUCAACACUCAAUUGCUCAUAAUAUUCCUAGAAGUCUGCAAAUUGUGUACCAUUAAAAUUCUUUAAUGAAAUCCAAAAAAAUAAUUUAAUUGCCAAAGAAAAGUCUUAUAACAUAUUAUAAGACAUUUAUUUUUAGAAAGAGCCCAAUUCUUAGAUAUUUAGAAGGAACCCAAUUCAGUCGUUAACUCUUGAGAAUUGCUUUUCUCACCAAAGCAAUUGCUCACGUACACCCUACUAAUGUCAAUAAUAAAACAACAUAAAACGAUUCUUAUUUUUACUAAUAUUUGCACGCCUUGAGAUUUUUGUUUUGCACCUCAUCAAUCAAGACUGACGAGUCGAACCGGUGACAUUUGAAUUUGAAUGUUUGUUAAAUUUUCCAAAUGGACUUUUAAUGCUGCUACUCCCUCCGUCCAAGUGACACAGUUGAUCCAAUUAGGAAUACCAAUGCGUAAUUUUGAGUUUAAAUAUCUUGAAUAAUAUAUUGGAAAAAAUUAUAAAAAUUUGAUAUUUUGAAAAUACUCAUCGAGACGAAUCUAACGACAUCUUAUAUGAUAUUAUUUAUCUUUGUAUAUUAGUAGAAAAAUAUGGUCAAAGUAAGUUAGAUCAAAAUUGCACAUUUUUAAACAGGUCAUUUAUUGCGGGACGGAGAGAGGAUUAUAUUUGGUAGACUUUUAUUUUUCAAUACAUGAUAAAAACGUAUAACACUACCCUUCAAAAAAAAAAAAAACGUAUAACACUAGUUUCAAACUCAUGUCUAAGGCUUAUACUACUUCAAUUACUCAUCCACUAAACCAAAUCAAAUGCAUUUGAUACUACUUGCAAAUAAAUAAUAUUGAUUUGAAUUCCAGAAUAAAUCACUACUAAUCUUAGGUUUUGUAACCCGUUGUUCAUUAGAUAAUUCUUUUAGGAAUAUUAAAUUAUCAAACCGUAAAAGAGAAGUUAGAGUUUAUUCAUGCUUUUGAUAACAUUAGUUCACCCAAGACAUUGGAUUGAGACACAAUAUUGAUGUUGGUUUAUUUUUCUUUUAAAUCAACAUAAAUUGUUCUGUCAAAAGAAAAUAAUAGUAGAAAAAUAAGUAAAUAAUAACCAUAUACUUGUGUUCUUUCAAAAAAAAAAAAACUCAACUCAGCCAUGGAUCGCGCACAGCUUCUCUUAGUAGGUUUACCCCUCUUCCUCCUCUGCUCCGACCUCUUCUCCCUCUUCACAUCAUCUCCUCCACCGCCAAAACCAUCUCACCACCACCAUCACCACCAUCAACAACCACAACCAGUAAUCAACCCCGUAACCACACCCUUCCCUUCCGACUCCGAGGUAAUUUUCUAUUCCUUCAACCAAUUUACUUCAUCACUGUUAUAUUUUCAUCAUCACAACAUGUCUAAUUAUUAUUCGGUUUGUAUUUGAUCUCAGAAACUCGCUACUAAUAUUGGAGGUGCAGGGUUUGGCAACACUGUUAAUAUCAAUUUCUGCUCUUCUUGCUCCUACAAGUACGUAAUAUACUUUACAGAAUACUUAUUAUAUUUAUAUAUUUUUAGGAAUUAUAUUAAAGACAAAAUUGAUGCCUUAUUCUUUUUUUAUUUAUGCAUCUACAAUGCAAAAUGUUAUGCGGGUUGUUAGACACUUGAUGUGUAUUUUAUGCUUUGAAAUUUUGAUUCUCAGUGGUUAAUUAGCUAGAGAAAUGUUGUAUUAGGUUUUUAUAUUGAGUUUAAUUCAUCCUUACAAAUCAUUCCAUGCAUAUCAAUUUUGAGAUGUUCUAAGUUACUAAAAUACCAGUCAAUCCUGGAUUGCGGCCGACCCCAAAAGUGGGAUAUCGGGUGUAUAGUGGGAAGACGCUACUGAAUGAUACUAUAAAGUGUAAACGAACAUAUAUUUAAUAUAAAAUUAAAUAUAACACUCAAAUCUCAUGAAAUAUUCAUAAAUCAAAACACUCAAACAUCCACAGAACAUUACAUUCAAAUCCAAAUACCAAUAAAUGUCAAGGAUAUAAAUAAGCUUAUGAAAGCUUUCAAGUCUCCAACAAAAUUUCACAAGUCUUAGUUAAAACAUUAAAUCCAAAAGAACAAAGGACAGAGGAACUAAAAAGAAAACAAAGAAUAGAGGAAAAGAUAGAUGGAACAUGAAUAGUGGACGACGAUGGCAAUCGGUUUGCAGAUCGUGUGAGGGUUGCAAAUCAGUUUGCAGAUCGUGUUUUGCAGCGGAGAAGAGAGAAGAGUCAGGAAAAUGUUUGCACACAACAAAAUGUUAGGGCUUAUACGAAAUCCCCAAAAUGCCCUUAAAAUGGUUUUAAAAUUAGGGUCAAUGUGGGAUUUUCCUGUUAAAACCUAAUAGUGGAUCAAAAUCCGCUGCCCGCUAUAGCAGCUAUAGCGUCCUCUAUCUUGAACUGCAUCUCUAUGACGCCCACCAUAGUGGUUUCUUACCACUAUGCUAUGCUAUGCCGCUAUAGCGCACUAUUGACUAAAGUAAUUACUAUCAUGAAAUUCAUGGUGGACUUCCUUAAUGAACUAGAUAUUAAUUCCUUUGUUCACUUUCCUUGAUCUACUUAUCAUUGCUCUGCUUGCUGAAUCAUAUUUCUUAUAGUUGGUAGAUUGCUUGUUGGUUGAUUGUUUGUCAAUGAGUUGGAUCCAAAUUUGGUGUAUGAUAGAACACUAUGGCGUCAUUUGAUCCAUGUAGCCGACCCCACUUAGUGGGAUAAGGCUUGGUUGUUUUUGUUGUUGUUGGUUGAUUGCUUGUCUUUCUGUGCAUGAUUAUGUAUAGAAUGGGAUAGUCAGUGUAAAUGGAUGUUUUUUACGUAUGUAGGGGAACAGCAGUAACAGUGAAAAAAAUGUUGGAGAUUGCUUUUCCUGGAAUUGAGGUUAUUCCUGCAAAUUAUCCCCCACCACUUCCAAAACGUCUGCUAAGCAAAGUGGUUCCAGUUGUUCAAAUUGGUGUUAUAGGUGUCGUAGUGGCAGGGGAACAGAUAUUUCCAAUGCUGGGUUUUGUUGCACCUCCUCCUUGGUAUUUUAGUUUGCGUGCUAAUAGGUUUGGAACCAUUGCUACUACUUGGCUUCUUGGAAAUGCCGUGCAAUCAUUCUUGCAGAGCUCCGGGGCAUUUGAAGUUUACUUCAACGGCAAUCUGGUUGGUGCUCUUCUUCUAUCUUUUACUUAUAUCAUGUGAUUCUUUUGGAAGCACUCACAAUCAAUCAUGAUGGAAUAGGUCCCUUGCAUGACUAGUUUUAUCAACAUUUUGACCACUUCACUUCAUUUUACUGGAUAUUCACCUGACAUUAUGAAAUACUAUCAUAUAACAUGUUAGCAACGAUCAUUGAUCUUGACAAGACUAGUUGAAAAAUGAGAAAUAGCCAAUAUUAGUUGAAAAACAAGAAAUAGUUUUGUUACCUAGUAGUGCUAAUUAAAAAUGGUGGUCCCUUUGAUUUAUUAUAUAAAACCUUUGUACUCGUAGUUUAGAACAUCUACUUUCAGAUUGCAAUCAUUUGAACAUGCUUUUACUGGGAAGUUGUUUCUCGCCAUGUGUUUGACUCUCAACAAGUCAUUUGGUUAGUCGGUAGAUUGUUUUGAUUAUUAGGUUUCUUUCAUUAGAGUUUUUUGGUAUAUAACUUGUUAUAUCAUUACUAUUACGGUUUAUUUGGAAAACACCUAUGAAAUGGACUGAUAGUAAAUAAAUUGUGAUAAACAUGUCGUCUUCUCUGUUUUAAAGCUUGUUAUCUGAAGCAAAUUUUGACUUCCCUGUUGCUUUCAUUUGUGCACUUCUGCGACUAUAAUGUUACUGAGUUGUUGGUUAGAGUAGAUGGAAUGUAAAUGGCAUCUUUAAUGCUUCUGAACUUAACCCGUUGAAAUUCUUCAUCUGUCAUUGAAGGUGUUCUCUAAAUUAAAAGAGGGAAGGUUUCCAGGAGAGAUAGAGUUGAAGGAUCUGAUCACCAAAAGGAUGACAAAUUCUAGACUUGUCAGCAGCGCUUCAGAAUUGGGGCUUUAGCUCUUUUGUCGAAUUGCAUCUCAUGAAGACUUCUAAUUUGAACAGGCAAAGAUGAUGUAAUGGACCUACCAUUGCAUUGUGAAGCCGAGGCUGGUUCACAGAUAUAUCAUAGGAAUGUAAUAUUGUAAUGUUUCCAUACUGGAAAAUUGACUGUAAACCAUGUAACUUCUGAAGCCAUAUUGGUUAAUUCAAGUUUGCUUCAGACGUAAAUUUCAGCCUUACACUAUCAUUUUUCUUUUUUCGACAUUCUGACAUUGUGCUAUUGUCAGCUCAGCUCAAGUAAACUCCACUUACCACGCGAAAAAUAGAAUGAUAUUAAGGACAAUUUUGACCAUAUAUCUAACUGGAAGUAUAUGACUUCUGAACUAAAUGUGUAUAGAAAUUAAUAAAUCAAAUUAUCGAGAUACUGUAAUAAAUGAAAAAUAGAUCUAAGAAAUGAAUAUUAUCAAUGGCAAUGCGAGGAACUCAUUCGGUUAAUAGCCCUGAAAUGACGGAAAACUUGUCUGGCCAAAGAUUCUGUUAAAAAAAUAAAUCAAGUGCAUCAUCAAAUUGCUUUCUGAAGUCAUGCAAUUAUUGGAGAUGUUUGAAAUCAUAGCCUAAAGUUAUUGUUAAUUUUUGUUUGACAAAUAUUUCACACUAAUAUCUAAAGUUAAAUAUUUAAAAUUAAAUUAACCCCUAAAAUUAUUUAUGAAUAUCAGAUUAGUAGUCUUCAUAUUUGUUAUGUAAAUCUCAAAUUUCUUAUCAAAGAUAGUGAGACAUGACUAAAUUAUUUUACAAUAUAAUUUCAAAGAUGUAGUCAAUUUCUUUAUUUGAGGGACUAACUCAUUGUCUCGUACAAUUUUAGGCAUAAUUUUUUCAUACAUUAUUUUGAACAUACAAUUGGUGAACAGUUCAUUAUGAUUUUUGCUUGAUGAUGAACAGUUGAUAUAAACAUGAAAACUGGUUUGUUGUGCUCAGUAACUAAUAUACGUGAUGCCUAGAGUUGAAUCUCGAUGUGUAUACAUUGUUGAUUAUAAUAAGACCAAAGACUGCCAUAUUUUAUUGCCUUCCUCUUCAAGCUAUCUUUUGUGUAAUCUCCUUUCAAGUGCCACCAAUUUCUACCAAAUUGAACAUACACGAAGCAAAUAUCAUGAACAAGUACAGUUCCUUGUUGUUCAGCUAACUGGAAUUCAUCACUUAUCCCUUUAAUAAUGACCUGCGAUGCAAACAAAUAAAGCUAAGUAUGUUAGCAUUUCAAAGCCUUAAUAAAAUGUCACAACUAAAUAGGUUUAAGCUCUUUGGAACAACUCCUAACCAUUCUGAAAGUAUUUUACCUAAAAAUUUUCAUAUUCUGCUUAUAUCACGGCCAAAAACAAAAGUUGUAGCCCAGUUAAUAGCUACAUAGAAUCUGUUCCUCCAGCUAAUGACACGAGUUAGAUAAGCUGAGCGCCAAACAAACCAACUGAGAAAACCUGCUAGAGACAAUCCUUUUGCAUCCUGUAGGAGAAAAGUUAGUGAAUUAAACUGUUCUAUGUUUUUAAGAGCACCAAGAAAAGGACCUUUAGGUCGAGCACUGAUAAGUCUAGUGGUCCCUUUCUCCUGGGAUACUAUGCGUGAAAACCAGAUAAGCCUCACCAAAAGGUUAAGGAAUGAUAAAAAUUACCUUGUUCUGUCUGAGGUCUACUAGAGCCUUGUAACUUCCAACAGUUGCCAUGCUUCCAAGAUGCUUGUACACAAACUGAUUCCCCAAGUCUAUAUCUUUCAUGCUGUUUGCACGGCCUCCAUUGGCUUCACCUACUUUGUUUAACAAGGCUGCUAAGUAUUUACCUUGCCUCUCUGCUACCUGUGGAAUUCAAGUGGCAAUACAUUAAGGCCCUGUUUAAUUAGGCACUUAUAAGGUAAGUGUUUAUAUCAUAUAAGUGCGUAUGUAUAAGCCAUUUCUAUCGCAAGAGAUAAAAUAAAGUCUAAUUAAUUUCACGUAAUCUAUAAGCUGCUUUCAUAAGCUAUCCUGGAGAGCUUAUGGAAAUAAACCUAAAACAACUUAUGGACAUGCAUAAGAUAAUUCCAUAAGCUCUCCUAAACAGUCUCACAAGUGCUUAUACCGGAAGAUAAGUUGAAAUAAGUCGGUCCAAAUAGACCCUAAUUUGACAUGAAUAAGCUUUCAGGCAAAGGAAGAUACAAUACAUGAACCUCUACCAAGUAAAGGGAGUAACACAUUCAGAAUGGAAUGUGUUUAGGGACUAACUAAGUCCUUAGUGUUAAACUAAAACCAAACCUACACAUUGACAGGAAUUCAAGAAAUGAAAGUGAGCGUUGGAGAAACUAAUGAAACCAAUGUAAGUUACUUGGGCAAGAGCUGGAAGUGUUGGUUUUCCAGUACUUUCAACAAAUCCACUGCAGUCACCUAUUGAGAAGAUAUCUUGUACUGAAGGAACACGAAGCCACUCAUCAAUACCAAUCCUGUGAAGAGAGAACUUUGUACAUAAAUACUUACACGCUUUAGUGUUAAAACAUAAUAUAUUUGGAGUAUUGAUAAAAAUAAUAAUAUAUUUGGACCAAUGUGAUCCUGCUUUCAUGAUAAUACAGAUCCGAAUACUAUAUGUAUCCAUAUAGAAAUCAGCUGCCAAUUGUAAAUUUUGCAACGGUUGUCCAUGGAAUGAAAAUAAAUGCAACUACUACGUUGAGUAAACAAACCUUCCACCAGGAGAUUUAGGGAGAUCCAGCGAGUGGAUAAAAGGUGAUGGACCAACUCCAGUAGACCAAACCAGCAAUCCGUAUGGAACCUCAGUACCAUCGUUAAGUAUAAUCUUCUUUUCUUGUACAUCUUUCACAAUGCCUCGAACAAGUCGCACUCCUGACUGAUAGAAAUCUUAACAUGAGGAAAGGAACAUAUUGAACAAACAGUAAAGGGACUUUCUCGUGAUAUUCAUAGGUACAACACGAACAUAUUUAACAAAAAGUAAAGAAACACUUACAACAUAAAGCUCACCUUUGUCAACUGGUUGGUGGCAUAGUGCCUGAGUCGGUCAUCAAAGGAAGACAAUAUCUCAUUAGCCUGAAGAGACAUGAAUAAAUUGAUUAGCAACAAAAAUUAUUGUGAAAGACAAAUUUUGGAUGGAGAAGAAAUAUUGUUACAAAUUUACCACAAAAUUGGCUUCUAUGAACUCUAAGGUAUUUCUAACCAUUUUAUUAUUACAAUGAAUUGCCGAAAAUGACAACGGCAAGAGCAAGAUGACUGUUGCUAAUUUCUAUAACAUGUGUAUAAUCUAUUUAAUUGCAUCACAUAUCUAAUGAUACUAAGCAUACCUCAAUCAAAGUAACAUGGAUAUAGUCCUUCACAUGAGCAUAUCUCUGACGAACAUCUCUCAUGAUAAAAUCACUAAGUUCACCACUAAAUUCAACUCCCGUAGGACCACCUCCGACAACCACACAGUGUAACAGCCUUUUCUUCUCCUCUUCCGAAAUCCCUGCAUCCAAAUCAGUUACAGAUUACAAAGGUAAUGCAUAAAAAGCAUUAUUUUUCAAACACAGGAAAAUUAUCGCAAACCUGGAACGUCAGACAUCAUCAAAUUGAGGAGCAACUUGCGACGGAUUUCCUGUGCAUGGUAAACUUCACGAAGAAAAAUUGCAUGUUCAUAAACUCCAUGAAUUCCAAAAGUGGUGGGUUGUGCUCCUAGUGCAAUUACUAACUUAUCAUAGGAGAUUGUAAACUUCCAAGGAUCCAGUGUCUGUGUUCCUUCAGUUACAGUCUCACAUUGUACCUUCAAAACAAUGUGUCAGACUCUCCCAAAUUAAGCUGCACUGUGAUUACAUUUAUUUCAACCAAUACUAGUAUCACACCCUUUUGUUCGUUGCUGUCUAAAGGAGUAAGAGCAUUUGAAGAAGACUAAAACAGUGUUAUAAAAACCAGGAAAGUUACGAUGUUUCACCCAAUUUUUCAUAAGAAUUGUAAAUUGAAGUUUUAUACAAAGUAAGAUACAUAAAGCAGAACACACAACAGUACUACGGCUAUGGAAUGUAGUUUUAUACAUAAAAAACUAUAUUUCUCAAAAUAUCCUAACUAAACUGCCAGGAAACAGUAAGGAAAAUCGAAAGUUCAACACUCCUCCUGGUUUGGCUUGUUACAUAAUCCCACCUUCUUUCUUAGCUGCAAAAACCAAGUCCUAGGCUAUUAGGAAUAUAUUGUAUUCAGAGUUUCCCUUUUCCCAAAGUCAGAAUUCUGUUACAAUUUUGUUAGUCACGGUUAGGAAUUUAGUAACAAGUUAAUUACAUCUAGUUGCACUAUAAAUAUACCACUGUGCUCUUAUGCAAAUCAGAAUGGAAUAUACAAGGCUCUCUCAAAUCUGAUUUCUAGACCUUUCUUUCUUUUCUACACUUUCCUUUACUGUUUAUGCAUCUCAGUUUCUAAUAAGAAUCACUCAAUCUUUAUAAACUCUAUUUAUGUCAUAACCCUAAGCAACAUGGGAUUUGAGCUUUUCUCCAAUAAUGAACACCAAACGAAGAAGUCACAAUGUUAGGAUGAGUAAUUUCACAGAACAAACUGACAAACGAAAACACAUUGAUUCUAGCGCCAAUUUAACAAACUGACUAGCAAAAGAUACAUUUGAGAGUGUUUUUAUAAUUGAUAUAUUCAGGGACUUUAGUGGCACCAUCAGACAUAUUAAACAACCCAAAUGACUAUUUACUCGGGUCGGUUACAAUUUAUAUAUGAAAUUGAAUUUCCAUUGGGGCUUCCGGUGUCAGGGACAGGAACUGCUUUGAAAGUCAAGAUUCCAAUACAACAAUAACCAACUAUCUCACUAGUUAGGGUAGGAUAAAAGGAUACUACGUAUUUCAACCCUACAAAAAUGCAAAAAGAAAAAAAAUAAACAUCUAUAGUAAAUUCCAAAUCCCAAAUAAGGUACCUUUUAAUGGUUUGAAUUUUCAAACCUCAAAUAAAUUCCACUUAGCUUCAGAACAUUCUAAAGUUCUUCUCUACAUAAUAAUAGCUAUGAUUUUUCAUAGCCAAAAACGCAUUUUGCAGCACAAACUUCUAAUCUUAAAAUCAAAUAUAUCACAGCAUUGCUAAAUCCUCAAUACAUAGUUUGGCAGAGGAAAUUCCAACUUACAACCAUUGCAGAAUCACAUGCCAAAGGCAAAGAUCGUAACUCAUAAUGAUACUUGUUUGCCACAUCAUAGUCACAUUAACAUGACAUUGAAUUCAAUCACUUCCAACCACUCAUCAUUCUUAUUAAGAAACACAUUCAUGUGAAAAAUUGAAUUAUAAAAUCUACCACUCCUAAAGUUUCAGACAAACAUUAUAUAUAUAUGCCUUUUUUUUUUGUUUUGUAAAACUCGAUAUCCUGCCCAAUUACCGGCAAAUCCGCGAGACUAAUCCCACCGUUAACUAGCUGGGGGGUCAAUUGAAAUGAAAUCAAAACUUUGUAUGGACUGAUCAUAGUAGUCAAUAGCGGCCAAUAGCGCCGCUAUAGCGGCUGCGCGGUGCGGUGCGGUGCCGGAGCGCUACGCAACAAGCCAUAGUGUUGCGGUGUGAGAUAGCUGCGCAACGCUUCGUAGCGGUUUUACGGUUUAGAACCGCUAUUUCAUUUUAAGAGAAAAUACAAAAUUGUCCUUGGUUUAAAAAAAAAAGAAGGGUAUUUUUGUAAAUCUUCCUCUGCUUUUCUGCUGUUCUGUAAAACUUUUCACCUCUGCUGUAAAUCUUCCUCUACUUUGUCGUGUUUGCUCUGUUAUCCUGUUAUUUUUUUGUUUAACAAUCUCAAAACUCUGAUGUCCUGUUACUUUUUUGUUCUAGUUUUCUUUGCUAUUAUUGAUUCCAAACUCCAUUCUGCUCUCUCUGUUUUUGUUUGUAGUUUGUACAAACAAUCCUCUGUUUUGUUCAUAUAAAACUCUAUUCUGCUCUCUCUGUUUCCUUAUUUUUGUUGUUUUUGUUUUUAUGAAAUAGCGGUCAUAGCACUAUGCGCUAUCCCGCUAUAGCAUUUUUGGGGUCGGCCACUAUGCGCCGCUAUCCGCUAUUAACUACUAUGGGACUGACCCAACACAGGAAUUGUUAGCAAUUGGAAGAAUUGAACCCAAGACUUUGAGAGGAGCAUACUCAAAGGUCCUGAUCCUACAUCACCAGACCAAGCCCUAGGGGUUUUACAUAUUUAUGCCUCGAUUAGUUAAUUGCUAAUUCUGAUUCUUAGAUAUCAGGUCUAACUCAACUCCUCAAAAACCAAUAUUUUUUUUUUUUUUUGAGGGAUCCUCAAAACCAACUUGUAAAGUAAGAAUCACUCAAAAUUUCAAAACUCUAUUUAUGUCACAGCUCUAAGCAACAUGGGGUUUAAGCUUUUCUCCAACGAUGACCCACCAACCAAGAAUUCAAAAUGUUACAAUGAGUAAUUUCAAGGACCAAACUGACAAACAAAAGACACAUACCAGCACCAAUUUAAGUAAAAAAAAAAAAACAUUUAACAACUAAACUGUCUAACAAAAGACACAUUCGAGGGUAUUUUUUUUUAUAUAAUUUUGAUGCAUUCAGAGAUUAUAGUGUCACCAUCUAACAUAUUGAAUGACCCAAAAUGACUAUAAUAUUAUAAUUUAAUCCAAUGAAAUCGGUAAAAAUCAUUUUUUUUCCCUCCCACCAUUACUAAACCAUAUAAAUAUUCCCAAUUACAUUAGAUAAAACAUACCAUGAAUUGAAAAGAGAAAAAAAAUCAAACACCUGAUAGACAUGUACAAAUAAGUUUAGAUACAAUACAAUAAAAAGAAAAAUAAAGAUACCUCAUGUUUAUCAGCAUUGAUACCAGUACAAUUAGCAAGGAAGAAAAAAGAACCAGGUUCUUUAGAAAUAGUGGGUUGAAUCCUUGCAACAGGUUCAGCAACAGAUCGAAACUCAAGAGUUCCAACACAAGUAGAAGCCAAAAGAGGUGUGAAAACCAUGUGAUUACGCGGUGAUACACAAACGAUAUCAUAGAUAUUAGAAUCUAAUCCUUUCAUGAAUCUGCAUCCGGCCCAACCGGUGCCGAGAACCACCACGCGUGGCUUCUCGUGUGGUUUGGUUGGUCCGAGAGCCGCAUAACGAACCGGAGCGGUUGAACCGGGUGUUGAAGUGGAGAAGCGAGAGAGAAGAGUGAGAGAUGGGAAGAGGUGAGAAGGGUUGGUUGAGUUGGGGGGUUUGAAAAGUUGUUUCGUGGUGAAGAAGUAACUUUUUGAGAGGUUUCUAAACAAAGACAUGGUUAGUGUGUUUGUGUUUGAGAUGUUGAAGAAAGAAGAAAUGAAGUUCCAAAGAUGUAGACUGAUGGGAUGGGAUGAUCAGAUCAUAUUGAGUUGACUGAUAAUGUCACCAACUUUGUUGGGCUGCUUGUCUGCUUUUAUGGGAUCAAAUGAUGUAAUGAGAUGAGAUUGUUGACAUUAUUAUUGCUUUGAAUAUUCAUGUAGACUACUAGUCGUACAUCACAUACUGUCUUUUUUGUCCAGGUGCUCAUAAAAUAUAUAUACAAUAAAAAAUAACAAAUUUCAAAACUCGGAAGAUGCUAAUACAUCAUAGUUGAAACGAGAGAUUGAAGUUUAUCAAUUUUUUUUUUAGCAAAGGAAAGGUAAGUAUUAUCAUUAAAUCAAUCAAUGUUCAAUAUAAGAAGAAUAAGACUAAAAAAAUACGCUAAUUAUGUCAAGAACAGGCCGCCCUAAUUAAAGUAUGAGCAAUCAUGUUUGCAUGUCUCUUAACAAACUUCACAUCAAAGUUAGAAUGUAAAGAUAAUUGAUAAAAUUCUAUAAACAAUAGCAUAGAAUUCCGAAUCACCGUGACCCGAAGACGAUAGCGCUUGCACUAGAGUAGCUGAGUCAGAUUCGAAGACAUCAAGUAAAGCUACUGUCUCCCUCUCCAAAACUGUCAAAUUCGCUUGCUGCAAAUUCGUUUGAGCCCGAAUAAAUUGCCCAUGGAAGUCUCUAACACAACACGCAAAAGAUGUAAUAUGGUUACAGUCAUGGAACGCGACGUCCAUGUUGCACUUUGACCACGUCUCGCACGGUUUCUCCCAAACAGAGUUGUUACCUUGCACUCUAUUCUGCCCGUGUUGCACAACUGUUGGUGAGGGCUGUUUAUGAACCUCUUGUCAUUGUUGUCAUGCAUCUAGUGUUGUUCUUCCAAUAAUUGUUGAAGUAUGAUGAGCGUCAUUCUAAAUGACUUCAUUACGUGCUUCCCAAAUUUGCCAAAGAAGCAAAGCCACCCGACCAGCAAUGUCUCAGCUUUCUGAACAACAUAUGUCAAAAACAAAAUAUGUCAAACUGCUCACAGUUCCAACUCGCGGUUGCAACACAGUCGAAAGCCCUGCCCAAUACCAACUCUCACGCGCCACCAUAUAACCCAUAAAAGCAUGUCAAUCACCCUUAACAAUCGUAUCACACCAGGAACAUAUCACCUUACAUUGUACAUGUCGUGAUUGUAGUCAGAGGCGGGUUGGAACACACCCUCUGUAAAUCCUUCAUAACAAAUUACGAGUUUUAUGAGGGGGAUUCACCUUCCAGAUCCUACACCACUCUCCGUCAACAUGGAACCAAUCAGUGUGUAACAACUCCAUCAUAGCCAUUUGCAACCCGUCUUAAUAGUAUACCUUUCGUUACGUUCCAUCAUCCACUCUAUUCUUUCAUUCUGAACUUCCGCAAACAAUGGUGUGUUGAGAAUAGCUUGCACCAUCUCAUCUAAAAAGGUUUAAUUGUAGUUUUGAUCCCCUUUUUUCAUCAUUUUGCGAAAUUGGUCCCUCAAUUUUUAAAUUCGACAGUUUUGGUCCAUCUAUCAAAUAUUUUGUCUAAAAUAUUGUUAUAUCAAUGUUUUAAAUGAAGUUUUCAAUGGAAUUUUGUUACAAUUUCAUCCAUGUUAAUAUUUUUUCAUCUUCAGAUCAUAUUCCACGACAUUUAAAAUUUAUCACAUCACAUUUUUAAAUUUUAAAAUAUGAUGGAGGGAUCAAAACUGUCGAUUUUUACAAUAGGGGGACCAAUUAUGCAAAAUGAUAAAAAUAAGGGGAUCAAAACUGCAAUUAAGCUCAUCUAAAAACAAAGAUUCAAUCAAAGAAAAAAACAAAAAAACUAACUCAUAUGAAAUCGAAGAUAAUAAUAAAAAUAUAUGUCGACAUUAAUUAAAACGAUUCAAGUAAGUCGUUGUAGCUUAAUGUAAAUUGCCUAGAAAACGAAGAUAUUGAGAUGAAUGCGGAAAUAAAAGAUUAGUUAAUUUGUUGAGAAUAGAAUAUACACCAACUAAUGCUAUCCAAAUUCUUGUAAUGUAAAUGUAUACAUAAACAUGAGCAAAUUUAUAUAUGAUGUCUUAUGCAAAAGUAAAUCAUCUCAUCUUCUUUGCUAACUUGAUUUUGGACGUGUCUUGGUGACAAUACAAUUUAGUAAAAUAUUUCUUGUUAAAACAAAUGUUCAAGUGAUUAGCAACUCACGAAAAAAUAGCAGUAUAAUACAAAAUUUUUGAUGAAAAAUGAGAGCUUAUCAUCAACGUAAACCGAGAAAGAAGAUGGUGAAAUCUUUGUUCUUGAAAGGUAAAAAUAGCGAGUAUGAUGAUUGUGGCUUGUGAGUAUAUAUCAAAAGAUAAUAGAAGAAUUAGGAAAUAGAGAAAGAAACAAAAAGAAUGAAGUAGAAGAAUAAAAUUGAAACGUUUGGAAUUUGGAAAUAUAAAAUUGAAACGUUUGGAAUUUGGAAAUUAAUUGUGAACAUUUAUUCUAUUAAAAAAAUAAAGGAAAGACUAACCGGUGUCUCUCAAGUACUAGUCAAGGAGGAUAUUACAAAAUGAAAUUAUAUAUAUAAGGGUUAAUUAAGUUUUUGGUCCCUAUAAAUAUCUGCACUUUUGUUUUUAGUCCCUAUAAAAAUAAAUCACACUUUUUAGUCCCUACAAAAUUUUCUAUUAGUGUUUUUAGUACCUGUUAAAUUAAAAUUUGUUUAAUUAUGCUUAAACUUCUAAAUUUUUGAAAGAUUUUUUACAUACAAGUUCACUUGUUACGUGACUUUCUCUUAUCUUAUUUCCUUACUUCUUAUAGCGCAGUAACAUGUCCUGAAUAUCCCUUUUUUAUUUGGGGCAUUGAAAUAUAUAAUGGCAUGUUUAGUCAUUAGGGCUAUUUAGGUUGAUGGGUUCUUCAUUUUGAUGACUGACUGUAAUUUCUAGUCAGAACAAUUUCUUGAAGCUUUUUGUUUGUCUCUUGUACAUCUUUAUGCCGCGUUUUCUGAUAUCAAAUAUGCCAGUGAAUACGCAUUCCAUUGAACCACAUGGUUGGAUUUCAUGCUCUCAAUUUAAUGGAUUUUCAUUUAACACAUUGUUGAAUUCGUUGGAGUGAUUUUCAGGCUUUUGUUCAAUUUGUUCGUUGGAACCCUUUCCGAAGAAUGAGAACAGGAGAGCAUGAAAGAUCUUUUAUUGGUAAGGCUUAGGGGAAAUAUACAAAUAAUCGCGCAGGUAAUGUAUUAGGACUUAUGUAUUCUUAUCACAAUAAGCCUUUUCAUUUUGAGCAGCAAGUUGUUGAUCCUGAUAUUCACUUCAAUUACAUUAAAGCAGCAGCUAAAACUGGACAAAUUAAGGUGUAGAGAAUGUGACAUGGGAAUCAAUUAAUGUUUUAUUGAGUGAGGGAAGCAAAGACAUAAAUGUGUGUAAUGCUCUGCAGUGCAAGUUCUUAUGAUUGCUGAUUUCCGCCAUUAGUUGAUUGAGCUCCUUCAACAGAUUGUGCUGCACAAUUCUGCCUUUGGUUGAAACUUCGAUCAGCCAAUUUAGGGUGCUUUCUUAUGUAAAAUAAGAUAGCAACUUUUUGUCAGAAAAUUCUGCUCUAUAUAUAAACCAGAAACAAUUUACUUUCAUUCACAUGAUGUAUCUGAGUUUAGUCUCAUUAUUGUUUCAAUGAUUGUUAAUUAACCAUUUAUUUAUUCGGGUUUACUAGAAUUUGUAUUGACACAUAACGUUGACUGAUCGAUCUACUUUGAUUGGAUUGUUUUUAUUAUACUAAAAAAAAAUGAUUCAGUUUAGUUUACCAAUUACAUACAUAAUAGUUUACCAUCUUUUAAAUGUACAGGUUGGUAUGUAACGAUUUAAAUGAUUAGGUUGGUAUAGUUUACCAUCUUUUAUAUAGUUUUGAAUAUUUUGUGCAAAUUCAAAACCUUGAUGUUUCUGCUGGCUACCAAAACAGACAGUUAAAAAACAUGGAAUGUAGUUUUUUUCGUCUUCCUUGAGGACAAGGAAAUAUAUUUGGCUCAAAUUCAUUACAUGAAAGUUAAUGAACUCUGUUAUUGUUGAAAGUAGAAGAUUGGGUUACAAGUAAAUGUAACAAGUAGCAGAUAAAUUGUUGAUUAAAACAAGUGUGUUGUUAUUCCGGUCAAUAUCCAAUCUUUUAUUUUUAUGAUCAGUAUUUAAUGUUCUAUCUGCAUGUGAUCCUUUGAGUUUGAAUAUUAUCUUAGCUUACUCUUAUAUUAUGCUAAAACUCAACUGAAACUGAAAGAUACUAAAUUCCAUUCCGAAUUUUAUUCUCAAGAGUGCAUCGCAGCAAUAUCCUAAUGACAAACUGACCAAUUGCAAGAAAACCAAAGAGUUAAUGUUUUCUCCUCCAAAACUCCACCACCUCGAAACUCGAAUUAACCUGGUGGAGUUCCAAACAUGAAUUUUACCUGCAUUAUGAAAUACCGUCUGUACUUCUAACCAACCGGUUAUCUUCGCCCAAACCCUAGAAAAAAACGGACACUCAAAAUAAAUGUCGAACUGAAGGUGAAAAACACAAGAAGGGGGGGUUGAAUUGUGUUUUCUUUUUCUCUUAAAAAAUACUUCUUCUGAUAAAACUUCAGAAGCAGUUUGAUUGCUUCUGAUGAAAUGAUCAGAGUCAGAUUGCAGCGGAAAAGAACAGAGCAGAGAAAAGAAAGACAAAGACACAAGCAGUUAUCCUGGUUCCUUCCACAACACGGAAGUAGUCCAGUCCCCCUUGCACUUCCAAGGAGAUUUCACUAUAAUCACAAAGAUUACAACUGCUCAAUACUUUCUAAGUAUGAGACUUCACAAAACUAUGCUCAAGCACACACGCAAGAGUCUUCCAAUGCUCAAGCACUAAGCAAGAGACUUCUAAUGCUCAAGCACGCAGGCGAGAGACUUCUAAUCAAACAAAAAUACAGAGAAUUGAGUUUGAAUUGAACACUUGAUAUACAAUCAGUGGUGUUCACAAUACAAUACAGAAAAGACUCUAGACUUUGAAUUUCUAAGAUGUAUCAAAUCAGUGCAGAAAUUCAGUGUGCUUUGUAGAAUCAAAUUGACAGAGUUUUGGCGCUUUUUUUAACUUAUGUAUUUCUCUCUUUUAUCUUCAAGUCUUCACUCCUUUUUAUAGAGGCGUGAAAGAGACGUUGAGAUAAUCAGCACGUCUAAAGAGUCGUUUGAAAUCCUUUGAUUAUCCACCAGUGAUCCUUUGCCUGAUUUGGGUGUAGUCCUUUGAAGAAUAAACUUCAAAUUCCUUCCCAUCUUGAGUGUACAAUUCUGCAGGCAUGGCUGUUGUUUUGUCUUGUAGCGUAGACAGAAAACAGAGUAGUGGAGGUAGUGGUUGUACACUUGUACUUUGUCAACUCUAUUAACGAGAGACAAGAGCUUAGUGCUAUCCAUAUAUCCGUUGAUACCUCCCUUUCAAUUCUUCGUUCUUCUUUGAUAAGACUGAAUUGAAAAUCAGCUACUUUGAAUCUUCAGUUUGAUUAAAGGAUCAAAUGUAGCUUCUGGUGAAGAUAUUGAUUCUGAUGAAAACUUUUGCUUCUGAUGACUUUCUGCUUCUGAUGACGUCAUCUCUUCAGGAGCAGUUUAGCUUCAGGAGCAGUUUUCUUCAGAUGCUCAGAAUUUCUUUUUCUUUCCAUUGUUCUUCCAAGACCUAUUGAAAUGACUUGAGUAGCCUUUGGUCCUGUACACUUGAACAAUUAUUAGUAAUAACCAAUUGACAAUUUUUAAUACCUUGUUAUCAUCAAAACUCAAUAAGGUUCAUUGUGAAACACAUUUUGUUCCAACAAUCUCCCCCUUUUUGAUGAUGACAAACAAUAGUAUUUAAAAUGUUCAAUUGUUGUUGAUCUAAUUAAUAAGUUGACUACUGGGACAGAGGUUUGUAAGCUCCCCCUGAGUCUAAUAGAUCUUUAAGGUGAGGUUUGUAAGCUCCCCCUAAGUUCUAUUCUUAUUAAUUAAAUUUCAAUAAAAUACUUAUAAAAUCAAAUCAGAAGUAUUUAAAAGAAAUUUAGAGUAGGGCUCAGUGCCUUAAAAAAUACUAUACAUUUACUCCCCCUUUUGUCAUCAACAAAAAAGAAUAGAAACAAAAGAAAGAGUAUCAGAGCAAACAGCAUUAAAAACAGUAAAUAUCAUCAGAGUUAAAGCUUGUAAAACAUAUUGAAGGUGAAAAAGCACAAGAUCCAGAAACAAUGAUAAUAUAUAUAAAGAAAGAUUAAGAUACAAAGACACAGCUACUAAGAACAAAAGUAAAAAACAAGCUAGAGUUGGGUGUGCAACUAAGGUUGGGCUUGCUUAUACAACUGUUCUAAGAGAUACUUGAUCUGAUCAUCCUUCUUCUGAAGUAGCUCAUCCUUUUCCCUCAUUCUUCUUUUAUAUCCAGCCUGAAUUCUAGCAGCCCUAGUGAUGUACUCUUCUUCUGGAUAGAAAGGAGUAAUGUCCAGCAGAGGCACAAAAUUCAGCUCUUUCUCCUUAGCUGCUUCAUGCAUAUCUUCCAAAAGCUUCUUCAGCAUAGCAGAGUGAGAUGACACACAUUUAGUUCUAAGCUGAUCCAGCAGCUCAUCAAAGCUCUUCUGUAGAUCCAUCCACUGAUCAUAAUAGUGAAUAGGAGGUGCAGGAACUGUUCUGCGAAGAAUCAGUGCCUGAAUCUCAUCACUAAGUCUGAUCAGUUGUUCCUCUAUAUACUCAGACUCCAGGAUAUGGUCAGGGAUGGGUGAAGGUUCAGUUUGAGUUGUAUUUGAUGUGGAAGGUUGGUCAGAGGUUAAGUCUAUUAUAGUGGGUGAGUCUGGUUGUUGUUGUUGUUCUGUUGUUUGGUCAGAAGUUGUUUGGUCAGGAGCAACUUGUUCAGAAGCAGUUUGCUCCUGAACAGUUUGCUCAGGGAUGGUUUGGGUUUCUGUUUGGGUUUCCAAGACAGUCUUCUCAGAAACUGUCUUAGAGGCCUUAGUGGGUGUUGGUUGCAUUUCACCACCUAGAUGUUUUUCUAAGUUGUGAAGGGUUGAGGAUUCUUGGUGUUGGGGGGUUUCUGAAGUAGUUGCAUCUGAAACUACUUCAGAGGCCCUUUGUGGAGUUUGGUUAGGUUCUUGGUUGGGUUCAGGUUGUUGUAUACUAACAGGCUCUGGAAUAUCUGGAUAUAGUGGAUGAGUAGUAGGCAAAUUGAAUUUCUCACAAAGUUUUAUCCUAUUUUUUGAAAAUUCUAUUUGAGUACUCUCAUAGUCAAGUGUUCCAAAUUCUGUUAGUUUGGUAGGUUUGGUUUUUAGAAGCUUGUCUAUAUGUUGGCUAAGGGGUUGGUCAUCUGAUUCUGUGGAUGAUGAAGAGGGUGAAGAGGGUAGAGAUAGAGACUGAGUAUUAGUUGGAGCUUUAGAUGGAUUACCUGAGGACUGAGCUUCUGGAGCCUUUGAAACUGGUUCUGAUGAAGUUGUUCCUGAAGCUUGCUUAUUCUUCAAGGCUUGAGAAAGCAGAGUUGCUCCAUACUGAACUGUUUCUUGCUCUAACUCAGAAGCUAAAGCAGCAAUGUCAGGAGUAGGCACAUACCCUGCAGCCUUGAGACGCUCAUCCCUUUCUUUUUCAUACAAAAUCUUCAUCCUUUUCUUUUCUGCUAUCUUGGAUGCAGAAACCUCCCUAGUAUACUGCCUCAUUUCUUCAGUCAUUUCAAAACUGGGCAUGACUAUGGGCUCAGAAGUUGCAGUCCUUUUUGCCUUCUUGGGGCUUGAGUCUUCAUCCCAGUUCUCUUCCAGUUCUUUCAACAUUUCUUCCCUUCUUCCUUCAGCUGUCUUCAGAUUUCUUGUUAAAUUAGACCUCUUCCUUUUGAUGGUCUGAAGAGCAGCUUCUCUUUUAUUUUUGGGACUUGAAGGCUUUUCAGAAGCAGCUUGAUCAGAAGCAGCUUGUUCAGAACCAGCUUGUUCAGAAGCAGGCUGUUCUGCUGUUUCUUGAGUACUCCUUGUCCUUUUUCUGAUAAGAGGGACAUCAUCCAAAUCCUCCACUUCCUCAAGAAUGGUGGACAUAGCAGAUUUUUCCUUCUUAGCUUUCUUAUGCUUCUGAGCACCCACCUCAGUAGCAUCUUCAGCAAGGUAUUCUUCCUUGGUGAUCUGCUUCUUUUUAGAUUUUCUGCCUUUGGCCACAGGCAGAUCACCACCAUACAUUUCUUCUGGGAUAUCUUUCAGGCUGAUUUUCUUGUUGUAGCUCUUGUAGUAGUCUAAGAUGUAGGCCCUCUGCACAUCCAGGGGAUCUUUCUUGCAGAUAGGGAUGUGAUGAGUGACUAGAUCAGAUAUGACAUCAGAUUCAUGCAUAUCUGUAUCUAGUUUCCUGCAUGUUGAAAUCAGCCUCAUCUUGACUAGAGUUGCCCCAUUGAUUAUUUUUCCUGUGACUGCUCCCAGCUUCUGAUUAUCAUAAAUACCCACGUCUUUCAGGGCACUUAGGAGUCCUCCUUCUUGAAAGAUUAUGGAGAGCAGCCUUCCAUAGGGAACAAACUUCCUGUUCUCCAUCUGGCUCUUCUUGAGUUCCUUGAUCAUGUAUUUAAACAUAUACUUGGGAACGUUCAUUGUUGUUUCCUGAGAGAUGGUGUGAUGCAGAAAGACUUUGUGACCAAGUGAAGGUUGAUCAUUUCCUCCACCUUUGGGAAAAAUGUUUUCAUUCUGGAUCUUCAGCAGCAUUUUCUUUUCCAUGCUUAAGGUGCUGUAAGGCUUAGCAUCCUUUGAUCCGUAGAUAGUGUUGUUUACUAUCUCCUUCCAUGGGCUUGUUCUGGGGUUAGGAAUCUCUUCUCCAUCGUAUGUCCCAGAAGCAUCUCUCCUCAUAGCUUGAGCAAUCACUUGCUCAUUGAUUGUUACAGGAAUCCCCAUGACGUUUGAUCUAAUCUCAGUCCCAGUGAAGGCGAGUAGACCCAUUUCUUCUCUGGUUUUUCCCUCCAAAGUAGGAUCAACCAGAAUCAUCUGAGCUUCUUCCUGUUUAGCAGCAACUUUGUCAAACACUGAAGCUCUUACCCAGAAUUGUCUGACAAGCACUUCAUAAGUAGGACCGUUGAGAAGACUGAAGUAACUCAUUAGCUUCUGCUUCUUGUAGAAUCUUACCAAGUCGCAUCCAUGAUGAGUUAGAGAAGUGAAAUCCACAGGAUUUUCCGCUUGAAUGAUUAGCUCCCAUUCCUCAAUAGACAUAGUUCUUCCUUUGAUUUCAUAAGCAGGAGUAUCUAUAUCCAUAUUCGAUGAAGAACCACCGGCAGAACUUGAAGAUGCCAUUGAUUUGAAGUAGAAUUAGGGUUCUAAGGUGUUUUGAGAGGUUGAGAGAAUGUGCUUACUUACACAGAGGGUUGAGAAGAAAUUAGAAAGUGUUUGUUGUGAAGUGAGAAGUGUGUGAAAUGACUUAGUGUUUUUAUUAAAACGUUUGUAAUUCAGAGGGGACAAACAAACACAGCAUUAAUGACAAAUUGGGGGCGCGUGUAAGUAUGUUAAAAAGCGAAUAAAAACAUCAUUGCCCUUUUUGUUAUACUCCAAUACAAAUAGACCACGUCAGAGACUCUUCAGAAAACUACCUUUUGGGUAAUGGGACAGCUGUUACAUAAAGUAACUGCCAACGUUCCCACUAGCCAAGCUAUUCAGAAGCAAAGAAUAACACUUCUGAAGUUUUAGUGCUGACGUCAUCUUCAGAAGCACAUUUUCCUCAGAACCUCAGUUAAGAGCUUCUGAUGAACCAAAAUGCUUCUGAAUAAACUUCAGAACCAAACUUCUUAUUCAGAGGCAAGCAAUUUUUCAAUCAGACACAAAAUGCAUGUUCAAAUUUUUCUUAAUAAAAUCAAAUCUUUCAACAGACAAAGGUUUUGUAAAUAUAUCAGCCCAUUGAUGUUCAGUAUCAAUGAAUUGUAUAUCUAAAAUCCCUUUUUGAACAUAGUCUCUGAUAAAAUGGUGUUUGAUUUCAAUAUGCUUGGCUCUUGAAUGUAGAAUUGGAUUCUUUGACAAACAAAUAGCAGCAGUAUUAUCACAGUAAAUGGGAAUACUGUUAGCAUUAAUCUGAUAGUCUUCCAACUGAUGUUUCAUCCAAAGUAGUUGUGUGCAACAACUUGCAGCUGAAAUGUACUCUGCUUCUGCUGUAGACAUAGCAAUAGUUGCUUGUCUUUUGCUUGCCCAGGAUAUCAGAUUCUUUCCCAGGAAUUGACAAUUUCCACUGGUUGAUUUUCUUUCAAUCCUAUCACCAGCAUAAUCAGCAUCACAGAAUCCAAUCAACUUAUAAUCUAGGGAUUUCCUAUACAGGAGUCCAAGAUUAGUUGUUCCUUUCAGAUACCUGAAGAUUCUCUUAACUGCAGUUAAAUGAGAUUCUCUAGGAUCUGAUUGAAAUCUUGCACACAAGCAUACACUGAAUAAAAUAUCAGGUCUAGAUGCAGUGAGGUAUAACAGAGAACCAAUCAUACCUCUGUAUAGCUUCUGGUCUACUACUGUUCCAGUAUCUUCUUUGCUUAAGGUGCAGGUUGGAUGCAUUGGAGUGUUCAUCACUUUACAAUCUUCUAGCUUGAACUUCUUCAGAAGCUCCUUUGUAUAUUUUGUUUGAUGAACAUAUACUCCUUCUUUACUUUGGUUGAUUUGAAUUCCCAGAAAGAAUUUCAAUUCUCCCAUCAUACUCAUUUCAAAUUCAUCCUGCAUUAACUUAGAAAAUUCUUUGCAAAGAGAUGCAUUAGUAGAACCAAAUAUUAUAUCAUCAACAUAUAUUUGCACAAUCAAAAUAUCUUUCUUAAGAGUCCUUCUGAAGAGUGUUGUGUCAACUUGUCCUCUUUCAAAAUCAUUUUUAAUUAAGAAAUUACUUAGUCUAUCAUACCAAGCUCUGGGAGCUUGUUUCAAGCCAUAUAGUGAUUUCUUAAGUUUAUAAACAUGGUCAGGAUGCUUAAGAUCCUCAAACCCAGGAGGUUGUUUAACAUACACUUCUUCUUCAAUGACACCAUUAAGAAAGGCACUUUUGACAUCCAUUUGAUAUAAUAUUAUGCCAUGAUUAAUUGCGUAGGAUAGAAGUAACCUGAUUGCUUCCAAUCUUGCAACUGGAGCAAAUGUUUCAGUGUAAUCAAUGCCUUCUUGUUGACUGUAGCCUUGAGCAACAAGUCUGGCUUUGUUUCUGGUUACUUCUCCUUGUUCAUUCAGCUUGUUUCUGAAUACCCAUUUUGUUCCAAUAAUGUUCUUCUGAGAAGGUUUGGGUACCAGAUCCCACACAUCAUUCCUUUGGAAUUGAUUUAGCUCUUCUUGCAUAGCUAAUAUCCAUCCAUCAUCUGAGAGAGCUUCUUCAACAGUUUUAGGCUCAAUUAUUGAAAGCAGUCCUAUUAAUGACUCUUCUUGUCUAAAAUGUGAUCUAGUUCUUCUAGGACUAUCUUUGCUUCCAAUGAUUAGCUCCUCAGGAUGUGAAGAUUUGUGCUUGAAUUUAGGUUGUAUAACCUGCUGAGUGUUAUCUAGAAAGUCCUCAGAAGCAAUUUCAUUCUGUACUUUUGAGCUAGGUUCUGCUUCUGAAUUAGACUCAGCUUCUGGAGUGAUUUCAGCUUCUGGACUAGAUUCAACUUCUGUAUACUUUUCAGAAUCAGAAGGUUGAUCAGAUUCUGAUGCAUCUUCAGAAUCAGUUGUACCUGCAUUACUUUCACUUUGCUCUGAAGUUUUACUUCCAGGCUCUCUAUCAUCAAAUUUUACAUGCAUAGAUUCUUCAACACAUUGUGUUUCUGAAUUAUACACUCUGUAUGCCUUUGACCUUUCAGAGUAACCUAAAAAGAUUCCUCUUUGAGCCUUGGCAUCAAAUUUCUUCAGAUAGUCUUUAGUGUUUAAGAUGUAACAGGUACAUCCAAACUGAUGAAAGUAAGAGAUAUUGGGUCUUCUUCCUUUAAAGAGUUCAUAUGCUGUUUUCUCCAACAUAGGUCUGAUAUAGAUCCUAUUUUGAAUAUAACAUGAAGUAUUGACUGCUUCUGCCCAAAAAUGUUUAGCUAAGUUGUUUUCAUGGAUCAUGGUUCUGGCCAUUUCUUGUAAAGUUCUGUUCUUUCUCUCUACAACUCCAUUUUGUUGUGGAGUUCUAGGAGAGGAAAACUCAUGGAGAAUCCCAUGUUUUUCACAAAAAAGUUCAAAUGGCUCAUUUUCAAAUUCUCCACCAUGAUCACUUCUGACUUUCAAAAUUUUCAAUUCUUUUUCAGAUUGUAUUUGAGUGCAGAAGCUGCUAAACACUUCACAUGCAUAGUCUUUACUUUUAAUGAAUUUUACCCAAGUCCAUCUGCUGUAAUCAUCAACAAUGACUAAUCCAUAUUUACUUCCAUAUAAGGAUGCAGUGUUAACUGGACCAAAAAGAUCAAUAUGGAGUAAUUCUAAGGGUCUGGAGGUUGAUACAAUGUCUUUAGAUUUGAACGAACUUUUCACAAUUUUCCCUUUCUGACAUGCACCACAAAGUGCAUCUGAAUGAUAAUCAAUGUUAGGCAAUCCUUUGACCAGUUGUAACUUGCUAAUUUUAGAAAUUAAUCUCCAAUUAGCAUGUCCCAACCUUUUAUGCCAUACCCAUUUUUUAUCAUUCAUUGACAGAAGGCAAACUACCUUCUGAUCAGCCAGAUCAGAGAAAUUUAUUUUAUAGACAUUCUCAACUCUCUUUCCCUUGAAUGUAAUGGAUUUGUCAUCCUUGUUAACUAGUGUGCAGUUGGUCUUACUGAACGUUACAUCAUACCCAUUGUCACAAAAUUGACUUAUGCUCAAUAGGUUAUGCUUCAGACCAUCUACUAGCCACACAUUAUUAAUUGAGAUGGAGGAAUUACCAAUAGUACCUGUACCAAUGAUCUUUCCAGUUUGGUUGCCACCAAACUUCACUUCUCCUCCAUCUUUCAUUGUAAGGGUAAGGAACAAAGCUUUCUCUCCAGUCAUGUGCCUUGAACAUCCGCUGUCUAGGUACCAUGACCUUUGUUUCUCUCUUGCCCUUAAGCACACCUGCAUUUUUGGCCAAUUCAGAUUUAGGUACCCAUAUCUUCAUGGGUCCUUUUGGGUUAGCUUUGGAGGUUUUACUUUUCCUCCCUUGUACCUUAGGGUGAAUGCUGAGUGGCUUCUGAUCAUUCAAUACUUUAGGUUUGACACCUUUUGGUAUUGUUUUCUCAGAAGCAGUAGCUGCUUUGUUCUUCUGAUCCUUUUGUUUUGGAAUUUUAGAUUCUGGUUUAAUCAGAUUCUGAUGAACAGGUUCUGAUCUUUUCAGAAUUUUAAUCUUUUGACUCUUAGGAUCAGAUUUUGUCAUUACCUUGAUCUUAAGAUUCUCUGGCUUUGAUGUGAUCUUAGCCUGUGAACCUGAAGCUUCAGGUUUUGACUGAACAUCAGUUAUAGCAUUUGUACCUUCAGGCACAAAGGUGGAUUUCAAUCCAUCCUUGAUACAAUCACAGUAGCUCUUGAGACUGUAUUCUUUGGAUUUCUCCUCAGAAUAUCCAAUCCCUUUGCCUUUGUUCUUGUAUGUGCUGUAGAUCAUAGAAGCAACUUUGCUUCUGUCUAUUCCAGCCAUAAUAAAAUCAUCCAAGGCAAUCUCAUGUUUAUUGCCUGAACCUUUAUCACAUUUUUCUUGUAGCUUCUGACAAAGACUCUUGAGUCUAUCUUCAUAUGUUGUUGAUAUGAGGUUAAACCCUUUGAGUUCUUCUUCAGAAGCUUUCAGUUCCAAUAGAGUUGACUUUUGUUGUUUCAUCAAAUCAACAUAUUUUUCUUUUAAAUCUGUCAACUCAUUGGUUCUGUGUUCAAACAGUGAUAAAAGUUCUUUUAGAGAAUCAACAAGUUCUUGUCUAGGGAUUUUGGAAUAUACCUCAUUUUCAUCUUCUGAAUCUGAUUCAGCUUCUGAUACUGCUUCUGAUGAUACUGUUGCCACUAACCCAACAGCUGCCUUAGCAUCAUCAUCAGCUUCUUCUUUAUCAGAACCAGAUUCACUAUCCAAAUCUUCCCAGGUCGCCAUCAAGCUCUUUUUGAUUUGCUUUCUGAAUUUACUGGAAUUGAAGCUUGAUUUCUUGGAUUUGCCUUUAAACUUCUCCUUCUGAAGAUCAGGGCAAUCAGCAAUGAAAUGACCAGGCUUCUUACAAUUGAAGCAUCCCUUCUGAUCUUCUUUCUUGGAGUUCUUGUAGCUACCUCUCUUGCUCAAAAAUUUCUUCUGCUUCCUUGCCAGAUACUCAAGCUUGUUGGACAACAUAGCCAUUUUUACAGAUUGAUCUUCAUCAGAAUCUCCAUCAGGUGAUUCUUCUUCAGAUUCACUGGCUUUGUAGGCUUUGGAAGAUUUUGAGAUCUUUCCUUUAGAUGGUAAAGCAAUGGAUUUACUCUUCUUAGAGGUUUCAUGCUCAUUUAAACUCAUUUCAUGCACUUUGAGUGAGCUAACAAGAUCUUCAACACUUAAAGUAUUUAGAUCCUUAGCUUCCUCAAUAGCAGUUACUUUGGGUCUCCAUCUUGAAGGUAAGCUUCUCAAAAUCUUACUAACAUGAUCAGAAGCAACAUAGCUUUUCUUCAGUAUUUGCAAUCCAGAAACUAAAGUUUGAAAUCUUGAGUACAUUUCUUCUAUACUCUCAUCAUCCUUCAUUCUGAAAAGUUCAUACUGAUGAACUAGCAUCAAAGCUUUAGCCUCUUUUACUUUCUUGCUGCCUUCAAAGUUUGCACAUAGAGAAGCAAACAUAGCCUUCGCAGUAGAUUUGUCACUCAUUUUCAUGUAUUCGGUGCGAGGUAUAGAAGCCACAAUAAUCCCUCUGAUUUUGUGGUGCUUCUUGUAAAGCUUCUUCUGAGCAGGAGUAUGUAUUUUUCUAUCUAUAGCAGCUCCUUCUUCAUCUAAAUCCAGGUCAUCAACUCCAUCUUCCAGUAUGUCCCAUAACUCUUCAUCUAAUCCCAUGAUAAAGCUGUACAUAUUAGUUUUCCACCAAGAAAACUCUUCUGGAUCUCCAUUAAACCUUGGAGCUUUUCCAGAGUCUGUUUUCUUGUCAGCAGUAUCAUAGUCAUGCUUGACGCUUGUGUAUUUUGGAGUAACUGAUUCCUCAUCUCCAGACAUGUUUUUCUAAUAGAUCUUGAACUGUAACACGGUUAAGUGCUGUGAUAACAGAGCAAGCUCUGAUACCAAUUGAAGGUGAAAAACACAAGAAGGGGGGGUUGAAUUGUGUUUUCUUUUUCUCUUAAAAAAUACUUCUUCUGAUAAAACUUCAGAAGCAGUUUGAUUGCUUCUGAUGAAAUGAUCAGAGUCAGAUUGCAGCGGAAAAGAACAGAGCAGAGAAAAGAAAGACAAAGACACAAGCAGUUAUCCUGGUUCCUUCCACAACACGGAAGUAGUCCAGUCCCCCUUGCACUUCCAAGGAGAUUUCACUAUAAUCACAAAGAUUACAACUGCUCAAUACUUUCUAAGUAUGAGACUUCACAAAACUAUGCUCAAGCACACACGCAAGAGUCUUCCAAUGCUCAAGCACUAAGCAAGAGACUUCUAAUGCUCAAGCACGCAGGCGAGAGACUUCUAAUCAAACAAAAAUACAGAGAAUUGAGUUUGAAUUGAACACUUGAUAUACAAUCAGUGGUGUUCACAAUACAAUACAGAAAAGACUCUAGACUUUGAAUUUCUAAGAUGUAUCAAAUCAGUGCAGAAAUUCAGUGUGCUUUGUAGAAUCAAAUUGACAGAGUUUUGGCGCUUUUUUUAACUUAUGUAUUUCUCUCUUUUAUCUUCAAGUCUUCACUCCUUUUUAUAGAGGCGUGAAAGAGACGUUGAGAUAAUCAGCACGUCUAAAGAGUCGUUUGAAAUCCUUUGAUUAUCCACCAGUGAUCCUUUGCCUGAUUUGGGUGUAGUCCUUUGAAGAAUAAACUUCAAAUUCCUUCCCAUCUUGAGUGUACAAUUCUGCAGGCAUGGCUGUUGUUUUGUCUUGUAGCGUAGACAGAAAACAGAGUAGUGGAGGUAGUGGUUGUACACUUGUACUUUGUCAACUCUAUUAACGAGAGACAAGAGCUUAGUGCUAUCCAUAUAUCCGUUGAUACCUCCCUUUCAAUUCUUCGUUCUUCUUUGAUAAGACUGAAUUGAAAAUCAGCUACUUUGAAUCUUCAGUUUGAUUAAAGGAUCAAAUGUAGCUUCUGGUGAAGAUAUUGAUUCUGAUGAAAACUUUUGCUUCUGAUGACUUUCUGCUUCUGAUGACGUCAUCUCUUCAGGAGCAGUUUAGCUUCAGGAGCAGUUUUCUUCAGAUGCUCAGAAUUUCUUUUUCUUUCCAUUGUUCUUCCAAGACCUAUUGAAAUGACUUGAGUAGCCUUUGGUCCUGUACACUUGAACAAUUAUUAGUAAUAACCAAUUGACAAUUUUUAAUACCUUGUUAUCAUCAAAACUCAAUAAGGUUCAUUGUGAAACACAUUUUGUUCCAACAGAACUGUUUUUUCAAUAUCAUACCCACCAAUACAAAACUGAGCUUCACUACUUAAGAUCCCUAUUCUGUAAAACUUGUCAAACAAACAAUAUUACCUUCAGUGAAGUGAACACACAGUGUAAGCUGAUGGUCCUCCUUCCACACCCCCAAAUUAAUUUCUUGUAUCAAAUGACAAAUUGGGCAGGAGUCAGAAUUUACCAAAUUGAGAAUACUAACGUAGAGCUGCACUAAUAUAUUUACAUUACAGAAUACUAAUGUAUCCAAUUAGUAACACUGCAUAUUCUCUAAUAUAUUCACAAUGUAGGAAGUAAGGAAUAUGGAACACAAGAAGAUACAUUUUGGCAAUACUUUAGUAUCUCUGAUAUGUCUUGGAGAAUACAUUUUGUGAUCAAUGGAUUGGAAAUUACUUUCAGUGAGAUCAUUUUGGGUCUUGUAUUUGAUACAUUCUGCAUAAUAAAGAUACUAGUGCGAGUGUCACAUUUUAUUUUGAUUUGUAUUAAGACAUUGAAAAUUGGCAGUCAUAAAUUUUCUUUGUAUAUGACUGGAGAUUGAGUACCAACUAAGUUAUAGUGUUUCAUUGAUUAAAUAAUCAAUAACUUUUUUUUUUGGUCAGGUAAAAUAAUCAAGGGUUAAUUAAGUUUUUAGUCCCUAUAAAUAUUCACAGUUUUGUUUUUAGUCCCUACAAAAUAAAAUCAUACUUUUUAGUCCUUAUAAAAUUUUCCAUCAACAUUUUUAGUCCCUAUAAAAUUUUCCAUCAGCAUUUUUAGUCCCUAUAAAAUUUUUCCAUCAGCAUUUUUAGGCCCUAAAAUGCUUAAGGAAAAUGUCACAAGGACUAAAAAAUGUGAUUUUAUUUUAUAAGGACUAAAAACAAAACUGUGAAUAUUUAUAGGGACUAAAAACUUAAUUAUACAUUUUACUUUUUUUGUGAGUGCUUAAAUCUUGUGACCAUAAUAAUACUCUCACCACUAAAUGCAUUAAACAAUAAAACAAGUGUGGACCCACAAAGAGCUGGCUAUCGUUUUUUAUGCUUAAUCAAACGCUUCCCAACAAUUGUACCAGCUAGUGGUGACUAUAUAUAUUAAAAAAUGUUGAUGUAAAAUAUACAAUAAAAGAGACAAAAAGUCAGUCAAUAAAAGAAACUCACCAUACAUUUCAUUUUUUUUAUUCAACUCAUCACAGUCCACCCUCUUCCAUUUUCAUUCAACCACGUUAGAUCAAUCUAAAUAAUGGCUGAGGCCUUACUUGGUGAUGCGUUUGAUAAUUUAUUGUCUCUUGUUCAAAAUGAAUUUGCAGUCAUUUCUAGAAUCAAGUUCUACUCCAAGAUAUAUUGGGUCAUCUGCUAUUAGGUUUUUCGUAAUCGGAUCAUCCAUCAUUUAUGUCUACGACUGGUUUGUAAGGUGAUACCAUCUUAUAUAUCCACCCACUAUUUAUGUCCAUGAACUAAACUCAAUAGUGUUGGUCGUGAGAGGGUGUAUCACCUUACAACCCGGUAUUGUGGGGUUGCGCCCACAUUGUAAUACUACUUUAAUCAAUAAUGAAAAGCUAUAAACUUAUUUCUUUAAAAAAAAAAUGAGUGAUGAGGUGUCGACGAAAAAAUUUGGGGUCUAAUUUAAUAAAGAUAAUAGAGAGAUAAACAGAUCCUUUAAAAAAAAAAAAUAGAUAAAACUUGUUCCAGAAAUGCACAAAAUUAAAUUAAAGGUAUAAAACAAAUUACAUGUAGCCUGAGUUAGUAUGAUUGAACAAAGUUUGAUAUUUCUUUUAAGAGUUUUAUUGAACUGAGCCCAAGCUAGUAUGUAAUUAAAAUACCAAUGACAUGAGAUUUCAAAAACAAAUAUCAGUGAAUGACCAUCUUAAACCAGAACUGGAAUGAAAUUUUACAUUUAAUCAAAUAAAUAGAAUGUAAAACAAAUACAUAUGACAUCAUAACUGUCCCAAAAGAUACCUCAAAUUUAUUAUAAAGUAAAUUUUAUUAGUGUUCAUGUAUGAAAACAAAGAAAUUAAAUAAAAUUCUUUCCAACAAUUAUACAUGCCAGUAGGGACACCCCAUCUCUUAAUGGACCCCGAUCAAUAAUAAUGGAACCUUGCAAGCAAGUUGCAUAAAUUUGUGGUUAAAAAUAUGCCUACUUGAAUGUUUGCUCACAAUUAUUGAUCACCUAGUUGCCGACUUCCUACUACCAUUGCAUUUAUUCUCAAAGUUCUUCAUUCUGUUUACUUUUAACACUCAGUCAAUCUAAAACCAAUUUCUCAUUUACUUAUCUUUUCAACUCUUUCUUUUACCAAAAAAUGGCUGAUGCGUUGAUCGGAGUUGUGUUUGAUAACUUGAAGUCUCUCCUACAAAAUGAAUUUGCAACCAUUUCUGGAAUCAAGUCAAAGGCUCAAAAGCUGUCAGACACCUUAGAUAUGAUCAAAGCCGUUCUUGAAGAUGCUGAGAAGAAACAAGUCACAGACUGCUCUAUUAAGGUAUGGCUGCAACAACUCAAAGAUGUUGUUUAUGUGCUCGAUGAUAUCCUUGAUGAGUGCUCGAUCAAGUCUAGUCGACUGAGAGGAUUAACCUCUCUCAAGUUUCGCCAUGAGAUCGGUAACAGGUUGGAAGAGAUUAACGGGAGGUUGGAUGAUAUUGCUGAUAGGAGGAAGAAGUUUUUUCUGCAGGAAGGUACUGGAACUGUUCGGGAAAGCCCAAAUGACGUAGCUGAAUGGCGUCAAACCAGCGCUAUUAUUACUGAACCAAAAGUGUUUGGACGAGAAGACGAUAAAAAGAAGAUUAUCCAGUUUCUUCUCACCCAAGCAAAGGACUCCGACUUCCUUUCCAUCUAUCCCGUUUUUGGGUUAGGUGGUCUUGGAAAAACCACUCUUCUUCAAUCGGUCUACAAUGAUGUUACCGUGAGUAGCAAUUUUAAUACUAAAGUUUGGGUUUGUGUUUCUGAGAAUUUCUCUGUCAACAGGAUUUUGUGUUCCAUUAUACAAUUUAUCACAGAAAAGAAGUAUGAUGGCUUUGAUUUAAAUGUAACACAGAAAAAGGUGCAGGAAUUGUUACAAGGUAAAAUAUAUUUGCUAGUUUUGGAUGAUGUGUGGAAUCAAAAUGAACAAUUGGAAUCAGGGUUAACACGAGAGAAAUGGAACACAUUGAAAUCUGUGUUGUCAUGUGGAUCCAAAGGUAGUUCCAUUUUAGUAUCCACUCGUGAUGAGGUUGUUGCAACAAUCACAAAAACAAGGGAAACUCACCGUUUAUCUGGUCUCUCCGAGGAUGAAUGUUGGUUGUUGUUCAAACAAUAUGCAUUUGGACAUUAUAGAGAAGAGAGUACAAAGCUUGUGAAAAUAGGAAAGGAGAUUGUAAAGAAAUGUAAUGGAUUGCCUCUUGCAGCGAAAGCAUUGGGAGGUUUAAUGAGCUCAAGGAAUGAAGAAGAGGAAUGGCUUGAAAUUAAAGAUAGCGAGCUUUGGGCCUUGCCACAAGAAAUUUUGCCUGCUUUGAGGUUGAGUUACUUUUAUUUAACACCAACUCUAAAACAAUGUUUCUCUUUUUGUGCUAUAUUUCCCAAAGAUGGAGAAAUCCUGAAGGAAGAAUUGAUUCAGCUCUGAAUGGCUAAUGGAUUUAUUGCAAAGAGGAAAUUAGAGGUUGAAGAUGUUGGAAACAUGGUUUGGAAGGAAUUGUACCAAAAAUCAUUUUUUCAAGACAGCAAAAUGGAUGAAUAUUCUGGAGACAUUUCUUUCAAGAUGCAUGAUCUUGUCCAUGAUCUCGCUCAAUCAGUAAUGGGGCCAGAAUGUAUGUAUUUGGAGAACAAAAACAUGACCAGUUUGUCAAAAAGCACACACCACAUUGGUUUUGACUACAAAGACUUGUUAUCCUUUGAUAAGAAUGCUUUCAAAAAAGUUGAAUCCUUGAGAACAUUGUUUCAGUUGAGUUAUUAUGCCAAAAAAAAACAUGAUAACUUCCCAACAUACCUUUCUCUUCGGGUUUUAUGCACAUCCUUUAUCCGGAUGCCAUCACUAGGGAGUUUAAUUCAUUUAAGGUAUUUGGAACUUCGUUCUCUUGACAUCAAAAAUUUGCCUGACUCAAUUUACAACCUAAAAAAGCUGGAAAUCUUGAAAAUAAAACAUUGUCGUAAACUGAGUUGUCUCCCAAAACACUUGGCUUGCUUACAAAAUCUUAGACAUAUAGUCAUUAAAGAAUGUCGGUCUUUGUCUCUCAUGUUUCCUAACAUUGGAAAAUUAACUUGUCUAAGAACAUUAAGUGUGUAUAUUGUUAGUUUAGAGAAAGGGAAUAGCUUGACAGAGUUACGUGAUCUAAACCUCGGUGGAAAACUGAGUAUCCAACACUUAAACAAUGUUGGCAGUUUAUCUGAAGCUGAAGCGGCUAAUUUGAUGGGUAAAAAAGACCUUCAUGAAUUAUGCUUGUCAUGGAUAUCCCAACAUGAAUCUAUAAUUAGUGCUGAGCAAGUACUUGAAGUGCUUCAACCUCACUCAAAUCUCAAGUGCUUGAAAAUAAGUUUCUAUGAGGGAUUAUCCUUACCAAGUUGGAUAAUUCUUCUUAGUAAUUUAAUUUCUCUUGAACUUCGGAAUUGCAACAAAAUUGUGCGGCUUCCGUUACUUGGUAAACUACCAUAUCUAAAAAAACUGGAAUUAUUCGAAAUGGAUAAUCUGAAAUACUUGGAUGAUGAUGAAUCUGAGGAUGGUAUGGAGGUGAGGGUUUUCCCAUCUCUAGAGGUACUCCAAUUAUCUUGUCUACCAAACAUAGAGGGGUUAUUGAAAGUGGAAAGAGGGGAGAUGUUUCCUUGUCUUUCUAGUUUGGAUAUCUGGAAAUGCCCUAAACUUGGACUGCCAUGUCUUCCAUCUCUUAAAGACCUCUUUGUAUGGGAAUGUAACAAUGAGUUACUGAGGUCAAUCUCUACCUUCCGUGGUCUUACUCAGCUUAAACUAAUUCACGGUUUCGGAAUAACAUCCUUCCCAGAGGGGAUGUUCAAAAACCUUACUUCUCUUCAAUCUCUGUCUGUAAAUAGUUUCCCACAAUUGGAGUCCUUACCAGAGACAAAUUGGGAAGGUCUUCAAUCCCUUCGAUUUCUAAAGAUUCAUAGAUGUGAAGGAUUGCGAUGCUUGCCGGAGGGUAUUCGACACCUCACUUCUCUUGAGGUUUUGAAUAUUUAUAAAUGUCCAACAUUAGAGGAACGAUGCAAAGAGGGAACAGGGGAGGAUUGGGACAAGAUAGCUCAUAUUCCAAAAAGAGUGAUUUUUUAGAAUGAAGAAGGGCAGAGACGUUUACCCUUAUCUGCCUCAAUCACCAUCGCAAAAAUCAAUUUUACUGGUAGGAUCUCUAUUUCCCCCUAAAAUACACCCUUCUUAUGUUUGGAUUUUAAGUGAUUAAUUUACUCGAAUUUUAUUAAAAAAUCGUUAUAUAUUCUCAUUAUAGGAUGAUUUGCAGGCUUUUCUGUUGAGUUCUUUUGAACGCAUCCCCCAAAAGAUAUAUGUUCUAAUAUUCUAAUUCAGGUAAUUUUCUUCAUCAUAGUUUAUUUAUUUUUUUAAUUUCCUUUUUGAUUUUUGAUUUCAUUUUUAAUUUUGCUGAUUUCGUGGAGAUUGAAUUGAAUGGUUAGGAUUGCUUUCGACACACAGGGAUGGGGUCGACAGAUAAAUGGAUUAACCGGAACAAACGUACCUAAUGAUGAAGAGAACAUCUUUUGGAGUGGAGGAGGUGACAACGAGUCCAGUCGUGGCAUCGAGGAUUGCGAUUUUGAUUAUCAGGGUGUGGGUAGGAGCUCAAUGCCCAUUAGCGAGUCUGAUCAUCAAGGUUUAUUCCAUUUUUAUAAGUUUUUGUUGGUCUUCUUUAUUUAAGUUAUAUGUUGUUUGGCUUCCUCUUUGCUUAGUUUUGAUAAUAAUUUGCAGAAAUAAAAGUUUUUGAAUGUAAUUAUAUGGGUUGGUGUCAUAUCAGUAUCUAAACAUCAGACAUGUCAUCGAUGUGAAGUUUUGAGUAUAGGUGAAUGAUUGUUUGGUGCAGAACAAAGGUUGCAAUUACUUUGAUGGAUCAUUUAGGUUCGAAAAAGGCUCAUGUUUUUGGGCACUCAAUGGGUUUCUAUUUUGUGUGUUUUUUUGUCUGUUUUACUUUUUGAUUUAGUUAAAAUUCAGAUGGUCUGUCCUACGAUUUGGUUAGGUUAAGUUUUUUUGUUUGUGUUUAUUUUUAAAUAUGUUUGCCUAUUGAAACAGGAUCUAUGAUAGUUUGUAAAAUAGCAGCAACAGUUCUUGAUAGAGUUCUCUCCUUGGCUUUGCUAAAUGCAAUGAGUGGAGGUUUUCAAUGUUUUCCAGAGGUAUUGUCCCUUUCAUAAUUCUAUGAAAUGUUUUGAUUUAUUUUUACAGCACUAUGAUUAGAGCAUUGAUGACGCAAUUUUGUAAGACUUUUUGAAUAGAAACUUAGUUUAGGAUGAGUGGACUUGCAUACAUAAUAAGUAUAAUUUCUUAGUACUGAUUUUAGUUGAUCCUUUAGGAGAAAUUUAGUUGAGAAUUAUCUUUCUAUGGUUUAAGUCAGAAUUUUGUUAAGAAUUUCGUAGUACUGAAAUUUUGCUGGUACGUUAUUUGCAGAUUUUUAAGGAAUAUUGACGGGUGUCGAUGCAUGCACCAAACUCUUUGGCCAACCUGUGAAGGAUUAAACUUUUUCUUGGUUGCAUAUUUGAUCUCUAGGUAUUUCUUAAGACAGUUAUCUAGACGAACCUAUAUUGUAUGCUAGUUUUAUCUCUUCUCUGGAUCGUCUUAUCACCAUAUAUUACUUUCUAAUUUAAAUUUCUAUAUGCAGGAAUCACUUGCUUUCUCAGUUUCUAUGUGUAAUGUCUAUGGGUAAAAUUAUCAUCGACAGAACAGCAACUCCAGCAUUUUGUCACAGGCAACCUAUUAUGCUGUGUUUGUUAAUGUUACAAAUAAAAAUUCUUGGUUCAUGCUAUUAGCCAGGUGUGUAUACAGCUCUUCAUUAGGAAGGUGUCAUUGUAUUCAUGAUUCUAGUUUGACUUGGAUAUUCAUGUUAUUUAAUUAUGUUUGUGUCUGAUAGACAUGUUGUGGAAAAUAUGGAGAAGAUCUACAAAGAAAGUUUUUACGAUUUCUGAAGUUCCCCAUGAGUUGAUUGAGCUUCUACAAAAUACAACACAAUUAUGCAUUUAUUUGAAACUUCAUUCUGCGAUUUUGGUAAAAGUUCACUUGACUCCGUAUCUCAAAAUAUUCAGCUUUUCGUGGAUGAUCCAGAUGUUUGAUCACGUAAAGGUAAACCUGGGCCAUUCUUCAGUUCCUAUAAUAUUUUAACACAUAUUGUUUGUUUUCAUUUUAAAUUCAUAUAUUCAUGAAAACAUGCAGGCGAUGAUGGUCUUUCAUGUAUGAGAUGUUUAUGGAAGAGUUGGCAUUUCAAGUUUAAUCAGCCUAAACACCAAUAUUCAGAAUUGGCGAUUUUCUUAAGCAUAUUUUUGGAGUAAAGUUUGCUGCAGAAGUUUUCAAUUUCAGUUAACUGAUAGAUCUUUGCCUGUAAUGGUUGUAGAAGAUUGAGAUGCUUUCCUUAGGGUACUCGAAACCACACCUCACUUCUCUCGAGGUUCUGAAUAUUCAUCAUUCUCCAACAUUAAAGGAGCGAUGCAAGAAGGAGACAUGGGAGGAUCGGGACAAGAUAUCUCAUAUUCCGGAAUUACGCAGUUGAUUUGGUGUUUCUGCUUCUGGCUUGCCACAUUUCCACCUGAAUUGGUAGGCUCUCUAAUCUCCCUCCGUCUUUAUUUCUAUUGACUGUGUUUCUUACAGGGCAGUAACAAUUUCUUGGUAGUCUCUUUGUAGGAUAUGCCUCUCAUGUCUCUUGACUUUGGUUUCCUUGUUAUGCGACUUUAUCUUUUGGCUAUCAUAGGUAAGUUUGGAUUAUCUUAUUUCCUUACUUCUUAUCAGUGCAGUAACAUGUCCUGAAUAUCCUUUUUUUAUUUCGGGCAUUGAAAUAUAUAAUGGCAUGUUUAGCCAUUACGAAUUUAUCACUGUAACAAUAUUUCUCAACAUUUUGAAAAGGCUUGCCUCCAUUAGGGCUAUUUAGGUUGUUGGCUUCUUGAUUUUGAUGACUGACUGUAAUUUCUAGUCAGAACAAUUACUUGAAGCUUUUUGUUUGUCUCUUGAACAUCUUUAUGCCGAGCUGUCUGAUAUCAAAUAUGCCACAUUGAAUACACAUUCCAUUGAACCACAUGCUUGGAUUUUAUGCUCUCAAUUGAAUGGAUUUUCAUUCAAAACAUUGUUGCAUUCGUUGGAGUGAUUUUCAGGCUUUUGUUGAAUUCGUUGGAACCCUUUCCGAAGAAUGAGUACUGGAGAGCAUGAAAGAUCUUUCAUUGUUAAACCUUAGGGGAAAUAUACAAAUAAUCGCGCAGGUAAUGUAUUAGGACUUAUGUAUUCUUAUCAUAAUAAGCCUUUUCAUUUUGAGCAGCAAGUUGUUGAUCCUGAUAUUCACUUCAAUUACAUUAAAGUAGCUGCUAAAACUGGACAAAUUAAGGUGUAGAGAAUGUAACAUGGGAAUCGAUUAAUGUUUUAUUUAGAUGACAAAGAACUGUAUGAUGAAAGCCAAGCUUCCGGAUAUUUACUUCAAAUACGUUGAAAGGUAAAGUUUUUGGUUGCGGUUGUAUUUAAUUUAGAAUCAUUCUUUGACAAUCUUAAAUGUCCAUUUUUCUAAGAUUAUAUUUCUUGCUUCUAGGUCAAUCGAACAAAUUCUGCUAUAGUUGUCGGGAAAUUGUUAGAUGAUGAAUACUUUGAGCUCAUUCUCUUGUUCCCAUUGAACCAUUGGUUAAAGAAUGUGAGAAGAGCUAAUUUUCUCUCUUCCCUGCAUGUGCUGGAAUCACUUGCUUAUUACACUGUUGUUGGAACAUAUAUUGAGUGAGGGAAGCAAAGACAUUAGUUGAUUGAGCUUCUUCAACAGAUAGUGCUGCACAGUUCUCCCUUUGGUUGAAGCUUCAAUUUGCUUUCUUAUGUAAAUUAAGUUAUAAGAUAGCAACUUUUUGUCAGAAAAUUCUGCUCUAUAUAUUAACAUGAAACAAUUUACUUUCAUUCACAUGAUGUAUCGGAGUUUACAGUCUCAUUAUUGUUUCAAUUAUUGUUAGUUAACCAUUUAUGUAUUUGGAUUUACACUGUAAUUUACUUUCGUUCACAUGAUAUAUUUGGCUUGUUCUUAUUCAUACCAAAAAAAAAUGGAUCAGUUUAGUUUACCAUCUUUUUAUUUGUAGCAUCUUUUUAUAUAACUUAUAAUAGCGUUUGAACUUAUAAAAUACUAUUUUUCGUUUAUUUAUACCCUUAUUAUCUUAUUGUGAAAAGAAUAUAUUAAUUAAAAAAAUAUCCUUUCAUAUUUCUUUUUUUUUUUUUACAAAAUUGUCAUUUUAUAUUUUUUUUAGUUAGUUCAACGGUUAAUUUUAUCACAUACUUCAAAUAAAAUCAAUAAGUUUAUCUUUUUUUUUUGUUGACAAAACUAGUUUAUCUGUUAUUAAAUUGCUUAUCUAUUAACCGCUAUAAACUCAUCAUAGAGCACCUAGAUAUCAACCACCGGCUAGUUUUUACCAAAUAGAGCAUUAGUUUUUUUUUUUUAAGAAGUUAAAAUGAAAUUUUUCAAAACGCAAAGAAUCCUAACUAGCACGAGAAAUACUAAGCUAUGAGACUUAAAUAGCAACAUACAAAGAAAAAGUGUGCCAUACGCGAAACACUCAAACAAACACUCAUAUAUCAAAUACAAACGUCUACAAACAAACCAAAAACACCCUCCACUAAGGGCCUCCGAAACCAAUAAAAACUAAACACCAAAACCAUAAAGUCAUCUCCCAAAAACAAACUCUAAACGCCCUCUAAAAUAACCUUCAAACCUACCAAAAAAUCGUGCAACCGUACCUUGCUUCUCUUCUGCAGUUGAGCGCAAUUAAGCACGGGUUGAUUAUAUAUCUCACACUACGUGUUGCGGGUUGAAUGUCCACGCCCUUGUGGUGCAUACUUGCAGGUUGAUGACGCAUAUUUGCCGUGAGUUUUUCAAGGAUGGAUUUGGUGCCUACUCGUAUUUUACCGCUUACUUUUGGAGUCUUGUUUAGUGGUGCUGUGAUUAAGACGGUGUGGGGUUUUUAUGUUAUUAUUGUUUUAUUGGUGGAACCUUUGCGUUCAUUUUGAUGAUGUAUCUUGAGAUAUGAUAUUUACUCUAUGUUGUUGAGAUUUUAUUUUUCUCCAUCAUACCAAGAACCAAUGAUACAAAAUAUAAGGAAACUCGCAUCUAUGUUGUUCCUCGUUCUAUUUGUCAGCCAGAUCACUAUCAUGAACUGAGAUAAUUUAACCUACACUCAGGGGCGGAGCCACCCCCCAGCUAGCCUGGGCUAGUGCCCAGGCUCGGCUCCAACUUUCUUUGUAGCAAGCCCAACUAUUACUAGAAUUUUUAGCUUUUUCUGCGGAUUUUUGUGUAAAUUCCGCAGGAAACACAUUUCCUGCAGAUUUUGCCAAGGAUUUAGGUUCCGCAGGAAAGAUAUAUCCGUAGGAAAUGUGAAAUUAUCUGCAGAAAAUGUGAAAUUAUUUGCAGGAAGAAAGCAACGUUUUGCGAUAAAUUUUUUGCCCAGACUCUGUAAAAUUCCUGGCUCCACCACUACCUACACUGGUUGCACAAAAAUUGUUCCAACAACAAUAUGAGGUAUAGAUUCCUCAAGAUUAAUUAUAUCUCCCACAUGAGGAGUAGUUACCUUUUCUUUAGAACUUAUUAUAUCAAUAAAAACAAGAACCUUUCAACAUGCAUAAUUGAUAGUUUCGUACCCCAAUUUUUGACCUAGGAACCUACAUUCAUACACCGUCUGACUCAGAAUAUUCUCUGGUUUUUCAAAAAAAAUCGGCAGAAAAGUAUUUUAAAAUACCUCAUCUUUGUACCGAUUCCGACCCCUCUUCUCACUUUUUUAUCUUUUUUAUUUUCUUAGUCUUUUAGUUUUAUCUUACCUUUUAUUUUCCAUCUUUUAAUUUUAUUUUACUUUACAUAAUUUAUUUUAAUUUGUUUUUAUUUUAUUUCGUAUUAGAUUUAUUUUAUUUAUUUCUUUUUUAAUUAAUUAGUGUCCAAAAAAAAAAACAAAGUGUCAAUAGGUCCAAAAAUAAAAUGUCCAAGGUCUAAAAAAAAAUUCAAGUCAAGUGUCAACUUUAACAUUCCUUUUUCAAAAUUCACCAUAAUUGUUCAUCAUUUCCAUUAAACCAAUUUUUCAUUUUUCAUCAACCUCCUCACCUAUAAAUAGAGCCCUUAUUCCACACAAUUUCACACACCAAAAGUUCUCUUGAGUUGUCAAAGAACUUUUCUCUCUUCUCCCUACUUAGCUUGUGUUGACGAGCUAUUCUUUUCUUCUCCCUCUUUUUUCUGCCCCUUCGGAAUUUUGUCCCUUCGGUAAUUUUGUCCCUUUGAAAUUUUGUCCCUUCGGUAAUUUUGUCCCUUCGAAUGUCCCUUUCUUUUAUUUUAUUUUAUUUAUUCCCCUUUUAUAUAUAUUUAAAAAAAUGCAAAAAAUAUUAGGUUAGAAAAGGGUUUUUCGUGGUGAUCCAACGUCACUACGAAAAUUCCUCGUGCUUUUAUUUUCUUGUUACGUUAGUUUACUUUUAAUUUUUUAAUUAAUAUCAAAAACAAGAAAAACAUUCAAAUAAUCAAAAAUCACAAAAUAUUUUCAUAAUAAACCUUGAUUUUCAAUCAAGUGGUCGUUCUUUUUAUUUUCUUUCUUAAUCAAACUUCAAAUCAAUUUUAAUUCUACUUUGAGUCAUUUUUCUUUCAAUAUAAAAAACACGAACAAAUUCUUUUUGACACUUGGCUUUUCUCUUUAAAACUUUUUUCAAAACUAAUAAAAACCACAAAACCAAUCAAACGUCAAUUUCUACCCCGAACUACGAGGUUUUGAUCCCUUACGGGUACGUAGGCAAAGGACCAUGUCCUUCCAAAUCAAUAAAAAAAUGUAAAUAAAAAUGUUCCUUUUCCUUUUAUCACUUUAAUUCCUUCUUUUAGAAAGCAAGCAAGUUUAAGCACAAAAAGUUAAAUAAAAUCAAGAGGUUCUCGUAGAGUACUACGAAUAUUUAGGGUGCUAACACCUUCCCUAAAUAUAACCAACCCCUGAACCCUUAAUCUUUAAAAAUGUGGUAUUUAAACCUUUUUCCACUUUCUUUUGAAAAAAUUAAAAGUUCAGUCGCGAAAUAAAAAAUGAGUCAAAACUAAUCAAAUAGCUUGACCUCCGAAAAAUUACACGAGAGAUAGGAACUAGACUUGUAAGAAGUGUGGUGUCACUUCAUCAAUUUUCUCAGCUUUAGUAUUUAAUGUGGUAAGCUCAGAAAAUGUCUUCACUUUGUGUUACUUGUGCACAACUACUGAACUUGCAGAAAUAAUUUUUUAGAGUCUUAAUAUUUUUAAUUCUUAUAAGAUUAUCCAAUUAUCUUACAUGAGUUGCAGAAAGGUGGAAUUUUCGCAUGCUCAACAUCCACAUAAAAAUCAAAUUCAUUCCUUUUCAACAAAAAUUCAUUCACGCGAAUUCAAAAUUUAAAUCAACAUAUAUAUAUUAACACUCGUGCAAAGUGGCUGAUUUCCUCAUAAUAGUUGCCUCAUCAAAAGUCAAAGGAAUGUCGAAAACCCCCUAGAUUUUCAAACAAAAUUUUAGCGUCUAACAUUCGCGAGUAAGUCCAUAAAUGUGUACUAUCCAUAGUUAGGUCUUAGUUUGGUGCACUAUUUAAGGAUUAAACCCAAUAGUCCAAACUAUAUUCUAAGUAAACCUGGUGAAAGGUUCCAGGAUCAUAUGGUUCUUACAAGACAUAAAUUACACCAUGGAUUAGAGAGCACUUUUUUUUCCACAACCUUAAGAUUCUUCCAUUCAAUUCUAGCAUGAAAGCUAGGGAAAACCCCUUUGGAAAAAGUGAACCGUUUGUGGAUAUUUUGACAAUCUAGAACACCUUUGACCCAUGAGAACUCUUCGCUGAUCUAUCAUUUGAAGAUCUGAAAUAAAAGCUCACUUUCUUCGAUUCCCACAAUAUUUCACACAAAAAUUCAUAUAUAACUUCCAUAUAUUUUUUCUUUAUACAAACUCAAUAUGAAAUUCCCCGAAUGGAUUUUCCAUUUCCAUAAAGAAUAUAAUUGACAACUUUGAGUUCCAGAUUAUCCCUUUCCUGGAAUAGAUCUCGGGGAAAAAGUUUUACAAAAUCGAUAUUGUCCGAUAUUUCAUAUAAAAUUACAGGUCGAACCAAAAAAAAAUAUUUUUUCUUGGUAGUUGCGAUCCAUUGGACACAGAUAUAUUGCACUAAUCAAAGCUUUUAGGUGCCUCUUUUUACCACAUCAUUCAAUAACUUUGUAAUAUUAUAACUCACAAUAUUCAUAUGGGUCUUGGUAACCAGUGCCCUAAGGGCAAUGGUUAAGGAUUCCAUUAAUAGAAAUUUUGUCUUGGAAAUACAAGUCUUUACUUUUUUCUUAGCAAUAAUUACACCACUUUUCGAUACAAAUAUAUUUAUUUUAGUACUUUAACCAAUACCUCAAAUGCAAUGGUUAGAAUUCUCCUAUUCUUAUUUCACAAUCUACUAUUAUUAACCAAACAUCACAAUCCACACUCCAGCCUUUAAUUUCACCCUUUUUUAAGAUACUAUUAUAUGUUUUCUCCAUAGCCACAAUUGCCUUCAUUGUCUCCCCAUUUGGUCAAAAUAAAAUCUUCGUUGUAGAGAUAAAAACACGAUUAAGAUUGUUUUUAAUAUGUAUGGUUCAUGAUUGCUUCACAUAAGUUUGGUAUAUUUAUUACAAAAUUAAGACCAUCUAUAAUAGGGGUUCUUCCCCUUUUUAGCGUCAAGCUAACUAAACACCCCAAUUAUAACAUCAAUUAAUUGGGUGCCUAUAGAGAUGGAUGUUUUUAUAGGCACCAUCUCUCCCAUAUUACAUGUGGGUCCCACAUAUAUAAUUAAUUGUAAUUUUUUUCUCUAUUCAAUUAUUAAUUAUUUUAAUAGUAACAAAAUAAAUUAAAUAAUACUUAUAAGUCUUAUAUUUAAUCGAUUAACUUUUUGAAUUUUCAAUGAAAGACUUUUACUACAUCAAAUAAUUCAUUCAUCUUAAAGUUAAAAAAUUGAAAUCAAGCUGAUGUAAUUUAUUAUAAUUUGAUUUUUUUUCAAGUUUAAUUUUUUUGAAUUAUUAAUAAAAUUAAAAAAUUCACUUUUUUAUUGUUUAUAAUGAAAUUAAUUCAAUAUUUAAAAAUUAUAUAAUUAUGAGUGAAUAUAUAAAUUAUUGUUAAAAUUUAAUGAUAUAUAGUUAUUACUUAGACUCAUUUAAUAAUUUAUUUCGGGUGCUACGUUGGAGAGAUUAUGUGUUUAUUAUAUAUUAAUUACGAAAUGAGUGAUGUGUACAGUCGGGACCCGUUUAAGCACCCAAACGAGGUGCUGCAUUGUGGAAGGUCUUAGUUUAUUAUAAAUAUGGUUUCAUAAUAAAUGUAGAAGUUUCUUUAAGAAAAAAUAAGUACAAAAUUUUAAAUAUUGUUUCUUUUAACAAAAACAUUAAAGACUCAUAAGUGAAUGAAAACAGGAAAAUUUGGUAACACUUGUAUAUUAAUUGGUUAUCUAGACAGAUCAAUCUAUUAACUCCUCCUAUUUGAUUACUUCAUUACAUUAAUCGAUUAAUUGUCAUAAAAAAAGUUCUAAACUAUUCUAGCCAUCUCAUAUUGAUGUUCAGAUGUCUAAACAUUUAACAAUUAGAACAAUUGACCAACAAAACUAAUACAUAAAUAAUCAGAGCUUUGGGGUAUUACAUUUCUAAUUUCAAUCACUUAAAUCAAGUUUUCAUACUUUUCUAGUCAAGUAAAUUUAAUCAAUAUAAUAAUACAAUUAUAUUCAAUUGCUAAUUUGAAUGUUCUUUUUAACUUAUAAUUUUUAUGUGUCUAGAACAUCAAGACAUGAACAACAAUUUUUUUCUUCAAAAAUAUAAUUUAACGUGAUAGAAUUGAAAACUUAUUUUAUCAUAUGCAAGUAUUGGAAAAGGGAAAAAAACAUUUAUCUAACAACUAAGGCUUAAUACAUCAUCUGAUCCCCUAACUUGUUUUAUUUUUUCAGUGUGGUCCCUCAACUAUUAAGUGUGUCAAUUUGGUCUCAUAAGUCUUCCUCCAUUUACUUAGUUGGUCCAUUUUGUUAAGUUUUUUUCAAAAAACGUUAUGUUUGCACAUGUGACUCUCCACAUUGGCAUAACCCUUACAAUUCGGAGAAGAUAGAGAGAGAAUGAAGAAAACGUAUAGAGAGAAAGGAGAAGAAAACGCAGAGAUAGAAGAAGAAGAAACGAAAGGAAAAAGAAAGGAAAGCUUAGAAACGAAGACGAAUCUUCAACUCGGAUCCAAUUCUAGGUUUGUUUCCUCAUCUUCGUUGUGAAUCACAAGUAGAAAAAGUAUUUUUGUUCUGAUUAGGGUUUUGAAAACUUUCUAGGGUUUUGGAAAAUUUUAUAGGGUUUUGAAAUUUGAAUGAUUUUUUUUACCUUUUAAGGUUCUGUAUGCAUGAAUUUGGAUAUUCUAUUAUUAUUUUUCUUCUUAAAAGUUGAUUUUUGUCUGUUGUGUUGGAUUUUAUGCAUACAUUUGAUUAGGGUUUAUUCCUUUCUUUCCUUAAUGGCUCAGAAGAGAUGGACCAAAUCUUUGAGUGUGUCAUACAUCAUGUUGGGGACUUUUGUAGUUUUAUGGACUUUGAGUAUGUAGGUCCAGAAGAAGUACUAGAAUGUGACCCAAAUUAUUUCUCCUAUUUUGCAUUAUUAACAACAUUAAAAAGAUUAGGUUACCAAACUCUUCAAUCUCUGUGGUAUUAUGAUCCUGCUUUGGAAGAUGGAAUGAUUGUUUUGAAUAGUGAUAAUGGUUGUAGAAGGAUGCAGAAUAUUGCACAUCAAUUUGAUAGGGUCCAUUUGUAUGUUGUUCACCUAUGUCACAACCUGAAAUUGUAGUUCUUAACCCAUUGAUAAAAUAUCCUUGUAUGGCCCCACCUGUUAGGAAUGAGACAAAUGAAGGUCGCACUAGUUUAGGUCCCACUCGUGAGGGUUGAAAUGAUGAUGGUGGUGUAAGUGGUGUAGGUCCCACUGCUGAUGGUACAAAUGGACGUGGUUUUGCAAACUAAAAUUGUUACUAAUACCAACUCAACCCAAUCCUAAGAUUUUUAAAAUUGUUCCUAACAACUGAUAACUAACUAUAGUCGUUUUUUAAAAAAAAAAAAAAAAAAAAAAGAUAUCAUAAGAUAAACUAUCUUGAUUUUUUUGGGUUGCAUAAGAUAACAAUUAAUCAUGUACAUAAAAUAUGACACUAUGUGAUAAUUUAUUAUCAGAUGAUCAUCAAACACAUGACAUCAUACACACUUACUUUUAUAAUAUUUAUCUUGACUUAUCUCUUAUUAUAUCUAUAAUUAUCCUGAUCAUCAAAUUGACCAAAAAUAAAAUUUAAAAACCAACAAUGAAUAUAAAUUAUGUAAUUGAAUAAAAAGUAUAUGCAAAAACAUUAAUUUAUCAAAUCAGUUUAAAAAUAUAUAUAUAUUAAUCAAAUCACCAUCAAAUAUUAUUGUGACAUUUUUUUUUUGUCAAAAAUAUUAUUAUGACAUUGUUUUCUUAUUUUAAGCAUAUAUCAAUUAUCAAAACAAAUAUUCGUAAAUGUUCAAACAUCAAAUUUUUUUCUUUCUAGUUUCCAAUCUAAACCGCCCUCUUUUAUCACAUCCCAUUUACUACAUCAAUGCUUUAAUUAAUUUUAUUUCUUCAUUAAAUAUUCAAUCUACGUCCUCGUAAGCAUACCUCAAUUGGUAGAGACAUGCAUUGUUAUAUGCAGGCGCUGCGGUUCGAACCCCAAACACCACACUUAUUCACUUUAAAAAAAGUGAAUUAUAACCAAUAAACUACCUGACAAAAAAAGAAUAUAUUCCAUCUACACAAAAUAAAAACAAAAUCUUUUCCUUUAGUCUCAAAAAGUACGUUAGAGUUUAUAGUAGGGUAGGGUCCACUCUCAAAACGGCGUCGCCUAUACGCUGCACCCUCACACACUGGACCACACUCUAUAAUAAGCCGUUAAACUGAAACAAAAAUAACAUGAGGAAAGGAACAUGGUUAUUAAACAGUUCCAUCAAAACACAUAAGUAACGUGCAUGGUUUUUGUACACGUGGACCAAUCACAACAAAGCUCAGAAUCCUUAUUAUUAUGUUAUGUUGAAGUGAUCAAACUUCAACACUCUCAUAAAACAGAACUGAACUGAAACAAAACACAGAAAGAGAGAGAAACAGAAAAAUAAUCUAAGUUUUUUUUCGAUGGAUUAACGUUGUGGUUUUUGUCGUUUCCUUUGAUUCUGUGUUUUUUUCAUUGUUUUCUUGAAAAAGGGUACGUAUGAAUCACAGUUUCUUCUGCAUUGAUAAGUUUUUUCUUUCUUUCUGAAUUUUCUUACAUCAAUCAUCAAUGGAGGUUGAUGGUGAUAAGAGUGAUAAUGGAAAUCGAAAAAGGAAAAGAAGAUUUUUGAAGAGAAAGCUUCUUGUCAAUGAAAAAGUUGAGGUAAUGUAAUAUGAUUUGUGAUUUCGGUUUUUUCUUCUUCAUUUUUGAUAAAGAUUUUAUUUUUAUUUGGUUAUGAAUUUCUGGGUUGUUGAUUUUGUUUUUGGUUUUGUGAUUUGAUGUUCUUAGGGUUUCUUUGAGGUUUUUUUUUACACAAUUGUUAUGAUUCUUUUGUAUCAAGAAUUUUCUUUGUUUCUCUGUUUAUGAUCCUUUGAUUUUCUUGUAAUUCUGUUGUUGAUUUAUGGUUUCGGUGGAUUUUGAUGUUACUCAUCUAUGAUUUUUGUUUUCAUAAUUCUCAUUUUCUUAAAUUGUUUUGAUUUUUCUUGUUUUACGCUGUUUUAGAUUUCAUGCAAGUGAUGAAUUGGGAAUAGGAUAAAUGCUGUUUAUGGUAAUGUGGACUAAAUGUUAUUUCCUUUAUCAACACUUUUGCAUUUUUUUAACAAUUGUUUUUUGAUUUGAGAUACAUGCAUGUUGUGUGAAUGGUGAUUUCCUUCAUCUGAAAUUUCCACUUGAAAGAAUUUUUUAUGAAAAGUUUAUUUUUUUUAAUUUUUCAGUUGAGAAGUUUGGAAGAUGGUUUUCUGGGAUCGUGGCAUCCGGGGAAAAUUCUCCGCUGCGGGAGGAAGACGCGUUAUGUCAAAUACGACAAUAUUCUUGAUGAUGAAGAAUCGGAUUAUCUUAUUGAAGUGGUGGAUGUUUCUAGUGUUUUGGAUGGUGUUAAUUCUUCAUCUGCUUUAGAUUGUAGCUAUCAGCGAGGCCUGAUUAGACCAUUACCGCCUCCAAUUGAGUUACUGAUAAAGGAUCUUCCAUUCGGACAAUGUGUUGAUGUGAAAUAUCAGGAUGCUUGGUGGGAAGGUGUGAUAUUCGAUCGCUGCAAUGGAAUGAAGGAUAGGAGCAUAUUCUUCCCAGAUUUAGGUGAUGAAAUGAAGGUUGGAGUUAAACAAUUGAGGAUCACUCAGGAUUGGGAUGAGUCAACUGAGAAUUGGUUACCGAGAGGGAAAUGGGUGUUUCUCGAGUUGUUUGAGGAGUGUGAGAGGGUAUCCUAUGUUGCAGUCUCAGUGAAACAGAUUUGGUAUGAUAUUAGGAUGAGAAAGGAUUUUGCUGAAACCAUUAGAGAAUGGACUUGUAAUGUGAAGGAGUUGUGGAGAGACCUUGUUGUUGAGGUAAUUGGUGAUUACUAUACCCUCACAUUAAGCGAAGUUCGCCCUGCCUUAAACAUUCCAAACAAUUUACUCGAAGGAGAGUCAUUUGAACCAACUGAUAAUGUUCAGUGUGAGGCUACUAAUCAAGGUAAUGCAUUUGGUUCUGACAUUGGAAUAUCUGAUAAGCCUGAGGAAAACGCUGACUCCUUAAACUUGUUGGUUACUGAUCAAAACUGUGGCAGCACAAGCAUCAUUCCUUUGGUGGAUGAGGAAUUUGAGAAGGAAAAUCUUUUACAUGAAGAGCUUGAAUCAGAUAAAAGUCAAAUGGUGGAUGUGGAGUUUGAGAAGGAAAUUCUUUUACAUGAAGAGCUUGAAUCAGAUAAAAAUCAAAUGGUGGAUGUGGAAUUUGAGAAGGACAUUCUUUUACAUGAAGAGCUUGAAUCAGAUAAAAAUCGAAAACGGAGACGUUCUAAGUCCAUAAUUUGGAAGCCAUUGGAACUGUCUGAAGUUGAAUUCUGUCCUGAAGUUAUUGAUGAGUAUGCACUUGGAUGUAGGAGCAAGACGGUUCGGGAGCUUUUGAAGACGAAAGUAAGAAAACAUCUUGUUUAUCUUGGAUGGACAAUUGAAUGGACCGAAAACAAUACUCCUCCACAUAGACGAUACCGGUACAAGUCUCCGGAUAAACUUAAUCCAAAGUUUUACACUUCCAUUUUUCAAGUUACUAAAAUUUUGCAAGAGGAUCCUAACAUGAACUCUGGGCCACCUCAAAUUGACAGCAAUCUUUCACAUCUGCUCUCUGAUCCACCCCAAAUGAGUCAAGGUUUCAACGUUUGUCCUCCAACCAAUGAACCUUCUCCAGUUAAAUUUCAAGUUGAACCAGAAUUUUGUCCUCUAGCCAUCGUGAAAUACUACUGUCACUCAUUAGAGAGAAACUCGUCUGAUAAGAGAAAGUGGAAAUUGAAGGCGAAAAAACAUCUGUUAUCAGAAGGAUGGAUGUUUGACUACCCAACUGAAAGAAGGAAGACUACUUUGUACAAGUCUCCACAAGAUCAGUGUUUAGGCACACUUCAAGGUGCAUGCAGACUAUACCUUAAAGAAAAGAUUCCCGAAUGGACUAAUUCUGAUCAUGGUGAUGAUGAUGAUCUACUUUCGAGUGUGUCCCAAUUGCUUCAAAAAGAGCCUGAAUUACGUACUAUAGAUGGUUCACCACCAACUGCAAAGAGAAACCAUAAACGCGCAAGGACUUCAAAGGCUAGCACACAAAAGGACUUAGAGAGUGAAGUACUUACCCGGGUGCUAAGAUCAAGCAAAAGGGUGCAGAAGGUUUUGGGUUCGUCAUAUCAAAAGCCUCAAAAUAUUCUGUCUUGGUUAAUAGAUUGCAACAUUGUGUUGCCAAAGUACAAGGUCUUUUACUGGGAAACCGAAGGAGGAAACUCUCCUAUGUUUGAAGGGAGGAUAACUCGCGAAGGAAUUAGGUGCACCUGUUGUCAGAAUCUAUAUGGACUCAGUGGCUUUGCAAACCAUGCUGGUGGAAGCAGUAACUGCAGGCCUUCGGCUUGUAUAUUUUUGAAGGAUGGUAGGUCACUGUUAGAUUGCAUGAUGGAAGUAAUGCAAGAUCACAGGACAAGAGAAAUUACGGAGAAACCGCACAAUGAUCUGUUUGAAGGUGAAAAUGACAACAUUUGUUCUGUUUGUAACUACGGUGGUGAACUCAUUUUAUGCGACCAAUGCCCCUCGGCGUAUCAUAAGAAUUGUCUUAAUUUGGAGGUAGAUUAUUAACAAGUUUCCUUUUCAAUCAAACAUAUUAAGUUCUAUCUUGUCGCUAUAUUUCCUUUCCUUUUUGUUUCCAUGUAACUCCUUCAAUUCAGUACUUCAUGCCAUAUUAAGUUUCAUUCUGCAUGUGAAGGGCAUCCCUGAUGGUGAUUGGUUUUGUCCAUCAUGCCGUUGCGGGAUUUGCGGCCAAAAUAAAAUUGAAGAGACUGAGGAUGGACACUUUCUUACUUGCAUUCAGUGUGAACAUAAAUGUGAGCUGAUAUAUAGAUUUUAUCCAAUAUUCCAUCCAUUCCUUUGUGAUGUGUUUUAGUUUGUGUGAAUAACUACAUAUUUUGACCAAUGAAAAAUUUGACCAAUGAAAAAUGUCUUCAACUCUGUAGAUCAUGUUGAGUGCCUCAGAAAUGGAGAAAAAGAUGAUUCAAGACGAUGUAUGAAAAAUUGGUUCUGUGGAGAAGAGUGUGAACGGGUAAGUUAAUUCCACCUCCCUUUUUUCUUCUAGUUUAGAAAUAUUUUCAUCUCAUUUUGCAUGAAGAAUUGGUUUCUGCUUCUAUUUAUUCUGAUUUGACAUUUGUUGGAAGCAUUACUUAACCAUUCUUUUUUUCUUUAUCAAAACUAACUACUCCACAUCCAAUUCAAACACUUAGCACUUUCUAGUCCAACAAUGAGCUCUUUAUUCAGAUCAUGGUUGCAUCUAUUAAUGGCUGUCAUUUAAUAGCUAAGUAGCAAGUCGACAAUGCAUGAUUUUUGGUGAUUGGUAAGUGUUAAGACAUCAAAAGCAAAACAGAUUUAAGUUUGAUGCUAGUGAAACAUUUAAGGCCUUGUAACUUAAAUAUACACUGCUAGAAUUAUGUUUUAUGACAAUGGUUUUACUCUACAUUUACGCGUAUGCACUUUUCGCAGGUCUAUACUGGGCUCCAGAAUCUAUUAGGAAAGCCAGUUUUAGUGGGGGCAGACAAUCUAACUUGGACAUUGGUGAAGUAUGUCAACUCUGAGACUUGCGGUGUUGGCGGUGCUGAAAGUGACUUAGUGGUGGAGAAUUACAGCAAACUGAGUGUUGCACUCUCGGUGAUGCAUGAAUGUUUUGAGCCCCUGCAUAACCCUUUCUCUAGCAGAGAUAUCGUGGAAGAUGUUAUAUUCAACCAAAGGUUAGACAUUCUUAUCCUUCAAUUUAUGUUUAUCAUUUUUUUUUAUGAUUGUUUGCAAACUUUGUUUGUCGCAUACUCACAAUUCAUGCAUAUAACAUCAUGAGUUGAACCUGCUGAAAUAGCUUUGCUUACCUUCAAUUUUGAGCCUUUUCCAUUACACCAUGGUGGUAAUAUUCAGGUAACAACUGAAAGUAAUCAAUUCUCUGAUCUACCAACUUUAUCAUCAAUAAAAAAUAAAAAUAAACAAACUCUACUAUUUUUAUACAAUACAUAGAUAUGUUAGAAUUUAGGAUUUCUUUUGUUGCAUAUAUAGUGUUAGGGCAAAGUUUGCGGCUUUACGUUUAUCAUGCAGGAUGGAAUUUCUUGGACCGUAACAUAUUUAUUUGAAGAUACUAAUAAAAACGUUUCCUUAUUUUAUGUACACAUUUCUUGUCGUCCAACUUAUCCUGCAAAAUCUAUGCCUAUAUAGAUGGCAUCAUGAUUAGUGUUUGAGGAGUAAACAAAGUAUUUCGGCUCAUGUUGAGUAUUUAUUGCGAUUUUGGUUAUUUGAUUCAAAUAUGAUUCUAAUGGAUAUAUCAUAUAGCUUUUAACUCCUUCUGUGCUUAGAUUUCUUUUUUUCGAUCAAACAAGAUGGCAUGCAAAAGUAUCACUAUAGGUUUUAAAUUCCAUCCAUGUUUGCACCUCGAAACCUUAGUUUUGAUUGUAUGUACAUCUUUGAGUCCAUUCACUGAUGGAUUUGUUACCAGGUUUACAUUGUUUGUAAUCAUGGUAUUUUACCUCUAACUUGACCGGCAUUAUUAUUACAUUCACUUUGCGCCAAUGCCUGAUGUAUGUACUUCGGAACCUCGUAGGUCUGAGCUCAAUCGACUAAACUUCCAGGGUUUCUAUACUGUACUUCUAGAGAGAAAUGAAGAAUUGAUUAGUGUGGCGACUGUGAGGUGAGUAUAGGAUCUGCUACUACUAAGAAUAAAUACAAUAACAGAUUAUGCAUGAUUCAGUGAUUGCAUUUCAAGUUUCCGUAACUUGGCAUUUCAUGUUUUAGGAUAUUUGGAGAGAAGAUAGCAGAAGUGCCCCUCGUAGGUACCAGAUUUCAGUACAGACGACUUGGAAUGUGCCGCGUUUUAAUGGAUGAGCUCGAAAAGGUGACAUAAAAAUCAUAAAGUUUGUCAUUUUAUCUGGUUGUUUUUGUGAACUAUAUUAAAUCAUCUUGAUAUGGCCUGUGACAUUUGAAUUGUAAUUCAUUUCUAUUGUGUAAGUUAUUCCAAGUUUAUUAUCAAAUUUCUCACUUUAAUUUUUUUCUUUCAUCAGAAGCUAAAGCAACUUGGAGUGGAAAGACUAGUCUUGCCUGCUGUUCCCGGUGUGCUAGACACAUGGACGAAUUCUUUUGGUUUUGAGCAGAUGACGAAUUUUGAAAGGUCACAAUUUCUGGACUAUUCUUUCCUAGACUUUCAAGGAACUGUCAUGUGUCAGAAACUUUUGACAAGAUUUCCAUCUCCGGAAUCGGUUGUAACAAGAGGUUCGUAGCUUCUUAUGAUUCCUGUAUUAGCCGUUAGUUUGGCAUAAUCACAAUGCGGUAAAGUUAUUGUCGCAAUAACUACACUUUAGAGCUUUAACAAAUUUAGUGUCAUUGUGAUAUUGCGAAACUCACCGACAAUCUAAAUAUGCACAUAAUUAAACAGUUUCCUCGCUGAUUGGAUUAUAACCGUAUUUUUUCAUAUUGCAGACGCGACUCCAAAACAAAAAGAUGGUAGCUUCUCUGUUAAAUGUAAAAUUAAUUUUGAAAAGGCUAGUCCAGUAUCUGAAGUGGAUCAAGCAGAAGGGAUUGGCAAAAGAGGAAUGAUGGAUCUACAAGUUUGGAGAUCUUCCUAAUCAAACAAGAAAAUAAAUUUGAUUUUUGUGAAAGAGACAGAAAGACAAACAUGGAGUAUUGGAGGGGGAAAGAAAAGGAGAAUAAGAAAAAUUGUACAAGAAAAUUGCAUUUGAACAAUUAUAUUAAAUGUAAAGUAGGAAUUUUAGUCUUUAGGCUAAGUUUAUCUUCAUGAUUGAAAAAUAAUGUUGGUCUUUAUUUAAAUGAUUAACUAAUGUACUGUUUAUAUAAUGUCUUUGUUAUGGGAUUUUUCCUAAUGAACAAGAAUCUUUAAAGUGAACAUAUACUUGUUUAAAGUGUAUUAUAAUCACUAUAGAGUUUUGACAUUAUCGAACAUUAAAUGUGAGUAUAUUUCUCAGCCAAAAUUCAAAUCUUAAUUUAUCAUAUUAUCAUAGACUAGACUAGUCUCUUCUGUUGAACCUAACCCCACAAGUAGGUACUAUAUGUCCUUUAAUUUCGCCAUAUAUGCAUGGCUUUAUUGGGGAGCAUGGCUUUAUGCAAAAAAAAAAUCAAUUAAUGAGUUCAUUUGAUUAAAAGAGAGUGUGAAUUAAGACUGGGAAAUUUCGGAAUAAAAACAAGAUGUCCCGUUUCUAUUAUGUAAUCAACUCAAUAUGUAAAUCAGAUUUGGUUUUAUCCUCUCUUUUUCAUGAGAAGAAGAUUUUAUUAUAUAUUUUUUUACAAAAUCAUAACAAGAAGAUUUGUUUUCAUCUUUACUAUAGAUAUGCCUUAAAGAUUAUAUAUUAUCUUCAAAAUAAUUACAAAAAAUAUGUCUACAAGAAAUUUAUGAAAAAUAAAUAAAAGAUAUGCCUACAUGAUUAUCUAAAAAAUAAUUACAAAUUCAAAUAAUUCCAUAAUUAAGUAAAUCUGUGUAAAGUUACUCUACUUAAUAACUCAUUAAAUCAAUAGACUCACUAACUUAACUCAACCGUUGAAUUUAAUUAAGAGUGAGCAAGGGAAGAGUUUGAGAUGGAUUAUUGUAAUCAAUCAUAUUCAUUUUAGAAAGGGUCUUGUUAACAUCCUCCUUUUAAAAAAUCAUAAGCAGUCUCUUAAACCCUACCUACUAUAGUUUAGACAUAAUUUUUUUUGUUAAUAAAAUAAUAAAUUUCAAAUUUAUUUAAGAUGAAAUCGGGUCAGCUUAAAAUAUAUCUAAAAUAUUUUUAGUAACUUUUUUACUACUAAAAAACAUGUUUUUUGCUAGAGAGAGGGGUGUUUGUUUUAAGUUUCACAUCUCAACUCUUAACCAAUUCUUUCUAAAAAAAACUCUUAACCAUCUUUUCUCCUAGUUAAAAUAAAAAAUCAAUACUAUCAUUCUAUCAAUACUAUCCCCUUUUUAUAUUUCAAUAGUUUAGAUCAUUCACAUGCUCAUAUUUGUUUUCAUAUAUUAUAGGAUCUUGAUUCAUUCUCAUGAAAAUAAAAGUUAAAAUCAAUGGGGUGUUUAUUUUAAGUUUAUUACAUUUAUUCCUAGGAAUGUAAGGAUAAAAUUGUAUUGCUAUAUAUUUUAAAAGAAAGAUGUUUGAUUAAUAUUAUAAUAUUUUUGAAAGCUUUUAUAAUAGGUAAGUUUUUUUUUUUUGAAGGAUUUUAUAAUAGGUAAGUUAAUAGAUAUUUAUACAUGACUUUAUUCUCAUUUUUAAGACAACUUUAUUCACACUCUUUUUUUGGGAAUUUUUGUCUAUUCCCAUAAACAGUUUUAUAUUUAGAAAUACUUUUUAAAUUUGUAAUGAACAUGUAAAUGCAUAUAUCUAUCAUAUUAUUAAAAAAAAAAAGUGUCUAAGUUCUUUUGGAACCCCUUGGAUUUCUUCUUGUUGUUUCCCAUUCAUGAACCAUACCAUGAUUUCUACUACCUAUUGGACAUCCAUGUCCAAUAGGUAAGCAGGAGAAAACAAUUUCUAGUUAGAAAUUCGAAUAAAUUAAAACCUAGUUUUUUUUUUUUUUGAGAGAGAAAUUAAAACCUAGUUUUGUAUAUGGAGCCUUGGCUCUAGAUUUGGGGUCAAGAUCCUAUCACUAGAUUUGCUCAUUGUAAGAACUAUUGAGCUAGUCUCUAUUAAUUUCCAUCACUAAUUUUGAAUAUGUCAAUAAAGAGCCAAAAAAAAAAUAAUGGUUACUUUUUUGGGAUCUAAAAUCGGUGGUUUGCCUCUUGAAUGGGGACAAUUGGAUUGGAUAAGCUGCAACAUUUUUUUCAAUAUUUUGGGAUCUAAUAUCGGUGGUUUCUCUCCUUUUUUUUUACAUUAAAAUUUUUUCCAUCCUUUUAUUUUGAAUGGCUACUUACCAUUGCACAAGAUCAUGAUUUUAUAUAUACUCUCUUUUGUCAGAAAUCAUAAUUCUAUAUAAAGAAAUGUUGGAACAAUAGAAAUUAUGGCUGGGGAUGUCGGGAUAACCUAACAUGUAAGGAUAUGAUAAGCAGCUAGUUUCCCACAAACAGCAUGCAUAUAGUGACAAGUACUCUAUAGUAUAUUAUAAUUUAUAUCCAAACACUAUCUAUUGUUAUUACUAUUUUUUGAUAGGAAAAAUAAAUUAAAAGACAUGAUAUUUGUUUUGACCAAACCUAUAUUUAAGAAUGAUAUAUACUUCAUCCAUCUCUGUAUAUAAGCAUCAUUUGCCUCUAAUAAAAGAGUGCUUAGAUAUAGGGACGGAGGGAGUAAUUAUGUUUUUUCCGUGUAGUUUUCUUUCUUUGUAAAACGAUAUGAAUGUUAAAGAAUCCCACAUGGGAUAUGAGAUCAUCUAACAAUGUUAUGUUUAUAAGUGGUGACAAUUUUUACCGUAUCAGAGUCUCCUCCAAGAUUUGUUGGAUCACCUGCUAUCAGAUUUUUAUUAUUGGACUAUCCACUAUUUAUAUCCACACUCCAGAUGUUCAAUCUUCAUUGUGAGAGGAUGUGUUAAAUGUGUCUAUAAAUUGAAGCAAUAAUCACCUCACAAACCGAUUUUGCGGAGCUAUGUUAUGUACAACCAUAAUUUCUAAGAUGCAGAAGAAACAAUUGAAAACAAUCCAGGAGUGUAAUAAGUUGGUUUGUUUCAAUCUUUGAGAAGAAAAAAAUGAAACCAAUAAAAUAAUCAAUCUAGUUUUAUAAUAUUUUCUCGCAAAAUCUGAAUUAAAUCUUCGAAGAAUGGGUCGAUACAUACGAUUCAGUUCAGUUGGGUUGAUAUUGAAAAAUUUUAAAUAAAUGAUUUUAAAAUAUAAUGAUACAUGAAGAUAUCAUAUUUUUUACCUCUACAAAUACAUAUUUUUAAAAUAACACUAUGUAACAUAUUGUAUGAAAUAACAACCUCCAACUCUUUAAUUCUUAACCAGUUAUGUUCAAAACUGAACCAACCCAUUAAAAAAACUGUAAACCAAACCAAUUUAAAUCGAAAUCGUAAAAAAUCGCACUUGAUUCGGAUGAAUUCAGAUGACUUUUGCACUAAACCGUACGGUUCGGUUUGCGGUUUGCAUCUCAGCAACCGAACCAAAUCAAACCAAAUCGCAAGAAUAAUGAAUAUUACUUAAUCAUGUGCUAGCCCAAUUACAUAGCUCAAAAAUAACGCUUUCAAUUCGAUUUUUCCAUUGUUGCACCAUCAAGUUCGAUUCUAAUUAUUUUCCAUCUCUUUCAAUUCAUUUCCAGUGAUGAAUUUGUUUCCUUUACUUCCCAAUAAUUUGUUUCAUGCUCUUAUGUUUCUUCUUAAUUUUACCUAUUUUGAUAUAAGUUUUACCUAAUAUUUUAUCAUAUAAACAGCAAAAUAAAAUGUCCUAUGUUUAUUUUGUAAUAAGUUGGCAAUAUUAGAGUUAAUGUAAUUUUUUUUUUUAUCUCGCGAUGAACCGCACAAACCGAACUAAUUCAAGCCGCAUUGGUUUGGUUUUGAUGACUUUUUAAAAAUCAACCGAACCAAACCAAACUGCAUGUUUUUUUAUCUUGCGGUUUAGAUGAUUUUUAUGCUCAAAACCAAACCAAACCGCACCGCGAACACCCCUGUAAUCUUAACUCAAACUAGAUUGGGUUUAGCGAUAAGAAUUGUUUAUCCGGAUCAUCUUUUGAAACGGUUAAACUAUAUAUUAGUAUGGUCACAAAUUAAGUUAAACGUUAAAAAAAAUUCAACCUCUAACAUGUUUCCUUUCAUCUAGUUGAUUAUUGUUUUCUUUUGGUUUGGUGACUUUGCUUUGUUGCCUCUUUUGUAAUCUUUACUAUUGUAUUUUCAAUAUUAACACUUCUUGUGUUAUGACUAUGCCAUUUUAAUACAUUCUUUCUUGACCUUUUCAAAAAUAAAAUUUCUCUUUCCUUAAAAAAAAAAACAUUGAGCUACACAACAUCCAUAAAACACGACGAUAAAAUCGAUAUCCAAAUCAAAAUAUAAUGGUAUGGCGUAGAAUACGUUAACAAAAUCGAACCUAUUUAAUUGGUUUGGAUGGGAUCUUGUUCUUCUACCCUUAAUCAUAUCACUCACACCGGAUUUUUGGAUUUGAAAAACAAAAUCUUUUUUCCUACCAUAUAUCACCACCAUUGUUCAAAUUUUACUAAACCGCGUGAAAAAGUUGCAUGGUGAGUGAGUGACCACGUUCACGUUCAUCCACCUUCACAUGCACACAGUUUCUAUACCUUUUCUCUCAAAACAGUUACCUCUUUUUUGUAUUAAUAAUACAUUUUCAUUUUCCCUCUCUUCUAUUCUCUCUCAAUGUCUCUUUCUUUUUCUGUUUUUGCUUCAUUCUUCUCUCUUCUUUUUCUUCUUUCUCUUCAUUGCCAAAUAGUUUCUUCUUUUCAUUAUCAUCAUCAUCAUCAUCAUCAUCAUCAUGAACAAGUUUAUCAUCAAAAACCCAGUUUGAAAGCAAACAAUAAUCAAAGUAGUUGUGCAUUGUUUGUAGGAAGUUGGGUUUUUGAUGAAAGUUACCCUUUUUAUCAAUCUUCUAGCUGUGAAAUUAUAGACCCAGAAUUUAAUUGUCAAAUGAAUGGUCGUCCUGAUUCUGAUUACCUUAAAUACCGUUGGAAACCACUCAAUUGUGAGCUCCCAAGGUAUAAAAAAUAAUAAAAGCAUAUGUAGCAUUAACACGUCUGAUCAAAGAUGUGUCUGGUGUCUGACACGUGAUUAUGUUCAAUAAUUCAUUUUCUCAAGUGUCAAUGUCGUGUCUGGUGUUCGUGUUUGGGUUUGUGCUUCAUAGCAAAAUAUAGUGUUUUUAAGAUAUAGUGUGUGGUUGCUUAGUAUAAUUUGAAUGAUGGUGUUUUUGUGGUGUUUUGUAAUGGCAGGUUCAAUGGAGUUGAGUUUUUGUUGAAGAUGAAAGGAAAAAGUGUGAUGUUUGUUGGUGAUUCGUUAGGAAGGAACCAAUGGCAGUCUUUGAUUUGUAUGAUAUCUGCUGCAGCACCUAAUGUGGAGACACAAUUGGUUAGGGGAGAUCCUCUCUCCACUUUCACAUUCUUGGUGAGUCUAGAAAAAAUUUCUGAGCUUUAAGUUGAUUGCUAACAAAAAGUUUUAAAUUGUGGCUGUGAUCAUUGAUAUAUUCGGAAGAAUUGCGGUCAAAUGUAUCGAUCUGAUGCAGCCUUAAUUGCAGUUGCUUGUCUGACCAGUGCUAGUCUCUCACACUAACACUUGUGAUUACAUUUAAUUAUAUUAUUUUCUCAAAUUAUUACUGGUAUCAUGUAUCAGUGUCGUGUUUGUGUGAUCGUGUUUACGUAGGUGCUUCAUAGGUAUACCAAAUACCAAUACCCAAUUUGGCAUUUCACACUGUUUCUACUGCUAGUAAGAUUUAAACCAUAAUGACACUGCCCAAGUUUUGUUUGGUAAGAUUUAGAUUUUGGUUCAAAAGGAAGAGGUAGAUAAGAGCUAAUAGCUAUGCUAAUUUCCAGCAAUAAAAUAGUUGUUCCCCUCUUUGUAAAGUUUCAUUCAUGAUAUCACAAAGAGGUAGGGUCGUAUUUGUUUGGUAUAAGACAAAGAAGCUGUUGAAAAAAGUGUUUGUAAAACAGUGUCAAUUGAAUCAUUAGAUAGAUAUGAGGGGCCUCAAAAUAUUUUCAAGAAUUUUGAUUAUUUAUCCUGUAGAAUAUUGACUAUGCAAACAAGAGAAACAUUUUAGAGAUGUUAAAAUUGAAUAUGAUUUGGUAUAUGCAGGACUAUGAUGUGAACAUUUCAUUUCAUAGAGUUCCUUAUUUAGUAGAUAUUGAUGUGGUCCAAGGGAAAAGAAUUUUAAGGCUUGAUGAGGCAGAUAAGAAUGGUGACACAUGGAAGAAUGUUGAUGUGUUGGUGUUCAACACAGGACAUUGGUGGAGUCAUCAAGGAUCACUUCAAGGGUAGGCAAGAAUAGUAUCUUCUCUUUUUUAAGCUUAUUCAAGAAAAUACUAUAGGAAAAUUGAUUUUUUUUUUUGGGCUGUUUUUGUUGAUUAAUUGAGUGCAGGUGGGAUUAUGUAGAAUUAGGAGGGAAUUUUUACCCUGAUAUGGAUCGAUUGGUAGCUUUGGAAAGGGGUAUGAAAACAUGGGCUAAUUGGGUGGAUGCUAAUAUUGACAGAAGUAGAACCCAUGUGUUAUUUCAGGCAAUUUCUCCCACACAUUAUGAGUAAGGACUCUUCUAUGUCUCUAUUUUGGACCAAUUAUUAAUAAUUGAUUUUUUUUUUUUUUACUAAGCUAUAAUUGAUUAUCAAUGACUUGAAAAUAGGGCAGUCAAUAUUAAUUUAGUGAUUUAAAAAUGGUUAAAUUUAACAAGUUACAUAAUUAAUCAGACUCUUGAAGCAAGAUGCCAAAUUAACUUUUUCCCUGAAGUCAAACUAAAUUUUCAUUUUUUUUUUUUUCAUUUGCAUUCAUCUGAUGAGCUGCUUCUAGAUCUGGAAGUAGGACCUUGCUUUUGACUAUCCUUGAUUAUUCUAUUUCUAUCCUGAGGCUGAAAUUUUUUGGCUUGUUUAUUGGUGCCAUCUUGUCACAGAAUUAUGAAUCCGCACUUCAAUGUGCUGAGCUUAGAAGAAAAUAUGUCAGCCUAGUUAUAAGGGAUCCAAUGAAAACACAUAAAAUAGAUAAAGAAUUAGGAAGAAAAAAUGGUUGUGAUAAGAAAUCUUUAAAUCAUGUAAGAUCACAUGAAUCAGAUGGUUCUAAACUCUUUCAAGAGAGUUCUUGGUUCAAAUUCAGACCGGAGAAUGCAAUAAUGUUAAACCUGUUAGAGAAAGCUUUACUAUCUAAUUUGGACCUACCUGACUUAAGAGAUUAGUCUUUGUAAUUGCACGCAAAUAUACACAUCUUUUUUAAUAGAUAGAUAAAAUGACAAAGUCAUUAUAAACUCACACACAAGUGGAAGUGUUGGGGUUCGAACCCUGGUCAUGAUGUCUGACCUAACAAUUUCGGCAUUUUCGCUAGUUGAGCUACAAUACGUGGAUAGAUAUACUUGUUUUAUAUUGAGGGAAAUAUUUUUUGAUGAUUUUUUAGUAUAAACAAGUAUAAUAAAUAAAUUGGUUAGAAAAUAAAGUAUGCUGAAUAAAUUUCUAGGUAAUUAAGAUACAUCUUUUUACUAGCAUUACCAAAAGAAUAUAUAAUUAUGAAAACUAUGUCUUAAUCUGAUGAGCCAAGGUAGCAACAUCACACAUGAAGAUGUUAAGUUAUGUAACACUGAAUGAAAGAAUCAGCCCAAUUGAGUAUGAAGAAAAGAAUUGCUUCUUUACUUGUGGCAUUAACUCACUGAGGCACUGACCUUAGCUAAAAAUAGCUUUUUUAGAAAUCAAGCAUUGAUAUGUAAUAAGGGCGUUUGGAUUCAUUUAUUUACUGCGAUAAACACUCGUGAGAAUAUUGGGAGAGCUUAUUAAAACAACUUAUAACAUGCCCAUAAGUUGUUUUUAGCUUAUUUGCAUGAGCUUUUCAGGUUAGCUUAUGACUGAAAAAGUUUAUAGUUUAUAUGUAAACAGUUUGCUUUGUUUUGUAUUUUACUAUAUAAAUAAUUUAUAUGAUAAGUGCUUAUGCUAUAAGUUCAUAAUUAAAUUGUGUAUUCAAACAGGGCCUAAUAAUUAAAACAGGAAUUAGUGCUUUUCAAAUUUGACAGUAAAAAUGUAACAUGGCUUUAUUACAUUAAUAUUUGGUUAAGCUAGUAUGUAUGUUUUUCAAACAAAUUUAUGCUAAGAUUUGGUUGCACUGAACACUGAUAUUUAUAUGUAGCGAAAAUGAAUGGAAUUCAGCUGUUGGUAGAGCAACAAGUGUAACGACGACAAAGAAUUGCUAUGGUGAAACAGCACCAAUCAGUGGCACAACAACAGACUUUGGAGGAGGAGAAACAUACACUGAUCAACAAAUGAGAGUAGUUAACAUGGUGAUUCGAGAAAUGCGCGAUCCUGCAUAUCUUCUUGACAUCACAAUGUUAUCAGAAAUGAGGAAAGAUGGACACCCUUCAAUUUACAGUGGUGAAUUGAGUUCCCAGCAGAAAACUGACCCUGAUCACUCAGCUGAUUGUAGCCAUUGGUGUCUUCCUGGUUUGCCUGAUACUUGGAAUCAACUGCUCUAUGUUGCUUUAUUCUAUUAAGUUCAUUAGUACUUAAUUAGGUAUUUUACAAGGCUUUAAUUAACACUGUAUGAUUACUCUUAAUAGCUGUGAAGUUAUAUAUAUACAUUUUAUAGAACCAUUUUGAUCAAGAGAGAAAAUAGAGAGGUACAACUCAGGGAGUUGAGAUUUUCCUUUCAUAGAAAGUCUUUUACAAACUGUUGCUGCAUUCAGCUUGAUCAUAGUGAUGGGAUCGACCUCAGUGAGGAUAAAGGAGACAGUUGCUCCGAACCUCGGUAAUCUUUGUGUUUUCAAGAUUUUACUUUCUGCAAUCUUUCUUUCAUAAUCACGUUUAGAUUUGCUUGACCGGUUUCGACUUCAACUUGUUUCGCUAAAGAAUUCUGUCUUGUUCAAAACUCGUCUUUUGUUUCAUAACAUUAUCUCAGUCAAGUGUUAUCAACCAUCGUCUGGAAACUCAACAAGCCACAAUUAAGUCAAUGUCACACAAACACAAACCGUUGAACAAGUAGCAUGAGACGUGAUUAAUCCUCAUGAGUUUAUCUGUGUGGUGCGCAGAUCAUCUAGGAUAUAACAUGCUCACGCCGGCCAAGGUAAAGGUAUCAGAUAAAUUAAAUUAUAACUUUUAUGUGAAUAUCAACAGCUUUAAGCCAGCUUAAUGUGACAGUAAGAGUCGAAACUGUUCCAAUAAGUAAAACUUGAUGCAAUUUGUAUAUAGGCAACACAUUGCUUUGAAACCAAAUAGAUUAAGAUAACAGUUCAAAUUACAGAAUUCCAAAUGAUACAAGAUGCAAUACUUAUUUAAAGCCUUAUAAUUAUAUUAUAUAGCAUCAUUUCAUUGCCCCAGAUAAAUAAUACAGCAGGCGAAUUCUUCAUUCAUGUUAAUUAUUAUCUUCAUUCUAGCACAGUCGCUUCGUGCCACAGCUCAAACUAGCUCUGAAUGGCAACCUCAACUGGAGAAGCUUCCAAUGGUAUAAUCUUCUCAAAUUCUACAGGUUUGUUGACCAAGGUUUUCUGGUUUUCGUAAGCUGAAUCAUGAACUCCAAGUGCUGCUCUACCAGAAGGAUCAAGGUUCUUGGACCAAGAAGCAUCCCACUCAACAGCCUUAGCUGUGCUACAUGCAACAGUUGGUCCUCCAGGAACAGUUAGCCUUGCUGAGUUCUGCAAAACAAUUAAAAAAAUCAUCAAUAUUUUAAUCAACCCUUGUUAAAUUAUGUUGUCUUAUGGUCUACGAAGCACUGACACAGACACAAACACCAAAUACGACCUGAUACUGACACGUAAACACCAGUAAUGAUUUAAGAAUAUAGAAGUGAUUGAAUGUAAUCAUAUAUGUCAGCGGCCAACACCAUCACGUGUCAAACACCAUAUACACCUUUAAUCUGAAGUAGCAGUGCUACAAAGCUUAUAUCGUUACAACCGAUUAAAAAGAGUUGAUUGAAUAACUUGCCUGGGGGAAGAACCUCUCAAAGAUCAUUCUGUAGUAGUAUGCUUCCUUGGUGUUUGGGGUGUUGUGGGGGUAGAUAUUGCCAGCAUUAAGCAUCAUCCUAUCAGUCACCUAAUGGAAAAUGUGAAGAACCAAUUAUAAGUAACAUAAACUUUGUGACAAUAGAAAACUCCAUCACUAAAUUGUAGAGUAAAAAGGUUGGAUUCAAAUACAUGUUUUGCAGCAUGAGCUUUAAGGCCAUCAAUCCAACUAUAACCAACACCAUCACUGAAUUGUUCCUUCUGCCUGUAUAAAAUGUGCUGCAUGAAAAUGAAUGUUUCAAUGUUAGUUUCGCAAACCAAUUUUGCAUAAAUCAAUAGACAUUGCAGCAAAUUACUUAGUAGUACCUUUGGCAGAUAAGGAUUCUCUUCAUCAUCGAAGGCCUUCCUCAGAAUAUACUUCUCAAUUCGUCCUUCAUCUUUUUUUAUCUGCACGUUUUAAACAAACCAGCUUAGUUAGUACCCGCGAAAACAUUUCCUGUUUUCCAAGAUUUGUACAAGAAACACUAAAAACAACUAUUAUGUUUUCGGUAUUUCAUGUAGAAUUAUUGAAUCAACAGAGUAACACUAAUUACUCAUACCAUUUUAUUCUCAGGAUCAAUAUUCAUUGCAACAUUGAUAAACUCCUUGUCCAAAAAUGGAACUCUGGCUUCUAGACCCCAAGCAAAGGUUGAUUUAUUUGCUCUCUGGCAAUCAUAUUGGUGGAGUGCUUUGAUCUGCAUAUGAAAAAGUAAAAAAAUACAUCUAUUAAUCAUUAUACUUCAACUUCUUUUAUUAUUUUCUAACAUUGAACUUCAUAAUUCUAAAUUAAAUGACCUUGCGGCAUGUUUCUUGGUGGAACUCUUCCUUGUUUGGUGCCUUGUGAAAGUACAGAUAUCCACCAAAUAUCUCAUCAGAUCCUUCACCAGAGAUCACCCAUUUGACACCAAGUGAUUUAAUCUUCCUUGACAUAAGAAACAUAGGUGUACUUGCUCUAAUUGUAGUCACAUCAUAUGUUUCAACAUGGUAUAUAACAUCCUCAAUUGCAUCUAUACCAUCCUAUAUAACAUAAAACUAUAUAUUAAUCAUUUCAUAAUCUCGAUUUCAAAAAUUGAAGUAGCCCUAACUGUAAGCUAAAAAAGUACUAUUUCAAGCAGUGUUUUUAGAACCAGACUGUUGGUUGGUUCAAUCGGUUCUUUUUAAUACUUAUUUAACAGUCAACCGAUUAAAUCAUUUGAACCAUGACCUAGAAGGUUUCGUCGGUUCGAUCUCUAGUCAAAUUUUUAAAACAUUGAUUUCAAGCAGUUACCUGAACAGUAAAGGUAAACUCAUGGUGAACAGUUCCAAGGUAAUCUGCAACUUCUUUUCCAGCCUUAAGAUCAGGUGAGCCCUAUUUGAAAUUAGAAGACAAGAUAUUAAGACAACAUUGAAGGUAUUCUUUUUAAAAAUAAAAGAAUUACAUAAAGUUUGCGAAAGUGAUUCAAAAAUUUAAGUGUAUAUAUGCACCUCAAGGCCAACGCAGAAUGAGUGUAAUUUUGAUCCCCAUUGUUCAGCAGCUUUAGUGGUUGCUAGGUAGCGAGAAGUGAUGGAUGCAACCAAUGAUGAGUCCAAACCUCCAGAUAGUAGAACACCAAAAGGCACAUCAGUCAUCAACCUCUUUAUCACUGCCUGUAAUCACAACCAACCAAGAGGUAAGUAAAAUCUAACCAAAAAUUGUUUAAGUCAGAAAUUGAACUUGAACACUCUCGACCAAUACAUUUUAUCUUUUCUAGUCAAACGAGGUUUGACGACAAAAUCAACUGACAUAAACCAUAUACUAAUGUUUUCACUAAAAUCAUAUAUGACAUGACGCAAGAUCAAUCAUGUUAACUAUGCACCGUAAGUCUAAAACUUUCAAUCCAAUUAUGUGCUAUGAUUUUUAUGAAUCAUACCUUCUCAAAGGCAUGCCUCAAAGCUAGAGGAUCAUAAGGAGCUGAUGGAAUAGCCUCAGAGUACCAGGGAGGAUUGUACCAUCUUCUAAAUCCACCAUCUUUGCUAGAGUACAAAUGACCAGGUGGAAAACACUCAAAAUGUUCACAAUCAUCAUUCAAGGCUUUCAUUUCUGAUGAAAUCCAAACAGAACCUGAAUCCAGACACAUUCCAAAACAUGUUCAAAUACAAACUCAAAAAAUCCAUAAAUUAAAUUAUAAGAUAAGAUAUAACAUAACAUUACCAUCCAAUCCCCAACCAAUGUAUAGGGAAGUUACUCCUAUAGCAUCUCUAGCCACUAUGUAACUGUUAUCACGAGUAUCCAAUAGAACAAAGGAAAAGAUACCAUCCAACUUGUCCACAAAGUCUUCUCCAUAUUCCUCGUACUAAUCAAAAGUUUAACAUCAGUAACAAACAGUUCAUAAGCACAUGUUUAAUCAAGAAUCCAAACCAAACAAAUUAUUACAUCAAAGAUUACUAACCAAGUGUGCAAUAACAUCACAAUCACUUCCCGUUCGGAAUGUGUGAUUAGACAGCUGUUUCCUGAGAGCUUCAUGGUUGUAAAUCUCUCCAUUUACCUGAUUUUCCAAUAAUGACAGAAUUUACCAACAUUAAAUUAGUAAAGUACUAACAUAAUCAUUAUUGUUAUGGACACUCACAUAGACAUGAACAUUAGAUACGACAAUGACACUGACACGUAAAUAUCAAUGAUAACAUAAAAAUGACUGCAUAUUAUCACAUGUGUUAGCGUUGUAUCUAUACUGUUGUUGUCUGACACUCACGCCUUCAAUAUAAAGCGUCGAUGCUACAUGUGUUGUAAUUGAUUUAGCAUAUGUCAUAUAAAUGGCCUACCGUGACAAUGACAGAUUUGUCUUCAUUAAAGAGAGGUUGAUCCCCAGAAGCAGGAUCAACUAUGGCUAACCGUUGGUGUGCCAAAAAGCAGUCACCAUGUUGGUGGAGCCCACUCCAAUCAGGGCCACGGUGCUUCAAUCUGUUACGUCAACAAACAAAUAAUCAAUAAUCAAUCAAUUAUCCAUAUUCAGACACAUUAAACUAAAGGACAAUAAUAUUCUUUCAAUGUUACUAUGUCACCACAUAUUUUUUUAAUAAAAUUACAUUUUAUAUGAGUUGAGUUUGGACUUUACAAUGUUGUAGCAUAUAUUACGCACCACCUAGAAAAUCUUUAUAAGAUGAGUCACAUAAUUAAUAAUUGAACCAAUAUUAGUUUAUCAAAAAAUAAAACUUGAGCUUAUGAAAAAUGUAACUUUCAGUAGAUAUAUUCUAUUCGAUUAAGUAUUAUCAUAUGGAAAAAAGAAUAUAGUUCUACAAUUAUUUAACUCCUUUUAAUCUUUUGUUGUUCAAUUGUCAUUGCUCCUUUGAAUUGUUCAUAGUUCCCACUACAAAAUUUACCAAUAAUUCCAUUUCAAACUGGACCCCACAUACCACUUGUUGGUCCUAAUUGAUAAACAAUCAGUGAUCUGAUUGGAAUAUAUAUUGCCCUCUUAUCUUAUAAAAUUCUUGUUGUUUAAUCUAACUUGAUGGGCAUGGUGACCCAAUAUAAAGUUACCAUGGUUAAUUAAACUAAUUAAAAAAUUUAAAAUAAACAUUCUAUGUUCUCUAUAAUAAAUUAAAGAGUGACUUUUAAAUAAAGUGGAGUGUUAUGAUUACAACUGUUGAAGUUAUAAUCAUAUUAUAUAUAAAUAAAUUAUAAAAUUAGUUAAAAACUUCAAUCAUUGGUUAUUUUUAAUUAAUGAAUAUGACAUGUCUCUUUUUUUAGUCUAAUUACAAAUAUGACGAUUGAAACAAGGAAUAUGGAUUAUGUCACUUGGGUCCCACGUUUAUUCUUAAUCAUCAUCCAAAAUGACAAGAUCAUCACGACCCUGCUAAACAAAGAGUAUUAUUCUGUCUUGCUAUCCAAAUCAGCCACUCUUAACAAGGAAUUUGUUGCUGCACAUAGUAAUAUUCAGCACCAAUUUGCAAAUAGAAACACCCAAAAAGUCAUGGUUGGAUAUAAAUUUAUCCAUAUUAUCUAAUAUAUUUUAUUUAAUAAUUAAAGUCUUCCUGAUUGAUUUUAGAAAGUCCAUAAUGAAAAGCUAAGUAAAUACAAUUAAGAAUGAACAAUUUGAUCUGCAAAAUUUAACAAAUUUUAAUGAAAAAUAAACAAACAUUCGUUCACAUUAGUCUUUUUGCAUCGGUCCAUUUAUUUUUUAUAUUGUCGUGAACGACUAAUGUGAUCAAGAAUUUUUCAAAUCUAAUCAGGUCGAAACCACUAUAAUUGGUCUAGUAGUAAAAGAUUUAGAUAGUAAACAUAUGAUUUUGAUGCACGAUCAAUAUACUAUUACACUCUCAAUUAAUCACAAGAUCGUGUGCAUGGUUUUGAAGUUAGAUAUGAUGAAAGUUAAACUUUGGUUACAAUUGAUUAACGGUGUAAAAAAUCUUUAUACCGACCAGUGCAUAUAGAUUAAAUCCGACAAAAGUAUCAUGUGUAAAACAUGAAAUUAAGAAUACAAGAAUAGAAAGAGAAUAAUUGCCUGCGUGAAAGCUCAAGGACACGAACCCUCUUAGCUCUAGUAGGAUCAGAGCAACCAAGCACAGCAAGAAUACCACACAUUGUAGUAUAUGUUUAUAUGAUGAAGAAAUCAAAGAGAGAAAUAAUUUAGAAUAAGCUUAGCUUAGUUAGAAUAAAGAAGAAAAGAUAAGUGAAGAACACAACCACAUGUAGUAGUUGUAGUAAUGGUUUUGAAAUUGAAGGCUUAAAGGAAAUAAUUUAGGAUACAUAACACUUCUUACAACACGUAUUUAUAAGACAUAAUGUGAAUGAUAGACAUAAAAUGCUGACGGUGAAACGACGUCGUUUUUCUAUCAUUCAAUGUACUGUUAUUGCUACUAGUUGGUCCAUGACACUAGACAUGGGACCCACAUCUUGUACCAAGUAUAUUAUGCCAUGUGGUGAAACGUGGUUCGUUCUUGGUAUAGACUUUUUUUGUUAUUUAAUUUUUCUUUUAAGUGUAAAAUAAAUAUCCAGUAAUAUAUCAUUAUUAUUUUUUGGUUUUUUAUUCUAGUUUGUGUUCACAUGCUACAAUUUUGUUCCUUAUCAAAAUACUAUCUUUUGUUAGUAAAUUUCAUGUGUAUUAGGCAGCUAGUUGUUAACUUGAUAACUUCAUCUUUCAUCAUGAACUAAUGAAGGUUUUUUUUUUUUUUUUUUUUACAAAAGCUAAUGAACCUUUUAAACUAUGUUAGAUUUUUUAAUUUGAUCCUUAUGUUUUUGUUUUUAAAAUAAAUAUUCCAACAAAUAAAAGAAAUCAUUAUUAUUUUAUCUAUCAAAUGCUUGAUUGUAUGAGUAGGUCGUCAUACUUCACCACUCAAUUGAAUGGGCUAAUCUUUUACAACGUGAAGAAUGAAUUUUGAUUUGUGGUUUGAAGUGGUCAUAUUUGGCGGUAACAAUGCUUCAAAAAUUAUUAUUUUUCAUGGAAGAAAAGGUGAAAAAAUGGGUGACUAAAUUAAGUCUUUGUCAUGAGCGAGAUUGUUUAUGAUAGAAAGUCUUUCUCUUAUUUAACAUUAUGGUAAAAAGAUACCCUUAUUGUUGCUUCAAAUAAUUUGGUGUCUAUAAAUAUUGGUGUUUUUAUAGGCAUCGUCUCUCUCCUCUUAUUUGCGGAUCUAUAAUACACAAAUAAUUGUAAAUCUCUUCCAUUUUAUAAUAUUUUAAUAUUAAAAAAUAAAUAAAAUAAUUGAUGCAAAUGAUUGAUUAUUUUAUCAACCUUCAAUUUUUAUUUUCAAUCAAAGACCAUUUUUAUUUUUCCUUACUACAGUGUUGAUCAGAAGCAUGAUGUUAUUUAAAUUAGGUAAUUUACCAUCAUUUUAAAUUAUUAUUUUCUAUUUUUAAUUAUUUUUCAAAUUAUUAAUAAAAGUGGGAAAAAAUAGUACAUAUUUUUAUAAUUUAUAAUUGAAUUAAAUUAAUUUUUCAAAAAUUAGAUAAUUAUGAAUAAAUGAAUAGAUAAAUCAUUGAAAAAAUUAAUGAUAUAGGAUUAUUGUUAGAAAUCAGUUAAUAAUUUUUUUUAAAUGCUGAGUUUGAGAGAUUAAGUGUUUAACAAGUAUUAGUUAUAAAACUAGUGACUUGUACAAACAAGAUCUGUUUAAACAUCCAAAUGCGGAGUUCCAUUGUGUAUGAUUUAAGGUCUAGAUUAACCUUAUGAUAGCUUUGUUGGAUAUUAAAUUUGAUUGCAAUGUAAAAGAAUUAUUUUUAUUUAAUUUUGGGGCUAUUAAGGAUGUUAAAUACUCUUUCUAAGGUAAUACUCCACUUUACUCUUAAAUUAUUAGAACUUCUCAUAUCUUUCAUGAUGGUGUUUCAUUAGAUACGCAGAUUUAGUAAAUGUAACAGCAUUUUCCUCGUAGUAUAAUGAAAACAUCUUGUGAUAGUCUUGUUUAGGGGUCUUCAUGUACCUCAAUAUUUUCAUGCCCAAAAGAUUACAAACUCUUUAACCUUGUCUCAUGAAUAGAGCAUUGGUCUAGAUACAUAUUGCAACAAGUUUUAAUACCUAGGGCAUAAGUUUUAAUAUAAUCCCUAGAAUAAAUGCUCAAAGCAAUUGAGUUAAAAGAUGUUUUAAUAUUUAACAGACUUAAAAUGGAGAUAUUUUAAUCCUCGUUUGGCACUAGAUACAUAUUAUGAAUAUAUAUUGGUUUUUUUAAUUUUGAAUUAUAACCACAAUGAGACGUAUUUAAGAUAAUGUAAGAAUUAUGAACUCUUAGUUAAAGAUUUAGUGUAGUAUUGUUAUUAGGCUUAUGGCUUGUAAGUCUAGACAUUGUUUUAGUGGGUUUAGAGUAUAAGAUAAGACCCUCGGUUUAUUGGAUAAAACAUUCUAUGUUGAAGUAUAUUGUUAAUAUUUAGAACACAGUAGAAAAUAGAAAGACAAGUGAUAUAUAAUUCUCAUUGAUCUGUGUGUAAAAGUACAUGACAGGUUUAUUUAUACACUAAAAUAAAGAGAAGACUAAUCAACAUGUAUAAAUACAAUUGAAUAGAAUACUAAUAAGCAGGCUAACUAAUAGGUUAUAGUUAAUGAUAAUUAAAUUAAAUAUUAACAUGUAACAUCCCCCCACAAGCUGGACUAUGAAGAUCACAUAGGCUAAGCUUGGAAACCAAGGAAUUGAAAGCUGGAGACAGAAGUGGUUUUGUCAACAAAUCUGCUAUUUGAGAAGAAGAUGGCACGGGAAAGAGAUGAAUGAGACCACUUUGAAUUCUUUCGCGCACAACAUGACAAUCAAUCUCAAUGUGUUUUGUUCUCUCAUGAAAUGUUGGAUUAUGAGCAAGAUAUAUGGCUGAUUUAUUGUCACAAUAUACUGAAGCUGGUUGUUGAAAGUUGAUAUGAAGAUCCUUGAACAAAUAGGAGAGCCAUUGUAAUUCACAAGUAAGGCUGGCCAAGGCUCUAUACUCAGAUUCAGAGCUGGAUCUAGAAACAGUUGUUUGCUUCUUAGACUUCCAUGAGAUGAGGGAAGAGCCAAGAAACACACAAAAACCGGAGACAGAUCGUCUAGUAGAGGGACAGCUAGCCCAAUCUGAAUCAGCAAAACCUGCAAGUUUGACGGGAGAUGAAGAUGAAUAGAAUAACCCUUUGGCUGGAGAGUUCUUGAGAUACUUCAGAAUCUUUGUAGCAGCUUGAAAGUGGACUUCACGGGGCUUGGAAACAAAUUGACUAAGUUGUUGAACAGCAAAAGCAAUGUCAGGCCGCGUGAGUGUCAAAUAGAGAAGUCUACCAAUCAAACUUCUGAAGGAGAAUUCAUCAUGAUAUGGAGGGGAAUCAGAAUUAUGCAACUUUAAGGAGGUAUCAUAGGGAGUGGAACUAGGCUUAACAGCCAUGUGACCACUAUCUUCAAGAAGCUCAAGAGUAUAUUUGCGUUGAUUCACCGAAAUUCCUUUGUUUGAUCUUGCUAUUUCCAAGCCAAGAAAAAAUCUUAGCUUCCCAAGGUCUUUGAUGCGAAAUUUUUGAUCCAAAAACUGCUUAACAUGCUGAAUUUCAGCAUAAUCAUUUCCUGAUAAAACUAUGUCGUCCACAUAAACUAAUAAGGCAGUAAAAUUGGUACCUUUUAGCUUAGUGAACAAAGAAGAAUCAGCAACAGAAGGAGUGUAUCCGAGAGAAACCAACGCUGCAGAAAGUUUGGCAUACCAUUGCCUACUAGCUUGCUUCAAGCCAUAGAGACUCUUAUUUAACCGACAAACUUUAAGAUCAUUAGAAUCUGAAUUUUGAAGCUUCAGACCAGGGGGUAACACCAUGUAAACUUCUUCAUUGAGGUCACCAUGGAGAAAUGCAUUAUUGACAUCAAAUUGCUCAAGAAACCACCCUUUGAUGGCUGCCAAAGAAAGUAAUGUUCUAACUGUAGUCAUUUUUGCAACCGGUGAAAAAGUAUCAAAGUAAUCAACUCCUUCCAUUUGAGUAUAACCCUUUGCAACUAACCGGGCUUUAUGCCUUUCAAGAGAACCAUCAGAGUGGUAUUUAGUUUUGUAAACCCACUUGCAUCCAAUUGGAACUUUUCCUGGUGGUAAAUCAACAAUUGACCAAGUAUUUGUGGCUGCAAGAGCAUGUAACUCAGCUUUCAUAGCUUCUUUCCAACAUUCAAUCUUACAAGCUUGAUUAUAGGUCUUAGGUUCAGGGUUAGAAGAAACAGUUAGACAAAAAUUUUUAUAUGAAGGAGUGCAAUGAUCAUAUGUCAAAACAGAAGAGAGAGGAUAUGCCGAUUUACCUGAGUCAGAGAGUAAUUGUGAUUCAGAAGAAGUAAGGAGACUGCAGUGAUAGUCUUUAAGAUAUGCCGGUGUUGUUUUAGGUCGUGCAGAUCGUCGAAUAGGUACAUCUGUUGUGGUCUGAUCUGGAAUAGCUGUUGCAGAAGAUGUAGCAUUAGGAGGGGUAGAAUUAUGUGUUGUAGAAGUAUCAGAAUUAUCAAGGUUUUGAGAGAGAGGAAAAGAAGAAUUUGGAAUAACAGAUGAUUGGAUGGGUUCAUGAUAGGAAGAAAGAUGUGAAUUAUCAACGGAGACAUGAGGUGUAGAGGAAUCAGGGGAACAUCGUUCAUGCAAUGUAGAAAAUGGAAAAGAUGAUUCAUGAAAGAUGACAUUUCUUGAUAAGAAAAAUUCAUGUGAAUGAAGAUCAUAAAGAAGGUAACCCUUGGUGCCUUCUCUAUAUCCAAGAAAAACUGAUUUUCUUGCUCUAGAAUCAAAUUUGGUUCUAUGACUUUGGAUGGUGGAGGCAAAAGCAAGGCAACCGAAGACUUUUAGGUGAAUUAAAGAAGGUUGUUGUUGGUGAAGACAUUCAUAUGGGGAUUUAUUUUGUAGAAGGGGAGUUGGGAUUCGAUUAAUGAUAUGGACAGCUUGUUGAAUUGAAAAAUGCCAAAAAUUGGUAGGGAUAUGAGAUUGAAAGGAGAGGGCUCGAGCCACAUUAAGGAUAUGUUGAUGCUUCCUUUCUACAAUACCAUUUUGUUGAGGAGUCUCAACACAAGACCUUUGAUGAAUGAUGCCUUUAGAAAGAUAAAAUGAAGGCAUGAUGAACUCAAGUCCAUUAUCACUUCUCAAGCAUUUAAGUUUCUUAUGGAAUUGAGUAUCAAUGAAAGAAAUGAAAUUCAUGAGAUGAUUUCUUGUUUCACCUUUACAUUUCAUAAAAAUGACCCAUGUAAAUCUACUAAAGUCAUCAACCAAGGUUAAAAAAUAUUUAAAUCCGGAAACAGAAGGGGUAGCAUAGGGUCCCCAAAUAUCAACAUGUAGUAUAUCAAAUAUUUGAGUGGAAUGAAUAAGACUAUGAGGAAAUGAUGUUUUCUUAUGUUUUGCAUAAUGGCAUAUAUCACAAGGAGAGUGGGUACUGGUGUAUUUUACAAUGGGAAACUGAAUGGAAAUACAUUUGUGUAUGGAAUCCGAAAUGUGACCCAAUCUAUAAUGCCAAACAUUUGCAGAAUCAGUUGACUUAGACGACAAACUUGGAAAAACAGAAUUACAAAUUGAAGCAGAAACUAAACCAUUAUUUUGAGAUUUAUUUAGCAGUGAAGAAUCCAACACAUACAGUCCUCCAAACUUCUUAGCUGUACCAAUCACUCUCUGAUUCAAAAUCUGCACAAUAGAACAUGUAUCAAUAGAAAACAAGAAACUGGCAUUAGAAGUUUUCAAAAAUUGAGAUAUUGAAAAUAAAUUGAUGUUGAAAUCAGGAAUGUAGUAAACAUUAUGAAGGAUAAGUGAAUUGGAUAAGGAUACUGUGCCUGCUAUGGUUGUCACUAUUUUAUUACCAUUUGGUAGUGACAUGGAGAUAGGUGGAAUGUUGUAGAAAGAAGAAAAAUUUUGCAAACAGUGAGUGAUAUGAUCAGUUGCUCCUGAGUCUAUGACCCAAAGAGUAGAUUUCUUACCGAUUAUGGGAGUGGAUGUGGAAGUAUAAGCUGCGGGAAGUGAGAUAACUGAAUUGACAGCAGGCUGAGGCAUAGUAGCAUUGGUGUUUGACGUUGAAGCUUGCAAAUUUGAAUGUUGUAGAAGCUGCAAAAUCUGAUUAUAUUGCUCAUGGAUAGAAUUCAGUGAAGGGCUGCUAACAGAUCCUUGGUUCUGGACAGCAUCAGUAUACUUUUGUUCAGAAACCGCAAGAUUCGCUGACUUAGGACCUUUGUUUUGAUAACCAGGAGGAUAGCCAUGGAGAAGGAAACAAGUCUCAAUUGUAUGAUUAUGUCUUCCACAAUGACUACAAGUGCGAGUAAUGCCUUGAUUAUGUCCUCUUGUUCCAUUAUAAGAUCCUUUACCUCGACCUCUAUAGCUAGAAGAACCACCACGAGCAAAACCUUUGUUAGAAUUGGUUUGCUGAACUUGAUUAACAGCUGAUUGUUGAUCAACAGGAAUUUCACCAAAAACAGGAAUAUGUGUUUGUCUUUCUUGUUGAAGUACAAGAGAAAAAGUCUUAUCCAGUUCAGGCAAAGGAUUAAUUAGCAUAAUCUGAGAGCGCACAUGUGCAUAUUGCUCAUUCAAACCUUUCAAAAACUUAAUUACUUUGUCUUGCUCAUUAUACUUUUUGAGAUCAGAAGCAACACCACAAGUGCAAGGGAUGGCACAAGUGCAAUCACGAAUUGGCCGGAAGUUCUGAAUUUCUUCCCACAAAGUGGUUAAUUGUGUAAAAUAGGAGGAGAUAUCAAGAUUACCUUGUUGAAAUUUAGCCAAUUCCUCAAGAAUAUCAGCAACUCUGAAAAUAUCACCCUGUGCAAAACGGUUCUCCAAUCGCUUCCAAACCACGGAGGCUCGAUCACACCAAAUGAUUGAUUUCACAAUGGUUUCAGAAAUACAUCGUUGAAGCCAAGACAGAACCAUGUUGUUACAUCUUAACCAUGGUUCAUGAAGGAGAUCUGAAACAGGAGGAGGAUUUAGGGUGCCAUCAACAAAUUUCAAUUUGUUCUUGGAAAUUAAGGCGACCCGCAUAGAUCGCGACCAAGUCUGGUAAUUCUUGUUAUCCAAUGAUGGAGUAACAAGAACAAGUGAUGGAUUUUCAUUAGGAUGCAAGUAGUAAGGAUUUGAAGGAUUGGUUGCAAAAUCAAAAAAUGGUGGAUUCUCCAUAGAGAUGAAAGAAAUCAAAUAAUCAAGGAAUCAAAUGAACAGCGGAAUGAAAACUGAAAAUAAAAAUUCAGAAAUUGAAUAAUAAAGAGGAUUCUUGAGAUGAAUCGAUCAACAAGAGAAAUUGAUGAAGAGAUUCACAACUGAUACCAUGUUAAUAUUUAGAACACAGUAGAAAAUAGAAAGACAAGUGAUAUAUAAUUCUCAUUGAUCUGUGUGUAAAAGUACAUGACAGGUUUAUUUAUACACUAAAAUAAAGAGAAGACUAAUCAACAUGUAUAAAUACAAUUGAAUAGAAUACUAAUAAGCAGGCUAACUAAUAGGUUAUAGUUAAUGAUAAUUAAAUUAAAUAUUAACAUGUAACAUAUAUUGAUACUAAUACUCUAGAAGUACACAAUAUUUACAUGUUAAUUUAUAUGCAUUUCGUUUGUAAAUGGUGUAGACAAGGAAUUGCUAAUUUUAAGUAAUAACUAUACAUACAAGUGUAUGUAAUUCAAGUGAAUGUUUUUUAUGAUGUGGACUAUUGAAUCUAUUAUAAUUUUUUAUUAUGCAAAUAAAAUUCACUUGCACACAUCAUUAACAUUGUAGAAAAAAAUAUGACUACAAUGUAAAUCAUCAAAGACAUUUUAAUGUUUUUCUACUAUAGUGUAAUCAUCAGAGAUUUAGUAAUGAAGUUACAUAUCUAGUCAUGCUUCUGGUUUCACACUCUACACCUGUGAAACCCGGAUACCAGAUACGAUACUGCACCGAUACGUCGAUACAGAAAAAAAUUAAAAAUCAAGAUACGAUACGGUUGGGAUACGUUAAUAAAAAAAUUAUAUAAUUAAAUGUACAAUAUAGUUAUAACCAUUUUUUUUAAUAUGCAAAUAUAUUAACAAGCAAAAGAAACCGGUCAUAGGCUCCUAGCACAUCAACAUAAAUAUAAAUAAUAUUGACGAUUAAGAGAGUGAUGAUUAGUCAAUUAGAAACACAAUAUAUCCACAAAAAAAAAAAAAACACCAUUAGUGCUAUACUAUAUCCAAAAUGAACAUUGUUAGUGUUAUACUAUAUCGAUCCAAAAAAAGCACUAUAUUCAAAAAAGAACACAUCACUACUCAGGAGUUAAGUUAUUUUAGUUAACAUUAAUUGGGAAAUAUCAGGGCAGAUAUCGGUGCAGAAUAAUUAUUGAAUACUCUCCUGGUACGUGUAUCGGGAAGUAUCGGAUAAUUAUUUUUUUUUAAAAUAAAAUUUAAUCUUCGGAUACUCUCCUGAUACGUAUCGGGAAGUAUCAGGCAGGUAUCGGUGCAGGAUACGCAGGGGAUACGGUACGUCAUCCAUUUUGAAGUAUCGGAGCUUCAGCUACACACAUCAUCAAAGACAUUUUAAUAUUUUGGUGCUAUUAAGGAUAUUAAAUACUUUUUCUAAGUUAAUACUCCACGUUACUCUUGAAUUAUUAUAACUUCUCAGAUGUUUCAUUAGAUACAAAGAUUUAGUAAAUGUACAACAUUUUCCUCAUAGUAUAAUCCAAAACCACUUGUGAUCGAUAAUUUUGUUUAGGGGUCUUAAUAUAUCUCAAUAUUUUCAUGCCCAAAGAUUACAAGCUCAUUAACCUUGUCCGGUAAAUAUGGCAUUGGUCUUUUUUCUUUUUCUUAGUUAAAGAUUUAGUAUUGUUAUUAAGCUUAAGACUUAGUUAAAUAACUUAUUUUAAUAUUUUGUAUUAACUAGUAGUUUUUUAAACAACAAUAGGAUGGGAUUGAGUCCAGAAACAUGAUAUGUGCAUAAUUGGCGUCGAAUUAUUUAUAAUUAUUACUAAUAUAAAAUAUGGUCAAUUAUUUUACCAAAAAAUAUGGUCAAUUGUUAUUGAGCACUAAUUAUGGAUAAAUAAUUUGAUUAUAAAUGGACCGUGAUGGGUUUGACGAUUUAAUAAGUUCAAUAAGAGAUCUCUAUCUUGAAUCGUUUAACUAUUAAAACUUUAUCACUAAGACGUUUAGAAAUACUGUGAAACCUAAUCUAUGAACCUAAAGAUGAUGAGGAUAGUGCAGGCCUCUCAUAGUUGCUCUCUCAUCGGUUGUGUCAAAUCAUAUAUGUCUGAUAAAAUAUGGGUAGAGUUACUUGAUGACAAUCAAAAUCGUUUAUUUUUCUUUAAUUAUUUGUGUUAUAUUUAUAAUAUAAAUAGAAUAUUUUAUAUGUUGCUAAUAAUAAUUUAUCCUGGCAGACAAGCAUGGGAUGAAUGAUCGAUUAUGAGACAAGUAUAUAUGAAGCCAAUGAAGUAGUUGUCUGUCCAAAAACUGCAUGCAACCCGAAAAUUGGAUAUCAGUACAGAUAAACCUCUUCUAUACGCUUAUCAAAAUAUCACAUGCAACAAAAAACACACGCAUGUAUUUUAGUCCCACUACUUUUCUGAAAUCUUUCAAUAUCAAAUCUCAACCAUUUUCUAGUUCAGUGAUUCAUAUUUACGUUUCCAUGUGGAAAAUGAUAAUAACCUUAACUGACCCAUUAAAUUAGGUUCUAUAUUAUUUCUUUUCAAGUAAAAAAUUUAACAGAAAUAGAAAAGUUAGUUUUCUAAGUUGUGUUAUGUUCCUUGCAAUGUAAUGCUUUUACUUGUCGAAGAAAGAAAAGAAACGUGAAUCUACUUAAUUUUAAUUCAUAUGAAUGAAUGAAUGAAUGGAUCCCCAAUUCCCCAUAACUUUACGUCAAGUGUAUUAUUUAAUUUAUUUACAUUAGGGUUCUUUAUAUAAUUUUUAACCAAUUAUAUAUGGUUGAGCUAUUUUAUGCUCACACUAGAUCUUUUUUUUCUUUUUCUAAUCAACAUAAACAUGGCUUAAAUUUGAGAUAUAUGAACAUGAGGCCCGUGUGCAUUACAUCAUGUGCAAUUAAGUUCGAUGGGUUUUGUGGCUUGGCUUUUAGGCAGAUCUUAGGGCUCAUUUAUGUUUGCAUGUGUAUAGUUAAUCUAAGUUUGAGGUUCUAGUUCGUAUAAAAUAAGUGGAGGACUAUAAUUGAUUGACAAGUGGGUGUCCUUUAAUUUGUUUUCAUGGUGGACAAAAAUUGAGGAUCACCCAUGUUUGAUUUAUGAAGAAAAAUAAAAUAAAAUUGUUAAUAAUUGUUAUAAAUUUAAUGAAUGACAUGCAAGAUUCAAGUGAUUAAUAAAUUUUAGUUAAAAACGAACUGAUAGGGAAUUUCGAAUUCGAUAUUUGGCUGAACAAUCUUUAAAAACUAGAGGUUAAGCUUUAGUUUGAUGUUAUGGGAUGCAGUAUCCUCCAGAUUAGUUUCUUCUCUUAGACAAUAAAACUAAUAUCAACAAUAAAAAUGAAAUUAAAAAUAUUAAGCUGAGCAAAAAAAAAAAAACUUGGGGCCUUCAAAACCCUACGAAGUCCCUGUCCACAGAAUUAAGUCAUAAUCUGAUGGUUAACUUUGUUUCUGAAUACGAUAUCGAUUUUUAGCAUCCAAAUCUUAGUGGCUUUUAGAGGUUACAUAGAGUUCUUUUGAUACUUCACUUCAUGACAAUUUAACAUGGUUUAUGCCUUACAAGUUUGGUUUAUGACUUUUGGUAGCUCUGUUAGGUCGUUUAUCAAUUUUUAUUUUCAUUAUUUCCUAAUCCACAUAAGUGAAGAUUUUGAUUGAUAAAGACUUUCUCAACCUCCUCAAUUCAUAUAGUUGCAUACAGCAUACUGUUUAUAUACAAUAAUAGAAAUGUUAGUUUAGUUCACUCUCAAAUCAAUUAAUGGAAUACAAUUACUUGUAAGCACCAAUAUAAAGUUAAAAUAGAAAUCAAAUAAAAAACUUCGCAGCAUUAUUGAACUCAACUGAAUUACAUAUAUAAUUUUGAGAAGUUUGUUUUUGAACAUUAGGUACGUAAUUGUCUAAUAGGUUCUCUCUAUAUGAGGUAAUCAUAUUUGAGGUGUACGUCGGUCUGCGACACCCAACAUGUGUUGGUUUACGUCGGUUUAUAUAAAAUAAACAAGAUACUUAAGAAAUUUGAUGAUUUUUCUAUCAUCUAUCUGCCAGUUUAAAUUGACUUAUUUGAAUUUAUUUGUUCAGUUUACUUUCAUAAACUCUAAGAAAAAUUAUGAUAACAGUUAUGACUUAUACAAAGUAAAUUAACUUUAUUUUAUCUUUGUUGUAAGAAUAUUUUUUACACAAGUGUUUACCAUGAACAGCAGAUUAAGUUACUUAUCCAAGUAUAUCAACGUGAUAAACGACUAAAAUGUUGUGUAAUUUCAUAAUCAUAUGGCAUAAAUACAGCAUCGAAGGGUUUCAUAAAAUCCUUCUUACUGUUAAAAUUAAAAUAUAUGAGCUGCUUAAUUAUAAUGUGUCACUGUGAUGAACACUCAGACAGUAGUAACUAGUAAUGGAAUCUAAAGUUCCUUACAAACUUAGCAUUGAUGAUACUCAACAUUACCGAUAACUUUGAUAAAAAUCAAUAAUGGCCAAAUAGAAACAUAGUAUGAUAAAAUUACAAAAUACAACUAGUGUACUUUCCCGUGCCAUGCCAACAUAAAUUAAAAUUUGGCAUUCUCUCUAAACUCAUUCGAGGAGCUAAUCCAUAUAACUAAUGACCUACUUAACUCUCUGUUUCUGUUGAUUUUUGUCCUUUCCGCGACCUCUUCCUUUUCCUGCUUCUCUUCACUGUGUUGUCUCCUUUGGUUUCCUGCGUAAGAGUCAAGUAAAGGAAACAUCUAACAGAUCAGUAAGAAGCAUGCAAAAUAUAAGUUCCAGCAGAUAAGACACAUUUAAAAUAUGCUAUAUACUAUAAAAUAGCUGAACUAAACUAAGGGGUUUGGAAUUUGUUUAAUAUGCAUGCAUAAACAAAACCAGAACAGCUAAGUAUAUAGCAUCUAAACUGUUUUGCGCAGUUGCAACAGCCAACGCUAUCUUAAAUUGAAAAGAAAACUAGCAUUACAGAAUUCAGUUUUUCAGGUUAGACGGUAUUCUAAAAAAGACAUGGUUAGCAGAAGGGUUCGGCUUGGAACUAUUGUCGGCCUAUCAUAAGCAGCCUUAAUUUGCAAUUUUAAGAGUCAUGACAAAUUGAAGAAAAGUUAACAGAUUAGUGUUUUCAAGUUCAAAUUGAAGAAACAUUUAAAUUUUGCCAACAACCCUACCUUUGUAGGAUUAUUUUGGUUUUCACGACUUUUCUUCUUCUUGCACGAAAGUGGGUUUGGACCCUGCAAAGUUCAUAGCAAUAUCAUCAAAAAGUGACGCAAUACAACUGUUACAACAACAACCAAAUAGUAUCCCACUAAGUAUGGUUGGCUACAUAGAUCAAAUUACACCAUAAUCAAUGCAAUAACUGUUCUGUUUUAUAGGGGAACUGUUGGAAACAAUAAAUUAAUAUGAAUCAUCCCAGCAUACAUGUGAACAUGUUUAUAUUUGUUAAGUUUCAAGGAAACAUCAUAGAACACAACUUAAAAUCAAAACAUAAUACAUCUGCAGAAAAAUCUACCUCUGGGACAUCAUGAUCAAUAAAUGUUCUUAAAACUAUUUGACCCAUCAAAUGUUUUCCAAAUGCAACAAAUUUUAUAGUUACCCUCCUAAUACCCAUUAACAUGACCAUAUUUUCAUUUUUACAAAAUUAUCGUAGGAUAACAUAGAGUAAAUGGAGGGAGAGAAAACCAUAGCUCUUUAUUUUACUAAACCGUUCAAGUUAUAGAAAAUUUUGAACACUCAAAGCCAAAAUCCAAAAUACACGGCCAUAUAACUAUAUUAUCAAAGUGCAUCAAGUGCUGCAGGUAAGAGAGGGGGAGAGAAAAAGAAAUUAAUUUGUGGCAAAAAUAUAUCAAGUCUGUAUGAACAAAUUAAUUUCUAAUUGGCUGCUACCAGCUUGUUUUAUCAACAAAAGAAUACUGUCAGUUAGUUAACAGUCACUUCCAUGUGGUAGUGUAAGCUGGAGUCUUUUAGUUCUGUCAGCAUUAUGUCCCUAAAAUAUUCAGUUACAUAGUUACUGUUAUAAUCAGCUAAGAUAUCACAGAAUAAUAGACCAUCUUUCUCAAGUUAUAUCAUUUCCUUUGGUUUCUAAAUUUCCUAUAUGUUUCUCUCAUUACCUCUAUCAGCUACAAACAAAAUGGUAAGCUAUAAGCCUAUCUAUGUUUAGACAUGUGAAAAUCAAUAACCAAUCAAGAAAAAAGACGCAGCACAAAAUUAAAAUAUAACCUUUGCUUUUCUUCUCUUGAAUUGAGGUUUAUCCCUGACGCCAUUCUGAUUCCUUGAAAUUAUGCUUCUUUUUAUUGCCUGUGCACUUGCAAUCGAAUCUCCUAAAUCAUUGUUUUCCACUAUUUCAGCAUUGGAAUUAUCAGCUUCACCAUCAGCCAGUUUCUUCAUAGCCCUAUCCUUAAAUAUCUGGUACUCUUUAUCGGUCAUAUGCAAUCGUCUUUCUUCAGAAGUUUUGACAUACUCCUUCUGAAAUGCAGAUGGAGAUUCGAGGAAAAGAGCAUUUCUGAGACCAAAUAUGAGGGGCACACCAGGUACCUGCAACAAGCGGAUAAAGACUAAACAUAUGUACAAUGGGACAAAUUUACACAAAGUCAACAUAUUUUAGACGUAAAUACGCAGAAGUUCAGUGGCACUGUGACACAGAACAUGCCAUUAAUGCAAAUAACAUUUUAUCAUGUUUACAAAGUGACAGCAACAUAUUGAAUUGGUACAAUCAACAUUACAAAAAAAAUAUUCCAACCUCUUCCAACUUCUUCCGUAGGUCAGUGUCCUGACUAGCAACAAAGAAGUGCUCGGAAUUAUUUUCUCCAACAACCUCCAUGAUGCAGGAAUCGGCCCUCACACAUUUAUCAUGCUCGCAUCUGCAAAUUGGAAUUUAGAUCAAAUUAUAAAACCAUCACCACAGCAAUACUUGUGCUCAAAUAUCUCAACCCAAAACAACAAUCCUUUCCAGUCUAGUGGACUAAUCAAAUAUUAGAUACUGAUUAUUAAGACUUAAAAAGUUAACAGCUUCGAUUCUUCACAUUAGGCAGCCUUUUAACAUGUCAUUUCAGUCGGCCAGAAAAGUGAUUCAGAGUAGGAAUGUCAAGGUCAGUUCUAUACAUAUUUGGGUCUAUAAAUAUCAAUUCUCAAUGCAAUUAUAUCAUUUAUAACAGAUCUCAAUGAGGGUAACAAAGUAAGUACACUAGUGAUUUGGGUGAUCCGCAAUAUUAGAUACUGAUGAUUAAUCAAUUGGGCGAGGAGCUAAAGGUGGCUUUCUUGCCAAAUAACAAUAUAAGGGGCAGAAAAAAAUUAGAAAGAACUUCAAAUAUGAGCAACAAGAGUAAAUGAAAACCUAAAGGAUUUAAAACGCUUAAAUUCUUCUGAAACUUCAAAGUUGUUUCUUCAUUGAGGCAAAAGGAGGUGUUGCUUUGUGUCUAACAAAAACUUAUUGGACUGAAUUAGACAGACCCACUUUCUUCAAAUUUGUGUUUUCUCAACCUAAUAUAGUGUUGAUAAUGGUGGAAUAUAGAAAAAGGGCAGAAAUUUAUCAUAUAAAGAUGCCAUUGCAGCCUACGGUGCAGCCAUGGCAGGAACCCCUUUACAAAUUGCCUAUGGGGAUUGUCAAAAACUCCGAUAUUGCCAGUGGCCACCAUUUAACAACACUAACCUAACCAAGCCUUCCAAAACUACAUCACCCAAACAUGCUGACCGAAUUAUUCGGAACCAGCCCAUUUGACCCCUCUCUUAAAUAAAAUUAGUAUAAUAAAUUUACAUUUAAAGGGUCUCAGCCUACUCAAUCCGGUAUCAUUCAUCAUGCACAUCUAUCUUAAUGACACAGGAAAAGUUUGUUAAACAACUAGGCUCUGUUUGGAUAACCAACUUAAUUUGCAGCUUAUAGCAUAAACACUUAUCAUGAUAAACGCUUAUGCAUAACCUAUUUCCAUAACAAAAGUAUAAAUAACGUUAAAUUGUUUUCGUAAAGUCUCCUAAACAGUCUCACCAGUGCCUAUAUCACUAGAUAAGCUCAAAUACACAAGUCAAUUCAAACAGCAGUAAGAAGUGUGUAUACCUUGCAAUUAUAAGAUCAUUCGCUGCAUCAAGAGCCUCUGAAUACGACUUCCCAAGCCGUUUCAAUUCAGCAACAACACAUCUACAUCACCACAAUCCAAAACUCAAAUCAACAACACGAAAAAAAAAAUCAAAACAAAAACAAAAGCACCCAAAACAAAACAAAACAAAAUAAAAACAAAAACCUUGUUGUGUAGAGCUUGACAGUGGCACUAAGAAUAUUGGCAAGAGCAGUAUCAGCAGGUGUUAUACGAUUGACAAUAAGGUGAUUAACAAAUGUUCCAUCACAUAGAACUUUGUAAGGUUUUCGAAAACCAAAACAUGCAGUGUAAAACGUUAAACUCUUCCUAUGUCUCUUUUGUUUCUUAACCUUCAUCUACAUAAAAAAAUCAAAAAAGGGUAUUCAAAUUAAACAACAAAGAAACUAAAUUUGAAGUUUGGUGUUCAGUGAUAAUAACAAGUUCUUUCAUAUACCUUAUACAAAAAAUCUCAGCUGCCGGCGACGAUCAACUCCGACGGCGGUUCCCGGCAAUGUUUUGUUUAUUGCGGCGGUUCGGUGACGACAGCGGCUGUGAGACUGAAAGGAGAAUACGGUGUAUGGAAAUUGUGAAGGUUAAUGGAUAAUGGAUAAUAACCGGUUAACUCAAUGGUAACCGACCCGUUUUAAGUUUUGUCAAAAUGGACUGGAUCAGUUAAAAUGAAAUUGCUAUGAAACAUUACCUCAUCGGCGGUUAACUGCCGUCGGUUAGGUUUUAACAGCAGUUAACUCUCUCCGUCAGUUGGCUUUCAACGGUAGUUAAAUACCGUUGCAACUUGCAAUCAAGCAUUCACACAACAUGUUCUGUUUUAAGAAUCAACCAAAAUUCAGUUUCUUUAUUACCUGUAAUUCAAAAAAACAACAAUCCAGAGGUAGUACAACCUUUAAACCAAUUAUAAUCACUCACAAGCAAGAACAAUACAUAAUUUUGUACAAUUGACCAAAAUUAAAUCAAUUCGACAUUUCGUUAAAAUUACACGAAUGUUCGAAAUUCAACAAAAGUGCAAUAGUAGGUGUAAAUAAUAACUUAUUUGAUGGAAGGGGAAAAUAGGUGAUGAUGGAACAGUAAGUAGGAGUAGGUUUUUGUAAUCAACAGUAUCCAUGCGCAAUGGCAGUUAAUUGUCGUUGAAAGCUAAUUGAUGGUGUGUUAACCGUUGUUGAAACUUAAUCGGAAGUAAUUAAUUGUUGAUGAGGUUAUAUUCGUCAUUUCAUGAUAUUUUAUAGCAAACUUUGAUGUGGGAGCGCAACAAUUUUCCAGUUUUUAUGCACACCCCUUAGAUACAAGGGUAAAGUGACACUGAAUGAUGGUGUUUCAUACAUGAUUAUGUGAUAUUUUCUAAUAGUAUAAAUUGUUUUACAUAAUACAUCUUUCGAUUUUAUAUGAGCAUAAAUAACUAUUUUCACACUUAUUAAGAAAAUUAAGUAUUCUCCUUUUCAGCUCUAAGUAAUAGUGUUAAGUAUGUGUUAAGUAAAGUAAGUUAAGUUUUGUUUAUAUUUGAGACCAUUAAAUGAGUUAUAUAUUUAUUUUUUUAUAUUUGAGAAAGGUGUUGAGUAGAAAUCCUUUUGGGGAUAGCUUGUAAAAUGACCAUCAAUAUUACUUGAAUUAAUAAAAAUUUCUCCUUCCCGAUUUUUUUUUAAAAAAGAGUGGUGUAUAAUAAUUAAACACUUGUUAUUAUAAGAAAAUAUAUAAUUGCAAAAAUUACACUUGUUUUAAAAGGGUUAAUUCAAAAUUUGACAGAAACGACAAACUUAUGCUCACAUCAAUAACAUAAGGGACCGGCAUAAAAAAAACAUGCAAUUAAACAAUAAUUUUAUUUCUAUCAUAACAAUUGUUGGCAAUAAAAGAAAUAAGAAUGAAGUCAAUGAAGGCUAACUCAACUGGUAAGUAGUUAACUUUUUUAACCUUGAGGUCUGUCCUAACUUGGUAAAUUAUUUGUUGGAAUCAUGAACCAUGGGGUGGAAGCAUGUUUAUGCACAUUUAGAAUGUACUCCUUCGUACUAAAAUAUAAGUAAAAUUUGAUCAACAAAAGUCAAUGUAUUUGAUUCAAAAUUUAUAUCAAAUACAUCAACAUAUGUUGACUCAUUUUUACUUAUAUUUUGAAAUGAAUGGAGUAUUAUGUUUCUGCCUAUGUAUCCAAGGAAGAACAACCUCAAAUUUUAGUAACCAUCCUUAAUCUCAACGAUAGUGCUUCCGAUGUAUAAAUGUAAACGAUUCAGUGAAUGCAUAGCUGGGUUCAAGGGAUUGUUCAAAGAUUUCAGGAGCUUUCUAGUUGCUCAUGAUAUGCUCUUGGGGGUUCUUAUAAUAUAAACCCAAUUUCCUGUUUUUCCUUUUCUUGUUUUACCUUUUUUAUCAUUUUUUUUUUCUUGAAUUUGAUUUAUAUCACCUCAGGUUUAUGUAUUUUAUUCUUUGGAUCUCGCUAACCAGUGCCCUUAGAGUAUUGGUUAAAGAAUCUACAAAUAGAAAUUUUGUCUUAAAAAUAUAAGAUGUUACUUUUGAUCAAGUAAUGAUUACAUAAUUUUUUCAUGAAAACUUGUUUGUUUUGAAUGGUUAACCAGUGCCCUCCUUUAGGGCACUGGUUACCAUUACGGAUAAAUUUUUCGCUUGAAAAAAAUAAAAAUAAAAUCAAUUUUUUCUCAUAAAUUAUCACCUUUAUCAUGUUUCAUAAUUCAUAGGCAUAUCCAAGCCUCAUCUUAUCUUUUGCACAUGAUAUGAUUCCCUCUUAUGAUUUGAUAUGUGACUAGGAAUAGGAUUAGGCAAAUGCUAUUAUAUAACUAUAAUAUAAUAUAUCUUUGUUUAAGGUUAUCCCUUUAUCAAUUAAUCACAAUCCUCCCAUGACAUUAUAAUUAAAAGACAUUGUUGUGUUAGUGGGUGAUAUUCUAUAAAUUAUUUCUUCCAUCAUGGGAAGGAUGAAGAAAGAUCCAUAAGCUUAUUCAUUUGCUUAAAAAAUUGAAUUCCACGAAAAAGAUCAAACAUAUAUUUUAUGACUAAAUUAUUACAUUGUUCAUUGUUUGCUUUGGCUAAGAUAUGGCACCCCCAAGCACAUCCUAACAACCACGUGUAUAGAUGCUGUAGGUGCGUUAUACAUUCAAGUUUGUCGUUUUUAUUUUGGAAACAUUUUUUUUAUGGAUAAUUACUUCAUUUAAGUUUUAUUUCUUGGAAGCUACAGAUGCAGCUUUUCAACCAUGAAUGAAUGCAUUCUUGUUGCAAAACUUCAACUGAAUGCUACAAUUUGUGAAGUAAAGUAGAUUUGUCAAUCAUAGAUCGACGGAGGGAAAAAGAUUUAUAUUUUGACAAAUGUUUCAUAUAAUAAAUUAAAGGUGGUGAAUGUUUCAUAAUAAAUUAAAGGUCGCUCUAACUUGUACUCGAUAAAGUUAAGGCAAUAGAGAGAAAGUAAAAACAUAAUAAUAAUAAUAUGAGAGAGAAAUUUGUCAAAAAAAAAUUGUCGAAAAAUAGUUGUACAAAUAUUAUUUCUCUUUUAAAAAUGUGCUAGCAAGGAGACCUUGUGUUUAAGGAGGGGCGGGAUAACAAUACCCCCAUCCCGUCUCGACAAGUAUAAGAAAAAAGUUGAAUCGAAACCCACAUUUAGUUAUAACGGAUUUCUCUGAAAAAAGUCUUCGGAUGUGUUAGGUCAUACAAGUUUUCAGAUGAGUACUUAGACUUUGAUAUGACUUUUUUUUAGGGAAGACUUUGAUGAUUGACCUCCUUAAAAAACCUAUUAAAUAAGAAUUUAAAUUAACCAACCUAUUUACUUCAAACACACCCUAAUAGGCAAUAAGUCAAGAAUCAAAAUUGUAGAAAAGGGAGAGGAAUUCAAGUUGCCAAAUUUUAAUUGAAAGCAUACGUGAUGCUAGAAGUAACAACAGCGAUAGCAAUUUGUUGUCAAGUAGAACAUGUCAAGAAUAAACGGAUAAAACUAUGAUUAUACUCUUUAUAUAAAUCGAUGAUGUAAUUCAAAAUCUUUUUUCUACAUAUAGAAACAUUCAAUCAAUUCAUAAUGUCUUUUUAUAAUUCUAUUUGAUACAUCAUCCAACACUAAAUGUGAAUGUAUCAUGAGAGUCUAACAUCUUAAGCUAAACGGUGUUUAUGACUUUAACUGAUGAUGUUAACUAAUGUCUUUGAAACAUUUAUUAACAAACUUCUUUUACACUUUUAAAAUAUCGACUACAUAUAUUUUAAAAUAUUUUUAUUAUAUUUGAUUCUUUAACAAGUUACACGAACAACUUCUUAACAUUUUUUUCUUUAAAAAAAAAUUUCACAUUUCUCAUUUUAUCAUAUUCAUUUUCCACAAUGGAUGACAUCAAAUGUGGGGGACAUGAAAACGUUGUAGGUAUAGACAACAACAAAAACAAUUAACAACAAUACAUUUUAAAAAUCAACAAUAAAACAAAACCUUCUUUUCCCCCACUUUAUCUUUGUAUAUGAUUUUUCUUUGAGAAUAUCGUCACAACCAUAAUUAGAUACAUAAAUAUAAUAACUAAAAAAAAUAUCACAGCUAACAUGGGGUGACUAAGAUCCAAAAUGAAUCAUGCUGGCUUUGAAAAUGAAAGCACAAAAGAGUGACAUCAAUCGAAUAAUUUAGUGUGCGGCGACACGAAGUUGCGUAUGUAAUUAUAACAAGAUAGGUUAGUGAGAGUGACAUGUAUUUUGAAGGAUUGAAUAUGGUUUGGUUUUUGGUUCAUGUUCAACUUACUUGUCUAAAAAGUUAAACUUAAUUUUUGCAUUUUAGGGGUUUAAAAGUAGAUAAUGGACCACCUUAUCUAUGCUUCAAUUGAAGAAAUGGUGAUAUUAUUGAAUCAAUAGGAAGGGACAAUUUAAAGAGAUGGAUGAUAAUGUGGCAAGAGAGUUUUAGCCAAAAAAAAAAAACGUGGCAAGAGAAUUGUUAGUUAUAGCACUCUUAUUUAUUUAUUGGGUCACACCAUUUUCCUUAAUUUUUUUUAUUGAGAAUAUGUUGAUUGGGUUUCAUAUACUAACCAUGAUCAGGAAUUUUUUUAGAAGUUUUAAUGUUGUGAAUUCAGAUCAAAAUUCACAUUAAUAUUUGCUCAUUUGGUUAAGUUUAAAUUUGACAUACAUUUAAUUCUUUAAAAAGAGAAACAAAAAAAAUUACAAGAAAUUAACAUCAACAAUGACGGUCAUAAUUUUUAUCCUUUGUCUGAAUCUCUUGAUGUGGUCAAAAGACUCAAUGAUUUAUUCUCUAGGUGUACACAAGUAUUUUCCAACCCUAAAAUCUAUUCCAAAAGAAACAAUAUUUAUGUAUCUUAAUUUGCUUGAUAAGGCCUACUUUGCCUCACUCCCACCUCAUUGUUAGAACUAAAAACUGGAGCCUUUUAUAUAUGGGUAUCACUCUGCUUGUCUAACACUUCAAGAAACAACUUUGCGGACAAUUGCCAAAAAAAUAAGCAAACAAAGUGAAACAAUCACUUUGUUUGUCUUCCACAUCAUGAAAUGGCCUUAUGAAAUAUGUAUUGUCAAGCAAGAAAACCGCAUUGUUUUUCUACUCUUUUGAGAAACAAGUGGCAUCAUCAACUUUCUUGAGAAGCAAAAAAAAAAAAAACUCAAAAUGCUAACAAAUGUACUUACAUUUAUCCAACAAUGAAAUUAUCACAUCAACAGAGAGAUUCAAAUUCAAGUCCUUGUAAAAUUCGGUUUGAAUUCAAUUAUCAAUUAUUCCAAACUAAAUUGACACUCUAUUUUAUCUACACACCUAUAUUAUUAUUAUUUUUAGGGUUAAUUAUUGAAAUUGACAUGUAAUAUAAACGAAGUCUCAAAAUGACGUUGUUAAAUAAAAAUCACAUAUUCUAACCCUGUAAUUCGAGAUUCUUAUUAUUUAUGAUCAUGUGAUAUACGUAAAGUCCAAAAAAGCAACCUAAAGAUUUAAUUUUUUCAUGAUUUUUUAGAGGCAUGUUAAGAAAGUUAAAAUAUGAACUGACAGAAAAAAUUAGAAAUUUUCGAUAAGCAACAACUUAAUUAUGAAUUUUUAAAGCGUCAAAAGCUCAAAAAACAAGAAUGAAAAUCUCAACCUAUAAAUCAAAUUGUGAGCUCACUAUUUGUAGAGGCAUCUAUAAAAAUACACAAAAAGGAUCUACAAAGUUUCAUAGCGUUUAGAAGAAGUUUCAAUUUAUUUUUGUUUUCCAACUAAAACGUGCAAAAUUGAAAUUUUGUUUCUAUUAAGCGACUCACAUGUCAAAUUUUAUUCCCUAAUUUUGUAGGCAUGGUCAGAACAUAAUGAAUUUUUUCAGUUUUUAAACGAGAGACAAAUUAAUUAUAAAUUGUUUAAGAAAUUCAUAAUUAUGGGGAAUAAAAUUCAUAAUUAAAGACAAAGUGGUCCUUUUAAGUUUCAAAAGUCUCAAACAAGUCCUUUUAGUUUUUGAAUCGUUUCAAACAAGUCCUAUUGUAGAUAGCAUAGUUGGUAAUUGCUUCCUUCAACUCAUCUUUGGUACCAAAUCUGGCUCCUAGCACCCACUUAAAAUUAGUCAUCUUUUUAGGCAUGACAAAUGGUGGAUAAUGCUCUUUGUUGCUAUCAUCUGAAUCAUCACCAUCAUCCUUUAAAAGGACUUGUUUGAAACGAUUCAAAAACUAAAAGGACUUGUUUGGGACUUUUGAAACUUAAAGGACUUGUUUGGAACUUUUGAAACUUAAAGGACCACUUUGGAAAAAACGAAAAACUUAAAUGACUUUUAGAUGCAUUUGACCUAAAUUGUCAUUCCUAGAAACGGAAAAUAACUUUUGUUCCUGAAACAGUAAUUAACGUUUUCUCUAUAUUUCAAUCUAAAUAAGUGAUUUUCACAUAGAUCUAGGUUUUUUCUUUAUGAUUUCAUCAUCUAAGUGUGGUGGUUUGUUGUUCGUCGUCUUGUGCGGCGCUGUUUGAUUUUCCGUCUUCUUGCGGUGUUUAUUUGAUUCAUAUUGAAGAUUGAUUAUUCAAUCAAAGAUUUGGGCGUCAACGUUGCAGAUCUGGAGGCCAUGGAUAUUCCGGCCACUUUAAUUUUAUCAUAUAUUUUUGUAGGCAUUAUGCUGUUAUAUAUGCUAUUAACUUGGAUGUUGUGAGUAUGUUCGCAGAUUCAUUCUUUACGUUUUUAGCGGUGUUGAAUGAUAUAGUCUCUCGAUUUAAAUAAAUGAAUAUCAUUUUGUUUUUGUCAAACAAUAAAAAAAACUAUCAUUAAUCAACCAAACAAUAAUUAAUUACUGCUAGAGCUAUUUUCGAACGUUCAAGGUGCAUAUGAACAAUUCAUAGGUGCUAAAGAGCAAUUUUCGGAAAACAAAGUGUAUUCAACGGACAAUGAACAAGUGGGUCUUAAUACAACCAUGUGAAGAAUUUAUUCCACACCCCUAUAUUUUGCUUGGAAAAAAAUAACUUUGUUGAAUAUAAAUGAUAUAAAAAAUUCCUGAUAAAUAUGAGAUUAUACAGUUUUACUGGUAAAUAUGAGUUAUUAUAUACACCUCUUAUAAAUAAAGGGAUACUCCCUCCAUCCCCAAUUAUUGGAAGAAAAAAAAAACUCUUUGUUUGUCUCAAAAUAUAAGCAAAACAACAAGUGUGACAAAUUAAAAGUAUGGUGCACAAAUUAAAAGUAUGGGCGUCAACAUUGCAGAUCUGGAUGCCAUGGAUAUUCUGGUCACUUUAAUUUUAUCAUAUAUUUUUGUAGGCAUUAUGCCGUUAUAUGCUAUUAACUUGGAUGUUCUGAGUAUGUUCGCAGAUUCAUCCUUUACGUUUUUAGCGGUGUUGAAUGAUUUAAUAUCUCGAUUUAAAUGAAUGAAUAUCAUUUUAUUUUUGUCAAAAAAAACUAUCAUUAAUCAACCAAACGAUAAUUAAUUACUGCUAGAGGUAUUUUCGGAAGUUCAAGGUGCAUAUGAACAAUUCAUAGGUGCCUAAAGAAUUUAUUCCACACCCCUAUAUUUAGCCUUCUACUCCUACUAGUUUGAGACAGGGCAUAUUUUGCUUGGAAAAAAAUAACUUUGUUGAAUCUAAAUGAUAUAAAAAAUUCCUGAUAAAUAUGAGAUUAUACAAUUUUACUGGUAAAUAUGAGUUAUUAUAUACACCUCUUAUAAAUAAAGGGCUACUCCCUCCAUCCCAAAUUAUUGGAAAAAAAAGCUUUUUAUUUGUCUCAAAAUAUAAGCAAAACAACAGGUGUGACAAAUUAAAAAUAUGGUGCACAAAUGAUUUUAGUCUUUAGAUUUAUUUUUCUUCACAAUAAUACCAUGUACCCAUCACACCCCUACUAAAUUCUAAUGCUUCACCCCAACUCUCGCAUACUUUUCACUAUUAGACCCUUAAAUUCAAAGUUAGUACCGGUCUGUUUAGUUAACCCAAAAAAAGAGUUUUUAGCUUUUAGCUUAUAGCUUAUAAGCUCGUUUGACAAAAAAAGCUCUGUUUGGUAACACUUUUUCACCAUGAGCUUAUAGCUUAUUUCACGAGCUUAUAAGCUAUUUUUCAGAAGCUAUUCCAAGUAGCGUUUGAGCUUAUAGCUUAUAGCUUCUCACUUUUUCUUCCAAUUUUACCCUUAUUAUUUCAUUUAAAUUGUAUUUUUAUCCAUUAUAAUUUUUAUAAUAAACUACGUAAUAAAGACUACUAUCCCGUUAUUCCAAUUUUUGUAUAUAUAUCAGCUGACCUUUUUUUUUUUUUUUUGAAAAAAUAUAUACCUUUGUUUUUUUUUUACGAAACAAAAUACUAUUAUUCUAUUAGUGUUACUUUUUUUUUUUUUGAGGUAAGUGUUAUUUUCUUUAUUCUCUGUUAUUAGUAUUACUCUAUUAGUGCUACCUUUUUUUUUUUGUUUUUGAGGUAAAUGUUAUUUUUUUUAUAAAGUGGAAACACUUAAAUGAUAAUAAAUAUAAAAUAAAAUUUUAGUGAAUAAAAUUUAAUUUAAUUUAUAAUACAUAGGAUAUAUUAAAUUAAUAAAUUUAAAGUAUUUUUUUAAAGAAAAAUUAGUUUACAAAAUUACAAAUACUUAAAUUAAUGAUAUAAUUUUUAUUAUGAAUUAAGAAUACCCUUUAUGUCAUUUUACAUUUAUCAGCUAGUUGAACCGCUAUUUUUACCAAACAGAGCCUACAUACACAACACCUAACAUGUUUCUCAUCUCCUUAAAUUCUUCAACCUUAAGUGGUUUUGUUAAUAUAUAAGCUUGUUUGAGUUUUGUUAAUAUAUAAUACUUAGUUUCAUUGUGUUUCUUGGACCACACGCAACUGGAUUUUUGGCUAAGAAAAUUGCAUUAGUUGUUUAUCACCGCCAAAAAAUUGCGUGUUUUGAGAAAUUUGAGGACACAAAUAUGAGUUUGAGAACCCUAUCACUUAACUUUCACACUGCUUCUUAUCAUCAUGAAUUAACAAACCAAAAUAUGAAGUACCUUUUAGAUAUUUCAAAAUUCUUUAUGCAUCAAUCGUAUGUGAUUGAUUUGGAUUCAAACUCUAAUUCAUUAUCUCCUUAAUUAAGUAUCACAUUCAUCAAGAAUUAACGUGAGCUUUCUUAACAAAAUUCAUUUUAACACUCUCACUUUUAUUCGAUAAACAACAAGGUCAUAUUACUUUGGAGACGAAUCCUUUAUAAAGUGGUAGGAUCCAUACGUAUUUUGUUUUAAUAAGAGAGUGAAUGUUAAAAGGUACGUUAAAAUGAGUGUUGUUAGCGUAUUUUACGAAGUAAUGUUUUGUUAAAUAUAAAAGAUGAAAAUAACAAGUGGAGUCAGAUAAUUUAGUUUUCUCUUAAAUCAAGACCACAUAAAUUGCCCUUCUCAAAUAAAGAGUAAAUUAUUUUUUGUUGUUGUUGUUGUUGAUAUAGAGAGUGAACCUCUUUCAAUAAUGGAAAUUUCUCUUUAGAUAAUUGUUCUAAGACACUUUGAUCAAACAAAAAAUGAUAUUUGUACAACUACUUUAUUAUAAUUUUUUAACAAUUUAUUAUCUCGGACUUAUAUUAUAUUAUUAUUCUCUCUCUUUAUUUUUUUCUCUCUAUUGUUUUGGACAAAUGAGAAGAGAGGAAAUGAAAGUUGUCAUCAAAGUUGUUACAUAUGGUUGUACAUAUAUCACUACUCUUAAUCAAAAUAUUUCCAAUGAUAUUAAAUUUUUGUAUAUAUUUUUUUCUUUGUUUUUGUAUUGGUAACUUAUAUGUGAUAAUAAUUCUCUUGUAGCAGAAAACAGAAAAAGAGACAAAAAAUAAAAAGCAGAAGCUUGCUACAAAACAACUCCCAAACACAUAAGGGAAUUAAACCACCACUUAUGUUAGUUUAAAGAAAAGUUAAUGUGAUUCGUUUUCAACCACAAAAAAGAUUAAAGUUUAUUUUUUUUUUAGAAGAUGUUGAACCGCAUUCCCCUUUUGUUGGCGAAUCUGAACAUUUCUUUCCCGCCAAAUGACCCAGACAUAUGAAAAUCAAAUUAGAUGAAGAACUAAACAGAUUCUUUUAAAGACCGCCUAGUAAUCCAAAUUGAAGAAGAUGACUUUAACAUGUUCCAGAUAUUUCUAACAACAUAAAAAUUGAAAAUCUAUUUUCUUCAAACAUAAGGAGGUAAGAUAUAAACUAGUUAAAAAUCUUUUUUUUAGAUAAUAAAUAAACACAAAUAGCUUCAGAUUUUUUUUCUUUCAAAAUCUCUAAAAAUAAUCUCCAGAUUUCUAACACAAAAUCUAUUUUUUUUCUUAAAGUAAAACAAACAUACCCUAAAUUUUUUCAUGCUUCAGCCACGUCAAGAAAGAGGUAAACCGCAUUAAUUUUUUGGAUAAUGAUGAAGGGGUACGAAUUGCUGAUGAACAAGGCAUGAGUCAGGUUGCAAAAGAAUAUUUUGAGACUUUAUUUUUAGAGAGCAAUAGUACUCGUGCACCGGUUGGUAAUAUAAUAGAAAAAGUUGUGUCUGAUGAUGAUAAUAUUAUGCUAACCGCUCCCUUUCAGGCUGAAGAAUUUAAGGACGCUAUGUUUUCUAUGCAUCCAGAUAAGUGUCCUGGUCCGGAUGGUUUUAAUCCGGGAUUUUUUCAACAAUUUUGGUCUGUCUGUAAUUCUGACAUUUUUCAGGAAUGUUGUGCGUGGCUCAAACAUUGCAUUAAUCCCUAAAGGUAAUGAGCAAAGAACCAUGAAGGAUUGGAGGCCGAUUGCUUUAUGUAAUGUGUUGUACAAAUUAGUGGCAAAAGUACUUGCUAACCGACUCAAAAAAAUCUUACACGAAUGUAUCUCUGAGAGUCAGUCAGCUUUUGUACCAGAGCGCUCUAUUCUUGAUAACGUCGUGAUUGCUAUUGAGGUGGUCCAUCAUAUGAAAGUUGGUAAGAGAGUUUGAGAUAAAAAUGUUGCACUUAAAUUAGAUAUUAGUAAGGUGUAUGAUAGAAUUGAUUGGCUUUAUCUCAAGGAAGUGAUGCUUAAAAUGGGUUUUGACAGUAAAUGGGUACAAUGGAUUAUGAUGUGUGUUGAAACUGUUGAUUACUCUGUCAUCGUUAACAAUGAGUUGGUAGGUCCGAUUAUACCGGGUAGAGGUUUGAGACAGGGUGACCCGUUGUCGCCUUAUUUAUUUAUUUUGUGUGCUGAAGGCUUAUCCCCUCUUAUUCGGAAAGCAGAACGAACUGGAGACCUCCAUGGCGUGUCUAUAUGUACUAAUGCACCUACCAUUUCUCACCUAUUGUUUGCAGAUGAUUGCUUUUUGUUUUUCAGGGGUGAUGAUAAUGAGGCACAAGUGAUGAAGAAUAUUCUCCAUACUUAUGAACUUGCUUCGGGGCAGGCCAUUAGUCUUCCAAAGUCUGAGGUUUUCUUCAGUACUGUUAUUCCAUUGCCUUUGAAGGAAACUAUUACUAAUAUAUUAGGUGUCCGAGCGGUGAUGGGCACGGAAAAAUAUCUUGGCCUUCCGUCUAUGGUGGGCAGAAGUAAAGAGGCGACUUUUGGUUUUAUCAAGGACCGUAUUUGGCACAAAAUUAACAGUUGGAGUAGUAAGUGUUUGUCCAAAGCUGGUCGAGAGGUAAUGAUCAAAUCGGUACUACAAUCAAUCCCAUCUUAUAUUAUGAGCAUUUUUUUACUUCCAAAUAAGCUUGUUGAUGCAAUAGAAAAAUUGAUUAAUGCUUUCUGGUGGGGCCAUGGCGGUAAUAUGCGUCGUGGAUUACAUUGGAUGUCCUGGGAAAGAUUGUCUGUUCAUAAAUUUUUUGGAGGCAUGAGCUUUAAGGAUUUGACCUCUUUUAAUGUGGCUAUGUUAGGGAAACAGGGAUGGAGGUUCCAAACAGAGUCUAGCAGUCUUGUUUGUCGAUUAUUUAAGGCUAGAUACUUUCCUAAUUCUGAUUUUAUUGGGUCCAAAAUUGGGCAUAACCCAAGCUAUGUUUGGCGAAGCAUUUUUAGUGCAAAAAUUGUGGUGAAACAGGGUGCACGAUUGCGGAUCGGUUCAGGGGUCAACAUACCUUUCUUGGGAGCCCUUUGGCUCAAUGAUGGUUUGUCUUUAUCCACAACUAAUCCUAUUUUUGAGCCUUUGAUGCAGGUGAAAUUAUGUGACUUUAUCGAGCAAGAUGUUAAAAUGUGGAAGGCGCCUCUUAUUCACAGUUUGUUUGAUGCGCAAACUGCGGAGCUCAUUCUCAAUACACCAUUGCAGCCACUUGUAUUGGAGGACAAAAUGAUUUGGAAAUGGGAGAAGAGUGGUACGUAUUCUGUCAAGAGUGCUUAUAGAAUUUGUGUUACUGAAAUUGCAGACAAUUCGCAUAUGCAUGUCAAUGGCCGGUGGAACCUUACUUGGAAACUAAAAGUGCCUCCUAAAAUCAAAAUUUUUCUUUGGCGUGUGUGUCGUGGUUGUUUUCCAACACGUGCUCGCUUAAAUAGUAGAGGAGUCUCUUGCCCACUUGAUUGUGUUCAUUGUAAUCAUAAUUAUGAAGAUAAUAUUCAUAUCCUUAUUGAGUGUCCUAAAGUUGUUCAAGUUUGGCGGAAUGCGAAUUUAUGGGACACAAUUGGCAGGGUGAUCCAUCAAGACUAUAAUAUUAGUGCUCUCAUUUUCACCCUUUUACAAAAUCUAUCUUCAGGGAAAUGUGAGCUGAUGACAACAAUUAUAUGGAGCCUUUGGAAAUGUAGAAACAUGAAGCUUUGGCAGCAACAACUUGAGACAGAUUCGCAGGUGCUUCAACGUGCAAUUCAUGUACUUGACGAAUGGCAAACAACCCAAAGAAUUAGAUCAAGCAGCAGUAACCAAACCAUAACUCCACAGGUUCGGUCUUUGAGACAAGAGGAUGCAUCCUUUUCUACUUCUCUUAACAGGGUUGGGUUGGGCAUGUGUCUUAGGGAUGAUGAUGGCGCUUUUGUACUUGCAAGAACAGAAUGGUUUGCCCCUAUUUGUGAUAUAGAUGUGGGGGAAGCUGUUGGACUACACACGGCUUUGGAUUGGCUCUCUAAUCAAAAAUUUGAUAAUGUAGAUUUUGUGCUGGAUUGUAAAAAGGUUGUUGAUUGUGUCAAUUCUAGUCUAGAAGAUAGUAGCGAGUUUGGAUGUAUUAUCACUGCUUGUAAACAGCUGCUAGUUGAUAGUUUUCAGAACUCUCAUGUUGAGUUCAGCCGGAGGCAAGCAAAUAGGGUAGCUCACGAGUUAGCUCAGGCAGCCCUAUCUAAUCCUAGCCCCCAUGUGAUUGAUGAUAUACCUACAUGUAUUUGGCAUAUUUUAUCUAAUGAAGUGCAAUGAUUUCCUUUCCUAAAAAAAAAAUGAAGAAUGGAGGGAGUAGUUUUGUCAUUGAAUAAUUAUGUGAACAAGACUCACGCAUUAGCCAAAAUAAUAUAUUAGAUGAGAACAAUUUUUUUGCACAUGAGAUAAUAAUAGUUUGGCUGUGUGAGAAAGAAAGAAAUACCGAGAGAAUAUAUAAAUGUUUAAGAAAUAAAAUAGGUUUUUUAUAAAAAAAAAAAGAAAUAAAAUAGGUUUGAUGUAUCGAUUGGUAUCCUAGAAGUAGAGGAAAGAUGAAGAAAGAAUUAAGAAGUGUCGAUAGUUUUUUAAAAUAUGAUAAUGCCCCUAAAUUAAAAAAGUUCUUCUACUUAAGCUAAUUUAAACUUUUUUUAAUUUAAUUAAUUAACCUUUCUUUUUUACAAUAAUUAAGUACUCCAUAAUUUCAGUGAUUACAUUAAUAUAACUAUUUAUUGAUUCAAAGUAUGUCAAAUAAUUCUAUAGAUUUUGGUUUGUUUAGUGUGAGAUACGAUUGACUUAAUUUCAAAGCACUCCAAUUUAUAGAAUUAUUGAGAAAUGUAAGUACUCUCAACUGUGCAUAAAUUAAUCAUCGGAUUAUUUAUUUUUCCUUCAAAAAUUCUCAAUUAACAAAAUUACUAUCAAUUUUUAUUGCAGCAUACAUAUACUUUAAAUGAAGAAAAAACAAUGUAAUAGUUGAAACUCAUGAAACCAAAAACAAUGUAAUAAUGAAAACUCUUGAAACCAAAAUUGUGAAAGUAUCUUUUUCAUAUUUGAAUUCACUGCAAAUUACGUGCAAGGCUAGCAGGUAUAAGAAAAGCAAACAAAUUCGUGCAAAUUGUGAAAUUACAGACCCAAAAGUGUUAUAAUUUUUUUUUGGUUGGUGAAAGAAAGAUAAAAAGUGCAAGUGGUAUAAUUCUUAAAUCAACUUAGUUAACUUAGUCAAUUCAUUAACACAAAAAGAAAAAUUAGUCCACUAUUUAAUUGUGAGAUUAUUAACAAUUGAGAAAAUAAAUUGAGAGGACUAAUUCAUGCCCGUCCAUUCAACGAAUAAAUUUUAAUCACUUACAUCAAUUUUUUAAUUGUGAGAUUAUUAAUCACUAUUGAAUGAAAAUACUCAUUCUAAAAUAAAUAUAAACAAAAGUGGUAGUUGUUUUUUGAAAAGUGGUAGUUGUUACCAUUCUCACUAUUUUAAUCACAUACAUCAAUUUUUUAAUUACCUUUUAUUUAUAUUGCAUUCCAAAGGGAGUAGGUAAGAUCAAUUAUUAAUAUGAAAAUUGAGAAUAAAUAAAUUUAAUGGUAAAAUUGAUAACAAUUGAAAGACCUUAGAGAAAAUAAAUUUAGAGGAUAAUUAUCAUCGAUUCAUUGUUUAAAAAAUAGUCUCGCAUUCAGUAAAAUGGUAUCAAAAGGAAAGUAAAUUAUGGACGUGGUUAUUUGUCAAUAUCAAGAAAAGAUGAAUGGAACCCACUUAUUGUAACUCUCUGCCUGCCUCUGGUACUCAUUUCAGUCUCAAUUAUUAGUAAUUUUCAUUUUUUAAAUUCAUUGUAUAAAUAAUAUAUGUGACCAUAAUAUAGAUCAUAUAUAUCAUUUAUUCAAUAUACUUAAAAAAAUGAAAAAUUGUCUGCUUGUCACAUUAACCAAAGUUUUACUAAUUUCUUAGAUCUAUGAAUAAGUUCUACAUUACUCUUUAUCAUCACUCACUUUGUUCCUCUCAAUCACCAUCCAAGACAAUAGUUUGUCUCAGUCAUGAAUUCUCAAAGAAAUGUUAGAUUGAUUACAUUAUCAAAAUAAAAGUGAGAAGUAGUACUAGCAAAUACAGAUGUGUAAACAAUAAGUCUCAAUAUAUUUUUCUUGCAAAUUAUUUUGUUUCCUUGGGCCCUUAUUAGGGUUUUGACCUAGCCACACAAAACCCAUCAAUCUCUCAUACAAUAAAUCUAAACCCUCCAAUCACUCAUCUACUAGCCGUCCGAUCAACCAUCUUUCAUUAUAUAACCAACCAUACAACUAUCUCAUUCACCAUCCGCCGUUACCAUCCACUUCUAUUCCUCUUGGCCCCUUUUCUAAAAUUAGGGUUUCUCAAUUAUUAGGGUUUUUCAAUUUUCUUAAUUUUUUUGUUCAAUUUUUGAAUUAGGCUUCACUAUCUGGUCGAUGUGGAUCAAUUCAAUUCCCAUUCAGACUCGUUCCCUUGAAGCAAUAUUAAUAUGUGUUGUUCCUUCAUUUCACUUCCAAAACCCCCUUUUUUGGUUUUGGGAGCAUGAAAGAACAACUAAAUUUUAAAAAAAAUCGUAUUUUUAUCAAUGGGUUUUCGUUUUUGAUUAAUUUGAGCAAAUGGGUUUUGCUAGUUAACUGUGAUGAGUCUUUAACAGACCUGUAAUGAAUUGCGGGUAUGAUCGCAUUUUUAUUGAACAUCUAAGGGACUGAGUUAACUAGUUAAUCUCCCAUUUUCUUAUUAAUUUUUGUUUUUAUUUUUUGUUAUAAUCCAUUUAGUGGCUUCAGAUUUUGAUUUUAAUUAUGCUUGCACCUAAUUUAUUGUGUUUGCAAUGUUCUAUGAAGCCUAUAAUUGUGUUCCCCUCGCUAUCCACUACUGCAAAUCUAAUGCUGUAUAUGGACGUCGGGGAACAAAAUUUCAAUUUUUUUUUACCAUGUGAUUAAAUGGUUUAAGCCGUUUUGAAUUAUUGCUUCUAGAUCUAUGUUUGUUUGUUAAUUUGAUUUGAAUUGUAGAUAAGGAUGAAGCAAUAUAUAUAAUCCAACACUUGAUCUGAUUUUGUGAUGCCAAAUAUAUUUAUUAUGUUUCUGAAUCUACAUUUUGGGCUAUAAUCGUAAUGUUUUGCUUGUAGGUUAAUUUAAUUUAUAUUUUGUAAAUAUUUGAGGAGUCUUAAUUUGCACUAUCAUGUGAUGAGUUUGGAAUAAAUCUUAGGACACCUUCCUACACAACAUAUGUUGUGGAUGAGAUGAAUUAUCCUUUCUGAUGAUGUUUACAAAUUUCUCAUUACUCUGUCACUAAGUUAUUUUCUAGCUACAUUUUAAUUUUUUAUGUGUUUGGCCUUCAUAAUCCCAGUUAAGAUUGAAUUUUUUUCAAGUGAUUACACUGAUUCAUGGAAGGCCAACAAUAAGUGUUGGAAGUUUCGCUGAUAAAUGCCUUUAAUUGAUUUUACAUCAGGGUGUUUACUAGUAACUUUACCGCACACUCAUUUCUAACUUUACCGCACACUCAUUUGGAAUAAAUCUUAGAUCAAAUACCCAGUUAGUAUUAGUGUGACUUAAUAUACGAUUGUUUUAUGGGUUUAUGAUGCAACUGGAAUUAGUCGGAAUUGUGACUGGAAUGAAAAGGUUAAUGUUAACAAAUAUGCGGCUGAUCUUGACCACUGUAUCUGGAUUCACUCUUUAAUUUCCUAGUACGGAGCAUUGGUUAAUUAAACAGUCUCAAGUUCAAGUACAUUUCAGUAUGGUUUCAAUGACGAAAAACUAGCAUGAUAUAAAAACCCUAAAACAAAUUCAAGUUAACCAACAAAUGCAAGACAAUACUAGAAAGAAGAAACUAGCAUUGCGAAAAACUUAGUGUGAAACAAGCUUAAGGCAGUAGAUGGUACUAGUUUAAAUUCAAGCAACAAUUACUAUCAUCUUACAAUACUAGAAACUGGCAUUGCUAGUUAUCAAGAGACAAGAGCAUCCACAAUGGGGCAUAUUUUUUGGUAUGGUGCACAAAUAGCAAAAUCACCAUUGAUUUAAUAUUUAAAAAUUCAACGGUCAGGAUUGCACACCUGGUAAUUGACUAGCAGGUAUUUCGUAAUAGUAUUCGAAAUUGCAGAAAUAUCCUAUGAAUUUAUGUAAUUAAAAUUAUAAAUUGUAGAAAUAAACCUUGAAAUUAAUGUAAUUAAAUUUGUAAUUUGAAAUUAAUAUAAUUAAUUAUUUCUGUUAAUAAAAAAAAAUUAUAUUUUUAAAUAAUCAAAGAAAAGUAUUUUAUAUUAGGCCUUUUUUUUUUCCCUUGUUAAAAAAAAUAUAUAAUUGUUGUUUUAUAAACAGAAUAAUGAAUAAUUUAUGGAUUUUUUUUUUAAAGACGAAGUCAUUAUUUAUUUAUUCCCCUUAAUUAUUCAUCUCUUCAAACAAAUAUUUGAGUUUUAAUAAGGUUUUAAUAAGCGAUGAACGAUGAAGAUGGUGACCGAUGAAAUGUGCGGUGAAUGCAGGUGUGCCAUCAUCGGCGUUUUGAGAUGGACGAUGACGAAGAUUAGGUUAUUUGAGUGGGUAUUCCGAACCGUUUUGAGGGCAAUAAGAUUGGGCUUUUUAGGUGGACCGGGCAAAAAUUAAUGGGUGACGGCCCAAAUAGAAGGUUCUGUUAAGGGUUGUUUUGAAUCUUAGCAUUGGUCGACGGCUGUGAAGAAAUUUGUAGGUUUGAAUUUUGAAAAUCUCUUCAUCGGCAGUGUCUUGUUGUAGCAGGUAACUUCAAUGUUUGAGUUAUAUUAUAAUCAUGUUAUUUACUAGAUGUUGUUGUUACUGCAGCGAUAUAAUUGAUCCGGAGUUGGAAGAAUUGAUGCCCAAUUUUGACUCACCUGCGGACGAAAAUCCAAGUGAAGAAGAAGUUGAUGGCCCAGUAUUUGCACAAUUACAAAAUUUUCAAAACGGUGAUCAUAUUUGGAUGUUGUUGGGAGUUUUUCUGGAUGGUUUUAAUUUUAUUUUUGCUGGAUUAUUUGCAUAUGGGCGCCUCUAUGGUUGGAAAGUAGUCAUUGUAUUUGUUUUGUAUGUGUAGGAUAAUUGAAAGUUGGAAUUGUUGUUGAUGAAAUGGACAAGAAUAUGAAUAUGAAGUUGUUGAUAAAGGAUAUUGGUUAGAGAAAUACGUUUCAAGUGGAUGGGUUGAGUUUGUUAGGGCAAAAGAACUCAAACAUGGAGAUUCGUUGAUCUUCAACAUUGAUAAUCUUCGACAACAAAUUAUUUGUAAAAGUCAUUAGGUGUGAUAGUUAGGUUGUACAAAUUAUUAUUAUGUUGCCAAUUUGGUUUGAUAUGCGAACACCAGUUUGAUUGCAACUAAACCGAUAACUACAUUGUACCCAGUUUAAAAACCUUAAAAAGCCACCAAUUAAUUGUUAAAGUCGCGACCACCGUAGUGGUGAAGUCAAGGGUACCACCGUAGUGGUGAAGUCGUGGUGAAGUCAAGGCUGGAAUAUAUCCAAACCGAAAAUAAGUUUCAACAUCCAAAAACAUAAUAAGGGCAUUAGAUGAUUACAUUUCAUAAAACAUAAUAACUAAUAUUUGGCUUCUUACUCCUUCAUCAUGCUCUUACUGGUGACGGAUAUGUCGAACAUACAUUUUUUUAGGCGGGUCCUCCAGUUGGAAUAACAAUUUGUCAUUCACCUUUAAACCACGGUCAACAACAAAUUGAAACCAUCCACCACCUAAACUCUUCUCAUGGUUCUUUCUUGGGGCUGUCCUAACCCAACAUUGAUAGGUCUUGCGUGUUUCCACAUCCUCCAUCGGCAUUCUCAAAUAUCUUUUUUUCAACACCUUUCUUGAUACUGAAUUUGGAAAAUGCUACAUGUACGAAGGAAACAAAAAAUUAACUUAUAUCAUCAUAGGGUUCAACUACCGAUGGUAGACAACAACAAAAAAAGAUACUUAGGUAUUUGUUUGUUUCACAUUAUUCAUGAAAUGAGUAAACCAUAAACCAUGAUUGGUAAAACAAAUGAAGAUAGAGAAAUAACAUAUAAUUGGAAAAAUAUUAUGAAGUUGACAUACCAGCACUUGAAGCUUUUUAAUGGAAGCCAAUGCUUUUGUGACAGUCUUCUCAAAGUGAUAGAAAUUAAGGUUUUCAGGUUCUUCUUCCUCAUGUUCUGCCUCCUCUUCCUCUUCAGUUUCGUCUUCCUCUACAGUUUCAUCUUCGUCUUCGUCUUCCUCUUCCUCCAUUUCGUUGUCAGAUACAAUCUGAAUUGGCUCCUCUUUAACACGUGUCGGGAAUACAUUUGGAACUAGGAUGUUUCCUAGUGGAGUCAAUCUAAAGAAGUUCUUUGCACCGUCAUAGUCUAGCCUAACUCUUGUUGGAACUUCGCAACCAAAUACCUUAGCAACCCUAACUCCCGGAGUCAUAUACACACCUACGUCAUCUUUUCCAAAAUGUGUUGUAAUGGUUAUCUCUUCAUCAUUUCUUAACAUUCCAGGAGCUUUUAGAUUGAAUUCUUUCUUAUUGUCCUUGUAGUACUGCUUUGGAAUACGUAUCCUCCCCUAAAUAAAAAAAAUAUUGUUAAGUGUGAAUCCGUGAAAAAUUAAUGUAUGUAAGGAUCGAGGUUUUUUUUACCUGUUCAGGCCAGAUGAUGGUCUCCAGAAUGUCACCUCUUAUACCUUCCUUCGACAUCCAUCUACAAUACAACAUAUGCAGAAGAAUUUAAUUUCAAAUUGUCACAAAAAUAGUACGUAAUGGAUAAAGUCGGAGUACAAAUACAACAAAUAUAUAUACACUUAGAAAGAUGAAAUUGUCAGAAACAAUGUUCAAAAUAAAUUAAAAUUGAGGCAGUCCAAAAGUGAAAGUAUGCAAGGAGACAAUUUAAAAUAUAAAAACGAGAAAAACAUCAGAAAAAUAUGCAUUGGACUUGGAUUUUUCACUAUUUGAAGGGGUGUAAAAAGAAGUUAUGGGCUUGUUUAAUAAAAGAAAAGAAACGGGUUGAUUGUAGCCCAAUAAUUCUUCCUCUCUAACCUAGAGAGUGAAAUGCAUAGUAGAGAAAGAAAAAAACCAGAACUUCAAAAAUGACCAUUUAAAAAAAACAGGCAAAAUUGGUAAAUAACAGAGGGAGAAUAAUAUGUUAGAGAACUGAUGAUGUGCAGUAAUGAAGAAGAAAUAUGUUUAUGUGUAGGAAAUUGGUGUAUAACUUAUGGGUAAUUUGGUAAAUAUAGAUGUCACUGAAAAGUUGAAGCUGCGUUUGCUUUGACGCAGAAGCUUGAACUUGUGGCUUCAAUCAAACCUGCGUUUGGACACUUCAUCAUGUUCUGCACAAUGACGUUUUCUUCUAUCCAAACACCACAGAAAAAACAAGACUCACGUUUAUAGAAGAAAACGCAGGUUUGGAACUUGUGGCUUCAAUCAAACCCGCGUUCGAAUCGAUCGAUCCUUUUUAUGUUUGUUUGAUAAAUCGGUUUUGAUAUUACAGAACUUGAGCGUUUUUGAUGCAAAUAAACUCUAAUGCCAUAAUAACCAUGAUAGUUGUGGAAUAGUUUACCUUGAUGUGUCGCCUUCCAUGAUGAUGGUGAAGUGGAUGAAGUGGUCCCGAAAGGUUUGUCUGCUUCUGAGAAAGGGGUUUGGUGGUAUGACAAUUGUGAAAGUGAUUGUUUGUGAGGAUAAAUGUCCUUAACAUAACAGCCACAUAAUUGAUUUCCAUUUUCCUUUUAAUUUUCCUCCAAAUAUUGACGUUACAACUCUCAAUAUUUGUGACAUUAUUUAUUUUUAAAAAAAUAUUGAUUUCCUUCUGAAAUUUUGAACUUCCAAACAAGAGAUCUACGAACAAGAUUGGAGGUUGGAGAUAACUAAUAAUAUUUGAGGUUAGAGAAGAAAAACAAAACAAGGAUGUAUGUGGUGUUUGAUGAACUUGGUAGGUAGAUCUUUGGAUCCGAAACAAGAUGAACUUUUUUUUUUUUUUGACGAAUAAACAAGAUGAACUUGGUAAUUGUUUCUUCAGAUCCAAAUUAUUUUGUAAUAUAAUCGGCUUUCCUUCAUUUAAUAUGCACACCUUUUUAAUAAAAACCAAUACAAAAACAUUUAUUAUUUCGGGGGCCAAAUGUGUAAUUGUCGAAAAUAUUGUGCUGUGUCUGAAAUAACAUUUAACACAAAAAUGGGGGUCAAUGUCAAAAAGUAUAUAAAACCUGCAAAACCGGCUAUCAUAUGUAUUUCCAAUUAUUUUCAUUUUUGUGCACCAUACCAAAAAAUAUGCCCUUGGGCAGGCUAGAUGCUACCCCACAAUGGUAGUUGCUUAAUGGAGAAUCCUUAAAUGGACUCUAUGUUAAUAAAAGUAAGGACUCAAUGAUUCCAAUGGAAAUAUACUAAUAUAGACUCCAAUGAAAAAUAUUUAAUCAGGUCUCACUAACUUUACAUCAUUAAACAAAAAUAAUUUAUUUAUUAAACCUCAUUUAUUUAUUGGUAUAAACUUAAAUUUCAGCCACAUAACAUUACAACUUUUACAUUCUUUCGUUAAAUAAUAAUAAUAACAACUAGUAUAGUGACCCGUGCCAGCACGGGGAAAUAAAAAACUUUUUUGAUCAUAAUUGUGGUUAUAAUUUAAAUUUGAUAAGAAAAAAACAUCAUCUUAAUUUUGUAUAUAUUUUGAAAUAUCUAAACAUUGCAUAUAACGAUAAAAGUAUUUGGAUUAUUAUACUUGUACUAAUUAUUUGUCGCAUAAGAUGCACUCAUUGUUAAACUUAGCAUAUGUAAUAUUUUUGCAAAAAUACGCCGAUGUACUGUAUAAUAAUAUUUGUUGACAAAAUGUAUUUUAUUAAUCAUAAAAACUAAAAAAUGUGUAUUUUUUUUAUAUAAUAGUUAGUGUCACAUGCAUACACGUAGUCGGUAAAUGCAAACGUUUGUUAUUUGUUUUUAAUUUUUACAAAACAAAUGGUCUAAUGUAAAUAUUGUAUUUUAGGAUAACAACGAUGUAAAAAAAAAAGAAUCCGCGACAAAGAAAUUGCAUGUCUAUAAUGAAAAGUACGCCUUACAAAGAAAUUAAAAAUAAAACGACUUCCAAACAAUAGGCAACUUUAGAUUUCUAAAUUAUAACAACAAGAAUUCUAAAACAUAACAAAUGAUCAUACUUUUUGAAAAACUUCAUGAUAUACAACAUUUGUGGUCUCCUUGUCUCCUUACAAACAUUAUUAUCCCUGGCUUAGGAAGAUAAACCCCCACUCGAGAUAAAGAUUGACCCUGGCUUUUAUUUAUUGUUACAAAACAAAGCGUCAAUGAAAAUUGCAUGCGCCUGAAUUUGAAGGGUAGUCCUGGAUCACUCGGAAUAAGAUUCAUCAUGGAAAUGAAUACCAUAGUACAGCUCUUUUUCCUGUAAUUACGGUAGCAGCUAUCGUGCUCUUCCCUAGGUGUAACUGACAACCUAGUACUAUUACACAGUCCAUUUGUUUGAUCGAUGUUUCUCAUCAGCAUAAUUGGACAUCCCACCCUUAGUUUCAAUCGGUGAUUUGGAAUUCCAGAGGUCUUAAUACCAUGAAGAAAUUCCAAAUGCGAGAUACACCAAACCUAAAAAUGUGAAAAACAACACAACCAACCCAUAUGCGAGAUGAGAAACCUUCUAAAUCCAUCAAGAGCUCUGGAAUUCCAGAUCUCUUAAUACCAUUAAUAAACUCGCAUUUGACUUUAUUAUUAUUAUUCUCCCUUCUAGGGGUUUCUUGACACAUUUCUCCUCUUUCAACUGAUUCAAUAUACCCCUUUUUUUUAUAUGACCUUUGAUUGUUUUGUGAAACUGAGAUUUGGUCGGUUAAACAUGCUUCAUAAUCCGUUAAGGGUUUAAUGUGAAUCAUCAUUGUCUCUGCAGCCCAUGCCACCAUCUUUAGUGGCUUUGUUUUCUAGGAUUGUAAGCUUCACCAUUUGGACGAUUUAGAUUGCGUUGGUGCGGUUUUGUUAUUCAAUUCAUUGUUUCAACUGUUGGUUUCCCUUCUUCGUAUUGGCUUCAGACUCUUUGGCUCGUAAGGGCGCUGACUUAGCGUUAUGGAUGUUUUUUUGUGUUUCAGUUCGUUUGAUGGCCGUUGAUUCUUGUUAAUGUCAUUUUCGUUAGAGUGGGUUGUUGGUUAGUGCAUGCUACAAUGUUUCAUUCAACAUGUUUUAGAGUUGGGUUUUGAUUUUUUGUGGUCGUCUUUAAUUUUGUGAUCCCAAACGUUCAUACACCACUUUUUUUUUUUUUGGAAUAUAGUUUCAUCCAUGUACGUGGGUCUGUUGGAUUGUGCUCGUGAUUAAUGUUCAUUUCUUCAUAUCCUGUUUUUACCCGUUUGCGAUGUAUGUUUAUUACCCAUUUGUGUUUGUUUUACUUUUGUGUAUUUUAGCACUGUUUCUAUUAGCAUCUAUGGUGUGUAGAUUUAUUGGGUCAGGUUUUGGUCCCCCAGUCAUUGUACUUCCUUUUUAUUUUAAUCUACUAUAUCCUUCGCUUGAAAAAGUUACACAAAAAAAUACAUCUUACAUACAAUUAACAUAUAUUUAAGUUAUUUGACAUAUAGGUCACCAUAUAUUUAAAGUAAAUUUAGUAUAAAUUAUAAAGCAGUAAUAAUAAUGUACCAUAUAAAAAUGCCAUUUGAUUUAAUAAAGUAUAGUUUAGGGACCUUGCAGUCGAUUCUAAUUUAGAGAUCAAGUUGGUGAGAGAGUGAUAGUUUAUGACUAAUUUUACUCUUUAUAUAUAUAUAUAUAUUCCUCAAAAAUUGGUCAUAGAUGACUCGCUGAAAACCAAAAUUGUGACGCUGUUUAAGCGAUUGGUUAUAAGAUAUUUCUCAACAUCGGUAUAAUAUCUUAAAGCUAAUGUUUGUAAUUUAUCAUUUGAUUUGCAUGUUUGGCGAGUAAAUCUCUUAGUUUGUCUGGGAUAACUCACUUAGUUUUUUUUUGUUAGAUGGGUUGGCUUUGUGAUAUAUCUGUAUGACUUUUUAUUUGUUACGACUUCAUGCAGACUAUGUUUUUAGAUAGUAACCAUAUAUGUUAAUUUCAUUUUGGAUUCUUCAAAAGGAAAAAAUAUAUUAGUAUAAUAGUAGUGAUUAGAUUUUACAUAAAAAGACAAAAGGGAGUUGACUUUGUAUAAUUAUUUCCAACUAAUCGAUGAAAAAUUUGAGUUUUUUUUUGUUUGAAAGAAGAAAAUGUUUUUUUUGUUUGUAUAAAAAAAGAAUAUAAUUUGGUUGCUUUUUGUGGAAUGAAUGCUAAGUGGUGAAUGAGAUUUAACAAUCAAGGUAAGAAAAUACACGUUCAUACGAUAGAAGCUCGUAAUAAUUAAUAUUGAAGAUAACAUGUCAUGAUGAGAUUAAAUAAAGAUAAUGUGAAAUCCUUAACACUUACAUUGUGUAUUUAAUGUUUUGGAAAAAAAAAUAUUAUGGAGCAAGGGUGAAGUGUCAUGUCACCAUGCUCUUUUUUUUACCGAACUUUGGUGUGUUGGAAAGUUGAGAGGAAAUACAUGAAAUGUUUUGCUUGUUAGAAAAGUUAUUUAUCCAUUAUCAACAAUUUCUCCACUUUUUCUUUUGCUAUUGUUUCAAGUAUAGUGGUAGAAUAUUAAACUACCAACAAUUGCAAUCCAUCAAUGUUGUUACCUCCACAUUGAAAUUGUAAUUAAUGGUUUUUAUUCAUUUAAGAUAUAAUUAACAUGUUUUUAAUAAAACGCUUCUUAGUUCCUUUAUAAUAAAUAACAUUAUCAAGACGAUAUAAUUGAUGUGCAAUUAAAUGGAAAAAUUAUUUCAUUACUCAUGAUAUUUAAAAUAAUAUAUUAUUUUCUCUAAAAAAAAAAAUGCAUUCUUUUCACUUUUUUUUUAUUACUUUCUUUCUUUUCAUUUUUUUUAUUACUUUCUUUCUUUACACUUUUAUAUGAUAGAAAAACAAUGUUACAAUUUCUCCUGUGUCGAAUCUCAAACCGAGUUUCUUGAGAUUGAAAAGAGAAACUCUCAACCAAAUGAUUUCUCGGAAGAUAUGCAAAUAAUGUUACAAUUUAAAAGUGACAUUAAUAAUUUUAAAUGAUAUAUGCUUUUCACUUUUAACUUCUUUUUUUUUUCUUCGUAAAUAUAUAUAUAUAUAUAUAUAUAUAUAUAUAUAUAUAUAUAUAUAUAUAUUUUGAUGAAACUUUGAAAUGUCGCUUUAUGAUUUUUCACAAAUUUUUCAGGAAUUACUAUUAUACAUUUAAAGUGAAAAUGACACGAUUCUUAUUGCCUUUUUCAACAAACAAUAUCAAACUUGGAUUUGAAAUAGAACACCAAAUUAGAAAUUCAAAUUAAAAAUGUAGUAUUUAAAUAUAAAAAAAUAUUCAUUUUGAAUUAUGGGGUUUUCAAAUUCAAUAUUUUGUUUUGUGAGUUAAUGGUAGUAAAUUUUUGACUUUUCAUAAUUUGUUUCCGAUUCAACAUCACUGCCAAUUGAGCAUAAAUUAAAUCCAUUCUCUUGCUUAAUACUCCUAUCAGACCAUAUACAUAUUAAAUUAACACACUCCAAAUAACAUUUGAAUCUAUUAGGCACCUACAAAUUAAACACAUGUAAAUUAUUUACCUUCUAUUUAGAUAGAUACACCUUAUCCCAACAUACCCAAUUAUUUUUUCUUUGUUCCAAACCUCCACUUUAAAGGAACCUUUUAUAAAUUUGAGCUACUUCUUUCGCAACCUUUAUUGGUGCCUUAAAGAAAGACAAAAUGAAAAGCGGUAAGCUACUUACACCGAAUUUACAAGGACCAACCUACCUCGUAUAAACAAAUAUUGACCCUUCCACCACAAAAGUUUCUUCUUCAAUAAAUUUAUUAUCAUAAUCAAUUUUUGUGUUAGCACCUAACGAAAUACUUAAAAGCAUAACUAACGACACACUAUCAAUGUUACAAGAAAGAAAAUAUAAUGCCACCUCCAUAAAGGGGUCAUCCAAAUAUUAAUUCGAAACUUUCCAAAAUAGUUUUGAUGCUCCACAAGUUUUCCCAUAAUCCGUCGUUAAUCAAUAUAGUAUCAUUUGCAUAUUGAAGUAUAUCGAAACAUUUUUUUAUGAAGAAACUAAAUUAGUUAAUUCAAAUUAGCAUCAUAGACAAUCGAACCAGAAACUUUAAGGGGAAACACACUCCGACGACUUAAGUCAACACCACUAGACCAAAGUAUAUCGAAACUUAAUUCAUUAUUUACCUUAAAACUUUUAAAAGCUUCAAUAUUUGUGUGUUAAUAUUACCAAAUUUUCCUUUGUUUGUGUGUGUAUUAAAUUUGACUUUUCAUAUUUCAAUGCAAGUUAGUAGUAUUAAUUAGGGUAUGUUAAUGAAAAAAAAAAUGUAUCUAAUAAUUUGAAAAGGGACUUACAUUUAGGGAUAAAAAGAAAAUCAAAUGGGUACCUAGAUAUAAGGACGGAGUGAGUAAUUACAAACAAUUAACAUGAGUUUCUUGUUAGAAUUAAGAUCGAUGGAUGCAAAAAACGAAAUUUAAGAAAGAAUUUUGAAUUACUCAUAGAAUUAAGAUUUGCAUCAAAUGGUAACGGAAAUCAAAGUCAUAUAUGCACUCUAAGUCGUGUCAUUUACAUCCAUGGUUUAGUAUGUUUUAGUUAUCUCGAGUCCUCAUUUUACAUUUAUUAUGAAUUCAAAUUCAAAUUUGAAUAAUAAUGUGUAGAAUAAUUAUAAAAUAUUUCAUUUAUUCACUUUAAUUUGACAUUUUCUUCGAUCGUAUAAAUUAUAAUGAGUGUUCUUAAUAUACGACGUGUUUAGACAAAUGGGUUCUAGUUAAUAAGCCGUUCAAGCGAGGUCGCCGGUAUAAAUGAGCAUAUUAGAAUUGCCUAUAUAAUUUCUCCAUCGUUUUUUAGAAGCACCUCUAAUUUUUUUUCGCAUGUAUUAAAAAAAUUGGUUUGUAAAUUUAAUGUGUACAUUUCAUACGUAAAAUUUAAUAAUACCCUUUGUAUUAUUUUUAAAGGAAAAUACCCAUUGUAUCUUUAACUUUCAUAUUUUAUUUGGGUAAUGAAUUCUUGCAUUAUUUAUGUUCAGAAAAAAAAAAAAAAAAGGGACAGCUUUGAUGAAAAAAAAAAGCACCUAGUUUUUUGCAAAUGAGCUCAUAAUUAUAUUUAGAGUAAAAAAAUUAUUCAAGUAGAACUUAUUAUUAAAGAGGGAUUAAGUUUCACCCAAACAUUGAAUCGCAUAUAUUCUAAAAUAACAUCUGUUUAAUACAUUAAAUUCCAUUUUGAUAGGUACAAAUCCUGUGCAACAAAUUCAGAUAUCAGAUGGUCUCAAUGUGCAACCAAUUCAGAUACUCACCUCUGAUUUGGCUGAGCAACACAGAGAGGAACAACAGAGUGACAAAUAUCUUGAUUUACGCAUUGUUGGUCAUUGGAGUGAUGUUGUCACCAAUCUAGACUACACUCAAGGUUCCUCGUCAUUGUGUGGCACACUUUCCUCAAGAAUUGAGGUUUUAAACCAAACGUCGCUCAUGAAUUGGAGAUUUUGCGGCCACAUUUCUUGAAGGGUAAUGAUGAUAGGAACUUUGUGCCUCAACUUUACACUGAUGAAGAAGAAAGAGAGGCCGCUAUCAAUUAUCUGAGGAACCGCACUGCUGCUUCGGAAGAGCCCUACAUUGAGGUGGCGUCUCGAUCCACAAAGAAAAAGAAGCAGAAGGGUUUUCGGAUUCACAAUACUCGCUCCGCAAGUAGGUUACCAGAUUGAUUCAUGAGCUUUCUAUGAGUUACUUUCCUUGUUCUUGUUCUUGUUUGUUUUCUUUUCCCCUUUGUUUGUAUGCUUUUAUUUUCUUGUUCUUUUUAAGUUUGGCAUUUGGCCCCUGUUUUUUGUUGCCUUUAUCAUUUGAGAAGGUUUUGGUUAGGUCCCCCUUCUCCUUUUGUCCUUGUUUCUUUUUAUGUUUAUAUAUCUAGGGUGUUGCAGUUGAUUCUUCAUCUGCGCCCCUUUUGUUUGUUUAAAAAAAAAAAAAAAAAUCUAUUAUGAUUUGUUAAAAAAAAAGUUUGAUAUGUUUAAAUACACAUGUCUGGAUUAUAAAUUAAAAUAAAAAGAUUAUCAUUUUCUUUGUAUGUUAUACAUAAUAUUAAAUGAGCUUUGUAACAAAAAAGAUGUAUUAAUUGCUUUAAAAAAAAUGUAUUAAAAUGAGAUAACAGAAAAAAGAAAUGAAAUGAAAGGUAGUAUUAUUAAAAUCAUUGCAAAAUAAAACUUGUCAAUCACCAUAUAAUUAUAAAAAGCACAAGGUAUUUUUUCUUGGUCACAAGACCAAAUCAAUAAUGUUUGGAUACGCGCACAUAAAAAAUUCUCUUUAAAAUAUUCAAUCAUCUUUUUUAUCAAUUUCCUCCUUCUUAUUAAAAAAUACAUAAGAUUUGCAUCAACAACGUUACUCAUAGAAUACAUUUUUCCCUUUGCAUCAUACUCUUGAUACACAAGAUAUAUACAUCAAAUUCAGUUUACAAUAGCAAGAAUUGGCAAAAUUCUCAAACAUGUAGCGCUGCUAAUGCUGGAUUCGACCUGUAAAUCAAAGUUUGGCAAAAAUGUUAAUCAAAGUUCAGCAAAUAAUAGCAAGAAUUAUACACCCCUAACAUGACAAUUAAAAAAAUGAUUAAUAAGAAGUCUACAAAUUCAUCCAUUAGAUCGAUUAGAAUUAAAACGAAAUCAAUGUAUAUUAUAAUUUUUAAAAAUGAUUAGUAAGAAGUAAGAAUGGAAGAUUGUGUUGUACCAACAAAAAAAAGAAGGAGAUAUUAUCACUUCACAAAUAAAUCAAAACAAAACUUCUACAAAAAAAAAAUCAAAACAAAACAAUAGGAACAAUCAAUCACCUUUGAUUCUCUCACAUGAUUAAUUUUAGAAAUUAAACCUUUUAUGAAAUGAGAGCAUGAUAAACAAUAAAAGAAUAAGAAAACAAAACCGAUUUAACAAACCAAGAAAAUACUGGUUUACUAACGACACUCUCAAAUACUAUUUGUGUUGAAUUUUGAAAGUAGUGUUAGUGAAAAGCAUGAGUCUCAAGACGAUUAUUUAUAGCCAAAGAAAUCAAAUAAUCACAACAUAAUUAACUUUGAUUGGUAGAAAAUUAAAAUAAAUGACAAAUGAUUGGUUGAAAUAGCAAACAAUGAUGCUAAUAUAAAAAAUGACCGAGCAAACUAAUGGGUAUGAUUAUAGGCUUAUUAACAAUAUUGAUUAUCAUUUAAAUCCUAUAAAGAAAGGAUAACUAUUUAUUGGAAUUUACAAAUUAGUUGGCCGGAAUCAAUGGAAUUUGGAAUAACUUUGUUUUGCUCGAUCAAUAGUUUAUGGACCAAUUUUAAUGUACUGUUCAUUAUACAAAGAAUGUUUAUAUAUUUUUUAAAGAAAAACUAUUAUUUUUUAUUAAUAAACCUAAAAAAACUAUAUUUUAGAAAGACACAUGAUUAAAAUAACUGAAUGAUUUCAGAAACAUUUUCAAUAGACAGUUUGUCCUUGUUCAUAUCCCUAACAAACCAAAGUUGAAUGACUCGAACCAUGAUAUUCCAAUUUUCUUUCGAAGGGGAAAUAUCAGAAACAUAAUUGAUUUUUUGAACCAUUUGAAGUGUAAAGAGAGAUACGAAAUCGAAAGAAAGAAAAAUGGAGAAUUGAAAUUCUGAUGUGAAGAAAGUGUUAGCCAAGAUGUCUAAUUUAUAGUAUAUUUUACAGGAUAAUUUCGUAAAAUAUUCACAUUCAACUCGACAAUUCAUAUUUAAAUUUAUAUCUUAGUCAUUAAGUAAUACAUUUUUUUUUUGUGAAGCAGCGUAAUUAACUUUUUCAAUCAGCCCAUGACUUAAGGUUUAUUUUAGCAAGUCCGUUAAAUACAAUUAACUGAAAUCAUAUUUUUGAUAUUCUUUGUCAAUCAUCCAUUUAUGAUAUUCUUUGACUAAUGAACUUAAUGAUACGUAUUUAAUUCCAAUUAAUUUUUUUGAGGUUAAUUUUUAAUUCCAAUUAAUCAGCUUCAAUUCCCUUUUUUUUUUUUCUGUCCUAAAAUAAAAAUAGCACAUUUCAAUGAAAUUUAUUGAAAAGAAAGAACAGUUUAAUAAAAACCUUAUCAAUCAGCCCAUGAUUAUUGUUUUUGAUAUUCUUUGCCAAUCAACCAUCUAUAUAAUAUAAAUUUAGGAAAUAGAAUAUCAUAAAAAAAUAAUAAGUUUGCAAUUAAUGGAAAUAGAAUAAAGUAAAUUUUAAUGAGCAAUAAACACCGAAAAUUGAAAUAGAGCAGGAUGAAAGUUAUUACUCAAUUUGGUGUUUAGAGUAAUUAAAAUGGGAAAAUAUCAUAGCAAUGGAAAUAGCAUUUAAUGAGCAAUUAAAUUUUUAUCACUAAAAAAAAAAAAUGACAUAGAGCAACACACUUAAUAAGAAAUUUAAUUGAAACGCUAUUUUGUUAAAAAAAAAAAAAAUUUGUCUAAUACCAUUAAUAUCAUUAUUACGAAAAUAAAAAGUAAGAAAUGUCUAACAUUAUUUGGUGUUUUUUUUUAAUAAACACUAUUAUGCGUUAUUAUUAAUAAAAAACAAAUUUGAAUAAUUCAAUCGAUUGUUUUAUUUUAAUCUUUGAAUUCAAAUAUUUUAAUUCAAAACUAUCUUUUUUGAAAGAAUUUUAAUUUAAACUAUUUGAUUAUUAAAAAAAAUUAUUUGAUUCAAAUUUGUACUUUUUGAAUUCGAAAUGUUUGAUUUCUUCUAAUAUAAAUUCAAGUAAUAGAAUUUGAUAUUGUAAAACUUCCUUUUAUACAUGAACAUUAAAUACAAAUAUGUAAGGAUGAUUGUGGUGAGAGCAUUUUGUGAGGAUCAAUAUGGUGAGAGUAUUUGUAAAAAAGAAAGGGACAUGUGGCAACACCAAAACAAUAGUAAUUCAUUUCCAUAAAAGUCUAUGAAAUAUGUCCUAAAUUUAUAUUAUAUAGAUUCAUUUUUUAGACAUAAUUUAAAAGUACCUAAAUUAGAGUUAUUUUAUUUGCCAAUAUACGACGACUGUGACCGGGUGAGUGCUCUCAAGUUGAGAACUGGUAUAUAAUAUUAUCUUAAUUUAUUUCUCCUAAAAACAUUUAUUCAUUUUAUAUAUUUAUAAUUUAAUUGAGAAUAAUUAUUAUACUCCAAACAAUCUUUAUCUCUAUUAUAAAAAUUUGGCUUCAUGAUUUUAAAAUGUACGUGUGUCACUUCUCCAUUCUAAUGAGCAUCAAUGUCUAAUCCUUCUCAUAAAAAUUGUUUACACAUAUGAUCCAUUUCACAAGACAAUGUCAAUGUAAUUUAGCAUUAAUCAUAGGGAAUAAAAAGAAAUAAAAUCUCCACAAUUUUUAUUUUGAAUUGAAACAAUAUCUACCAUACUAAUUGAUUACCUUAAAUUAUAUCUUUUCAAAAAAAUAAAAAAUGAUCUUAACUCUAUUAUGUUACAGAGACAAAAAAUUAACAUGGUAAAAAAAAAAACAAAAAAAAUUCAAUUGCCACAAAAAUGAUAUGAACGAAAAAAUUGGUUUAAUGGUAUGUCAAAAAUAAUAAUUCUUAACGGUAUCAAAAAACAAAUAAGCCAAUUAAAUAUAAUAUAAAGACUAAUAUUAUAUAUUUGUAUUAUACAAUUCAUUUUCUAAUGGAGGAAACAUAAGUAUUUGAUUGAUUGCAUUUUUAAAAAAAAAUACGUCUCAAUAUUUAAUAGAAAUUAAUGUCUCAAUUUAAAUACAUAUUAUAUCAGUUUCUAAUUUAACCCUUAAAAAAAUCAGUUUCUAAUUUAAAUGCAUAUAUUAUCUCAAUCAAUUAUGUUUAAUGGUAUGAAACAAAUAAGUAUAAAUUUUUAAAUGUUUUUAAAAAUAAGUAAGCCUAUUAAUUCUGUUUAAUAGUAUACGUUUGCAAAACAAAAAAAAUCAACUGUAUAUCUACUUAUAUAGUAUAUGUUUGUAAAUGUUUUUUUCCAACGGUUUUGUAUAUGUAUUUUACCAAAGGUAUAUUUCUACAAAUAAGUAAACCAAUCAAAUUUUAUAACGUCGUCACAUUUUAACACUUCAACCAAUAACAAUGUAGCAUGUGGCAUCUUUUAUCUAAUAAUCCAAUCAGAAUACGUUGUUUUGUUUAUUUGCAUCAUAUUUUUUAUUUAAUCAAAUUGCACUUUACUUAUACCAUUUAUCUACAUAUGCUUUAUGUUUCUUCAAUCAUUCCAUCUUCCUAUUUCUCUUCCAUAUAGCGUUGUCAAACUCUUAAAAAAAUUAUCGUGGUACCAAAAUAUAAUUACAUCUAUCAUAUCAACCCGAUCAAAGUUGGUUCCACCCUAUUUUUCAUCAUGGUGCCUAUAAAUAUUGCUACAACUGACUUCUUUAAAUCUCGCAUAUUUUUCUUUGGUUCUUAAUUCUUCUGAGUUUGCAUUAUAUUAAAAACCAUCAUUUUAUGUUCAAACAUCUUUCUCCCUUCAAAAAAAAAAAUGUUCAAACAUCUUUCUAUCUCUCUAUAUGUUUCAGACUAUGUCUCUUUUUUGUUCAAUUUUCUUCUUUUUUUAGAAAGGAGUGAAAUAUGUUGAUUGUUCUUCGACCAAUUAUUUUUUGGGUUUGUCUAAAUUUUAUUGAUUUGUUCUAUUUUUUUCCAGUUAUUUAAAUUCAUUCAAAAAAUAGAAGCACGAGACUACAAUACAAGGAUUGAAGUUCAACACUAUAAAGAAUAUUCUUUUUAGGGGCACCGCAAAUAUUUUAGAGUUGUAUAUUUUACAGAACUAAUAAGUUGUAUAACAUCUCAUAAAUAUUUGUAUAUGUAUACAUACAAAGUUGUAUAUCUUAAUGAAUGCAUACGUUGUAGAGUUGUAUAUUUCCAAUCGGACAACAAAAUAUUGAAUGCUUUUGCUAUUAAUUUUUUUUGGGUGUUCAAAGAACUCUGAUCUACAAAUUUAAGGAGUUAAGGAAGGAAAAAGUCUAUUCUGAGUAACUUUGGUGUUGCUACAAAUCUUGGAUCUUAUUGGACAAAAAAAACAAGACAAAUUUUGAUUAUUAAAUGUUUGCUUAAACGGAACAUAGCAAUAGCCAAAUAAAGCCAGAAGGAUGCACAACAUGCUAAAAACUAUGGGAUUGUGUGGUGGUUUCAUUCAAGGAGCUUUUUUCCCGUUUCUUUCAUGAGAAAGUAAGGAUUAAACGAAUGACAUCAAAAAAUGAAGAAAACAAUUCGUCGUAAUGACAAGACUUCUCAUGAGCCUAAAUUGAGUUGGAUAAUCAUAUUAUACUAAGAGAAAUUGCACAAGUGAGAUUAACAUCACACCUUCAUCCAAAUUCUAAAGGCAUUAGAUACAAGGGCAAUCUCACUAUAUGUUUUCCACUUUCUAAUAUUGCAUGCAAUCUGGAACUUUAACUAAUAUAACACAUAUUAACAUCUCUUCCUUUACGUGUUAGACUCUUCGCAUCGGUGAUUUUGUAAUAUAGCCAAAUAAAAUCAGAUGAAGUCAUUUGAUGGUAAAAAAAAAAGGUGGGUUGAUGGUGAUUUAAUACAUGGGGAUUUACGUUCUUUUAUUUCAUGAGAAGUUAGAAAAUAAAUUAGAAAAGGAAAGAAGAUAAAAAAAAUAAUUUGAACAUGAGAGAAAUAAUAAGAGAAAAAUAUGUAAUGUGGGUUUUAUCGGUGAUAGUAUAUAAUAGUUUGAGUUACCGGUAAUUAUAUGGUUUUGUUGAAGAAGUUGAAUAUUUUUGGGUUAGUAUUACCAAAGAGUAUGACUUUAUUAAAAAAACAUCACAUCAUUUUAAAAUGUCUAAUAAACAUAUAUUUUAUAAACUCAUCAUAACUCAUCUGGAUUUUCCAUUGUCACAUCCCCCAAAGACUAGAAGUGAAGGAAUUUAUAAUAAUGGAGGUUGACUACAAAAAUACAAUGAAAGCUAAUGACAUCCGACAACAAAGUUUUACAGAAAAAAGGUUAAUUAAAAAAAUAUUGCAUAUAAAUAAGAUUUUUUUUUGGUUUUAGUCCAUAGAAAUAAGUCACAUUUUUAAUCGUUGUAACAUUUUCCUUUGAACAUUUUAUAGCCCAAAUUGUUGACGGAAAAUUUUACAGUGACUAAAAAUAAUGCUGACAGAAUAAUUUUACAAGGGCCAAGAUGUGCGAUUUAUUUUUGUAGAAAUUAAAAAUGAAAUUCUUCAAUUUUUUUUUUUGGUACAAAGAAAUUCUUGAUAUUUAUAGAGACCUUUUAGCUAAUUAACUCUUCAAAAAAUAGCAAAUAACAUCGAAAAACCGACAAAAUAGUUCAUCAUAAUGUUGAGUCUACAAAGGAAGCCUAGAAUUGGUCGAAAUAUCACAUUAUGAUAAUAGCAAUCACACAAGUGAGACUAACACCACAUCUACGCUUAAAAUGUAUAAUAGAGUAGUGCUAGCACACUCUCUUUUGAACACUCUCUCUAAUACUCACUUUCUUAUUGGUUUAAAUCAUUGCGGAUCUACACUUUGGAGAUAGAACUCGCAUAAAGUGGUGAGACAUACAUUGAUUUCAUCCAAUAAAAUAGUGAGUGCUAAAGAGAGUGUGCAAAAGUGAAUGUUGCUAGCAUUCAACAUUUAAUUUGUCAACUCAGUAUUACGCGUCUACAAUUUUAUAAUCUAUAAAAUACUAAAGAUUGACUAAAAAAAUAAGUAAAAUUUUUAAACAACGGGCAUCUAAAAUAAAUAAAAUAGUUUAUCAUAAUGUUGUGACUUUCAGGGGAACAUAAACUGAGUUGAACAAUCACAUUACAUCAAUAGAAACCAUAAAGUGAGACGAACACCACAUGUUCAGUUAAAACCUUAAAGCAUUAUGUAUGAGUCAUCUCACUUAUAUUAUUCUUACCACAUACUCACUCAUAUAUGACAAAUUAACUUCUCUCUUAAAUGUGAGACUCUUUACAUCUGCAAUCUGGUAACAUAACCAAAUAAAGUUAUACUUAGUCACAACAUUGUAAAAAAAAAAAAAAAAGACUUGCGGUGAUUUUAUGAAGAGAUGUUUCUAUUCCUCUCAUUCAUGUGAACAAAGAAACUAAACCAGAAAAAGAAAUAAGAUGAAAAAGAAAUUUUAACUUGAGAGAAAUGGUUAUGAAAAAAAAAAAAAAAAAGGAGUGUGUGCUUUGACCGUGAGAGUAUAUGGAAUAUUGUUUGUUGCUGGUAAUUUUAUGGGUUUCUUGAAGAAUUUAGAGUAAUUAAUAUACCAAAAAUUAGACUCAAAUUUAAAAUUUUAAAUAAGCGUGUAUAUUGUCAACUUAGCAAAACGGCAUAUGCAUUUUUCCAUUGUGAAGUUCUACCAAAGACAAAAAAUGAAGGAAUUUGAAAUAAGUGAGGUUGAAUAAAAAAAUAGCAUGAAAAUGAACGAUCUCCAAUAACUAAAAUUUAACAUACAAAAAUUAAAUAAAUGAGACCCACCAGCUAACAAAUAAUUCAUCAUAACUUUGGGACUUCCAAGGGAUCCUAUCUUGAGUUUUAUCACCACAUUAGACCAAGAAAAAAUACACAAGUGAAAUUGAUAUCCUUCCAUCUCACUUAUAUGUUGUUCAAAAUUUAUCAUUUCAUCCAAUAUAAAUUUUUAACUCAUACUUGACACAUUAACACCUCUUAUUCAAAUUUGCAACUCUCCUGUUCAUAAUUACGUGAUAUAGUCAAAUAAGAUCAAAGGAAGAUACAAUAUGUUUAAAAAAGUUUGUUGGCGAUGGUUUCAUUACAAGUGGUUUAUGUUCCUUUCGUACAUGGGAAGGGGGGAAAAAAUAGAAGGAAAUCAAUUGAAUGUAUUUCAUGACCGUCUUUUCACUAGUUUAUAUAAGAAAUGUACUAAUAGAUUCGACGAUAAUUUGAUGAGUUAAAAACACAUGACUUAUCAUAUCUGUUUAAUUCACGUGACAAUACAUUAUUAAAUGUAUUUGUAAAACUUUUGUACAUUGAUGUAUAUAAGUUAAGGAAAAUGUUGGUGAGUACCUAAAAGCAUUCUUUAAGAGUUUAAAAUAGUAAGUUUAUAUGAAAAAUUUGAGUAAUGCAUUGAAAAUUUAAAUGUUUAACCUUUUAAAUAUAUGCAUUGAAUUCUUCAAAAAUAUAUAUAUGCAUUGAAUUAAUUUCUUUAUUUAAAAUUCUUAAAGAGUGUCCUAAGGACACUCGUUAGCAAGACCGUGAAUUAAACUCUCUAUUAGUUGUUCCAUAAGUGUAGCUCAGUUGGUAGCUAUCAGAGAUAAUUUAUGCAGGGGCCGGGGUUCGAACCCCGAAUUCGCCACUUCUCCACACAUAAUAUGUGUGAAUCUAGCCACUAAACUACUUGAUCAAAAAAAAAAAAAAAACUCUAUUUGUUUCACAUUAGUCAUUUAAGUUAUACAAUGAAAAAUAACUUGGUUGAAGAAAGAGAGAUGAUGAGUUUUUUUUAUUAUUAUAAGUUUUUAUAUAUUUUAUCGAUUUAGAUCUGUCACGUCAGAUGUUACAAACCUUAAAUUUAGAGGACCACAAACGUAGUUUAGUCUUUAUUAAUAAAUAACUUACUGAAUUAGUUUUCGUUAUUGCUUCCUCAAUAUUCUUUGAAUUCAUACUUCAUAGGUUGACAGUGGCGGAGCCACGUUCACCUCAGGGGAUGCACAUGCACCUCCUCACUAUUAUAAUUUUGCACCUACUAUGCUAUUAUAUUUUUAUGUUGAAUCCCCUCAAUUUUCUAUUUUGCACCUCCUUUGCAUCUGACUUUAAAAUAUGUUCGUAGAUUUAGGCACACAUCUUUUUUCUAUUGGAUUUAUUUAUGUGCUGGCCUGCUGGAACCCGCCAUUAGUUAUUACCGAUGCAAUUCAGCUUUUCUUGUCGACUAUAUUUACCUUCUUCUUAUUAUUAUAUGGGUUUUUCCAUCAUGUAAUUUGCACAUGUUAAGAAGUUUAAAGUAGUAACUUUAACUUGGAACUUGUGUUUUUUAUAUUAAAUAUGUAGCUUUUAAUCAAUAAUUGUUGGUUUUUAAUGAAAAAUGACUACUUUUAGUUAUCUUAACAUGUGCAAUAUUGCACAUGUUAGACAAACCCUUAUUAUUAUAUUAUAAUAAUUAUUUACUGAAAUACCAAGAUUGAAUCUCCUGCUAUUGAAUUUAACAAGAUAUACCACCAAGCCCAUACGAAUCAGAUUGGUUGAUGCGCGCAAGUGUUAUUUAUAACUCAUAUUUCAUAAAAAACUUUUAUUACCUUGUUAAAAAACUUUUUCUUUUCUAAAUUAUUCAUGAUAUUACUUUUCUAUAUUAUUGGUGAUUGAUGAUAUUACUUUUCUAAAUGUUAAAUGGUAAAUAUUAGAAUUUACGGUUAGUGUAAGAAAUUUAAAAAAUUUAUAUGUUAAUAUAACAACUUUUGAAGUUAGCCAUGAUCAUUUUUAUGUUAUGAAGAUUGUAAAGACUAUGUUGUGUAAUCAAAUGGAAGCAAUGGGAUGUAUUACACCACAAAAAAAAAAAAAAUAAGGAGGUAAUGGAUGACCGAUUAUUAUCUCAUGACUUAUAUUGAGAGAUGAGUUUGAUAACAUGAAUAAUAGGUUGAUAAACCGCAUUUGGGACCAAAAAAAAAAUCGAUAAACCACAUAAUGAAAAAUUGUAUAAUGUUUUUAAUUUUGAUUACAAUUUUUUUAUGAAGGAUUACAAUUUUUAAUCAGUUGGUAGAGACAAUGCAUAAUAUACGCAAGGUCCGGGGUUCGAACUUCAACCACCAAAAAAAAAAAAAAAAACAUCUAAAUUCGUGGCUUGAACCCCCUGGUCCAGGGUCCUGGCAACGCCAGUGGGUUCACCAUAAGCCAGCUGCUUAAACUUUCAGAGCCUAUUGUACAGUACAGUUUAUAAUCUUCUUCUCUUUUCAUCUGUUGCGUUUUUUAAAUAUGACAGAGGCCUUACUUGGUGUUGCAUUUGAGAAUUUAUUGUCUCUUGUUCAAAGUGAAUGUUCAACCAUUUCCUGAAUCAAGUUUAAUGCUCAAAAGCUAUCAACCACCUUAGAUCUUAUCAAGGUUGUUCUUGAAGAUGUUGAGCAUAAGCAAGUCUCAGACCGCUCUAUUAAGAUAUGGCUUCAACAAAUCAAAGAUGAUAUAUAUGUGCUUGAUGAUAUCCUUGAUGAGUGCUUGAUCGAGUCUGGUCGAAUUAGAGGCUCAUCCUCUUUCAAACCAAAGAACAUUGUAUUUCGCCAUGAGAUCAAUAGGUUGAAAGAAAUUACCAGAAGAUUAGAUAAGAUUGCUGAAAAUAAGAACAAAUUUCAUCUAAGAGAGGGUAGAUGACUUAGGGAAAGGCCACAUGAAGUAGCUGAAUGACGCCAAACCAGCUUUGUUAUUGCUGAACCAAAAUUGUAUCGGUGAGAAGAUGACAAUGUUAGCGGCCAACUCUCGGGAGGGAUUUAGUCCCACAUCGGAUAGAUAGGAUUCUUGAGAAGAGUUUAUAAAGAGGAGGAACUCCUCACCGUACAAGUCGGUUUUGUAUGGAUCAGUUAGGCCUCGAUAUUCGUGACAUGGUAUCAAAGCCUAUCGGGUCCAUCGUUGGGCUUGCAUCGUCCACGCUUCAGGCCCGUUGGGACCGCGAUGAAGUGUGAGGGGGUGUGUUAGAGGCCAACACUUGAGGCGAUUUAGUCCCACAUUGAAUAGAUAUGAUUCUUGAGAAGAGUAUAUAAAGAGGAGGCACUCCUCACCGUACAAGCCGGUUUUGCAAGGAUAUGAGUUAGGCCUCGAUAUUCGUUACAGACAAAGAUAAGAUUGUCAAGUUUCUUCUCACCCAAGCGAGGGACACUGACUUCCUUUCCAUCUAUCCCAUAGUUGGUUUAGGAGGUAUUGGAAAAACAACUAUUGUUCGAUUGAUCCACGAUGAUAUUAGGGUGAGUGGAAAUUUUAAUAUAAUAAUUUGGGUUUGUGUAUAUGAGACUUUCUCUCUCAAUAGGAUUGUGUGUUCUAUUAUAGAACCUAUCAUAAGAGAGAAGUGGGAUGGCUUCAAUUUAGAUGUAAGGUAAAAUAUAUUUGUUGAUUUUGGACGAGUGUGGAACAAAAAUCAAAAACUAGAAUUCGGAUUAUGCCAAGAGAAAUGGAAUAUGUUGAAAUAUGUGUUGUCGUGUGUAUCCAAAGGUAGUUUCAUUUUUGCGUCCACUCCUGAUGAGGUUGUUGCGACAAUCAUGGGAACUUGUAAAACUCAUCCUUGUUCAAACAAUAUGUUGGGAAAAAUCCAAGUCCCACAUCGGAUAGAUAAGACUCUGAAUUAGAGUUUAUAUAGAGGAGGCAAUCCUCACCUUACAAACCGGUUUUGUAAGGAUGAGUUAGGAGUGAUGAAGUAGUGAUAAAAAAAAAAGAAAAAGGAAUGACUUGAAAUUAAAGAGAGCGAACUUUGGGUUUUACAACAUAAUGAUUAUAGUUUGUCUGAUUUGAGGUUGAGCUACUUUCAUUUAACUCCAACCUUAAAGCAGUGUUUUGCUUUUUGUGCCGUGAAGGAAUAAUUGUUUUAUCUCUAGAUGGCUGAUGGAUUUAUUUCAUCUAGGCGUAAUUUGGAGGUCCUAGAUGUUGCUAGCAUGGCUUGGAAUGGAUUGUGCCAAAAACCAUUCUUUGAAGACAUCAAGAUCUAUGAAUAUUCUAAAGACAUUUCUUUAAAGACGCGUGAUCUUUUCAAUGAUCUUGCUCAAUCAAUACUGGAGCAACAAUAUAUGUAUCUGGAGAAUGCAAACAUGACUAGUUUGACAAAAAGCACCCAUCACAUAAGUUUUGACUCCAAUAAUUUGUUAUCAAUCGAUGACGGUGCCUUCAAAAAAGUUGAAUCCUUGCGAACAUUGUAUGACUUAUAAAAAUAUAUUCCACAUAAGAACCUAUAUUGCAUUUUCUUAGGUGCAUAUUUUAGCUAUGACAUUUCUUAACAAUGUUUUGUAGAGAAACCUAUGUUGCAUUUUUUAGUUCGUUUUAGUAACUUUUUGAUUUCGUAUUGUUUAGAAGGGACCUUAUAGCCACUUCGAGUACAUCGAAGCAGCUUUUAAAACUUGACAAAUUAACGAGGUAGAGCAUGUGAUAUGGGAAACAAAGUUUGUAUAUGUUGAUAUGUAAACUAAUGAAAUAGAUGUCUAAUUGAUUUUCUAUUUGGGACUCGAGAGUUUCAUAUCUUAAUUAUGUGUAUGCACAAACGAUGUAGAUGCAAUACAAGAAUGAUAUUAGAGGUCCACAUAGCAAUAAAAUUAAUUAAUGAAAAUAUUAUAACUAUUCUCAUCUAUACUAUAUAUAUAAAGAAAAUAGUGUGUUGUAUUUUUUUUCUGACUUUUUCUCUUUUUAAAAUAACCAUCAACUUUCAAUAUAAAUAACAACUAUAACAAAUUGAUAAGAGUAAAUGAAGUAUAACAAACACGAUGAGUGUAAAUAUGUUCAGUUUUUUUCUUUUAUCCUUUAAAGGCGUAACAGACUAGAUAAGUAUAUUUAUACUUACUUUUUCAUUAUCCCAAUUAUACACUUAUACAAUGUUUUCUAUAAUAAAGAUUGUUGUUGGUUUUAUUAAAAAAAAAAAAAAAGAAUUUAGAUUAUAUUUUUUUAAAAAAAAUUAGAUUAUAUUUUUUUGUUAUAUUGUUGAUGUCAUUGAAAUGGAUAGUCGUGAUUAGUUUGAUUUGUUAUAAUUUGAAAUUAAAAAGAAUUUAUAUUUUUACUUUUAAUCAAAAUCAAAUUUCAUAACAAAAAACACUUAUCAUAAUUUUCAAAUGUUAGUGUGAUAAAAAAACAGAAAGACGGACACAUGAGUGCAUGUCUUUCUACUAGUUUUUAUAAUUAGAAUAUUAUAGUUAUUCUCAUUUUAAUUUAAAAGAUAUAAAAAUUAUAAUUAAAAAAUGGCUUAAAUAUGUAAAUCGUCCCUGUAAUUUGGCGUAUUUUUUGUUUUCGUCCCUGUAUCUUUUUUUGUUCUAAAACAACCCCUAUAAGUUAAUAACUUUUUGAUUUUCGUCCCUCCUGUCAACUUCCGUUACAAAAACGCACAUGUGGAAAACGGAGGAUGACGUGGCAGACAAUGCUGACGUGGCAAACUUAUUGAUGAGUCACACAGUGAAAGGUACCAAAAUCAAAAAACGAAAUUUGUAGAAGGACCAAAGCCAAAAAAACAAAAUUCGUAAAGGGAACAAAACCAAAACCAAAAAACGAAAUUUGUAGAUGGACUUGACUAUUUCCAGGACCAAAACCAAAAAACGAAAUUUGUAGAGGGACCAAAACCAAAAAACGAGAAGACGAAAAAUUCAAAUUUAAUUACAUUUCUUCAUCUUCUUCUUCAUUACUAUCAUUGUCUUCAUAAACUUCAUCAUCAUCAAACAAACACAAAAAUUUGUAGAUGGACUUGACUAUUUCUAGGACCAAAACCAAAAAACGAAAUUUGUAGAGGGACCAAAACCAAAAAACGAGAAGACAAAAAAUUCAAAUUUAAUUACAUUUCUUCAUCUUCUUCUUCAUUACUAUCAUUGUCUUCAUAAACUUCAUCAUCAUCAAACAAACACAUAAAUUCAUCACUUCAAAAUUCAAAAAUCCAUCAACUUAAAACAACAACAAACUCAAUCCAACACCUUCAAUUAUACCUUCAUGUGAUAACUUCUCUUUUAUUUCUUCUCACAAACAACAAAAUCAAAUUAAACCAAUAUACCCACUAUUCAACGUGCAAUCCAAUUUCACACACUUUAAAAUCGUUUAAAAUAAAACUUAUCUCAAUUCAACAUUCCAACAUAUUUUUCAAUUCUAUUUAUUAUCCCUCUAGAUCUUCAAAUGAAAAGAAUAUUCAUAUCAAACUUGAACCUUUCUCUUAUAAUCCAAUUUCACACAACAAUCUUCCAAAUCAAUCGGAAAAAAAGAACACAACCCAAAUGUUCGAAACAAAAAUGAUGAGAUUAGAGUUCAAAGAAUUGACGAAGAAAGUAUUUGGAGUGACCAAGAAAUAGCAGAGAUGCGAGAUCAAUGAUGAGACGAGAGUUGGUAAUGAAAAAAAAUCAUUCUUUAGGUUUUUCAAUUUGAGAAUUUUGUGAAUUUUUCAAUAUUGGGAAUUCGAGCAUUCACAAUGAGGAUUUUGUUGUUAUAAUUUGAUUUUGAUAUUAUCAAUAAAAGUUUAGUGGGACUAUGAACAUUGUGGAUUUUAGUGUUGAGAUGUCAAUCUGACCAUUGUCAAUGGGAAUUUUGUUUGGGUUUGUGAGAAGUUGUCUAUUGAGAGGGAGAUGAUGAUUUUGAAGUUUUUUUUUUUAUCUCUUUUCUGAGUAUUUUCUCUUGGGUUUUUUGAUGAUUUAUGAAGACAAUGAUGAAGAUGUAUAAGAGGUGGAAGGAAGAAGAUGAAGAAAGCUAUUUUUUUCUCGCUUUUUGGUUUUGGUCCCUUUACGAAUUUUGUUUUUUCGGCUUUGGUCCCUCUACAAAUUUCGUUUUUUGGUUUUGGUCCCUCGCACUGUGUGACUCAUCAAUAAGUUUGCCACGUCAGGCACUGCCAUGUCAUCCUCCGUUUGCCACAUGUGCGUUUUGUAAUGGAAGUUGACGGGAGGGACGAAAAUCAAAAAGUUAUUAACUUACAGGGGUUGUUUUAGAACAAAAAAAGAUACAGGGACAAAAACCAAAAACACGCCAAAUUAUAGGGACGACUUACAUAUUUAAGCCUUAAAAAAUUGACUAAUGACAACGAUCGUUGCCUCAUUAUAUGAAUUGUAUCUUCGAACGACGUUCAGUAAUAACUCAUCUGUAUAAAAUAAUCUCAAAUUAAUAAAGUGACAAACAAAAAUAAGGCAAAAUUUACAAAUAACAAUUUAUCACUUUUUAUAAUGAAUAAAAAUGUGUAAAAGUUUUUUUUUUUUAAAUAAAAGAACUUUUGUAUAGAAAAAAAAAAGUUAUAAAAAACACAAGUAAGGUUAUUAUAAUAAAUUUGUUGGUCAACUUGUUUUCCUAAAUUUAUUUAUUUAUAGUAGAUAGAUAGGUAUCGGUGAAUGACCUCCUUGCUUGGAUUGAUGGUGCAUAAUAUUAGUACCUUGACUUUGUAAUUAUUGUAACUGUUGCAGGUGUCUUUCCUUCUCACACCUUGUGCAGGGAGUCACUGGUGUCUAUAAUAUAUCUCAUUUUAAUUUGUUAAAAAAAAAAAAUUCAAAAUCGUAUUGAAACUUAUAUUUAAUUAAAUAAAUAGAAAGGUCUUUUUUUUUUUUGACAAGGUGUUCUUUUUGUUAAGCAGUACAUAUAUGCAUAUUAUAUUUUAGAGGAGUAAUAUUUGAACACUCAUUUGAGACAACUCUUGUGACAACUUUCUCUCUCUCUCUCUCUUCAUUGGUCAAGAACAAUGGAGAGAGAAAAAAGAAGAGAGAAAAUAAAAGUAUAAUGUGAGUAUGAAAGAGAAAAUUGUCAUAAAGUGGUUGUACAAAUAUCAUUUCUCAAUAUUUUAUUGAAAAAUUGGUAAAAUAGAUAAGACUUGUUAAGCUGUCCAAUAGACUUGUUCAAGCUGUCCUAUACAUUAUUAAAUGCAUAAAACAAGUCCUGCACCAUAAACAAUUGGUUAUCGUCCUUAGCCAGAGCAGGGGUGGAUCCCAACAUGGCAUGGUGUGGCAAGUGCCACACCAAUUUUUUUUUUUUAUAUAUAUUUUUAUUAAUUUAUUGUAUAAUUUUACUCAUAUAUUAAUACAAAUAUCUAUUUUUUUUUAUUUUAUGUUUAUACAUGUAUCUAUAUAUUUAUUCAUAUAUUAACAUGGUGUUAUAUGUUAUUUUUUUAAUUUAUACAGAUGUCUAUAUUUGUAUUCAUAUAUUAAUAAGAGAACCUAUUUAUUUAUUUAUAAAUGUGUCUAUAUUUGUACUCAUAUUUAAUAAAUAAAUAUUUUUUUUGUACAAUUUAUACACAUAUAUCUAUAUUUUUUAUUCAUAUAUCAAUACAAAGAGAUAUGCUCUAAAAAAAAAAUCAAUACAAAGAUAUAUAUAUAUAUAUAUAUAUAUAUAUAUAUAUAUAUAUAUAUAUAUAAAAUUUCUACACAAUUGCAAAUUACUUCGAAAAAAAGCGCACACGGGUAUCUUGUUAGAGCAUUUGAUUCAUCUCUUGUAACCUAUAUAGAAAGGGAUAUUCUUAGAACAAUUAGUAAUUAUAUAAUUUUAGUUUAUAUUCAACAAAUAAAAAAUAGAUUAUUUUCUUUGUAAUUUUGAUUGCUACAACUAUUUUUAAUAUAUCUUCUUAUUAAAUUUAAUAUUAUUUAAUUGUUUGACAAAAAAAAAAUUUGCCCCACUAAUAAUAUUGUGAAAUCAGAUCCGCCCGUGACCCAAAGUACUAAAUUUAAAUACUAGUGGCAUGAAAUUUUAAAGAUUAAAUAUAAGUGAAUGACGUUUCACCAACUUGAAUGAAAUUUUAUAUGGAACGUAAAUAAAAAAAGGGUUUUUCUAACCUGUGCAAGAUUGCACAGGAUAAGAAGUGAUUAAUGCACCAUAUUUUAUGGGUUUCUCCAAAUCCUAUUAAUGAGCCAAUUUAUUAGCUUCUUAUUUGUUUUUUUUUUUUGACAAAAUUUAUUAGCCUUUCCUUAAAACUCGUUCUCUUCCACGCUCACCGCACCAAUAAGUAAGAACAAAAAACUGUUCUCUCUCUCUCUCUCAUAUUUGUUUUCUUCUAAAAGCUCUCUCUCUAAUAUUCAUUCCAAUGCAGGUAAUAACCAAAUCGGAAUCAAGGUAUAACAUGAAUUAUAUCUUUUGUAAUAAUUUCUUCUGGUUCUUCUUUUGCUUUGAAUUUGGCUAAUUCUUCUCACAGUGUUCAAAUUGACGGGAGAACCAAAAUUGGGCUCAAGUACACUAUAUUCCAAACCUCUCAAACUGCACUAACCCGUAUAACUGCAAAGCUUCUUUUUUGAAGGAACUGCAAAGCUUUUAAAAGCAAACUGUAAUAUUUCAAACGAAUGAAAGCAAACUGCAAAGCUUUUGUGACGUGAGAAGAAACUGUAAUAUUUCAAGCUUAUAAAAGCAAUCUGUAAUCUCUUAAAAAAAAACUGUAAUAUUUCAAACUUGAAGAGUGACGUGAGAAGAGAAUAAAAUGUUUUAAUGUCUUUGUAGAAUGUGUCUUUUAAGGGAAGAAGAAGAAAAUGUAUUAGAGAAGAGAAGAAGGAAAAAAAACAAUUUUCAAGGAAAAGACUCGUUAAUAAGGUUUGGAAAACCCAUAAAAUAUGAUGCAUUAAUUACUUCUUAUCCUGUGCAAUCUUGCACAGGUUAGAAAAACCCAUAAAAAAAUGCAGGCACUAGAUUCAUAAACAUUUUCUGAAGAUCGUUAUUCUGUCUGUCGGCCACAUCUUAUUGUCUCCAUUGACAGAUUCAUGAACUUGUAGAUUCUUUAUUCGUGCUCAAGUAUCAAACCAACGCAAAAGACACAAUUACACAAAUAGAAUCAAUAAUGGGCCCCAAUAACGUUAACAUUUACAUAUUUUUCAUUCAUGCCGACAUUAAUAUAUUUUUUGUAAAUUGUUUGUGAGCACCUACAUGCUGACUUUCUACUUUCAUUGCAUUUAUUUUCAAAGGUCCUCCAGCUUGGUUCAACACUCAUUCUAUCUAAACAAAUUUCUCGUCUUCUUAUCUUUUCAACUCUUUAAUUUGUUUUCACAAAAAAAUGGCCGACGCUUUGCUUGGAGUUGUGUUUGAAAAUUUGACGGCUCUCCAUCAAAAUGAAUUUUCAACCAUUUCUGGAAUUAAGUCAAAGGCUCAAAAGCUAUCAGACAACUUAGUUCACAUCAAGGCUGUUCUUGAAGAUGCUGAGAAGAAACAAUUCAAAGAACUCUCUAUUAAGCUAUGGUUACAAGACCUCAAAGAUGCUGUUUAUGUGCUCGAUGAUAUCCUUGAUGAGUACUCGAUCGAGUCUUGUCGACUGAGAGGAUUUACCUCUUUCAAACCAAAGAACAUCAAGUUUCGCCAUGAGAUCGGUAACAGGUUGAAAGAGAUUACAAGGAGGUUAGAUAAUAUUGCUGAACGUAAGAACAAGUUUUCUCUACAGAUGGGUGGAACUCUUAGGGAAAUCCCAGAUCAAGUAGCUGAAGGGCGCCAAACCGGCUCCAUUAUUGCUGAACCAAAAGUGUUUGGACGAGAAGUUGAUAAAGAAAAGAUUGUUGAGUUUCUUCUCACCCAAGCGAAGGACUCUGACUUCCUUUCCGUCUAUCCCAUAGUUGGUUUAGGUGGUGUUGGAAAAACAACUCUUGUUCAAUUGGUCUACAAUGAUGUUAGGGUGAGUGGCAAUUUUGAAAAAAAAAUUUGGGUUUGUGUUUCUGAGACUUUCUCGGUAAAGAGGAUUUUGUGUUCUAUUAUAGAAUCUAUCACAUUAGAGAAGUGUCCUGACUUUGAUUAUGCUGUAAUGGAAGGAAAGGUGCAAGGAUUGUUGCAAGGGAAAAUAUAUUUGCUGAUUUUGGAUGAUGUGUGGAAUCAAAAUGAACAAUUGGAAUCUGGGUUAACACAAGAUAGAUGGAAUCGUUUGAAAUCUGUUUUGUCGUGUGGAUCAAAAGGUAGUUCCAUUUUAGUGUCCACUCGUGAUGAGGAUGUUGCAUCAAUCAUGGGGACAUGGGAAAGUCACCGUUUGUCUGGUCUCUCUGAUAGUGAUUGUUGGUUGUUGUUCAAACAACAUGCAUUUAAACGUAACAAAGAAGAGGAUACAAAGCUUGUGGAAAUUGGAAAGGAGAUAGUAAAGAAAUGUAAUGGAUUGCCUCUUGCAGCAAAAGCAUUGGGGGGUUUAAUGGUCUCAAUGAAUGAAGAAAAGGAAUGGCUUGAUAUUAAAGACAGUGAGCUUUGGGAUUUACCACAUGAAAAAUCUAUUUUACCUGCUUUGAGUUUGAGUUACUUUUAUUUAACACCAACCCUAAAGCAAUGUUUCUCCUUUUGUGCUAUAUUUCCCAAAGAUAGAGAAAUCCUGAAGGAAGAAUUGAUUCAACUUUGGAUGGCUAAUGGAUUUAUUGCAAAGAGGAAUUUAGAGGUUGAAGAUGUUGGAAACAUGGUUUGGAAGGAAUUGUACAAAAAAUCGUUCUUUCAAGAUAGCAAGAUGGAUGAAUAUUCUGGAGACAUUUCUUUCAAGAUGCAUGAUCUUGUCCAUGAUCUCGCUCAAUCAGUAAUGGGGCAAGAAUGUAUGUGUUUGGAGAAUAAAAACACGACUAAUUUGUCAAAAAGCACACACCACAUUGGUUUUGACAGCAACAACUUUUUAUCCUUCGAUGAAAAUGCUUUCAAAAAAGUUGAAUCCUUGCGAACUUUGUUUGACAUGAAGAAAUAUUAUUUUCUUAGAAAAAAAGAUGAUCACUUCCCAUUAAGCAGCUCUCUCCGUGUUUUAAGCACAUCUUCUCUGCAGAUCCCAAUAUGGAGUUUAAUUCAUUUAAGGUAUUUGGAACUUACUUAUCUUGACAUAGAAAAGUUGCCUAACUCAAUUUACAACUUACAAAAACUGGAAAUCUUGAAAAUAAAACGUUGUGAUAAACUGAGUUGUCUUCCAAAACGCUUGGCUUGCUUACAAAAUCUUAGGCAUAUAGUCAUUGAAGAAUGUCGGUCUUUGUCUCUAAUGUUUCCUAACAUUGGAAAAUUAUCUUGUCUAAGAACAUUAAGUGUGUACAUUGUUAGUUUAGAGAAAGGGAAUAGCUUGACAGAGUUACGUGAUCUAAACCUCGGUGGAAAACUGCAUAUCCAAGGAUUAAACAAUGUUGGCAGGUUAUCUGAAGCUGAAGCGGCUAAUUUGAUGGGUAAAAAAGACCUUCAUCAAUUAUGCUUGUCGUGGAUAUCGCAACAGGAAUCUAUAAUUAGUGCUGAGCAAGUGCUCGAAGAGCUUCAACCUCACUCAAAUCUCAAUUCCUUGACAGUAAAUUUCUAUGAAGGAUUAUCGUUACCAAGUUGGAUAAGCCUUCUUAGUAAUUUAAUUUCUCUUAAUCUUUGGAAUUGCAACAAAAUUGUGCUGCUUCAGUUACUUGGUAAACUACCAUCUCUAAAAAAUCUUAGAGUAUAUCGUAUGAAUAAUCUGAAAUACUUGGAUGAUGAUGAAUCUGAGGAUGGUAUGGAGGUGAGGGUUUUCCCAUCUCUGGAGGUACUCUACUUACAACGCCUACCAAACAUAGAGGGGUUAUUGAAAGUGGAAAGAGGGGAGAUGUUUCCUUGUCUUUCUAACUUGACAAUCUCCUAUUGCCCUAAAAUUGGACUGCCAUGUCUUCCAUCUCUUAAAGACCUCUAUGUUGAGGGAUGUAACAAUGAGUUACUGAGGUCAAUCUCUACCUUCCGUGGUCUUACUCAGCUUAUCUUAUAUGAAGGUGAAGGAAUAACAUCCUUCCCAGAGGGGAUGUUCAAAAACCUUACUUCUCUUCAAUCUCUGUCUAUCAUUAGUUGUAAUGAGUUGGAGUCCUUACCAGAGCAAAAUUGGGAAGGUCUUCAAUCCCUUCGAACUCUACAGAUUUAUAGCUGUGAAGGAUUGCGAUGCUUGCCGGAGGGUAUUCGACACCUCACUUCUCUUGAGCUUCUGACUAUCAUUAAUUGCCCAACAUUAGAGGAACGAUGCAAAGAGGGAACAGGGGAGGAUUGGGACAAGAUAGCUCAUAUUCCAAAUAUACAGUUUAAGUGAUAGAGUUAAUUGAUGUUUAAGAAGCAGAGACGUUUACCCUUAUCUGCCUCAAUCACCAUCGCAAAAUUCAAUUUUACUGGUAAGAUCUCUAUUUCCCCUUAUCUGCCUCAAUUCACUUUAUUUUUAUUCAAAAGUAUUUUUAUAUAUUUCUCAAUCUUGACUUCUUUGGAACCCAUCCCCCAGAAUGAGCACCAGAAUCUUUAUACAUGAAAGAUAUUUCACUGCUCAACUAAAGUUACAAAUGUUCUAAUUCAGGUCAUUUUCUUCAUCAUAGUUUAAUUUUUUUUAAUUUGCAUUUUCGAUUUUUUUUUUUAAUUUUAUUGAUUUUGUUGAGCAUAUUUUAGGAGUGAAGUUUGCUGCUGAAGAUUUCAAUUUCCUUUAACUGAUAUCUCUUUGCUGGUUAUCGUUGGUUUCCAGGUAAACAUAGUUCAUAUCUUAGCGAAUACUUUAAUAUGCAUUUUCUGCCUUAUCAAAUUGAUUGAUUUUAACACACAUAUAGAAACUUUCAGUUUGAUUUGAACAUAUAGAAACUUCAGUCGGCUUUCUUUUUAUUGCAUGCUUCAGGACUUUAUAAUGCUAAUUAGCUUCACACAUCAUAUUUAGAUGUAUGGUAAGAUUUGAUAAAGGAAUUGAGUGUAUUUUGGUCAUACUUACAGGCAAGGGACUGAAUGUAUUUUGGCCUGAAAAAUCAAUCUCCAAAUAAGGCAGUGAACAAUGGUGAUCCAACACAUGAGCUGAACUUAAUUCCAACUAAUAACAGAUGUUGAAAGAGUUAUAUAUAGCUUCUCCUAAGCCUUAGGAGGUUGUCCUUGAUUUUACAAUAUCUACUAGUACUAAUGUUGCUAACAUAAGUGAUUCUUUAUAUUAAUCUCUUUCCCAUUUCUCUAGUGUAGUUUUUUGUUGGUGAGCUUAUAAUCAGACAUUUUGUGUCUUGGUUAUUCCAAACAGUGUACAUACAUUAUUUAUUUAAAAGGGAUAAAUGCUUUUUUGAAUUCAUACUUGAUCAAAUUAUUGCCUUAUGGAAGCUAAAAUCAGUGACUACGAGAUUUUUUUGUCAUUUAUAAAAUUCACUUGUCAACAGAAAUGUAACCAGACAAAGAAUUCAAUAAACAAGGCACAAUGAAAGCGAAAACGAACACUUUCAAAUCUUGCGAAAUCACACACGCAAAUAAAUUGUGGAAGCGAAAACGGACAUGAGUUUGUUAAUCACAUAUGAAAUUUGCCUGGUUAUGUACAAAGGGGAGGGAAAAUUUGGUGAUAAAGUUCAAAAUAUUGGGGUCUCUAGAUUGGACUUGUCUAGUACAAUGAAAGUAGAAACAUUGGUCAUACAAUGUUCUUGCUUAAUUUUUUACUUAAGCAGCAGAAGAUUUUUUAUUUAAUUAACAUGAUUAGGUCUAGUUUUACUCUUUCUAUGUUACCAUACCAACCUCUCUAAUUUUCCCUCUCUAAACUGAUUUAAUUUUUUUUCACAUUAUAAUUAAUUUUUAAUUGAAGUAAAAAAAACAGUACUUUUUUGUGCAUACUAUUCUGUUCUUUUACUUUAUUUUUCGCUUCAAUUCUAAUCCAAUUCAUAUUCAAUUCUAAUUCAAAUAUUUCAUAUCAAAUUAAAAAUCAAACAUUUUGAAUUCAAAUAAUACGGAUUUAAAUCAACUAAUUUAAAUUUAAAUAUUUAAUUUCAGGUAUUAUAUAAUAAAACAAAUAAUAAAAUUUAAAUAUUUUAAUGUCAAAGAGAUCAAAUCAUUGAUAUAUGUCAAAUAAUAAAAAUACGAUUUGAUUAAAAGUAUUGAUAUUGAAAGAAUUUAAUGAAAUGUAAAAUUGUUUCAUUUUUAUAUUCACAAUAAUAAUGUGAGCUAUUAUAAUAUUUUUAAUUUUAAUGAUUGCAAAACAAAUAUGGAAAAGUUAUACUUUUAAUAUAAAAUUUAAUUCAAAAAAAAAAUUGUGCAUUUAAUCUCUUAAAAGUUGCAAAAGUUACACUUUUAAUAUAAAAUUUAAUAUUUGUUUUUUAUCAAUAAUGUUAGAAAAAAAAACACUUAUUAUUCAAACAAUACCGUAUAAUAGUGUUAUAUACAAGUAACAAAGUAAUAAUAAAAAUAUAAUUAUUUAAUAAAAUAUAUUAAUCGAUAUUUCCCUCUGUAACCAAAAAAAAUAUUAACGUGAUACAAACUUCCUAAACAAGUCAUCAAAUUGUAAUAUUUUGAAUAAACAUUAAUUUUUAUGAGAAUAUUUUCCUUAAUGAAUAAUGAUGUCUUCAAAUAAGUCAUUUUAUUAUAAGAUUUUAAAUAAUAAUUAGCUUUGAUGAGAAGAUUAUCCUCAAUGAUAAAUUUUAAUAAUAAUUGUUAUGUACAAUGUAUUUAAUUUUUUAUGAAUAAAUUGAUUAAUUUGUUUACUAACUUUUUUAUUAAAAAAAAUGAAAUAUUUAUGAAUAAAAAUACUUUGAUCUUUUUAAAAAAAUUUAAACCUAAAGACAUUUUUAAAAUAAUUAUAUUAAUCUUUUUUGAAAAAGCGGUUAAUUUCAUUUUAUCAAAAGUUGAUUUAAUUUGGUGAUAUGUCUUUAAUAUCUAAGAUAUGUCUUUUUACCACUAGACUAAACUUUUACAAAUCUAUUACAUUAAUCUAUUAUUUGCUAAUUUUAUUUUUAUUUUUUUUGAUACUUCAUCUUACUCUUAUGUGUGUGUGUGUCAAAUUUUAUCAACUUGUGAUAAAACGAAAUGUGAUAAAAUGAAAUGAAAAGGGUUUCCAAUUUUUUUUACUAAUACUUAUUAGUUUAAUCUUGUUUUUUAUCAAACCUAUUAAUCUAUUGUUCCUGUAUGUUAUUAACAUUAAAAGAGUUUUCUUUUACUUUAUUUUGGAUAUGUAAAUAUUGAUCCAAAUUAUAGUGCAUUAUAUUUGAUUGGAUUUUUUUUCUUCAAAAGAUUCAUCCAAGUCAAAGUUAACCGUGUUUGAUUUUAUAUUUGGAUCAUAUGAUAUUUUGCCUCAAAAACAUUUCGAAUUAGACUUCAAACAAACCUAUAAAUGAUUAUUAUAGUUUUUUAUUUACAGUAAUUUCAAUUUUUUUUUUUUUUUGAAAUCAUUAAAAAAGUAUUGAUUUCUAUAAUCCUAAUGUGCAUUAAUCAUAAUUAAAAAAGAUAUUUUAUCAAAAGAUAAAAGAAUGACAAUUGAAUAUUUAAAUGUUUGAGUUUUAAUUGUUCAAAAAAAAAAUGUUUGAGUUUUAUUAAGGAAAUUAAUACAUAAUAAAAGAGAGUACAACGGGUAGUCUAACUCAUAUUAUACCAUGCAAACCAUCUCCUUCUCCUGAAAAAUAAAAUAAAAAUAUACCUGUUUUUUGUCCUAAAAAAUAACUUUUUUUUUUUUAAAGUAAAAGUGGGAUGAGCACUUUCAAUAUGUCAUUGUUUUUUAAUGAACUGAAGAGAGUUUCAUUGAUGAGAAAAUUAAAAUCAAUCAAUAGUAAAUGACCACUAACAUAGGAAAUACAAUCAUUUAAUUCCUUCGUCGUUUGUAAGAAAAAUCAUUCAAUAAAAAAAAAUUAAAUUUAAGCAAACAUAAGUUUGUGAUCGUCAUGGGUAUAAAAAAAAUUAAUUAUGGAUGAUGAUAACUAUUUAAAAAGAAAUUAAGCAAACAUGCUUCAGCAUCCACGCCUACAGGUGUUCACGGGAUGAGUCGGUUUUCAUUAUAAUCUAUUACCCGAUGCAAUCAAGUUUCAUUAGGUUUGAUCAAUAAAUAAUUACACGUAACUUUAUUUUAAACAAAUCUUAAAAAUAUAUAUAAUUAAAUUACAUUCUAUAUUAUAAAAAUUUCAAGACUUGGACUAGAUUCUACUAAUUAAAAUUUGAACACACUUGAAUUUAAUUGAAACACUUUAAAUCUCUAUGACAUGGACCAGGUAUAUAAUAGUGUGAAACUGGGUCAAUGCGUAGAAGAAACGCGUUGUAUAGCUCAAAUACAAUGUUAAAUGAGCAAGGAUGGAUACAUCGCUGCCUGAAUGCAGUAAAAAAUAAGCAAGGGUCUCCACAUCUUUGUAACAUUCAAUUUAAGGUGUUUUACUCUGAUUAAUUUAUGAAAUUUUUAUGUUGGGAAAACGGGGUGUUACAAUUGGUAUCAGAGCAGGUUGGUCCGUCCGGCCAAGUAGUUGAGUCGUUUGUGUCGUGUGACAGUUAAAUAUUGUCGUUGUGUUUUUCUAAUUAAUAAUUAUGUUUUAUUAUGUGAUCAAGUUGACUGACUAACUUUAAUGUGAUUUUUGUGUAUUGUUGAAGUUUCUAUUUGUUAUCCAUAGUUUAAGAUAUUUAAGCAAUAACUGAAUUUGUUUUCGUUUGUGUUUUGAAUUUCGAGGACGAAAUUAUUUAAGUUGGGGAGAGUUGUAACACCCUAAUUGUUAUUUAAUUAUUUUUAGUUGAUUUAAAGUCUUUCAUAUGAUUUUAAAUGAUUUAUGUUGAUUUUGUGGUGUGGUGUAUUUUAUUAAAUGGCUAUUUUCAUUAUUUAAUAGAAUAAGUGAGAAUUAGGAUUUAAUUGGAGUUUCGGGGUUAAAUGAGAAUUAAUAGAAUUAAGGGGAGUUAAAAGAAAUAAGUGGGAGGUUAUGUUUUACCGAGUUAUUAGAAAAUAGAACCAAGAGUCAGAGAAUCAGUUUUACGUGAAAACAGCAGUUUUGGGAUAAAAUUAGAGAAAGCAAGAGAACCAAGGGAGAGCCAAGUGAACCAGAUUUCUGUUGGAAUUAUUCUUCUGAAUUCAGGUAAGGGUGAGGUUUGCUUCAAUAGUGUAGAUUAUUAUAAUUCUGAUUUUGGUUUAACGUAGUUCUGUUAAAAAUUUGGAAAUUGGGUUUAGGUUUGAUUCUUAGAUUUUUAUAUAUUCUAUUUAAGAAAUUUGAAAUUGUAGUGUGACAUGCCCGUUUGGGUUUUACUCUGAUGUUGAACAAUUAUUAUUUAAUUGAUUUUGGGAAACGGGGUGUUACACUCCACAUCUUUGUAAACGAGUGUGGGUAAUCAAGUUAGUUAAUGAGAGUAUGAUCUGUUUUAGAACAUAGAAUAAAGGUACUCUUAUUUGAACAUAUAUGAAAAUAGUUUUUUUUUUUUUUUUAGAUCACAUAUAUGGAAAUAGUUGACGCUAUGACUAAAAUGAAGAUUAAUUUUAUGUGCCAGCAAAAAACUAUGUGGGUAGGUGAGAAGAUGAGAAGCCAUGAUUGGGAAACAAGGAUCAAGUGGUGACAUUUAAAGGAUCAAAACCAAAGUGUUUUUCUGCAAAAGAUUUUGAAGGAAGGUUGUGUGAAGCUACAUAGAAGUGAAAAUGAUAUGUGGAACAAGAUGACAUAUGAGAUUAGAAAAGUAGCAAAAGAGACACUGGAAGAAUUAAUAGGUUUUGGACCUAGCUAGGAGUAAAAAAUCUUGGUGGAACCAAAGAGUUCAAAUUAAAGUGAGAAUCAAAACAGUACUUCACUAAUAAAAAAAUAGGGAUAAGGGUGAUACACAUUCCAACCUUGAUGACAGGGUUGUUUUCGAGGGGUGUGUUUUUUAGGAUAUAGUAAAGGCUGAUUAGAGUAGUUUAAUAGUUAAAAGGUAACAUUUUUAGGAUAUAGUAAAAAAAAAAAAACUAAGAGUUACUAACUCAACGAUACCAUUCAACAUUUUCUACAUUUUUUAGGAUGAUACGUUUAAAUAUAAAUCUAAUAUUUUUUUCUUUCUCUUCAACGUGCACACAAAUGCAUGCAAAGGUAUUAAUAUUAAUUUCGUUACUUUACAUUUAAUAUACAGAUCUGCGUAUCGGUGACGAUGACUUUAAGAACCUUUGUUUGAUUGAAAUUGAAAUGUUGUUUCAGGAAAACGGAGAGUCGCUUACUGACUUCAAAUCUAUACCCAGGCCAAACGCAGCAGACAUGCCAACUUUCACAAACAAGCUUAUCGUUGAUGAGCUAAAUUACAACAAAGAUGAACUGUAAAAGACACAUGCUGAUAUGUUACUGAUGCUGAUUGAUGAACAAAGAUAUGUGCAUGAAAAGAUCAUGGAGUCUGUUGGUUCUGACGACGAUGGUUUCUUUUUCUUAUAUGGUUACAGUGGUAUUGGAAAAACCUUUAUAUGAAAACAUAGUCGGCUGCUGUUAGAUCGAAGGGGUUAAUUGUAUUGAAUGCUGCAUCUAGCGGUAUAAUGACUCUUCUAUUACCAGGAGGAAGAACCGCACACUCGACGCUGACAGUCCCUAUUGAGAUUAUGAGGCAUCAUCACUUACGAUGGAAAAGGAUAGUCCUAGGGCAGACCUGAUGCGUGCUGCAAAGUUGAUAAUUUGGGAUGAGACUCCAUUGAUGCACUGAUGGUGUUUUGAGGCAGUUGACCGAUCAAUGCGUGAUAUCAUGUCCAAGAUUGAUCCCCUAAACGAGUUUAAACUAUUUGGUGGAAUGACAAUAGUUUUAGGUGGUGAUGUCAGGCAGAUAUUGCAUGUUGUCCGAAAAGGAACGAGGCAGGAUAUUGUUGAUGCAUCAAUCAAUUCAUCAAAGAUAUGUGCUUAUUUUAAUGUGUUAAGACUUACUGUUAAUAUGAGAUUGGGUGCAUCUUUGGUACCUGCAGAGCAGAAAGAAAUUGCUAAUUUUGGCAAGUGGAUACUCUGAAUUGGAGACGGCAACAACGCUUCGGAUGAGAAUGGUGAAAUGAAGGUAGAAAUUCCUGAAGAUUAUUUUUCCAAGAAAGGGGAAUACUCGCACCAACACUUGAUUAAGUUGAACAUGUUAACGAAUAUAUGAUGUCACUGAUUCCAGGUGAAGAGAAAGAGUAUUUAAACUCUGAUUCUGUUUGUCGCUCGGGUGAAAAUUCUGAUGUCCAAAGUGAGUGGUUCACAACGGAAUUCCUUAAUGGUAUUAAGAGCUCUGGAAUUCCAAAUCACCGGUUGAAACUAAAGGUGGGAUGUCCAGUUAUGCUGAUGAGAAACAUCGAUCAGGCCAAUGGACUGUGUAAUGGUACAAGGUUGACAGUUACACAUCUAGGGAAGAGCACAAUAGCUGCUACUGUAAUUACAGGAAAAAGGGCAGGUACCAAGGUAUUCAUUCCCAGGAUGAAUUUUAUUCCGAGUGAUCCAGGACUAUCCUUCAAAUUCAUGCGCAGAUAAUUUCCAUUGACGCUUUGUUUUGCAAUGACAAUAAAUAAAAGUCAGGGUCAAUCUUUAUCUCGAGUGGGAGUUUAUCUUCCUAAACCCGUGUUCACGCAUGGGCAACUCUAUGUCGCUGUCUCUCGAGUUACUUCUAGAAAAGUUUUUUAAAAAGUCUGAUCAUUGGUUAUAUUUUAGAAUUGUUGCUGCUAUAAUUUAGAAAACUAAAGUUGCGCAUUGAUUGAAAGUUGUUGUUGUUUUUUUUUUUUUUUAACUUCUUUGUAAGGCGUACUGGUCAUUAUAGACAUGCAAUUUCUAUAUAAGCGGAUCUUACUGCCAUUGACUAUUAAUUCAUGCAGUUUUCAAGUUUAACAAUCCGCGGAACCUUUUUUUUUACAUCGUUGUUACCCCUAAAAUACAAUAUUUACAUUAGACCAUUUGUUUUGUAAAAAUUAAAAACAAAUAACAAUCGGUGUUUCUGUAGCCCAAACUACAUUUAUACACACCCGUAAAAAUUAAACGUUUGCAUUUACCGACUACGUGUAUGCAUGUGACAAUGACUAUUAUAUAUAAAAAAAUACAUAUUUUUUAGUUUUUAUGAUUAAUAAAAUACAUUUUGUCAACAAAUAUUAUUACACAGUACGUCGGCGUAUUUUUGCAAGAAAAUUACAUAUGCGAAGUUUAACAAUGAAUGCACCUUAUACUAUAAAUAAUUAGUACAAGUAUAAUAAUCCAAAUAUUUUUAUCAUUAUAUGCAAUGUUUAGAUAUUUCAAAAUAUAUACAAAAUUAAGAUGAUAUUUUUUUCAUAUCGAAUUUAAAAUCUAUACAUUUGAUCAAAAAUGUUUUUUAUUUCCCCGUGCUGGCACGGGUCACUAUACUAGUUGUUUGUAAUUAAUCACUCCGUCCUUAUAUCUAGAUACCCAUUUGAUUUUCUUUUUAUCCCUAAAUGUAAGUCCCUUUUCAAAUUAUUAGAUACAUUUUUUUUUCAUAAACAUACCCUAAUUAAUACUACUAACUUGCCUUGAAAUAUGAAAAGUCAAAUUUAAUACACACACAAACAAAGGAAAAUUUGGUAAUAUUAACACACAAAAUAGACACAUUAAGUAAAUUAACAACUUUUCUUCAGAAAUGUGAAAAAAGCAAAGAGGGCUUACACAUAGGGACGAAGGGAAUAAGAAAAAGUUAAUCGUAACCCAUCAAUCUUAUAUAAACUUGGUCCUAUUUAUGAGAAAAAUUCAAAAAAUUGAUGGGUAUAUUUAAUACUCCUUCGGUCCUUAUUGAUCCUAUUUAUGAGGAAAAUUCAAGAAAUUUAUGGGUAUACUAUCUCUGGUUCUUUAUAUAAGAAACAAAACACAUAAAUCGAAACAAAACACAUAAAUCAAAUAGACUAAGGAAACAUUUUGAAAAUAGUUAUUUGCAUUUAAUACUCUUAUAAAUUGACAUGGUGAUGUAUAACGAGGAAGCGUCGACCAUGUUUCUCGCGCGGUUUGAAGCAAAUCAUCGGUUUGUAGGCGGUCGCGAUCUAACAUAUGCUGAAUUUCCAACAAAAUUUACUUAUGAGAAGAAAUAAAAAUAGUGGCAGCCACGUAAACUAGGAUAUCAAACCAAGCAAGUUCUCGGAAUCAAGAGAAUCAAUCAUAGUAUGAAGUAAAAAAUUUGGGAUAAAUAACUUAUUUGAUAUUAUGUGAUUGCUAAUUAAUAUAAAAUUUAAUGGAAAAAAAUUAUGGUCAAUCUUAAAUUUUAAAUUAAAGUUAAAAAUAAGGUAACUAAUUAGUUGUGGAAGUUUCUACUAUAUUUAUAAAUGAUUAUUAUAGUUUUUUAUUUACAGAAAUUUCAAUUUUUAUUGUUUUUAUUAUAGAUUUUUUUAUUAAAGAAAUCAUUAAAAAAAUAUUGAUUUCUAUAAUCCUAAUGUGCAUUAAAUCAGAAUUAAAAAAGAUAUUUUGUGAAAAGAUAAAUAAUGGAUAUUGGAUAUUUAAAUGGAUAUUGUGAACGAUUGUGGGUAAAGAAGUUAGUUAAUGAGAGUAUGAUCUGUUUUAGAACAUGGAAUAAAGGCACCCUUACUUGAACAUAUAUGGAAAUAGUUGACGCUAUCACUAAAAUGAAGAUUAAUUUUAUGUACCAACAAGAAACUAUGUGGGUAGGAGGUGAAAAGACAAAAUAAUUAGAUAGUUCAAGAUCUAAGCAUUGAUAAACCGGAAAAGUUAGAUCGAGAAAUGGUGUAGGCAUUACUGUGGAUAAGGAAUUGAAAAAGGAAAUUGUGGAUGUAAAGAGGAUGUGAGAUUUGAUUGUAUCCCACAAAUUUUUAGUUUAAUAAGACAUCUUUAUUAUUUUUUUUUUUUUAAGGAAAUAAGACAUCUUUAAUGUUAUGAGUGUUUACUCACCUUAGGUAGGUUUGGAAGAAUAUUCUAAAGUUAAAUUUUGGAAGGAUUUGAAAGGUUUAAUUCAAGUAAUACACAAGGAGAAAAUGUUUUUCUAAACCAAGUUGUUUGGGCUCCAGUGGCAAGGAGUUCCUUCCAAGGACGUAUCCGGGGAAUACCGGGUUUGAUUUCUAGGGGGAACAAUGAUUGGCCAGUGCGCAUGCCUCUAUGCAUGAGCUGAAUUAGUCGUCCACCUUAGGUGGGCCGGAAACCGGUGCGAAAGCCAAAAAAAAAAAGAUUUUCUAGGAGGGGAUCUAAAUGGGCAUGUAAGGAGUGUUUGAUAAGUUUUAAAGGCGUGAACAAGGGUAUGGCCGUGGGGACAUAAAUGCAUAGGGUAAUUCCAUCCUAGAUUUUUUGUAGUCUUUUAAUCUUACUUUAGGAAAAUAAAAAGAAAAUUUAUUACAUACAAGAGUGGAAUUUCAUGUUCUCAAAUAUAUUUAUUUCUUAUUAGGAAUUAUGACAGAAAUAUUUGUUUGAAUUUAAUGUUUUACAAAGAGAGAGUUUGACUAUCCAAGAUAUAAUAUUGGUUAUGGAUGUAAGGGUUAAGAUAAGAGCGGAGAUGAGAGGAAAUGAUUGAGAUGCAAGAAUCAAGUGGUGACAUUUAAAGGAUCAAAACCAAAGUGUUUUCCUACAAAAUAUUUUGAAGGAAGGUUGUGUGAAGUUACAUAUAAGCGAAAAUGAUACGUGAAACAAGAUGACAUAUGAGAUUAGAAAAGUAGCAAAAGAGACACUAGAAGAAUUAAUAGGUUUUGGAGCUAGCUAGGAGUAAAGAAUCUUGAGUUCAAAUUAAAGUGAAAAUCAAAAUAGUAUUUCACUAAUAAAAAAUAGGGAUAAGGGUGAUACAUUUGAAGACUAUUACACAUUAAGAAAUUUAGCACAUUCCAACCUUGAUGACAAUGUUGUUUUCGAGGGAUGUGUUUUUUAGGAUAUAAUAAAGUUUGAUAUAGACUCCAAUGAAAAAUAUUUAAUCAGGUCUCACUAACUUUACAUCAUUAAACAAAAAUAAUUUAUUUAUUAAACCUCAUUUAUUUAUUGGUAUAAACUUAAAUUUCAGCCACAUAACAUUACAAAUUUUACAUUCUUUCGUUAAAUAAUAAUAAUAAUUUGCAUGAAUUACAUUACAUUUUAUUUAAAAGAGUUAAAUAUGUUUUUGGUCUCUAUAUUUUACCUUCCUUUAAAAUAUAGUCCCUACAUUUCAAUAAAUAUUUUUAAAAUUCCUAUAUUUUUAUUCCGUUACGACAAAUAGUCCCUACCCUCAAAUCUGUAACGCUUCAACAGUAUUGUUCACUUUCAUCUUCCUGUUCAUGGUUUUCUUCAUCAUAUAUCAUCACUACCAUCUCUUGCUCCUUCUUAGAUCUUCUCUCUACCAACACCACCAACUUAUUACCACAUCACCAAAAACAAAACAGACCCACAAAUUUUCCUAGAAAUUUUGUCAAAGUCUAUCACUCUCCUUUGUUCCUUUAUUUUUUUCCAAACUAGAAAAUCUUCCACCCUGUAAAUUUUGUCCUUCAAUCUUCUUAGCUCCCACUCUCUUUGUUUUCCAAUCCGACCUUGCACAUCAACCGUGGCCAUGUCACAUGCGGCGAUUCCCUGAUUCUGAAACCUCAUUCUAUGGGUGUUGUUGUGUUUCGAUCAUGAAACCUCACUUCCCUUCCUUCAGACUCCUCUCUCUCUCCGCGAUGUUUGUUGUAUCUGUGAGGUUUGAUCGGAAUCGGGAGAGGGUUCAAUGGUGGAAUAAAAUUAGGCAAGAGAGGGGGUGAUGGAGAAUUUAUGAAGUGGGGGGACAGGGAGGAUUACAUAGGUGACUGGGGGGAGGUGCUAUUGAUUGUGUUUGAGGUGUCGUGGAAGAAGAGUUGAUUGAAACCAGUGAGUUAAAGAUCUCUUAUUGUGUGGAAUGGUGGAGGAAUUGAUACCAAUGUGCUAUUAUUGGAUCCAUUAAUCUCUAUGAUAUAACAUGACGAUUGAUGAAUAGUUCUCAAUGGGGAGAAAUAUUUAUGGGUUUAUUGAAGUUGUUGAGAUGAUGAGAGUUUUGGGAAGGAUGAUGAAUUUCUGAGCAGCCACUUGAGGAACAUUUUAUUGUAAUUCACUUGUUUUAUUUUGUUUUUGUUAAAAGGGGUUUUAUUUAAAUUUUUUAUAAUUAAUAAUUGUAAUAAAAUAAAUAUUAGAUUGCCACAUCACCAUUCUGUUUGGUGACUGAGUAUAAUUUAACAGCAGGGACUAUUUAUGCUAACAAAAUAAAAAUGUAGGAAUUUUAAAAAUAUUUAUUGAAAUGUAGGGACUAUUCUUUAAAGGAGGGUAAAAUGUAGGGAUCAAUAACAUAUUUAAACUCUAUUUAAAAUGGGGACAAAUAGAUAAAAUAAUCUUUAAAACAACUAUUAAUUUAAAAAAAAAAAAAAUUAAAACAACUACUCCAUCCGUCCCUUAAUAAGUGACCUAGUUGACCAAAUUACGUAUACCAAUGCGUAAUUUUGAGUUUAAAUAUCUUGAACAAUAUAUUGGAAAAAAUUAUGAAAAUUUGAUAUUUUGAAAAUACUCAUCGAGACGAAUCUAACGAUAUCUUAUAUGAUGUUAUUUAUCUUUGUAUAUUAGUUGAAAAAUACGGUCAAAGUCAGUUAGGUCAAAAUUAAAAAAAUUCCAAAUGGGUCACUUAUUAAGGGACGGAGGGAGUAUUAAUUAUUAAAAUAUUACUUCUUUUGUAAGCGAGCCCACAUAGUACAUAUUUUAUUACUUCUUUUGAACAUGGGACCCGUUAGUUGCUUUGGAGAGAGGGCCCUUAUGCAGUUACCCAUUCCUUAAUAGGGACUCAUUUUUUCUUCCUCCAAUGGAGAUCCUUAAUAGGGAUCCCAUUGGAGAUGCUCUAAAGGAGUCUUUGCAACAUCAAAUUUAAGGUCUCAAUGCCAUUUUUUUUGGUAAUAAAAUGUGGUUAAUAAUAGAAAUCUAAAUUCACGUUAGAACUGAUUAAAGAAAAUCGAUGUUUACACAUAUCGUAAGGAUGAGACAUACAAGUAAAAUACGUAAUUGUUUUUUCAGCAGUUAAAAACAAUUAUGCAGACAGUGAAUUUUGCAUAAUUGUUAAGCAUUUUCAAGCCAUUUUUCGAUCAGUUUUUAUCUGUAAAUAAAUCAGAGCAUUUCCAAAUGCAAUAUAAGCCAUACAACAUUUAAACUCAGUCAUAAAAGAAAAAUACAAUAUCUUUUUGUCCAUAAUUAAAUCAAACCAGCAUUUGGUUCAAAAUACACAAAAGUUUGAAAUUCAUCAAAACGUUACACAGUGUCCAUAAUUAAACAGCACAUUACAACUCAUUACAUAUCAAUAAAUUAAAUCUUUACUUACAUUCAAUGCAAUUGCAUAUGGAAAAAACAUACAUAUAUAAUAUAUUAUUUUCCACAAUAUUCCGAAACAUAAAUACGACGUCGCUAUCGUCUUUAACAAGCCAAGGCAUAUAACUUGCCGUUUUUCAUGCAUAUUCAUCUCUAUCUUCUCCUAGGUCUAUGCAUGACAUUUGACCAAACAAGUGACAUGUAUAUUGAUUUUCACCAAGAUGCUCAAAAUAAGUGUUAAGUUGUGCCUUCAAAUCAUCAAGAAAGUCGGUCGGCGUUAUCAUAACCUUAAUUGUCUUUUUUAAAAGCGGAGUACCUAACAUGACCUUCAAUUUUUGCAACCUCAUACAUGUUUCACUUCACAAAAGCUUUAUGAAAAAAAAUCAUACAUUAGGAUGUAAUUAAACGAAACGUAAUAAUAAUCAAUGAAAUGUACAUAAAAUGCAUAAACAUUAAAAAAUAUGCACUAGUUUCACCACAUAAAAGUCAUAUUAUCAUAUAUUUAUAUAAGUUACAAAAUGUUAUUUAUAUAUUGGCCACAACAAAUUGGUGUUACAAUUUCGACCCAAAAAUACGCGUCGGUGUAAUUUCUACCAAAAAAAGGACUAACACCGACAAGAAAAUCACUCAUUAAAGAUCAAAUGAUUGGGGAAGAUCACGUGAAUUAGAAUCUUCCUCAUCUUCCGCAAUAACUUCAAAUGGUUGCUUUGGUUUUUCGGGAGUGCCCAACAAAAUAGGCGCCGCUUUGUUCGACUCUUUUUGUGGUUUCGGCGGUUUCUUUCCACUUUCAAUAACUACGAGCUUUCGGAACAACUCAUGUUCCCAUGUCACCACAUCUUCUUUCUUAUGAUUGUGUCACUCCGUAGAUGAUGGAGGUAGUUGACAACCAUUCUUCAAAUAAAUAAGCACGAAAUGAUUUGGAAUUACUCCAAGGCACGUGAUUGGAUUGAUCAAGUUUGAUCUUUGUGUAACAGUUAUAAAUCCUGCCUUAUUUGGUUUACGACGUACUCACUCAAACAAUUCUUCCCUAUCUUUCGACUUAACAUCGUCUGGAAAAAAACCUAGCCAUGUCAACUUUGAGGGCAUGAAGUGGGAGGACAUCGGAGGACACAUAAACUCCAUCAAUGUUUGGUUUGGCUUCAACCUUAGGCGGUUUCACAUCUCCGAAAAUUUCGACAAAAUUUGGUUUUGUCUCUCCCGGAACAUCUUCCGUGUUCUCUACCAUUACUAUUAUUAAACAACACAAAAAUAUGAAAUAACAACUAACUAAUGCAUAUACAUCAAUGCCAUAAUGAAUUAAAACAAAAAAAAACAAAGAAUUUUUUUUGGAAAAACUGGCAAUACCGAGGAUUCCGAUGACAGGGUUCUACGUAACUGACGUAGAAACCCAUAACAAACCAAAAAAUAAACUGAUUAAAAUGUUCAAUAGUUGUUUUUUUUUACGUGAAAAGUGUGUUGAUAUCUCCUAUGCUUGAUACUUGAAUGAUUUUGGUGCAAAAUUUGAUGAAAAAAUAUUGAAUUUAAGAAUUGGAUGAAAGUGGUAUGGAAGUUGAUGAUGAAAUAGUAUGUAGGGUGAGCAGGUGACUGUUUCAUUUGAUGAAACAUAUUUCUCAACAGUUAACUACCGAGGUUUUCCUCGACAGUUAACUGCAACCAGUUUUUGAAUUUCUCGACAGUUAAAUGCUAAGGGGGUAAUUACGUAUUUUACUUGUGUGUCUCAGCCUUACGAUACGUGUGAACAACAUUUUCCUAAUUAAAAACAUAGUUUAAGAUAACUUCACGGUAGAACUAAAUGAAAAUCUUGUCACAUGAAAGUAUUUAGCAUAAAUUAAUGUCAAUAUACAAGGUCUAUUUUCUAUAAUAAAAGAGUAAUGAUUACUCCCAUUUGACAAUUCCAUCAUGGGUGGUGGUUGAUGGUGUUCAACCUUAGUGAAGCUUAAUCUUCUCUAUAUUUGUCUACUGACUGGAUGUCCCCACUCCCCAUAUACAAACCAUUUUGAAGAAAAAAUAGACGGGUUAUAGUUCAUCCAUAUUUUGAAAUGAUGGAUUCGAAUUAAUUCUUGCAUUAAUAAAUUAAUAAUCACGGCUCCUUCCGUUUCAAAAUACAUAUUUAAGUCAACAACUUCACAUAUGUCAAUGCACAAUUUUGACUGUUAAUAUAUUUAAUUAUCUGAUGUAAAAAAUUAUAAAUAAAAAUUUAAUAUUUUGAAAAUAUUUGUCGAGACAAAUUAAACAACAUCUUACAUGCUAAUAUUUGUAUUUAUAUAUUAGUUAAAAUGUAUGGUUAAAGUAAAUCAAGUGAAUAGUGCAUAUUGCAAAAAUUGGACAUGUAUUUUGAAACGAGGGAGUAUUUUGUAAAGUGUGUGAGUUAAAUGGAUACUUCCCCCACACCUCAAUUGGAGUUAAGAUCCACUCUAUUUUUUAUUUUCUUUAUUUCUUUAAUUUGGAGAGAUAAAGACACAAAAAAUCUUACAUAUAAUUAAAUUAAAUUAUACCAUCAUUAAUUAAAUUAAUGAGGGUAGAAUUCAUUUAAUGAUGGGACCCACAAUCUAUUUUUUUGUGCCUAUCUCUUUCAUAAUUGCAAUCUCCAUUUUUAUAAUGGAGAGAAUCUCAACUCCCUCAAUUGUCGGCUACCUCCACCCUCCACCUUUCUCUUUCAAUAUCCAAACCCCAUUCCUUUGGAUGUAGCUUUAUUUGGGGUAUUGCGUUCGCGUCUUCAUAGUGUUGUCACCUCACCAUCCACAACCCCUUGUGGGGUAAUUUAAGUAGUUGUCGACGGGUGGUUUACUCUGUCUCUGACAAUUUUAUGUUUGUCAUAUUUAAAACCCUCUUUGUACCGGAUUUUCUCGUGAUUUAGCAAGUUGGUUGCCUAGUCGUGAUGGAGUUAUGGAUCUAGUUAUCCAAAAGGGUAUGUGAAACGGAUGUUGUCAUGUCUAGUGACGUUCUCGUUCUUAGAUUCUUUGAUUUUAUUCAGAUUUGUUGUAAUUUACAAGUUUUAGGUUUGGCGUCUUGAUGGCUUAAUGUGAUUUAUCAAGGGGUUUGUUGGUGUCAUGGUGCGUGAAUCAGUCCAUGUUAGCGGCCAGUUCAUUCCUCGUAGUUCAUAUUGAGAUGUGAAGAGUAAUUGAGAGUGUUAUCUAUGACUCGUCAAUCAACUUUUAUAGAGUGUUAUCUCUGGACACCAUUCUUACUGCUAAUGAGGUGGUUGAUGAGGCAAACAAAUUAAAGAAAGAGUUACUUAUAUUCAAGGUUUACUUCGAAGAGGCACAUAAUUAUGUCAACUGGAAAUAUUUAGAGUCAGUUAUGGAAAAAAUGAAUUUCCCCGUUUUGUGGUUGAAGUGAAUUAUGAAAUUUGUAACUUCUGCAAUGACAUUAAUACUUGUUAAUGAGAGUUCAAAAAAUAAGUUUUCUUUUGGGAGGGGUUAUGACAAGGCAAUCACCUCUCCAUUUUUGUUCUCAAGAAGGGGGAUAUUAGGAAAAGACCUUGGAUUAAUUGGAAUACCAUUAUCUACCUAGGCAAGGAGAACAUAUGUUUAGGGGUGUACAAAUUGCGGGAAUUUAAUUUAGCUUUGUUAGGAAGAUGACGUUGGAGGGUUUGUGUUGAACAUGAUAGUUUGUGACUGAAGGAGGGAGGAUGAGGGAGGCUGGGCGUGGUGAGUCUGUGUGGUGGAGGAAUGUUAAGGGUCUGCAUAGAGGGGAGGGCUUGACAAUAUGAAGAUGAUUUAACGACAACUUGGUGAGGGUGGUGGGAGACGGCACAAGAACGUUUGUGAGAGAUUGAGAAGGUUGUUCGACUAACAGAGAGUUGUUUCGCUACACUAGUAGAUAUGUAUGCGAUAGAUUGACAGUUUGGGGGUGGGGGGGGGGGGGGGGGGGGGGGGGGGGGGGGCUCUGAAAUGACGAUGUCGGUUAUUUGCUCAGGGAGGAAGAGAUGUUGGGGGAAUGUUGUGAGGCUUUAUCUUGCAUUCUUUUACAUGUGGAGUUGGUAUCUUACACCUAACAAAGGUUACGCUGUUAGUGGAGUACACCGAUUGUUGACUGCGGUAGAGUCGAGUACCCGCCAUGAUCUUUAGGAAAUCAUUCAAAAUAAAACAAUACCACCAAAAGUUUCAAUUUUUUCUUGGAAGUUGGGAAAGAAUCGACUUUCUACCAAAGAUAAUCUACUAAAACAUGGUAUUUUCACACAAAUUUAAAUGUUUGUACUAUUGCCUGUGACUUUGAGGAAAAAUUGGAUCACUUGUUCUUGGGAUGUAAGUUUUUUUGAGACCUUGUGUUAUGGGUUUAACCAGUCAGUUGUAUUCUCUUUUUAUGUUUUUUGUUCGUGUAUAUUUUUAACUCUUGUAGUACUUUGUGUUCCUUACACAAUUACACUCCUUGAGUUUGAGAGAACAUAUUUGUAUAUAAUUUCAUUUUGCUUUAUUCACAAAACAUAUACAAUAUAUAUCUUUGUAAUUUUAUUUAAAAAAUAAAUAAAUAAAAUUCACUAACUACUUUUCUUGAUAUAUGUAAAAUAAAAAGUAAAAUGGACUUAUACUAUAAAAAGACAAAAUAUUUAGCGUUUAAUUGUUUUUUUUGUCAAGUAAUAUAUAUAGUUGCUCGAUCUCACACAUUUUAAAUUUGAGGCGUUCGAGGUUUGAACCCCAAUCUCUACAUGUAUUAUACAAUGUUCUUACUAACUGAGUUAAUCUUACCGAUUAAAUUAUUAGUGCAUGAGUUGGAAUUAUAUAAAAUUCUUCCAACUAAGUAAAACAUUUUUUUUAAGGGCACAUGACUUCUUUUUAUUAAUGUAGUUCACAUAAAUUGAGUGCGGACUAAAGUGCAUGAAUAAUAUAAAAUUGGAAAGAUUUAAAGAAUAAUUUAUUUAUAAAUUAAUUCCUAAAUUUUCUGGCUCAAAAGACAAAUUCUUUCAUUUUGUUAAAAAAAUUAAAUUCUUUAUUAUAUGAUAAUUUGCCCGUCUUAAUUUACAAAACUAAUUGUCCUAAUUUAUUAAAAAAAAUUGUCCUAAUUAAGUUCUUGGAUUAAAUAUAAAGUCCAUAUAUCUAUUCCCUUUUUUUAGUUCAUUCUAUAUACACAAUCAAUCUAAUGUUUUGUAAACUACAAGUAAAUCGCAACCAAUCAAAUGAAUGACUAAAAAUAAAAUGAUUAAAGUUUAAUUUCUGUAAUUUUUUCUUUAAAAUUGUAAUUUUUUAUUUUAUUUUUUUAAUUUGUAUAUACCAAUAAUGUAAAAUUAUUUUAUACAUGUAUCCAAUUAAAUCACUUUAUGAUAUCACUAAUUUAAACCCCGACCUUAUAUAUAUAUUAUACAUCGUCUACAACUACACAUUAUAUAUCCUAAUAAUAAAGUUUCAAUUGUUUCAAAAAUAAAUAAAUAAUAAAGUUUCGACAUAAAAUAAUCUCUUCCGAAAAACGUAACGCAAAUUUAAACAUUGGGAUUUGUCAAUUUCCUACGGCUUCAUGAUUAACAUCACCAAAUGACUCAUCUUGCAGUUUUUCUUGCAUAAAAUGCUCUCAUUGACACAAAUGUUAUUCAUGCAAUCAAUUAAUUAAAAUCAUCAUAUGAUAUGGCAUUCAACAUUGUUUUUCUUCUCUGCCUCUUUUCUCAAAUUAUUACUACCACAGUGACAUUGAAAACUUUCUCAGAACCUAUUUCUCCCAAUAUUCUCGAUGUUACUUCAUUAAAUCGAAGUAGUUUUCCUACAAACUUCAUCUUUGGAGCAUCAAACUCGGCAUACCAGGUUUUUUCGGUUUAUUCUUUAUCUAGAUCUUUUUUAUUUUCCGUGGUUAAAAUUGAUAUCGUUUCAAAUAGUUAGUGCAUGUUUGAUUAUGUGGUGAGAUUAAAAAAUUAUGAUGAACCAGAACCACCAUGAUAGUGUAUAGUUUUUGUCAAAAUUCAUCGUGAUUUGACCAAUUUGACCGCUCAACCAAACAUGCUCUUAGUGCCCGUUUGUUUUCGCGCUACAUAAAAAUCAAUCAUGCGUCAAGUUCAAAGCUAGAGUUAAUUCGUAGCUUUUUGUAGUGUAUUGGGAUGUAGUGCAAAAGUGAAUUCAAACAUACACUUAAUAUACUCUAAUCACAUUUUGAAGCAACUUUCUACGUCACAAAUUAAUUUUUUAUUUUUAUUUUUGCUACCAAGACAUGAGUUUUGUUGUGUUCAUUGUAUAUAAACAUGUACAGUACGAAGGUUCUGCAAAGGAAGGUGGCAAAGGAACAAGUAUAUGGGAUACCUUUACUCACAAAUAUCCAGGUUAUCUCUAUCUAUUUACCUUUAGGAAGCUUUUAAAUUAUUUAUUAAAAGCUACUUUGUUUUAUACGAAAUUAAUUAAGCUUCCCACACAAAAAAAAAAAACUCUCAUGUAUAAAUAAUAAAUAUAUAUGUAUACUUUUUAAAAGGAUUGGACAGAAAGAUGACAUUUUUUUGGUCAAGUCCUCUUUCUUUAAUCUUUUUUCCAACUCUUUUAUAAAGUACAAACCAUUCCUAAAGUGAUUUGGUUCGGAUAACAACUUAUGAUUUCAAACCUACAAACUUAAUCAUUUGAAAAACACAUGAGAAUAUCUACUAGUGUUUCAAUUUAGUUAAAAGUGAUUUUAAAUUAUGUAAUUUAGUUCAAAUGUAUGAAUUCUAUUAAAUAGAGUGUCAUUGUUUUUUAAUUUUAAAUUAUAUAUAUGUGUGUCAUGACAUGAUCCGAAUCAAACCAAUUUGUUCAUUACUUUCAUUGGGUUGAUUGCGUAUCAAAAAAAAAGUACAAUUUUUUGAGCCAAUCUGAACUAAUGAUUCUUGACCGAAACUGAGCCAACCCAACCCAACUCAUUUUAUUCGUUGAUCGAAAUAUAUUUUCAAUUUUUUAUAUAAUGUUUGUUUAUUUUUUCUUCCAUAAAACAAAUAAGUUUAUAGGUUUAGUCCUUGUAAUAUAGGCAAUUUUUUUAUUCCCUUAAACUAGAAUUAAACAUUAAUUUGAAAUAAAGAAUAUGUUAAUUAUUGUAAUUUAGGGUUUCUUAAAGAGUAAAAUAUAUUACAAGUACGUAAAAAUAACAACAUUAUUAACUUUUUUAAUCUUGUACUAGAAUAAACUUUUUUUCCCUCAAACUUUAGUUGGGGUAUAUUUAUUUCUUAAGAUCAAAUAAACUAGAAUAUAUUUAAGAGUAAGUAUAUCCCUUAAAAUACAUAUACUAUAAGGAUUAAAACAAAACAACUAGAAUUAAAGUAUGUCAAUGCAUGACUUACAUUUAAUAAAUGGUGAUCGAUAUACAGAAAAAAUAAUCGACAGAAGCAAUGGAGAUGUCUCUAUUGACGGGUAUCAUCGGUACAAGGUAUGAUUCACAUAUCAUUAGCAAAGUGGUUAAACUUAAAACUUUCACUUAAAGCAAAAAUGUCUCAAACAAAUUUUACUUUAGGUUUCACUCAAUGGAUUUUCUACUAAAAUUCUUUAAUAUAUCGAUGUAUUUUAUUUUUAUGUUAUAGAAAAUUUGUUUUAUACAGGAAGAUGUUGGGAUCAUGAAGUAUAUGAAUUUAGAUGCAUAUAGAUUAUCCAUCUCAUGGUCUAGAAUACUACCAAGUAAGUUGAUAAUUUCCCAUCCUUAAACAAUGCAUAUAUCAAGUAAAUUAUUGUAGUCAUAGUAAACUAUAUCCACAUUUAAUCAAAAAAAUAAAAAUAAAACUAUAUUCACAGAUGGAAGGAUAAGUGGAGGCAUUAAUCAAGAAGGGAUCACAUUCUACAACAACUUCAUCAACGAGCUAAUAGCUAAUGGUCACAAAUAUUAAAAUUUGCAUUUUAUAAUUUCUUAAGCAUAGCAUAGUACAUUGCAAUCAUAAUUGAAAAAUUAUUAGUUUUGCAGGUAUAGAAGUAUUUGUGACACUAUUUCAUUGGGAUCUACCACAAGCCUUGGAAGACGAGUAUGGAGGUUUCUUAAGUCCUCGCAUAGUGUAAGCGACGAUGUACUAACGUUAAAACUAUAAUUUAUUUAGAAUUAUAUGAGUAAAUUAAAUUUUCUUCUAAGUUGAAGAAUGCUUUAGAUGUGAAACUAGUAUCUUUUUGUGUGUGCAUGGAGCGGUAAGAAGAGUCUAUAGUGCUACAAAAAGUUUGAUUAUACUUUUACAUUUUGAAUUUUAGAAAUGAUUUUCGGGAUUACGCGGAGCUUUGCUUCAAGGAAUUUGGAGAUAGAGUGAAGUACUGGAUUACGAUAAAUGAGCCAUCCACUUACUGCACAGGUGGAUAUGUUGUUGCGAUAUUUCCACCUGGUAGAUGUUCAGAUUGGCAAAACCUCAACUGCACCGGUGGUGAUUCGGGGACAGAGCCAUAUUUAGUUGCACAUCACCUACUCCUUGCUCAUGCAGCCGCUGUUCAAGUUUACAAGACAAAAUAUCAGGUUCAUUUUAUCUUUGAGUAAUGAUAACUUUGAAGCUCUAAAAUGUACCAAACUUAUGUAUAUUAGUCUUCCUUUCAUCAGUCUUGAGUCUUGACAAGCAGUUUCCUCUAGAUUUUGAAAGCAGGACACAAUCCUUUUGUACCAAGCGCGUCAUAAGGCCUUUAUAUCCUUGUGUCUGCUCAACAAAGUCAGUUUCCUCUACAUCACGAUGUAGAAAAGCACUUUCACAUCUAGUUGAUAAAGGCACCAUCAUUUGAAAGUUGUAAGACCAAUGAUAGUUCUUACUUCUUAUAGUAUAUCCCAUAUAGCAGCAGGGGGAAACAUUUUGCGCUAGACAUCCUUGUAUUACUUGUGUCUAUAGACAAGUUCUCAUAAAUGUUUUUAUCAACUUCAAUACUAAUUGUGCAAGUUUAAUUUACAGGUUCCAUUGUUACUUAAAAGCCAAACUACAUCUCAAAAGGGUUGGAUAGGAAUAGCCUUACAAUCUUACUGGUUUGUGCCGUUUUCAAAUAGCAAAUCCGAUGAAAGAGCUGCAGAACGAGCAAUUGACUUCAUGCUUGGAUGGUUAGUAGCUCAUUGCACACUCGCUCUAUAUAUGAAAUUAUGAACUUAACAUCACUUGAUUAUAUUAAAAAGAAAAAACAAAUGGAGCAUGAUUUACUAAAGCAUUUUCAUUUUUCAUUCAUCUAUCAAAGUAUGAAGUAUUGUUAAUUAUUAAUGUUAUUAUUAUGAAACUCUCAAUACCCUCGUCGUUUUUUGGGUGCAUCCUAUCCUGCACCACCACGAUGUAUUGUAAUUUAAAAAAUUAUAUUAUAAAGUUUUGAAAAUUGAAUAAACACAUAUCCUCAAUUCUAGUAAGGUAUUGCAAGUGUGACAACGGGAGACAAUAUGUGCCCGCGUGCACACACACAGCACCAUAAGAAAGCUAAAAAACAUUCUAUUGAAAUCUCUAUUUCAGGUUUAUGACACCAUUGACAACAGGAGACUAUCCACAACAUAUGCGAUCCUUGGUUGGACAACGAUUGCCAAAGUUCUCUGAAGAACAAACCAGGCUACUCAACGGUUCUUUUGAUUUUAUUGGAUUAAACCACUACACAUCUCGAUAUGCAGCCAAUGCACCUAAUUUAAACACUACUAUACCUUGCUAUCUCACAGAUUCCCUUGCCAAUCUUACAAGUAAACACACCUUUAUUCAUCACUUAUAUCAUAAUGAAUUUUAACUAAUAAUUUAAAUCUUUGUUGAAUUUGACGACGAUCUCUCUUAUUUUUUGUAAUGGAAGCUGAACGUAACGGGAUACCCAUAGGUCCACAGGUACGUACAAGUGCGACCAAAUCAAAUGAAGUUUAUCUUUCUGCUAAAAUAAAAAUAUGAAACCUCCAUGAUUAUAUAUAUCUGCAGGCUGCUUCAGAUUGGUUUUACAGUUAUCCAAUUGGAUUUAAGAAACUGUUGGUCUACAUCAAGGAAAAGUACAAGAAUCCAUUGAUUUAUGUUACCGAAAAUGGUAAAUUACAACAAUCCUCGAUAAAUAUUGCAAAGUAAAUCUAUGAAUGAACAUGAAUAUGUGAACUAGUUAUUUGCUUAGGUGCAUCACACACACACACAUAUCAUAUACAAGCAUAUGGAUAAUGGACUUACCUUCAUGUACAAGAAAUUUUUCCUCACAUACUUGGCUUGAUUUGCAGGUAUAGAUGAGAAAAAUGAUCCAACACUGCCAUUGGAGGAAGCGCUUAAGGACAUUGACAGAAUUCAUUAUUAUCAGGACCAUCUCUCAUAUCUUCAAUCAGCAAUUAGGUAAUGGUUGUUUUUAUAUCUAAAAAUUCUGUCUAUUUGCUUCAAUACACAUCUUAAUACUUUCUAUUUUGUUUUGUUUUUUGUUAAUAUAUAAGGAUCGGCGUAAAUGUAAAAGGAUAUUUUGCGUGGUCGCUAUUGGACAAUUUUGAAUGGGGUGAAGGGUACACAGUGAGGUUUGGAAUGAACUUUGUAGAUUACAACAAUGACUUGAAAAGAUAUCAAAAGCUCUCAGCACAAUGGUUCAAGAAUUUUCUGAAGAGACUUUAAUUAGACUUUCUGAUAUUUAUAUGCAUGUCUCUCUUUGUAAUGGUAUUUAAAAAAGAAACAUAAAUGAAGUAGUUACAUAUGAUUGUUCAUUUUCUAAAGAAAUUAUGCGAUUCUAUAAAUCAUGGCUUUUGUGUAUAUUUAGUCUUUUCUCUUGUUAUGUUUCAAUAAUAACCUUGCCACACCCUUUACAACCCUUACCAUGACCACACUGACAUUUAGAUGUUAUAAGAAUCUUUGGUAAUCUAUCUUGGAAAAGCCUCUGAAAGAAUCAUGAUUCAUAUCGAAGAAUAUUCUUCAUUGCUUUGAAAGUCCACCCUAUCAACUAAGUUUCGAAGACCUACUAGCAACUCCUCCUCCCACUUAAUCACCAUUCACCACUGACACGACCAACACCAGACGCCGUCCCUCUAGCUUACAAUCUCAGCCACAGUUGCUUGCUUCUUUGUUUUCGGCCAUUUGAAAUAGUCGGGGAUACAUCACUCUAAAGCCUGUUCUCUCAAUCCAUUGAUCCUGCAAAAAACAUCAUUAAGGUUAGUUUACCUCCCAAAGAUAUGUGUCUCCCUUUCCAAGCCCUUAUACUCCUUAAAUUUUCCGUUCGCCACAACUUUCGUAACCAGCCUAUAUAAGCCUUCUAUGAUCGAUGCGAAUGCAAAAGGGACAAGUGGAUCUCCCUGUCUAAAGUCCCGCUUGAUUCGACUAUCAUCAAUAGGGCUACCAUUAACUAGUAUAGACACAUGGCUGCCGAAAAUGCAUGACAUAAUCCACUUCCUCCAUGCAUCACAAAAACUCUAUCUAGCAAGCACAUAUUCAAGAAACUUCGAACUAACUAAUAAUAUUUUUGUUGUCCUACCACUAAAAUGGUAAAAGGCUACAGAGAUUUGCAUAGCACAAACUCUGGUACGUGGAUACAGACGCAUCGACACUCCUAAUGUCAAAAAUGCCUAUUAAGCAAGAAUGAUAAAUGACCUUUAACAACACCCUCUUCAUUCCUCCUUACUCCUUCAAUAAUUACCUACAAUUUCAUCAACCUAGUAUAUAGAUUAAGAUUUUGUGAUUAUCAGAAGAAAAAUGAAAAAUCUAUAACUAAAAGCAUAAACACAAGAAUUUAUACUCGAGUUCUAUAACUUACAUAUUAAUAGGCUUUAAUUGGAAACUAAAACACAAAUCCGUUGUAGUCUAGUUGGUCAGGAUAUUCGGCUCUCACCCGAAAGACCCGGGUUCAAGUCCCGGCAACGGAAUCUUUUUUUAUUUAUUUAUAAUUUCUCUUUUUUUUUUUUCCUCGAAGGACUCUGUUUCUUUUAAAUAUUUCCAAUUUUGUAAAUACAUCACGAAAAUGGUAAGUUGGUGCCAAUGGAAUACUACUACCACCCCUCACAAUAUCUGCAGUGCCAAACUUUUGAAAAAUUCUUAUUUUUAUAAAAUACACAUUAAAUUCUUUUAAGUUUUUUAGGACUGAGUUCAGAUAAUUUUUUCUGCAUUGUGAGUUUAUGCUUAUUCAAACUUGAUUUUGUUUAGACAAAAGUAAUUUUAGAACUAAAAAAUUGAUUUUAAUAUGUUUGAUUAUUUUCAAAUAAAAUCAAUUUUGUCUUGAAUUAAUCUCUAAAGUUAAUUUGUAAGCUCAACUUUCUUUUUCAUUUAAGUAUUUAAAUAUAAAUUACUUAUAUUCAACUUACUUUUAAUCAAAAUCAAUUCAUUCAACAUGUGAAAUACGGGGUUAAGUAGAUGUUUUCAAGACAAUGAAAAAGUUGAUAACCGCUUUGAGUAAAUACAAAUAAUAACAUAUCUGAAUUUUAUUUAUUAUUGUCAUUUUGAAAAGAACAAAAACACUUUGGAACUAUUUGUCAAAUUGUUAAAAUAUAACAAUAUAUGCGGUAAUAGUAAGCGUGACAUGAGCUUGAAACAUGUAGCAUAUAUAAAUUUGUUACAAAAGACAAUUUCAUUCAAAGGUGUAGUAGCAACUAGAACCUCAAAAACUACUAAAUCUAAAUCAGCAGUAUCUUAUAUGUACAGUAACUUGAAAGAUCGGUAUGAAGUUCAGUAUUGUAUCCAAUAUUACAAAGAGUGGGCUUGCAUGGCGAAUCAAACCUUAACCUCCAAGUUAUAGCUUCAAACACACUGUGCUUAGGUGAAAUUGUCACCGCGGUUUCAAACACACUAAAACUUAAUGGUCUAUCAAGCCUAUAGCAAUCCCUAAAUAACAUGAUACUUGUUCCAUCACUGUCUCUUUUACGGCUUUAUUAUCUGAAAUUUGAUCAGUACCAGCAAUCUACCUCUUCUACUUGCACUGCUGGCAAAUUCCACUUCUUUGGAGGCCCUGAGGCCUUUGGAGAUCCAACAAAAUUAUGCACAUCAAGUUUCUCAAGUUCUACAGAGAUCGUACGACCAUAAAAACUCUGCAGAUAAAGGAUAAAAAACAUUAAAAAGAUAGCAUUCAGUUGUCAAAGUUGAUAAUCAAAAGAUAGGGCAUGCCAUUAAAAUCUGAACCUGUUGAUCCAUUGUUUCAAGUGCAAGCAUGGCAUCGUCUUGACAUGUGUAUUGAAUAAAAGCAAGUCCCUUUGAUCUUUCUGUGCUUACAUCUUUAACCAUUUGGACUGGAGCACACACCAAAUAAAUGGCACAGGUGUGAGCCAAAGUACUAAAAUCAGUUAUGCACCAUAUUUUAAGUGCUGCUAUAUCGAAGUAUGAGAAAAUUCAUGCACUUACCUUCAGCUAUCUUGCCAAAAUUUGAAAAUUUCUUCUGCAAAGCAUUCUCGCCAGUAAAAUAGGGUAGAUCUGUCUCCAAAGAAGAGCAGGUAGGACUUCAUAAAAAAAUGGUAAAUAAAAGAAAGAAAUAUCCCUUCCAAAAAAAUAAAACAAAAUGCUCCAUAGUCCAUAGCAUCCAGAUAUCAGGAGAGAAUAUUAAAAGGAUAUGAAAGACUGAUCACAGAUCAAAAUGAAGAACUACAUAAUGUAAAGAAAAUUCUCCACACUCAACAAUCAGCCAGAUUUGUGAAAACAGAAACUAGUCAAUCCACAAGUGUUUUUUUAUCUACAUCAAGUUAAUAAGAUAAUCCACAAGAAAAGUUUUUUUUGUAGAUAUCUGGAUGAAGCUUAGUGCUUUGGAACAAAAGGCAUCAAGUGUGUUAGUGGAAGUCCAUAAUUUCGAAUUCAAAAGCAUGUAAUAUGACAGAUAAGUGAACGUCAAUUUUGUAAAAAAUCAAAAUGUAGUUGGCACAAUCAUCUUAGAGAAGAUGAAUGCAAUAUUGCCAAUUUUCCAUCCAAAUGAUUGUGCAGUUGGCACCUUCGGAUUUUCAUUUAUCAGUUACGGACAUUGUAAAAUGACUUUUUUUUUCAUUAUUAUACUGGAACUUAUUUCCAUUACCAUACAGGAAAGAGGAACAAGAACCCAUCUAAACAGAGAAAACAAGUUGUUAAAGAGUCUCACAUUGGAUGAGAUAUGACCUGACUAUGUGUUAAAAGUGGGAGCAGUCCUCACCUUACAAGCCGGCUUUGUAAGGUUGAGUUAGGCCCAAACCAAAUUCUAAGACAAGCAUAUAUAACAAGAACCAAAAAAAGCAUAAUAUUGGCUUAAAAAGGCUCUUAAAUCACUUUUCACUUCUAACAAGAAUACCCUUCUCCUCUACUGCCCAAGAAAAAAAUGACUUAACCUACAUAGAUGCAACAGAAACACAUCUAUCCUAAAGAUGUUGCAACAUGUUUUCAAAAGCGUGCUUUAGCAGAGCAGACAUGUCUUAAUACUACAUAGACCGCUACAGACAUGCACUAGCUGAGCAGUUUAGUUAACUCUAUGAUUUCAAAAUAGCUGCCAUCCCGUUAUCUGCUAUCUCACUAUAGCAUUUUUUGGGUUGACCGCUACACUGCUCUAUAUGGGAUUGAUAACACCGGUUAUAGAUAGAAAUUUCUGAAUGAAAAUUCAGUAGUUGCAUGCAAGCUGCAAUCCAAACCAGUAGAGAUAGCACAGUACACGCCUUCAUCACAAGAAAGAAUCUGACAGGAAGGAAGCUUCCCUUACAAGGGAAGAGCAAAUACUACUCAGAGAAUGCAAUUCAAAAUAUUAUAAAUGAUGGUCUGCCUGCGGCAGCGUAGCAUUCUUCUUAUGUAUAUCUAAUGUGUUAAGUAAAAGCAUUGAAGAGAGCAAAUGGUGAAAUGAGGAUUUUCGUGAUGCAAAUAAGCAAAUUAGAAAGAAAAAGGUAAAUCAGACCAAUAGAGCUUCAAAUUCCUAGUCCUAACUAAUAAACUAACGAAAAACCACGCAUCGAGGCUAGGCUGGUGAUACCCAUUCACAAAAGUGGUUAGUAUUAUUUUGUAUGUGAGAUUUGUCUCUGGGCUAGGAGCAAUUGUUCUUGAUAAGGAGUUCAUUGGAUUGAACUCUUGUUUUCUCUUAUUGUUUCUGUUUUUCACCAUUGUAGAGCUUGAAGCUCACCAUUUCCCAAUUCAAUAACAAUUGUUCUAUCACGCUAGUACGAUUCAACACUUGUAACAAUGAAAACAACAAUGGAUCAACUCCUAAUAUAAUGUAUUCCCUAUAGAUUACAUUCAACACUUGUAACAUUGAAAACAACAAUGGAUCAAAUAAAGAAAUUGAAAACAGCUUGAAGGGUAGAAAAUUAUGAGAAAAUAAGAGAGUGAGAGAGUUACUUACUUUUAACAAGGAUUUUGCUAGCAAGCGGAUAUUCGUGUCGCAUAGAUAAUGAUGAUCUGAGGAGGUUUAGACGAGAACGGUUUGGUGGUGUGUAGUAAGGGAAUGAAGCCAACCCCAAAAUCUUUGUCUCCAUCAAAACUAAAACCAAGCAACCUCGUAUUCGUCGUCGUCUCUGUGUCAGAAAAUAAUCCCAACUCCUUUUUGACUUUUCAAUUGUUGGAUUUAGACUGGUUGGUUGCUUCCGUUUUCGGUAGAAAAAAUAAAUUAUACUACCUCAUUUAUUUUUUAAUUGUUACAUUUUAACAUUUUACACAAACUAAGACAAUCAAUAAAUGUUACUAUUUUUGAUAUAAUAAUUUUUAUUUUUACUAUAAUAACCUUAUUUAUUUAAUAUCUCCACAAUAAUAAAUAAGGGUAAUAUUAGUAAAAUAACAUUUAAUGUUGCAUUGAUCUAUGUAAAGUGACACUUAAAUAAGAACAAAAAAAUUCUUUAAAAGAGACACUUAAAAAGGAACGGAGGGAGUAGUCUUCCAUAGAAAAUUGUGGGUUUAAAUACUUGGGAUUGUCUAUUGCGGAUGAUCCUAAGAAGCUCCAAACUUAGGUGAUUGUAUUGUGCUUUUAAAGUCUAUCUUGUCGGUUGUGCCAAUUUACUUCUUAUUUUCUUCAAGGAACCAUCAAGUAAUAUUUCUCUUAUUGAAUCUUCAUUUGAUUUUUUUUUAGGGGAGAGUGAGGAUGCAAGGAAAAUCCACUAGGUGAAAUGAGAUAGAGUGUUGAAACCAAAAGAUACGGGAGGUUUAGGUCUAAGAGAUCUGAAAUUUUUUAAUUUAGCUCUCUUAGAAAAAUUGUGAUGGAGGUUGAAAAUUGAACUAAACUGGAUGGACUCAGUGUUUUUCGGAUGGUUGAAUUUUUUUUUUUUUUUUCUUAACACAGUCUCGAUGGUUGGAUAAACUCUCAAAAAAAAUUUGGGUCGUAUUUGACUUCCGGUAUACAUUUUACCGAAAUCUCACAAUGGACGCCGAUGGUCAUGUAUGAUCAAGUCGGGUGUACCUCAUGAACAAGAUGUGUGGUAUUCAAGCCAAUGAUUUGAUCUAUCGCGACUCGUCGUAUGCUCUUUCUCGAAGCAGAUGGGGGGAUUUGUUCAACAAAAGGCCCCAUAAGACUGUGUAAAGUGAUCAUACCUUGGGUGAUACCCCUAUUUAUAAUGUUGUAUUCUAUUGAUACACUCCUUGUUAUUUUUAUAUUUUCUCCUUUAAUUUGUUCAACUUGUAACAAAAUUAAUAUGGUUUACUUUGAGCAACUGAUUUCAAAAUAGAUGUGAUGUCUAUCCUCUUUGAAUGAGAUACAUGUUAGUAGGAAAAACCCAACAAUUAUCUUAUAGUUUGUCGGCACUUAAGGUAGUAGAGCACGUUGGUCCUUAGUUUGUUCAUGAAGUGGGAUUAAGGUGAUCCCUGAGACGAUGUAGGAGACAUAGUUUUGUGUUGCACGUUAGUAAUCGAUUAACGUUUUUGGAUAAUUCACUCUAAUAUAAUGUUCACAAACAAAAAUUAUAAAGAUAUUAUUUGGGUGAAAGUUUGUGUGCAUGAAUGUAGAAUAUUUUGGUGAUAAGAAAUGCUAGAAAUCUUACAUUGAGUAGAUAAAAAUAUUCAAUGUGAUAUUUUUCAAUUUAAUAAACUGAUCUCUUGUGAUAGAAUCUCUUCGCGUAUUUAAAUUGUGACAGUUGAUGUUUUUGCUAAGAAUUGAGUCACAAAAAAUCAAAAAUAGCAACCUACAUAGUAUUUGCUACGUAGGCUUUUACACAGAUGGCUAUGACAGAUAAAAUUGUUAAAUGUGACAUUUAAAUCAUAAGUCUAUUAUUUUUCUUCAAAAAAAAGUCACAAGUCUCUUCAACCUAAUAUAUUAAUCUUUUAAGGUUAAACUCUUUAAAUGAGAUUAAACCCUAAUAUAAAAAAGAGAAUUGUUUUUUGUAAUAGAGAUAUUUUAUGAAAAAUUUGUAAUAAUAUGAUGAAAAAGAAAUUAAGACAGAACAAAGAAAUGUUGAUAAGAACAUGAGAAUUGAGAUGUGAGAUGAGAUGGCAACGGUUAUGAUGCCAAAUAAGCCAAAUAUUAAAGAACGUGUACGUGUCUGUUGUCCUCACUCUCCUUCCUUCCUUCCAACGGUAAACUUCACAGAACCUGCUCUUGCUAUCUCAAUCACCAGAUGGGCCCCACAUUUUCAUAGCUGGUCCAAUCUUAUUCAUCAAUACAAAGAAAAGAAAUCAAAAUCUUAAUCAGCAAGGAGGAAAUUAUUGGGGCACUUGCACAGUGGUUUAAGUCAAAGAUCAAAAUCAUAAAACACUCUUUCAACACCGAUAUAGUACACUAUUUUUAUUUAUUCUUUUAUUCAUUCACACAUAUCCUAAGACCAAAUUUUCUAUUUUAUUUUUACAACUUUCUCCAGCUUUAACUACCUUCAUGUCCCAAGUUACAUUCUUACCCUCCACUUUCAUUUACAUGAUUCAUUUUUAGUGAUCACACGUUAUUAGAGUCAACAUUCAAAUUACUACAUUUUAAUGCAAGUUAAUGUUAAUGACCCCUUUAAUAAUUGAAGAAAGUCAUGCUUUACUAUUCAAAUUGAAAUUUAUGAAAUGUUAACUAGUGUUUUCGAAACACUCUUUAAGAAUUUUGGCAAAAUUACACAAUUAGUCCCUUAACUUUAUUUUAGGUAACACUUUCGUCUUUUAUCUUUUUUUUGUCACGAUUUAGUCAUUUAUGUUAUAAAAUAACAACAUAGUUAUCUUUUUUAUGAAAAAAAUAAUCAAAAACUCCAAAAAAAAAAUCAUCAAACUCAUAGGCAAACGUAAAUCUUCAUCAUACAAGCAUAUAAAAUCAAAUUUCUUUGAAAAAAAAUUUCAUAAAAAAUGAUAAGAUAUUGUCAUUUUAUAACAUAAAGGACUAAAUCGUGACAAAAAAAGAUAAAGGACGAAAGUGUUGCCUAAAAUAAAGUUAAGGGACUAAUUGUGUAAUUUUGCCAAUAAUCUUUGAAGAUAAAUUUUUAUUAAAAUCUGUGUAAUCAAGACAUUGAAAUUUAUAAAUUUGACUUUUAUAAAAAAUACUUUUUAAAUUAAAAAUCCUUAAAGAGUGCGGAUAUUCGUUUUUUUGACAAAAACAAGGAUAUUCGUUAACAAGACCCUUGAAAUUUACGGUAUGUUAAGAUUUCUCAAAUUAAAAAUUAUACUAUGUGCAUGUUUGAAUUUCCAAUAUUUACGUUUAUGACGUAUGAUUUGAGUGAAAGUAUAUUUUAAAAUGAUAGACAAAUAUAUGAUAAAUGUGAGUAGUUGUUCUUUAAAAUAUGAACUAAAGAGUUCCUUUUUUUUUUUUUUUUUUGGUACAAAAACUAAAGAGUUCCUUAAUCCUUUUAUUAAUGUUUUUGGAGCUAAAACUAUGGAAACAGAUCUUUGCAUAACUUUUAUUUUAACAACAGGAAAACAAAUAUUUUAACAAAUAUAUAUACGGUCAUUAUUAUAAGUAAAAAUUAACAUUUUAGAUUCAUUUAUUAAAUAAUGUAUGUGAUUUAUAAUAAAGACCAUAUACAAUAUUAAUUAAAUGAAUCUAAAAUAUAAUUUUUUGCUUAUAAUAGCAACUGGAGGGUGUACUUUUUUAGAGAUUAAUUAAUAUAAAUUCGUGUAGAAUCUCUUGAUAGAAUCUCUCCCUCUCCAACAAGUCGGCCCUAGUUUUCUCUAUCUAGGUUUUCUCUUACAAUUUCUUCAUUGAGGGGUGGUUUUGGGUCAAUAUUUGACCUGAAAUCACCCCUCUUCAUCUUUUUCUCUUUAUUUCAAUCUAAAUAAGUGAUUUUCACAUAGAUCUAGGUUUUUUUUCUUUGUAAUUUCAUCAUCUAAGUGUGGUGAUUUGUUGUUCGUCAUCUUGUGCGGCGUUGUUUGAUUUCCCAUCUUCGUGCGGUGUUCAUUUAAUUCAUAUUGAAAGAUCGAUUGUUCAAUCAAAGAUUUGGACGUCAACAUUGCAGAUUCAUCCCUUACGUUUUUAGCGGUGUUUAAUGAUGUAAUCUCUCUAUUUGAAUGAAUGAAUAUCAUUUUGUUUUUGUCAAAAAAAUUAAUAUAAAUUCGUGUAAAAAAUUUAGUUGACCAUCCGAUAAAUAUUAAUUGAAAAGAUAUGAUGAGAUAACUUCCAAAAAUAAUAUAAAUAUAUAAUCAUAUAUUAUUAUUUUAUUUAUACUUGUGAUGGACAUCAAUUAAAUUUUUGUUUCCUUCAAAAAAAAUCAAUUAAAUUUUUGCUGCCCUAAUACUUAUAACCGAAUCUUUGACCGAUAAUCAUAUAUUUUUUUAUCCAACAUGAUAUUUCAAGAUAUUUCAACAAUUUGUAAAAGAAAAGGAAAGAUAUUUUAACAAAUUUAUGUAAUAAUAAUCACCAAUAUAUUUUGUCAAAAAAAUAAAUAAAUAAUCACCAAUAUAUAUAUAUUAUUGGGAAGAAGCUAUUUUAAGAAAAAUUUAUAUGAUGAAAUUUUGUCAAAGAAAAAAAUAGUUAGAUAACCAUAAAUUAUUAUAUUUUUUGUGUAAAAAUUUUAAAUUAUUAAUUUUUUACUUGUGAAUGCAUACCAAUUAAAUUUUAUCUUUUCUUUCCCUAAGUACACAUAAAACGAAUCUUUGACCAAUUUCCACAUACUCCAUAUGAAGAAGAUAGAUAUGUCAUUCAAGUAGUAAGCAAAGGGCAAAAUCGAAGUUUCCAUAGCAUGGUCAAAGAACGUUUUAAAAAUUGACUUGGAAGAAAGAAAGAAAGAAACUAAAACUAUAGCUGUGAUUUAGUAGCAAAAUUCACAUCACAAAUAACACGCAAAUCAAAUUAACAAUUAAAUUAAAUGGGUCCCACAUUUUCUUUCCUUUAAAUAGCAAUUCUUCAUCCUCCUCAUAACACUUAUUCAUUCAACGGUACGAAAAAAAAAAAAAACAUAAACACACGAACAAACAAAGACCAAUUCCAACGUUAAAUUAUUUGACUCAAACAAAACAAAAAACCUUAAUCAUCGUGAACAACAACAAUAACCUUAAACAUGUCUUGCUCCGUCGCGGUUUCGAAUUCGCCGGUGUUUUCACCUUCUUCAUCUCUCUUCUGCAACAAAUCUGAAACGUUAACGUUAUCUCUUUCUCAUCUCAAACCAUCUUCAACAACAACAACAACGUCUUCAUCGUCUUCUUCUUCGCCUUCUCCUUGUUCUUCACCUUCUUCACCUUUUUGUCUUCGGUUACCGAAACUACCCUUGGUUUUUACGUCUAACAAGGAUUCUGGGUCGCAGAAUGAUGCUGUUUUGAAGAGGAAACGACCUACCAGGCUUAAUAUACCUGUUUCUGAACAUGCUUUUUGUGUUCCGGCGACGCCUUCUGCGGUGGCGAGGGAUGUUGUUGAGGCGGAGGGAGAUGGGUAUUCUGUUUAUUGUAAGAGAGGGAGGAGGGAGUAUAUGGAAGAUCGUUAUACAGCUGGGGUUAAUCUUCGUGGUGAAAACAAUUUGGUAAGAAAUUUUUUAACCUUUUUAUUUAUUUUUAAUAGAAUAUAUAAUAUUUAUUUGGUUGGUUUUGAUGUUGAUAUGUUUUUGUCAAUUGGGUUUGUUGAAAGUUUCAAACUUGAUUUCUUAAUUGAUUUGGGUCUUAUUGGAUCUAAUUGUUUGCAGAAUUUCAAUAUUUUGUUCUUUUUUUGGUCUGAUUUGGUAGCUGCAUAUGGAAAAUUUGAGAUUAAUUUAUGUAGUUGAAAAAGUCAAUUUUAAGCUGCUAGGAUUUUUUUGAAUUGUUGCUUUUGAAGUUAAAAAGUUUGUCUUAGUAAUUAGCCAUUAGUUAAAUUUGAAUUUUGUAGAUAGUUGAAACAAAUUAGGAACAUAUGAUUAUGCAUUUAAUGUUUAAUUGAGAUUUGAUGUAUAUGCUUGCUUGUUCUUGUUGUUGUUGAUGACUUGGACUUAUAUUAGAUUUGAUUGUGUAAAAUCUAACUUGUACAAGUUUAUUUUGUGGUAAUUGCAGGCUUUUUUUGGCGUAUUUGAUGGACAUGGAGGUGCCAAAGCCGCUGAAUUUGCGGCAAACAACUUAGAAAAGAACAUCUUGGACGAAGUUAUCAUGAGCGACAAAGAUGAUGUUGAGGAGGCAGUGAAGCGCGGUUACCUCAAUACCGAUUCUGAGUUCAUGAAAAAAGAUCUACAUGGUGGUUCUUGUUGUGUGACAGCAUUCAUUAGGAAUGGUAACUUAGUUGUGUCUAAUGCUGGUGAUUGCCGUGCUGUUAUUAGUAGAGGAGGGGUUGCUGAGGCACUAACAUCUGAUCACCGUCCUUCAAGGGAAGACGAAAAGGACAGAAUUGAGACCCUGGUAAAUUUUCUUACCAUUGUAUUGGCUUCUCUUUUUAUUUAUGUUUUUUUGAAACCUUGUGUUUGAGUUUGGUUCUUAAUCUUAUGCAUUGAAAUUUGUCUUGCAGGGUGGUUAUGUUGAUUUAUGUCGCGGUGUUUGGAGGAUUCAAGGAUCUCUUGCUGUAUCAAGAGGAAUUGGAGACCGACACUUGAAACAAUGGGUGACAGCGGAGCCCGAGACUAAAGUUAUUAGAAUUGAACCUGAACAUGACUUGUUAAUAUUAGCUUCAGAUGGAUUAUGGGAUAAGGUAAUACUUCAAAAUUUCAUUGCGAUGUUAUUGUAUGUGUAUUCGGCGUUUGUCAAACAUGAUUUUGAUUGGAAUGUUUGUCUAAUGUCAAACUCGUGCUAAUCCAAACGCAUUCAAAUCAUGUUUGACAAAGAUAAAAUCAAUUAUGAUGAUUUUCGCACUUUUCUUUUGAUAUUGAAUGAUUAACUGAUCAAGUUUCUUUUUAUCAUUUCAGGUUAGUAAUCAGGAAGCAGUAGACAUUGCUCGUCAAUUUUGCGUAGGAAAUAACAACCAACAACCAUUGAUGGCCUGUAAAAAGCUUGCAAAGUUGUCUGUUUCAAGAGGCUCUUUGGAUGAUACCAGUGUCAUGAUAAUCAAAUUGAAACACUAUGUUUAGAGGUUCAUUGGUAGAACAGAAGAAGAUGGUGGUGCCUGAUGAUUAGAAAUUAGCCUAUUCUUUUCUGUAUAUAUAUUAAUUAUUAUUGAUUAAUUUUAUCUGACGACAUUUAUUGGUGAAUUUUUGUACCCGUAGAUGGGUGAGUAGAGAUUAACAAAGCCAUUUAGCCAUUUGUUUAGUAGAAUAUUUAUCUAAUAAUCAUGUAAUAACUUUAUAGAUUAUCUAAUUAUUUCGGUAAUAAUUCAUUCAUUCUUUUAUAUUGGAUAUAACAAAUUUGUGAUAGUUUAUAGUUUCACUUUUUUGAUGCAUGGAAUGAUUGCAUAGUUCCAUAGAAUUCAAUGAAUCACUUUUUCAAACGGUCAAGACCAAGUUAGUUAGCCUACUGUCUUUUGAAUUUAUCAGCUUAAUCAAACGGUCAGAUAUUUUGACCAAUAGGCUGGUGGAGGUUUUUGUUUACAAAUUUGAAAGCUUAAUCAAGCUUAAUUUAGAUCAAUAACCUAAUUUGUUUCUCAGAGCAUGGAUCAGUGUCACAUGUGGUUUAUGAUGUGCCUUAUUUACUCAUUAUUUGAGUAAAUCCUAUUAAAUUUUAGCAGGCUCUGCUUGCAAGUUUUGAGUCGAAAGUAAAGGAAGAUUCCUAUUAAAGUAUAUGAUUUUUGCUUAAGACCAAAUUUAAUAGCAAAUAGUACGAAAUUUGUCAAAUAUCGACUUCGUAUAUGUCUGGUUUAGCUUUUUCAAAGAUGAAAUCACUUUCAAAUGCACAUUUGGACGUUAAGCUCCAUUUCGUAGCUUCCAUUGUGAUGUGUGUUAGAAAUUAGUUUCUAACGCAGAAUUAUACAAAAAGUUAUGUGGUAAUCUUUUUGUUUCAAAUAGUGGUUAAAGGAUUUUUUUUUCUUUCUUUCUAUGAUGGUACAAGUUUGACAAUAAUUCAUUUUACAAGCAAAGGUUUCAAUGGUUUUGUAAAAUGAAAGUAGUAUGAAACAAUGUAAAAGAAACUAACUGAAGUACAAAAUUACAUGAAAACAUGUAAAGAGUUUCAUGAAAAGUAAUAGUGUUAGCCUCAUGCACCCCAAUGCUAUCAAUGACUUUCAGUUGCAACCUAGUUCGAUAUUAUGAAGUAUUUGUCCGAAUUACAAUGAACUAGUGUGAUUUUAUAAAAGUUAUCACGGUGUUUCAAUGUGAUUUUGACAAAUUCACAGUGAAAACUAAACAAGACCUCAAUCAUUAAGUUACGAUUAGGUACUUUGAUGGACGAACAACAUCUUACCACCCUAUGCUAUAAACAUAGAUUUAAAGUCCGUUCAUUCUUACAUUCUUAUGGAGUACAUUAAUGGCAAGGUUCAUCAUUUCCUUUGUAUGAACUAAAUUGGCGAUUGUUGGUUUAUCAUUGCUACUAUUCGUGUUAUUAGACUCUCUUCUAAUUUUUAAGAGAUAUUACUCACAUCCCAAAAAACUUAAUUUUGUUUAAAUAUAUGAAAAUAGAAAAAAGGUGAAAAUGAUAAUGACCCUUUAUUUUAUUUUAUUUUUUUGAAGGAAAAAAAUUCAUUGCUUUUCAUUAGCUAUCAAGUCUCGGAUACAUGACGGUACAUCAUCAUAAACGUUGGAGCUAGCAUGAGAUGAGGCUACCGUAGCUAAUUCAUGAGCGACCCUAUUGGCUUGCCUCCUAUUGAACUCGACAUAAGAGUUUUGAAAAUUAUAAUCGAACAACUGCCUACAUAUAUCCUUGAGACUUCAAAGAUCAAAAGUCGUCACUUUUUUUCUCUCUCUUUAUUCUUUUGUAACUAAGCACUUUUUUUAGAAGAUGAACUAAACACUUUUACACGUGAAAACUAUUCUCUAAAGUAAUUUUUCACAAUAAUUUGUGUUAAUCCUCACAAAUUUAUACUUAUAACUUUGGAACUAGUUUGCCAAUUUCUUAUCAAGAGGUCCAUAUAUUUUCCUCUUCUUAUACGUUGACAUUUUCAUAAGGAUCACGAGCCUUAAAUCAAUAGUAUAAAAAAAACUUCAAAUUAUUUUUUAUAUAUAUGUAAUACUAAUGUGAACAUUGAACUAAUUUAUAAAUUGGACCGUUGGUGGAAAUUGACCAAGUUUCCUAGCCAUUAGGACUUAGGAGCACUGACUCCGUCCCCUGCCGACCACCAUUUGUGACAUGCACAGAAUAAUGAACUUAUCAUUAUGAACCUUAGGAAUUAAUGAAGAUUUUCAAUUUAAUUUAGACCAAAAUUAAGGUGGGGAAUAAAAUAGCUAAGUGUACAAAUUAAGGUGGGGAUACUAUACUAAUUAAGUGGCGGUGUGAGAUUAAGACAUUAUUUUUGUCUUGACUAAGAGAUUGACUUUAGGAUCAUAAGGUUGGUUAGAGAUAUUAUUGAGAUACCUUUAGGACACGUUCUCAUCAUUCAUGGUCCUUCGAGGAAGGCACAAUGUUUUGUUAACUUAUGUACACUCCAAAAUCCAAAUGAAGUUUUGGUGGAUAAUAUAUGCCAUACAAUUCCCACAAGAUAUUCGAUUCAAGAAGAGAAAGUACAUGUACAUGCAACCAAACUCAAUUAUCAUCAAAUCACCAACCAACGUUUGUAAUAUGCAUUGCAUGUAGCACGUACCAUACGGCAUAAUAAUAUGUAUGUACACCAUUGUAUGAAUUUGACUCAGAGAAAAAUCAGUCUCCUUUAAUGAUAUAUACUAUACUAGCUAGUAUAUAUUAUUUUGGCAUGCCAUGUAUUUUUUGGUAUGUCAAUGAAUCAAUGAUAUAUUAUAUGUACGUCAUGGAACAUGCAUGUUUGGAUUGUUCUCUAUAUAGUUUCUUUUAAUAUUAAACAAUCUUUAUGUUUUUUUUUUUUUUUUUUUUUUUAUAUAUUUGUUGUUGGUAGUCAAAUUAUUUAUUGUGUGUGUAUAUAUGAGUUUUUUUUUUUGUUUUUUGGGAAGAACCACGUUUGCCGCUGUAUGAUGGUCAAACCGUCUUGAUACUUUUUCUCUUUAAAGACUCGAUUUAAUAUUUUUUUUCCUUCAUAAUUUUCUCACAAUCUAGUUUAUAUCUCUGGCAAGAAAGAAAAUAGUAUUUUGAUUAGUUUUUGACAUUUUCAUAAGGCUGUUGUAAUGAGGUAAACUUAAGAGAGAAACUAAUAUAAUCCCUCAUAAACAUGUUAUAACUAAUUUAAAUCUAAUUUUUUUGAUUAAAUUGGUCUGCGAGUCAGAAUUAAUUUUAAGGAGACAAAAAUGUUCAUUCUCAUACAAACUAAUGAAAAUACAUCCACGUGACUUAAGUCAUGUUCGCCUUAUAUCAACGUGAGUUACGUCAUGUCUAAAGCAAGGUUGAUAUAAGACGAAAUUACUUAAGUCACGUUGAAGACAUUUUUGUCAGUUCAUGUGGAAGUGAGCAAUUUUGUAUGGGAGAAGAGCAACAUUCUUUUCUUCUAGCCAAACAAGGAGGCCCGUUUACACUACAAGGCCUCAGCUUAGGCCCCAAACAAUUUUGAUAAUUAUUUACUUUUUAAAAAUAAGUCUUUGCAUUAAAAUGAUUAUAAUUGAUGUUGUAGUAAUAUACUUUUUGAUUAGAUCCUUCUUGUUAUAACGUUGGUAGUCAACUAAUAGCUUAUUCACAAAAAAUAUAUAAUAGUUCAUGUCUAAUUGUAACCAAAUGAUCAUAUUGGCUUAAUUUAACACUCACAACAACAAUAAGUAUACGAGUUACUUUGAACUUGUCCAAUGACUUGAAAGAUAAUUUAAAAAGAUCCUUUCAGACACUUGUAAGAUGGUAUGAGAAGUGGUGGAGGCUAUGAGGAGAGAAGCUUCCUCUGUGAGUCCAUCAAAGGGUGUGUUGAAUCUAUACAUGUUUUGACGCUCAAGUUGGUGAGUGAACAAGAGAGUGAGGUAGAUAUUAAUGAUGAAAAGUGAGGCAGAUAUCUACCGCUAGGCUUUCACCUAACCAUGUGUCCCCAAAAGAUCCUUAUAAUGAUCUGGAGGUAGUCACAACAUUGGAUUCAUACUGGUUGGUCCAUAUUGACAGUCUGGACCACGAACCAAUGAGAUUUAUGGGGUGUCCAUGAUAGGAUCCGCCAAGCAGCAGUAUCCAGUCGGACAUGGGUCCUAACUCGGAUUUAGUAUUGGUCCUGUCUGUAACAAAAAAAGAAACUUGAAAAUGAGUAAUUUGACAUAAAUAAAAGCAAGGGUUAAUUAAGUAAAUGAUCUCUAUAAAUAUACACAAUUUUGUUUUUAAUCCCUACAAAAUAAAAUUGCAUUUUUUAGUCUUUUGUAAAAUUUUAUAUUGACAUAAAGAAGAUACAUAUGUUUCUCAUACUAAUUAAACAAAACACAUUUCAUUCAACGAUAAAGAAAACAUUUGUGAUUGAUUUUACAUCCACAUAUAUGACUUACAAUUGUUUGUUACAACUUUUUCUAUGAAAAAGAAAAUAGUAUUUUUAAACAAAAUAAACACAUUUAAAAAAUUACUCAGUUUGAUACAACUUCAAAAAAAUAAUAAUGAAUUUGAGAAGGGUACAUUUAUAUUUUAGAAUUUUUUUAUUUAAAAAAAAAUUUCUAAAGAUUUUAUUGUUCUAAAUGGCCAAAGUCCUAAAUAUAUUGAUUCUCUAAUUCUUAACACGUUUGACAUUGAUCCAAGACUCCAAGUUAGAACAUGAUUUUUAGAAAAACGAUAAAAAUACAUCAAAGUGAUAAACACCACAAAAACUCACACAUAUUACAAUGUCUCGAGUUCAAAUUCAAAUAAAGAUGUCCAACAUAAUAAUUUCGACAUAUUCAAUUGAGAUGGGCUUUAGGGACCUUUUCCUUAUAAUUGUAAUUGGCAUGAGAAGGAGUGCAAGGUACAAGGCUAAAAACACAUAACCAUCAUUGCAAAAUUUGAAAAAAUUUCUUUGAGCAAUUUGAAUUUUCUAAGCAAGAACUCUAAACAAACAGACAGAUAAGAGGGGAUGGGGGGAAGCAUUGCAUGCUAAGCGUAAAAAAAGAUGGAAUGUUUUGUGUGCACUAACAAGCACUACAUGCCCACCUCAUAAACCAUUAAUGACCCUUCUUUUGUCUCAUUCUUCAUAGACAAAUCUCCCCAACAUUGCAAUUUGCAACAAACACAUUUCCCACAUCUCUUUUACUACCUCAUCAUACACCUCUCAAACAUAGUACUAAUAUUGUUUUUUUGUGUCUUCUUUUAUGUUGUCAAUGUUAGCAAGAACUUUGGGGGCUUCUAACCCUAUCAUAUAGAUAAGCAAUGGAAUACACGUCUUUUGCUUCAUUCAUUAUUGAAUAUUAUAAAGCUUUAUAUGUUUCUUUUUAAAACGAAAGGUAAAGAAAUUAUGAAAGGUUCAUGCUUCAUGUUUUUAAAAUUUAAAUUUAAAGUCAUAGUUGGAUGCACGAAGAAAAGAGCUGAGCUACGUUAACAAAACGUUCUUCUUUUUGCAUUAUUGGCUCGUGCCCAUAUUCGAUCUCGUGGUUACUUGUCCAAUGCAUAUGGGGUUGCUUUUUGCACCCUCUUUUCUUGUUAUACUAACAACCAUGUAUCAUUUUGUUUUCUUUUCAAAAAUUUCCAUGUCUAAAAGUUUACUUUUUGAGUGCAUAUUCUUUUCAAACCUAUAUUGUCAUGCGAGCAUUUUUACAUUAUGAAAGUUUGUCUCUAGUGAUAUGUUUAGAAAAUGGGUCUUCAAGGUUAACAUUAUUAUUAGAAAGGUAUUUUGGUUGUGAUUAACGUACUAGAUGUUGAUCCGUACGUGGAACAUAUUAUUAGAUGAUAAUCAAGAAAUAAAUUUUUAUGAGUAAAAAAAAGAGAACAAGAUUUUUAGAAUUAUAAUGGUCUAGAUAUUUGGUUUUACAAACAAGUAGUAAACAAUUUCUUGAGUUUUAUUUUCUAAAGGAACUUGAAUUUGAAAAGAGUAAUGACAUUUAAACACAAAUAGUUGACACUGAAAAAAUACAGUUACUUUAAACUUUGAUUCAAUUGAAAGACAAAUAAAAGAAACUAAUGAAAAUAAAUAAAUCAAAAUCAUAUAAUGUACGGUCUGAUGCCACUUUUUGUGUUGAUAUAACAUUUUUGUUUGAAGAAAUAAUUUGUCAUAGCAAAUAGAAUCAAGGCUUAAAUAUGCAAACUGCCCCUGUAAUUUGGGCUCAUUUUGAUUUUUGUCCCUGUAAAAAAAAAUAAUUUAAUUACAUCCCUGUAAAAAAAAUUUUGUUUUAAAAAUGUCCCUGGCCCCACUUCGCUGGUGAUGUGGCAUGGGUUUUGCCACGUGGCAGUCCACAUAAUUAAAAAAUUAAAAUUAUUUUUAAAGUUUUAAAAAUUAUUUUUUUAAAUUAAAAAAAUAUGAAAAUAAAUUCAAAAAUCAUUAAAAAAAAUUGAAAAAAAACUGUUAAAAUUAAAUCUUCGACUUUAAUUUUUUUGAAUUUGAAAAUUAUAUUUUUUUCUUCAUAUUUUAAAAAAAAUUAAAAAAAUAAUUUCAUUUUUUUCAGAAAUUUCAGAUUUUAUAAUUUAAAAAAAAUAUUUUUUUUUUUUAAAAUUAUAUGAUAAAAAUAAUUUCAGAAAAUAAUUUAAUUUUUUAAAAUGUUUUUUUUAUAUUUUUAAAUUUUAAAAAAUAAUUUUAAUAUUUUAAUUAUGUGGACUGCCACGUGGCAUAAGUUGCCUAGUCAGCAACUGCCACGUGGCCCAAAACGUUGCCACAUCACCAGCGAAGUGGGGCCAGGGACAUUUUUAAAACAAAUUUUUUUUUACAGGGAUGUAAUUAAUUUUUUUUUUUUUUUACAGGGAUGAAAAUCAAAAUGAACCCAAAUUACAGGGACGGUUUGCAUAUUUAAGCCUAGAAUCAAUAUUUACAUUUCCAUUCGAAAAAGAAAAAAAAAAAAAAAAAAAAAACAUAUCUUUUACACACUAAACUUAGCUAGGCAGAAUCACCAUGAUUGCCAGAAUAUAUAUAUAUUUGUAUGGGAUUUUGGAGAAAAGAAUCCUAACUUAGUCAUUGGGCAAAUAAAUAGUGAUUUUCACGAAUUUUGACAUUUAUUUCGUUAACAUGUCAUGCCUUGGACCUCUAAAAAAAGGUCAUACCUUGGUUGAUGUUAUAUUAUUUUUUUUUGAAUAAAAGUUUGAUGUUAUAUUUGGUUGCACUACAAAGAUAAGAAAAAUAUUUACUAGUCAUGUUUCUAUCAUCAAGACCUAAAUUAAUCGACUUCUAAAGUAAGGAAAAAUCAAAAUGAAAGUUGCGUCUACGCUUUAUUUUGAGUUAGAAUCCUCUACAUUUAUAAAGAACAAUCCUCAUUUCGAUACCCAAUUCAAUUGUUGCAAUGACUCAUUUAAAAUUAUUGAAGAUUAAGUUUGUUAAUAUGAUAACUCAACUAAAUAUUUCUUACAAAAUGCUUUAUACAAGGAAAUAAUAUAGCAUCACGAAAUGGCAACGAACUAAUAUCAUUGGUUUCACGGCCGUGUUUUCCGCAAAGGAAAUUGCUAGUUAUAGCGAAAGAGAAACUCCAGAACAAGUGUCUAUUUAAUAAACAUAUCUCUUAAAUUAUAUCCAUGACAUCAUUGUUUUCCGCCCUAAAUGCUAUUGGCUUAAUGGUGUAUCAUGAACUGCUCGGACAAAAUAUCUCACGUUAAAUAGCAUCAGCGGCGAAGCUAGCAACUUUUUUACGAGGGGGUCAAAUGUUAAAAGUUUAUUUUUAUUUGUAAGAAACUAAGUAAUUUACAAGAAAUUUAUUCUCUAUUUUAUGUUUGAAUCUUAUAUUGACAAUUUUCAUUGCUAAUGUUGAGAAUUGACUCAAAAUUGAGGAUUCAGCCAAAAUCGUGGCCCGAUUUUGGACCAGUUUUUGGACUUAUGAUUCUGGAAAAAUCUACCCAAUUCAAUUGUUGCAAUGACUCAUUUAAAAUUAUUGAAGAUUAAGUUUGUUAUAUGAUAACUCAACUAAAUAUUUCUUACAAAAUGCUUUAUACAGGAAAUACAUAUAGCAUCACGAAACGGCAGCGAACUAAUAUCAUUGAUUUCAUGGCUGUGUUUUUCGCAAAGGAAAUUGCUAGUUAUAGCGAAAGAGAAACUCAGCAACGAGUGUGUAUUUAGUAAAUGUAUCUCCUAAAUUAUACACAUAAUUGUUUUCCCCUCAAAAAGAAAUGCUAUUGGCUUAAUGGUGUAUUGCGAACUGCUCGGGACAAAAUAUCUCGCGUUAAAUAGCAAUGCUCUUCCGCAAAACACCAACAAAUAUGUUUUUAAACAAUUCUAAAAUUUUGACAUGUUUCCUUCGUGAAUUUUCGUGAUCCUUUUCUCCCAAUUUUUUUUUUUGGUAAAGAUAAUGUCUCCCAUAUUUUCAAUGCAAAACACGGCAAUUCUAGCUCUAAUUCAUUUGCAGGGUAAAGUCUUUCAUGGUUUUUUUUUUUUUUUUUUUUGCUUCCUAGAGGCAGAAUACUAGCAAAUGACUUUGUAUGGUGUGAUUAUCCAUCGUAUGCAUCUCUUCAUGAUAUGAUGUGGGUGGAGUUUUCUCACAAUGAUGUUAGGGUGGAUUUUGAUCGGGGAAAUAUUAUUUAUAGAAAAAAGAACAAGUAUAAGAUACUAUCUGACUAUGCCAAAGCACCUACUAUUUCUAGUUUAAAAGACCACAAUAUACCACAAUAUAUUCACUAGAAUUAGACAAAGCAAGUCAUACACGGGCACAACCUUAAAUCAUAAACGUUUGGACACACAUAUGGAAACUGUUAAAAGAAAAAUAAUUUAAUCACAUCAUUUAACGCAAAAGGCAUCUCAAAGGGUAUAUAAAAGUUUACAAAACAAGUAUCGCUAGAUAGCUAGCCAAAAGGGAGAAAAACAAAACAUUACGAAUUAGAAAACCCAAGAUUGGCUAACGAGUUGGAUCACCAUGCGUGAUAGUCGCAAACAUUAUGAGAGUUAUACGAUUUCAGACACCGCCAAAAAUGAAGUUUAAUACACUCAAGUAACUAAUCCAACAUAAUAUGAUGUAAUCUCACUGUUACCAUGAAUUCGCCUACAUGUUCCCUAAACAAACUUGUCUCACCUCCCUCACCCCCUUUUCAAUAUCAAAUAAAUCCUUCCACCACACUGAUGUCUGCCUCCCUCCUCUACGAAUACUAUCAUUUAAACACCAUAUUUAGCCGGUAUAAUUUUAAAUAAAAUUAAUAUAUUUUGGUUCAAAUAGCUCUCAAACGUUUUAGAAUACCAAAUCAAAUUGAUAGUAAAAUCAAUAAAUUUAAUUGUGUUAAAAUAUAUUCUAUUAAUUUGAAUUUUGAAAAUGAUUCAUUGUGAAGUUUUUUCUUCAAAAAACGCUAACAGAGAAACCUACACGUACUAAAUACUGAGAAGUGACGAAUUAUAAAUUCGAACGACGUUCAUGCAUAUCUAAGGUAUCCACAACGUUUUUAGGCUAAAUUACAUCGGAGAUUCUUUAAGUUAUUUAAUUGUAACAAAUUUGUCUUUUAAGUUUUUUCGUAUUACUUACGUCUUUUAAGUUAUUUAAUUGUAACAAGUUAAUCGUUUUAGUAUUUUUUUUUUGUAACACUUAAGUCCUUUUAAGUUAUUUAAUUGUAAUUUGUUGGAAAUUUAGGUUUUAAUAAAAAAACAGAUUUCAUAAAACAUGUUCAACAAUUAUGAAUCAAUAGCGGAAGCAAACAAAACAUUGAACACGAUUAUGAUCGGAUCUAGACAUGUCUGAUUUAUCAAGGAUAUUAAGAAUAAGGGUAUUAAGAAUACCUGGAUGAAGCUUUCGUGACAACUCUCUCGCCAUCAACGAUCUAAAACAAGGAGAGGAGAUGAUCUAAUCUGAAACACACAACAUAGCUUAGCGGCGACUGAUUUGGUUCUUCCUCAACCGGUACCUUUAUACCUCGAGUUCUCUUCAGAUGGGGAGAAGAGAAUGUUUGCCGUGUACGGUGUAUUGGGACCAUAGUCUCUUUUAUAUUGGAUGACUAUUAGAUUUUCCAUUAUUCCGUUAAUGAGUCAUCCAGACAUCCACUCAUUGAAUCCAUAUCUAUUAAUGAAAUAUUUAAUUAAUUAUCUAAUUAGAAAUCCAAUAGCCUUAUUACUUAAUUUAAUCACUAAUCAAUUAAGGCUCACAACUGAUAAAUAGCUAAUAUAAUUAUUAUUACAAUAUUUGUCCACAUAAUGAUAUCGGAAUAUAAUAAAAUAAUAAAAUAUUCCAACAUAACUUUUAAGCCCCAAAUAACUUACAUUUUUAAGAUUUGAAAUCCUCCAAAUUAUUACUAUUAAAUAACUUAAAAGGUUAGAAAAAAAUACUUAAAGACCAACUUAUAAUAAUGAGUUAACUUAAAGACUUGAGUGGUACAUUCAUAUUAAUAACUUAAAAAUGAUCGUCGGAGUUAAUAAAGAAUUUAAAUGAUCAAUUUAUUACAAUUAAUAACUUUAAAAUUAUCGCCGGUGUAAUUUAUCCACGUUUUUACUAUACAAAUUGUACUUACGACAUAUGAUUUUUAUUUUAUUUUAUUUAUUUAGUAAAUUGUUUUAUACUUUUGAAGGUCUAAAACGAUUACUUUGUUGACUUUAUUCUUGUACCGACUUGCUUGUUUUAAGAGUCAAAGGCAAUGUUAUCCAAGAACUCCUUACAUCUUUUUUAUUCCACCACUAACCUAAAAAAACUAACGAUUUAGGCACUUCAAAUUGUACCACCUCUCCAUUAUUUUUUUACUUUAAAAACUCCAUGCCAAUACAUAUCCAAUACCCUCUUUAUUCUUUUUUGAGGGAGGGUGAGGGGUGGGAAUGUGUAAAGGAAUAUACACCUUCUUUAGGUGAUGGUCAAUUUCAUUUAGAAAAGAUGUGGACACAAUAAACUCCGUCACAUAAAUAUAUAGUUCUACAUAACUUUGUGGCAAUAUGCAAUGCAAGUCAAGUCAUGAAGCACGUUGCUUAACCUUCAAAACUUGAAUCUUAUCCAAAACCAAGUAGGUCACCGAGUAAGCAUAAGCACCACAAUUUUAUUUGUUUAUUCUAUUCUUAUACUCCUUCGUGCCUUAGUGUGAAAGGUUGCAAAUUGAAGUUACUAAGAAAACCAUUCCUACGCGUCACACUUUAAUCAUAACCUUGCCACAUAUACUUAGAGACCAUUUUCUACUACCGUGUGGGACAUUCAUAUUUAAGCCAAAUGGCAUCAUUCUAGAAAUUACUAGAAAUUAAUCCAAAUUUAAAUUUAAAUUCAAAUGUCUUUUUUAAAUAAUAUUGACAACUAAAGAAGUAAUUUAAACCAUGUUGAAAUUUUAUCAUGGUUUUCCUUUUAAAAGUCUUGUUUUUCCUCAUUUGUGUAGCUAGUUUUAUGCCAAAAGUCAUGUUUAUGUGGACACAUAUUUCAAUUUUCUAUUUCCCUCAUGCGUAACGCUUUGUCUAUUUUUUUUUUCUUUUAAAAAAUCUUAUAUAGUCAAAUUCAGUUCUAAUGACCUUCCAAUUCAUUUAGACUUUGACAAAUGGCAUGUCAAUAAGAGUUCUAUCUCACUAAAACUUUGUUUGCACAUACAAAAAACCUAAAAUAAAAUGAAUAUAAAUAUAAAAUACAAAAUACACCAAUCAUGCAUUGAAUAGUUUUUUUUUUUUUUUAUUUCUCAACAAAAAUAUUAUAAUCAUACACCAUUUUUUAAAUUUCAUCUUAAUUUAUAUUUUAUAUUUAUAUUAAUAUAAUUUACCAAAGAAGUGAAAUAUAGGAAAACAAAUGUGGGAUAAGUUGGACUUAGGAAUAGGCAUUUUCAUUUUAAAUAAUCUUGUAUGUUACCUAAAAUCAUAAUUUUGCCGUUUAGGGUGAAGUAGUGCAUUUAUAUGAACAUGAGAAUAGGUAUUUUUCAUAUAAAAAUUUAGGCUGAAUUAGGCAAAAGCAAUUUAAGGAAAAACCUUAUCUUUUAAUUUGUAUCCAAACAAAAGAAUACUCUAGUACGGUAUAAUGUAAGGUGUCAAGAACUUAAUAAGGAAAUGAAGAAAUGAAGUACCACAUGUCAAAUUGUUCCAAUAAUUUUGUCACAACACAAGUCAGAGAGAAUUUCCCACAUCUUCUAAAAGAUACGACUAGAUUUUGGGGACCUUACCAAAAUCCAAAAUUUCACAUACAACCAAUUAAAAAUAAGAAUAAAAAAAUACAUUAAAAUAUAACAUAACAUAAAAAUAUUUGGUGGAAGUGUUAUGGUGCACGUCAUAUAGUUGUAGUUUAACUAAAUUUUGUGUGGCUAAAGCCAUAUACAAGCAUCAUUGAAAUCUUUCUAACAUAUUUGCAUUACCUUUACCAGAAUCUAGCACUGUCUUCAUAAAUUCGUGGACCAACAAUUUUUUGCCACGUUAGUGUUAUUACCUACUUAUAUGUUAAUUUUACUCUGUUUCCUACUACAGCCACGGUGUUAUGUUCCCUUUUGCCAACUUGUAACAUUCACCUCUCAACUAUAAUGCAUGCCCAUAUUCCACACUCCAACCACAUGUUCAAAUUAUUAUUCCUACGCAACAGUACCAACUGUAUAUUAUAAAUAAAUUAAAUGUACCUUGCUGGGUAAUUUAAUAAUAAAUACCGAACACCCCUUCAACAGAAAACCUAUCGUGAACCGUUUUUUUAUAUGUAAGAAAUAUUAUUAUAGAAAUGCUACCAUGGUAUUGUUUUCAGAGAAAUAUAGCUUUAACAAAAUUUGAGUUUGGUCCAAAAGUUAGGUGAUGUUAAUUAAGAGUUUUACAUGAGAUGAAAGAUAGUUUGAACUUUGAAUAUAUCUUUUAUAAGUAGAGGUAUUAGUAAUUUAGAAAUCAAAUUUAUAAUAUUGAGUUACAUUUAACUUAAAUUUUAAGAUGGUAUGAAAAUCUAUUACUAUUAGAUUUCUUUAAUUAGAUCACUUGAAUUAUAGUUCGUAUGUAUAAUCCUAACUAUGAAGAGUGUACGUUAAGAAUAAGACACUAACGUGAGAAUAUAAGUUAGACCUAAUCUAAAUUUUAAGAAGUGAAAUAUAAUUAAUUGCAAACUUCUAAUUAACUUAAAUUUUGAAAAAUGGUAUGAAAACUUAUUCAAGAUUCAUUGGAUCAUCUACUGCUAAAUUUCUCUUAUCAAAUUGAAUUACUUGAGUCCAUAAUUCAGAUAUUUAAUCCUAAAUAUGAAGGGUGUGCGUUAAGAGUCAUACAUUAAUGUAAUAUGAUAAAAACAUAUUAGUGAAGACAAUCAACCCCUUAUAAAUUAAGCUCAAAGUAAAUUAUAAAUUCUAAGUGAAAUAUAAUUAACUACAAACCUCCCAUUUUUGCUCAACCUUACUUACACACAUUUUAAUCCCUUAGUCUCCACACUAGUACCACUAAAAUUCACCUAAAUCACAUAGAAAAGGCUUUAAAAACAUUUCCUUAAAUCAAAAUUAAAAACCAUAGUACUUAUCCAAGUAUUGUCUACUAGUGACAUGAAAAUGAAAAAUAAAAAUUGGGAUCUUAAUCUUGGAUAAGGAUUAAAAGUCCAAUCCCUUAAGAAAGAAACAGUAUCACCAAGUUCUCUGUUCCAAGAAUUCUCCAUUUAAUGUCAAAAAACAUUACCGUCCUCUAAUAUCUCUCCCUCAACGUCACACCACCGCUUUUCUUAAUUAUCCACUUCCAUAAUUUCCACGCUGUAACAAAAAUACAUAUUUUAAAAAAUAAAAUAAUUUUCCAAAAACACGUAACACCGAAUGUUAGAAGAACAAACACGCACUACAUGUGUCUAUAUAUAUAAACCUCAUUCCCCUCAAACAAAACCAAACAACACAACGUCAAAAAAAAAAAAAAAAAACACAUUACAUUACAUUACAAUUUUCAUAGUUCAUAGCAAUGAGUUCAUGGGUGAGAGGCAAGUGUAUUGGUAAAGGAGCGUUUGGCGUUGUGAAUUUAGCUUAUUCAAAAAGCGAUUCUAAAGUUUUCGCGGUGAAAUCAGUUGAUACUAAAACUGCUCUUCCAAGUCAGUUAGAAGCGUUGGAGAAUGAGAUUAAGAUUUUGAAACGGUUAUCUUCUUCUUCUUGUUCUUCUUCGCCUCACGUGAUUGGUUUUCUCGGCGAAGAUGUCACGUGCGAAGGAAAUAAAACGUCGUCGUUUAAGAAUCUACACUUGGAGUACAUGCCAGGUGGCACCGUCGCUGAAAUCAACCGUGCUGACGUGGAUGAAAAGUUAGUUAGAAACUUCGCCUGGUGUUUAGUUAACGCGUUACGUGAUGUUCACGCGCGUGGCGUUGUUCAUUGUGAUGUUAAAGGAAGAAACGUUCUCAUCGGUGGUUCCGUCGCUAAGCUAGCUGAUUUUGGUUCAGCUAUGGAAUUUUCCGGUGGUGAAUGUGAAGUACCACGUGGAAGUCCGAUGUGGAUGGCGCCGGAGGUUGUUCGCCGGGAGUAUCAAGGACCGGAGUCUGAUGUCUGGUCAUUAGGAUGUACUGUAAUUGAGAUUUUCACCGGAAAAUCACCGUGGGAGGAUCGGGGAUUCGAGACGUUGAGUCGAAUUGGAUUUUCCGAUGAGUUACCGGAGUUUCCAAGCGGUUUGUCGGAGCUCGGGAGAGAUUUUCUGGAGAAAUGUUUGAGGCGUGAUCGGAAUCGGAGAUGGAGGUGUGAUCAGCUACUUCAGCAUCCAUUUUUGUUACCGUGUGAUCGCGUAGUUGAAACUUCGCCACGUUGCGUUUUGGAUUGUGAAGAAAACGAGUUUGAAUUUGAAGAAGAAAAUGAAGUGAAGUUGAAUAGUGAUGAAAAUGAAAAUUCAGGUAAAAAUAGAAUUGGUAAAUUAGCAACGGGAAUGAGGGUAAAUUGGGAAACGGAAGAUUGGAUUGAAGUGAGGGCAAUUUCGUCUGAACAAAAAGAAGAAGCAACAAUGGAAAAUGAAGAGUAUGAGUGUGACUGUGAGGGGGAAGAAGCUGAAUCAGGGGUAAUAUGGGAAAUUGAGAAUAUAAUGAGGGUAGAAGAGGAAAUGGAAGUUGGGAGUAAUUCGGAAUAUGGGGAUUCUGAUGAAAGGGUAAAAUGGGAAAUGUGGAAAUACAACCGCAACCGUAGGAACAACGUUAUAGGUGGAAGUGGAAGUUGGUCUGGUUGGAGAUGUCGGUAUAGAUACGGUUGGGGAAAUUUUAAUAGGAAUAUUAGUGGAAUAUUCAGCAUUUGCACUUGUUGUAAUAAUUGUAAAUUAUUCAAAUCAUGUAAAUUGUUCUCAAUAUAUAAUAAUUGUUAUUAUUCCUUGUGGUUGAAAAUAUUCUUUAAUUGGUGUUUCAAAUUGAGAUUCAUGUUAAACAUGGUUAAGAGUGUUUUUAUUUUAAAGUUUAGUGGAAAUAAUUUAAUCAGAACUAUUUUAUUUAGUCAAAUAUUAGAAGAGUUCGUUCAAUAUAAAUAAUUUUUUUAAUAAAUAAAAAUGAGAUAUAUUAUUAUUAAAAGAAAAAAAUUUACCCCUCUAAGGAUCAUAUUAAGGGUCAUGCUUAAGAAUAUUGGAGGCCAGAGAUAAUUCUCAAAAGAAAAGAAAACUAGUAUAAGUUUACAUGUCUAAAGAAAAUUGUACUGAUUUUAUAUAUUUUGUACGACCUUGUUGUUUGUUUAUUAUUUGUUUGCAUUGACGUUUAUAACUUUGAAUGUUUGCCAAAAAUCUAUGAAAUCUUAUAUAUUUCAUAAUGUUUACGAAAAAUUUAAUGCAAAAAUAAUUUUUUAAAAUCUUCAUCGAAGAGAAGGAUCAAGAAUAUUCUAAUUUACAGAUGACUACUAUAACAUCAUAUAUGGAGAGAAAUGUUACUCAUGAGGUCAUAUGAAACUAAAAUAUUUAAAAUUGCAUUUUAAAUCCAUAAUGUUCUUUGAAAUUUUAAAGGUAUAGGUAUGUGUUAUAAAUUCCUACUCACUAUUUUAAAAUCCUCAAGACAUUUUUUUGUUGUUGUUAACAUUGUCUCUUAAAAUUCAAGAACAUGAUGUAGUAUCACAUACGCCAACCUUUCAAGGCAAAAUACACGAUAUUUUCCAUUCCAAUAAUUAAUUUUGUGUCAAACUUUGAAGGAAUCAUGAGAAGGCAUUGUCCACUCUUAAAGAAUUAAUUGUGUGUCAAACUCUAUGUAAAUGAAUCUAAAGGUCUAAAGGUAGAUUUCUUAUUUCUCCCAAUUCAAAGAUGGAAAUCUCAAAUACUAAACUUUGCAUAAAUCAUGAGAAGGCAUUUUCCACUCUAAGAAUUAAUUUUGCAUCAAAGAUUUCUUUUUCUCCCAAUCAAAGAUGGAAGUUGCAAAUACUUUCCAGUGCCCAAUACAUUUUGAAUCUAAAAAUUUAUGCAAUUCUAUCCUUGAGCUCUUGUGAAACAUUCAUACUACCAAAGUAUUUUUUUUGUUGAUUUUUCAAGUUACCCAGACUUGAACCAAAGACCUAAAGAUUGACGGCAUAAACCUCUAACCAAUAGAACACUUGGGAGCAAGUAUAAGUAUACUACACAAGUAUUAAGUCUUCUAAAAUUACUCAUGUCUCAUAAUAAUAGUCACAUUUGUAAAAAAAUAGUCACAAAAAGGUUAUCAUUUUUAAUUUCUAAUGUAACUUUAAUUGCUUAUUAUCUAAUUAUAUCACUAAUUAACGCUAUGUGCACAACUUUUAAGUUAUAAUUGUCUCAAAAAAAUUGUCUCGAAAAAAAUUAAGUUAUUAUUCUUUACUUUUCAUUUAUGAUAAUUGACAUACACAUUAGUCAUAGAUAAUUGAUUAAAAUCACCAUUCAUUUUUUUUUUCCAUUUAUAAUUGUUAAUUAUUUCUUUAUUUAUUUUUUCGAUAAGCAAAGAGAUAUGUAUGACAUCAUGACGAGUCUAAAUAGAGUACCUCAUCAGAUGUUUUUUUUUACUACUUGAUAAUUGUUUUUUAAUAUGUAUGAAAUAAUCAAAUACGAUAAAUACCGUAGAAUGACUAAAAAGAAAAACAAUAAAUACCGUAGAAUGACGAGAGUAAUGGUUUGUCUCGAUGCAACCACAUAAGUUUUUGUCUAAGUGUAAAUGUCUCACAUGUUAGUUUGUUAGUGAUAGAGUAGAACUCAUGACCUCUAUAUUUCUCUAAUUCAAUUUUUGUAGGUGUUAUCCAAUAUGGAUCUAUUAGAACAAAAAAUAUACCCACUUCGAGAUACAGAUAUACCCACAUUGACUUGCAAGAACUUAAUUUAGACAUUAUUUUAUGGACAACAUUACAUGGGGAUAUAGGCCUCCGACCCCUCAUAGACUUCCCGUUAUCACACUUAGGAAUCAAAACAAUAUUUGUUGAGUUCAUGUCUUAUAGCAUAAAUCCUAAAGCAAGCCAAUGACAACAAGAUGUAUCAAAAGACAAUUAAACCCCACAUAUCUAACAAGAUUUCACUUCUUGUGGUAUCUAUUUUAAGGAGUGGGCAAAACAAAGUGGGCCCCAAUGUUUAAUAACGGUUUUGGAUGGUUGAUCAAAAGACACAUAAAGAUUACUUAUUUUAUUGAAAAAAGCUGAUCGAGAGUUACGAUUCGAUCACAUUUUACAUACAAAAACAGUUGAUCAGAAAUUACGUUCCGAUCAGAAGCGAAAUUGAGAAGUCUAUUGAGCAACUUUAUGGAUUUUAUAUGGCACACAACAGAAGUGGAAAAAGGCACAUGUAACUUAUAAUUUGGUGUUUUCUUUGUUGGAUUUUCAAUUGGACAACUACGAAACAUGGUCACAAGAAGCAUACCUCAUGUUGCAACCGCAGUAAUGCUUUUUGGCUUUGAGCCAACAAUUGCAUAUGGCAAAUGGAUUUGGAGGAGUCAAUUGGGUUUUGAUGGAAAAGAAAAAGGAAAAAAUGUUUGGAUGAUAUGAAAUUGUAUGCUGUAUAUAAUUGGAUUGAGGUGUGUCAUGUGGACCAUAUAGUUUCUUUACAAUUCUAGAGAUAUUUUUAACAUGCAUUAUUAAUAAAUGUCAGUGCUACUUGUGCUUGCCCAUCACUUGAGAUUGGAUGGCAAACAUAUCCAUAUAGUAAUAAAAAGAUACACAUAGAUAUAUAUCAUAAAAAUAUAAACUACAAUGACCUAAUGUGUGGUACAUUAACACUUCCCUAAAGUAUCUGUUAUAAAAAUGUUUUUUUAGAGAAGUUAUAAAAAUGUUAUAGUUAUUUUUAUAUCAAUUUUUUUGAUCAGAUAGUCUAGUGGCUAGAAUUCACCUUAUUAAUUGUUAUAUUAAACCUUAUCUAUCUAUUUUAAAAUAAUUAUUUUGUCUGAUGAUAUUGGAGGAAAUUUUGUACCUUUAUUUUUAUUAAGAUCACAAAUUCUUUAUUUAUUUCUUUCUAAAAAGUAGUUUUCUUAUCAUGAAGUAAGGGGAAAUGUUUUGUUUGACUCGUGAAACAUACCUCUACAACAAAUAUAUAUUGAACUUUAAUUAAUUUUUUAUUUUUAAAAUAAGAGAGGCCUAAGCCCAAGAAAGAAGAAUGUUAUUGUUCCCACAUCAAAGAAUUGUAGGAAACACUACGAAAAUACUAAAGUAACCUCAUCAACAGUUAACUGCCGAUGGAUAUUAACCAAUGGUAGUUAACCGUCGAUGAAAAUUGGUGUUAAAUUCGCCAUUUUAUGGUAUUUCUUAACUUUGUGCAAAGUGUAAACAACAAUUUUCAAAAAAGAAACUACAUUAAAAUUACGCGUUUUAUUUUAUUUUUGUUUUUUAAAACAAAAGAGGGCCUAAGCCCAAAAAAGACACUGAAAUUAUACAAUGACUUUUGACACCAGUUUGAUCAACUAAUAGUUUUCUUAGUAAACAUCAAUGUAAUUCAAUAUGUUAAUUGAAUUAAAAUUUAAAACUAAGUUGAAGUACAUUCUAGAGCGUAGUAAGACUAGAGAGCACCUCUGUCUAUUGCAGGUGUCAUAGUUUUUUGGUAAUUCUAAAUUUGAAGCAUUACCACUCGAUCACAUGCAUGUCUAUUGCAUGAGUGCAUCUUCCAAAGACUCAAAGUCUUCAUUUACAUGAAAUUUUAAUUCAGCUUUCAACAUUCAUAAGCACUUAAUGAAUUGACGACCAAUAUAUUGGAUGCAUAUUGUUUUGAAUAUGCCCUUAAUAAAGAUGAAAAGGAGAAAGAUGAACUUGAACUCAUCAUUUUUACAGCCGUUAAAAUAGCAUACAUGAUUUGCUUUUGCUACUUGUCUAAAUUUUAUCUAAACACCUAAUUAUGAUGGUUGCCAAACACAUUCAAACAUUUAAGUUAGUAACAAUUUUAUAAGCAUGGCAUUUUUAGUUUACUAACUUUGGUAUUUGAUUGAAGGGUUAAUUAUAUUUUCGGUCUCUACAAAAUUGCGACCUUGUAAGUUUAGUCCUUAUUUAAUUUUAAUAGUUUUUUUAAUCCUUACAAAAAAUUUCUGCACUCAAUAUUAGUCCUUACUCAAUCCAAAUUUGUUUAAUUUAUGCUUAAACUCUUAAGUUUUUCAACAAUUUUUUACAGACGUGUUAAGAACGUUAUUAAAAGGUCCUCCGAAAAAAAUAUCGCAAAAAUUUGAUUUCUACGUCCAUAUUUUUGUUACUUAUAUCUUAAACUUUUGUCGUUUUAAAAAAUUCAUAUUUAAUUUAUUUCAUGUUAAAAAAUUAUAGAUUUUAGCAAAUGAACCUUCAUAGUGUUAUAAACUUGUAUAAAAAGAAUCGUUAAAAAAGUUAAGAGUUUAAGGAUAAUUAAGCAAAAUUUAUUUUAGCAGGGACUAAAAUUAUAAGUAAUUUUUUUUUGUGUAGGGAUUAAAAAAGCUAUUAAAAUUAAGUAAGGACUAAACUUAGAAUGUCGCAAUUUUAUAGAGACCAAAAACAUAUUUAACCCUUGAUUAAAUUAGUUUUUCCUUUUGCCAAUCCAAAAAGUCAUGCAAGCCUCACAUCUUUCUCACUUGUGAGCUUAGCUCAGUUGGUAGGACAAUGCAUUAUUAUUUGCAGAGAACCACUAAACUACCUGACAAAAAAAAAAGCUAGACUUGUUUCCCUAUAUUGUAGAUGCCAAUUAAAGCCUGAAUUUAUUUUUUUAUUAUUUUUUUUUCUUUGAAAAUGAAGUCUGCAAAUCUUAUAGCUUAUGUCUUUUUGGCUUUCAGCAAACUACAAUGGGGCUCUGUUGGAUAUUUUUAGGGUUGUAUGGCCCAAAAGUCCUAAACCAAAUGGCUUUCACCUCCCAUCCGUCAUGUUUCUCAUGCGUCCUCCUAAAUUUCAAAACUGCCCUCAGAUUUUCGGAUUAUUCAAUAUGCUACUCUUAUUUUCAACUCUUCCUUUGAGGUCCAACUCGAUUAGUCUCUUCAGUGGUUCAGUUGUGAUUUUUCCUCUUAAGUCCAACUAGAUUAGUCUCUUUAGCGGUCCAGUUAUAAAGUCGAUUUGUGACAAUACCUUAUAUGCAUCUAUGUUAGGAUUGAUACGAGCUGUUAGUGGGUUCUGAUACCAUGUUGGAUGGAGGAAUGUUUUACAUAUUGAGCUGUAGUUGUUUCAAGGGGCACUCAACAUGGAAAGGAUAUUGAAGAUUUGCAGAAAAGUUUGGACAAUGCUGAGUAAGGUACAUAUACAAGCAUUUCUAAUUUUCUGACAUAAUUACAUUUUCAGAGUGAUUUUCAAAUUAACUAAGAAUAAACAGUAUUGUUCUAAAGUUUUUGAACUAGGAUAAAAAACUUUAACAGUGUUUGUGGUUUCUAGAAGCAUUGCAGAAGAUUAUGGUCAGACUCAGACAGUCAAAUAUAGGUUUGACGCCAUCUAAGUAAUCAGCAUUUCAAUCUUGGGCUAUGUUUCAGAGUUUAUAAGAGAUCAUAGCAGAAUUCUAUUCACUUUGUGUUAUUGUCAAAUCUUAAUUCUUAGUGUUAAUUGAUGGUCUUAUGAUGAAAAUUAUAAAUUUAACCCAAAUAAAAACGGAUAUUAAGAACAUAUCCAUGUACCGAACUAAUAAGUAGCAAGAAAGUGAAAUAAAAGAAAACACAAUGAUUUGAACUUAUCAUUGAAAAACAUUACAGAAACUAACAUGCACUGCAUGAUAAUAAUGAAGUGACAAGAGUGCAAUAUCCUGCAAAUAAAGUAAAAAAGGUUGUUACUGCACAGUAAGAAACAUAAACAAGUUGAAUCAAAGCUUUUCAAGUGUGUCUGUUUCUUCAUUUUAAUUCUAACGAAUGUCUAAUUUUGGAAUGUGUGCUAUCUUUUCCCAGUACACCCUUGUUCCCUCGUUGCAUCGCUCAUUUAAUCCUCCAGACAAACAUAAAUAGUCAGAACCUCAAGUGAAGUGAGGCGUGGAAUACCUUCUUGCAAGGAUUUCAAUCCUUUAUACCAAGCAAAUUCCAUUGUUCGAAUCGUAGACCUUUCCACAUUUUCUCCGGAAAAGACUCAGGCUCAUCACAGUAUAAGAUAUGCAGACACUCUAAAGCUUGGUUUAACGGUUCUCAAAAUCCUCUAUGGGAAAGAUUUCAUUUCUUUACCUACACAAAGGUAGAGAGUGUCAUGACCAUUGAAACUACAGAUUGACAUCAGUGACUCAUAGUUACGUCCAACUGCAAAGAGGUCUUUAACAGAUGGAAGAGAUGGCAACUCAAAUUUCGGGCAAUCAUGGAUGGUCAGAUCAUGGAUUAGCGAGGUCUUUAAUAUGAAUUACAUCAAUUCAUAUUAAAAAGUGACAAAAAGAAAUGCAAAUUCAAUAUAUUUGACAAGGCCUGAGAGUUUGUUGUGAUAUAUGACACAAACUAUAUGAAUGCAAAUUUAUUACUGGACAACACGCGAUGCAUCCAAGAACUCGCGCAUUGCGCAGCAUGGAACGUAAUUGAAGGUUGUAAUAAGAGUAGUAGUACUUCUAGAUACUGAAUCCUGCUACCUCUAUAUGAUUCUACUUCCAUUGUUCUAGACAAGCCCAAUCUAGAGCCCCAAAUAUUUAGAACUUUCUCACCAUUUUAUUUUCCUCCCUUUUGUAAAUAACCAAGAAAGUUUCAUGUGUACUAAACAAACUCAUGUUAAUUUUCCCUUCAACAAUUCAUUUGCUUGUGUGAUUUUUCAAUAUUUGAAAGUGCAGUCUUCCACAAUUUUGUUUAUUGAAUUCUUUGUCUGGUUACAUUUCUGUUGACAAGUCAAUUUUAUAAAUGACAAAAAAUCUUGUAGUCACUGAUUUUAGCCUCCAUAAGGCAAUAAUUUGAUCAAGUAUGAAUUCAAAAAAGUAUUUGUCCCUUUUAAAUAAAUAAUGUAUGUACAUUAUUUGGAACAACCAAGGCACAAAAUGGCAAGGACAACCUCCUGAGGCUUAGGAGAAACUCAAGUGAAGUCAGGUGUCAAAUAUCUUCUGGCAAGGAUCAAGUUCGAAGAGAAAUAAACUAAUGCUAAUCUACUAAAAUAUACGUAGUUAAAAGAUGGAAAAUUCACUUUGUUAUAAAAUAAAACAAUUGAUUUCUCAUUCAGGAAAAGCAGUGGAUGCAACUUGGUUAAUUAACAUUGUCUGACACAAACGAAGUCGGGAUUCAGCAGCAUUCCACAACAUAUACGACACAAACCCAAAACAAUAACACAGAUUAAUCAAUGGCUGUGCGUCUGGAAGAUAGGCCUUUAUCAUGCAGUUCUUUGUCAUAUCAAUCAAACUUUGAUUCCAUAUCACAUGCUCUGCCUCAUUAAUUUAUCCAGUUUUAGAAGUUUCUCCAAUGUAUUUGUAAUGAAUAUCAGGAUCCUCUAUAAAUAAUACAAAAUAAAAAGUUAUGAAAAUGAAAAAGAACUAGAAAAUGCAAUAUAGGUUAGUCUAGAAAACAGUCUUAAGAAAUACCAUAGCUAAAAUAUUGGUCAAAGAGGCCUUUAAUUGGUAAAAGAGUUUGAUGCAUGCAUCAACAAUUUGCAACUCAGAAUAUUCCUUAGAAGUCAUCAGAUUUUGAAGCAGUAAAAUUCUUUAAUAUAAGUCCAGAAAAAUAAUUUAUUUGAAAAGAAAAGGCUUAUGUUAACAACAUGAGUGCUAAUACAUUACCUGCACAAUUAAUUGUAUAUUUCCCCGAAGGAUGACCAAUAAAGAUCUUCCGUGUACUCCAGUGUUCAUUCUUCGAAAUAGGUUCAAACCAAUUCAACCAAAGCCUGAAAAUCACUCAUAUGGAGCAUAUAUAACAAUGUUUUAAAAUUCAGUGAGUUGAGCACUUGAAAUCCAAACAUGUGGUGCAAUGACAUGUGUAUUCACAAUGGCCUAUUUGACCAGCCAGAAGCAGAAACACAAACACAAUACCUUUGCUUCUUGAUUCCUAUUGAACAUAAAAGCAACAUCACCAAAAGUCUAAGUUCGGAAUACGUGCUAUCUUGUUCCAGUCCUCUCCUGUUCCGUCCUUGCAUUGCUCCUCUAAUGUUUUAGUUGGAGAACAUAAACCUUUGAAAAACAUUGAAAACGUUGAAUUCUAUCAGGAACCAUUGCUGCUAUCAUAGAUCCUGUUUCAAUAGGCAAACAUAAUUAAAAUUAAACACAAACAAACAAACAAACUUAACCUAACCAAAUCUUAGGACAAACCAUCUGAGUUUUAACUAAAUCAAAAACUCACUAAAAAAGACAAUGAAACAAAUUCACUAAAAUACUAACCCGUUGAGUGCCCAAAAACAUGAGCCUUUUUCCAACCUAAACGACCCAACAAAGUAAUUGCAUCCUUGGCAUGAUCUUUGUUCUGCACCCAACAAUCAUUCACCAAUAUUCAAAUUUCCAUUUCACUUUUUGUAAAUCAUUCAAAUUAACGUAUUGAUGACAUGUCUGAUGUUUAGAUACUGAUAUGACACCAAGCCAUAACAAACAGAAACUUUCAUUUUUUAUCAAAAUUAAGCAAAAAAGAAGCCAAACAAUAUAUCAUUCAAAUAAACAAUCUAAAACAAAUAAAUAAAAAAGACCAACAAAAACUUAAGAAUAAAAAUGGAGUAAACCUUGAUGAUCAGACUUGCUAAUGGGCACAGAGCUCCGACCCAUGCCCCGAUUGUCAAAAUCGCAAUCCUCGAUACCCCCACCAGGGACUCAUUGUCACCUACUCCAACUGUAUUUUUGGAAUAUGAGCUAUCUUGUCCCAAUCCUCCCCUGUUCCCUCUUUGCAUCGUUCCUUUAAUGUUGGGCAAUCAUUGAUUGUCAGAACCUCAAGAGAAGUGAGGUGUCUAAUACCCUCCGGAAAGCAUCGCAAUUCUUUACAAUUAGAAAUAUAUAGAUAUUGAAGGGAUUGCAGACCUUCCCAAUUUUGCUCAUUACAAUCAGAGAUACGCAGAUGCGUCAAAGCUUGGUUAAAGGGUUCAUUUUGUAACUCCUUCAGUGUUGGGAAAUCAUUUACAACCAGUGAUUGAAGAGAAGUAAGGUUUUUGAACAUCCCCUCUGGGAAGGAUGUUAUUCCUCUACCGUAAUCUAGGGAAAGCUCAGUAAGACCACGGAAGGUAGAGAUUGACCUCAGUAACUCAUUGUUACAUCCCAAUACAUAGAGGGAUUUAAGAGAUGGAAGACAUGGCACUCCAAGUUUAGGGCAAGCUGUGAUUCUCAACUCAGAAAGACAAGGAAACAUCUCCCCUCUUUCCACUUUCAAUAACCCCUCUAUGUUUGGUAGGCAUAGUAAAUGGAGUUCCUCCAGAGAUGGGAAAACCCUCACCUCCACACCAUCCUGAGAUUCAUCAUCAUCCAAGUAUUUCAGAUUAUCCAUAUCAGAUAAUUCCAGUUUUUUUAGAGACGGUAGUUUACCAAUUAACUGAAGUCGCACAACUUUCUUGCAAUUCCCAAGUUCAAGAGAAACUAAAUUACUAAGAAUAAUUAUCCAACUUGGUAAUGAUAAUCCGUCAUAGUAAUUUAUUUUCAAGCACUUGAGAUUUGAGUGAGGUUGAAGCACUUCGAGUACUUGCUGAGCACUAAUAGUUGGGGGAUUGGUAAAUCCAUAGUUGCUUUCCCAUGACAAGCAUAAUUCAUGAAGGUCUUUUUUACCCAUCAAAUCAGCCGCUUGAGCUUGAGAUAAACUGCCAAAAUCUUUUAAGCCUUCGAUACGCAGUUUUCCACCGAGGUUUAGAUCACGUAACUCUGACAAGCUAUUCCCUUUCUCUAAACUAACAAUGUACACACUUAAUGUUUUUAGACUAGUUAAUUUUCCAAUGUUAGGAAACAUUCGAGACAAAGAUAUACAAUAUUCAAUAACUAUAUGUCUAAGAUUUUGUAAGAAAGCCAAGCGUUUUGGGAGACAAAUCAGUUCACCACAAUGUUUUAUUUUCAAGGUUUCCAGUUUUUGUAAGUUGUAAAUUGAGUCAGGCAACUCUUGUAUGUCAAGAUAAAGAAGCUCCAAAUACCUUAAAUGAAUUAAACUACCUAGUAAUGGCCCCCGGAUAAAGGUUGUGCAUAAAACCCGAAGAGAAGGGUCUGUUGGGAAGUAAUCCUGUUCUUCUUUUGGAAAAGUAGAAAACUCAAACCAUGUUCGCAAGGAUUCAACUUUUCUGAAGGCACCCUCAUCGAAUGAUAACAAAUUAUCAGAGUUAAAACUUAUGUGGUGUGUGCUUUUUGACAAACUAGUCAUGUUUGCAUUCUCCAAAUAUAUACAUUCUUGCCCCAUUACUGACUUAGCGAGAUCAUGGACAAGAUCAUGCAUCUUGAAUGAAAUGUUGCCAGAAAAUUCAUCCAUUUUUUUGUCUUGAAAGAAUGAUUUUUGGUACAAUUCAUCCCAAACCAUGAUGCCAACAUCUUCAACCUCCGUAUUACCCCAAGAUGAAAUCAAUCCAUUAGCCAUCCAAAGCUGAAUCAAUUCUUCUUUCAAGAUUUCCCUAUCCUUGGGAAAUAUAGCACAAAAAGAGAAACAUUGCUUUAGGGUCGGUGUUAAAUAAAAGUAACUCAACCUCAAAGAACGCAAAAUAUAAUUUUCUUCUGGUAAAGCCCAAAGCUCAGUGUCUUUAAUAUCAAGCCAUUCCUUUUCUCCAUUCCUUGAGCUCAUCAAACCUCCCAAUGCUUUUGCUGCAAGAGGCAAUCCAUUACAUUUCUUUACUAUCUCCUUUCCUAUUGCUACAAGUUCUGCACGCUCUUCUCUAUAAUGUCCCAAUGCAUAUUCUUUGAACAACAACCAACAUUCACUAUCAGAGAGACCAGACAAAGAGUGAGCUUGGCAUGUUCCCAUGAUUGUUGCAACAACUUUAUCACGGGUGGACACUAAAAUGGAACUACCUUUUGAUCCACACGACAAAACAGAUUUCAAACGAUUCCAUCUAUCUUGUGUUAACCCAGAUUCCAAUUGUUCAUUUUGAUUCCACACAUCAUCCAAAAUCAGCAAAUAUAUUCUCCCUUGCAACAAUUCUUGCACCUUUCUUUGUAUUACAUCUGAAUCCAAGGCAUCACAUAUCUCUCCUGUAAUAUAUUCUAUAAUAGAACACAAAAUCCUCUUGACAGAGAAAGUCUCGGAAACACAAACCCAAGAUCUUAUGUCAAAAUAGUCCCUCACCCUAACAUCAUUGUAGACCAAUUGAACAAGAGUUGUUUUACCAAUACCACCUAAACCAACAAUGGGGUAGACGGAAAGGAAGUCAGAGUCCCUCGCAUGGGUGAGAAGAAACUCAAAAAUCUUUUCUUUAUCAUCUUUUCGUCCAAACACUUCUGGUUUAGCAAUAAUGGAGUUGAUUUGACGCCAUUCAUCUACUUCAUCUGAGCUUUCCCUAACAUAUACAGUACCAUCUCGUAGAAGAAAUUUGUUCUUAAUAUCAGCAAUAUCAUCCAAUCUUCUUGUAAUCUCUUUCAACCUGUUGCCGAUCUGACGGCGAAACACGAUGUUCUUUGGGUUGAAAGAGAAUGAGCCUCCAAGUCGAGCAGACUCGAUCGAACACUCAUCAAGGAUAUCAUCGAGCACAUAAACAGCAUCUUUGAGUUGUUGGAGCCAUACCUUAAUAUAGCUGUCUUUGACUUGUCUCUUCUCAGCAUCUACAAGAACAGCCUCGAUGUGAUUUAAGGAGGUUGAUAGGUUUUUGGCCUUUGACUUGAUUCCAGAAAUGGUAGAAAAUUCACUUUGUAGGAGAGAAUUCACUUUCUCAAACGCAGCUCUAAGUAAAGCUUCGGCCAUUUUUUUAGAAAAGAAAGAGUUGAAAAGUUAUAAGGAAAUGAGAAACUGGUUUAGACAGAAAGAGUGCUAAGGAGACGCAAGUAGGUGUUCAAUAAUUGAUGCAACUUGCAGAGUCCAUUACAUUGUAUUUUAUUGGAUUAACGGUGUUUUAUCUAGAUCAUUUUUGGAUUUAUCUCUUAUAAAAUAUUUUUUUGGUUUAAUUGCACUUUUCCUCUCUAUAGUUUGCCAAUUGUACAAUUUUGCAUCCCAUAGUUUUAAACUAGCGAUUUUGCCCCCUAUAAUUUUCCCCUUUAUGAUUUUAUGGUCCCCAUGAUAUUUAGUGUUGGUUUUUUUUUUAUCAAUUAAUGUGUGUCACGUGUGUAAUUCCAUUUUUUUAAAAAUAAAAAAAAUGGUAUUUUUUAGAUUUUGAGAAGGGGGCACGUGAUUUUUCAGAUUUUAAGAAAAAAUAUCACGUGCCUCCUUCUCUCAAAAUCGAUGGAAAGAGUUUGAUUGAACUACUAUAACGAGUGGUCGACAUAACAAUGAAAUACCUUUACUUUAUAACCCUCUAAAAAAAAUUUAAUUGAUAGUACUUUAUGUAACACUCCGUUUUCUAAACAUAAACAAAUUCAUAAAAAUAAUCAGAGUUUUUCACAUAAACGGAAUGCUACACUUCUUUUCUUAAAAAUCAUAAACGAAAUAAUUAACUAAUAAAUAUCAACAUAUAACAUAACAAAAUAUCACUCAUCAAAAUAAAUCGACUAAAUUAUAAAAAGUCAUUUAAACUCAAUAAAAUAAAUAAAUAAUAAAAUAGAGUGUUACAACUCUACCUUCUUAAAAGAAUUUCGUCUUUGAAAUUUAAAGCACAAGAGAAAAAUGAAUUUAAUUAUUGCUUAAAUAUCUUAAACUUUGUAUAACAAAAAUAGAAACUUCAACAAUACACAAAAUUCACAUUAAAGUUAAUCAGUCAAACAUGAUCACAUAAUAAAACAUCACCAUUAAUUAGAAAAAUACAACGACAAACGACUCAACUACUUGGCCGGUCGGACCGACCUGCUCUGAUACCAAUUGUAACACUCUGUUUUCCCAACAUAAAAAAAUUCAUAAAAAUAAUCAGAGUUUUCCACAUAAACGAAAUGCUACAAUUCUUUUCUUAAAAAUCAUAAACGGAAUAAUUAACUAAUAAAUAUCAACAUAUAACAUAACAAAAUAUCACUCAUCAAAAUAAAUCGACUAAAUUAUAAAAAGACAUCUAAACUCAAUAAAUUAAAUAAAUAAUAAAAUAGGGCGUUACACUUUAUACUACUCUUCAGUACUUGUCGCUUUUAGAGAAUAAUUUUAUUUCAUUUUACUUGUCACUUUUAAGUUUCAAUACAAAAUUAAUUAUUGGUUUGUCAAUAAUACCCUUAUCCAUUUAUUGAAGAAAGAAAAAUAAUAAAAUGAAAUAACAAAUGAUUAAGAGUAUUAUAGAAAAAAAAACACAGAAUUUCAUCAAAAAUAACAAAAUUUAUUUGGUUUCUUGGUAUGUGUAAAUUUCUCAAAAGAGAUAAGUAUUGUGAAAUGGAGAGAAUAAUAACUUUGUUUUACAUUUUAUUUAUAAGAAAUGCAUGUCUUUAAUUGUUUCGAAGUUUAAAAUGAAAAUAUUAUUUUAAAAUAAAAAAUAAUUGUUUGUUCAUGCAAACAUUGAAAUAAUAAGAAAUAAUUAUUUUCUACCUAAAACUCUAACAUUAAACAAAUUUAAAUUGAAUAAGGACUAAUAUUGAAUGUAUAAAUUUUUUAUAGGGUCUAAAAAAACUAUUAUAAUUAAGUAAGAACUAAACUGAAAAGGUCGCAAUUUUACAGGGACCAAAAACAUAUUUAACCCAAAAAAAUUAUUCACUUUUAGUUUAUAUUUACAUGUUAUAAAGGACUAUUUUGGAGUACUAAAUGUGCCCAUUUUUUGUAAAAAGUUUUUAAAAUAAUGACUAUUCUUACAAACUAUAUGGAAUAGAAGAUUAAAAUUACCUUAAAAUUUUAUAGAAACUAAACUUAAGAAUUUGUGAUUUUGCAGCGACUAAAAAUAUAUAUUUAAUCAUUUGUUUCGUGAGCAUAACUCAGUUGGUAGGACAAUACAUUAUUAUAUACAGGGGCCGGAGUUUGAACCCCGGACACCCCACUUAUUCACCUUAUAAGGUGAAUUCUAACCACUAAGCUACCUGACAAAAAAAUAAAAAAGAUUUAAUCAUUUAAUUUCAUACUUGCUCAAGUUCUCUCUCCAAAAAAGUCUAAUUUAUUGUACUAAUUUUAGAUAAAAUAAUAUAUAGGAGUUCUCUUGAUUCUUGAAUCCAAAAAUCACCACUGUAUCUCAAUUCUCACAAGCGUAGGUUAGGGUCUGUUUGGUUCGCGGGUUUUGAACGGGAGGGGAGGGGAAGGGAGGGAAUAUUUUAAAAUUUUUGUGAUUAGUUCAAUUUUUAGAAGGGGAUGAGAGGGAGAGGAAGGGGAACAAAAUCCCUCAUAUAAGCUCAUUUAUGGCUCCUCCUCAAAUUGAAGUUUUUUGGAGGGGAGGGGAGAGAAAAAGAGAUGAGUUAAUGCAAUUUUAAUUACAUUAACAUAAUUAUCCUCAUGUUUAUUUUUAAAUGACAAAACCGUCCUUAUUAAAAAUUUAAGUGUUUUCAACAUAUUGCUUAUUACUAUCUUUUUUGUAACAUGUCAAUGUCAAUUUUUUUUUUUUUAACGAGAAUUGCAUAUUCUUGUCUUCUAAUUAUUAUUUUUUACGUGAAUUCACUUUUUUUUUACUAACGAUGCUUUUAUUUUUUUUAUUUGGAUAUAUUUAUUUUGGGUUUGGUUAUGGUGCAUAAGGAUUUUCCUUAUGCACCCUGCAUAAGGAUUGCUAAUAGGGCCCAUUAAUAGUAGCCCAACAAAUUUUCUGCUUCCUACACCCCAAAAACAGAAAACAAGUAAAACUGGCAAAACAAAACAAACUAUUCAUUUCUUCAACAACCACCUCUCUUUCACCUCUCACCGGAAACCGUCGCCGUUAACCAUCGCCGUCGUUCUUCACCACUGUAUCAAUCGCCAUCAUUUCUCAAGGUCGUCGUUCUCCACCACUGUCUUGAUUUCCCCACCAUCGUCGUUCUUACUAUCGUCGUUCUUCACCUUCCACCACCAUCGGAACACGAGGUCCAUCGGAAACAACCUCCACCACCGGAAACACUAGCCGCCGUUCUUCAUCAACACAAGGUCGUCAUUCUUCACCACCGGAGACACCGUCGUUCACUACACCAGCUCUUCACCACCACCGUCGUCGCCGUUCACUUCCAACACCGUCGUUCACUUCCAACGCCUUCGUUCACUACAACAUCUUCAACAAACAGCAAACAUGUCGAAAUCAAAUCAGGUUUGCACUGAACUUCUUUAUUGAUCGUAAAUUUGAUUUUCAACCAAAACCAUUUUUACGUGGAAAUGGUUUCUAUGUGUUGUACACUAAAACCAUUUGGUGCUGGUAAUUUUUUUCUUUGGAUUAAUGACUCAAGUAUAUUAUAAUCAUCUGAUGCUGGUAAUUGAUUUCUUUGAUCCAGGUUAACAAAUCUAACGACGGGGGGCCAAUUCCAAACUUCAGUAUUGGACUUACGCAAUUAGAGCAAGAGCAAGCAUCUGAUGAAGAUAAAGGAAAAAAAAAGGGUAAAAAGAUGGAAAAAAGGGUAAGUCUUCAAUUCUAUUUGCUGUCAUUUUUAGUACGAGCAAUAAUUUCUUCGUUGAUUUUUUAGUACGAGCAAUAAUUUGUUCAUUAUGCUGCAAUGUUGUUCAAUUGAAAGGUAUAUUUCAUUGAUUCUGAAAUAAAUUGUUUUAUCUAUGUUUCUUUGAUGUUUUGAUUUCAUCAAUCUCAAUUUGUUGUUGUAUAGUUCAUGCUAUGUUUUUAAUUGUUGCUGGAUGUAUGCUCUAUGAUUCAUGUUUUGACUCUUCGUGCUUAACACUGAACUGCUAGUGAUAGUUAACCUAUGAUAUGAAGCAUGCACUCGGACACACACAGCGCUGAUACGACACGUCAGACACAAUUUGAGAAAAUUAGACAAUUCAAUGUAAUCACAUGUGUCCUGUCAUCAUUUGAUUUGAUACGCUAUGUAGCACGGACACUUCUAUUUGACGAGGAUUUGGUUUGUCUGAAUAUCCAUAACCAAUAAGAUCAAUAGAGUAUAUGCGGUGGGAUUUUGCUAGGUCUGGAAUAUUUUUCCUCCAGUGAUCACUGCAAUGAAGUGUAUUCUCAAUCACUCAAAAUAACUGCAGAACCAAACAGACCUAGCUAUAAGACCCUUACAAUAAAUAUGUGAUAUAAUAUGUGUCCUGCAUUUUCUAAUUGAAAUGAAAGAACAUGAAUGCAUGUUUCUUAAUCAAAUUUCUAGAUACCUCUAUUCAUGAAAAAAUUCAAGAAUAAAGAUCCCUAUAAUUUCUAAAUCUUUGCCUGAUAAAUUGGUUGAUGGUUUAUGAGGAAGGAGAGGUGAAAGAAGCUAAAAAGUUGUGACUUAUGAUGAUGAAUGGUUUUGUUAUCUGAUGGUUCUGUUGUAUGCUUCAUGUUUAGAAUGGUUCUGUCUGCUGUCAUUUACUCUGAUAUUGAAGACGUAGGCACAAUUGGUCUAUAUCCUCUUAUAUCUCUGUCUGCAUAGUCCACUUCGUCAUAACUUCAAUCUAAUUUUUCUUCGUCUAAUGGUGCUAAGUACUAGCUGAGGCAUAGUCUACUGUGUUGUGUCUUAUAUUUCAACACUGAUAUGAUGGAUAAAUGUAUCUAAUAUGAUAGAAGCAAAUAUCUGAAGACCAUAUGAUGCUGUUAGUUAUUCUAAUUGUUGCUCCUCCCUAUUAGCUCUCUUCCAUAUAUUUGGUUAUGCAAUAUAAGGUCUUUAUUCCAAGUUCAAAAAACAAGAAAAUGUGAGUGAGUAAUCACUUUUGAGAAAAGGAAUUCUUCACUGAACUCCAUCUACAAUUCACAAAUCACAAGAUACAUAAGUUUAGAAAAUUUAUGUGAGCCUAACUGAUAGGAAUAGGAUCACACAUAACAAAUUCAUGCACUGCUUGGACUUGCACAAUGUUGAAUGUUGGAAAUAACAUAUGAAUGGUGGAAUGGUAGUUCUGGGUGAGCAUCAAGUCUCACGAGAGGCUUCAAUCCAAGAGGAAAAAAAACUGAAUUGAAUUUGUCUUGAACUCUCUCUGCAUUUGUGUGUGUCUGCAUCGUCUUAUAUCUCUCUCUGGCCCACUUGAAUUUUUCUUAACUACAAAGUUUCAAUUGUUUCGUUGAACACUGAGAUGAUAAAUACAUGUGUUUGAUAAGAUAGAAGAAAAAAUCUAAUACUGAGAUGAUAAAGACCGUUGGUUAUUGGUAGUUAUUCUAAAUUUCUAAUAGUGACAUCUCUAUGUUAGCAAUAGUUUUAAUUCAAAAUACAAGAAAACAUGAGAGGAAACUUACAAGAGGAAUGUCUGAAGGUCUGUUCUUUAGAAACUUAGACAAAAUAUGUGAGUGUUCAUUAAACUAUAUAUCUAUAAUUUGCAAGAUCACAAUGUAAUCUGUUUCCUCUUAUGGUUCUGGACAUAACCCUUGAUUCUAAGGUGAACCACAUUAAUUAACUCUAAUUGAGUUCUUAUGUGUUUUGUUUUUUCACAGAAGUUCCAACCAUUGUACUCCAAAACCAUUAGAUGUAUUUAAUGGUUUUCUUUGCUCAUGCAGGUGAAAAAAACUAAAGAGCUAGAGCCAUUGCCAUCAUUUAGUAUUGGACUAACUCAAAUAGAAGAGGAGGGCAGGAAUGAAGAGGCUAAAAGUUCAGAUAUGGAAAAUGAGGAAAAUGCAAAGCAAAGACUGAGGCAUAAGAUGAGUAUACCUAAGGUAUAUGAUCUUAUGAAUUCAGUAAAUGGCAAACAAAGAAAGGAUGAGAUCAUUAACGUAUUGAAUGAAAGUGGCUUUGGGGGAAUGGUUCAUUUCUGAAUCUGUGUUAAUGCUUCAAAAGAUGUUUAUGAAUUUCGAUGAAUUUGCUCAAAAUUAGGUGUAUGGAAUACUGAAACCAUAAGUAUGGUAUAAUGGUUUUGAUAGUGUACUAGGUAAAACCAUACUUAUGGUGUAAUGGUUUUGAUCAAAAUUAUUAUAGGUACGUGGUUCUAAUGGUUUUCUAAAUAAAAACAAAUGUGAUAAACAGUUAUUUUAGGCCCAAGAAUGUUGAAUUUAAUUAAAAUUUGCUCAAAAUUAGGAGUAUGGAAUACUGAAACCAUAAGUAUGGUAUAAUGGUUUUGAUAGUGUACUAGGUAAAACCAUACUUAUGGUGUAAUGGUUUUGAUCAAAAAUUAUUAUUGGUACAUGGUUCUAAUGGUUUUCUAAAUAAAAACAAAUGUGAUAAACAGUUAUUUUAGGCCCAAAAAUGUUGAAUUUAAUUAAAAUUUGCUCAAAAUUAGGUGUAUGGAAUACUGAAACCAUAAGUAUGGUAUAAUGGUUUUGAUAGUGUACUAGGUAAAACCAUACUUAUGGUGUAAUGGUUUUGAUCAAAAAUUAUUAUUGGUACAUGGUUCUAAUGGUUUUCUAAAUAAAAACAAAUGUGCUAAACAGUUAUUUUAGGCCCAAGAAUGUUGAAUUUAAUUAAAAUUUGCUCAAAAUUAGGUGUAUGGAAUACUGAAACCAUAAGUAUGCUAUAAUGGUUUUGAUAGUGUACUAGGUAAAACCAUACUUAUGGUGUAAUGGUUUUGAUCAAAAAUUAUUAUUGGUACAUGGUUCUAAUGGUUUUCUAAAUAAAAACAAAUGUGAUAAACAGUUAUUUUAGGCCCAAGAAUGUUGAAUUUAAUUAAAAUUUGCUCAAAAUUAGGUGUAUGGAAUACUGAAAUCAUAAGUAUGGUAUAAUGGUUUUGAUAGUGUACUAGGUAAAACCAUACUUAUGGUGUAAUGGUUUUGAUCAAAAUUAUUAUAGGUACGUGGUUCUAAUGGUUUUCUAAAUAAAAACAAAUGUGAUAAACAGUUAUUUUAGGCCCAAGAAUGUUGAAUUUAAUUAAAAUUUGCUCAAAAUUAGGUGUAUGGAAUACUGAAACCAUAAGUAUGGUAUAAUGGUUUUGAUAGUGUACUAGGUAAAACCAUACUUAUUGUGUAAUGGUUUUGAUCAAAAUUAUUAUAGGUACGUGGUUCUAAUAGUUUUCUAAAUAAAAACAAAUGUGAUAAACAGUUAUUUUAGCCCAAGAAUGUUGAAUUUAAUUAAAAUUUGCUCAAAAUUAGGAGUAUGGAAUACUGAAACCAUAAGUAUGGUAUAAUGGUUUUGAUAGUGUACUAGGUAAAACCAUACUUAUGGUGUAAUGGUUUUGAUCAAAAAUUAUUAUUGGUACAUGGUUCUAAUGGUCUCAGAUAACACAAAUGCUCUGGUUUAUGUAAUGGAUGACAGUGAGCCACAUCCCAUCUAUAAAUCUUAUACACAUUCAAAACUUCAUCCAGCUUCAAAUAUAUUCCAGCUUUACAACCGACCCUUUCCUCAGGUUUUUCUUUCACUUUCACAAACUCAAUAACCAGUGGACUGUCUGAUGUUGGCCUGUUGUUAGGAUUAAGCAAACUUCCCUUCUUGUAACCUUGUUUGUUACAAACAUAACGCAAAUAAUGUAUCUUUUCUGAUUUCUUAUUUUGUGAAUUAUUCUUCGACUUCAACAUAGUCCUAAUAGAAAAUCCAGUGUUAUAUGCAUAAUUACCAUAAAAAUCUUCAACCUCUUUGAUAGAUUGAAAGACUAAAGACUUCCAUGAUUCUUCAUUGCUAGGGGAGUAACAUUCAGUAUGAAUCAUUGAAGAAGUUUCAACACUCAGUUGUCCACUCUCAGCAUGAAUCAGUGAUGAAGCUUCAACACUCAGUUGUCCACUCUCAGAUGAAGUUGAUAUCAAAUCCAUUGAAAACAGCAACAAACACUAUUAAGAACAAACAACCAUUAGCACAUUAAGCAUUUUUCAUUCAAUAUACAAAACGAUUAACACAUCAAUGCAUGUAAAUUUGCAGAUUAAGCAUUCAAGAUCAGAAAAGUAGACAAGGACUGAAAAAACUACAAACAAUAACACAUCAAUGCUCUUAUUUUUCAAUCUAAUAUUCCUAAAAGUUUCGCAUAAAUCUUUGCUUGACUUGAAUAAUGAGUUAUUCACUCUUGUUUAUCAUCGGCUUAAAUUCGAUUGUAUAGCUAUAAAUUCCAUUUUUCAUGGUUACAAACCAGGAAUAAAAGGACUCCUCUUUUCACUGCAUAUCAUAUUAGGUUCUAGAAGUGACAGUUUUUUGUGAUUGACAGUUUUAUGUGAUACAUUGAUUUUCAUAAGUUGUAAAUUUUAGGUAUCAUACAACUUUCAAUAAGUGUCCUGGAGUUUGUGACACAAGAGUUUUAUGUCUGAAACUAUAUAGAAAAAUAAACUUGUUUGGUUCUGACUAGGUUUGGAUAUUGUUUUUACAGAAAUCAAUUGUAGCAAAUAUAAGUUAUUACAUGAUACAAUAGUCCUCAAAUAUAGUAAAAUGUUAAUGUCUGACACUAUAUAGCAAAUAAACUUGUUUGGUUCUGAUUCUUAAUGCAUCUAAUUUUAGUCUCUUAAUGACACUUCACAUCAAAAUUGUAAGACUCUGAACAAUAAUUUUGUAAAUCAUGUUCAAUGACACUUCACAAGAAAAACUUUAUCUGCUGUUUCAUAUCCUUUACUGAUGGUUUCAGGUUGAGAAAGAAUUCUAUGUUGAGGAAUUAGUGUUUCCUUAUAAGCAAAAUCAUAAAUUCAACACAGAAAUAGAGAAUACAAACAAACAAUAAAUCUUUGCCUGAAAAAACUACAAACAAUAACACAUCAAUGCUCUUAUUUUUGAGGAAUUAGUGUUUCCUUAUAAGCAAAAUCAUAAAUCCAACACAGAAACAGGGAAUACAAACAAACAAUAAAUCUUUGCCUGAAAAAACUACAAACAAUAACACAUCAAUGCUCUUAUUUUUGAGGAAUUAGUGUUUCCUUAUAAGCCAAAUCAUAAAUUCAACACAGAAACAGGGAAUACAAUCUAUUGAAUUUAUUAAGAAAUUCAAUAAAUUCAAUCACAGGAACAGGGAAUGGUUCAUAAAUCACCAAAAAUGCAGGAACAGGGAAUGGUUCAUAAAUCACCAAAAAUGCGAAAUUGAAAACCGAUCAAACACAGAAAAACAUCACAAACGCAAAACCUGAAGGUUAAUCGGAGUUGAGCGAGCGGCGAGCGGCAGAGAAUGAGCGGUGAGCGGCGGUAGAGAAGCACUUAUGAGAUGAGCGGCGGCAAGCGGGAGGGUUGCAACAACAAUGAAUAGGCGAGCGGCGAGCGGCGGUAGAGAUUGAGAGGCGACGGCGGCAGAGAAGCGGCGAGCAGCGAUCGGCGAGGUGAGAAGAGGAAAAUGAUAGUAUGAGAUGUGAAGGAGAGUGUGAGCUGAGAUUAUUACACGUGUAAAACCAAUCUGAAGGUUGAAAAGAGCUUAUGCAGGGUGCAUAAGGGAAACCCUUAUGCACCAUAACUUAUACCAUUUAUUUUAUAGUUUUUGAUUGUAUUAUAUAUUAAAACAUAAUUAAUAAAAUUUGUAGAAGAUUUUUUUAUAAAUAUAUUUUAAAAAUAAUUUCUAACAAUAAAUUUUUUAUAAAUAUUUUUAUAUUGUACUAGAUUAUUUUAGAAGUGCUCUAAUAUUUAUGGAUAUCUAAUAUUUUGUUAGAACUUUUGUGUUUGAUUAUUUAUGGAGUUUUUGGUUACCGAGUUUUCAUGUUUAAAUUUUUAUGAACGGAAUAAUAUAAAAAUCAUGAUAUUGUUUUAAGGCUAGAGGGAUAAAAAAGUAAUUUGGUUUUAAAAUCCAUCCCAUUCCCUUAUGAAUCAAACAUAUAUUUAAUUAAAAUCUCUUCCUUCCCCCUUCCCUCCCAUCAUUUGAACCAAACAUAUAUUUAAUUGAUAUAUCUCCCCUUCCCCCCUCCCUUUCCCUCCCUUCCAUUAAAACCCCUCCCCUUCCCUCUGUUGAACCAAACGGACCCUAAAGAAUUAUAGACUGGUACGUUGUGAGUAGUGCACAAACGUGAAAAAGGAUUGAUGUGUGCUUUUGAAGACCGCUAGGGUUUUACGGCACCGCUUGCGAUUGCACUUGCCCUUAAUUCCAUCAAUUUUGAAUUGAAGUUCGGUUGGUGUUUUAAUCCAAUCGGUUACCAUCCAAUUGGUGUUAAACCUUUAUCAUCAUCAAUUUGUUUUAGCAAUUGUGGGGCUGGUGGUUCAAAGGUAUCACGUAGAAGUUUUUGAGUUACUAGCUUUCAACGAAGUCCUUUACAACAAGUUAACAAGUUGCUGCAAUUGAUAAUUGUAUGUCACAUUUUGGCUCUGUUUGGUAAACAUAACGGAUAACUAUAAGUUCGUUGAUAGCUUAUAGCUGAUAGCUUUUAGCUGAUAGCUUUUAGCUGAUAAAUGUAAAAUGACAUAAAGGGUAUUCUUAAUUCAUAAUAAAAAUUAUAUCAUUAAUUUAAGUAUUUGUAAUUUUGUAAACUAAUUUUUCUUUCAAAAAAUACUUUAAAUUUAUUAAUUUAAUAUAUCCUAUGUAUUAUAAAUUAAAUUAAAUUUUAUUCACUAAAAUUUUAUCUUAUAUUUAUUAUCAUUUAAGUGUUUCCACUUUAUAAAGAAAAUAACAUUUACCUCAAAAAAAAAAAAAAAAAAGGUAGCACUAAUAGAGUAAUACUAAUAACAGAGAAUAAAGAAAAUAACACUUACCUCAAAAAAAAAAAAAAGUAACACUAAUAGAAUAAUAGUAUUUUGUUUCGUAAAAAAAAAAACGAAGGUAUAUAUUUUUUCAAAAAAAAAAAGAAAGAAAAAGGCCAGCUGCUAUAUAUACAAAAAUUGGAAUAAAGGGAUAGUAGUCUUUAUUACGUAGCUUAUUAUAAAAAUUAUAAUGGAUAAAAAUACAAUUUAAAUGAAAUAAUAAGGGUAAAAUUGGAAGAAAAAGUGAGAAGAUAUAAGCUAUAAGCUCAAACGCUACUUGGAAUAGCUUCUGAAAAAUAGCUUAUAAGCUCGUGAAAUAAGCUAUAAACUCAUGGUGAAAAAGUGUUACCAAACAGAGCUUUUUUUGUCAAACGAGCUUAUAAGCUAUAAGCUAAAAGCUAAAAGCUUUUUUUUUGGGUUUCCCAAACAGACCCUUUGGAACCAAGGAAUCACGACAGGUUUGAAUUACGACUGCCCUAGCUCCGGUGUGGCUUUGCCAGCCUCAGCCAUGUUUGACUGACUGGCAGGCAGAGCUAGCGCCUCCAACCCUCAACUUUGGAACCAAGGAAUCACGACAGCUUUCAACAGUGCUCGCACCCACACCUGUUAAGUCUAUUGUCGCUCCUACGGUUCAGAUGACAUCAGUUGCACCUAAGCCCUCGUUUGAUCAGGUCCUACGUGGUAAUACGAUACUGUCUGACCCUCUCCCGGUGCCUUCCAUUCGUGGUGAAAUAUUAUCUGUCAAAAUCACGGAUGAUGUCUAUUUUUGUGAACUAGAUGCUUGCAAAACCAACCUUCGAGGUCGGUUGCUUCUGAACAAAGGAGAUAAGCCUUACUCCUCCAAAGAUCUUGCUGACAAAUUACAGAAGUUGUGGAAAGUGAAGGAGCCAUGAAAUUUGACGUCCCUUGGACAGGGUUAUUAUGAAAUUUUCUUUAAUUCACAAGAGGACAUGCGAACCGUUUGGGUAGACGGUAGUAUUAGCUUGAAGCCAGGCUUACUCGGAUUAUUUGAAUGGACAAAAGACUUCAACAUGCACACGCAACGACAAACUCACACUCAGGUUUGGAUUCGGUUAUGGGAAUUACCACAGGAGUACUGGAUGGAGAGAACCUUAUAUGAGAUCACAGGGGCGGUGGGAACUUCGUUACUCAUUGAUAAUGUGACUAGAAAUAAACUUUAUGGUCAUUAUGCCGCAUUUUGGUUGACAUGGAUCUUUGGAAAGAUAUUUUUAAGGUUCUGUUUGGUUAGAGACGCUUCCAGCUAAGUUGCAUAUUUCUUUCGAGACAGAAUUGGUCUACCCAAUAUAGAUUUCUUUUGUUCUGUUUUUUUUUCUUUUUUUUCCGAGAGUUUUGGCCUAGUCUCCCUUCUUUCUUGUACAUACUUUUUUCCUUUUUUUUUAAUUUUAUUUUAUUGAAUUUAGAGUUUGGCAAAAAUAGGACCGAGGCUUUCCGGGGUGCCAACUUAGUUACGAUGUCGGUGUUGUCUCCUGAUGUCUGACUUUCUCCUGCUGAGCAAAGAAAAAAAAAAGUGCACAAACGUGGAAUGGAAUAAUAAGCAUUACUACAAUUAAAUGUUAAUAUUAAUUUUAAAGGUUAAAUAUGUUUUGGUCCCUGUAAAUAUAUCAAAUUUUUCUUUUAGUCAUUCUAAAAAAUUUCAUUGAUUUUUAAUUUUUUUAAAAUUUUCAAACACCACUUUUGAUUCAUAUUUUUAUGUCAAUUCAUGUAAUUUUUAAUGAAAUUGUGCAGAAAUGUGUAGAAUAUUGUAAACAUUUAUUCGAAAACAUAUUUGAUUUUUUAGAUGUUCAUAUAACAUCACUAAAUUUUAAAGAACCCUAUUUGCAGAGACUAAACACAUUUAUAUUAUUAAGGUGUUGUUAAUUAAGGAGUGCCCCCGAACACUCUUUUAGGAUCACAAGUUUGGAAAAUAUUCUUUCAAAAAAUCAAAUAUUACAAAUUUUAAUACAUUAAUAACAUACAUUUUUAUAAAAAGUUACUACUAUUAAAAGAUCUUAAAAGAAUACUCUUGGAGCAUUGAUCUUAUCAUUUCCCUUAUUUGGAGUAAAGCUCUUAAAACAAAUAAAUUAUUUGGAGUAAAAUUGACUUGGGUCAAUAUGGAUUGAUUAUUAUAUUGCAAUAGACUUGCGUGACUAUCUGUAUUUUGCAUUUUCGAUAAGGAAAGUGUUGACUGAAUGAAAUCAAUACUCCAAAUAUGAACCAUCAAUGGAUAUACGACGUGUUCAUAAAUUUCAGAGGGGACGACAGUCGUAAUAGCUUGGUUUCUCAUCUGUACGCUGCUCUCUCAAACGCGCGAAUCAACACAUUUCUUGACGAUGAGAAGCUUCACAAGGGAUCGGAGCUGCAACCACAACUAUUGAGAGCAAUACAAGGGUCUCAGAUCUGUUUAGUUGUUUUCUCGGAGAAUUACAGUAGAUCUAGUUGGUGUCUUCUUGAACUUGAAAAAAUCAUGGAAAACCGUGGUACUCAUGGUCAAAUAGUUAUACCAAUAUUUUACCAUAUUGAUCCAGCCAUUGUUCGUCGUCAGUUAGGUAAUUUUGGAAAAGCUUUAGAAAUUACAGCUAAAAAAAUGCAAUCAAAAAGGGAGAAGCAAAAACUGUUGUUGCAGACGUGGAAGUCUGCUCUUAGCCAAGCUACAAAUUUAUCUGGCUGGGAUGUCACCUCUUCCAGGUAAAUCAUUUUCUUCUUCUUUUUUUUUUUUAAUAAUUUUAUUUUUUAGAAUCAGAAUGAAUUAAUGUUUUUAAGUUUUUUUUCUUUCACUAUAUUCAUAUUAUAAUUACUGUGUGGUGUGUAAAAAAAAGAAAGAAGCUAGUAUGUGUUAACAAAUGUUUCUGACAAACCAUUUUUUAUAAUAUACGUCAUUUUGGUCACUAUUAUAAAAUUAUAAUACUGAGUUAGCAGAAACAAUGCAUUUUUAUAUGCAGAAAAUGUAAGGAUUAUUCUUCAAUGCAUUGUUUUUAGUCCCAGUUAUUUAUUAAAAUGUAAUGAUUAUUCUUCAAAGUCACACAAAAUUUAGGGAUCAAAAACAUAUUUAACUCUAAAAUAAUUGGGACCCACUAACUAUCACAUCAGCAUUCCGUUGGAGAAUUAACAGCUGAGCCUAAUUUUGAUAACGGAGACAAAAUGUGAGGAUUUUAAAAACAUUAAUGAAAUGUAGGGACUAUUCUUCGAAGGAGCGUAAAAUGUAAGGACUAAAACCAUAUUUAACCCUAAUAUUUACUAGAUCCAAUAGCUUUUCAAAUAAUCUAAUUUUUUUUUUCUUCUUAUAAUAAUAACCGAAUUGUGUAACAUUCUUAUAAACACAUUUAUUUUUUGAAGGAUAUAAACACAUUUAUUUAAAAGUAUAAUUCAAAGUAUAAAAAAGUCGGUCCAAAAUUCCUAUAACUUUAUAUGUUGUUAACUGAUGAUAAUAAUAAUAAUAAUAUUCAUUGAAUUUGAAGGAAUGAAAGUGAACUGGUGCAAAAAAUUGUUGAGGAGGUAUUGGCAAAGCUAGACAACACAUUCAUGCCUCUUCCUGAGCACACGGUUGGACUAGAGUCCCGUGUUGAGAAAAUGGUUCCAUGGAUUGAAAAUAAUUCAACAAAGGUUUGUAUGAUAGGCAUAUGGGGAAUGGGAGGGUUGGGUAAAACUACGGCAGCCAAAGCCAUCUACAAUCAAAUUCAUCGCAAAUUUGUGUACAGAAGUUUCAUCGAAAAUAUUAGAGAAACUUGUGAAAGGGAUAGCAAAGGCGGAUGGCAUAUUUGUUUACAACAACAACUUCUUUCAGAUCUUCUCAAAACAAAGGAGAAGAUACACAACAUUGCCUCUGGGACAAUUGCAAUCAAGAAAAUGCUCUCUGCAAAAAAGGUGCUCAUUGUACUUGAUGAUGUGACCAAAGUAGAGCAGGUAAAAGCCCUAUAUGAAAGUCGUAAGUGGUUUGGUGCAGGAAGUGUAUUAAUUGUUACAAGCAGGGAUGCACACAUACUUAAGUCACUUCAAGUUGACCAUGUCUAUCCAGUUAACGAGAUGGAUCAAAAGGAGUCCCUCGAGCUUUUCAGCUGGCAUGCGUUUAGACAGGCAAGUCCAAGAGCAGACUUCAGUGAGCUCUCAAGUAGUGUAAUUAAGUACUGUGGAGGACUACCCUUGGCUGCUGAAGUCAUCGGAUCUUAUUUAUAUGGCAGGACAAGAGAAGAAUGGACAAGUGUGCUAUCAAAACUAGAGAUAAUUCCUGACCAUCAUGUGCAAGAGAAACUAAGAAUAAGCUACGAUGGUCUAAGUGAUGGUAAGCAAAAGGAUAUAUUUCUUGACAUAUGUUGUUUCUUUAUCGGCAAGGACAGAGCUUAUGUUACUGAGAUUCUAAAUGGCUGUGGACUUUUUGCUAGUAUUGGAAUAUCUGUCCUCAUAGAGCGGAGCCUCUUAAAAGUUGAAAAGAAUAACAAGCUUGGAAUGCAUGAUUUAAUAAGAGACAUGGGAAGAGAAAUUGUUCGUCAAAAUUCAGAAAAAGAUGUUCGCCAAAUUUCAGAAAAAGAUCCAGGGGAGCGUAGUCGGUUGUGGUUUCAGAAAGAUGUACAUGAUGUUUUGACAAAUAAUACUGUAAGAACUUUCUCCAUAUACAAUUUGAAACUUUUGAAUAUCCUCUGUAAUCUUAUGAAAAUUAUAAAGUUCUCUUUGUUAAUGAACUGAUUUGCUCUUCAUAACUAUUUGCUGAAAAAUCUUCAUGUUUGUUACAAGUGUGCUUGGGCCACAGCCCACAUCUGCCGUUUUGUUGCCACUGUUCUAGCAAGUAAACGAAAAACAUUUCCCCUUACUUUUCUUAGUUUUUUCUCUUCACACACAGGGAACAAAAACUGUUGAGGGUUUGGUUUUAAACUUGGAAACAACAAGCAGAGCUAGCUUUAAUACUAGUGCUUUUCAGGAGAUGAAGAAACUGAGACUUUUACAACUUGAUUGUGUUGACCUCACUGGAGAUUUUGGGUUUCUUUCCAAACAACUGAGAUGGGUCAAUUGGCGACAAUCUACCUUCAACCAUGUUCCCAACAACUUUUAUCAAGGAAAUCUAGUUGUUUUUGAAUUAAAAUAUAGCAUGGUUAAACAAGUUUGGAAGGAGACCCCGGUAUAAUAACAUUUUCUUUAAAAUUCAAAUGCUCAUGACAAUAGAAUCUGUUGCCACUCUUUCAUUUCUGAUUUUCAUCUCUAAUUUUUCUUUUAAAUGAUUAUUUUCUUGCAGUUUCUGGACAAGCUAAAAAUUCUCAACCUCAGUCAUUCCAAGUACUUGAAAAACACCCCUAACUUUUCAUUAUUACCGAGUCUAGAAAAGCUCAUUAUGAAGGAUUGUCCAAGUUUGUCCGAGGUACACCCGUCCAUUGGAGAUCUCAAUAAUCUUCUUCUGAUAAAUUUUAAGGAUUGUACAAGUCUUGGCAAUCUACCAAGAGAGAUAUCUCAAUUGAUGUCUGUGACAACUCUCAUACUUGAUGGUUGUUCAAACAUUACUGAAUUGGAAGAAGAUGUAGUGCAAAUGAAAUCCUUGAAAACUCUAAUGGCAGCAAGAACUGGUAUAGAAAAAGCACCUUUUUCCAUAGUUAGUUCGAAAAGCAUUGUUUAUAUAUCCCUGUGUGGAUUUGAAGGAUUUGCACGUGAUGUUUUUCCUUGUCUCAUACGGUCUUGGAUGUCACCAACAAUAAAUUCCUUACCACAUAUCCCUCACAUGUCCUUGGGUGUAGAGAGUAAUGAUUUGCGUUUGGGCAAUCAAUCAUCAACGCUUAGAAGCUGUUCAACACCUAGAAGUGUUUGGGUACAAUGCUGCUCCGAUAUUCAAUUAACUGAAGAAUUAAAAAGAUUACUUAAUGAUCUAAACAGUGUGGAUUUUACUGAAUCAGAAACUUCACAUGCAUUACAAAUCUCAGAUCUAUCAUUGAAAUCUUUUGUUAUUACUCUUGGCAAGAGCUUAUCACAGGUUCCUUCUCUAUCCUUUUAGUCUCACAUGUACUGAUAUCUAUUGUUAAUUAAGAGAACACGAUGAUAUUUUCUGUUUGCAUUUUUUUCUUUAAAUGGUUAAAGUUUCUUGAAGAUACAAAUUUAUUCAGUCAGACGUGUACCAUUGAAGUGAAAUAAUUUUUUAGAUAAUUACACCCUCUUAUUUUUUACUAUACGUGUCAUAUUUUUUAUAAUCAAUCUGGUUUUAUGUCUGGGAUGUUUACCAUUGAAGCAAUCUACUUACUGCAAAAUGUAAUGGAGUGAUAUCGGAUGGAUAAGACUUCCACUUAGUUUUCAUUAAUUUGGAGAAGACAUAGAUAGAGUGCCUAGAGAGAUUUUGUGGAAAACUCUCGACAAGAAAGGGGUUAAGACUGCCUACUUUUGAGCUAUCAAGGAUAUGUGUGGGAGGUUCUCGACUAGUGUGAGGACACAGAGUGGGGUCACAAGAUUUUCCCAUAACAAUAGGACUGCACCAAGGGUCCAUUCCAAGUCCUUAUCCUUUUUACUUUGGUUUUGGGCUUACUUAGGGAGAGGAAAAAGAAAAAUUAUAAGAGAUAGUAUUAAAAACAACAAUUAUUUUUAUGCAAUAAACAAAGCAAAUGAGUUCAAGCACGGUAUAGCUGCUAGGAAAGAAAGGCGUAAUAGAAAAUUAUUCAUAGAGAUAACAAAACCCUCAUCUACUAGAAAAGUUGAGGUUCCUUCCCUUUUCUAAGUCCUAGAUGACAAAACUCUCAACUGAAAUUUAGUGAUAUCAUUAUUAUCUUACAGAUGGAAAUUACCAAAACUUUUAAGUUGAGAUAUUAACUAGCAUAUGGAAAGUGAAAAGAAGUAUAAGAAAAGGUUAAUUAUAACAUGAGAAAAUGGUCAUUGGCCAAUUACAAGUUAAAAUCUGUGUAUGGCAUAUCAGUAUUUCAAGGGUUCUGCAGCUAUUAUAAAAGCAUUCUGCUAUUGAUGUGAGUGUUACAAAACUAUUGCCUCAUUGCUUUAAAUCAGUUUCUGUGUAUAUUUUUAUUUUUAUUUUUCUGUGUAAUGCACUAUUUUUACACUAUAAAUGGCACAAAAAUGUCUAUUAGCAUGAAAUAAUUACACAACUAACUCAACAUAUGUUCAUGAUACAGGGAUUAACAACCACAACCACUGGUUCCAAUGAUUGUUUUGUUCUGGUUAACAAUUAUCCUUCUGGGUUAUCUUAUACAUGUACAGGACCUUCAGUCCGAUUUCGAGUGCCUGAGGAUAGUGAUUGUCACAUGAAGGGAAUUACUUUAUGUGUUGUUUAUUCAUCAACAUUUGAAAACAUGGAAACUGAAUGCCUCGUUGGUGUUUUGAUUAUUAAUUAUACAAAAUUCACUAUCAAUUUAUACAAGCGAGACACAGUAAUGUCCUUUAACGAUGAAGAUUGGCAGGGUGUAAAAUCAAAUUUAGGAGCUGGUGACAAUAUGGAGAUUUUUGUAGCUUUAGGGAAUGGUAUGACUGUUAAAGAAACAGGUGUCCAUCUUGUACAUGGCCAAUCAAGUACUAUGGAAGUUGAGUCGUCGUCAAUGACCAUGGAAGUUGAGCAAUCUAUUAUGGUAAAAAUGGAGCCAUUGCCCGAAGUGGAAGUGCAAACGCAGCCUAAUGUGAAAAUAGAUCCAUCACCUGAAGAGGAAGUACAAUCAUCCCUUGAUGUGAAAAAUGAGGCAUCACUUAUUAUCCAGAAUGAACCAUCACUGGAGCCAUCGCUUACUGUCCAGGACGAGUCAUCACCGAAGCCAAAUGAAAACAUCUUUGCAAAACUUGGAAAGAGAGUUGGUAAAUGUGUAUGCUUGAAACUAUAGAAUAGGGAUCUCAGAAAUUUAUGAUUGCCCAAUUGGGCACACUUUGUCCUAAUAUCGAAAUACCUUCCUAAAUAUUAUCAUCUUAACGACUUUACCUGUAUGUUUUUGUAGGAUACUCAUCUAGUUUUGAACUGCAUUAACUACUUAUUUAUAUAUUACCCAUUUAUCAUGUAAAUGUAAACAAUAAAUAUCAUGACAUCCUCUAAAAAAAAAACAAUUGGAUAGAAAGAUAAACUAAUGAUCUAUCCUGAAGAGGAAACUUAAGAAAAUCGACAUCAUUUGUUUUUAAUACCAUUUCACCAACAUGUGGCACAAUUGGAAAAACAUAUUAGGAGAUGUGAACUCAACUCUUUAAAUGCAUCUCAAUUAUUUUUAUAUAUUAGUUUUCACAGUUAUGUGGGGAUAAACUGGUUUAUCAAAAAAUUAAUACCACUUCUAUUUUUUAAUGCUUUUAAUUUAGUCACUAAAUUUAGGCAGAGAAGACAAUAAAUUAAUGAGAAAUGAUAUUUGUACAUCCAUUUUAUGAUAAUUUUUGUACAAUCUUCUCUCUCAUACUUACAUUAUCUUUUUGGGAGGGAGCUUGGACUAUGCUAAUGUCAGUUUUUAUAUUAGUAGUAUGUGAAACUUCCAUCGUAUUGUUUGAUUCAAUUUAUGUGGUUCUGAAAAUGUUGUUAAGAAAUUCUCAUGCGUGGUAUCCUGCUUUAUGAUUUAAAAAUUUAAAAAAACCAAAAAUCAGUGUCAGAUUUCGAAAAAGUUACUCCCUUCACCCAAGUUAACCCUCCAAGGUCAAUGGGGAAGGCGACGGUGCAGGGAAGGAAUUAGUGAAUAAAAUUGUUAGGUCAUGUAUUGUUUUCGAUCAAAUCGCAAAAACAAAACAUCAACUUUGGCCUGAAGCAUUGAACCCGCUUCCUGAAAUUUAUUUCAGAUUAGACGACUAUCCAUCAAAUUGUUUAGUCCAAAAGCUCUUGAACCGAUCUAUCACCUUGCAUCUAAAAGAGAUUGCAAUCCAAAAAAAUAAAAUUGUAAUAAUAAAAAAUGAGAUUAAAAUAAUCUUUUUGAUAAUUGAAUGUGUGAGGUGAUGUCAUUAUAGAAUUUGAAUGCAUGAAUAUCACAAAAACAUCUCAAAGUGCUUUUUGUUAGUAAUUUUAUGGAUGAAAUUGACUAAUGAAAAACAUUUUCAAGAACCAAGCAAAAAAGAAAGACUUUUGAAGACCAAACUCAAUAAAAAAAAUAUGUAUUUCAAUAAUUUUUAUUAUUUCGAUACAUUUUUUUAUUUGAAUCAGCAACAUUUAUUAGGCUCGGCUAGCACAAGAUGCACUUAACCGGCGAAGGAGGAAAAAGAGUACAAAUAGGCACUACAAAACAGACCGCAGCGCACUACCAAAGACAAACUUGAUAAAAAAAAACCCCUAAGAGCCCAAUUCCAACCAAAGGAGGACUCAAACAACAGCAUAAAAACAACAAGAACGAAAUACAAGUGGAACGCUUAAACAACAAAAAACGCAGGCUGCCAAACACACACAACCACCAACAACAGAAAACAGCUCCCAAAAAAACCAGUCAACAAAAGCUAUCUCACAAGGCACGCCAAAGGGUUCCAACACCAUUCGUAGAAAAGGAAAAGCAGCGCUUUUUAAACGACUUAGACACCACCGCCACGACAAAACUUUAAUAUCAUCCACCAACUCCAUCACCCCCGUCUCCUUAGCAUUGAAAAUUUUAUCAUUCCUUGCCUUUCAUAUCACCUAAAUAGUCGCAUGCCAAAUGAGUCUAAGUCCUCGAAUGAUCUUCUUGUUCGACGAAACCGCAUUCCAACACGCCCAAUGGAUGAACAAGUUUUGAGGAAUGAUGAACAUAAAACCCACCCAAUGGAGAAGUUCUAACCAAACACCUCUCGCAACCUCACAAUGCAUAAAAAGAUGAUUCGUGCUUUCGUUAUCCCUUCCACACAAAACACAACUCAAAUUAAUAUCUGGAGAAAGGGCGUUCCUUCUACGAAGGUUGACACGGGUAGGGAUACGGUCUAACAACAUCUUCCACGAAAGAGCCUGAUAGUACUCAAAAGUAAUAUAUUUCAUGUGUUAAUUUAGGCAUUUUAGUGACUUGUUUUGCAAGUUAUCUAAGGAAAAACUACCAUUUAUCGUAAUUUUGCCAUUUAUGCUUUACAUGUCUUACUCUACUCAAUUUGUGCAGGAAAUGACAAGCAAGGACCAAGAAACCACUUUAUGAGCCAAGCCAAACUCGCUUAAGCGAGAAAGUUCCAGAGAGCAGCCAUCCAUCUCGCUUCUGAGCCGUGGUUUUAUUUCCGAUGCGUUGUUUGGUGAGAACUAUUUAACUCUCGCCCUUGACGAGCUUGUUUGUAUCUUUUCUAUGAUUUAUCUGAAACAUAAUGAUACUUCCACACUUCCAAAGUAACCAACAAAAUAAAUAAUGAAGUUUUAAUCAUAUCCAAUCAUUUUCAAUGGGAAUUAUCUAUUCUUUGUCUUAGCUUACCCAUAAUUUCUACUCUUCUUCAUAUUCUCUUUUAUUUUACUAAAUUCAAAAUCUUUUAAUCCUUUUCUUCUUUCUAUUAGAUUGGAACUAAGUCUUCUACUCUAUGAUACUACUUCUCUUAGAUCAAAAUUCGCUACAUCCCUAUUUAGAUUUGAACUAGCUGGCCCAUUUCAUUCUUUUCUGUUAUACUCCUUCUCUUAACUUGGAAAAAAGCAUCGCCUGCUAUCCUACUUUCUACUUCUCUUCAUGCUCCUAUUAGAAAUUUGAACUAAGUCAUGCAUAUUUUAUUCAUUCUCCUUCUACCGUUCAUCCAUCCCAUGAAGUGUAAAAUGUAGUUGCUGACAUUAUAGGCUAUAGAGAAAUAAUAAGAGCUCACUUAUAUAAAUGAGUUGCACAUAACCACAUAUUAUGUGUAUAUGCACCAAAUAAUAGUUGGAAAAUAGAUAAUAUCGAUUAAAUUGUAUAACCAAAUUUUGUCUCAAAAUAUGAACUCUUAAGUUGUUAUUAAUUACUUUUCAAAUGCCGCAAAUGUAUAAUAAUUUUGACACAUAAAAUCGGAAAGACAGAACCUGAGCGUUAAUUCUCUCUUUUGAAUGAAGUGUUAUGUUACAUAGAAUUAUAGAGUUCUGGUGUCGCCGACUGUGAUCCAGAAGUAUGUCAUUAAUGCACUGCCUGACGCCAACCUUGAUCCUGCAUAAGAUACGCAAAGUCUAGCUUGCAAUUAUUAGCACAACCAUCUCUCAAGAACACCUCUGGAACUAUAAUACAAAUGUGAUAUUCACUAUAGACAAAGCGAAAACAGUAGAAUAUUUAAAUUGAAUGGAAGUUAGUGUCACAGAAAAAGCUUCUACUUGCUGCCAGAGAAGAAACAAAUUUGCAGUAGAGAUAUAUAGUGGAUUUCUAAAUUCUUCUAACUAGUAACUUUAUCCAUAAGAGCAACAUUGUUAAUUUUGACCAUGGGGUAUCGUGAUUUAUAGUCUUGUAAAUCCAACAUCAUUCAAUGAUAUAAUUUGUAAAUUUAUUCGAACUGAAAGACAUGUAUAAAAGGCUAACUUGUGUAGUAAUGAUUUAAAUCAUUGAUGGUGUGACUGUCAUCAACUAACGAAUUUGGUUAAACACGCAUUAAUAUCGAUAAUAUAUAACCUGGAGGAUGUUGUUCUGGUUGCGCGGCGCUUCAUGUGUUUUGAGCGUUAAUCUGAGUUCCUGUAUUUUAGAAAUUGAUAUAUUUUCCUAGCAUUCAAAAGUUGUUAGAUAAUAUAGAUAAUAUCAUCUAUAAACAAGGAAGUCGUUUACACAAUACAGAGGUUGUUUUAGUUUAUCAUUUAAAACUGAAGUGUAUCUAAAAUUGUGCAAAUUUGAUCAAGGACUUGUGGAACUGAUUUAGCUCUAGAUCGAUAGCGACGAGACUGACAUGAAAGCGUUUUACAGGAAAUUCGUUACACCAAGGGUUUUAAUAAAUCAAUCAAACAAUUUCAAAAUUAUGCAAAACAACAGUAGACAGUAGCAAAACUGACAGUUUGCUAUGAGAAGGCUCUCAAGGUUAGUAUUUACAGUCAUAAGCGGGUUGGAUAAACCCUAUAUUCUAGGCAUUUAGUUACUUUGAUAAGAAUAACUAUCAGGGGUUCUAGCUGCUUUUAGAAUGUGCUCAUUCGUGAUGCCUGUAAAGGUGCCACCUUUGCUUGCUUCGAGCCUUUAGAAGGGUGCUUAUGAUCAUCUGAGUCCUUAUGAAGGACAUUGUGUCCUUUAUCCGGGUUUUCCCAGUCCAUUAUGAAAUUAAAGAAAGAAAAAAGGCUUCAAUCAGUCCUUUUCCCAGUCCUUUAUCCUCCUUUGCUUGCUUCGACCCUUUAGAAGGGUGCUUAUGUCACCAGGUACUCAUUUUUUUUGUAUUCCAAAUAUUAAAUUUGUCAUAUAAAAUCUUAUGCUUGGUUUCAUUUCAUGUAUCAGAAUUUAAAGAGGACAUUCUUGUGCAAAUGUGCUGACUCUAGCAUACCAAAGUCUUGGAGUAGUUUAUGGUGACCUAAGUACUUCUCCUCUUUAUGUAUACAAGACCUCAUUCUCAGGGAAAUUGAGCCUUAAAGAAGAUGAUGAAGAAAUUUUUGGGGUGCUUUCAUUUAUCUUUUGGAUAUUUACUAUUAUUGCUCUCUUCAAAUAUGUUUUCAUUGUCAUGUCUGCUGAUGAUGAUGGAGAAGGUACAGUCUUCAAUCAUUGAUGUUGCUUAAGUCUGUCUUCUCAAUUAUAAGAUAUCAUUUUGGAAUAAAUAAAAGGACUAAUAUUGUCUCUCUUAAUUAUAUAUUAGGAUAAAUAGUUAAAUCUUUGUUAGAAUCAAUUGCAGGAGGCACCUUUGCAUUAUACUCACUUCUUUGCAGACAUGCAAGACUAAGCAUUUUGCCUAAUCAGCAACCAACAGAUGAGAAUUUAUCUGCUUAUUCCACAGAAGAUUCUGCCGAUACAUGGCAAUCUUCUCUUUUGAAGCUGUUCUUUGAAAAGCAUCCUAGAUUCCAGAAAGGACUGUUAAUAUUUGUUCUGUUGGGAACUUGCAUGACGAUUGGUGAUGGUGUGAUUACUCCUGCAAUAUCAGGUAGUUUGAUCGGGAGCAGCCCCUCUCAGCUUCUAUUAUUAUGUUUACUUGAUACUUCCUGUACGCUUUGACCUUAAUAUCAGUUCCAGAUUACUUGUUGAACAAGUAUACAGGAGUUUGGUCUUAUAAAAAACAGAAUUGUUUAAAUAUGUGUUUUGUCCCUGUAAAUAGAGCGAAUUUCGGUUUUAGUCCCUAUAAAUACCUUAUUGUUUUCUUUUCAUCCUUACAAAAUCAUGUAUUUGUUUUUUGUCCGUAGUGUCAACUUUCUGUUUAAAAUAACUAACGUGGAAAAUACAAGUAAAUGACAUCCGUUCCAUGUAGAAUAAUUAUGCCACGUGUCAACACCACCACAUCGGGUGAUAGUGAGACAUCAACACUAAUGAACACGUCAUUAAAAACGAGGAGAUAGACAUGGCAUAUCAGCUCCAUGUGUCCGUGCUGAUGUUCAUGCCAGUCGUAGCUCACUAUCAUCCAAUGUGGUUUUGACAUGUGGCAUUGUCAUCCUACGUGGAAAUGAUGGUGUGUACCUUUGUUUACACCAUUAGCUUUUUUAAACCGAAAGUUUAUGCCAGGGACCAAAAAUGAAAACAUUUGAUUUUGCAAGGACUAACCGUAAUAUUUUAAACCAAAAAGAAUUAUGCUAUCCAUCAUUAGCAAUGUCACAGAUACACACAUGCAUUCCUUAAAUUGUAGCUUUAGUUGAUUACUAAUUUCUAGAAUUCAUUAUUUCUCACUAAUGUGAUUAGACAAAAGCACAUUUCACAAUAAAUAAUUGCACUGUUUACCGAAAAUAUACUGUUUCAAGAGUUGAUCCUUAUACAAAGUUCUGUACCAGUUUGUCCGUUUCGGUCUAUGACCAUCCUUUUCGUGUCUCAUUUCAGUAUUUUCAGCAGUUUUAGGAGUUCAAGUUAAGAUCAACCAACUACAUGACAGUAAGCCAACCAAACUUCUAUCAUUACCAUUAUGUCUAUUCAAUGCAUAAUUUUAAAACUCUACCUUAUGUAUUGCGCAGAUUAUGUUGUUAUAGUCUCAUGUAUCAUUUUAGUUGGCCUUUUCUCCAUUCAGCAUCAUGGAACACAUAGAGUUGCCUUCAUGUUUGCCCCAGUUGUUGCAGCAUGGCUUUUGUGCAUCAGUGGUAUUGGUAUAUACAAUAUAUUCCGAUGGAACCGACAAGUAUAUCGUGCACUUUCUCCAGUCUAUAUGUUCAGGUUUCUCAAAACAACUGGCAUUGAAGGAUGGUUGUCAUUAAGUGGAGUGGUGCUUUAGAUAACAGGUAACUAUAAGUUAGUCAAUUUUAUUAUAGUUGUCUAGCUUGUGUUAUUUGAACAACCAAAUUCAGACAAUUUUCGCAAUAACUUUUUAAGUGGUUAACACAGUUCAUGUAAGUGGCUAAUUGCGUUCAGUAGGUGCUUAAUGGACCAUAAGUGAAAACUCAUUGACCAUCAAUUUAACUUCAUCCCAAACUUGUGGUUGAUGAAUUUAUGUUGGUGGUUAAUAAGUUUGGACACCUGAUAUAUCUAUUAAUCAUCUACUAAACAUAAUUAAUCACCUAUUUGAACUAAGUUGAACACUUAAAAAGUCACGAAAAUUGUCUAAAUUUGGUUGUACAACAAAUCAUUUCUCGAUCAGCUACUGUCUUAGGUGUGGAGACAAUGUACGCUGACAUGGGUCAUUUUUCUGCACUCUCAAUAAAGGUAAAUUAAAAGUAUGCAAUAAUUAACAAUGUUGAUCCAAGUAUAUUAGUCUAGCAUACAAAAAUGAAAUCUGAUUUAACAGUUACACGUAAAUCUCAGAUAGCUUUCACAUGUUUAGUAUAUCCCUGCCUGAUUUUGGCAUAUAUGGGUGAGGCUGCAUUUCUCUCUAAGCACCAUUAUGACAUUGAGAGAAGUUUCUACAAAGCCAUACCAGGCAAGAAUUCACUUUAAUAAACAACAAAUAUAUCGAUAUUAUUUAUGAUAACUCUAGGGUAACAGUGCUACUAUUUUUCUGCAGAAGCUGUAUUUUGGCCAGUUUUUAUAGUGGCCACUUUUGAUGCUGUUGUAGGAAGUCAAGCAGUGAUUUCUGCAACUUUUUCCAUCAUAAGCCAAUGUUGUGCUUUAAAUUGUUUUCGAGUCAAGAUUGUUCAUACUUCUAGCAAAAUAUAUGGACAGAUAUAUGUUCCAGAAGUCAAUUGGAUAUUAAUGUGCCUUUGUUUAGCUGUUACAAUUGGCCUUUGGGAUCCAAACAUGAUGGGUCAUGCAUAUGGUAUGAUAUCCUUUUCCAUUGUGUUUAGAUUAAACAAUCAUUUUUAUCCUAAAAUGUGUGAGGUGCUGUCACAUUAGUCUCUAACGUAUCCAAUUAUAAAAAUAAAAUGAAAAACUGCAUAAAUGCGUCUUUCAGUAGUCCGUUUCUUUAUCAAAUGUAUCUUUCAUUAAUUAGUUUAGUUCUCAAAUGUGUCUUCUUGUAGUCAAUUUGGUCCAUAAAAUUACGAACAAAAGACAUGUUUGGGACAUUUUUGUAAUUCGGAUACAAUCAUUACUAUAGUGAUUACGCCUCACACAUUUAGGGAAAAUGACAGUUUAUUCUUAUGUUUACUCAUUAUGAUAUAUGAAGUAUGGAAAACUAAAUUUAAACUACUUUUCUUGGUUUGCAGGGUUGGCUAUCACCACUGUUAUGUUUGUGACAACAUGUUUGAUGACACUAGUAAUUAUAAUGGUUUGGAAACAAGGGAUAAUAAAAGCACUUACAUGUUUCCUAUUGUUUGGAUCUAUUGAACUUCUUUACAUCUCAGCUUCUGUCUGCAAAGUCGCUGAAGGAGGAUGGAUCCCAAUUUUGCUCUCUUUCAUUUUUAUGGCCAUAAUGUUCACAUGGAAUUAUGGAACAAUGAAGAAACACCAAUUUGAUGUUGAAAACAAGGUCUCCAUGAGCAAGAUGGUCCGUGUCCCGGGAAUCGGUCUCAUUUUCAGUAAUCUUGCUUCCGGUAUCCCGGCUAUUUUCGGUCAUUUUAUUACAAAUUUACCAGCAUCCCAUCAGGUUUUAGUUUUCGUAUGUGCUAAAUCAGUCCAAGUCCCUUAUGUCAGUGAAAAUGAAAGAUUAGUCAUCAGCAGGAUUGGUCCGAAGGAAUUCUACAUGUUUCGGUGCAUUGUUCGAUACGGAUACAAUGACAUGCAACAAGAGAAUUACAAUUUUGAAAUUAAAUUGGUAUCUGCAAUAAUACAAUUUAUAGAAAUAGAAGACAGUGUUCCAGAACAAACAAAUGAAUUGACUAUAGAUGAUGGGAGAAACUUAAAUAUGGAAGAUCUUGGUCAGUCACAACACACCUUGAAAUUGAAUUGGUCACAUUCUGAAAAGAAUUGUUUACCAUUUUCAUGCGAUGGCCAACAAGUUCAAGACGAGUCCUAUAAAUUUGAGUCAUUUCAGAUUUUAAGAGCCAAAGAAUUAGGUGUUACUUAUAUAGUUGGGUAUUCCUAUGCAGAGGCAAAAAAAUCAUCUACCAUUUUAAAGAAAUUUGGAAUAGAUGUUGUUUAUGCUUUUCUAAGCAAAAAUUGCAGAGAACCUGAUAUUAUGUUGGAAGUAGCUCAUACUUCUUUGCCAGAAGUUGGUAUGGUUUACCAUGUAUAACUCUAACCUUAUACUGAGGUAUUUGCAUAGAAGAGAAUAGAUAUAGUUUGUAAAUGUUGGUCAUAAACAUUAACAAUGACUUCUAGUAUCUAAGAAUGUAUCAAAAAAUGUUGAUCAUUAGGUUGUAGGUUUUUCAUCAUUGAUCUCUAAAGAGUCUUUGAUUCUGUAUCUAAGAAUGUAAUUCAAAAAGUAGAAUAUAUAUACUUGUACUUUUGUUGAAAUGUAGCUACUGAGAUAUGACACAAUCAUUAAAAUACUUCAUUUAUAUUUACUGAGAUGUUAUUUCCUUUAUUUUCUUCUAUGUAAAUGUAAAUAUUCUCUAUUUUCAUGUAUAUAUUUAUGAUGUAAUUAGAUUGUAAGGUUAUUCUCAAGUUAACCCUUUCAUGAAAAUUUCAUCUGAUCUUGUUGUAUAAAAAUUGUAUUUAUAGUGAACUUAAUGUUCCCUUACUAAUGGCUAACAUAACCAGCACCUGACAUUAUAGAAACUAUAGUUCAGAAUUAGCAAAAAAGGUAAUUAAUACGAUGAUGUUUGAAAAAGAAAAUCAAUUGUCAUUUAAAAAACUUGCCUGCACUCCCAAAGUAGCCAUCAACUAUAUUAUUUGGAAUAUUGCAGUGAUUUGAAUAUACAUGGUCUUAAUAUACAAAUGAUUCUAUAUUAUUCGGCAUACUGUAUUGGAAUCAAUGUUGGUCAAAAGUUUCUUCUUCUUCAGUCUAAUUAAUAUAUAAUUUAGGAAUGUGUUCUAUCUUGUCCCAGUCCUCUCCUAUUCCCUCCUUACAUCGCUCCGUUACAGCUGGGCAACCAUAAAUUGCCAGAACCUCAAGUGAUGUGAGGUGCAGAAUACCUUCUGGCAAGCAUCUCAAUCUUUCACAGAAAGCAAUCUCCAUGGUUCGAAGGGAUCGUAGAGUAGACCUUCAAAAAGUUGUUCCGGUAAUGAAUCAAGCUCACAACAGUGAUGGAUACCAAGAUGCUCCAAAGCUAGGUUGAAGGCUUCACUUGGCAAUGCAUUCACUUAAUUUGGGAAAUCAGAUAUUUCCAAAGUUCGAAGACAGGUCAGGUUUUUCAACAUCCCUUUUGGAAAAUAUGUCACAUCUUCACGUCUAUUAAUCUCAAGGGUAGUUAGGCCGUAGAAACUAGAGAUUGACUCCAGUAACUCAUUGUUACAUCCAUCUACAAUGAGUUCUUUAAAAGAUGAAAGGCAUGGCAACCCAAGUUUAAGGCAACCAACAAUGGCCAACUUAGAAAGGUGGGGAAAAAUCUCCCAUUUCCACUUUCAACAACCGUUCCAAGUUAGGUAAAUUACCUAAAAGCAGAUCCUCCAGAGAUGGGAAACCCCUGACCUCCACACCAUCGCUUGAUUCUUCAUCAUUCACAUACUGCACAUUAUCCAUAUACCAUAAUUGGAGUUUUCUGAGAGAUGGUAAUUUAGCAAGUGAUGGAAGCCAAACACAGUUUCUGCAAUAAGAAAGUGUAAGAACAGCUAAAGUACUUUGAAUUUGGAUCCAACAUGGGAGGUGCAAUCCGUCAUAGCCAUGUAUUUUCAAAAUCUUAAGAUUUGAGUGAGAUUGAAGCACUUCAAGUACUUCCUCGGUGCUAGUAGCAGGUGUCUUGGCUUUACACCUGAUGUUCCAUGAGAAGCAUAUUUCCUGAAGUUCUUUUUUAUCUUGCAAAUUUGCUUCUCGAGCUUCAGACAAACUUCCAACAUUUUCUAGACAUGUAAUGCUUAGUUUUCCUCCUAGCUUUAGAUCAUGUAAUUCUGCCAAGCUGUAUCCAAUCUCUAAACUGGAUCCUGAAUCCUGCCCAAUCUAGAGCCCCCAAUGUUUAGAACUUUCUCACCAAUUUUUUCCCUCCCCUUUGUACAUAACCAGGAAAAUUAUAUUUAAUUAGCCAAGUCAUGUUCAUUUUGCCUUCCACAAUUCAUUUGUGUGUGUGAUUUCGCAAGAUUUGAAAGUGUUUUCUUCCUGAAUUUUGGUUAUUCUUUUCGUAAGUCUUCCUGAAUUUUGUUAAUUUCAUGAUUAUGAUGAUCGUUAUAUGGCAAAUAAGACUUCUGAUGUUACUAGUCGCAAAGCUUUAUACUUCAUAAACUUCACCAUAUCCAUGGUGGAAUCAGAGAAAAUGCAGAAGCUUAAGGAAGAAAAAAGAGAUAAAAUCUCUAGAUUCAUUCAACUGAGAUGAGUUUGUUACAACAUAGCUAUAUAUAGCUGAAUUUAAUCCUAACUAACUGUAACUAACUAUUAGCUAGGAUUAGAAUCAUAGAGAGCUAGUACAUAGUAAAGUUUUAGGGAAUUGCAAGAUAACUUGCUGCGCAAGCUAUCUGUUAGUAGAAAUAAUCACACAGUUUAAUAAUAGUCAUGAUGAUAGAUUGCUUCCUGAUUUUUAUUUCUGAUCUGAGAACUAUCCAUCAAUAUUUUUAGCUCCAGCCGGGGAACAAAUCUAUCACCUUGUCUUCGAAAGAGGUUGAAUUCCAAAAACUACUGGUUUGUUUUUCUUCUGCACAAUUGGAUUUUGAUUUAAAUAUAAACUUCAGAAAACAAAGAUCUCAAGCUAACUGUACUAUUGUGAAAAAUAAACAUCAAAUGGAAAAAUAAGGCUCUAAGAAAAAUUCUUCAGACUGCUCCCUCUCCCCAUGCAAUUACAACUCAGCAGAAGUAUGUAAAGGUUGUGGGGCUGAAGUGUCACUAUUUACAUAAUUUCAUUACCUUUUUUCUUGAUUGAUUUAAAUAUUACAACACAUGACUGAGAUUAUUUAAGUUAGCGUAGCUCUCAAGAUGAGAAAAACCAAAUAAAUUGUGCAUAACCAUGUAUUCUUUGGUGGUUUGAUUGUAAUAAUUUGGACAAGAGGCUAAAGAGCAUUAGUAACAUCUUUGUCUGGUUACAUUUCUGUUGACAAGUCAAUUUUAUAAAUGACAAAAAAAUCUUGUAGUCACUGAUUUUAGCUUCCACAAGGCAAUAAUUUGAUCAAGUGUGAAUUCAAAAAAGUAUUUGUCCCUUUUAAAUAAAUAAUGUAUGUGCAUUGUUUGGAACAACCAAGGCACAAAAUGUAUGAUUAUAAGCUCACCAACAAAAAAACUACACUAGAGGAAUAGGAAAAAGAUUAAUACAAAGAAUCCCUUAUGUCAGCGACAUUAGUACUAGUAGAUAUUGUAAAAUCAGCAACAUCUGUUGUUAGUUGGAAUUAAGUUCGGCUCAUGUGUUGGAUCCUCUCCUUUCAUGCCAACCAUAUCAAUUUUAUAUUCCCUUUUCUCAUUAUUUGAUGGACUAAUAGCUUGUUUACUUCCUUCUUUCGAGAUUAAUUUUUCAGGCCAAAAUACAUUCAGUCCCUUGCCUGUAUGUAUGACCAAAAUACACUCAAUUCCUUUAUAAAAUCUUACCAUACAUCUACAAUAUACUAUUUUUUUUCUUUGCUAUAAGGAUGGAAUUUUAAAUAUGUUUGGUGAAAAAAAAAAUCUGUGAAGGUAAUUAGCAUUAAAAAGUCCUGAAAACCAACUCCAACCACAAGGAGGUGGAGAGAGUAUUACUUUGUUGAAGCAUGCAAUAAAAAGAAAGCCGACUAAAGUUUCGAUAUGUAUGUUAAAAUAAAUCAGUUUGACGAGGCAGAAAAUUCAUGUUAAAGUAUUCACGAAUAUAUGAACUAUGCCUUACCUUGAAAUUAACCAUAACCAGCAAAGAGCUAUCAGUUAAAGGAAAUUGAAAUCUUCAGCAGCAAACUUCAUUCCUAAUAUUGCUUAACAACGUCGCCAAUUCUGGCUAUUGGUGUUUCCCCUGAUCGAACAUGAAACUCCGACUCUUUCAUAAAUGUAUUAUUAUACAUGAAACGGCUAUUUCAUAAAUGAAGGACCAUCACCUGCAUAUUUUCAUGGAUAUAUGUAUUUAAAUUGAAAUAAAGUAAUGUAUGUUAAAAUUAAUACUAUAGGAAUUGAAGAUCUAUACCAUAUCAAUACCAGCAUUAACGAAAGUGGAGACGCGAUAACGAUAAUAUGACCAAUAAGGUUGACAUCUUGAUUUCGCUCAGAUAAAAAUCACAAGUUUCACAUAAAUCAAUUCAAGGAUGUCUUCUUCUUCAUUCCAAUAAACAAUUUUUGGAAUAUGUGGUAUCUUGUCACAUUCCUCUCCUGUUCUCUCCUUACACUCCUUUAAUUUUGGGCAACCACGGAUAUUCAUAAACUCAAGUGAAAUGAGGUGUUAAAUACCUUCUGGCAAGGAUCUGAAUUCGUCGCAUUCAACAAUAUCCAUAUUUCAAAGAGAAAUAAAUGGCACCUGUUCAGUUUCACAGGAGAUGCUCUCUGUAAGUGAUAUGAAUAAUGCUAAUAUACUAAAAUAUAUGGAGUUAAAAGAUGCAAAAUUCACUUUGUUAUCAAAUAAAACAGUUGAUUUCUUGUUCAUAUCAUCCAAAAUCAUCACCUCUUGCUUUCAGGAGAAGCAGUGGACACAACUUGAUCAAUUAACAUUGUCCAACACAAACAUGGUUGGGAUUCAGCAGCAUUCCACAACAUAUCUGACACAAACAUAAUGAAAUAACAUGAGUGUCUCGACUAGAAAAAAUGAAAUACAAUGACACCAUCCUAACAAAGAGCUGUAUACACACCUGCAGAUUUUCUGUCUUUGGUUGGUAACAUGCCAAGCAUCACAGUGCUCCCUUUGGUAAGCAAGAAUGACAAACACAGGGCCUCAUUUCUCACAAUAUGCAUUGGUUGUGACCUGAAUUUUAACUAAAUCAAAAACUCAAUAAAAAAGACAGAAAUACACAAUAAUAACCCGCUGAGUGCCCAAAAACAUGAGCCUUUUUCCAACCUAAAUGACCCAACAAAGUAAUUGUAUCUUUUGCCAUGAUCUUUGUUCUGCACCCAACAAUCAUUCACCAAUUCACCAAUAUUCAAAACUCAACCUAAUUGUAUCUUUUGCCAUGAGCUUUGUUCUGCACCCAACAAUCAUUCACCAAUAUUCAAAUUUCCAUUUCACUCUUUGUAAAUUAUUCAAAUUAAUGUAGCACCAACACUUCAUAUUGAUGAGAUAUGUUUAGACACUGAUAUGACACCAAGUCGUAUAAUUACAUUCAAAAACUUUCAUUUCUUCAAAUUAUUAUUAAAAUUAAGCAAAGAGGAAUCCAAACAAUAUAUCAUUCAAACAAACAAUAUAAAGCAAAUAAAUAAAAAGACCAAUAAAAAAACUUAAGAAUAAAAAUGGAGAAAACCUUAUCAUCAGACUUUCUAUUGUGCACUGAGCUCCGACCCGAACCAUGCCGUCUUCAUCAUUAGGUACGUUUGUUCCUGUUAAUCCCUUUAUUUGUGGACCCCACCCUUGUGUCAAAGGCAAUCCUAACCAUUCAAUUCAAUCUCCACGAAAUCAGCAAAAUUAAAAAUGAAAUCAAAAAUCAAAAAGGAAAUGAAAAAAAAAAUUAAACUAUGAUGAAGAAAAUUACCUGAAUUAGAAUAUUAGAACAUAUCUUUUGGGGGAUACCUUCAAAAGAACUCAACAGAAAAGCCUGCAAAUCAUCCUAUAAUGAGAAUAUAUAACGAUUUUUGAAUAAAAUUCGAGUCAAUUAAUCACUUAAAAUCCAAACAAAAGAAGGGUGUAUUUUAGGGGGAAAUAGAGAUCCUACCAGUAAAAUAGAUUUUUGCGAUGGUGAUUGAGGCAGAUAAGGGUAAACGUCUCUGCUUCUUAAACAUCAAUCAACUCUAUUCUUGGAAUAUGAGCUAUCUUGUCCCAAUCCUCCCCUGUUCCCUCUUUGCAUCGUUCCUUUAAUGUUGGGCAAUCAAUGAUAGACAGAAGCUCAAGAGAAGUGAGGUGUCGAAUACCCUCCGGCAAGCAUCGCAAUCCUCUACAACCCCAAAUCAGUAGAGCUCGAAGGGAUUGAAGACCUUCCCAGUUUUGCUCUGGUAAGGACUCCAAUUGUGGUAAAAAAGUUACAAACAGGGAUUGAAGAGAAGUAAGGUUUUUGAACAUCUCCUCUGGUAAGGAUGUUAUUCCUUCACCACUAUUUAGGGUAAGCUGAGUAAGACCACGGAAGGUAGAGAUUGACCUCAGUAACUCAUUGUUACGUCCAUCGACACCGAGGUCUUUAAGAGAUGGAAGACAUGGCAGUCCAAGUUUAGGGCAUUUCCAGAUAUCCAAACUAGAAAGACAAGGAAACAUCUCCCCUCUUUCCACUUUCAAUAACCCCUCUAUGUUUGGUAACCCAUGUAAUUCGAGUACCUCCAAAGAUGGGAAAGCCCUCACCUCCAUACCAUCCUCAGAUUCAUCAUCAUCCAAGUAUUUCAGAUUAUUCAUACCAUAUACUCUAAGUUUUUUUAGAGAUGGUAGUUUACCAAAUAACGGAAGCCGCACAAUUUUGUUGCAAUCCCCAAGUUUAAGAGAAAUUAAAUUACUAAGAAUAAUUAUCCAACUUGGUAACGAUAAUCCGUCAUAGCAAUUUAUAUCCAAGCACUUGAGAUUUGAGUGAGGUUGAAGCUCUUCGAGUAAUUGCUCAGAUCUAAUUAUAGAUUCCUGUUGCGAUAUCCACGACAAGCAUAAUUCAUGAAGGUCUUUUUUACCCUUCAAAUUAGCCGCUUCAGCUUCAGAUAAACUACCAACAUUGUUUAAUCCUUUGAUACUCAGUUUUCCACCGAGGUUUAGAUCAUGUAACUCUGUCAAGCUAUUUCCUUUCUCUAAACUAACAAUGUACACACUUAAUGUUCUUAGACAAGUUAAUUUUCCAAUGUUGGGAAACAUUCGAAAUAAAGAUCCACAUCCUUCAAUGACUAUAUGUCUAAGAUUUUGUAAGCAAACCAAGCGUUUUGGGAGACAACUCAGUUCACGACAAUAUUUUAUUUUCAAGAUUUCCAGUUUUUGUAAGUUGUAAAUUGAGUUAGGCAACUUUUUUAUAUCAAGAGAACAAAGUUCCAAAUACCUUAAAUGAAUUAAACUCCAUACUGGGCCUUGUAGAGAGGAUGUGCUUAAAACUCGAAGAGAGCUGUUUAAUGGGAAGUGAUCAUGUUUUUUUGGAAUAUAAUUCUCCAAGUCAAACAAUGUUCGUAAGGAUUCAACUUUUUUGAAGGCACCCUCAUCGAAUGAUAACAAAUUUUCAGAGUUAAAACUUAUGUGGUGUGUGUUUUUUGUCAAAUUAGUCAUGUUUGCAUUCUCCAAAUACAUACAUUCUUUCCCCGUUACUGAUUGAGCGAGAUCAUGGACAAGAUCAUGCAUCUUGAAAGAAAUGUCUCCAAAAUAUUCAUCCAUCUUGCUAUCUUGAAAGAAUGAUUUUUGGUACAAUUCCUUCCAAACCAUUUUUCCAACAUCUUCAACGUCCAAAUUACCCAUAGAUGAAAUAAAUUCAUUAGCCAUCCAAAGUCGAAUCAAUUCUUCUUUUAGGAUUUCUCUAUCCUUGGGAAAUAUAGCACAAAAAGAGAAACAUUGCUUUAGGGUUGGUGUUAAAUAAAAGUAACUCAAUCUCAAAGCGGGCAAAAUAGAAUUUUCUUGUGGUAAAGCCCAAAGCUCACUGUCUUUAAUAUCAAGCCAUUCCUUUUCUUCAUUCCUUGAGCUCAUCAAACCCCCCAAUGCUUUUGCUGCAAGAGGCAAUCCAUUACAUUUCUUUACUAUCUCCUUUCCAAUUUCCACAAACUUUGUAUGCUCUUUGUAACGUCUAAAUGCAUGUUGUUUGAACAACAACCAACAGUCACUAUCAGAGAGACCAGACAAACGGUGAGUUUCCCAUGUUCCCAUGAUUGUUGCAACAUCCUCAUCACGAGUGGACACUAAAAUGGAACUACCUUUUGAUCCACACGACAAAACAGAUUUCAAAUGAUCCCAUCUAUCUUGUGUUAACCCAAAUUCCAAUUGUUCAUUUUGAUUCCACACAUCAUCCAAAAUCAGCAAAUAUAUUUUCCCUUGCAACAAUCCUUGCACCUUUCUUUCCAUUACAUCUAAAUCAAAGUCAGCACACUUCUCUCUUGUGAUAGAUUCUAUAAUAGAACACAAAAUCCUUUUGACCGAGAAAGUCUCAGAAACACAAACCCAAAUUUUUUUAUCAAAAUUGCGACUCACCCUAACAUCAUUGUAGAUCAAUUGAACAAGAGUUGUUUUUCCAAUACCACCUAAACCAACAACGGGAUAGACAGAAAUAAAGUCAGAGUCCUUCGCAAGGGUAAGAAGAAACUGGACAAUCUUUUCUUUAUCAUCGUCUCUUCCUAACACUUUUGUUUCAAGAGGGGUGGAGCUGGUUUGGCGCCCUUCAGCAGCUUGAUCUGGGCUUUCCCUAAGAGUUACACCCGUAUGGAGAGAAAACUUGUUCUUACGUUCAGCAAUACGAUCCAACCUCCCUGUAAUCUCUUUCAACCUGUUACCGAUCUUAUGGCGAAACUUUAAAGAUGUGAAUUUUCUCAGUCGACUAGACUUGAUCGAACACUCAUCAAGGAUGUCAUCGAGCACAUAAACAGCAUCUUUGAGGUCUUGUAGCCAUACCUUAAUGAAGUUGUCUUUGACUUGUCUCUUUUCAGCAUCUUCAAGAACAGCCUUGAUGUCAACUAAGGUGGUUGAUAGGUUUUCAGCCUUUGACUUGAUUCCAGAAAUAGUAGAAAAUUCAUUUUGAAGCAGAGAUAUCAAAUUCUCAAACACAACUCCAAGAAAGGGAUCAGCCAUUUUUUGAGAAAAAAAAGAGUUGAAAAGAUAAGAAAAAUGAGAAAUUGGUUUAGAUUGAAAGAGUAAUGAAGUAAACAGAAUGAAGAACUUUGAAAAUAAAUGCAAUGGUAGUAGAAAGUUAGGUGCUGAAUGGUAGUAGUAAUUUUUAAAAUAAAUGAUUUGGAGGAAGCUUCAAUGUACGUUUACCUCUUAAUAUAAAAAAAUAAUAGAAAAAAUUCACUUCAACAUGCGUAAUCCAUAAACAUAAUACUCCCACCGUCCCAAUUUAAUUGAACCAUUUAUUCAUUUCACACUUAUUAAGAAAAAUAUAUUAACGAAGAAGACAGAAAAAUAGUUUUGAGUGUUUUUGUUAAUUAUUGGUCCAUUAUUCUUUAUCAUAAAUGUAAAGUAGAAUAGAUUAUAUCGGAAGUGAUGAAAGUAAAAUAUUAAUUAGAGUUAUAAUUAAAAAAAAGUAAUUAAUAUUGUAUUUAAAAGUGAAAUGACUCAGUUGUUUUGAGAUACUUUUUAUUGAAAAUAACUCAGUUAUUAUGGAAGAAGAAGUAGAAUUUUACGGUGACAGGAAAAAAAACAAGUACCAAAACCGAAACCAUGUCAGAAGCAAUAAGACAAGCGGUGCCUCGGUGGUAGAUUCAUGAACUUGUAAAUUCUUUAUUCAAGAUGUGACCGACCACUUUAACCAAUAAGAUGUGGCCGAUAGAAUAAUGAUCCCUACACAGCACGAUAGCCAGUUGUUUAUGGGUCCAACUCCAACACUUGUUUUAUUGGUGAAAAAAAUAAGUCUUAUCUAUUAUUCUAAUGUUUAGAUAAAAUAAUAUUCCAUCUAUCCCGUGAGUUUUUUUUUUAAGAAAUCUAUCCCGUAAGUUUGAUUCAGUUAGUAAAGGAUAUUGCGUAUUAUAUGUAAGAAUCGGAGUUCGAAACACCAUACUUUUUCACAUUUAAAAUCUAUUAACUUAACUCUAACCACCAAACUACAUAACAAAAAAAAAACAAUAUUAAAAACCAUCUAACUGUCAAAAUUAUAGUUUCAAUUUAAUCAUUUAAUUCAAAAUUAUACUUCUUAUGAUAUCUAUGUUAAGGAGUGGGUAAACACAUCGUAGGCCCCUAUGUUUAAUAGCAGUUUUGAUGGUUGAUCAAUAAACACAUAAAUAUUGCUCACUUUAUUGAAAAAAGCCGAUCCAGAGUUACGAUCUGAUCGUAUUUUACACACAAAAACAAUUGAUCAGAAGUUACGACACGGUUGGAAGCAAAAUUGAGGAGUCUAUCGAACAACUUUAUGAAUUUUAUAUGGCACACAACAGAAGUGGAAAAAGGCACAUGUAACUUAUAAUUUGGUGUUUUCUUUGUUGGAUUUUCAAUUGGACAACUACGAAACAUGGUCACAAGAAGCAUACCUCAUGUUGCAACCGCAGUAAUGCUUUUUGGCUUUGAGCCAACAAUUGCAUAUGGCAAAUGGAUUUGGAGGAGUCAAUUGGGUUUUGAUGGAAAAGAAAAAGGAAAAAAUGUUUGGAUGAUAUGAAAUUGUAUGCUCUAUAUAAUUGGAUUGAGGUGUGUCAUGUGGACCCUAUAGUUUCUUUACAAUUCUAGAGAUAUUUUUAACAUGCAUUAUUAAUAAAUGUCAUUGCUACUUGCAUGCCCAUCACUUGAGAUUGGAUGGCAAACUUAUCCCUAUAGUAAUAAAAAGAUACACAUAGAUAUAUCUUAUCAUAAAAAUAUAAACUACAAUGACCUAAUGUGUGGUACAUUAACACUUCCUGAAAGUAAAUGUUGUAGUUAUUGUUUAUAUUAAACCUUAUCUAUCAAUUUUGAAAUAAUUAUUUUGUCAGGUGAUAUUGGAGGAAAUUUUGUACCUCUAUUUUUAUUAAGAUCACAAAUUCAUUAUUUUUUUCUUUCUAAUAAAUAGUUUUCUUACCAUCAAAUAAGGAAAAAUGUUUUGUUUGAUCCGUGAAACAUUUUUUUUUUAAAGAACAAUACAUAAUACCAAGAGAUGGAUAAGUACAACACAAACAUCAAGCUAUGUCGUGAGUAAUCAAGUUCUGCUAAUAAUAAAAGUGUCUCCAAUAUUUUUGCCCUACAACAUAAGUACAACACAAACACAAAACUCAUGUAUUGAUACAAAAAUCUGCAUAAUUAUGAAGAAUUGCAGGAGCAACCAAGUUCUUUGCUUAUAAUAAAACGAUAGAAAAAAAUAUCCAAGUUAAACUAACCAUUCAUAUUGACAUUACUAACUAAAACGUUGAAUGAUUCAAUUACAACACCUCUUGGCCCGCCUCGGAUCAGCCAUAACAAUCUCAGCAGCUUUCUCAUUAGCCAUAAUUUUCUUCAACUCUGAAGCAUUCUUCUUAGUCUAAGACAUCAAAUUCCGACUAAGACUUAUCAAAUCCUUCUUCCUCUGAAGCAUUAUUCUCGGUCUAAGACAUCAAAAUUAGUUCAAAUCAGCAAAAAGGUAAUAUAAAUCCAAGUAAAAUAAGAACAGUAAAAAUUCACAGUAACAGAGAAGUUAUAAAAGUAAUUACAAUUCCCAUAUUGUACGCAAGCAUUGUCUCCUCAUACUCCUCCUUGAACUUCUCAAACUUAGCAAUGAAUCGAGCCUUAUCCUAAAAUACACAUAAAUCACAAAAACAUUUAAAAACAAAACACGAACUAAGAUUUAUAUCAAUUUUCUUCAGUGAAACAUAGGUGAAAUUCUCACAGCAUCCUAACCUAUUUCAACCUUUAUAUCCAUUCCAUUCCUUUCCACCAACUUUCCCAACCUAAUUCAAAUUCACCGUAAAUCACGUUAGAAAACUCAAUAACAUUCAAAAUUUCCUAAAAAUCAAAUUCAACAGUUAAACAAUAUUGCUUCACAAAACUCACCACGACAAUGGAUUUGUUGCUUGGAUUCUCUUUUCUUAAACCUCUCUCUGAAUUCAGACCUAAAAAUCACAAAACAAAAAUCAUCAGAAUCAAUGGAACUUCAGCAUGUUGCAAAUCAGACACAAAUUUGUAUGGCUGAUUCCAGUACAGGUUUCACUAUAAGAAUUUGUAUACGAUCACUCUAUCAGACACAAAUCAGAUCGAAAUUAUAACUCAACAUCAACAAAAUCUACACCAGAAUCAAGAUUAUCACCAAUGUUAUAGUGAAAACCUAGAAAAAGACCAGAUGUAAUAAGUUUUAUUCUAAAAAACACCAUUGUUUGUUCAAUAAAACAACAAAAUACAAAAUUCACUUAAUUUAACGUUAAAUCAAAUAAACAUAAAUAAACCCAGAUAUUUAAUUCUAAAAUUCACAAAUUAGCAUACAACAAAUUGAAUACCUGGGAAAAUGGAAUUAGGUCAGCAAAAUCAAUGAAUUUUCAUGGGUUAAAACCAACAAAUCUAGAUGUAGAGGAUUUUGAGAUCUGGAUUUGAUGUGAGAUGAAUAUGUUCAUUCUCAACUCACAGUCUUGUGGUGGUUUACGUAAGGUGGCUGGAGCUAGAGGCAAUGACGAUGAAGAAGAGCAGAGCAUCGACUGAGAGAGGAGAAGAGAAGAGCAGUGACCGGAAGAGAAUGAGAGAGAAGAGUCACGUUUUUUUUUUUUGUUAAGAGGCAUUGAGCGUGUGAAAUAUUUGUCAUUUACAAUGUUAAGAGGCAUUGAGCGUUUUUUUUUUUUUUUUUGCAUUGGAACAUUUGUCAUUUACAAUGUUACUUUUAACUUUACAUGGGAACUGCUUUAUUAUACACACAGUUGCACAACCAUAUAAAUGUGCAUGGAAAAUAUACGCACGUUUACAGCUUUGCCAUUGAAAAUGUGCAUCCGAAAUAUGAAAUGCUUUAAAUGUUCUUCAUGUUUGAAUGGUGUACCGCCCUAGCAUAUAGUGAAGAGAUUUGAAAUUUGAAAAUGGCAUUAAAUGUGAUAUUAUUAGCAAAAGUUUCCCGCUCUAAAUCUAGGUUUAGGGUUUUAGAGGUGUUGUGUGCAUUGUACAUUAGGAUUAGAUAAUACUAGGACUAUUACCCGUGCUAACGUCCGGGACAUUAAAAAUGGAGAAGCUAAAAAAGUUCCGAUAUUAUUCAUUACAUAAAAAAUAAAAUAAAUAAACAUAAAAAGUAUUUAAGAGCAUACAAAAUAUUGGGUCACACAUUUUCGAAUAUCUCCUUAUAAACUACAUUUGAAGUGGUGCUGAUACAAUCCCAUUGUCAUCCGUUAAUAAUUUCUUCAGACCAUCCCUUGAUGUCACACGUGAUACUGCAACAUAUAGCUGCCCAUGUGAGACGACCGACUGUGGAAGAUAGAUGCCAACUUGCUAUAGAUCCAAACAGCUGCAACUGCCAACCCUAUAGAUGCUAGCCAGCAGCUGAAACCAACAACUAAAAUGCCAACAACACCAUGACAGCACCCUGAAACCACCAAAAACCUGCACAACACCACCAGAAAAGCUCCCAAAAUGACAGCAGAACCCGCACAAAAUAAAGGAAUUAAACGUAAGGAAUGUUGAAUAACUAAAUAUACUUCGCAAUCAUAUUUUCAAUUUAUAAACACAGAGCGAAGUGGAAAGCACAAUCAUUAAAGGUCAGCAUCAAUGGACAUAUUGGUGUGUUUGAAAAAAAAAUAAACAUAUGAUUUUAAAGUAUCAAUCAAUUUAUUAACAACAUAAUACAUGAUGGUAAAAUCUAUUUAAAUAUCAUCAAUUCACUUACAAACAAACCAAAAAUGUAAUGGAAUAACAAAGUUAGGGAAAAGUUACAGGAACAACGAUUUAGGAUAUAUAUAGUAGCAUCUUCAACACAUAUGGCUGAUACGAUGCCGCAGACGACAACGGCCAAGGUGAUGUCGGAAUCGAGAGCAUUGGUGAAGGGCGACGACAGGAGAGAGCUGCGGCAACGGAGAGAGCGGCAACGACAGAGAAUUUUGUUUGAAUGUCUGAGAGUGAGGUGGAAGAUGAACAACUCAAAGGGCGAAGAGAUUUUUUUUGAGUAAAAGCAAUCUGAAUUCCAACACAUAAAGAAGGAAUAAUGAGAGUGGAGAGAAGAGAACUUUAAAAUGAAGGAGAAAGAGGUGGACAUCGAUAAGUGUGGAGUCAAUUUGGGAAUUGGAGGAUAAUUAAUGAGUCAAAACUUGGAAAAGUGCAUAGGAAAUAUACAUCAAAUUUGAAAAUUUGACUCAGAUUAGAUCAAAGGAUGAGAUGCAUGCUUAGCCAAAUGAUGAGAUCCAACGGCCUCCCUUGUUUUGGAGCCAAAACCAUUUAGGUUUAGGGUUUGCAAUUUCAUUAGCAAUGUUAACAAAGAUUAGAUAUAAGCAUGACUAGGACUAUUACCCGUGCUAACGCCCGGGACAUUAAAAAUGGAAAAGUUAAAAAUGUUCCGAUAUUAUUCAUUACAUAAAAAAUAAAAUAAAUAAACAUAAAAAGUAUUUAAGGGCAUACAAAAUAUUGGGUCACACAUUUUCGAAUAUCUCCUUAUAAACUACAUUUGAAGUGGUCCUUAUACAAUCCCCAUUGUCAUCCGUUAAUAAUAUCUUCAGACCAUCCCUUGAUGUAACACGUGAUAUUGCAACAUAUAGCUGCCCAUGUGAGAAGACCGGUUGUGGAAGAUAGAUGCCAACUUACUUAAGUGAUUGUCCCUGACUUUUGUUUAUAGUCAUUGCAAAACACAAAGCUAUAGGAAACUGUAUGCGUUGAAAUUUGAAAGGAAUUCUGGUAUCAGAUGGUUCAAUGACAAUCUCGGUAUGUAGACCUUCUCUCCAACAUUGCUUCCUGAUAUUACCCUCCCUUCAAUAACAUAUCUUCCCAUCUUAGUGACUAUUAGUCGAGUACCAUUACACAAACCUGCUGUUAUGUCCAAAUUUCUCAACAACAUAAUAGGAACUCCAACUUUCAAAGUAAUCUUGUGAUUAGGAAGACCCGAUGAAUUGAUUGUGUUCAAGAAUUCUGGUAUGUGAAUAUCAUCUGGCCUAUUGACUGAUGCGAUAUCUGCUAUUACAGAAUCACAACUCAAAUAUGUCCUUUCUUCGCCGGGAAUGAGAGACAAAACAUAGUUAUUAACCUCAUCAACAAUUGUAUUUUUAGGAGUCAAUAUUGCUUUAUCUUGAAAAAAAGAUGUAUCAUGCAUAUUGAGUAAUAUUGACGGAUAGAUGCAGUCAACAAUUGAAGCAAUAUGAUCACUUGCGCUAUUAACGAGUAGAUCAUCUGGGAUUUCCACCUGAAUGCUAUCAUCUCCAAUCCCUAAUACCCAUUUGGCGAAUUCUGUUCUUUCUUGUACCUCAUUUGGUGAACAUCCAUGCAAAAGUCUCAUAUUCGUUGUUAAUGUUAAUACCUCACAAUGUCGCCAAAGUUUUGACGAAUUAAUACUUGUAUAAACGACAUCUGGUCUGGUGCCUUUAGGAACGACUGGUAGAAUCUGUCGAAAAUCUCCACCAAGAACCACAACUUUACCACCAAAAGGAAUGUCUGUCCUCCUGUUAUUAUGAUCUUUAAGGACAUCCCUUAAGGUGCGAUCAAGAGCUUCAAAGCAAUGUUUGUGCAUCAUAGGUGCUUCGUCCCAGAUGAUUAGUUUUGCUCGUAUAAUCAAUUGUGCCAACGGACUUUUAGGCUUUAUAGUGCAAGUCGAACAUUCGUCCACAUUGAAAGGAAUGCAAAACCUUGAGUGUGCUGUUCUUCCGCCAGGGAUAAGCAAUGCGGCAAUACCGCUGGAUGCAACUGUCAACACAAUUUCACCCUUCGAAUGCAAUGCUGAUGACAAAGCUCUCCAAAUAAAUGUUUUACCUACAUUAAGGAACCUAAUUAGAUUAAUAUCAUACACUUGCCAAUAUAUAUUUCUCACCGGAAUUUAACAAAAUAAUCAAUUGUUGUAAACUACUAUAUUUCAAGUAUAGAUCUGAUGCAAAAUUGUUGUACUAUUAUGCUAAUAUAUACCAUCAAAAUAAAAAUUUGAUAAAACAAUAAUUUUCCCAGCCAAAGACUACAAUAAUGAUUAUUACAAAUUUUUUUGAAUGUUAUUAAAACGAUAUAUUUUAAUAGGCAGCAAUGUGAAAUUUAAAAAACCAAGAUGAGCUUCGAAAACAAACACGUGAUAGAUAUUAUUGAAGUAGCAAUAAACGUCACAAGAAAGGGGGGGUUUGAAUUGUGACCCUUUUAAAAAUUAUUCCUGAAACUUAAUUUUAGAUUUAUAUACUCAAGAAUAAUCUUGGUGAAUGUUAGUUUAUCAAGAUUAGAGUAUAUAACAAUUAAUUGAAUUAGAACAGAACGUUCUGAAGAAUGAUUAUAAACAGAAUGAGAAAAAUGAAGUUAAGUUAAAAGAUUAUUUUAGCAAGGACCAGAAUGUUCUGGAGAUUAAUAAAAUAAUGUGUGUGUGUUGUGUAACUUUAAAUAAAGAGAGAGAGAGAGAGAGAGAGAGAGAGAGAGAGAGAGAGAGAGAGAGAGAGAGAGAGAGAGAGAGAGAGAGAGAGAGAGAGAGAGAGAGAGAGAAAUAACACAGGAGAGUUAUCCUGAUUCACCAAACCCGGCUACUUCCAGUCCCCACACCUCGUGUGAGAUUAUCCACUAUAGUUUUCUUGCUAACAGAAACUUCUGACUAGCACUACAAUUUCUUGAUCACACCAGAUCAGUCCAUAACACCUGUAUUAUCAACCUCAGCAGGCUUAUACAAUUCUUUGCACACUAGCAAAAGAAAGGUUGGAAUUUUCUAUCUCAAAACUAUUAAGCCCAAUAGACUUUGAGAAAUACAACACACUUUGUAUGAAGAGAUUUGUUUGGAUAGAAUAAAUACUCAAAUCUUUGUUUGAGUUUUACAAGAGGCAAAUUCAAGAGAGAUGAUCCAAGAGAUAUAGUGAGAGAGCUUGGAAUUUGCUUUGUAUGUGAAGAGCUUUGUUUGUAGUGAUGAUUUUCACUUUGAGAGAUAUUAGCUUUCAAAACUCUUGCUUAUGACCUUCAAAGGCCCUUGUAUUUAUAGGUGAGGAGUGUCUUGGUGACCAAGGGAGAAAAUAGAGCUGUUGGACACGUUUUUGAUAGCUGUCCAAAGUCUCAUUUGAUUUCUCUUUUCUUCUUAAAAAUAGCCAGAACGUUCUCAGAAUGUUCUUUCUGAUUUGCCUGACUUUGAAAGCACUGUUGCUUUGCUUGCGCAUGAGAUAACCAGCUGUAAUGAGCUGUAUAACUUGCAGCCCACUUCUGAUGAUGUCAUGUCCUUUUGCUCUAGUGAUGUCAUGCUUAAGUAAGCCAUGUGAUCUUAUCCAUUUAAUGGGCUUUACUUUUCCAAAUGGGCUUAAAGCUUUUCUUAUGGCCCAAUAGACAUAAUCAGCCAAGCUUUCUUGCUGUGCAGACUUGUUCGCUUUUGAUGUACUGUUCCUUUUUCAUCGUUUUCGCCAGAACGUUCUCAUUUCAUUCUCAUGAAACAAAUUCUCACAAAAACGAAUUAGUAGAUAACAAGAUUAAAUAAAUAUAAUAUGUUUGUAAUCUUUAAAACAUCAAAUAAGGAUUUUGUCUCAACAAUCUCCCCCUUUUUGAUGAUGACAAACAUUUAUAAUUUAUUUUGAUUUUGAUUUUGAGUUUUUGAAAAAUUUGUUAAAAACUCCCCCUCAAUUUUAGCAACCAAAAUUUUGUGCCAUUUUGAGAGUUUUCCAGAAUUUGUUUAUGGACAAUUGAGUUUGAUAAUUUUAUCAAAGAACUCCCCCUCAAUUCAUGCAUUCAAGAUUUAAUAUGCAAAAUGAGAAUAUAGAACAUAAACAACAUAAUUCAUAAAUCAUGAAGAUCAUUACAAGGUAUCAAACCUAGCAUUUCAAAACAUCAAAAAGCAUUGUUCAUAUGCGCACAUACUAGCAGCAAUUUGAUCCUUAGUUAAUCAUGAUCAAAAGACAUAAACAGAGAAAUAAAAACAGAGUUUUUUUUAAACAUCAAAAUACUUAAACAUAAACAGCAGCAUAGUGAUCUAUUCUUCCCUAGAUCCUAACUGUUUUCCUGGUCCUCCUAACUCAUAAUCCCCUAAAUCAUCUCCCCCUUUGUCAUCAUGAAAAGGGGCAGCAGCAGCAGUAGGUGGAAUGGUUGGAGAAGAAGCAUCAGAUGAUGAAGAGAUAGUAGGCAUGAACAUGGGAUACAUAGGAACUGGGAAUGGGUUUUGUUCUGGUCUAGCAAACUCAUUCUUGUCACUUAUGGAGUCCUUCCACUCCUGACAGAGACUCUCACGCGUCUUUGUUCUUUUGCCUUUCCUUNNNNNNNNNNNNNNNNNNNNNNNNNNNNNNNNNNNNNNNNNNNNNNNNNNGAAGAGACUUAAGGGAAUCCAUUUGGACAGAUGAAUCAAAAGCUUGUGGAGCAAAUAAUUUGUCCACUGAAUCACAUUGAAACAAAGCAGAAUAAUCAUGCUUUUGAGGAGAGAUAAACAAUUUUGAAGGUUUUGUGAUUAUGGUUUUUUCAGUGAAACUUUGAAGAAUUUCUGAAGCUUUGACUUUUGACAGAGAAGCAUGAUUGCCAAAGUUUUCAAGCAGUUCCUGAUCUUCCUCCAUCACAGGAGAACGUUCUGAAGAACGUUCUGGAGGAUUGCAGUGUUCAUCAGAAGCAUUUUAUGGAACUGGAUUCUGCAGAUCAGGCCCAUCUUCCCUCUUUCUUUUGAGGUCAGAAGGAGGCUCAUCAACAGGUUCCUGCUUCAUGUGACUCAGAUUUUUUGGAGUAAAUUGAGAAUACUCAAAAACAGAUUUUUCACCUUCAAAAGGAAUAUGAUUCUUAAUGAAGAUUUUGGUAAGAGCCAUUCCAUAAGGAAGACAAGAUUUUUUGUUACGAGACUGAAUAACAUUGAUCAUGUUAUGAAUAAUGAUAUGAGGCAGACUCAAUUUUUCUUUCAUUAAGAGAUGAUACAUGACCAAGAGAUCAUUUGAACUAACAUGUUGAAAAUUACCAUUUCUAGGCAAGACACAAUGUUGGCUUAUGCCAUUCAGCAUUUUUGGGGUUGGCAGAAGGUUCGAAGAAACAAACUCAGUGACAUUUGGUUUGAAAAGGAGUUUGUAAACAUUUUCAGAAUUGACUUCAAGUUUUUCAAACCAAUCAUCACCAAAGACAGUUUGACCAGAAUUUGAGAUACCAAGAGUAUCAGAGAUUACCUGUGGAGUGAGACGUAUCUCAACAUCCUUAAUCCUAGACACUAUUAAGCUUUCCUCAGGGUAUGCUUCUGCCAUGAAAUAGAAAGCUUGGACAAGCUUUGGGUAGUGUCUCUCACGAAGCUGUAGAAAUUUGGUCCAGCCUUGCUCAUCAACAUACUCCUUAAGAACGACUUUGUCUUUUUCCAGCUUGACAAAAUCAUAAUACCUUCCAAUUCCAAUUGACCUAUUUCCCCAUUUUUCUUUGAAAUCCUUUUUCAGAGAAGGAUCAAACAGAGGUACUCUCUUUCCUGUAGAGAUAUGAAUGAUCUUCUGUUUUGAAGGAUUUUUGGGCUUUGGAGAACAUUCUGGAGAAUAAUCUGAAGAGAGUUCAUAGUCUUUAUCAGAAAGACUUUCUGAAGAACGUUCUGGAGAACGUUCUGGUUGAGCAGUUUGCUUCUGCUUUCCUUUGUCCUUCACAGUUGGUUUAGGCUUUGGUUUUGGUACAGAAACCUUGAUAGGAGGUUUAGAGACCUUUUUGUUACUCUUAGGUUUGGGCUUAAGAGGAGAAGGAGUUUUCUCAGCCAAAGGGGUAGUUGGUUCAGUUUCUUCAUCUGAAUCAGAGAUUUCAUGUACAGUUGUGUCUACACUGUUGGUUUUCUUUGUUCCAACUGCAGAACGAAGCCUUUGAGAUUUUCUAGGUCUUGGAUUAGGAGCAGAUUUAGCCUUCUUGGGAGGCAACUUCCUUUUGGUCAUGUUCCUGAGAUGAGGAGCCAUUUUGUUCAAGUUUGGAGGUUCCUGAGGAGCGGUUGGUUGAUCUUCAACACCUACUCUUGGUGUGUUGAGAUUUAGGUUGACCGAAGUUGGUUGUGGUUCAACGUAGAGUACCAUCGCGAGAGGAUGGAAGGAUUCAGGGUCAGGGAUGAAAGGAAGUUCUUCGUCGUUUUUCAAUGGAGUUUUUUCUGGUGUGGUUUCGGUGGUGAGAUAACCAUCUUGCAUGAUUGGUUCUGUGGAGUUAUUGAGCGGAGAUUGUGGUGGAGUUUCGAAUGGAGUGGUUUCCUUGGUUGGUGAUGGAGUUGAAUCGAACAGAGGAGGAGAUGACAGCGGUUUUGUCACCGGAGGAGAUGGUGGAGAAGGAGAACGGGUUGGUGAAGGUGAAGGAGAAGAGUCAUCUGGGUUAGUGUUUCCGGUUCCUUUGGUUCUAGCCAUUUUGUGAUGAAGAAAAUGGUGGUUGAGAGAAGAAGAAGAGACGGUUUGAAGAAGGAAGAAAGUGGGAGUUUAGAGAGAAAAAGUGAAAACCGGUUUUGGGAGAAGGAAAAAGGUAAGAAGUGACUAUUAGUGGUUUAAUGAUGAGAGAGAGGACAAGAGCAUUAAUGAGCUGUAAGAGAUUUCUUGGUAAUUAAAUUUCUACCUAGAGAUUAGCUUAAAUAGAACUAAGCUGAAAGGACAAGGUUGAGGCGUGACCCUCAAGCCAGUCUUUGGGAGACAUUUUUCAAAGAAUGUUUUCAGAACAUUCUGAUGAAGAGAGACUCUUCCUAUUUUAAUCCUUUGCAAGGAUUUUGAAUAAUAUGCAAUUUUUCUUUAAUGAAAUUAAAGUGAUCCUCAACUAAAGGUUUAGUAAAGAUAUCAGCUAAUUGAUUUUUUGUAUCAACAAAAAUCAAUUCAAUUUCCUUUUUAUUGACAUGAUCCCUAAUGAAAUGAUGUUUUAUUUCAAUAUGUUUUGAUCUUGAAUGUUGAAUGGGAUUCUUUGAUAAAUUUAUUGCACUUGUAUUGUCACAAAAUACUGGAAUAUUUGUGUACCUUAUUGAGAAAUCUUCAAGUUGAUUUUUAAUCCAGAGAACUUGAGAACAACAGUUGGCUGCUGACACAUAUUCUGCUUCUGUAGUUGACAGAGCUAUAGUGUUCUGCUUUCUGCAUGACCAACUUAUGAGUGCAUUCCCAAGAAACUGACAUGCUCCACUUGUACUUUUUCUUUCUAUUCUGUCUCCAGCAUAGUCAUCAUCACAGUAUGCUAUAAGAUCAAAACAAGACCCUUUGCUAUACCAAAGGCCAAGAUCAGUAGUACCUACUAGAUAUCUGAAAAUUCUUUUUACAGCAGUUAAAUGAGAUUCCCUUGGAGAGGUUUGAAAACGUGCACAUAAACCAACAGCAAAAACAAUAUCUGGUCUGCUAGCAGUUAAGUACAACAGAGAUCCAAUCAUACCUCUGUAUUCUUUUUCAGAAAUGGUUUUUCCAUUUUCAUCCUUAUCUAAAUUAGAUGUUGGAUGCAUGGGAGUUGCCAUUAUUUUGGCUUCAUUCAUUUUAUAUUUUUUAAGAAGAUCUCUUAUAUAUUUUUCUUGACAAAUAAAAAUGCCAUUUGAUUCUUGCUUAAUUUGCAAGCCAAGAAAGAAUCUUAAUUCUCCCAUCAUACUCAUUUCGAAUUCACUUUGCAUGAGAUUUGAAAAAUCAUCACACAUUUUUUCAUUUGUUGAACCGAAUAUGAUAUCAUCAACAUAAAUUUGAACAAUUAAAAAAUUUGUUUUGUCAUUUUUUCUAAAAAGGGUUGUAUCAAUUUUUCCUCUAGAAAAAUCAUUUUUGAUUAAGAAUGGACUUAACCUUUCAUACCAAGCUCGAGGAGCUUGUUUAAGACCAUAUAGUGCUUUUGUGAGUUUAAACACAUGAUUAGGUUUGUUUGUGUUCUCAAAACCAGGAGGUUGAUGAACAUAAACUUCCUCAUUUAAAAAUCCAUUUAAAAAGGCACUUUUGACAUCCAUUUGAAAUAAUUUAAUAUUUUUAUGAGAUGCAUAUGCAAGAAGAAUUCUAAUUGCUUCUAACCUGGCUACCGGAGCAAAGGUUUCAUCGUAAUCAAUACCUUCUUGUUGAUUGUACCCUUGAGCUACCAAUCUAGCUUUGUUUCUGAUAACUUUUCCUUCUUCAUUUAGUUUAUUUCUAAAUACCCAUCUUGUUCCAAUGAUGGAUUGAUUUUGAGGUUUAGGAACAAGAUUCCAUACUUCAUUCUUUUCAAAUUGAGAGCGUUCUUCUUCCAUGGCUUUUACCCAUGAUUCUUCACAUAUUGCUUCUUGUAUAUUUUUUGGUUCAAUGUGAGAAAUCAUUGCCAUGUUGACAUCAUUAUUCAUAAAUGAUCGUCUUGUUCUUAUUCCAUCAGAUGUGUCUCCAACGAUUUGUUCAGGAGGAUGAUCACCGACGGUUUUCCAGCUUUUUGGAAGAACUUGAGAAGAAUGUUCUUGAGAAUCAUUACUUUCUUUUUGAGGAAUUUCUUCUUCAUCUUCUUUGUUGAUUAUCAAGUCAUCAAACUCAUCAAAAAUAACAUGCAUGCUUAUUUCCAUGGUUUGAUUUUUCAAAUUAUAAAUUCUAUAUCCUUUGGAGUUUGUUGCAUAUCCUAAGAAUAUUCCUUUAUCUGAUUUUGAAUCAAAUUUUCCUAGAUUUUCUUUAUCAUUUAAAAUAUAACAAUAACAUCCAAAAAUAUGAAAAUAUGAGAUGUUAGGUUUUAUAUUUUUCCAGAGUUCGUAUGGGGUUUUGUUUAAAACUUUUCUAAUUGAAACCCUGUUUAUGAUAUAACAAGAAGUAUUUAUGGCUUCAGCCCAAAAGUAUUUUUCUACAUUUGAUUCAUUUAACAUUGUUCUUGCCAUUUCUUGGAGUGUUCUAUUUUUUCUUUCAACAACUCCAUUUUGUUGUGGAGUUCUUGCACAUGAAAAAUUAUGAGAAAUUCCUUUUUCAUCAAAGAAGUUUUUAAAGAAAGCAUUUUCAAAUUCUCCUCCAUGAUCACUUCUUACUGAAAUGAUUUUUGAUUCUUUUUCAUUUUGAACUAAUGUGCAAAAAGUUUUGAAUGCUUCACAAGCUUCAUCUUUAUGUUUUAAAAAUAGAACCCAUGUAUAUCUGGAAAAAUCAUCAACUAUAACAAACCCAUAUUGUUUUCCACUUAGACUGGCGGUUUUAACAGGACCAAAUAGAUCUAUGUGAAGUAGUUCAAGAGGUCUCUUAGUUGAAACAAAAUCAUUUGUUUUAAAACUGCUUUUAACUUGUUUACCUCUUGUACAAGCUUCGCAUAUUCUAUCUUUUUCAAAAUCAAUUUUUGGAAGUCCUCUUACAAGAUCCAGUUUGGCGAUUUUUGAAAUAGUUUUCAUACUUAUAUGUCCAGCUCUUUUGUGCCAAAUCCAUUUAUCUUUUUCAAGUGUCAUAAAACAUGUUUCUGCUGGAAUAUCAUCUAAGUAUAAAGCAUAUAGGUUUUUCUUUCUAGAAGCGGUAAAGAAAAUCUUACCUGAGGAUGUAUGUUUUACAAUACAUGUAUUAGGUUUGAAAAUAACUUCAAAGCCACUAUCACAUAAUUGACUUAUGCUUAGUAGAUUGUGUUUUAAACCUUCAACAUAUUGAACAUCCUCAAUUUUUGCAGAGUCUUUUUUACCAAUAAUACCUUUACCUUUAAUUUGUCCUUUGUCAUUAUUGCCAAAGGUUACUAGACCUCCUUCCUUUUUUGUGAAGGAGAUGAAGCAUUGUUUAUCCCCAGUCAUGUGUCUAGAACAACCACUGUCCAAGUACCAUGGCUUUGUUCUUGCAUCUUGUGAGGAUCCCUGCAUUUUGAGUUAGUGGUUCCUUAGGUACCCAUGAAGAUGUGGGUCCUUUGUGGUUAGUUUCUUUGGUCUCAAGAUGUUUAAUCUUGAGAAAACAGUUUAAUUCUAGAUGACCUAAUCUCUUACAAUAUGAGCAUUCUUUUCUUUUUAAUGAGAAAGAAUGUUCUGGAGAAUGUUCUGAGAUAGAUGGUUCUUCUUUAAUUUCUAGUUUUCUCUUUUUAUGAAAACAGACUGAUUCAUGAUGUCCCCUUUUAUUACAGAAAGAACAUUUUAGUUUUUGUGGUAUAAGAACCUUUUCAUAAAUUUGAUUAAAACCUAAACCAGUUUUGUCAAAUUCUGCCAUUUGUGAACCCACAAUUUUUUGAAAUGUUUCUGUUGAUUUUAUAAACUGUGAAAGAUCAUUUCUAAGUUCUUUGACUUCCUUUUUAAGAAUAACAUUUUCAUUUUUAGAAAUUUCAGGAAGUUUUGUUUUUCCAAAAGCUUUUAAUUUUUCAGCUGCUUGAAAAUAAGAAUCUUGUAGACUUUGAAUGAUUUUCUUUUGAUCAUUAUUCAAAGUUUGAAGUUUCUCUUUUUCUUCUUUUAACUCAGAAAUUUCUUUUUGUAAAGAGUGACAUUUGUUUGUUAAGAAAUUUGAGUCAAAUAAAAGACUAUCAAAUUUAUUUUCUAACUCUUUAUAUACUAGAGGUUGGUUGAUAAGAAUUACCUCUUCGUUUUCUGAAUCUGCCAUUAGAACCAUGUUGGCUUCAGUGUCUUCAUCUUUUGAUUCUUCAAGAUCAUCCCAUGUAAACAUUGAUUUUGAGUAGGGAGAUUUUUUCUGACUCUUUUUGUUUAAUGGACAUUCGUUUUUGUAAUGUCUUAAUUUGUUGCAUCCAAAGCAGGUUACUUGACUUUUGUCAACUUCUCCUUUUGAGUUAUCUUUCUUGUUAGGAAAGUAUUUCUUUAUUUGAUCUCUUCUUCUCAUCAUUCUUUGAAUCUUCUUUGUGAUGAGAGCUAGUUCGUCUUCUGCUUCACCUUGGAUGUUUUCUUCUUCAUUGGUUUCUUUAAUUUCUUCGCUUUGUGAAAAGACAUCUUCUUGUUCACUUUGAGAUGCUUUGAGAGCAACCAUCUUUCCUUUCCUUGAUGGUUUAUCAUCUUGCAGCAGCGUCUCAUGAGCUUUUAAUGACCCAAUGAGAUCUUCAAGAGCUAAAGAGUUUAAGUCUUUAGCUUGUGUGAUUGCAGUUACCAUGGGUCUCCAUGUGCUUGGAAGACAUCUUAAGAUUUUUCUUAUCCGAUCAUGAGUGGUAUAAGUUUUUCCAAGUGAUCUUAAUUCAUUCACAAUAGAUGUGAAUCUGGAGUACAUUUCAUCAAUGUUCUCAUCUUCGUUCAUUUCGAAGAUUUCAAAUUUUCUUACGCCAAUGUCUAUUCUUGUUUCUUUUACAUGGCUAGUUCCUUCAUGAUGAAUUUUUAGAGUGUCCCACACUUCUUUUGCAGUCACACAUUCAUCAACUCUUUCACUUUCUUCCAUGCUUAGUGCGCAUGAUAGAAAGAGUCGAGCUUUAGAGUUUAGAAGUACUUUUUCUUUAUCUUCUUUUGACCAUGAUGCUUCUGGUGUGAGUGUCUCCACCUUUGUUGUUGCAUCGGUUGUCAUAGGUAUGUGUUCUCCAUUUGUGAUUAUUUUCCACAUAUCCACAUCUUGGGAUCUAAGGAAUAGUUCCAUUUUUCCUUUCCAGAAAUAAUAGUUCUUUCCAUUGAAGAAUGGUGGUCUUGUGCAUGAUAGACCUUCUGGUAUAUACUUUUCUUUUGACAUUGCCUUCUUCCUGAAUCUUUUCCUCCAACACUUGUUAGGUGUUUUUGUAGAGCCCGAGCUCUGAUACCAAUUGAAGUAGCAAUAAACGUCACAAGAAAGGGGGGGGGGUUUGAAUUGUGACCCUUUUAAAAAUUAUUCCUGAAACUUAAUUUUAGAUUUAUAUACUCAAGAAUAAUCUUGGUGAAUGUUAGUUUAUCAAGAUUAGAGUAUAUAACAAUUAAUUGAAUUAGAAUAGAACGUUCUGAAGAAUGAUUAUAAACAGAAUGAGAAAAAUGAAGUUAAGUUAAAAGAUUAUUUUAGCAAGGACCAGAAUGUUCUGGAGAUUAAUAAAAUAAUGUGUGUGUGUUGUGUAACUUUAAAUAAAGAGAGAGAGAGAGAGAGAGAGAGAGAGAGAGAGAGAGAGAGAGAGAGAGAGAAAGAGAAAAAUAACACAGGAGAGUUAUCCUGGUUCACCAAACCCGGCUACUUCCAGUCCCCACACCUCGUGUGAGAUUAUCCACUAUAGUUUUCUUGCUAACAGAAACUUCUGACUAGCACUACAAUUUCUUGAUCACACCAGAUCAGUCCGUAACACCUGUAUUAUCAACCUCAGCAGGCUUAUACAAUUCUUUGCACACUAGCAAAAGAAAGGUUGGAAUUUUCUAUCUCAAAACUAUUAAGCCCAAUAGACUUUGAGAAAUACAACACACUUUGUAUGAAGAGAUUUGUUUGGAUAGAAUAAAUACUCAAAUCUUUGUUUGAGUUUUACAAGAGGCAAAUUCAAGAGAGAUGAUCCAAGAGAUAUAGUGAGAGAGCUUGGAAUUUGCUUUGUAUGUGAAGAGCUUUGUUUGUAGUGAUGAUUUUCACUUUGAGAGAUAUUAGCUUUCAAAACUCUUGCUUAUGACCUUCAAAGGCCCUUGUAUUUAUAGGUGAGGAGUGUCUUGGUGACCAAGGGAGAAAAUAGAGCUGUUGGACACGUUUUUGAUAGCUGUCCAAAGUCUCAUUUGAUUUCUCUUUUCUUCUUAAAAAUAGCCAGAACGUUCUCAGAAUGUUCUUUCUGAUUUGCCUGACUUUGAAAGCACUGUUGCUUUGCUUGCGCAUGAGAUAACCAGCUGUAAUGAGCUGUAUAACUUGCAGCCCACUUCUGAUGAUGUCAUGUCCUUUUGCUCUAGUGAUGUCAUGCUUAAGUAAGCCAUGUGAUCUUAUCCAUUUAAUGGGCUUUACUUUUCCAAAUGGGCUUAAAGCUUUUCUUAUGGCCCAAUAGACAUAAUCAGCCAAGCUUUCUUGCUGUGCAGACUUGUUCGCUUUUGAUGUACUGUUCCUUUUUCAUCGUUUUCGCCAGAACGUUCUCAUUUCAUUCUCAUGAAACAAAUUCUCACAAAAACGAAUUAGUAGAUAACAAGAUUAAAUAAAUAUAAUAUGUUUGUAAUCUUUAAAACAUCAAAUAAGGAUUUUGUCUCAACAAUCUCCCCCUUUUUGAUGAUGACAAACAUUUAUAAUUUAUUUUGAUUUUGAUUUUGAGUUUUUGAAAAAUUUGUUAAAAACUCCCCCUCAAGUUUAGCAACCAAAAUUUUGUGCCAUUUUGAGAGUUUUCCAGAAUUUGUUUAUGGACAAUUGAGUUUGAUAAUUUUAUCAAAGAACUCCCCCUCAAUUCAUGCAUUCAAGAUUUAAUAUGCAAAAUGAGAAUAUAGAACAUAAACAACAUAAUUCAUAAAUCAUGAAGAUCAUUACAAGGUAUCAAACCUAGCAUUUCAAAACAUCAAAAAGCAUUGUUCAUAUGCGCACAUACUAGCAGCAAUUUGAUCCUUAGUUAAUCAUGAUCAAAAGACAUAAACAGAGAAAUAAAAACAGAGUUUUUUUUAAACAUCAAAAUACUUAAACAUAAACAGCAGCAUAGUGAUCUAUUCUUCCCUAGAUCCUAACUGUUUUCCUGGUCCUCCUAACUCAUAAUCCCCUAAAUCAUCUCCCCCUUUGUCAUCAUGAAAAGGGGCAGCAGCAGCAGUAGGUGGAAUGGUUGGAGAAGAAGCAUCAGAUGAUGAAGAGAUAGUAGGCAUGAACAUGGGAUACAUAGGAACUGGGAAUGGGUUUUGUUCUGGUCUAGCAAACUCAUUCUUGUCACUUAUGGAGUCCUUCCACUUCCUUGACAGAGACAUUUCAAAAGUCAUCCAAGACAGAUAAUGCAAAAUUGCAUUGUUCCCUUCAAUUACCCUAGUCAAGUCACUGCGUGUCUUGCUGCAGUCUUUCUCAACCUUGGACCUUUUGGUUGGCCUUUCAUUGUGCUCAAAAAUCCUUUGCGCCAUUGAAGGAGAUUCAUUGAAUCUUGAAGGAAAGGAGAGAUUAGUUUGAAGAGACUUAAGGGAAUCCAUUUGGACAGAUGAAUCAAAAGCUUGUGGAGCAAAUAAUUUGUCCACUGAAUCACAUUGAAACAAAGCAGAAUAAUCAUGCUUUUGAGGAGAGAUAAACAAUUUUGAAGGUUUUGUGAUUAUGGUUUUUUCAGUGAAACUUUGAAGAAUUUCUGAAGCUUUGACUUUUGACAGAGAAGCAUGAUUGCCAAAGUUUUCAAGCAGUUCCUGAUCUUCCUCCAUCACAGGAGAACGUUCUGAAGAACGUUCUGGAGGAUUGCAGUGUUCAUCAGAAGCAUUUUAUGGAACUGGAUUCUGCAGAUCAGGCCCAUCUUCCCUCUUUCUUUUGAGGUCAGAAGGAGGCUCAUCAACAGGUUCCUGCUUCAUGUGACUCAGAUUUUUUGGAGUAAAUUGAGAAUACUCAAAAACAGAUUUUUCACCUUCAAAAGGAAUAUGAUUCUUAAUGAAGAUUUUGGUAAGAGCCAUUCCAUAAGGAAGACAAGAUUUUUUGUUACGAGACUGAAUAACAUUGAUCAUGUUAUGAAUAAUGAUAUGAGGCAGACUCAAUUUUUCUUUCAUUAAGAGAUGAUACAUGACCAAGAGAUCAUUUGAACUAACAUGUUGAAAAUUACCAUUUCUAGGCAAGACACAAUGUUGGCUUAUGCCAUUCAACAUUUUUGGGGUUGGCAGAAGGUUCGAAGACACAAACUCAGUGACAUUUGGUUUGAAAAGGAGUUUGUAAACAUUUUCAGAAUUGACUUCAAGUUUUUCAAACCAAUCAUCACCAAAGACAGUUUGACCAUAAUUUGAGAUACCAAGAGUAUCAGAGAUUACCUGUGGAGUGAGACGUAUCUCAACAUCCUUAAUCCUAGACACUAUUAAGCUUUCCUCAGGGUAUGCUUCUGCCAUGAAAUAGAAAGCUUGGACAAGCUUUGGGUAGUGUCUCUCACGAAGCUGUAGAAAUUUGGUCCAGCCUUGCUCAUCAACAUACUCCUUAAGAACGACUUUGUCUUUUUCCAGCUUGACAAAAUCAUAAUACCUUCCAAUUCCAAUUGACCUAUUUCCCCAUUUUUCUUUGAAAUCCUUUUUCAGAGAAGGAUCAAACAGAGGUACUCUCUUUCCUGUAGAGAUAUGAAUGAUCUUCUGUUUUGAAGGAUUUUUGGGCUUUGGAGAACAUUCUGGAGAAUAAUCUGAAGAGAGUUCAUAGUCUUUAUCAGAAAGACUUUCUGAAGAACGUUCUGGAGAACGUUCUGGUUGAGCAGUUUGCUUCUGCUUUCCUUUGUCCUUCACAGUUGGUUUAGGCUUUGGUUUUGGUACAGAAACCUUGAUAGGAGGUUUAGAGACCUUUUUGUUACUCUUAGGUUUGGGCUUAAGAGGAGAAGGAGUUUUCUCAGCCAAAGGGGUAGUUGGUUCAGUUUCUUCAUCUGAAUCAGAGAUUUCAUGUACAGUUGUGUCUACACUGUUGGUUUUCUUUGUUCCAACUGCAGAANNNNNNNNNNNNNNNNNNNNNNNNNNNNNNNNNNNNNNNNNNNNNNNNNNAAAUAAUAUAAAUCAAGUAGGGGAGGGGGUGGGUGGUGUGGGGUUAGAAGAAAAGAAUAUUUUUUUUUUUUUUUGUUUUUUUUUGAAAAAUUUUUGCCCCAUUAUAAAAAAACCCCUUGUUUUGUCUUUGAUUUGUUCUUUAUUUUUUUUUUUUUUUUUUUAAAAAGAAUUCUCCCCAUGAUAAAAAAAUGUUUUUUGGAGUGGAGGGAGGUUUUUUUUUAGAGUUUUUUUUUUUUUAAAGGACACUUUGGUUUUUGUUAAAGUUUUUAAAUUUUUGGGCAUCCCAAAACCAGGGUAACUUGACCUUUUUUCAAAUUUUUUCCUUUUGGAGUUUUUUUUUUUUUUUUAGGGAAAAGUAUUUUUUUUAUUUUGAUUUUUUUUUUUUCCAUCAAUUUUUGAAAUCUUUUUUUGGGAGAAGAGCUAUGUUCUUUUUUUGGCUUCCCCUUGGAUGUUUUUCUUUUUCAUUGGUUUCUUUAUUUCUUCGCUUUGUGAAAAGACAUCUUCUUGUUCACUUUGAGAUGCUUUGAGAGCAACCAUCUUUCCUUUCCUUGAUGGUUUAUCAUCUUGCAGCAGCGUCUCAUGAGCUUUUAAUGACCCAAUGAGAUCUUCAAGAGCUAAAGAGUUUAAGUCUUUAGCUUGUGUGAUUGCAGUUACCAUGGGUCUCCAUGUGCUUGGAAGACAUCUUAAGAUUUUUCUUAUCCGAUCAUGAGUGGUAUAAGUUUUUCCAAGUGAUCUUAAUUCAUUCACAAUAGAUGUGAAUCUGGAGUACAUUUCAUCAAUGUUCUCAUCUUCGUUCAUUUCGAAGAUUUCAAAUUUUCUUACGCCAAUGUCUAUUCUUGUUUCUUUUACAUGGCUAGUUCCUUCAUGAUGAAUUUUUAGAGUGUCCCACACUUCUUUUGCAGUCACACAUUCAUCAACUCUUUCACUUUCUUCCAUGCUUAGUGCGCAUGAUAGAAAGAGUCGAGCUUUAGAGUUUAGAAGUACUUUUUCUUUAUCUUCUUUUGACCAUGAUGCUUCUGGUGUGAGUGUCUCCACCUUUGUUGUUGCAUCGGUUGUCAUAGGUAUGUGUUCUCCAUUUGUGAUUAUUUUCCACAUAUCCACAUCUUGGGAUCUGAGGAAUAGUUCCAUUUUUCCUUUCCAGAAAUAAUAGUUCUUUCCAUUGAAGAAUGGUGGUCUUGUGCAUGAUAGACCUUCUGGUAUAUACUUUUCUUUUGACAUUGCCUUCUUCCUGAAUCUUUUCCUCCAACACUUGUUAGGUGUUUUUGUAGAGCCCGGGCUCUGAUACCAAUUGAAGUAGCAAUAAACGUCACAAGAAAGGGGGGGGGGUUUGAAUUGUGACCCUUUUAAAAAUUAUUCCUGAAACUUAAUUUUAGAUUUAUAUACUCAAGAAUAAUCUUGGUGAAUGUUAGUUUAUCAAGAUUAGAGUAUAUAACAAUUAAUUGAAUUAGAACAGAACGUUCUGAAGAAUGAUUAUAAACAGAAUGAGAAAAAUGAAGUUAAGUUAAAAGAUUAUUUUAGCAAGGACCAGAAUGUUCUGGAGAUUAAUAAAAUAAUGUGUGUGUGUUGUGUAACUUUAAAUAAAGAGAGAGAGAGAGAGAGAGAGAGAGAGAGAGAGAGAGAAAAAUAACACAGGAGAGUUAUCCUGGUUCACCAAACCCGGCUACUUCCAGUCCCCACACCUCGUGUGAGAUUAUCCACUAUAGUUUUCUUGCUAACAGAAACUUCUGACUAGCACUACAAUUUCUUGAUCACACCAGAUCAGUCCGUAACACCUGUAUUAUCAACCUCGGCAGGCUUAUACAAUUCUUUGCACACUAGCAAAAGAAAGGUUGGAAUUUUCUAUCUCAAAACUAUUAAGCCCAAUAGACUUUGAGAAAUACAACACACUUUGUAUGAAGAGAUUUGUUUGGAUAGAAUAAAUACUCAAAUCUUUGUUUGAGUUUUACAAGAGGCAAAUUCAAGAGAGAUGAUCCAAGAGAUAUAGUGAGAGAGCUUGGAAUUUGCUUUGUAUGUGAAGAGCUUUGUUUGUAGUGAUGAUUUUCACUUUGAGAGAUAUUAGCUUUCAAAACUCUUGCUUAUGACCUUCAAAGGCCCUUGUAUUUAUAGGUGAGGAGUGUCUUGGUGACCAAGGGAGAAAAUAGAGCUGUUGGACACGUUUUUGAUAGCUGUCCAAAGUCUCAUUUGAUUUCUCUUUUCUUCUUAAAAAUAGCCAGAACGUUCUCAGAAUGUUCUUUCUGAUUUGCCUGACUUUGAAAGCACUGUUGCUUUGCUUGCGCAUGAGAUAACCAGCUGUAAUGAGCUGUAUAACUUGCAGCCCACUUCUGAUGAUGUCAUGUCCUUUUGCUCUAGUGAUGUCAUGCUUAAGUAAGCCAUGUGAUCUUAUCCAUUUAAUGGGCUUUACUUUUCCAAAUGGGCUUAAAGCUUUUCUUAUGGCCCAAUAGACAUAAUCAGCCAAGCUUUCUUGCUGUGCAGACUUGUUCGCUUUUGAUGUACUGUUCCUUUUUCAUCGUUUUCGCCAGAACGUUCUCAUUUCAUUCUCAUGAAACAAAUUCUCACAAAAACGAAUUAGUAGAUAACAAGAUUAAAUAAAUAUAAUAUGUUUGUAAUCUUUAAAACAUCAAAUAAGGAUUUUGUCUCAACAAUUAUAACAUUACGAAUGAGGUUACAUUUUAAGAUGCAAGAUUGCCGUAAUUUAACAAUCCAAAGUGAGUAAUCAAACAGACACGCGAGACUAAUUAUCACAUUAUGAACGACGAUCAGAUUUUAAGAUGCAAGUAUCGCAUGUCUGUUUCAUUACUCACUACUUUUCCUUAUGUGUAAACUUUUCAAGGCUACGGUGACACCGCAAUUCAAAAUAUGCAAGAAGUACUGAAAUUUGGUCGAAACGAUAUAUUUUAAUAUGCAGCAAUGAUCUCAUUAAAAAAACCAAGACGAGCUUUGAAAACAAACAUGUGAUAGAUAUUAUAACAUUACGAAUGAGGAUACAUUUUAAGAUGCAAGAUUGCUGCAAUUUAACAAUCAAAAGUGAGUAAUGAAACAGACACGCGAGACUACUUAUCACAUUAUGAACGACGAUCAGAUUUUUUGAAUGCAGCAAUGCCGCUUUUUGAAAAAUCUGAUACACUACUUUUCCUUAUGUGUAAACUUAUAAAGGCUACGGUGACACCGCGAUUCAAAAUAUGCAAGAAGUACUGAAUAUUGGUUGAAACGAAAUAUUUUAUUAUGCAGCAAUGUGAAAUUUAAAAAAACCAAGAUGCAGCAAUGCCGCUUUCAAAAAACUCUAAUUGUGUUUUGAAACAAACACGUGAUAAUAUAUUCGACAGUAUAAUACAUUCCGUUGUAUUGAAACAUCUGGUGUAAAAUAAUAUCUACUAUGAUAAUAUAUAUUUUCAACGACUGACAACACAUUAUAUUAUGUAUAAAAGAAAUAACCUUUAAACAUACACGGAUACACGUUAAAGUAAAAGUAUGAAGGUUCCUCUGACACCGCAAUUCAAAAUAUUCGCACAGCAAAGAAAUUAGAUUCCGUCAACAAUGACAAAGUUGUGAGCAUUUAAGUAAGAAACUCAACAAAAAGUGAAAUGCAGCAAUGCUGCUUUCAAAAAACUCUAAUUGUGUUUUUCAUAGAAUCAUACUCCCUUAAAAUAGGUUUCAACGAAAGGUCAGACAUACCAGAUAAACUGUGCAAAGCUUUGCGAGUAUUCUCUGCAACAUCAUUAUCCAUUCUGUUUCGUUUGAUCCACCUUGACUACUAAUUAGCCGUAACAAUAAGUUUUUUUGCAGAGAGAACAGAUGUGUAAGUAUGAGCCUCCAAAUGAUAUGUAAACCAAUGAAUUACCGCAUAAAUAGACAUUAAUGCGAUUUGGGUAACAACAAUUCUGAAUUAAUGACAUGACUUUGAAGCUGAACAGACACGUCCAAACAUUGAAUCAAAAAGAUCGUGAAACAAAGCAUGGGAAAACACUAUAUGAAUCUCUUCCAUAAUGCAAUCAAAGAGAAGUAUAUGACAAUUAAUACUAAUCAUAUAUCUUAUCUGUAACAUCAGCAGAAAUGAUGUUUUUUUUUGUAUAUCUGAGCAUCUUGAUAACUAAAAACGCACAUCUGACCGCAAUAAACCUACCCAAUUAUCAUACUGCUGAUGGAUUAGCAAUUUAAGGAAACACAUCAAUCUAAAAAUAUAAUGAGAUCAUCUGAUUAUAAAGGUUGUUACAAUUUUAUUAGGUGCAUUUGACUAAUAUCAUUGCCGAUUCCAUCAUUAUUAUUUAUCUAUCAAGAAAACGCCGUUGCUACAAAGCAAUAUAUUAAUAACAACAACGCCGCGUGUAGCAUUGUAUUCGUCUGUACACAAUAGGAGGUGAAUACUGCAUCUUAAUUUGUUUAUUCAAUAAAGAAGUUGUGCCAUUACAGGGAUUAAAAAAGAAAAAAGCACCAUUGCAUUAUCGGAAUAACCCACACCUUUUGAAUUACAUAAGACUGAUUUUCUAUUUUGCCUACCAGAACUUGCAAUACUAAAAAUGCAAAAUUUAAAAGAAUCUAAUAUAGAGCAUUAUUCACUUCUAAACAUCACACCCUUCUUAAUGAAAAAAAGAAAAAAAAAAUGAUGCAUUCAAACAAAAUAUGAAGCAUAAGUCUGCCACGCCACCACUAAAACUCAUCCAAACGUUGCACAUUGUUAAGAAGAUCAGUUGCGAAUCACACGAAGGUAGAGAGUUGUGUUGCUUCCAGCCAUUGGAGCACCAAGAACUAAUCGGGAACCUUGGCGAAGCCUGCGUGCCAUAACCAAUCUCUUCCAGCCACCUCCGAUUAUGAAAUGAGGUCCGCCAUCAGUAGCAAACAUCAAAGUACAGCCCCACACAUUGCCAUUGUCAUCAAAGUAAAGCGAAUAAAGUAAGUUUGUUUACUGUCAAAUGCAUAUAAAUAUAAUUACUCACGUUAAUAAAGUUAAGCUCGACUGUGUAAGUUCUAUACUUGAUACGAAGAUCAUUGACAAUCCUUUCCAAUUCAGAAUUCGGAUUAGGGUUCAGAGGUGCUGUUAUAAAAAAACAACAAAAAAGAAACAUAAGUGAGUUGUACAAAACUGGAAAUAACAACAUCAAAUGAUGGAAACUUAUACCUAUCAAAGCAUGGUAGGAAAGCAGUGCCUGGAUUCCAUUAUUUGCCAUGGGAUUCGAUUGAACUUGAAAAAGAAUGAGAUGUGAUUUUUUUGAUUCCAUGGUAUGGUAUAUAUACACGUUCAGAUUCAUUCACUAUGAUAAGGAGGUUAUGAUACCUAUACAUUGUUAUCAUAUCAAAGGCUUUGGAAUCAAUAACAACAUUAAAUGCAAUCAUGGAAUGGGGGAAGCCACAACCAAAAGCGUUAAAUGUAAUUAGCAUGGGGAAACUGAAAGUGCCAAGUCAAAUGAGAUCAAAGGAUGAGAUGAAUGCUUAGCUAGCUCAUUUGAUCAAACGGCUCUCCUUAAUUGGCGCCCAAAAUGGCUAGGUUUAGGGUUUUGCAAGGUAAUUAGCAUUGUUAACAAAGAUUAGAUAUAAGUAUGAUAAGAUAAGAUAAGAUAUAUUGAAUUUUAAUAAAUUUUUAAUUUUUAAAAUAAGAGAGGGCCUAAGCCCAAGAAAAAAACUACACUAAAAGUACAUAAAAUUGCUUUUCUUACUGCAAAAACUUUCUAAUAACACAUGAAAGUUACUAAAUUGUCCAUAGAAGUAGUUAACUACCAUUGGCAAGUCCGACAUCAGUUAAUUACCACUGACUCCCAACUGCAGUUAACUACCGCUGGCUCAUCUGCACUUAAGUUCGGUUCCUAGCAGAGCAUCAAUUGUGAUUAUGCGCGUUUCGGUCGAAAAAAAUAAAAAAAUCGAGACUUAUUUGGAAUGUUACGGAACAUUCCACAUCCUCUAUAUGUAUUUUUACAGAGGUGUCUAUAAAUUUGGUAACAUUCCGACUAAGUCUCGAUAUAUUUUGAUUUUUUGACCGAACCGUGCAAAAUCACAAUUUUUUUCAAGUUCGAGUCCGGAAAAGUGACCUAGACGUUGAAUUUUUUCAUGAUUUUUUGCACUCAUGUUUAGGACAAAAAAGAACAUCUCCCACAAAAAUUUUGAACUUUUUCGACAAUGGACGAAUCCUUUAUAUCUAAUCCUAGCAAACAUGCAAACCCUAAUUCCACAAUCCUAAACCUAAAAAAUUGGCUCCCAAAUUUGAAAUUUGAAUUUCAUAUUGGAAAACCAAUGCACACUACUCAAUACAUAUCUUAAGGGCUAGGAUUAAAUGCGACUAAUACCUCAAAUUCGUCCUUGAAUUUUAAAAAAUCGGUCAAAUUCGUCCCUGAAUUUUGCGAAAUAUCUAUUUAGUCCCUGAAUUUACAAAAUAUCAAUCAAAUCAGUCCCUCUGUUAAGUUGGUCUGUUUACGGAGGUGACGUGUAACGUUAACCUCUUACAAGGCUUACCAUGUCAGAUGUCACGCAAGCAGGGACCAAAUUGAUUGAUUUACAGAAAAUUGUCAAGGACCAAAUUGAUGGAUUUUCAGAAAAUUGCCAACGUUUCCAAGGACCAAAUUGAUGGAUUUUCAGAAAAUUCCCAACGACUCUUUCUCCCGUUUCUCAUUAAAGAAUCUUUCUCCUCUUCCUCAUUAACGGCUCUUUCUUCCCCAAAUAUAUAAAUUUGGAACCCUAAUGUUAUAAUUUGUUACCUAGAGUUCAAAAUCCCCCAAAUUUCUUCCAUGACUUGAUGUCAAUGUUCUUCCCAAUUAAAUAAACUUAACACCCUAAUUUUUUUGAUUCAAUUCGAAAUUCAAAAACCAAUGGUCAUUGUUGAAGAUUCGGUGUUCAGAAAUGAUGGGUAGUGGGCGUAUGGGCAAAAAAAACUACAAUAGUCAGUCUUCAUCUUCAAGCUCUAUGUACAAUGAUAAGGUGAGAGAGCUUCAAUGUUGCUGACCUAGAAUUUGUGUUGUAAGAGAAGCCAACACUGUCAAUAACCAAGGAAGGCCUUUCUAUAUCUUCCCUCUGCCAAAGGUUUGUUUAACAAUGGUUAUGUGAUGUGUAAAUGGUUUGUUUAAGAUAUUCAUAGGAGUAUUUUGUUUGAUUGAGUUGUUUAAAAUGAUAUUGUAUUGUGCCAAGUCCAUGUAAUGUUGUAAUGAAAAGAGGUUGUCAAUGAAUGAAUCAAACCCUUCUGUCAAAAAAUUUCAAUCAAAUUGGUCCUUGAAUUAUAUGCAUAUCCAUCAUAUCGAUCCUAAAAUUAGUGAUAAUACCAUCAAAUAGGUCCUUGAAUUUUCACAACAGAUAUCACUGUGAUCCUUGGUGCAUAUAUUUGCUGAACAAAGUAAAAAGUAAAAGACAUGCACUUUGACUAUAAAAAGACAGACAUUUGCAUACCAUCAUAAGUCAUAUAUUUGAUGUUCAUAAGUCAUUACAUAGCCAAAAAAAUAACAUUACAUAGCCAUAAAGUCAUCAAAUCGUUUGAUGUUCUUAAGUGAUUACAUAUCUGUUAUCACGAUUUUGGGGUAUCAAGUCAUUAAUUAGGCUUGAACCUUUCAAUCUUUGAUAUUCUCUAUUUUUUCUUGGGAAGGGAAAAAUUGAGAAAACCCUUAGAAAUUCUAAGUUCGGGGGUCGUUUUCGUUACGGGAAGGUGUUAGGAACCCGCAAUGACUAUAGUACUCUAUAGGAACCGUUUUCUUAGUUUUAUGUCUACGCUUUAUUUUUAAUGCUAUUUAUUGAAAAAAGAAGUUGUUUAUUUAGGUUAAGAAUGGAGGGAGAAAAUGUUUGGGAUUUUAUUUAUUGGACUUGGAGAGGUUUUGACCUCUUGCCUACAUACCCUUUUAAGGGAUCAAAAUUCCAUGUAGUUCUCUUUAAAAAAUGUUUUUGUGUGUUUGAUUGAUUUUAAGUUUUGGAAAAUGGUUUUGAAGAAGAGAAAGAGGCCGUAAAGGCAUGAGAGAAAAAAAUGGUGAAAGGUUGGUUCAAUUAUUAUUAAAAAAGGUCUAAGUUGGAAUUAGAGUUCAUUUGAGUUUGAUUAAGAAAAUAAAGGGAAAAUUCAAUGGAGUUUUGACUCCAAGGUUUAUUUGGAAAUUUUUUUCAAGUGAUGGAAUUUGCUUAUUUUGGAAAAUUGAUAUUUUUCUAAGUAUCGCGUUUCCUAAGCAUACAUCUAAAGCGGUAAACAUACAACGUGUGUGCGUGUCGGUGCUUGUGUCGGUGUACAUCAUUAGAGAGUCCAUUGUCCGUUACAUUGGCCCUAGUUUACAUUCUAUGGUCUUGCAAGAAAUUAAAAGGAAAUUUAAACUACCUAAAAUAUUAUAUGACAUUUUAACAUAGAAAUUAAAAGGUAAAAAUGCCUAAACUAUGAGAAAUUGAGAUGAAAAAGGUAGAAUGCUUAUGAGGUGAAUGAAACAAGAAAUAAAAUGGUUAGUAAAAUAAGGUGUAAAAUGAUAGGAAACAAGCAAGGAAACAUUGAAUGGAAUAGCAAAAAAGAGAGUAAUAAAGUGGUAAAAUAUGCCCAAAACUUGUCAUAAUACCUAAACAUGUACACGACCUAUAAUUCUCUCAUCAUAGCAAUUUAAAAGGGGGUUUAUUUUAUACCAUAAUGUGAGAAUGACAAGAACACAUUCAAGCCAAGAAUUAUGACAUAUUUCUAGAGAUACUUUGCACUUUAUUUCUUGACAAAAACACACAUUACUUGCAAAACAAGAAAAAAAGAAAAAUUCACAUCCACAAACAGUAAAACACACAUAUGAUCAGAGACAUAUUCAUCAUGAAAUUGCAUAUUAACCACUCAUAUCAUGUCAAGACCUCAUGAACGAAUUAUGGCAAGAAAAUUCACAAGUUUAAUAAAAAAAAAUGAACAUAUCAACAAGAAAAUGUUACAUAUAUUUUUUUAUCAUUUUUUAACAUGUAAAAGCAUCACAAAAGUAUUAAAAAUACCUCAAGAAACAUAUAGGAAUUUUUAGGAAUUUUUUGCACGAAAAUUGGACGAGCAGGGGGUUCAGAUAGCAAGAAACAGGGUGCAAAUAGCAAGAAAUAAGAAAAAAAAAGCAGAAACAAACAAACUGGAAGCCCAAGCCCAAAACCCAUGGAUCCGGAUGCACAAGGAGCGUUGGAUUGAUCCAGGAAGAGAAACCCUAGAUCUAAAGGCUCAGAAUGAAGGGGAAGAACCGGGAAUAAACCCGACCGGUUCAGUUGUUUAUAAAAAGGCUUGGGGACCGGUUUUUUUCAUUUCUUCCUCUCCUUUCUCUCUCUUCUCUCAUUCUAGUGAGAGAAGCUCUCACUUCUCUCCUUUCUGAUGAAUUAGGUUCUGGAAAAGUUAGGGUUUUCUGAAUGUUCUUGGUAAUUUUCUGUUUUGAUCUAACUAAAUGGAGAGAGAAAAUGUGAUUCUGUUUUUGGUGAUGUGACUGAUUCUGUGGAUCCUUUCUGAUUUGUGCAGUGAAUGCACCUUUUAUAGGCUGCCAUGUGUGAUUCUGAACCAAUGGAAGAGGAACACCUGUUUUGGACUUAGGGACUUUCCUGCAAAAAUAAGAAAAUUGGAGGACUGGACUGCAAAUAAGAAAAAGGACCUAAAAAUGCAAUUUUAAAAAGUAUUGGACUAAAAUGUAAUUUGGAAAAAACGUAAAGUGAAACCAAAAAUAAAAUCAACAAAAGGACUAAAAUGAACCAGUUACAAAAAAUGAGGUAUUUUAAAAUACCUCUCUGUCGAAAUUUUGACAGGAAAAGACCAAAAAUACCCCUAGGGACUAAACUGACUCAAACUGACUCAGAUGCAAUUUUUGAAAUGGUUUUUAAACAGAGAUUCAACAAUGAUUUGUACAGACAAGUUGAAAAGACUCAGAGGCAAACACAGGGACUAAAAUGGGUUCCAAUGCGGGAAAUGACCAAAAUACCCUUUUUGUAUGAUUUUUUGAAAUAAAAUGCAAGAAAAGCAAUGCAAUGAUUCAGAGAGUUUUCAAAUGACUUGUAAUGCAAGAAAGACACUUUGGGUAGUUUUAUUCAAGAAAAUCAUGAUUGAACAUACUUCGAGACAGAGACAGUAAAAUAUGCAGAUGAAAAGAGAGUAAAGGUUCGGAGUAAAAUAAUAGUAAAUUGACAAAUAUCAGUGUUGAAAAAGAAAUUUGAAUGAGUAUUUUUAGGUCCAAAAUCAGGGUAUAACAAUAUCCAAAAAAGCAUAAACUAAACAAGUCCAAAAAGCAUAAUUUAAACAAGCAUCAAUGCUUUGGAAAUCCUGAAGUUGGGUAUAAACUCCAUGUAUUGGGGUUGAGUAGAAGCGGAUGACCCGUAAUUUGGAUUUGGAACUCUAAUAACUCUAGGAGUAGUUAGAUUUUGUGGAGCAAGACCCCUCAAUGAUGUUUGUUUAUGCAUGUCAUUUGAAAUCACAGGUCAUCUCAUGCCAUAUCUUCUUGUACUCAUUCUCUGCAAAUAAAAUCAAUCAUAUCCGUCCUUAAAUUAUAACAAAAUCCAUCAAAUUAGUCCUCAAAUUAUGUCAGUAAGUCUCAAAUCGAUCCUUAUGUAAUAGCGGGGUAUAAUUGGAACACAUGAAAAAUUACACUGAAAAGUUAAAUCUCAAAUUUUUACCAUUUCCAUCAAAUUAGUCCUUGUACACGUGGUUGCCUUGUUGACACGUGUACAUGACAACACAACAUGCAAGAGGACACGUCAUCACCACUAACGGAGCUUUUGGACGGAGGGACCAUUUUGAUGGACGUCUGUAAAAUUCAAGGACUAAAUAGAUAUUUCGCAAAAUUGAGAGACGAAUUUGACCAAUUUUUUAAAAUUCAAGGACGAAAUUGAGGUAUCAGUCCAUUCAAUGUUAUACAAAAGUCUGAAAAAUAAAACACACAACACACGCGUUCCUUUUUCCCAGUGUUUUCUUCUUCUUCUUCCUCUUAUCAUCAUCACCACCGCCAACCCUCUCCCUCAAUCCACCGACGUUCUACCCCGUAUGUUCCAUGUCUUUUCUACUUUAACCGUCAUAUUUCUCCUCUCAUACUUCGCCGUCGUCGAUUCCACUGCCACUUUCUUUCCAUCGCCACGGGAAUAAUGAGAUUAAGCGCGAGAGUGAUCGACCUAAACUUAUUCCCUCUCUCCAGGUACUCAAUCUGUUAACUUUGAUGUUAGUUCAUACAAAUUUGCAUGUAACAAAUUUGUAUAAGAACAGGCAUAGACUUCUUAACCAAUCAAAUAAACUGCUCAAUCAAAGCUUACUCAAUUUUAUUGUAAAAGAAGAAAUAGAAAAUUUAGGUGGUUUGAAAUGUAAGAUCCAACAUAUGUUAGAUAUGAAAUUACUGUUGUGCUUUGAUGAUUUUUUCUCCUGAUUCCAAAAAUAUAGUUUUAAGCCAAUUUAUGGCAUUGAGUGAUUUGAUUUUCUGUUUCUUUUUUGUCUCAUUGGUUCUAAGUUGGAUGAGAAAUUAGUGGCCACAGAAAGAAGAAUGAAAUAUAAGUUAAUUAACAUUUUUUCAAUAACUUUGAAUUUUUGCUGAUUUUUCUUUAACUAUUGUUUUCUAAUACCAUUUGAAGUAGUCGUUUUUAUUAGAUUAUGUCAUUGCUACAAAAUUUUCUCUAUAUGGGUUCAUGUUGAUUUUGAAAUGAUUGCAAAUUUGUGUAUAAGCAUCUGUAUGCAAACCUCUCUUUUAAGAGCACUAUUUUUUGUUCCGGCUUUGUGUUUUUUGCGGAUGUGCUUAUGAUUUGUGCAGCUACAGGUUUGUUACUUACAGAGCUUUCCAAAUGUGGUAUGUUGCUUUGUUCAUUUAGUGGUUGAGAAUGAAAUUAGUUUGCACUCCCUGAGAAAAUAGCUCUCUAAACUGAAGUUCCCAUAAUCUCUUAUGAUCAUUGUACACACCAAAUCUCUUACCCUAAGUCAAAUUUACUGUACUGAGUAGAAAUUAUCUAUUCUUUCAUUAAUAUUGAAAAAUCUUUCAUCCCUUCAACAUUGUUUCUGAGUAUGAUGUUACCAGUGAAUUUUUGGUAUGUUCCUUACCAAUUCACAUUUUUUAUUGUUACUUUUAUUGGACAAAAUUACUUCUUGCGUCUAUUCUUCCCUGAUUCAUAGAAGUUGUUCUACAAUGGUUUUUGUGAAUUUGCAUUGGAUAAGAGGACCACGGCCAUGGUGGUCAUAGCACAAUUGCGACAACAAGUGGAAUUGCACUCUUAUUUUUGGAUCUAUGUCAUACAAUCAUAAUUGGUGGUGGUGAGUGGAAGAGCAUGAUUGAGUGCAGAAUUUUUGAAGGUGUACGUUUCAAGCUGGGUGAUCAGAUGGUCGGCAAAAGUGAAAUUGUUUACCUUCAUGUCUAUCGAGAUUUCAGUUUUUAAGCUGGGGUCUUCAUAUGAAUUUCCAUUUUGAAUAUUGUUUCUAUUGUAAUCUGCCAAUUAUCAGAAUUGUGUUAGAUAAGUUUGAGUCUAAUGUGUUCAGCUCCACUGUGUAAUCUGUUUCUGUAUUUCAUUUUCAAUAGAAUCCAAUUAAAACAACUUAUUCUGCUUGCUUAAUUAUCAUCUCCAAUCUGCACAAGUAAUACUAUAAACAGGGUCAUAUUAUUCUAUUGAAAUUGAAAUACGGAAACAUAUUACAAAGAAAAUGACUAAAGGCGGUGUAUAAAGAAGUUUUUCGCAAUUUAUGAAUUGUUCGGUGCUGAUGAAAUAAAGGUGUUGCCGUUUUGUUAGUCUGCCAUCGAUGUAAGUAUGUACUGUAUUUAUAUUAGUCGUUAAUAAAUGUCUUAAUAAUGGUCGUCAAACCUAACCCAUCAGUGUGUUGCUUAAUUUGUUUUUACAGAUUUGUUUGACCUGACUGUAGCAUUUGCCAUCAUAUCUGAAACGCAUAAAUUCAUGUUUUACUGUAUACUCGGUGAUCAAUCCUUCUGUCUAUAUGAAAAGGCUUGAUGUAUACUGGUACGGUGAUUAAAUUUUCGCAUAAAUCAGUUCUUCUCAUAUUAUAAAUAACUUAUAAUAAGGAUUGCAGCAACUAAUGCUUCAAUUUUAUGCUGUCUUUGUUUUUCUUCGCAGGUUGAGCACAAUUAAGGCAUUGCAUUUUUGGAGAUCGUUAUCAUUGUUAUACCAUUAUUAUCUUUGCUAAUAUAUGCUCCUAAUUGUUUAAGAAUUUCAUCUCUGGUCCAUACUGACGGUUUAUUACUGAUAUCAAUGGCACCAAUCUCAAUUGAUACUAUGUAUCACAUUAUCACCAACAAAGGUGUAACUUGGUUAUCAUUAUGAUCCAUUUCUGAUUCCGUAAUUAUACUAUAUCCAAGUUCGUUGUUAACUUAUUACAAAUAAUUUGUCGUUUAGAAGAAUAUUAACCACAAAUUACUCAUAGUGAUUUAUCGUUAUGAAAAUACAUAUAGAGAAUAUGAAAAUUUACGUAGUAUAUUGACUGAGCCUCAAUUUAUUUUGAAUUUUUCACCGAAACACAUAAAAUCACAAUAUUUUUGCAACUUCACAUCCGAAAAAGUUAUAUAGACGUUGAAUUUUUUCGUUAUUUUUUGCACAUAUGUUAAGGACAUAAAAAAACAUUUCCCACAAAAAAUUAGAAUUUUCCGACAACGGAUGGAUUAAUUAUGAAUUUUUAAUGCGCCAAAAACUCAAGAAACUAAAACAUCAAAAGAUCGACUUAGAAAUUGAAUUUUGAGUUGGUUUUUUGCACACAACUCUAUAAAAAUACAUAUAGAGGGUCUGUAAAUUUUCAUGGAAUUCCAAAUAAGCUUCAAUUUAUUUUGAUUUUUCGACCGAAACGCGUAAAAUCACAAUUGAUUCUCUUCCAGAAACUGCACUUAAGUGCAACAAAAUCAGCUGUAGUUAACUGCAACUGAAGCCAGCGGUAGUUAACUACAGCUGAGAGUCAGCAGUAGUUAACUACCGUUGGGGGAAAUUUCAUAACUUAAAUGUGUUUUUAGGAAUUUUUUGAUGUGAGAAAAACAAUUUUCAAAAGUAUAUGUUUUUUAAAAUAAAAGAGGGCAUAAGACCAUAAAAGGCACUGAUACGAUGACCUUUAACACCAGUUUGAUCAACUAAGACCAACCACAAUGGUGAGGUCUUAACAAUUUAAGAUCCGGUACCUAUUAGGUACCUCCAUUGUGGGAAAAAUAUUUGGGGGUCUCUUAAGACCCUCAUUUUUAAGUGGACCCCACACAACUUUUUAAUAAAAUAAUCAUUGUUUAGUUACUUUUGUUUAAAUGUAAAUGAUAAAGAGUUAUUGGUGGGUCCCAUUUAGACCUUUUGUUAGAGCGUCUCUGUUGGAGUGGUUGAGUACCUAUUAGGUACUAUCAUUAAAAAAUUAUAAAAAAAUGAUUUGUCAAUGUGGAAUCCGUUUAAGACCUCAAGAUUGAGGAUCUCCAUUGUAGAUCACAUGCAUGUCUAUUGCAUGAGUGCAUCUUCCAAAGAUUCAAAGUCUUCAUUUACAUGAAAUUUUCAUUCAGCUUUCAACAUUCAUAAGCACUUAAUGAAUUAACGACCAAUAUAUUGGAUGCAUGUUGUUUUGAAUAUGCCCUUAAUAAAGAUGAAAAGGAGAAAGAUGAACUUGAACUCAUCAUUUUUACAGCCGUUAAAAUAGCAUACAUGAUUUGCUUUUGCUACUUGUCUAAAUUUUAUCUAAACACCUAAUUAUGAUGGUUGCCAAACACAUUCAAACAUUUAUGUUAGUAACAAUUUUAUAAGCAUGGCAUUUUUAGGGUUGUAUGGCCCAAAAGUCCUAAACCAAAUGGCUUUCACCAUUUCUCAUGCGUCCUCCUAAAUUUCAAAACUGCCCUCAGAUUUUCGGAUUAUACAAUAUGCUACUCUUAUUUUCAACUCUUCCUUUGAGGUCCAACUCGAUUAGUCUCUUCAGUGGUUCAGUUGUGAUUUUUCCUCUUAAGUCCAACUAGAUUAGUCUCUUUAGCGGUCCAGUUAUAAAGUCGAUUUGUGACAAUACCUUAUAUGCAUCUAUGUUAGGAUUGAUACGAGCUGUUAGUAGGUUCUGAUACCAUGUUGGAUGGAGGAAUGUUUUACAUAUUGAGCUUUAGUUGUUUCAAGGGGCACUCAACAUGGAAAGGAUAUUGAAGCUUUGCAGAAAAGUUUGGACAAUGCUGAGUAAGGUUCAUAUACAAACAUGUCUAAUUUUCUAACAUAAUUACAUUUUAAGAGUGAUUUUCAAAUCAACUAAUAUUUAACAUUAUGGUUCUAAAGUUGGUGAACUAUGACAUAAAACUUUAACAUUGUUUGUGGUUUCUAGAAGAAUCAAUUUGGUUACAUAACAUGAAAAAUGGUUACCAUAAGACAAGGAGAAAGAAUAAGCAUGUAUCUUUACACUCGCAACAAAGAAACACACCAACUUUGGCCAUUGCAGAAGAUUAUGGUUAGACUCAGACAGUCAAAUAUAGGUUUGACGCCAUCGAAGUAAUCGGCAUUUCAACCUUAGGUUGUGUUUCAGAGUUUUGAAGAGAUUAUCAGAAUUCUAUUCACUUUGUUUUCUUGUCAAAUCUUAAUUGUUAGUGCUAAUUGAUGGUCUUAUCAUGAAAAUUAUAAAUCAAACCUAAAUAAAAACGAAUAAUAAGAACAUGUUCAUGUACCGAACUGAUAAGUAGCAAGAAAGUGAAAUAAAGAAAACACAAUGAUCUAAACUUAUCAUUGAAAAACAUCACAGAAAACACAAUGUUUGUUUCUUCAUUUUAAUUCUAACGAAUGUCUAAUUUUGGAAUGUGUGCUAUCUUAUCCCAGUCCACCCUUGUUCCCUCCUUGCAUCGCUCAUCUAAUCCUCCAGAAAAACAUAAUUAAUCAGCAAGAGUAUCAUGCAAAACCCCAAAACAGUUAAAAAGGUGCACAUGCACUUAACAAACUCAUCAUCAUUUUCUCUUCCAUAAUUCCCUUCCUUGUUUGUACCACUUUGUCCUUGAAAGAAUUCACAAUUACCUUUGCUAACUGAAUUAUUGCUUAUUGUGAAAAACAAAAAUAUCUCAAAGUUAUCUUAUGUGAACCAAAUACAAAACCAGUAAUUAAUAAUAUCAUAACAACAACAAAUUACAAAUUUGAUGUAUCAUUUUAAACUGAGUGAAAAACAUGAAAAAACAAAAGUCAUUGAAAGAGACAGAAAAUUUAUAUGCUAAAAGGGCAUUAUAAGGCUCUAAGACAGAUUUUAGAUGUCUGUUUUUCUCUCCCAUUGCUGCUCCAACUCUCUGCAGAAGUAUAUUACUGGAAGACAGAAGACAAACUAACAUGUGCUGCAAAACCACCAUAGUGAAGAGACAAGAGUGUCAUAUCCUGCAAACACAGUACAAAAUAUUGUUACUAUACUAUAAGAAACAAAAUCAAAAAAGGGUGAUGGUGGAAGAGAGAGCCUACCAAAUGUGAUAGAAAUUGGAAGCAUAUAUGUGUGUGCUUUUUCAUUCAAUCAACAUGUAAUUUUGGAAUGUGCGCUAUCUUGUCCCAGUCCUCACCGGUUCCUUUCUUCAAUCGCUCCUUUAAUGUUGGGCAACCUCGAAUUUUCAAAAACUCAAGUGAAGUGAGGUGUUGAAUAGAUUCGGGAAAGGAUCUCAAUCCUCCACAAUAACCAAUAUCAAUAGUUCGAAGAGAUCGAAGACCUUCCCAUGUUUGUUCCGGUAUAGACUCAAGCUCACCACAAGAAGAGAUACUCAGACACUCCAACACUAGGUUGAAGGGUUCAUUUGGUAGUUUCUUCAAUUUUGGGAAAUUAGAAAUUUUCAAACUUCGAAGACAAGUCAAGUUUCUUAACAAACCGUCAGGAAAGCAAAUCACGUCUUCACCGUUAAGAAGGUGAAGGGUGGUAAGACUACAGAAAUUGGAGAUUGAUCUCAGUAACUCAUUGUUACAUCCAAAUACAAUGAGGUCUUUAAGGGAUGGAAGGCAUGGCAACACAAGUUUAGGGCAAUCAAUAAUGGUCAAAUUAGAAAGAAGAAGGAACAUAUCUCUUAUUUGCACUUUCAACAAACGCUCUAAGUUUCGUAGUCCUGCUAGUAACAAUUUUUCCAAGGAUGGAAAAGCCCUCACCUCUACACCAUCAUGAUAUUCAGCAUCAUCCAUGUAUUGCAUAUUAUUCAUACCCCAUAAUUCAAGCUUUUUUAGAGAUGGUAGUUUACCUAGUGAUGAAAGAACACAAUUAUUGCAAUACUGAAGUUGAAGAUCAACUAAACUAUUAAGAAAUCCAAUCCAUUUUGGCAAGCAUAAUCCGUCAUAGUAAAGUAUUUUCAACCUCUUGAGAUUUGAGUGAGGUUGAAGCAUUUCAAGUACUUGCUCAGCAGUAGUAGUUGGUGUCUCAGUUUCACCAUUAUUCCUCCAUGACAAGGAUAAUUCUUGGAGGUCCUUUUUACCCAUCAAAUUGGCAUGUCGAGCUUCAAAUAAGCUACCAACAUUUCCCAGACCUUGUAUGCUCAGUUUUCCUCCAAGUGAUAGAUCAUGUAGCUCUCCCAAGCCAUACCCCCUCUCUGACUGAACAAUGUAUACACUUAAUGUUCUUAGGAAAUACAAUUUUCCAAUAUAAGGAAACACACAAGACAAUGAAUUACAAUCUUCAAUGACAAGAUGCCUGAGAUUCUGUAAACAAGUCAAGUGUUUUGGUAGAAAAGUCAGUUUUCGAAAAUAUUUCAAUUUCAAGAUUUCCAAUUUCUGCAAGCGAUAAAUUGAGUCAGGAAGGGUUUCUACGUCAAGAUCACGAAGCUCCAAAUACCUCAAAUGAAUUAAGUUCCCAAGUGACGAUAACUUGAAAGUGUUUGUGCUUAAAACUCGAAGGGAGCGAUUUGUUGGGAAGUAAUCGUAUUCUUUUUCGCUGUAAAACUCUAGUUGAUACAACGUUCGCAAGGAUUCAACUUUUUUGAAGGCCUCAUUGAAGGAAAACAAGUUAAUAUCAGAGUAAAAGCUAGUAUGGUGUGUGCUUCUUAACAAGUUAGUGUUAGUAUUCUCCAAAAUCAUACACUCUGACCCCAUAACUGAUUGAGCAAGAUCAUGCACUAGGUCAUGCAUCUUGAAAGUAAUGUCUCCUGAAUAAUCAUCUAUCUUGAUGUCUUGGAAGAAUGAUUUUUGGCACAGUUCCUUCCAAAUCAUAUUGCCAAAAAAUUCUACAUCCAAAUUAGCCUUUGAGAAAAUAAAUCCAUUGCCCAUCCAUAGAUGAAUCAAAUCUUCCUUUACAAUUUCCAUAUCUUUGGGAAAUAUCGCACAAAAAGCAAAACACCGCUUUAAGGUCGGUGUUAAAUGAAAGUAGCUUAACCUCAAGGCUGGCAAAAUGGAAUUCUCAUAUGGUAAGGUCCAGAGAUUACUGUCUUUAAUUUCAAGCCAUUCAUUUUCAUCACUCCUUGAGCGCAUUAGACCUCCCAAUGCUUGUGCUGCAAGAGGCAAUCCUCCACACUUCUUUACUAUCGCCUUACCUAUUGCUACAAGCUCUUCCCGUUCUUCUCCAGCACAUCCAAAUGCAUAUUGUCUAAACAACAACCAACAUUCGUUUUCAGAGAGACCAGAUAAAUGAUGAGCUAAACAUGUUCCCAUGAUUUCUGCAACAUCCUUAUCACGAGUGGAAACUAAAAUGGAAGAUCCUUUGGAUCCACAUGACAACGCAGAUUUCAACUUGUUCCAUUUGUCUUGGCUUAAUCCUAGUUCCAAUCCUUGAUUUCUGCUCCAUACAUCAUCCAAAACCAGCAAAAAUCUUUUACCUUGCAAUAGUUCUCGUGCUUUUCUUUGUAUUACAUCUAAAUCCAAGGCAUCAAACUUGUCUUUUGUGAUAGAUUCUAUAAUGGAACACAAAAUCCUUUUGACAGAGAAAGUCUCCGAAACACAAAUCCAAACUUUUGUAUUAAAAUUGCUACUUACCCUAUGAUCAUUGUAGACCAUUUGAGCAAGUGUUGUUUUACCAACACCACCUAGGCCAACAAUAGGAUAGAUGGAUAGGAAGUCAGAUACUUGCGCUUGGGUGAGAAGAAACUCGACAAUCCUCUCUCUAUCAUCUACUCGUCCAAACACUUUGGGUUCAGCAAUAAUGGAGCUUGUUUGGCGCCAUUCAGCAACUUCAUUUGGCCUUUCCCUAACAACGACACCCUCUCGUAAAAGAAACUUGUCUUUACUUUCAGCAAUUUGAUCGAAUCUCCUUGUAAUUUCUUUCAACCUUUUGCCGAUGUCACGGCGAAACACAAUGUUCUUUAGGUUGAAACAGGACGAGGCUUUAAGUCUACUAGAUUCAAUGGAACAUUCAUCAAGAAUAUCAUCAAGCACAUAUACAGCAUCUUUGAGUUGUUGGAGCCAUACCUUAAUAGAGCGGUCUGUGACCUGUUUCUGCUCAGCAUCUUCAAGAACAGCCUUGAUCAGAUCCAAGGUGGUUGACAACUUUUCAGCCUUUGAUGUGAUUCCAGAAAUGGUUGCAAAUUCAUUUUGAACAAGAGAUAACAAAUUCUCAAAUACAACUCCUAGCAAGGCCUCUGCCAUUUUUAGUUAGUACUAGGAAUAUCGGCUGUUAGGUGAUCAGUUGGAAAUUAUGAAGGAAAAUAAAACAAAAUGCAGAUUUGAUUCAAUUUAGAGCAACAUCCACUAAGCACUGGGGUGAUAGUGCUAGGACCCACACUUUAAAUUUAAUGUCAUUAUUAUGGAUCCAUUGUUGACUUUUGUUUCUUUUUUUUUUUCCUACCAUUUCAUACAGAAAUAAAAAACAGUCAUAUAAUCUAUCUUGGCUAUUUCUCAAAACGUAAAGUUCUUACUUGCCCUUUGAAAGAACAAGCAAGCCAAAUCUCCAUAUAAAAGUCUAUAAAUAAAUUUGAUUCCAAUGAAGAAAAGUUCUGAAGGGUUAAAAAAGAAAAAUAUAAAAUUAUCUACAAAAACAGAUACACUAUUUGAAGGAAAUUUUCAUAUUUUUAGUCAAUAGGAAUCGAACUCGGUACCAAGUGGUUUAUAACAGUCAAUAGCGUGCAUGACAUAUCAAUGAGUUUUUCAUCAGAGCAUAAUUUUUAGCUAUGAAGAAUAUUACAAUAACAUGAAAACAUUUUGACUGCAACGAUACCUUGCUUAUGUGAUACUCUAUUAUCAUAGGCAUAAAAGAAUUAACUUCGAAAAAUUUUCUUAAAUUUCAUUAAACUGGCUUUCAUGUAUUUGGCCUUUAGGAAACAUAAUUAAAUUUGGUAUUAACCCUACACAAGAGAAGUGUAACCAUAUAUAUUUGUUGAGUUUUACAAGUUAAUGUAUGUGUUUAAAUGAAUGUUAAUUGGACGGAAAUACAGCGCACGAGUAUCAUGUAUAAUUAAGUACAACAUUGGUUCUCAAAUUUUGCUUGCAAUCUGGAAUUUUUACCAGAUAAUUGAAGCGAAAAAUAAAGUAAAAGAACAGAAUAAUAUGCACAAAAAAGUACUGUUUUUUUUACUUCAAUUAAAAAUUAAUUAUAAUGUGCAAAAAACUUAAAUCAGUUUAGAGAGGGGAAAUUAGAGAGGUUGGUAUGGUAACAUAGAAAGCGUAAAACUAGACCUAAUCAUGUUAAUUAAAUAAAAAAUUAAAUAAAAAAUCUUCUGCUGCUUAAGUAAAAAAUUAAGCAAGACUGGAGUAUCAUAUAAAACCCAAAACAAGAACAUUGUAUGACCAAUGUUUCUACUUUCCUUGUACUAGACAAGUCCAAUGAACUUUGUUUAUUGUUUUUGGUAAGACUUGCUGAACUUUGUUGAUUUCAUGAUGAUUAUGAUUGGCAUCUGGCAAAUAAGACUUCUGAUUUUAACUAGUUGCAAAGCUUCAUACUCAUUCUGAUAGAUUGUUUCCUGAAAUUUGUUUCUGGUCUGAUAGCUAUCCGUCAAUAUUUACCUCCAACCUGGGAACGAAUCUACCACAUUGUCUUUAAUUUGAAAGAGCUAUGCUAAUUGAACUAUUGUGAAGAAUAAAUAUAUAAAGGCAUAAUAAGGCUCUAAGAAAGAUUCUGAAGUCUGCCUCCUAUCCACAAGCUACUACAACUCACAGCAGAAGUGUCACUAUUUACAUCACUGCAUUACCUUUUUGAUUGAUUUUAAUAUUACAACAGACGACUGAGAUGAUUUAAGUUAGCAUAGCUCUCAAGAUGAGAAAAACCACAAAAAUUGUGCAUAACCAUGUAUUCUUUGGUACAAUCGUUCAAUUAAUAAGUAUUUCAGAGAUUUGAGAGAUUGAGAAUUCUAUUAACUUUGUUUUAUGUCAGAUCCUAAUUAUUGUCAUGAAUUAUUCAUAGCAAGUUCAUUUACUGAACAGAUAAGAAACAAGAAUUUGAAAUAAAAUAAGGAUGAGUUCUUAAAUAUAUUUGGUAAAAACUAAAUUGUGAAGGUAAUCAAUAUUAUAAAUCCUUAAGAUGAAGUCCUUUCUUAAGGAUCAUUCAUGUGUGCUGAUGAUAAUGAACUCAAGUUGGCUGAGACUUCAUCUGUUGCUUUUUUUUUCGGACAACUGUUGCACCGGACUAUUCAUUACUCCUCAAGUCCUCUGUGGUGUGUUUGUGUUGCUUAGUGGGUGGUUACAUAUAUGGUAUAUAUUUCUCUACCCCCUUCCAUUUACUAUAUUUUGCUACCCCAAGUUAUUCACAUCAUUGAUAAUUUGUGCCUUGUUUAUUGAAUUCUUUGUGUGGUUACAUUUCUGUUGACAAGUGAAUUUUAUAAAUGACAAAAAUCACGUAGUCACUGAUUUUAGCUUCCAUAAGGCAAUAAUUUGAUCAAGUAUGAAUUCAAAAAAGCAUUUAUCCCUUUUAAAUAAAUAAUGUAUGUACACUGUUUGGAAUAACCAAGACACAAAAUGUCUGAUUAUAAGCUCACUAACAAAAAACUACACUAGAGAAAUGGGAAAGAGAUUAAUAUAAAGAAUCACUUAUGUUAGCAACAUUAGUACUAGUAGAUAUUGUAAAAUCAAGGACAACCUCCUAAGGCUUAGGAGAAGCUAUAUAUAACUCUUUCAACAUCUGUUAUUAGUUGGAAUUAAGUUCGGCUCAUGUGUUGGAUCACCGCUGUCAACAUCCUCUCGUUUCAUGCCAACCAUAUCAAUUUUUCUCAUUAUUUGUGAUUUCCAUUGCUUCAUUUGAUGGACUAAUAGAUUUUUCACUGCUUUCUUUGGAGAUUGAUUUUUCAGGCCAAAAUACAUUCAAUCCAUUACCUGUAUGUAUGACCAAAAUACAUUCAAUUCCUUUAUCAAAUCUUACCAUACAUCUAAAUAUGUUUGGUGAAAAAAAUGAUGUGUGAAGGUAAUUAGUAUUAUAAAGUCCUGAAGCAUGCAAUAAAAAGAAAGCCGACUGAAGUUUCUAUAUGUUAAAAUCAAACUGAAAGUUUCUAUAUGUGUGUUAAAAUCAAUCAAUUUGAUAAGGCAGAAAAUGCAUAUUAAAGUAUUCGCUAAGAUAUGAACUAUGUUUACCUGGAAACCAACGAUAACCAGUAAAGAGAUAUCAGUUAAAGGAAAUUGAAAUCUUCAGCAGCAAACAUCACUCCUAAAAUAUGCUCAACAACGUCGCCAAUUCUGGCUAUUGGUGUUUCCCCUGAUCGAACUUGAAACUCCAACUUUCCAUAAAUAUUUCAUACAUGAAGGGACUAUUUCAUAAAUGAAGGAUCAUAACCUGCAUAUUUUCAUGAACACGUGAAAUUAAAUUGAAAUCUAGUAGUAUAUGGAGUUGAACAUCUUAAUACUAUAGGAAUUGAAGAUCUAUACCAUAUCAAUACUAUGAAGGAUCAUAAGGAAGUGGAGACGCCAUAACGAUAAUCUGACCCAUUAGGUUGACAUCUUUAAUUGAUUUCGUCUCAGACAAAAAUCACAAGUUUCACAUAAAUGAAUUCAAAGAUGUCUUCUUCAUUCCAAUAAACAAUUUUUGGAAUAUGUGGUAUCCUGUCACAUUCCUCUCCUGCUCUCUCCUUACACUCCUUUAAUUUUAGGCAACCACGGAUACUCAUAAACUCAAGUGAAGUGAGGUGUCAAAUACCUUCUGGAAAGGAUCUCAAUCCUCGCAUUCAACAAUAUCCAUAGUUCAAAGAGAAAUAAAUGGCUCCUGUUCAGUUUCACAGGAGAUGCUCUCUGUAAGUGAUAUGACUAAUGCUAAUCUACUAAAAUAUAUGGAGUUAAAAGAUGCAAAAUUCACUUUGUUAUCAAAUAAAACAUUUGAUUUCUCAUUCAUAUCAUCCGAAAUUAUCACCUCUUAUAGUUUCUGUGGUUCAGCUGAAGCAUCCUCUUGCUUUCAGGAAAAGCAGUGGUCCGACACAAAUAUGGUUGGGAUUCAGCAGCAUUCCACAACAUAUCUGACACAAACAUAAUGAAAUAACAUGAGUGACUCGACUAGAAUCAUGAAUUACAAUGUCACCUUCCUAAUAAAGAGCUGUAUACACACCUGCAGAUUUUCUGUCUUUGGUUGGUAACAAUGACAGACACAUGGCAUCAUUUCUCACAAUAUUUACCAACACACGAGAAUUAUAAUAUGCAUUGGUUGUGACAAAAUGCUCUAGAUUGUUAUUGAUGUCGAUGAUAGUUUUACCCGGAGUAUUAUACACAUGUUGAUCUUGGCUUCCCUCACUCAAAAGAUGUUUUAACAACUAUGUAACAAGUGGUUCCUGCACAUAGAAAUUAAACUAAGACAAUAAUAUUGUUAUAAUGAUGUAAAAGAGACAAAGAAGCUUUAAAAAAUUGUUCCGACUAGAAAUUACACUCAGCCAUCAAAUUGAAACAUGCAAUUAUAGAUUUCAAUACCACAAAUAAAAAAAGGGAUAUUCAGAAACGUCAAAUAAGGAAACCAUAGUCAAGAGACAUGAGAGGCAUAUCCUGCAAAUAGAGUACCAAGAGAUUGUUAUGAAACACAGUCAAAAGAAAUAAAGAUGGAGGCAGAAACACCAACAUCUCUGUUUUUUGAUUCCUGUUGAAAUCAGUAGCAGAAACAUCACCUGCCAAAGAGUGAGCCAAACAAUAUAUAUUAUUCAAAUAAACAAUCUAAAACAAAUAAAUAAGAAUGACCAAUAAAAACUUAAGAAUAAAAAUCGAGAAAACCUUGACACCGAUCAGACUUUGCUAAUGGGUACGGAGCUCUGACCCAUUGUCACUUCCUCCACUCCAAAAGACUGCGUCUUCGUCAUUGGGUAUGUUUGUUCCAUUAAUCCCGUUAUUUGUCUUGUGUGUCGACGCCAAUCCUAACCAUUCAAUUAAAUCCCCACAAAAUCAGUAAAAUUAAAAAAAAAAAUCCAAAAUUCAAAUUAAAAAAAAUUAAACUAUGAUGAAGAAAAUGACCUGAAUUAGAACAUUUGUAACUUUAGUUGAGCAGUGAAAUAUCUUUCAUGUAGUCUGGAUCUCUUCCUGCGGAAUGGGUUCCAAAUAAGUCAACAACGAGAAUAAAAAUAAAGAUUUUUGAGCAGUUGAAAUCCAAACAUAAGAAGGGGAAAUUGAGAUCUUACCAGUAAAAUUGAUUUUUGCGAUGUUGAUUGUGGCAGAUAAGGGUAAACGUCUCUGCUUCUUAAUCCUCGGUAAACUGUAUUUUUGGAAUAUGAGCUAUCUUGUCCCAAUCCUCCCAUGUUCCCUCUUUGCAUCGUUCCUCUAAUGUUGGGCAUUCCCAAAUUGUCAGAACCUCAAGAGAAGUGAGGUGUCGAAUACCCUCCGGCAAGCAUCGCAAUCCUUUACAGCUAUAAAUCUGUAGAUUUCGAAGGGAAGUGAGGUGUCGAAUACCCUCCGGCAAGCAUCUCAAUCCUCUACAACUCGAAAUGUGUAGAGCUCGAAGGGAUUGAAGACCUUCCCAAUUUUGCUCUGGUAAGGACUCCAAUUGUGGGAACCAAUCUACUUCCAGAUAUUGAAGACAAGUAAGGUUUUUGAACAUCCCCUCUGGGAAGGAUGUUAUUCCUUCACCCUCCAUUAGGGUAAGCUGAGUAAGACCACGGAAGGUAGAGAUUGACCUCAGUAACUCAUUGUUACAUCCAUCCACAUAGAGGCCUUCAAGAGAUGGAAGAGAUGGCAGUCCAAGUUUAUGGCAAUAUGAGAUUUCCAAGUAAGAAAGACAAGGAAACAUCUCCCCUCUUUCCACUUUCAAUAACCCCUCUAUGUUUCGUAGGUAUCGUAAAUGGAGAUCCAUCAGAGAUCGGAAAACCAUCACCUCCACACCAUCCUGAGAUUCAUCAUCAUCCAAGUAUUUCAGAUUAUCCAUAUAAGAUAAUUCCAGUUUUUUUAGAGAUGGUAGUUUACCAAGUAACGGAAGCCGCACAAUUUUGUUGCAAUUCCGAAGUUCAAGAGAAAUUAAAUUACUAAGAAGGCUUAUCCAACUUGGUAACGAUAACCCUUCAUUGUAAUUUAUUGUCAAGCAUUUGAGAUUUGAGUGAGGUUGAAGCUCUUCAAGUACUUGCUCAGCACUAAUUAUAGAUUCCUGUUGGGAUAUCCAUGACAAGCAUAAUUCAUGAAGGUCUUUUUUACCCAUCAAAUUAGCCGCUUCAGCUUCAGAUAACCUGCCAACAUUGUUUAAUCCUUGGAUAUGCAGUUUUCCACCGAGGUUUAGAUCACGUAACUCUGUCAAGCUAUUCCCUUUCUCUACACUAACAAUGUACACACUUAAUGUUCUUAGACAAGUUAAUUUUCCAAUGUUAGGAAACAUUUGAGACAAAGACCGACAUUCUUCAAUGACUAUAUGCCUAAGAUUUUG